AAAGUGUUUUCAUGGACACUUUUGGUGGUUUGGGAAUAUAUGUGAAUAUAUAGGCUGAAGAAUUAGGUCAGGGGAGUCACAAGGGGCCCACAAGGCAGGGGGCGCGCCCUACCCCCUGGGUGCGCCCUCCUCCCUUGUGGCCGCCUUGUGGCUCUUCUGACUUGAUCUCCAAGUCUCUGGGGUGUCUUCUGGUCUAAGAAAAAUCACCACAAAGGUUUUAUUCCAUUUGGACUCAGUUUGGUAUUCCUUUUCUGCGAAACUCAAAAACAAGGAAAAAACAGAAACUGGCACUGCUCUAGGUUAAUAGGUUAGUCCCAAAAAUUAAUAGAAAAUAGCAUAUUAAUAUAAUAGCAUGGAACAAUCAAAAAUUAUAGAUACGUUGGAGACGUAUCAAGCAUCUGAACAAUCAAAAAUAGAACUUUUGAGGAAUGCUACCUAACAUAUUUAUCCAUGUAAUUUUUUCUUUAGUGUGGCAUGAAUUUUCAGAUCCAUAAGAUUCAAAACAAAAGUUUAAUAUUGACAUAAAAACAAUAAUACCUCAAUCAUACUAACAUGGCAAUUAUGUCUUCUCAAAAUAACAUGGCCAAAUAAAGCUUAUCCCUACAAAAUCAUAUAGUCUCGCUAUGCUCCAUCUUCAUCACACAAAAUAUUCAAAUCAUGCACAACCCCGAUGACAAGCCAAUCAAUUGUUUCAUACUUUUGAUGUUCUCAAACCUUUUCAACUUUCAUUAAAUACAUGAGCGUGAGCCAUGGACAUAGCACUAUAUGUGGAAUAGAAUAUGGUGGUUGUGGAGAAAAAAAGAAGAAGGAGAUAGUCUCACAUCAACUAGGCGUAUGAUGGUAGCUGGAACUACGUCGGUAUUUCCGCGGAGAGGGAGGGAUGAUGUACCACAGCGGCGGUAGGUAUUUCCCUCAGUUAUGAAACCAAGGUAUCGAACCAGUAGGAGAACCAAGCAACACAACAUAAACAACACCAGAACACAAACAACAACACCUCGCAACCCGACGAGUUAAAGGGGUUAUCAAUCCCUUCCAGGGUACGGCACCAGAAAUUGCGUGAUGACGGGAGAAAGUUGUAAUAGAUUGAAUAAAUAGAUUGCAAAUAAAAUAAAGUGCAGCAAAGUAUUUUUGUAUUAUUGGUUUAAUAGAUCUGAAUAAAAAUUCAAAGGAAAAGUAGGUCGCAAGGCAAAUAUAUGAGAAAGAAGACCCGGGGGCCGUAGGUUUCACUAGUGGCUUCUCUCGAGAAAAAUAGCAAACGGUGGGUAAACAAAUUACUAUUGGGCAAUUGAUAGAACUUCAAAUAAUUAUGACGAUAUCCAGGCAAUUAUCAUUACAUAGGCAUCACGUCCAAGAUUAGUAGACCGACUCCUGUCUGCAUCUACUACUAUUACUCCACACAUCGACCGCCAUCCAGCAUGCAUCUAGUGUAUUAAGUUCAUGGAAAAAUGGAGUAAUGAAAUAAGAACGAUGACAUGAUGUAGACAAGAUCCGUUUAUCCAUAUGGCGGUGGAUAUAGAUCUCGUCUUUUUAUCUUUAGUAGCAACGAUACAUACGUGUAGUUUCCCUUUCUGUCACUGGGAUCGAGCACCGUAAGAUCAAACCCACUACCGGGCACCUCUUCCCAUUGCAAGAUAAAUAGAUCAAGUUGGCCAAACAAAACCCAAAUAUCGAAGAAGAAAUACGAGGCUAUAAGAGAUCAUGCAUAUAAGAGAUCAAAGAAACUCAAAUAACUUUCAUGGAUAUAAAAAGAUAUGACUGGUCAUAGACUCGAAGUUCAUCGGAUCCCAACACACCGCAAAAGAGUUACAUCAUAUGGAUCUCCAAGAGACCAUUGUAUUGAGAAUUCAGAGAGAGAGAGAGAGAGAGAGAGAAAGCCAUCUAGCUACCAGCUACGUACCUGAAGGUCUACAAGGAACUACUCACGCAUCAUUGGAGAGGCAACAAUGGAAGUUGUGAACCCCUCCGUGAUGGUGUCUAGAUUGGAUCUGGUGGUUCUGGACUCUGCGGCGGCUGGAUGAAUAUUUCGUCGACUCCCCUAUGGUUUCUGGAAUAUUUGGGUAUUUAUAGAGCAAAGAGGUGGUCCGGGGGCCACCCGAGGUGGGCACAACCCACCAGGGCGCGCCUGGGCCUCCUGGCGUGCCCUGGUGGGUUGUGCCCUCCUCGGGGCACCCCCAAGGUGCAACCAGGGCCCAUUCCUUCCUUCUGGCCCAUAAAAAAUCAUCAUGGAGUUUUGUGGCAUUUGGACUCCGUUUGAUAUUGAUUUCCUGCAAUGUAAAAACAGGGAAAAAACAGCAACUGACACUUGGCAUUAUGUCAAUAGGUUAGUACCAAAAAGUGAUAUAAAAUGACUAUAAAAUGAUUAUAAAACAUCCAAGAUUGAUAACAAAACAACAUGGAACAAAAAAAUUAUAGAUACGUUGGAGACGUAUCAGCAUCCCCAAGCUUAACUCCUACUCGUCCUCGAGUAGGUAAGUGAUAAAAACAAAUUUUUUGAUGUGGAGUGUUGUUCAUCAUGUCAUACCAUAUUCUUUUAUUUAUAGCAUGGACAUUUCGACUUUUAUGUGAUUCAAAGCAAUAGUCUAGUUUUGACAUAAUAAUUUAGGCACUCAAGCAUAUCAACAAGCAACCAUGUCUUUCAAAAUAUCAACGCUAAAAUAAGUUAUCCCUAGCCCAUAAUACUCAAACAUUGAUCCAUUCAUGAAACACACUCGAAUAUUAACUACAGCCAAUACUUGAGCACGAUCAUAUUGCCUCCUAGUUGGUGCUUUUUAUGAGAGAAGAUGGAGACUCAAAUUUCAAAAUAAAAUUGCAUAAAGUAAAAGAAAGGCCCUUCGCAGAGAGAAGUAGGGAUUUGUAGAGGUGCCAGAGCUCAAAGCGAAAAAAUUAGAGAUAAAAACAUUUUGGGAGGUGUAUCCAUCCCACCAACGAAGACGACUUAGAGUUCCCAACACUUUCCAUGCUAGAUAUGCCAUAGGCAGUUCCCAAACAGAAAAUAAAGUUUAUUCCUUUUUCCACCAUAACUUUAAAUUUCCAUGGCUAACCGUAUCCACGGGUGUCCUCCAUAACAACACUUUCCAAGGAAUUUAUUAUUUGACAACAUAAUGUAAAUUCAUUUUUUUUUGCAUUUCGGGACUGGGCAUCCCUAAGACCUUUGCCUUACUCUCGUGCAAUGACAAGUGAAUAAACACUCAUCUUGAGAAUAACACAUCUAGCAUGGAAAAUAUUAGCCACCCGUUACCGUUCCCCGAGCGAAGCAAACACACAAAAGAGAAGUUUAUUUUGAAAAUUAGAGAUGGCACAUGCAAAUUUGCUUAGAACGGCAAAAGAAUACCGCAUAUAGGUAGAUAUAGUGAACUCAUGUGGCAAAACUGGUUUAAAGAAUUUUGGAUGCACAAGUAGAGAUCAUACUUGGUGCAAAAUGAAGGCUAGCAAAAUAUUGGGAAGCGACCAACCAAGAAACGAAUAAUCUCAUAAGCAAGCAUUAAGCAUAAUUAACACCGAAUAAUGCACCAGAAGUAGGAUAUAAUUUUCAUUGCAUGAUUAUUGACUUUCGUGCAUGCAUAGGGAAUCACAAACCUUAACACCAAUAUUCCUACUAGAGCACAAUUACUCAUCAACAUAACUCACAUAUCACAUCAUCAUAUCUCAAAACUAUUACUAAGAAUCAAGUUUAUUUUGUCCAAUGAUCUUCAUCACAUUUUAUUUUACUUUAUCCUUCUUGGAUAUCUAUCACUUAGGGACUAAUUUUCAUGUGUUGCUUUUCAUAAGCUCAAACAAAUAUAAGUGAAGAUCAUGAGCAUAACAAAUUUUCUUUCUCUCAAAAUAAUUUAAGUGAAGAAAGAGAGAAUUUCUUGAAACUUUACUAACUCUCAAAUAAAUCUAAGUGAAGCAAUAUAGCAUUUCUUCAAAAGUAACAAGCACACCGUGCUCAAAAAGAUAUAAGUGAAGCACUAGAGCAAAUCCUAGCUCAUAAAAGAUUUAAGUGAAGCAUAGAGAGCAAUUCUAACAAGUCAUGAUAUAAUUUUGGCUCUCUCAAAUAGGUGUGUCCAGCAAGGAUUGAUGACUUAAAACACAAAAUAAAACAAGCAAAGACACAUAUCAUACAAGACGCUCCAAGCAAAACACAUAUCAUGUGACGAAUAAAAAUAUAGCCUCGAGUAAAAUACCGAUAGUUGUUGGAAGAAAGCGGGGAUGCCACUCGGGGGCAUCCCCAAGCUUAGUUGGUUGCUCAUUCUUGGAUAAUAGCUUGGGAUGCCGGGGCAUCCCCAAGCUUAGGUUUUUACAUCCUUCCUUCAUCCAUCGUAAGAUAACCCAAAACUUGAAAACUUCAAUCACACAUAACUCAACAAAACCUUCCUGAGAUCCGUUAGUGAAAGAAAAAUAAACCACUACUAUAAGUGUUGUAUCAAACCAAUUCUUAUUUUGUUUUUGUAUUAUAUCUACUGUAUUCCAACUUUUCUAUGGCAAAAACUCAUCAAAGAAAACCAUAGAGCCAUCAAAAUAAGCACACAACACAAAGAAAACAGAAUCUGUCAAAACAGAACAGUCUGUAGCAAUCUGAUUUGUUCGAAUAGUUCUGGAACUCCAACAAUUCUGAAAAACUAGGACAACCUGGAUAAUUUGUAUAUUGAUCUUCUGCAAAAAUAAUUAGCAUUUUAUCACGUUCUGAUGAAUUUUAACAAUUAUUUUCGUGAGCAUAAUUUUUUUUUCUUUUUCAGCAAGAUCAAACAACUAUCACCCAAGAAGAUCCUAUUGGUUCUACUUGGCACAAACACUAAUUAAAACAUAAAAAACACAAUCAUAGCAGUAGCAUAAUUGUGUAAACACUCAAGAACAGAAAGCAAAAAGUAUAAAUAAAUUUUAUUCAUUGGGUUGCCUCCCAACAAGCGCUAUCGUUUUACGCCCUUAGCUAGGCAUAACGUAAGGAUCUAAGUUUUGUCAUCCUUCUUCUUCUUAAUUUUCUUGGGGGUGUUUUUAUCAGGAGGUUUUGUAAACAUAACAUAAAACAUAUUAUCCAUAAAAACUUUAGCAUUCCUUAGUUGAUUUUCAUCAUAACCCCUUUGAUUUCCCGCUACAAUCCAAGAGUAGUGGAUUAACAUUAUUAAAAACUUGUUGGAUUAUAUCUAGAACGGGGACCUCCUUUUUAAGAUUCUCAUCAAAGAUCUUAUUAUCCCCAAGCAAAUGCCUUAGUGCAUAGUCACUAUUUUAAAGAAUUUCAUCAAUCACGGGUUUUUCACGGUUCAUACCAUAAAAGUCAAAGAUUUCCCUAGCUUCCUGAAUUAUGUAGUCAAACUCGUUCAUGAGAACGAGAGUGGCCAACUUUUUGGCUCUAGGAUUCUUUAUACUGGGAAGCUCAAAAAACAAUCUUUGCAAAGUAGGAUGAGUGCGGAUAAAUUUUCUUUCAAGUUUCAGAACUAGUGCUGAAAUAGCAUCCGCAUAAGAUCUAGUAGUUUUAAGUAUAGGAGCAUCAUCAAGACUUAGAUUCCCAACACAAUUGAAAAAUUCUUGGAUACGUUCUUUUCCCAUAAUGUUACCUUGCCCCAAGAUUAAAGUUUUAGCAUCCAGAUUGUUUGUACGUCCCAUAUUAGGAGUCAGGCCGUCAUCUGUUGGUGCCAUACCAAAAUCACUCAUGAUUGCAAGCAAAGAAUAUAUCCCACGAGAAAACGGCGAACGGAAAAAGAGAGGCGAAUAAAAUGGCAAAUUUUUGUGAAGUGGGGGAUAGGAAAAUGAGAGGCAAAUGGAAAAUAAUGUAAAUUGCAAGGAGAUGAGAUUUGUGAUUAGGAACCUGGUUAUGUUGAAGAUCCUCGCCGGCAACGGCGCCAGAAAUUCUCCUUGAUGGCAGCUGGAACUACGUCGGUAUUUCCGCGGAGAGGGAGGGAUGAUGUAGCACAGCGAUGGUAGGUAUUUCCCUCAGUUAUGAAACCAAGGUAUAGAACCAGUAGGAGAACCAAGCAACACAACAUAAACAGCACCUGCACACAAACAACAACACCUCGCAAUCCGACGAGUUAAAGGGGUUGUCAAUCCCUUCCGGGGUACGGCGCCAGAAAUUGCGUGAUGACGAGAGAAAGUUGUAAUAGUUUGAAUAAAUAGAUCGCAAAUAAAAUAAAGUGCAGCAUAGUAUAUUUUUAUUUUUGGUUUAAUAGAUCUGAACAAAAAUGCAAAGGAAAAGUAGAUCGCAAGGCAAAUAUAUGAGAAAGAAGACCCGGGGGCCGUAGGUUUCACUAGUGGCUUCUCUCGAGAAAAAUAGCAAACAGUGGGUAAACAAAUUACUGUUGGGCAAUUGAUAGAACUUCAAAUAAUUAUGACGAUAUCCAGGCAAUUAUCAUUACAUAGGCAUCACGUCCAAGAUUAGUAGACCGACUCCUGUCUGCAUCUACUACUAUUACUCCACACAUCGACCGCCAUCCAGCAUGCAUCUAGUGUAUUAAGUUCAUGGAAAAAUGGAGUAAUGAAAUAAGAACGAUGACAUGAUGUAGACAAGAUCCGUUUAUCCAUAUGGCGGUGGAUAUAGAUCUCGUCUUUUUAUCUUUAGUAGCAACGAUACAUACGUGUAGUUUCCCUUUCUGUCACUGGGAUCGAGCACCGUAAGAUCAAACCCACUACCGGGCACCUCUUCCCAUUGCAAGAUAAAUAGAUCAAGUUGGCCAAACAAAACCCAAAUAUCGAAGAAGAAAUACGAGGCUAUAAGAGAUCAUGCAUAUAAGAGAUCAAAGAAACUCAAAUAACUUUCAUGGAUAUAAAAAGAUAUGACUGGUCAUAGACUCGAAGUUCAUCGGAUCCCAACACACCGCAAAAGAGUUACAUCAUAUGGAUCUCCAAGAGACCAUUGUAUUGAGAAUUCAGCUAGAGAGAGAGAGAGAGAAAGAGAGAAAGCCAUCUAGCUACUAACUACGGACCUGAAGGUCUGUAAGGAACUACUCAUGCAUCAUCGGAGAGGCACCAAUGGAAGUUGUGAACCCCUCUGUGAUGGUGUCUAGAUUGGAUCUGGUGGUUCUGGACUCUGCGGCGGCUGGAUGAAUAUUUCGUCGACUCCCCUAGGGUUUCUGGAAUAUUUGGGUAUUUAUAGAGCAAAGAGGCGGUCCGGGGGGCACCCGAGGUGGGCACAACCCACCAGGGCACGCCAGGGCCUCCUGGCGCGCCCUGGUGGGUUGUGCCCCCCUCGGGGCACCCCCAAGGUGCAACCAAGGCCCAUUGCUUUCCUUCUGGCCCAUAAAAAAUCAUGAUCAUGGAGUUUCGUGGCAUUUGGACUCCGUUUGAUAUUGAUUUCCUGCGAUGUAAAAAACAUGGAAAAAACAGCAACUGGCACUUGGCACUAUGUCAACAAGUUAGUACCAAAAAAUGAUAUAAAAUGACAAUAAAAUGAUUAUAAAACAUCCAAGAUUGAUAAUAAAACAGCAUGGAACAAUCAAAAAUUAUAGAUACGCUGGAGACGUAUCAGCGUAUCAACGGGCUAUGGAGAUGCCCAUCGAUAGAUAUCAAUGUGAGUGAGUAGGGAUUGCCAUGCAACGGAUGCACUAGAGCUAUAAGUUUAUGAAAGCUCAAAAAGAAAACUAAGUGGGUGUGCAUCCAACUUGCUUGCUCAUGAAGACCUAGGGCAAUUUGAGGAAGCCCAUCGUUGGAAUAUACAAGCCAAGUGAUCUAUAAUGAAAAAUUCCCACUAGCAUAUGAAAGUGACAACAUAGGAGACUCUCUAUCAUGAAGAUCGCGAUGCUACUUUGAAGCACAAGUGUGGAAAAAAGGAUAGUAACAUUGCCCCUUCUCUCUUUUUCCUUCUCUUUUUUUGUUUGGGUUCUUUGGCCACCUUUCUUUUUUUAUUUAGGAUUCAUUGGCCUCUUUUUUUAUUUCCUCACAUGGGACAAUGCUCUAAUAAUGAUGAUCAUCACACUUUUAUUUACUUACAAUUCUAGAAUUACAACUCGAUACUUAGAACAAAAUAUGACUCUAUAUGAAUGCCUCCGGUGGUGUACCGGGAUGUGCAAUGACUCAGGAGUGACAUGUAUGAAAGAAUUAUGAAAGGUGGCUUUGCCACAAAUACAAUGUCAACCACAUGAUCAUGCAAAGCAAUAUGACAAUGAUGGAAUGUGUCAUAAUAAACGGAACGAUGGAAAGUUGCAUGGUGAUUUAUCUCGGAAUGGCUAUGGAAAUGCCAUAAUAGGUAGGUAUUGUGGCUGUUUUGAGGAAGGUAUAUCGUGGGUGUAUGGUACCGGUGAAAGUUGUGCGGUACUAGAGAGGCAAGCAAUGGUGGAAGGUUGAGAGUGCGUAUAAUCCAUGGACUCAACAUUAGUCAUAAAGAACUCACAUACUCAUUGCAAAAAUCUAUUAGUUAUAGAAACGAAGUACUAUGCGCAUGCUCCUAGGGGAUAGAUUGGUAGGAAAAGGCCAUCGCUCAUCCCCGACCGCCACUCAUAAGGAAGACAAUCAAAAAAUACCUCAUGCUCCAACUUCGUUACAUAACGGUUCACCAUACGUGCAUGCUACGGGAAUCACAAACCUUAACACAAGUAUUUCUCCAAUUCACAAUUACUCACUAGCAUGACUUUAAUAUCACCAUCUUUAUAUCUCAAAACAAUCAUAAGGAAUCAAACUUCUCAUAUGACCAUCUUUAUAUCACCAUAUUUAUUUCUCCAAUUCACAAUUACUCACUAGCAUGCACUUUAUAUGAAAGUUUUUAUUAUACCCCUCUUGGAUGUCUAUCAUAUUAGGACUAAAUUUAUAACCAAAGAAAAUUACCAUGCUGCUUAGGGAAUGUCAAAAUAAUAUAAGUGAAGCAUGAGAGUUCAAAAAUUUCUAUAAAAUAAAGCCACCGCCGUGCUCAAAAAAGAUAUAAGUGAAGCACUAGAGCUAAAUUGCCUAGCUCAAAAGAUAUAAGUGAAGCACAUAGAGUAUUCUAAUAAAUCAGGAUUCAUGUGUGUCCCUCUCAAAAGGUGUGUACAGAAAGGAUGACUGUGGCAAACUAAAAAGCAAAGACUCAUAUCAUACAAGACGCUCCAAGCAAAAUACUUAUUAUGUGGUGAAUAAAAACAUAGCCUCAAGUAAAGUUAUCGAUAGACGAAGACGAAAGAGAGGAUGCCUUCCGGGGCAUCACCAAGCUUAGGCUCUUGGUUGUCCUUGAAUAUUACCUUGGGGUGCCUUGGGAAUCCCCAAGCUUAGGCUCUUGCCAGUCCUUAUUCCAUAGUCCAUCAAAUUCUUACCCAAAACUUGAAAACUUCACAACACAAAACUCAACAGAAAAUCUCAUAAGCUCCGUUAGUAUAAGAAAAUAAAUCACCACUUUGGUACUAUUGUGGACUCAUUCUUUAUUUAUAUUGGUGUAAUAUCUACUGUAUUCCAACUUUUCCAUGGUUCAUACCCCCCAAUACUACCCAUAGAUUCAUCAAAAUAAGCAAACACCACAUAGAAAACAGAAUCUGUCAAAAACAGAACAGUCUGUAGUAAUCUGGUUAGUUCGAAUACUUCUAUAAUUCCAAAAAUUAUGAAAAAUUAUGAAAACAACGGCAAUUUGUAUAUAAAUCUUGUGUAAAAAGUUCAGAAUUUUAUCACGGUUCUGUGGUUUUUAAAAAUUCUGGCUGGGCGAAAAAGUUUCUGUUUUUCAACAAGAUCUGAUCAACUAUCACCGUAAGCCAUCCCAAAGGUCUUACUUGGCACAAACACUAAUUAAAACACAAAACCACAUCUAACAAGAGGCUAGAUGAGUUAUUUAUUGCAAAACAGAACCGAAAAGCAAAUAACAAAAAUAAAAUUGGGUUGCCUCCCAACAAGCGCUAUUGUUUAACGCCCUUAGCUAGGCGUAAAAACACAAAUAGAUCUAGGUAUAAUCGUAGUAAUGAUAAGGCAAAUCUCGGAAAAUCAUCUCAUACUCCCUUCAUUCAGCAGCAAGUUUUCUUUGUGGUAAGCAAAAGUAAUCAAAAGGGCUAAAUUUAAUGGGAUGAGGAUCCCCAAGAUCAAGCUCGGGAGGAAUUGGUUCCUCCUUCCACUCCUCAUAUUGUAUGACCUACUCAUCAUUGUAAGCGUUCUUUUGGAAAAAAAAUCAUGAACUUGUGUCCAAGAGAGAAACCCAAUCCGUUGUUUUUUAUAGCAGAAUUAUCAUUAAGCUCAGAAAUCUUAUCAACUAAAACAUCGCUAGGGACCCUCUUUCUUAAAUUUUCAUUAUAAGCAACAUUAUGUAGAGAUCGUAAACGCAUUAUGUCCUCUUGGUUAAAGAUAAUUCCCUCUAUGGGAGGACGACCACCAUCUACUUUGUAAUGCGCGAAAAUUUCACUAGCUUCUUUCAUAAUAAAUAUAAACUUAUGGGCUAGAAAUAUAGUGGGCGGCGCGCUUAACAGAAGAAUGCUCAAUAUUAGAUAACUCUAGAAAAAUCCUUUGUAUGGAUGGAUGCAUAUGAACAAAUUGUCUUUCAAGUUCAACCACAAGAAAAGAUAUAGCAUCCGCAAGACUACUAGUUUUAUGGAGAAUAGAUCCACCUAACGUGGGUAGCGCACCGGCACAAGUAAAGAAAUCUUGAAUAACCCCUUUUCCAAUAGUAUUGCAGCUACCUAUGCGAAGUUUUUUAGUGUGCAAGAUAGUAGAUUGUUCAUGAGGAUUAGUAUUAGCAAAAGCAUCAAAGUUUCCCCCAUCAUUACUACUAUCCUUCUCAGCGAUGACCUCCCCAAUUUUAGACAUGGUGGCAACAAACCAAUCUAGCAAACGAGCAAACCGAAAGCGAACCAAGAAGACAAACGGAAGAGGGGCGAAGAAAAGGCAAAUCUUUUCGAAAAUCAUUUUAGAAGUGGGGGAGAGGAAAACGAGAGGCUAAUGGCGAAUAAUGUAAUGCAAGAGACGAGAGUUUAUGAUGGGUACUUGGUAUGUCUUGACUUAGCGUAGAUCUCCCCGGCAACGGCGCCAGAAAUUCUUCCUGCUACUUCUUGAGCUUGCGCUGGUUUUUCCCUUGAAGAGGAAAGGGUGAUGCAGCAAAGUAGAGAUAAGUAUUUCCCUCAGUUUGAGAACCAAGGUAUCAGUUCAGUAGGAUAAAACGCAUAAAUCACCAAUACCUGCACAAACAAUCAAACAACUUGCACCCAACGCGAUAAAGGGGUUGUCAAACCCUUCACGGUUACUUGGAAAAGUGAGAUCUGAUAGAGAUAGUUGAAACGAAACAAACGAUAAAAUAAAUAUUUUUGGUUUAUAGAUUGGAAAGUAAAAGAUUGCAAAACAGUAGAUCGAAAACUUAUAUGAUGGAAAAUAGACCUGGGGACCAUAGGUUUCACUAGAGGCUUGAACAAAUUACUGUCGAGCAAUUGAUAGAAAAGCGCAAAGUUGUGACGAUAUCGAAGGCAAUGAUUAUGAAAUAUAGGCAUCAUGUCCGUCUUAAGUAGACCGAAACGAUUCUGCAUCUACUACUAUUACUCUACACAUCGACCGACUCCUACCUGCAUCUAGAGUAUUAAGCUCGUGAAGAACAGAGUAACACAUUAAGUAAGAUGACAUGAUGUAGAGGAAUAAACUCAAGCAAUAUGAUGUAAAACCCCAUCUUUUUAUCCUUGAUGGUAACAAUACAAUACAUGCCUUGCUGCCCCUACUGUCACUGGGAAAGGACACCGCAAGAUUGAACCCAAAGCUAAGCACUUCUCCCAUUGCAAGAAAAACCAAUCUAGUUGGCCAACCCAAACCGAUAGUUCGAAGAGAAUUACAAAGAUACCAAAUCAUGCAUAAAAUAAUUCCGAGAAGAUUCAAAUAAUAUUCAUAGAUAAGCUGAUCAUAAAUCCACAAUUCAUCGGAUCUCGACAAACACACCGCAAAAUAAGAUUACAUCAGAUAGAUCUCCAAGAACAUCGAGGAGAACAUGGUAUUGAGAAUCAAAGAGAGAGAAGAAGCCAUCUAGCUACUAGCUAUGGACCCGUAGGUCUGUGGUAAACUACUCACGCCUCAUCGGAAGGGCAAUAUAAUUGAUGUAGAAGCCCUCCGUGAUUGAAUCCCCCUCCGACAGGAUGCCGGAAAAGGCCCCUAGAUGGGAUCUCACGGGAACAAAAGGUUGCGGCGGUGGAAAAGUGUUUUCGUGGAUACUUCUGGUGGUUUGAGAAUAUAUGUGAAUAUAUAGGCUGAAGAAUUAGGUCAAGGGAGUCACGAGGGGCCCAUAAGGCAGGGGCGCUCCCUACCCCCUGGCCGCGCCCUCCCCCCUUGUGGCCGCCUCAUGGCUCUUCCGACUUGGUCUCCAAGUCUCUAGGGUGUCUUCUGGUCCAAGAAAAAUCAUCGUGAAGGUUUUAUUCCGUUUGGACUCCGUUUGGUAUUCCUUUUUUGUGAAACACAAAAACAAGGAAAAGCCAUAAACUGGCACUGGGCUCUAGGUUAACAGGUUAGUCCCAAAAAUAAUAUAAAAUAGCAUAUUAAUGCAUAUAAAGCAUCCAAAACAGAUAAUAUAAUAGCAUGGAACAAUAAGAAAUUAUAGAUACGUUGGAGACGUAUCACAGCCUUUAUUAUGCAAUGCAUCGCUUUUAUUAAUUUGCCAUCACAAGUUCGUACAACGCUCAAUUUUCUCUUACACUAAAUGGUCAAACACAUUUAGAAGCAAUUUUUGUUGCCUUAUUGCACCGAUGACAACUUACUUGAAGGAUCUUGCUCAAUCCAUAGGUAGCUAUGGUGGACUCUCAAAAUAAGACUUUUGGUUUAGGGGUUUUUGGAUGCACAAGUAGUAUCUCUUAUUAGUGUGGAAUUUUUGGCUAGCAAAGAAAUUGGGCAAGCACCACAUGUUGAAGGAUCUAUGACAAUAUAACUUCUGUGUGAAUAUGAACAAACAUAACUCAUUACAUUGUCUUCAUUGUCCAACGUCAACAAUUUUGGCAUAUAAUAAUUUGAUGGGGCACUAGUACGCGUCGGUGCUAUACAAACGGUUUUUAACCCCUUUCCACGAUGGCAUUUGGAACCGUCGCCUAGUGAGUGACGACGAUAGGGGGGUCCUUCUCACACGACCCAGAAACCGUCGGGGAUAGGGAGCCAAGAUGCAUAUACAGUACUCCUACUCGUUUGUGCUCGCAUUUCCAUCGCAGUCGGUAUUCUGUGGUGCUACGUUUAUGAUGCGCGGCCCAUCACAAACGGUUCACUAUUAUAGAACGUGUAUAAUGAUCAUACAAUCACACACAUUCACUUUUCCCAAACCGUACGUGAUAACUAAUUAAGAAGAUUAGCUAAUCGUUGUACGAGUGUCAGACAGGAUUACGAAAUGCCGGACCGUUGUAACAUUGUCGUACACGACAACUAUCGCACACGCUAUCCUGUGGUGCAACGUUUACGAUGCAUACUUCAUCAGAAACAGUUCAUAGUUGCGAAUCGUGUAUGAUAAGAAAACUAACACAAACGUUUAGUUUGCCCGCACCGUUUAUGAUAUUGUCUGACAUCGCACACGCUUUGCAAAUGGCAACUGUGUGCAUGCUUGCACACGUUUCCUCUCUGUGAACUGUCUCGGAUUAUGGUGUAUAUCGGAAACGUUUGUGUUUUACCAACCGUGUGUGGCGUAACAAGCUGGAGAGUGUAAUUUCACCAUAAUUUAAUGGCUGCUAUUUCAAAUUGUACCAGAUUUGAAUUUGAAUUUAAAUGUAUGCUAUAGCUUUAUUCAUAUCCAUCAGUUCAAGCAACCAAUGCAUUAUUCGAUUCAUAGGUACAUAUGUUGAAGAAUUACAUAAGAACCAAAUAAAGAAUGAUGAACCACAGUUGUAUACUUGUACUAUUAAAGACGGUAAAGAAAGAGGCGAAAUACAUUCUGGUUGCUGAACAAGGUGAAGCGGAAUGCCCAUAUUGUGCCCUCCUCCAUGCAGAAGAAGGCACGCACGACUCUAGUCCAACCCCUUGUGAUGGCCGACCGCCCAUCCUUCACGGUCUUCUUGAAAACAUCUAGAUAAUCAUCGUGUUCUGGUAGAAAUACUUUAACCUUUGCAUGCCCACCAAUCAUGUAGUUUGAGAGGUAAUCUUGAGUAAACUGCUUUGGCAACCACUGCAAAGGAAAAAGAUUCAGACAUUGUCAUCUAACACAACUCAUUAUGGGCAGUAAAAAGAAGGCUGCAGAGUUCUUACUUACCAUCCUGCAGUUCGCUGUUGUCUUGGAUAAAGUGUAAACAAAUAGUUUAAUUGCCAUCUUUGGACCCAUUUUACUAACAAUCUUUAUCAGCUUCCUCACUUGAUGCUGGUUCAUCGAUAUCUCAUUGCCCCAUAAGCAGAAAGGGUCGAAGCGCGGAUCUUUACCAAUGACAUAUGUACCUAAAAGCACCAAGUUAAUAUUAAAAGCUAAAUAACAAUUGCACAAUGAUGUAGUACAACACUCUUUUAUAAUAUCUUAUAACAUCCAAUAUACUCACAUAUUAGAUGAACUAACAUCUUAUAUUAUGGGCCGGAAGGAGUUUAUUGCAUUCUUACAAAUUGUUGGCUGAUUAACUGCUGCUGUAUCCAUGGGUUACAGUUAGUUUGAGCUAGUUCGAGCUCAAAUAGCCCUAAAGUAUAUCUAAACAUGAGGCCUAGUUUGAGCUAGUUGCAUCUAUAACCCACCCAAAAAAACUAUCCAACCCAAGAGGUGCUAAUUGGAGCUAGUUCUCCUUGUGCAUUUAUUGUCAAUCUAACCCUGCCAUCCAAACAACUCUUUGGAUGGAGUUAGUUCAGGGUUAGUCAUGAGCUAGAAACUAACUCUAACCUCUAGCUAAGUUGAGUAUCCAAACAGGGUUGUGUUGUUGUUGUUGCUACUGCUGCUCUUCUACGUAUAUCUAGACAUCAUCGGAACAUUAAUGUAACACUCUUCCUUGUUGCUAUGUAGCCUAGGAUUGCAUAUUUAGACAUUAAGUAUAGUACAUGUUGCUAUGUAGCCUCAGAUAUAUUACAUAUGGCCCUAGUUAACCUAACAAUAAAUGGGUUGCAGAUAUAUUCAGUAAAAAGUCUGAUUCACCAAUUAGUCCCUUAUCAGCCCCCGACCUAUAUGGUACCAGCUACCGAUAUCCUGAACAGUGAGCAUAUAUAAGCCAUGGGAUGAAACUAACCUCGAUGGAAAACAACAGUCGUUCCCAAAAUUGUCCUGUGUAGGUACAUCGAGAAGCAUGUUAAGCACAACAGGCUAAACAUCAACCAAAAUUAUCCAUGGCAGACAAAAUAAUCUCCAAAAGAUAGCUUCAGUGUGCAGGUUUAAGCACGCUAGUAAAGCAAAACAAGUGGAAAGGUGUGUUAACUGCAACAUGCCUAACAUUUAACAACAAGCAAACAUAGUCAUUCAAACUGGUAUUGUGCCGGUCUAAGUACACUGGUUAUUGUUAAAUAAAAAUGGAAAGGCGUGUUAACUACAAGAUGCAACAACCAAAUGUAGUCAUUCAUAGUGGUAUUGUUGAAACUGGUACUAAUGAAAUUGAACUGCACAGUUCAUGCUUGCACAUAUAGAACAUCACGUUGUGAAUAACUAGAAUAAAUAAGGCAUACUACGAACAACCAAAGAUAGUAUUUGAAACUGGACAUAUGCUAACUACAAACAAUCGAACAAUAAAAAAACUUUAAAAGAGGCAUAUGCUAGCUAUAACAGGCUUAACAGCAAGCAAAUAUAUGCAUUCCUAUCGGUAUGUUUAAAACUGGAUUGAUGAAAUGUACUGCACAGUAAAUAAUUGCACAUAUAGAGCAUCACAUUGUGAACAACUGAAAUAAACAAGGCAUACCGCAAACAACCAGAUAUAGCAAUUAAAACUGGACAUAUUCUCACUACACUACAAAAGGGACUUGACAAAACAAAUCAUGGGUUUCCCUCUGUGAAGAGGCACAACAAAACAAAUCGUGGGUUUCCUCACUUGUCACAGAUGGGCUCGUUCCCGUGGGAAGAGCACAGACCCUGGAUGUGCUCCAUGUUGUCGCAGAUGGGCUCCUUCCCCUUGGAAGAGCACGGCUGUAGGGUGCCCUCCCUGAUGUCGUAGACGGGCGCUUUCCCCUUGGAAGAGCAGAUGGUGUCGGGGAUAUACCCCGCAGUAUGACCCGGCCAGAGUUAUAACCCCGCUGGGACUUGGUAAACUAGCAGACAGUUAAGACAGAUGGCUCAGCCAGACGGUAAAUCGACAGGUGGUAAACCGGCAGACAGUUAACCCAGAUGAUAACCCGGCGGAUGUUAAGUCAGAUGAUAACCCGGCAGAUGUUAAGUCAGAUCAUAACUCGGCAGACAGUCAUAACCCGGCAGACAAUCAUAACCCGGCAGAUAGUCAUAACCCGACAGACAGUCAUAACCCAGCAGACAGAGUCGCCUGGGGUUAACAAACCCGAGACGUUAAGAAGCCCAAGAUGUUAAGAAGCCCAUGAAGAGAAGUCAAAAUAGUUUAAGUCUUAGUCCGAGUUGGACUCUACAUGUAACCCGCCCCUUCAACUUAUAUAAGGAGGGGCAGGGCACCCCAAGGGGGGAGAGGAAUAAGCUUAAGGGUUAGACACAACUAGGAGAGCUGGUUUACGGCGAUUCCCUCGUGAUGAUAAUGAGACCUAGCCACAAACAGCAUGUAGGGUUAUUACCGGAUGAUGUUUCCCGGGGCCCGAAGCUGUCUAAACCCUUGUCUUGUGCGUUGAUUCGUCUCGCGUCUCUCAUCCCGAUCAACCCCUCUCAAGCUACCACAUAGAUGCGUUGCUCUCACGACUAAGUCCCCACACUAGGACAUCUGUCGUGACUAUUCCACGACAGAUGGGCUCUUUCCCCUUAGAAGAGCCGGAGAGGGUGCCCUCCUCGUGGUCGUCGUCGAUGAGGUCUGACUUGGAAGCUGUGGAUCCCAAGCCAGCGUCGCAGAACGUGUACUUUAGGAAUGACAAAAGGGGCUCGAUGGCGAUGUAGGAUGGCAAAUUGUUGACAACGAGCCAGAGGAGAUCAGCGGCGGGGCCAUGGAUGAGAUCGACGCGGUUGAACCCGAGGGGUUGGGGUGGGCCACUUAACCUGUGACAUAGCCCGCCUCAGGCCGCCGCUGUCGAUGACCUCGAUGUCAUAGCCGGCAGCUGAGACAUGCCCGCAUACUCUAGCCCGCUGCUUGUGUGCCUGCCGCCAGUAAUGGUCGUCAACUUCCUCGGCGAUAUCGGGCGAAGAGACCACGAUACACCUCUUUUGGGCUAGUCGCUCCUCGAGCUCCACGGGAAGCGUAGCCGAGCUUAGGCUGCGACGCUCUGGAGUGGGGGAUGGGGAUGGGGAUCUGUGGGAAAGGGGGCGUUUGGCAGGCGCCAUCUAAGAAACUCAGGGUGGCCUGGGUAUGGAGAUCGGUGGGUAAGCUGCAUGGGCAAACCGGCAAAUGUUNNNNNNNNNNNNNNNNNNNNNNNNNNNNNNNNNNNNNNNNNNNNNNNNNNNNNNNNNNNNNNNNNNNNNNNNNNNNNNNNNNNNNNNNNNNNNNNNNNNNNNNNNNNNNNNNNNNNNNNNNNNNNNNNNNNNNNNNNNNNNNNNNNNNNNNNNNNNNNNNNNNNNNNNNNNNNNNNNNNNNNNNNNNNNNNNNNNNNNNNNNNNNNNNNNNNNNNNNNNNNNNNNNNNNNNNNNNNNNNNNNNNNNNNNNNNNNNNNNNNNNNNNNNNNNNNNNNNNNNNNNNNNNNNNNNNNNNNNNNNNNNNNNNNNNNNNNNNNNNNNNNNNNNNNNNNNNNNNNNNNGGAGGCCUUGCGGCGGCGGGGGGGGGGACCUUGCAAGGGUUUCGAGCGAGGGAGGGGGUGUGGGUGCGCGCACGGCCGAGGAGUUUUUGGUGUGUGUGUGUGUGUGUGUGUGGAGGGUAGGGGCCGGGGGGGUUGUGUUUGAGGAAAUGACACGGGUGUCGUGGAAUUGUCACGGUAGAUGUCCUUAGUGUCAGGACUUAGUCGUGAGGCCAACGCAUCUAUGUGGUAGCUUGAGAGGGGUUGAGCGGAAUCGAGAGACGCAACACAAGACAAGGAUUUAGACAGCUUCGGGCCCCAGGAAACAUCAUCCGGUAAUAGCCCUACAUGCUGUUUGUGGCUAGGUCUCAUUAUGCUCAUGAGAGAGUCGCCAAGCCGGCUCUUUGUGUCUAGCCCUAGAGAUUGUUUCUUGCCUGUCCCUCUUGGGGUGCCCUGCCCCUCCUUAUAUAAGUUGAAGGGGCGGGUUACAUGUGGUGUCCUAUUAGGAUUAGGACUAGUCUAUUACAAGUGUAAUCCUAGUCUGCCCCCUUAAGGGAAAAUUCCUUAUGUCUUUCCUCUUAAACCGGCCCACCAGAGUAUAAGCUGGCCUGCUGGGCCUUGGGCCUUGUCGUCCGUCUGAUCCGCCCAUCGGGUCUCUAGUGAGUCACAAUGUCCAGGCGGGUUACAUGUAAACCGCCAUGUCCGGGCGGAUCGCCAGUGAGUCGCCAAGCUCCAGUCGGGUCUCUGGUGAGUCGCCAAGUCCGGCCGGGUCAUAAUUCCGGCCGGGUCAUACCGCGGGGUAUAUCCCCGACAUUAGCCCCUAGUUUAAUUUGGAUUUAUCCAUGUUAAACUGAUCCUGCGAAAUAAACACCAGAACAACUUUGACAGGUUGUGCUCUGGGUUAAAAAUUCUUGUAAGCCGGCCCCUGAUCAUCUUUAAGUCCUUGUCAUUUCCUUCUUGAUACACGCCCAUGAAUUCAUAACAAAUCUCCUCAACAAAUAUGGUUCAACUUUGUCAAUGCAAAAAAUCCAGAUACUUCCUUUGAAAAAUCCGGGUCAAUAGGCGAGCUUCAUAAUCAAUUUGCUGACAUUGGCUCUUGGAGAGAGAUACUUAUAAGAAAUAGUCCAUUUGAGUCAGCCUUCAAAGCUCUGACUUGACAAAAAUAUUGGUCUUGAAAUAUUCAACUGAUAUUCAGCCGGCUUAAAGAUGUAGAUCUUGCCGAUCUAUGAUUGCCAAAAUUGUCGGGUUAUAAAUAAAUGAUGCCGGGUCAUGAUUGUUGUAGACACCGGGUUAAUCUGGUCUGCUCCAAACUGAGAAUUUGAAGAUUUUUUCUCCCUUAUAUGCAUAUCACCUGUAGCCCCCAAGUGUCGGGUUGUCAUGCUUGCAGCAACCUGGGACUUGUAAUUGCCUUAUGCUCAUGAAAACUUCAACCAGUGUAGCCCCCAAGGGCCGGGUCAUUAUGCAAUAAUGAGCAGGGACUUUGUAGAUAUAACCAUGUAAACUUGAACAGCAACGUGUAGCCCCCAAGGGCCGUCUUAGUAAGAUAAUACUAAGCUGGGACUUUGUAUAUAAUUUAUUGAUAAUAACAUCAUAUAAUAUAAUCUCCACCAUGGGGCUUGAACCCACGUCCACAAGGUUAAGAGCUUUGUACUCUACCAACUGAGUAGUGGACCGUUCAAUAUAAUGGAUUAAUGCUUGUGUACCUUGAAUUUUUGACAGGAGCAAUUGGUAGCCCCCAAGGGCCGGCUCAUUACAAUGUGAUUAGUCGGGUCUUCAAUAAGUUGAGAAAAAAAUGACUUUGCAUUAGCCCCCAAGUGCCAUGGUGCAUGCUGGCAGUGAUAUGGGACUUGCCUAUUUGAUGUAACCUCAACUUGAAUAAUAUAGCCCCCAAGAGCCGGGUCGUAAGCCUGCAGCGACUCGGGACUAUUCCCUCCAUUGUAAAAUAAAUCAUAUACCUUGAUAAAAUAAUAGCCAUUGCGCUGAAGCGACUUUAAAGACCUCCAUCAUAAUAUUGAUAAUCAUAAUAAAAAUCCAGCCAUGUUGGCUAUUCAAGAUUUGAAUAAUAUAAUCUUAUCGGUUGACAAGUAGAUCCGAAGUUCAAAUACUCGGCGGCUCUUGGCCGAUGGCGACUUAAUGCGCAUUCAUUGUAAGCCGGAAUUUCAUAACCCGGCGGCUUAUAGCCUUUGAGAAAAUCAAGAAUUGAUAACCCUUUUGAGACACCAAUUUCAAUCUUUGAUGAUGGGCUUGAACUUAAUCAUUUAUGUAAGUUAUAGCUCUGUAAAUCCUGCACAGAGCUUAAACAACAUAUGCCCUGACGACUUAACGUCAAAAGCCAGGGCGGGUAACCAUCCAAAUGUAGUCUUAUCCUGCACACAAGUAGAUCACAAGAACCCUUGGCGGUUUACCGCAGGGCGGGUCAUAAUAUCUCAUAUAUAACCAUUGAUGUGUAACAAGGAGUCACAAAUAAACCUGUUAUGAAUCAUAACUUUGAAACAUAACUAUAAUAAUAAUAUCAUACCUGUGAUAUUGAAUUUUCACUGCCGGUUUAUGUGACCUGUGCAGUAAGGGUGAUAACCCAAUCUUUAGAAAUCAAGACUUCCAAAUGUUUAUGAUUGUCAUAUGAUGGCAAUUUAUCAUCCAAAGUCAAACCGGGUUAAAUAGCAACCACUCAUAUACACUUUAGAUAUGAUCAAAAGAGCUUCAAAUAAAAUCCAAAAAUUGUUUGCAAAAAGAGACUUCAAAAAAUUUGAGGCUUCUGAUUCGAAUACGAUCAAAAAACCGUCCCAAAGGGGUUAAGCUAAGAUUCGAAUACGAUCAUAUAGCCCCCAGUGGCUUUGGCAUUGCCGAUCAAGAGGGUACCGACAGCUAUGUUCUCUUUGGUUCGAAUACGACCUAUGUUUGAACAGGAAGCCCCCAAAUGACCUUGAGAGUUGUUUAACGACACUGAUUCAAAUACGAUCCACGUCGGUUCCCGAAAGGGGUCGAGCUAUGAUUCGGAUACGAUCAAGAAGCCCCCUAGUGAGCUCGGCAGUGUGCCGAUGAAGAGGGUACCGACAGCUAUGUUCUCUUUGGUUCGAAUACGACCUAUGUUUGAACAGGAAGCCCCCUAGUGAUCAUGAGAAUAUUUAACAACUCUGAUUUGAAUACGAUCAGGGUCACACCUAAAUGGUUAAGCUAAAUUCGAAUACGAUCAGCUCCCAAUGGUCAUUAAAGCAGGGUACCUAUGUUUGGGUUGUUCUUUGUAACAGACUCUUUUUGGUCCCUUUAAUUUUUCCUGAGAACUCGAACUUUUGCGAGAGAUAAAUUCUUUUUGAACCGGAAAAACCGGAUAUUGAGAGUUUCAAAGCUUUGUGAUAAACAAAUUUACCUUGAACCGGAUUUUGAACCGGAUUUGAGAGCUUCAAAACUUUGUGGCAGAUAAAUUUCCCUUGAACCGGAUUUUAAUCCGGAUAUUUAAGAGCUUCAGUGCUUUGUGGGAGAUGUCAAGUCUCUUGAGCCGGAUCUAAACCGGAAUCCUUCUUUUUAAGCCGAAAAUUUUCUGAAGGCCUUUAAACUUUUUACCAAUAUGGCGGUAGCCUCCGGGACUGGGUUAUUUUUCCCUCCAAUGACCCGGAGUUCUUGAAUGCAUUGAAACCGACCAAUGUUGCCGAGUCAUAUCAUUGUAGCCCCCGAGUCUCAAGACGACUCGAGGAGUUGGCUUUGAGAUUCUCCAUAUUGACCAUAGCAUAAGGUGUAUAUCAUUGGUGUUGAUAGCGCGAUGUGAAUCCACAGAAGGUUGAGGUGACUGCGGUGGGUUAUAAAUGAUCCUGUAUGAGCCGUGUCAGCAACUCGGCCAACGGUUCCUUCCAACUGGCUGUUUGAAGUUAACCAAACCCGUAGUGGCGGUGACUUGUGCACCUACCCAUUGAGCCAUCCAGUGCAGACGGCGGCUGAUAAGACAUGAUAACUUGCCUCCAAUUUGUUGGAAGAAAACCGGGCUACCCAAGCAGUGACUUGCUCAUACUCAAUAAACAGCUCAUGCAGACAGGUGCGGCCCGGUGUGUUGAUGUAGGCCAGGCCGCGAGAGACGGAUGGUAAAGACGACCGCAACAUCUGAGGCGGCACAGACAGAUGAACCGGCCGUGGCGUUGUAAGCCGGUGCGGACGGGCAAGUCGUCCUCCUUGUUGUAAGCCGGCGUGGUCGCAGAGACGGCCACGGCAUUGUAAGCCGGUGCGGUCGCGAGAGACGGCCAUGGCGUUGUAAGCCGGUGCGGGAGUCCGUUGAGUAACAACGACCACCUGUGCCAAAAGAUGUUGGCGUGCCUCCAUCUCCGCGGUACAAUGUCACUUUUUGUCAUAAAUAAUUGCCCUGCAUAAACAAUGUUGCAGAACAAGGCAAAGAUAAACUUGUUCUUUAACAAAAACAAUAUGUGUUAAUAAAACAAACUUGGAUGAAUAUCACCUGAUUCGCCCGGACAACAGAUGAGUCGGCCGCGGCGCUGUAAGCCGGCGCGGACGGGCGAGUUAAUGUAAACCGGGCCACAGAGGAUGGUGACUUUGCGCAUGUUCAUUCACCGGGCAGUAUGACACGGACGAAACCCCGGUGCAGAACAUUGCCAUCGCUCGCUCCAUACCCGCAAUAUAACACCUCAUUCGCAAUGAACAAUUGUCAUGCAUCAAAAAGUAUUGAAAGCCAAAGUAUUUGUUCUUUUAAAGAAAGCAAUAUGUAAUAUAAAAACAUAUUGGAUGGAUUUCACCUGAUACGUCAGGCCAGUAGUUAUCCACCAUGGAGUUGAUGAUCACCGCGGUGAAGCUGAAAUUAAUCACGGGUGAGCCGACCGCGGCGUUGUAAGCUAGCGCAGAUGGGUGGGUCAAUCGCAGGCGCGGUAAACCGUGUGGACGGGUAAGUCAGCCGAAUUGUGUUGAUGUAGAGUGGACCACAGGGGCGGCGGCUUGAGCGCGUCCGUCGGGCGACUUAUAAGAGCGGGCGCGGCGUUGGAGCCCAGCGCGCGCGGGCGCAGACGGACGAGUCAGCCACAUCGUGGUAGCCGGUGCAGGCGCUUGAGUUGGCCAUGACCCGGUGGCCCUAGGUGCGGCGGCCCAGGGCGCGGGGAGGUUUCAGAGACGGUGUGGCUUAUAGUGGCAGACGAGUGGUGAGCCGGAGCGGGGUGACUUGACCGCAGAGGCAAAACCGGCGAGGCGCGGGCGGGUCAUGGCAGUGGUUUAGAGGCCGGGCGCUGGACGAGGACGACGCAUGCAUCCAAGCUCAGAGCAGGCCGGGACCAGCGAGUUGGCCAGCCGGCGUGGGAACCGGCCGCGGGGAGGAGAUUGGCGCGGCAGGGCGACUCGGCGGGUCGACCCGAGGCGACCAGGUGAGCGAAACCAGGCCGUAGUAGCACCAAAAAUCCUUCUCUGGGUCGUCGUUGACUUGGCUUUUUUUCCCACUGUAACGAAGUACCUGGCUUUCCUUUUCCUGUACGUGUCCGAGCCCGUGUCAGACUAACAGCAGCCAUAUCUUCAAUCUUUGAACAACUCCAAAGCCUUUCUUCUUCUAUUUAAUCCUGGUGAGGAGUAGUACUAGUCUCACGUGAGGAGGUGAAGAUCCAUUGACUUUGGUCCAUGCGCCCACUACUAAUACAAGUAGUAUUUUGCUAAUUUAAUCCCGAUGAGCAGUAUAGCUCUAGUCCUUCACGUGUACAGGUAACACUCCGAACUUGAUCUAGACACGGACAACAGAUCCAUCCCAUCCCGUCGGUCUCGGAGUAGUAACCUGGCAGACAAAUCACCUCGUGUAGAUCUCGUCUCGGACUUGGCAGAUUGAGACGACGUGAUGGCGACGCCGCGACGCACAUAGAUGAAACCCUAAUCCCCUUCGAACUUCAAUCUCAUCCUCCAAAUUUUCAAAAUUAACCAGAAAAAUUAGGAACCCAGCCGGCGGCGAAAUUCCUGAAAAGCUCGGCAACUGUUCCCUUGAGCCGGCGUGGCAACUGUUCCGUCCCGGGUUAUCUUGCGUGAUUGUUCUAUGAUUACUCUUCUUCAUCUGGAAAAUUGCGAGCUUCUCGAUCCCUGAAAGAUCCCUUCAAGAACUCAACACCACCGUGCGCCAGCCCCACGGUGGGCGCCAACUGUCGUGGAAUUGUCACGGCAGAUGUCCUUAGUGUCAGGACUUAGUCGCGAGGCCAACGCAUCUAUGUGGUAGCUUAAGAGGGGUUGAGCGGAAUCGAGAGACGCAACACAAGACAAGGAUUUAGACAGCUUCGGGCCCGAGGAAACAUCAUCCGGUAAUAGCCCUACAUGCUGUUUGUGGCUAGGUCUCAUUAUGCUCAUGAGAGAGUCGCCGGUAAGCCGGCUCUUUGUGUCUAGCCCUAGAGAUUGUUUCUUGCCUGUCCCUCUUGGGGUGCCCUGCCCCUCCUUAUAUAAGUUGAAGGGGCGGGUUACAUGUGGUGUCCUAUUAGGAUUAUGACUAGUCUAUUACAAGUGUAAUCCUAGUCUGCCCUCCUCUUAAACCGGCCCAUCAGAGUAUAAGCUGGCCUGCUGGGCCUUGGGCCUUAUCGUCCGUAUGAUCCGCCCAUCGGGUCUCCAGUGAGUCACAAUGUCUAGGCGGGUUACAUGUAAACCGCCAUGUUCGGGUGGAUCGCCAGUGAGUCGCCAAGCUCCAGUCGGGUCUCUGGUGAGUCGCCAAGUCCGGCCGGGUCAUACCGCGGGGUAUAUCCCCGACAACGGGUACUGAAAAUUUUACUACGCGGGAGUCAAACGCGGGUGUGAAAUGCCGGGGCUAUUGAAAAUUUUGAUGAUGGUGCAUCGCACACGGUCCGGAGAUAACAACCGUGUGUUAUGAAACAAAAAAACCCUCGAGGCUGGCAGAUAUUUUUGAGGGAUGCAGGCGGGAUUGGGAACAAGAAACAUCACACACGGUCGAAACACAAUAACCGUGUGUUAUCAAACAGAAAAAAGUUGCAGGCGGGUAGAUAUUUUUGAGAGGGGAAGCCUCGUGGAUCCCAAUGCACACGGUUAGUUUGAGUGAACCGUGUCUGUUGCGUCAUCCGACUUGUCUAAUGUUCAUAAAUUUGGCGAAAAAUGACGCGGGAGAGGGUCAGAACACGAACACACUUGCAUGUGGACCAAAUUUAUGUAUGAAUAGGGUGGUUGGAUUUUCAAAUACCAAAUGCAACUUCGAUGUGGCACCUAUCUCCCAAAGCGCACGGCAUUGCUUGCCCCCCCUCGUGUCGGCACGAAGGGAAUCCUAAGCUAUGAAUGCAUGCCCCCUCCCCCCAACCGAGGUUCACCUAGCAAAGUGCGAAGUAGCUAGCAGCCCCCCUCGUGUCGGCACGAAGGGAAUCCUAAGCCAUGAAUGCAUGCCCCCUCCCCCCAACCAAGGUUCACCUAGCAAAGUGCGAAGUAGCUAGCAGCCCCCCCUCGUGUCGGCACGAAGGGAAUCCUAAGCUAUGAAUGCAUGCCCCGUCCACCCAACCGAGGUUCACCUAGCAAAGUGCGAAGUAGCUAGCAGCCCCCUGUCGCGGGAUAUCCACGGCCACCUAUGGGACCAGGAGGCCCCUUGCUGGUUCGGCAGGGGGACGUCGCAUGGCACGAAGAGCAGACCAGCGCACAGCAGCACAGCAGAAAGCACACAAGCAAUUUACUCAGGUUCGGGCUGCCGCGAGGCGUAAGACCCUACUGCUGCUUUAGUGGAUUGAUAGUGGAAUGGGGAUGGUGAAACGCAGUACACUCGCCCGGCAAAGGUUGCCGUAGGGCAGCAGCGACUACGCGCAUAUGGUGGUGUGGGUUCGUCAACUUUCCAACCCAACCUACGGGUGCCAUGGGCCUCCUUUUAUAGAUUAAGGGGUCACCACAAUGACAAAGUAGUCAUUAUCCACUGAUAUGAUAGCAAACAGUGUUAUCAUACCUAACUCUGCGGGCUGACAGGGUGCAUUAAAUGCACCGCUUGGUGUCACAUCACUGGUUGCCCGGUGGUUCAAGCCGGUCCUGUGUCGACCUCGCCUCCGAGUCAGCCCCGCAGUUCAUGCCGGUCCUGAGUCGACCUCGCCUCCGCUCUAUCUUCGCCUCCCGCAGUUUCCGGGCGUUCCACAGCUCCGCUGGCGUCGGCCUUGACCCGCUGUCGCAGGGUUGUCCUGGUCUCCCGCGUUCGGCCGCGUCGGCUUGUCGGCCAACUCCAAUCGCCGCUCCAGUCGCGCCCACCUCAGUCUCCGAUCUGAGCCACCGGACGCUUUCGCCUCCGGUGCGCCGAGCCACCCCGAGUCUCCGAUGCCUUCGCCCUUGUGGGCCUACGAACCGCUAUUCGCGCAUGAGCCGCCCAUUGGCCUCUCGAGCCGCGGCGCCGCCGCCCCUGCAGACCCGUGAAGUCGCCUGUUUCCAAAGCGUCCCCGUGGCGUCAUUCUGCUAUAAGCCACAGUCUCCAAGCGCGCCAAUCCGCUCUCGUCGGAGUCGCUUGCAUUUAAACCGCCGUGGCCUGGUGGCAUUAAACCGGAGCGACCUCUGCCUACAUCAAAUCGCCGCUGCUGCUGAGCCGCCGGCCCCGUCGCCAAGUCACCGUCCGCCUCUUGACGGCCGUGCCGUGCACCAUGGUCUUACUUCGCCUUUAUACGAGCCGCCUUGCCGGGUCACCAGGCCCGCUCAUUCUUAUAAACCGGAGCCGCCCUGACUCCGCCGCCCCCAGGCCUCCGUGGCCAUGCUCUGUUCCCAUGGUAGCCGGGUUAAACGGCCGCUUCGUGCGAAAUCAAGUCACUUCACCGAGCCCUCGCGUAAAAACGGCCGAGCUCCGCCGUGCCUCGCGCUGCUUUGAGUCGCCCUCGAGCAGAUUUGCCCGCCGCGGCCUUAUUUUACCAUUGUUCCAUCUCGAGCCGUGAAUGGCCUCCCCGCAGUCGUCUCUGAGUUGCUCUGCCGUCUCGCCGCUCAUUUCCACAGCACCGAUCUUAUCUCUGCAUCGAGCCGCCUUGCUGGGAGCUUCCACGAACCGGCCGGCCACUGCUGACUUAUCCAACCUCUGCUUCAGUCGAGCCGGCUGUCAGGUGGCCUUCACCCGAGCCGCCCGCACGUUAAUCGGUGCCUGCUGCCGCUCCUGUGGGUCGCCCGCGCUGGCCUCCCGCUGGCUCCGCCAUGCCGCGAUGCCCUGCCUUCACCGCUGUUGCCUGCUUGGCCGAUAGCCGUGAUCUCAACUCCCAUCACCACGAGACGCCGGCCGUUUCCUUCUGCUGCUUUACCUCACUGGGUUCUACCCGCGGCCUGGCCUUUCCCCCGUCGGCCUUGCCUUUGCUGAAUCACCGACCCUGCUGCGGCCUUGCUUCCUCGCCCUCGCCUUUCUACCUCUGCACUGCGCCUGCCCUGUUUAUGAGCAUCGUCGGCAUGAGCCGGCUUGGAGCGCUCCUGCUGCAGCCUCAAGUUGCCACCGAGGCCUGCGCUCAAGCUCCUCCUUGCUCCGCCUCUGCGCGCGACCAGCAUGACCGAGAGUUGGAGGAAAAAGAGAUGUAGAGAGAAAAGGGUGUGCUGUUACUCUUGAUGAGGAGAUUAGGCGAGAACGUGUGGAUGAGGAUCACGGGAUAAAGCGAUGAGCUGGGCAGGCCCACAGAGAAACGUGUGUCACCUCAUCGAGCUGAAUGACCAUGGAAAAGUUCAGCCGAGCAAAAGGAAUAGUUUCAAGCGCCUGUGUAUUAUCUUCUGGUUCUGAGGCCGCACUGGAAAAAGUGGUUACUGACCACGUGAUGACCAGAGUCAAAAAAGGACAAAAUGGAUGAAUCAAUUGGAGCUGGUAAUACUUCAUGGAAAGUCAAGUAAUAGCACAUCCAUAUUGCUGGUGCCUUCAUAUAUGAUUUUGGAUCUGCGUAUGGAUCAUCUGUGGUCCGAAUAAAACAGGUGAUAUCCAUCUAAGUCUAUUUUAUUGUCACAUAUUGUUUUUCCAAGAACAAUUACUCUGGUCCGCAAUAUAUUUUUGCAGGACAAUGAUUCAUUAUAAAGGUGGUGCCAUGCUGUGCUUAUGGAGUAUGCGUUAGCAUCGUCAUGCGCCGGUGUCCGCGCUGGCUUGCCGUUGCACAAGUGUGUGCAAACCGCCGCCCGUGCAGCUUGAUCUACAUCAACUCGCCGGGACUGUGCCUGCGAUUGACUCGCUCGUCCGCACCGGCUUAUGAUGUCGCGGCCGACUCAUUUGUCUGCUCCCACGGUCGACCCGCCCAUGAUUGAUUUCAGCUUCACCGUCGUGAUCAUCAAUUCCACAAUGGAUAAUUUCUGACAUAACAUAUCAGGUAAAAUCCAUCCAGUAUAUUUUUUAGAUUAUAUAUAUUGCUUUCUUUAAAAGAGCAAUUACUCCGGCUUGCAAAGUUAUCUAAUGCAGGACCCUAAACCGCCAUAUUGGUGCACAUUUAAAGGCCGUCAGAAAAUUUCUGGCUUAAAAAGAAGGAUUCCGGUUGAAAUCCGGUUCAAGGGAAAGCUGUCUCCCACAAAGCUUUGAAGCUCUCAAUAUCCGAUUUAAGCAUUUCCGGUUCAAAAGAAUAAUCUCUCGCAAGUUUGAGUUCUCAGAAAAAUUAAAGGUUGCCAAAGAGAACUUGUUGCCAUGAUGCGCGGUUCAAACAUGGGUAUCCUACCUUAUUGGCUUAUCAUAUUAUUGAUCACAUGGGGGCUGCCUGCUCAUUGAGCGAAGUUAUGAUUACCCUUUGAUCUGGCGUAUACGCCAUGCUUACAAAACACUUGGGGGGCUAAUGCGGUUUAGCAUCCGGUUCAAGACCAUCUAUAUCCGGUUUAACAUCCGGUUCAAGCAGAAAUAUCUCUCGCAAAGUUCGAGUUCUCAGAAAAGUUAAAGGGACCAAAGAGAGUCUGUUGCAAAAGCACAACUCAAAAAUAGGUUCCCCCUGAGCACAGCUCAAAAUAUUGCUUGGGGGCUCUUUUGUUCUAAAGAACAAAGAGUUUAUAACCUUGUGAUAGGCUAUAAAAGCCAGGCUUGGAAACCAGGUGUAUUCACCUAAAACCCCGGGUUAUCCUGCCUUUUUAAGUAAGUCACUCCGCUCAGGUAAUCCUGGAAAGACCCGUCGAACGUUUGACAAGUCAAUCUUAUACAGACCCUGUACUUGUCAAAGUUAAAAUGAUGAUUGGUUAAUGUGAGGUCCAUCUUAUAAGGUUUGUAAAACGGUUUAACUCAGUGGCCUGGCAACCCAUGAAAAGCCUCGUUUUGGGCCUGGCAGCCCAUGAAAAGCCUCGCUUCUUGUAUGUUUUUCGCAAAUUCUUUCUUUUUGAGGUUUAUUUGAUAAGACUUAUAAAGUUUUAUGAUUAUAAUUCACCGGUGUUUAUUGACCCGGCCUGCUUUUUGACUAUAAGUCGCCAGUAUGAGAUAAGAUAAUAUCCGGUGUUUAUUAACCCGACCUGGCUUUUGACUAUAAGUCGCCAGUAUAUAUUUGGAUUGAGCCAUUGGAAUCAUGCGCUUAUAAAUCAUUGGGUAUAUUAUUCAAAUCUUUAAUAGCCAACAUGGCUGGAUUUUUUUAUUAUGGUUAUCAAUAACCAGUAUUAUGAUGGAGCUUUUCAAAGUCGCUUCAGCGCAAUGGAUAUUAUUUUAUCAAUGGAUAUAAUUUAUUCUAUAAUGGAAGGAAUAGUCCCGAGUCACUGCAGGCUUACAAUCCGGCACUUGGAGGCUACAUUAUUCAAGUUGAGAUUACAUCAAAUAUGCAAGUCUCAUGUCGCUGCAAGCAUGCACCAUGACACUUGGGGGCUAAUGCAAAGUCAUUUUUACUAGCCUUAUUGAAGACCCGACUCAUCACAUCAUAAUAGCCGGCCCUUGGGGGCUACCAAUUGCUCCUGUCAACAAUUCAAGGUACACAAGUUAAAUCCAUUUUAUUGAAGGGUCCAUUGCUCAGUUGAUAAAGCACAAAGCUCUUAACCUUGUGGACAUGGGUUCAAGCCUUACGAUGGAGGCUACAUUAUAAGAUGUUAUUUUCAUUGAAAUAUAUAUCAAGUCCCAGCUUAGUAUUACCUUAAUGACCCGGCCCUUGGGGGCUACACAUCACUGCUCAAAUCUACAUGAUUAUAUUUACAAAGUCCCUCCUCAUUAUUGCAUAAUGACCCGGCCCUUGGGGGCUACACUGGUUGAAGUUUUUAUGAGCAUAAGGCAAUUUCAAGUCCCAGGUUGCUGCAAGCAUGACAACCUGGCACUUGGGGGCUACAUAUGUGGAAUACUCAGUUUAUGACUCAUGACUGAGAUGAACAAAUCGGAUGUUUUCAAGGUUGUGACAUUUAUAUUGAAGCAAGUCUUAAAGCUGUUGCUACGCUACCUUCUUAAGACUUGGGGGCUACAAGUGAUAGGCAUAUAAGAGGUAUAUUUUCAAGCUUGAUGUUAACUACAAUUAUGACCCGGUGCCAUCAAUAUAUGAUAAACCGGCAAUUUUGGCAAUGAUAAACCGGCAAGUUCUACAUCCUCAAGCUGGUUGAAGAUCAGAUGAGUAUUUCAAAGACUGGCAAUUUUGGCAAUGAUAAACCGGCAAUUUUGGCAAUGAUAAACCGGCAAGUUCUACAUCCUCAAACCGGCAAGUUCUACAUCCUCAACCAAUAUUUUUGUUAAGCAUUGGGAGCUGAGUCAAAUGAAUUAUUCUUCAUAAUAUUUAUCUGUGACAAACCAAUGUCAGCAAAUUGAUUAUGAAGCUGGCCUAUUGAACCGGAUUUUCUAGAAGAAGGAAAUGACAAGGACUUAAGGAUGAUCAAGAUCAGUUUAACAUGGAUAAAUCCAAAUUAAACUGGGGGCUAAUGUCGGGGAUAUACCCCGCGGUAUGACCCGGCCGGAGUUAUAACCCGGCUGGGACUUGGUAAAUCGGCAGACAGUUAAGGCAGACAGUUAAGACAGACAGUUAAGACAGAUGGCUAAGCCAGACAGUAAACCGACAGGUGGUAAACCGGCAGACAGUUAACCCAGAUGAUAACCCGACGGAUGUUAAGUCAGAUGAUAACCCGGCAGAUGUUAAGUCAGAUCAUAACCCGACAGAUAGUCAUAACCCGGCAGACAAUCAUAACCCGAAAGACAGUCAUAACCCGGCAGAGAGUCAUAACCCAGUAGACAGAGUCGCCUGGGGUUAACAAACCCGAGACGUUAAGAAGCCCAAGAUGUUAAGAAGCCCAUGAAGAGAAGUCAAAAUAGUUUAAGUCUUAAUCCGAGUUGGACUCUACAUGUAACCCGCCCCUUCCACUUAUAUAAGGAGGGGCAGGGCACCCCAAGAGGGAGAGGAAUAAUCUUAAGGGUUAGACACAACUAGGAGAGCCGGUUUACGGCGACUCCCUCGUGAUGAUAAUGAGACCUAGCCACAAACAGCAUGUAGGGCUAUUACCGGAUGAUGUUUCCCGGGGCCCGAAGCUGUCUAAACCCUUGUCUUGUGCAUUGAUCCAUCUCGCGUCUCUCAUCCUAAUCAACCCCUCUCAAGCUACCACAUAGAUGCGUUGGCCUCACGACUAAGUCCUCACACUAGGACAUCGACUAUUCCACGACAGAUGGGCUCUUUCCCCUUAGAAGAGCCGGAGAGGGUGCCCUCCUCGUGGUCGUCGUCGAUGAGGUCUGACUUGGAAGCUGUGGAUCCCAAGCCAGCGUCGCAGAACGUGUCCUUUAGGAAUGACAAAAGGGGCUCGAUGGUGAUGUAGGAUGGCAAAUUGUUGACAGCGAGCCAGAGGAGAUCAGCGGCGAGGCCAUGGAUGAGAUCGACACGGUUGAACCCGAGGGGUUGGGGUGGGCCACUUAACCUGUGACAUAGCCCGCCUCAGGCCGUCGUUGUCGAUGACCUUGAUGUCGUAGCCGGCAGCCGAGACAAGCCCGCAUACUCUAGCCCGCUGCUUGGGUGCCUACCGCCAGUAAUGGUCGUCAACUUCCUCGGCGAUGUCGGGCGAAGAGACCACGAUACACCUCUUUUGGGCCAGUCACUCCUCGAGCUCCACGGGAAGCGUAGCCGAGCUUAGGCUGCGAUGCUCUGGAGUGGGGGAUGGGGAUGGGGAGCUGUGGGAAAGGGGGCGUUUGGCAGGCGUCAUCUAAGAAACUCAGGGUGGCCUGGGCAUGGAUAUCGGUGGGUAAGCUGCAUAGGCAAACCGGCAAAUGUUGACAAUCGAGGCCUUGCGGCGGCGGGGGGUGGGGGACCUUGCUAGGGUUUCGAGCGAGGGAGGGGGUGUGUGCGCGCGCACGACCGAGGAGUUGAGGGGGGUUUGUGUUUGAGGAAAUGACACAGGUACUGAAAAUUUUACUACGCGGGAGUCAAACGCGGGUGUGAAAUGCCGGGGCUAUCGAAAAUUUUGAUGAUGGUGCAUCGCACACGGCCGGAGAUAACAACCGUGUGUUAUGAAACAAAAAAACCCUCGAGGCUGGCAGAUAUUUUUGAGGGAUGCAGGCGGGAUUGGGAACAAGAAACAUCACACACGGUCGAAACACAAUAACCGUGUGUUAUCAAACAGAAAAAACUUGCAGGCGAGUAGAUAUUUUUGAGAGGGGAAGCCUCGUGGAUCCCAAUGCACACGGUUAGUUUAAGUGAACCGUGUCUGUUGCGUCAUCUGACUUGUCUAAUGUUCAUAAAUUUGGCAAAAAAUGACGCGGGAGAGGGUCAGAACACGAACACACUUGCAUGUGGACCAAAUUUAUGUAUGAAAAGGGUGGUUUGAUUUUCAAAUACCAAAUGCAACUUCGAUGUGGCACCUAUCUCCCAAAGCGCACGACAUUGCUUGCCCCCUCGUGUCAGCACGAAGGGAAUCCUAAGCUAUGAAUGCAUGCCCCCUCCCCCCCAACCGAGGUUCACCUAGCAAAGUGAGAAGUAGCUAGCAGCCCCCGCUCGUGUCGGCACGAAGGGAAUCCUAAGCUAUGAAUGCAUGCCCCCUCCCCCCAACCGAGGUUCACCUAGCAAAGUGCGAAGUAGCUAGCAGCCCCCUCGUGUCGGCACGAAGGGAAUCCUAAGGUAUGAAUGCAUGCCCGCUUCCACCCAACCAACGUUCACCUAGCAAAGUGCGAAGUAGCUAGCAACCCCCGUGUCGCGGGAUAUCCACGGCCACCUAUGGGACCAGGAGGCCCCUUGCUGGUUCGGCAGGGGGACGUCGCAUUGCACAAAGAGCAGACCAGCGCACGGCAGCACGGCAGAGAGCACACAAGCAAUUUACCCAGGUUCGGACCGCCGCGAGGCGUAAGACCCUACUCCUGCUUUAGUGGAUUGAUAGUGGAAUGGGGAUGGUGAAACGCAGUACAAUCGCCAGGCAGAGGUUGCCGUAGGGCAGCAGCGACUACGUGCGUAUGGGGGUGUGGGUUCGUCAACUUUCCAACCCAACCUACGAGUGCCAUGGGCCUCCUUUUAUAGAUUAAGGGGUCACCACAAUGGCAAAGUAGUCAUUAUCCACUAAUAUGAUAGCAAACAGUGUUAUCAUACCUAACUCUGCGGGCUGACAGGGUGCAUUAAAUGCACCGCUUAGUGUCACAUCACUGGUUGCCCGGCAAGGCUUGUCGGGCUAUCUUGCCAGCUUCGCGCCUGUUCCCUUGACACGUCGCAGGACGGGUGUCAUCUGUCGGUAUCUUCUGUAGGAAAUGGUUGCCAUGUGGCGAAUGGCUGCCAAUUAAUCAUCUUGCGGCUUGACACCGCACUGAUUGACGACGUGGGUCAUGCUUGAGUGGUUGGUGGGGUGGUUCUGCCCCCGCGAGCCCUGACAGACCUUGCCGGGGUGCCUUGGUUGCCUGCUCCUGCGGUGGCCUCACCCCUUGCCAGGCUCGCCUGCCCGGCAUGGGAGGCCCUUCUCUUGUUGAUAGCUUGCUCCUCGGGCUUGAUCCUGGUUCCUUUGAACUACAUGUUGGUUCUUCAAAUCUCUUGGUUCUUCAAUCUCUGACUUAAGUUGGUGUCUUAAUCUUGUUCUUGUGCCCGUGCACAGUUAGGGCAACGGACCCAGGGUUUGUUGCACUAACAGAAGCCCCCGGGCCUGCCCUGAACACGCUACUGAGCGUCGUCGGGGUAGGGCCUAAUAAGUGCAAUGGGCAGGGUUGCUGAAGGGGUUGGCCCCUUGAGGUUUCCAUUGCUGCUUCAUUAGCCUUGAUUUCGGGCCAGUUUCUGAUUUUUUCUGCGCAUUGUGCGCUGCGUCAUGGAAGAACUUGGAUCGUGGCCCGCGGAUUCUCUUCGCCCCACGAUCACGGGGCGGAAACUGCCACCCCACUCGCCCCGUUCCGCAUGCACCUUGCCACGUGUCCCGCAUGCAUUGGGCGUGGUAGGUGGUGGAUGCGGAGGACCCACGUGUACAGCCUGGUCGAUGGUUGGAGCAGAGGGGCGGCCUCGACCCCCAGAGUCAUGGUGGGUGCAGAGAGGCCGCAUUGGAGGAGGGGUGGGCCGUCUCCCGUAUGAGGAGCCAGCCCUCUGCCCCAUUUCCCUAUAAAAAGGAGUCGAGGCAGCGCUCCUUUGCACACACCUCUCCUUCUUCUCCGUGAUCCUUCUCUUCUAGUCAUGGUGCGAGGGCGAGGGCGCGGCGAUGCUCCGGCAGCGGCGACGAGGGCUUCUGCUCGACAACGCGCCCCUCCUCCCCUGGACCCCGAGGCAGCGAAACCAUCCGCAAGUAGAGGAGGAAGGGGACGUGGCCGUGGUCGCCGUGGUGCUCGAGGAGGAGGAGGGCGGGGCUGUGCCUUGGUGGCGCCCCCGCCGGCGGCUCCUCCCCCGAUGGAAGGCCACGUUGGCGACCAACCCUGGGAGUUCAUCAUCAGGCUGUACAAGCCCGUGUGUGGUAACCUUCGCCUCCCAACUCCCUUCGCGCGGGAGAUGGAUCUCGAGCAACCAGGCGCUCUGCGGCUGCACAUGAGGGGCUGCGGGAAUGGAGGUAUGAGGGUUGAUGUCGACUUCCCCGCCCCUCAUGUGAUGUAUCUCCGUCGUGGUUGGAAGACCUUUGCCCGUGCCCAUGACUUCUCGGAGGGGCACGUUCUCCAGUUCAAAUUAAUGGAGAACGGCCUGCUCUCCGUCAAGAUCUUCGGGCGCUCGGGUGGUCGCUUAGGGUGCUGCACGGAGAGCUCAACCGAUGAUGAAAGCUCUUCCUCGAGCGAAAGCGACAAGGAGGACAGUGACGGCGAUGACGAUGGCAGCGGGCGGAGGAGCGACGACUCUGACUUCGGCUGAUCGUCGCCCGCACCAUCUUCAUCACGCGGGAGCACCAUCAUUUGCAUCCGCGUCUCCUCCCCAGCAAUGUGAUUUGCCGGGGAGUUGGAUGAAGAGGUGUGGAUGGUGCUGCCGGGCUCCUCCAGCAGUCUUCCAGCUAGACCCCGGUAGGCUUCCUCUCGGGCUGCAGCUCCGUUAGCCCUGCCGAGUCCUGCUGGCCCUGGUGACGGUGGUUGACGGGGCCGCCUUCCUCCGUGCUCUCCAUCGAGGCGUUCCCUCACGCUUCUGUUCCCUCCGGGCUACCUCUCCUGGAGCCCGAUGAAAGUGGGCUGGGCCUCCGCCCAGGCGCUCCUUUUGCCCUCCUCGCCUUCGACGGCUGUGCCUAGGAGGAGAGGGACAAGAAAGGGCAUUACAGAGCACUUAUCUUUUUUCAAUCUUAAACUUGUAGGCAAUCGCCAAAUUUUAAUUCAAAUAAUGUAAUCUCUCGAGUCCAUCUUUGUGUUCUGUAAUGCUUGUACUUGUAUCAGCAUAUGAAUGAAAAAGAUGAACCUUGUCGGGAACCCGUGCAUGUGUAUGUCCAUGCAGAGGUGGAGUGCCUCUUUAAUGAAAAUAAACGAGUUUUCCCCGACGAGAUAUCCUGCCGGCACCCUCUUUGUCUGCCGGAGAGCUACGUCUGCCGGGGAACAGAUAGAGGGGCCAGCCCCCCGCCAGCUCCUUUUCACUAAAGGCCACUGCAGCCAUCCUGACUGAAGCAACGUUCGAGUCAUGGAUGGGAGCACCUAAGUUUCAAGAGAGAGGCGAGGUUUUCUCAUGCAAAGUUAUAGCUUUACAGAACACUAAUGGACAAGAGGUAAAACUUAUCUAUUUGGCUUGCCGGGGAUCGCUGUGUCGUGCAAUCUUCUCGUCCCUUGUCGAAGCCAAGUUCACGGCAGGAACCUGCAACUCCAUGUAGAUGAGAACAAAUGCAGGAUGCAAUCCUAUCUAUAUGCAUAUGCAAAUUCUCAUGAAAUGCUUAUGCAGUGAUCAUGGUGUGCUCAUGCAUGCAUGCAGUCUUAGUUGGGGCCCUCCUACAGCGCUUCUUUAUUUUCUCUUGCACGGGGUCAUCGCCCCGGCUUUGUACAAGGGGUUACAUGCAGCUGAGGCAAGGCCUGUACAAAAGGGUGGCUGUCGGGCACUCGCGCCUUAUGGGUAGUACUUGCGGAAAUGCUCAAUAUUCCAUGAGUUUUGCAACUGAGUGCCAUCUCCGGUCUCCGAACGGACUGCGCCAGGUGUGGUGACUCAUACCACCCGGUAAAGGCCUUCCCACUUUGGUGACAGCUUGUUUGUACCCUUGGCGGACUGAACGCGCCUAAGGACAAGGUCACCUUCCUCAAAACACCGGGCAUGAACCCUGCGGUUGUGAUAGCGACGCAGGGCUUGCUGGUAGCAUGCAGCACGCGUAGCAGCCCGGAGAUGGUUCUCCUCGAGUAGCACAACGUUUUCACGCCGGUGCUGAUCUUGCGCUACUUCAUCGUAUGCAAGCACUCGAGGGGACCCGUAAAUGAGUUCCGUGGGGAUAACUGCUUCUGCCCCGUAGACCAGGGAGAAGGGAGUAUGCCCGGUAGCUCGGUUAGGUGUCGUUCUGAGGGACCAGAGAACUACCAGCAGCUCCUCGAUCCACCGCAUGACGUGCUUCUAUAGCAUAUUGAAAGUUCUUGUCUUGAGUCCACGUAGCACUUUAGCGUUCGACCUCUCAGCUUGUCCAUUGCUCCGGGGGUGUGCCACAGACGCGAAUGAGAUCUUGCAUCUGAGGGCAUGAACAUAUUGCAUGAAGGCGUGGCUCAUGAAUUGGGUGCCGUUGUCGGUGAUGAUCCUUGCCGGAACUCCAAAACGACACACCAAUUCUUUCAAGAACAUGAUAGGUGACUGGGCAGUCACCUUUCUCACGGCAGUCACUUUCGGCCACUUUGUAAACUUGUCGAUGGCGACGAACAAGAAUUCAAAGCCCCUGAUUGCUCGGGGGAAGGGGCCGAGGAUAUCGAGCCCCCAGACCGAAAAUGGCCAUGAUAAAGGGAUUGUCUGAAGGGCUUGGGCAGGCAGGUGUGUUCUCUUGGAAUGGAACUGACAGGCUUCACAUCUCGUGACGAGCUCGAUCGCAUCUUGGAGGGCUGUGGGCCAAUAGAAUCCUUGCCGGAAUGCUUUCCCAACUAAUGCCCUUUAUCCAAUGUGUGAGCCGCACAUUCCUCUAGGAAUCUCAGCCAGCAGUUCCUUUCCAUCCUCCCGGCAGACACACUUCAAUUUCACACCGUUGGGCCUCCUUCUGUACAGAGUGUCAUCGGCAAACUGAUACAUACUGGCCCUCCGGGAUACUUUCUCAGCUUCAUCUUGGUCGCCAGGAAGUUCUCCGGUUUGGAGGAAGCGGGCGAUGUGCCUAGCCCAAGUUGGAGCUUGGGGCUCGGCAACGAGGACUAGCAGCACCUCCUCUGCUGCGGGAGCACCAGCCUCGUCCGCGGGGUCCAUGGGCCCGGCUGGAGGGGGUGGUCCGGCAGGUUGUGAGGAGUUGUUUCCGGUAGGGCCUCUGCCGGGAGUGGACGGCUCGACCGGGAGAGGCUUACCGUAGUCCAACUUUCUCCUUUUCCCGGCCAUUGUGGCUGGUGAUAUGGAGGGCUAAGAGAGACGGAGAACAAAAGUUCUUGGUUCCACAGGAAGCUUCUGCGCAACACACUUUGAUAGGUGAUCAGCUAUGUUGUUUUUCGCAUGGGGUACGUGCUCUGUUUGCAACCCGUCAAAGUCCUCCUCCAAUCUCCUCACUUCCUCGAUGUAUGCUUCCAUCACCGGGCUUUGAUAAUCCUUGUUGACUUGUCUCACCACAAGUUGUGAAUCUCCUCGUAUGAUCAACUUCUUGAUUCCCAAUUCUGCUGCAAUUCUGAGCCCGACAAGGAUCCCUUCAUACUCAGCUGUAUUAUUGGUGGCUUCUUCCCGGGGAAAGUGCAUUUGGACGAUGUAUUUCAAGUGCUCCCCGGAGGGGGCAAACAAGAAGCACGCUAGCCCCUGCACCUUGUAGGGAAAAAGCACUAUCUAAAUACAUAAUCCAUUCUUGGGGUGAUUCCUUGCCGGGUAUAGCUGUCUCUGUUACUUCCUCAUCAGGGGUUGGCGUCCAUUCUGCAAUAAACUCUGCCAGCGCCCUGCUCUGAAUAGUUGAUGUGCUCUCAAACUUCAAACCAAAGCUGGAUAACUCCAAAGCCCACUCCACUAUUCUGUCGGUAGCCUCAGGGUUUCGGAGUAUCCUUUGCAACGGAAAACGAGUGACAACCAUGAUCUCAUGGGCUUGGAAGUAGUGGCGCAGUUUCCUUGAGGCCAUAAUGAGACCAAAGAUCAACUUUUGCACUCUAGAGUACCUCGAUCUAGCUCCCUGUAACAAGGAGCUAACAAAGUACACUGGGCACUGCACCACUUCUUUGUCGCGUCCUUGGGGUUGCUCUCGUUGUCGUGCUCAUUGUUGUUGUGAUCCUUUUCUGACUCUGCCGUUAUCUGUCCACUUUCUGCCUCAUCCACUUCUCGCUGUGCUACCAAGGCCGCACUGACCACUUGGUUGGUUGCCGUCAAAUAUAGCAACAACGACUCUUGGGGUUUGGGUGCAACCAGGGUAGGCACAGAUGAUAGGUAGGCCUUCAACUCUUGCAGAGCUGCUUCUACUUCCGGGGUCCACUUCAUAGGCCUUGCCUUCUUCAAAAUUUUAAAGAACGGGAGGGCACGCUUGGCAGACUUGGAAAUGAAUCUACUUAGCGCCGCAACGCAUCUCGUCAAGCGCCUCACAUCCUUAACUCUCCUUGGUGUUUGGAUCUGUUCGAUAGCUUUGAUCUUGUCGGGGUUAGCUUCAAUCCCCCGAUGGGAUACGAAGAAACCAAGCAGCUUGCCAGAGGGGACACUAAACACACACUUCUCCGGGUUAAGCUUCAAAUUGAUCUUGCGCAGAUUGGCAAAUGUCUCUUCCAAAUCUUGGAUAAGAGUGGUCUUAUCCUUGGUUUUGACCAUGAUAUCAUCCGUAUAAGCUUCUAUGUUUCUGUGUAACUGUGGCUCAAAACCAAUCUGAACUGCCCUUGCAAAAGUGGACCCGGCACUCUUUAGUCCGAAUGGCAUGCGGACAAAUGAUGUCUACUACGCAACUUUAUUCUUGUAGACACGUGUUGGGCCUCCAAGCACAGAGUUUUGUAGGACAGUAGCAAUUUUCCCUCAAGUGGAUGACCUAAGGUUUAUCAAUCCGUGAGAGGUGUAGGAUGAAGAUGGUCUCUCUCAAACGACCCUGCAACCAAAUACAAGAAAUCUCUUGUCUCCCCAACACACCCAAUACAAUGGCAAAUUGUAUAGGUGCACUAGUUCGGCGAAUAUAUGGUGAUAAAAGUGUAAUAUGGAUGGUAGAAAUAUAUUUUUAUAAUCUGAAUAAAUAAAAAUAGCAAGGUAGCAAUUAGUAAACAGGCACAAAAACGGUGUUGCAAUGCUUGAAAACAAGGCCUAGGGUUCGUACUUUCGCUAGUGCAAUCUCUCAACAGUGCUAACAUAGUUGGAUCAUAUGAUUAUCCCCCAAAGUGUAACGAAGAAUCAAUCCCGACUUCCUAUUAGCGGAGAACAAAAGAUAGGAAUUGUUUGUAGGGUACUAAGCCACCUCAAAGCUAUUCUUUCCAUUCGAUCUAUUCAAGAGUCCGUACUAAAAUAACACAAAGCUAUUUUUUCCAUUCGAUCUAUCCUAGAGUCCGUACUAAGAUAACACCAAAUUAACUUCAUAUUCAUAAUACUCAAUCCACACAAAGAACAAUAAAGAGACCCCAAAGUUUCCGUCGGAGAAAAGAUAAUAAAAACGUGCAUCAACCCCUAUGUGUAGAUUACCCCAAUAUCACCGCGAGAAUCCGCGAGUUGAAUGCCAUAACAUAUAUCUAGUGAAUCAAUAAGAUACCCCAAUUGUCACCUCAACUAUUCAUACCACAAGACAUAUAUCAUGUGUUCUCAUCUCUGAAUAUUCAGUCCGAUAAGACAAAACUUCAAAGGGUAAAGACUCAAUUCAUAACAACAAGAGUAUAGCGGGGAGAAACAUCAUAUGAUCCGAAUAUAUUAACAAAGCCCAUGAUAUAGAUCACGAGAGAGUGAGAGAGAGAGAGAUCUAACACAUUGCUACUGGUACAAACCCUCAACCCCGAGGGUGGACUACUCCCUCCUCAUCAUGGUGGCCGCCGGGAUGAUGAAGAUGGCCACCGGAGAUGAUUCCCCCCUCCGACAGGGUGCCAGAACGGGUCUAGAUUGGUUUUCGGUGGGUACAGAGCCAUGCGGCGGUGGAACUUCUGAUCUAGGUUAACACCGAAGGGUUUCGGAAUAUUUGGGAAUUUAUAGCGCAAAGAAGGGGUGCGGGAGGCCACCGAGGUGGGCACAACCCAACUAGGCGCGCCAGGUGGGCCUGGCGCGCCCUGGUGGGUUGUGCCCCCCUCAGGGCACCCCCAGGUGCUGCUCUGGCCCAAUGGGUGUUCCUGGCCCAUAAAAAAUCUCCGUGGAGUUUCGCGGUGUUUGGACUCCGUUUGAUAUUGAUUUCCUGCGGUGUAAAAAACAAGCAAAAAACAUCAACUGGCACUGGGCACUGGAUCAAUAGGUUAGUCCCAAAAAAUGAUAUAAAGUUGCUAUAAAAUGAUUGUAAAACACCCAAGAAUGAUAAAAUAACAACAUGAAUACUUCAUAAAUUAUAGAUACGUUGGAGACGUAUCAACAUCCCCAAGCUUAAUUCCUGCUCGUCCCCGAGUAGGUAAAUGAUAAAAGAGAUAAUUUAUGAAGUGUGAAUGCUAGCAAAGUGCAUAAGUUUGAUCAAUGAUAAUUUCAAUCACUUUUCCUAGCAUCAUAACAUCAAUUCUUUCUUAUAAAACUUCUCAUCUUAUAGUAGCAACCAAUUCACAUGUUAAGGUUCAAACAAUGAACUCUCUUGAAACUCAACAACCUAUGUUCUUAGUCACCAAGCAAUUGCAAUUCAACUUAUUCAACAGAGUUUAAGUAAGAGCUCCACAUACUCAACUAUCAUAUAGUCCUCUAUGAUUGCUAACACUCACCACAUACACAUGAGCAAAAUGUUUCAACCGGACACAUAGAAAGAUAAGGGCUUAUUGUUUUGCCUACCAACGUAUUAACCUCAAGGGUGAUGUCAACAAUAAUAACUCAUGCUACCCAUAUUCAACUGGACAUAUGUGCCUAGAUCUUUCCUCACCACAUGAUGCUUGUCAAAAGAGAAAAAUAAAAAGGAAUAGAGAGAAAAACUUUGACUCUUGCAUGAAAGUAAAUACAUAAAAGUAAAAGAUAGGCCCUUCGACAAGGGAAGUAGGGAUUUGUAGAGGUGCCAGAGCUCAAAGCGAAAAUUGAGAGAUAAAAACAUUUUGAGAGGCAUACUUUUCCCACUAACGAAAACGACUUAGAGCUCCCAACACUUUCCAUGCUAGAUAUAUCAUAGGCGGUUCCCAAACAGAAAAUAAAUUUUAUUCCUUUUUCCACCAUACUUUCACUUUCCAUGGCUAGCCGUAUCCACGGGUGCCCUCCAUACCAACACUUUCCAAGGAAUUUAUUAUUUGACAACAUAAAGUAAAUUCAUUUUUCAUUUCGGGACUGGGCAUCCCUAAUACCUUUCCCUUACUCUCGUGCAAUGACAAGUGAAUAAACACUCAUCGUGAGAAUAACACAUCUAGCAUGGAAAAUAUUGGCCACCCCUCACCGCCUCGCGACCGGUACGAGCACACAAAAGAGAAAUUUAUGUUUGAAAAUUAGAGAUGGCACAUACAAAUUUGCUUAGAAUGGCACGGAAAUACCGCAUAUAGGUAGGUAUGGUGGACUCUUGAAAAUAAGAUUUGGGUUUAAGGGUUUUUGGAUGCACAAGUAGUAUCUCUACUUAGUGCGGAAUUUUUGGCUAGCAAAGAUAGGGGGAAAGCACAACAUGUUUAAGGAUCUAUGACAAUAUGACUUCUAUGUGAAUAUGAACAAACAUAAACCAUUACGUUGUCUUCCUUGUCCAACAUCAACAAUUUUGGCAUAUAAUAUUUUGAUGGGGGCUCACAAUCACAAAAGAUUUCCAUGAUAGUGUAUUUAUAUGUGAAAGUUCUCGUCCUUAUACUAAUUAUUUGUGAAUUGCUUGUAUGACGAAAAUUGUGAUUGUCAAGCCUAAAAAGGUUUCAUUUUCUAAACCCAAUGUGAAGCUACCACUAGGCAUGAUAUGAUUUCAACUUCAUGACAUUCAGUUUAUUCAGCAAUUUACUCAUAGGAUAUAAGUGAAGCACAAGAGUAAAUGACAAGCUACUCCAAAAAGAUAUAAGUGAAGAUCAAAUGAGUAGUUAAGUAAAUAGAUAGCUAUGUGAGGACUCUGUCUUAUUUAAAACUUCCAGAUCUAAGUAAAGUAUUUUAUUAAAACAACAAGUAAAACAAAAAUAAAAUGACAUUCUAAGAAUAGCACAACUCAUGUGGAGAAGCAAAAACUUAGGCUCAACCGAUACUAACCGAUAAUUGUUGAAGAAGAAAGGUGGGAUGCUUACCGGGGCAUCCCCAAGCUUAGAUGCUUGAGACUUAUUGAAAUAUUAUCUUGGGGUGCCUUGGGCAUCCCCAAGAUUGAGAUUUUGUGUCUCCUUAAUUCCUCUCAUAUCACGGUUUUCCUAAAUCUCAAAAGCUUCAUCCACACAAAACUCAACAAGAACUCGUGAGAUAAGUUAGUAUAAACCAAUGCAAAACCCUUAUCAUUCUCUACUGUAUCAAAUCAGUAAAAUUAUUAUUCAACAUUGCAUACUAAAUGCCUCUGCAUAUUUAAUACUCCUAUCCUCAAAUAAAAUCAUUAAAUAAGCAAACAUAUGCAAACAACGCGAACAUAACAGCAAUCUGCCAAAACAGUACAGUCUGUAAACAAUGCAAUAGUAUCAAUACUUAUUCAACUCCAAACAUUAUGCUACCACACUGUAGAAAAUUUAUCAUAGCUUAUUAUUCAAGAAGUUUCAACAUUUUAUCACAUUCUUACUUUUCUAGGGAAUUUUUGCAACAGCGGUGAACUUUCUGUUUUCAAACAGCAACAUGUAUACUUGCAAGAUAAGCAUGACAAAGGCUAUCAAUGCCACUUUUAUUGAAAUAAAAGAUGCAAAACAUUAUUAUAAAUAACAACAAGCAAAUCCUAACAAAAUAAAUUGACGCUCCAAGUAAACACAUAUCAUGUGACGAAUGAAAACAUAGCUCCAAGUGAGGUUACCGAUAAUGUUGGAGACGAAAGAGGGGAUGCCUUCCGGGGCAUCCCCAAGCUUAGUUGCUUGGAUCUUCCUUGGAUAUUAACUUGGGGUGCCUUGGGCAUCCCCAAGCUUACGCCUUUCACUCCUUAUUUUCCUCAUAUCGACAUCUCACCUAAAACUUGAGAACUUGAAUCACACAAAACCUAACGGAACUUCGUGAGAUAGGUUAGUAUGAUAAAGAGCAAACCAUUUCACUUUGGUACUGUCAAAGACAAGAUUCAUAAUUAUUUCCACACAAUGACUACUGUAGCAUAUCAUUUCCACAAUUUAUAUUGAGAAAUAUAAGCCAUAGAAACUAGAAAACAAGCAAACUAUGCAUUGAAAACAGAAUAUGUCAAAAACAGAACAGGCUGUAAUGAUCUGGAUAACUACCAUACUUCUGCUACUCAAAAAAUUAUGAAACAAAUUGUACUACGUGAUAAAUAUGUAACCCAAAAAAACCAUUCCUUUUGGGUCGCACAACCAAAAAAUUAUUCGUGUUAAACUUCUGCAAAAAGAAUCAACUCAAAAGCACUCUUCUGUUAAAAACUAGAAUUAUAUUCGUGAGUGCAAAAGUUUCAUUUUUUCAGCAAGACCAAAUCAACUAUCACCCAACAUGAUCCCAAAGGCUUUACUUGGCACUUUAUUGAAACAAAAGCAAUAAAACAUGAUUACUACAGUAGCAUAAGCAUGUGAACACACAAAAACAGUAUGUAAAAGUGUUGGGUUGUCUCCCAACAAGCGCUUUUCUUUUUUGCCUUUUAAGCUAGGCAUGAUGAUUUCGAUGAUGCUUGCAUAAAAGAUAAGAAUUCAAACAUAAAGAGAACAUCAUGCAUCAUAAGUUCCUCUCUCAUAAUAAUUUUCAGUAUCAUCAUGAAUAGAUUCAUCAAUAUAACCAUUACAUAAAGCAUUCUUUUCAUGAUCCAUAAGCAUAGAAAAUUUAUUACUCUCCACAUAAGCAAUUUUGUUCUCAUUCACAAUAGUGGGAGUAUCAUAUGAGACUUGAAUAUUAAAAAGUGUUCCCACAUUAAGAGAGUAAUGUUCAGAAAAUGGAUAUUCAAAAUUAUGACAAUAAGUAUCACUACUUUUUAUAACAUAAGUAUCAUCACAAUAAUCAUCAUAAAUAGGAGGCAUGCUAUCAUCAAAAUAAGUUUGAUCAAUCAAAGUAGGGGGACUAAAAAGAUCAUCUUCAUUAAACAUAGCCUCCCCAAGCUUGGGACAAACAUUAAUUGCAGCAAAUAAAUUCUCAAACAUGUCAUUCUCAUCAAACAUAGCAUCCCCAAGCUUGUGGCUUGGCAUAUCAUAAGCAUAAUCACUCUCAUCAUUAAUAGUAUGAAUAGCACCAACGGUGUAACAACUGCUAUCAUGAUAAUUUUCCAAGUUGGUGCCAAAAAGAUUUCCAAUAUUAUAAGAAGUAUCAUUAUCUUCCCAAUCAUAAUCAUCACAACAAGCAAUAGGCAUAACAAAAUCAUCGUCAAGUGCGUCAUCUUCCACAAUUAUUUUGAUUCAUUUUCAUGAGGCACAACAAUAAUAGGAGCAACAUUAUUUGGGAAAGAUACCUUUUUACUCUUUUGUUUCUUCUUUUCUUCUUCUUCACCACAUCAUGUGUGGGUUUAAUUGAUCUUUCCAAGGUUCUUAUUGAUGAGAUUGGUUGGAUAGGAAGCUCCUCCUCGUUACCUGAUUCAUCAUAGCAAAUACUAGGAGGGUUUUGGGAAAUAUUUUCCCUUUCAUUAGUACUCUCUUCAUGUUCUAUUUGUUCUCUUGACUUUAGAUAGUUGGCAAUAUAAGGAUUCUCAAUGCAAUUUACCGCACAAAACAUAUAAAUUUCUUCUAGAUCAAAAUCAAGAAAUAUCUCAAGAUUAAAUUUUGGAAUACCCUUAGUUAUACGUUUCAUUUCUUCAUACCCCAAAAGAAGACUAAGCUCUUUAUGAUGCUCAAGGGUAAUCAAGUUAUCACAAUUUUUGGACACGAUUUGAUCAUGAAAGAAUUUGCAUUGGAGAUUUAAAUGACCAUGUUCAUUGCAAAGUUCACAAGGAUGGCGAAAAAAUUAAAUCUUUUAGAACAAUCAUCUAGCCUCUCUUGCAACCUUUUUGUUUCUAAAUAUUUAUGCUUCUUACAAAAUCUAUCUUCCCUUUUUGGUGUGCAAAAGGCACUCCCAAUUCAUUCCGCAAAAAGUGACAUGCUUAUAAGAAACAUUUUUUUCAUGACUUGUGCAAUCAUCAUUGGCAUUUUGGAUAUUCAAAGAAGUCACACUAACAACAUUGCAAUCAUGCUCAUCAUUCAAAUAAUUUGUGCCAAGCAUUUUAUUGACUUCUUCUGCACAAUUUUCUGAACCAUCAUUUUCAAGAAAGAUAUCAUAAAGAUGAUCAAUAAUAUGAUGCAACCUAAAUUCCAUUUUUUUGUAACUAGUGAUAAAACAAGAAACUAAAAGAUUCAAUUGCAAUAUCUAACGAUAUACCUUCAAGCACUCACCUCCCCGGCAACGGCGCCAGAAAAGAGCUUGAUGUCUACUACGCAACUUUAUUCUUGUAGACACGUGUUGGGCCUCCAAGCGUAGAGUUUUGUAGGACAGUAGCAAUUUUCCCUCAAGUGGAUGACCUAAGGUUUAUCAAUCCGUGAGAGGUGUAGGAUGAAGAUGGUCUCUCCCAAACGACCCUGCAACCAAAGACAAGAAAUCUCUUGUGUCCCCAACACACCCAGUACAAUGGCAAAUUGUAUAGGUGCACUAGUUCGGCGAAGAGAUGGUGAUAAAAGUGUAAUAUGGAUGGCGGAAAUAUAUUUUUAUAACCUGAAUAAAUGAAAACAGCAAGGUAGCAAUUAGUAAACGGGCACAAAAACGGUGUUGCAAUGCUUGAAAAAAAGGCCUAGGGUCCGUACCUGCACUAGUGCAAUAUCUCAACAGUGCUAACAUAGUUGGAUCAUAUGAUUAUCCCCCAAAGUGUAACGAAGAAUCACUCCUGAGUUCCUAUUAGCGGAGAACAAAAGAUAGGAAUUGUUUGUAGGGUACUAAGCCACCUCAGAGCUAUUUUUUCCGUUCGAUCUAUCGUAGAGUCCGUACUAAGAUAACACCAAAGCAUGUUCAUAUUCAUAAUACUCAAUCCACACAAAGAACUAUAAAGAGACCCCAAAGUUUUCAUCGGGGAAAAGAUAAUAAAAACAUGCAUCAACCCCUAUGCGUAGAUUACCCCAAUAUCACCGCGGGAAUUGGCAAGUUGAAUGCCAUAACAUAUAUCAAGUGAAUCAAUAAGAUACCCCAAUUGUCACCUCAAGUAUUCAUAUCGCAAGACAUAUAUCUUGUGUUCUCAUAUCUGAAUAUUCAAUCCGACAAGACAAAACUUCAAAGGGUAAAGACUCAAUUCAUCACAACAAGAGUAUAGCGGGGAGAAACAUCAUAUGAUCCGGCUAUAUUAACAAAGCCCAUGAUAUAGAUAACGAGAGAGAGAGAGAUCAAACACAUAGCUACUAGUACAAACCCUCAGCCCGAGGGUGGACUACUCCCUCCUCAUCGUGGUGGCCGCCGGGAUGAUGAAGAUGGCCACCGGAGAUGAUUCCCCCCGCCGAUAGGGUGCCAGAACGGGUCUAGAUUGGUUUUCGGUGGCUACGGAUCCCUGCGGCGGCGGAACUUAUGAUAUAGGUUAACCCCGAAGGGUUUCACAAUAUUUGGGAAUUUAUAGUGCAAAGAAGGGGUGCGGGAGGCCACCGAGGUGGGCACAACCCACCUGGGCAUGCCAGGUGGGCCUGGCGCACCCUGGUGGGUUGUGCCCCCCUCAGGGCACCCCCAGGUACUGCUCUGGCCCAAUGGGUGUCUCCUGGCCCAUAAAAAAUCUCCGUGGAGUUUCGCGGUGUUUGGACUCCGUUUGAUAUUGAUUUCCUAUGAUGUAAAAAACAAGCAAAAACAGCAACUGGCAGUGGGCACUGGGUAAAUAGGUUAGUCCCAAAAAAUGAUAUAAAGUUGCUAUAAAAUGAUUGUAAAACACCCAAGAAUGAUAAAAUAACAGCAUGAAUACUUCAUAAAUUACAGAUAGGUUGGAGACGUAUCAACAAAGCAGUACGUACCACAUGGAAUGAUGAACGAUGUCUUCUCUUCAUCUUCUUUGGACAUGAAGAUCUGGUGAUACCCGGAAUAUGUGUCCAGAAAAGAGAGCAAAUCACACACUGAAGUGGAAUCCACAAUCUGAUCGAUAUGCGGAAGGGAAAUGGAUCCUUCGGGCAAGCCUUGUUGAGAUCUAUGAAAUCAAUGCAAAGACUCCAUUUCCCAUUAGCCUUCCGGACUACCAAUAGAUUUGCUAACCAUGUAGGAUGCAACACUCCUCUGACCAAACCAGUUGCCUCCAGUUUCUUGAUUUCCUCGGCAAUGAACUGCUGCGUUUCCAAGGCUUGCUUCUGGACUUUCUGCUUGACAGGUCGGGCGUGUGGGCAGACAGCAAGGUGGUGCUCGAUUACCUCCCUAGGAACACCGGGGAUAUCAGAUGGUUGCCAGGCAAACACAUCGAUAUUUGCCCGCAGGAAGGCAAUGAGCGUGCUUUCCUAUUUGUCAUCAAGGGUGGCGCUGAUGGUGAAAGUACCAUCAACGCCAGACAGCCCUACCGGGACCUUCUUCACUUGGGGUGCAGCAACCUUGGAUCUCUUGCUGUUGGAACACUCCGGCACGUCAUCAACGGGUGUCGUGCGCUCGGAGGGGGCAUGCUUCCCGGACUCCUUGCCGGAGGUCCUACAAUCCCUUUUAUUUCCUUUGCUUUCCUUGGUGGGAGCUGUUGCUGCCGCAGCCUCUGCUGCGACCGCAUCCCGGUACAUCUUGUCAACGCAGAUAAUUGCAUCCUUCUCAUCUGAUGGGAUAGUGAUGAGUCCUAGUGGCCCAGGCAUCUUCAGGGUGUUAUAAGCAUAGUGGGAUGCAACCAUGAACUUGGCUAGGGCCGGGCGUCCAAGAAUCCCAUUGUACGGCAGGGGAUAUCAACCACAUCAAACACAACCUUCUCUGUCUGGUAGUUCAGUUCUCCCCCAAACGUCACCGGCAACGUAAUCUUCCCUUUAGGAUGGCUCCUGCCGGGGUUGACUCCUUGAAACGUGCCGGUAACCUCUAGCUCUUCUUCUCCUAUCUGUAGCUUGCUGAUAACUGCUGGGGAAAUCAGAUUCAGCCCAGCCCCGCCAUCCACUAACAUCUUUGUGACCUUGGGGUUGCGAAUUGUCGGGGAGACCAACAAUGGCAAGCAUCCUACCGCGGUGGUGUGGCCAGGGUGAUCCUCCUCAUCAAAGAUGAUUGGCGUGUGGGACCAUUUGAGCGGUUUCCGGGCCUCUGGCGCUGGCUCCAUAGCAUUGAUCUCCCGUUCCAAUCACUUGAGCUGGCGGUGGGAGGCGUGCAAAGAUGCACCCCCAUCAAUGCAUAGGGCAUCAGUGGCCUUCUGAAAUUCCUACUCACUAGUUUCCUCUUCAUUCCCUUCAUCACUCACAUCAUCACAGACUUCCUUCUCUUAACCCCUGGUGGGUUUUCCUUGGUUCCGAAAGGGUUUGCCGGGGUGAUUUGCUUCACCGCCUCGUCCCUUUCCGCCAGGGGCAUUCUGACCUCUUUCCUUGUCACGCUUAUCAUAUUAUGCCCUCUGUUUCUUGAUGAGCUGCUCAACCUGGUAACACUCCUGAAGGUCAUGGCCCUUGGUCCAGUGAAUCUUGCAGUACAGGCCAUCGCCCUUCCCAGCUUUCUUGGCGGCAGCAGCUUCCCGGCAGGCUAUGCAAGCGGCAACUUCCUUGCCGGGGGCCUCAGCCUUGGCCUUCUUGCCGGUACUAGGUGUGCCCGAACCUUCUAUGGUCAUUACUACCUUAUCUCUUGCUUCUUACUGCGCUUCUUGCCCUUUCUCUGACUGGUUGAUUCAUCUUCAUCCUCUGAAUCAACAUUGAUGCAAUCCUCCUCUCCGGGCAACUUCCUUCCUCCCUCCAUCCGAGCACACUUAUCCACCAGUGUGUAUAGCUCCUUCACAGUCUUGGGCAACCGCACAUUCAUCUUAGAACGAAUGCGACAGUUGCGCACAUUGGACUGGAAGGCUGCUAUAACGGCUGCCGGAUGGAUAUUUGGAAUAUUCCUAUGAACUUUACUGAAUCUUUGCAAAUACUUACGGAGAGUUUCUCCUUCCUACUGCUGGAGAAGUUGCAGGUCGCUGGGCCUGCCGGGCUCUUGGUGGCCACCAGUGAAGGCACCGAUGAACUCGUGGCACAGGUCUGCCCAUGGCGAAAUGGAGUUCUCCAGCAGGUGCAUCAACCAAGACCUCACAUUGGACUUGAGGGCCAAAGGGAAGUAGUUGGCGAUCACCUUCUCAUCUCUUCCCCCGGCAGCUUGAACAACGAUGGUGUAGAUGCUCGGGAACUCUGCGGGUUCAGCCUCCCGUCGUACUUCUCAUGUAUCUCUGGCUUGAACGUGCGAAUGGACAGCCAACGGACUUGCCGCAGCUCUCAUGUAAAGGCAGGGCAGCCGACCUCGAAAGGUAGGCACCCAACAACAUCGAGCAGAGGCUCGUCGACGUUGAGGCCGCCGCACCCACGGUCUGGUGGAGGUCGUCGUGGCGUUGAUCUAUGGCGUCGCGCGCGUCUCCCCGCCGCCUAUCCUCCAGGGCUCGACAUUGGCCUGGACGUGCUCGAGGGUCAGAAGAGGCCAUCGAGAUGUCGCCGGGGUCUUGAUUCAGCUGCGCCCGCGUUGGCUACCGUGGUGGGGACUGCACCGUGGGGACGGCCCCCUCCGUUCGGCCAAUAGUACGGGCGGUUGCUGUCGCUUGGGGAGGUCGUGGCGGCCAGCUCGUCGUGAGCCCCGAGCUUCGGCGAAACCGAGCAGGCUCUGGAUGGUGGUACGCCAUUCAUCCGUCUGCUCGGCCGCUGGCGGAAAAACCUCAGUAGCAAUUGAGCUCGCGCCAUAGCCUCCGUGGCUGUGCUUGGCAUAGAUGUUGAUGACGUCGACCGCACCGUUGCCUGGCUCCUGAUGGUGCCAGCGGUGGUGCCGCGUCCAUGCAACUGUGGGACGACCACCUGGGUAGCGGGGUCGCGCGGCGGUGGUGCUCGAGGGUCAGCGGCUCCGCCAAGCGCAGCGGUCUGGUCAACUCGUCCGGGAGGAGGCACAUGGGCCGCCGUCGCUCCGCGGUGGGGGCGGCCGGAGGGCGAUGGCUCACCCCGGACCGAGCACCGUUGCUGCGGAUGUGCCCGUUAGUGGGAAGAGAGGGUGCAGAUGGAGACCCCCUCGCCCGCACCUUGUGGAGCGUGACCGCCAAGGCAUUGCUGAUGUUGUUCUCCUCUGACAUCUCCAGCCCCCGUGUCGGCCGCGGGGGGAGUGGCGAUGGCGCCACCUGCUCCAACCACGCCCCCAGCCGUGUUCACGUCCUCGCUCGCCCCCGCAUCCUCCGAGGCACCAGAGGAUGCGGGCAGCAGAGCCUUCGAGGUGGACAGAUGGGCCGAAGGGCCGGACUUGUUCUUCUUAGGUGCCAUGGUGGAUGGCGUCGUCGAAGAUGAAGAUGGCGAUGAAAAUGUCGCGCUGCGCAUGCUUUCAGAUUCGCGUAGGCGAGCCCCCUACCUGGUGCGCCAAAGAUGUCGCGGGAUAUCCAUGACCACAUAUGGGACCAGGAGGCCCCUUGCUGGUUCGGCAGGGGGACGGCGGAUUGCACAAAGAGCAGGCCAGCGCACAGCAGCACGGCAGAAAGCACACAAGCAAUUUACCCAGGUUCAGGCCAUCGCGAGGCGUAAGACCCUACUCCUGCUUUAGUGGAUUGAUGGUGGAAUGGGGAUGGUGAAACACAGCACACUCGCCCGGCAGAGGUUGUCGUAGGUUGGCAGCAACUACACACGUAUGGGGGUGUGGGUUCGUCAACUUUCCAACCCAACCUACGGGUGCCAUGGGCCCGUCGGUGUCAAAACCGGCGGAUCUCGGGUAGGGGGUCCCGAACUGUGCGUCUAAGGUCGAUGGUAACAGGAGACAGGGGGCACAAUGUUUACCCAGGUUCUGGCCCUCUCUAUGGAGGUAAUACCCUACUUCCUGCUUGAUUGAUCUUGAUGAAUAUGAGUAUUACAAGAGUUGAUCUACCACGAGAUCGUAAUGGCUAAAACCCUAGAAGUCUAGCCUGUAUGACUACGAUUAUGAUUAUUCGCCUCACGGACCUAGCCCGCUGGUUUAUGUAGACACCGGAGGGGACUAGGGUUGCACAAAGUCGGUUACAGAGAAAGGAAUCUUCAUGCUUGGUCGCCAAGCUUGCCUUCCACGCCAAGGAGAGUCCCAUCCGGACACGGUAGAAUAUUCAGUCUUUUUAUCUUCACAGCCCAUCAGUCCGGCCCACGGCUAACAGGCUGGAUGCCCGAGGACCCCUUAGUCCAGGACUCCCUCAGUAGCCCUCAAACCAGGCUUCAAUGACGAGGUGUCCGGCGCGCAGAUUGUCUUUGGCAUAGCAAGGCGGGUUCCUCCUCUGAUGAAUUCGGCCCUCCAUUUAAUGUCGUACCCCUCGGCUUCUGUGCAUCAACGACUUCAGAUUCCAUGUGUCGAGCGAAUGCGAGAGGUCAGGGUAUUUUCGCACAUAACACCCCAGCCAUGUAAGAAAGAGCGUUUAUUUAAAGAGAUUGGAUCUCAGAUCCAUUCAGCACCACACAGAAAAAUCCUUAGAGCUUGCUAGGAAAAACCACUCCAACAUGGCUAGUGCUCCCAGCUCCUCCUUCCAUCCCUGCGGCCCAGAAAAAGGCAAUUGGGAGAGAUGUUCUGUAUCCCACGGUCAGCUGGUGAAGCUGCAAACACAGGGAUUUCUUCCCCCCGCGGAUCUGGUCCCUGUUCGGGCAGGAUUGACCUCCUUUAAUGGCGGGACCCAGGCGGAGAAUUUCCCCAACCCAUCUGGGGGGAACGAGUGUGCUUCGUUCCCUACUUGCUAAGAGGUGUCAGAUUUCCUAUUCAUCCGUUCCUCUGAGAGCUUCUGGAGUAUUAUGGCCUCCAACUGCACAACUUCACUCCCGCCUCCAUCCUGCAUAUCGCGGGUUACGUCGCUCUUUGCGAGCUAUUCCUGGGUUGUGAGGCCCAUUUUGAAUUGUGGAGAAAGCUAUUCUGUCUCGUCCCGCGCAACCACGAGGGAUCAAUAUUUGAAGUGGGCGGAGCCAAAAUAUGGCGCAUCGCCGAGACCAGAUACCUGUAUGGCACACCAAAGAAGGCAUCCGAAGAGUGGCCUUCCAAAUGGUUCUAUAUCGAGGAUGUCGCCCUUCCCGACCCAGUCCGAAGAGGUCUUCCCGAGUUUUCAAGCGUCCCGUUGAAGAAACGCCACAGCUGGCGCCCUCGGAGCCUCGAAGAGGAAGAUAGUGCGGAAGUUCGUCAACUCAUGAGCAAGAUAGAGACACUUACCAGUCCGGAUUAUCAAUAGUCGAGGUAAUGGCGACUUCCAUCGUACGAGGGGUUCAGCCACUCCAAUACAGAGGGCUUCCCAUGUGGCACUAUAAUGGGGAGGAUGACGCCUCCCGCUGCGGCCGGAAGGGUCCGGACACCCCCGCCGCCCUGGCCAAAAUAUUGGUCGAACUGUUCAAAGGGGAGGAAGAGGAAUUUCUUCGUAUUAAACGCAGAGAUGGAUUUUCCAUGUACAAUCCUCCUAGCUGGGUAAGUCCCAACCCCUCUGCUCUACUCACUCCACUCCCCGAGUCAUGAACAUUAAUCCGUCCAUUUAUAACAGAAAUGGCGAAAGAUCUACGAGGGGCUUCACAGCCCCACCCCACAACUAGAGGACCACAACCGGGACCUUGACCCCGGAUUCGAAGAGGAUCCGGAUAUAUUCGUGGUGCUCGAGGACGGGGUGUUUUACCAGACGAGCUAUGUGUAAUGCCCACGAUGCGGCUAUAUCUCCCACGUGUCGAGGCACGACUUAGAGGCAUAACCGCAUUGUGGUUUUGUCGCAAGAAGGGUCAUCUUCACACAAUCCCGUGUAAUGAACAAGAAUGGGAUAACGAGAGUUGGCUUACAAUCGCCACUUCACACAAUACAUAAAUAUAAUUCAUACAUCAUCCAAAAUACACACAUAGACCGACUACGGUCAAAUCCAAAUGAAAAUAAGAUAACCCCAAAUGCUAGAUCCCCGAUCGUCCCAACUAGGCUCCACUAAUGAUCAUGAGGAAAAGACACAUAGUAACGACCACGUUCCUCGUCGAACUCCCACUUGAGCUCGGUUGCGUCAUCUGCACUGGCAUCGUCGGCACCUGCAACUGGUUUAGAAUCUGUGAGUCACGAGGACUCAGCAAUCUCACACCCGCGAGAUCAAGACUAUUUAAGCUUAUAGGAAAGGAUGGUGUAAUGAGGUGGAGCUGCAGCAGGCACUAAACAUAUAUGGUGGCUAACAUACGCAAAUGAGAGCGAGAAGAGAAACAACGCAAGGUUCGCGAAGCUAGAAAUGAUCAAGAAGUGAUCCUGAAACUACUUACGUUCAUGCAUAACACAAACUGUGUUCACUUCCCGGACUCCGCCGAGAAGAGACCAUCACGGCUACACACGCGGUUGAUGUAUUUUAAUUAAGUCAAGUGACAAGUUCUCUACAACCGAACAUUAACAAGUUCCCAUAUGCCUCAUAACCGCGGGCACGGCUUUCGAAAGAUAAAUACCCUGCAGGGGUGUCCCAACUUAGCCCAUUAUAAGCUCUCACGGUCAACGAAGGAUAAACCUUCUCCCGGAAAGACCCGAUCAGUCUCGGAAUCCCGGUUUACAAGAAAUUUCGACAAUGGUAAAACAAGACCAGUAAAGCCGCCCGAAUGUGCCGACAAAUCCUGAUAGGAGCUGCACAUAUAUCAUUCUCAGGGCACAUCGGAUAAGUCAAGCUACGAGUAAAACCAGUCCUCGAGUUUCCCCGUGGUGGCCCCACAGGCUGCUCAGUUCAGACCAACACUCGAAGGAGCACUGGCCCGGGGGGGUUAAAAUAAAGAUGACCCUCGGGCUCGCGAAAACCCAAGGGAAAAGGCUUAGGUGGAAAAUAGUAAAACCAAGGUUAGGCCUUGCUGGAGGAGUUUUAUUCAAGGCGAACUGUCAAGGGGGUCCCAUAAAUCACCCAACCGCGUAAGGAACGCAAACUCAAGGAACAUAAUACGGGUAUGACGGAAACUAGGGCGGCAAGAGUGGAACAAAACACCAGGCAUAAGGCCGAGCCUUCCACCCUUUACCAAAUAUAUAGAUGCAUUAAUUAAAUAAGAGAUAUUGUGAUAUUCAAAAUAUCCAUGUUCCAACAUGGAACCAACUUCAACUUCACCUGCAACUAGCAACGCUAUAAGAAAGGCUGAGCAAAAGCGGUAACUUAGCCAAACAACGGUUUGCUAGGAAAGGAUGGUUAGAGGCUUGACAUGGCAAUAUGGGAGGCAUGAUAUAGCAAGUGGUAGGUAGCGCAGCAUGGCAAUAAAACGAACAACUAGCAAAGCAAAGAUAGAAGUGAUUUCGAGGGUAUGGUCAUCUUGCCUGCAAGGUUCUCAGAGUUGUCGAAAGAUUGAUCCUCGUAAGCGUACUCAACAGGUUCCUCGUUCACGAACUCGUCUCUCGGCUCUACCCAAAACAAGAACACAAGCAACGGAACCAAAAUCAAUCACGGGAAAUGCACAAGCAACAUGAUGCAAAACAUGUAUGAUAUGCGGGAUAUGAUAUGUGAUGCAUAUGCGUGCUCCGAAAGAAAAAUGAUGAACAAGGCAGUAACUUGGCAAAUGAAGCAUGCCACUGGAAAGAUGAGAUGAUUUCGGUCGAAAUCGAUAUAAAGAUCACCGGAAACGGAUGCACGGUUUGCAAAUGGCAAGCAAAACAAGAAUAUCACGAAUCUGUGAUUAACAGCAUGAUAGCACUUAGAAUGCAACAAGUAACAAUGCUACAGCACUCCAACAUAGCAACAAAUCAUAUGAAAGUAAUCUACAGGUGAUGCUUGACAAAAGAUGAACACUAAGCUACAGCUAGAUCACAACACAACAGGUUCAAACAAGCAUGGCAAAAGUGCAAAAGAUAUCAGGUUCACAGACUGAAAUUACUGGAUAUGCCUGAAACAGCAUCAGGUAGCAAUGUUCAGAGCACGAAAUAAACAUGCUACAGGAACUUAACAUAGUAAAACAAGGCAUGACAGUAAUCUACUAAAUGCAUAUGAUAAAAGUUCCUUACUGACCAUACGCCAAAAAGGGCCAGAAAAUAUGAUGGCAACCAUGUAAACAACAACAAUAAUAUGAAGGCAUCUUUGUGAGCUUGAUGAACUCAUCACAAAGCAAUGUAUGACAAAACAAGCACACCUACAGCAAGAUGGCAUGUUUAAUAAGCUAUCCAUGGCAAUAUCAAGUACAUAGCAUGUAUGAAACAACUACAACAAGCUUGGCAAAAUUGAAUAUCAUGUUAACAAUCUGCCAGAAAUAUUUUAUAGCAAAAGUAGAGCAAGAUUAAGUCAUGCUAUGGCGCUCCAUAAUUGAAAACAAGGGCAUGCAUGGAUCAACUACAACAAUAUCUACAAAACAUCCUUACUGAACAUCUCCAAAGGGAGCAUGGAUCUCUCUGUAGCCACAUGGAUACAUAGCAACAAAAUAACAGCAGUCACAAACAGUAAAAUUACUCAUGUCUCUGAAAUCAGAAACAUCACGAAGCCUAGUUUGCAUGCUUGUGCUAGUCACCACAGAGAUCACAAAAAUACAUGGCAUACACCUCUGUAAAUAUGGCAUGGCAUACAUCAAAAGACAUGUAGAGCUCAUGCCCAUAAGAUGCACACAUAAAUAGCAACAAAAAUAACAAAUCCUCAAGUUCUGAUAAGUAACAGCAGUUAACAGCAACUAGCACUCUUGCACCAGAGAUUUGGGCAUCGAUAUGGACUCAAAUGAACAUGGCGUAAUGGAACAAAAUGAAGAGCAUCUCGAGGCGAACAUUUCGAUAUCCUACAUGCGUGAAACGGAUCUACAUGCAGAGAGUUAUGCCAUGAGGAAGUAUGCAACCGAAUGUAAGAAAUAAAGACUUGGAGGAAAUCGGGGGAGGAAUGCGGGCUCCCGGGCCGCGGGCGGUGGGGCGGUGGCGCUGCCACAUGGCGGGCGCGGAGUGGCUGCGGGGCGGCGGCGCGAUUCGUCCGGCGGCGGUGGGCGUGUCCGGUGGCGGCAGUGGCGAUUUGAUUUAGGGUUUGAUCCGGAUUUCGGAGGGGGAGGUGUUUUAUAGGUAGAGGGAGCUAGGAGACUCCAAAUGGAGUGCGGUUUUCGCCCACACGAUCGUGAUCGAACGACCUAGAGCAUGUAAGUGACUAAGAGGGGUUUUGGGCUGAUUGAAGGGGGUUUUGCUGCAACACACAAAAGGACUUUGCGGUUACCCGGUUAACCGUUGGUGUACCAAACGACCUCUAAAUGGAAUGAAACUUGACAGGUGGUCUACCGGUGGUAUACCAAGGCCACUUGAGAAGACUCGGUCCACUCCGAGAACGUUCAACACCCGCUCACGAAAAGAAAACAAGAGGGGUGCGCCGAAGGAGGUGGGAGUGCCGGAUUUCAAAACGGACAACGGGGAAAAUGCUCGGAUGCAUGGGACGAACACGUAUGCAAAAUGAGAUGCACAUGAUGACAUGAUAUGAGAUGCAUGACAUGAACAAAAUGCAAAACGAAAAACAAAAACCCGACCACGAAGGGAAUAUCAUAACACAUAGCCGAAAAUGGCAAGAGUUGGAGUUACAAAUAUGGAAAGUUACAUCCGGGGUGUUACAACACUCCACCACUAUGAGAGGAUCUUGUCCCGAGAUCUAGGACUGAAAGAACUCUGGAUAUUCGGAACGGAGGUGGUCCUCGCGUUCCCAGGUGGCUUCUCGGUCGGAAUGGUGCGACCACUUCACUUUCAGGAAUUUGAUUGACUUGUUGCGAGUCUUGCGAUCAGUUUCUUCAAGAAUAGCAACGGGGUGCUCAUGAUAAGACAGAUCUUCUUGGAGGUCAAUCUCUUCGAAGUUGAUGGUGCGCUUAGGCGUCUUGAAGCACUUGCGAAGCUGUGACACGUGGAACACAUCGUGCACAUUCGCGAAGUCAGAAGGAAGCUCAAGUUGAUAGGCGAGGUCGCCUCUUUUGCCAAUGAUCUUGAAAGGACCCACGUAUCUAGGGGCAAGCUUCCCUUUGAUACUGAAGCGACGAGUGCCUUUCAUUGGAGAGACGCGGAGGUAAACAUGGUCUCCGAUCUCGAAAGCCACAUCACGGUGCUUACUAUCAUAGUAACUCUUCUGGCGCGAUUGCGCGACUUUGAGAUUUUCACGGAUGACUUUACACAUUUCUUCAGCCUCUGUGAUUAAGUCAUUGCCAAGAAGUUGGCGUUCACCAGUCUCUGACCAAUUGAGAGGAGGACGGCACUUUCUGCCAUAGAGAAUCUCGAAUGGGGCCUUGCCCGAACUCGCUUGGAAGCUGUUGUUGUAGGAGAAUUCGGCAUAUGGAAGACAAUCUUCCCAUUUCAUGCCAAAGGAAAUGACACAAGCCCUGAGCAUAUCUUCAAGAAUUUGAAUGACUCGCUCGACUUGGCCACUAGUUUGAGGAUGGAAAGCUGUGCUGAAACGAAUGUUGGUGCCCAUGGCCUUCUGAAAGGAGUCCCAGAACUUAGAAGUGAAGAUGCUUCCACGAUCUGAAGAAAUCAAUUGUGGAAUGCCAUGCAAGAAGACAAUCCUGGAGGUGUAUAGCUCUGCCAACUGAGCUGUUGUGAUAGAUUCAUUGAUUGGAAGGAAAUGAGCCACUUUAGUAAGCUUGUCGAUGACAACGAAGAUAGCAUCAUUUCCACGCUUGGACUUGGGAAAUCUAGUCACGAAGUCCAUUUCGAUAUGAUCAAACUUCCACUCUAGGAUAGCAAGAGGUUGGAGGAGACCAGCUGGUCGUUGGUGUUCUACUUUCACCCUUCGACAGACAUCACAUUCAUUCACGAAUUGAGCGAUUUCCCGCUUCAUUCGAGUCCACCAAUACGACUGCUUGAGGUCAUGGUACAUCUUCGUACUUCCAGGAUGAAUGGAAAGAAGAGAAUUGUGCGCUUCGUUCAUUAUGACCUUCCUUAGAUCACCUUUAGGAACCACAAUCCGGUCCUCGAAGAAUAAAGUGUCUCUGUCAUCAAUGCGAUAGCACUUGUAUUUGGAAAGACCCUUGUCGAUACCACGUUUCACCUUCUUCACCAUGGCAUCCAGGAGUUGUGCCUCACAAAUUUGAUCUUCCAAAGUAGGAGAGACUAUGAGGUUGGCAAGAAAGCCUUGAGGAACAACUUGGAGAUUCAGCUUGCGGGAAGCUUCACAAAGAUCUGGUUGGAAUGGCUUGAGAAUUAAGCUGUUGCAAUAAGCCUUCCUGCUCAAAGCAUCUGCAAUGACAUUGACUUUGCCUGGAGUAUAUUCAAUACUCGGAUUGUACUCUUGAAUCAUUUCGACCCAUCGAGUUUGCCUGAGGUUGAGGUUGGGCUGAGUGAAAAUGUACUUGAGACUCUUGUGAUCGGUGAAUAUGUCCACUUGUCUUCCCAACAAGAGAUGUCUCCAUGUUAUUAAUGCAUGGACAACUGCCGCCAACUCAAGAUCGUGAGUGGGUUAGUUCUUUUCGUUGGGCUUCAACUGACGAGAGGUAUAGGCCACAAAUUUCUUCUCUUGCAUUAACACAGCACCGAGGCCUUGGAGAGAAGCAUCACAGAAAACUUCGAAAGGCUUGGAUUCGUCAGGAGGAGUUAAGACAGGAGCUGUGAUGAGUUUCUCUUUGAGAGUGUUGAAAGCAACGUCACACUCAGGAGACCAGACAUACUUCACAUGCUUCUGGAGGAGGUUGGAAAGAGGCUUUGCAAUCUUAGAAAAAUUCUCAACGAAUCUUCGGCAAUAGCUUUCAAGACCAAGAAAACUGCGAAGCUGCUUGACAUUCUGAGGAGGUUCCCAAUUCACAAUUGCAGACACCUUCUCGGGAUUAACAGCGAUGCCCUUGGAAGAGAUGAUGUGACCAAGGUAAAGAACUUCAUCAAGCCAAAACUCACAUUUUGAAAACUUCGCAUAAAAUUGAUACUCUCUGAGUUUGUCGAGCACCAAUCGCAAAUGUUUGGCAUGAUCCUUCUUAUUCUUGGAGAAGACCAAGAUAUCAUCGAGAUACACCAGGACGAAUUCAUUGGUAUAGGGGUUGAAGAUGAAAUUCAUCAUCCGAGAGAAUGUUGGAGGAGCAUUGACAAGGCCGAAAGACAUGACAGUAUAUUCAUAAGAACCAAAGCUUGUUCUGAAUGCUGUCUUGGAAAUAUCUUCUUCACGAAUGCGAAUCUGAUGAUAACCCAUACGAAGGUCAAGCUUGGAGAAUACUUUAGCACCUUUAAGUUGCUCGAAUAGCUCAUUAAUGUUGGGAAGUGGAUACUUGUUCUUGAUUGUCUUCUUGUUCAAUGGACGGUAGUCGACACAAAGUCGUUCCGUGCCAUCCUUCUUCUGGACAAAAAGAACACCACAACCCCAUGGACAUGAACUCGGUCUGAUCAAACCCAGACGCUCUUGUUCAUCGAGCUGUUUCUUCAAUUCCUUCAACUCCUUGGGUCCAAGCUUGUAUGGAUGCUUGCAAAUGGGUUCAGUGCCAGGCUCAAGAUCGAUAACGAACUCAACUGGCCGGUGAGGAGGCAUACCCGGAAGCUCUUCUGGAAAGACAUCUUGGUACUCACAAACGACUGGAAUUUGAGAGAUGGCAUUCAAUUCGCCCUUCUCAUUGAGAGAAAAUAACCGAAUGGUUUCAUCACGAGCGGCAUAAAUGAUAACAUCCUCAGAAGAGUGUGUCAAUUGAAUUUCCCUGGCAGCACAAUCAAGUUGAGCCUUGUGCUUAGAAAGCCAGUCCAUCCCGAGAAUAAGAUCAAUAUCCGAGUCACCAAGAACAAUUGGAGAAGACAGAAAUUUAUAGUUUCCCAUCUUGAUGGAAACAUCCGGAACCACCAAACUAGAACUCAGACGUUUACCCGAAGAAACGACAUCCAUGGGUUUACCCAGAUGUGCAGAAGUGAAUUCAUGCUUGGCAAAAAACGGUCUUGACAUGAAACAAAGCGAAGCACCAGUAUCAAAUAAGACUUUAGCAGGAAUAUCAUUAACUAAGAGAUUACCCAUUAUCACAUCAGUAGAUUCCUCUGCUUGAGCUGCAUUCAUCAUGUUCACCUUUGCAGACUUGGGAUUAUGCUUGACCACUACAUUGCUGGAAGAUCUGAAAGGAGGAGGAGGCGGAAGGCGCCUUUGAUUGAAGCACUUGUUAGCAUAGUGACCUUUCUGCUGACACUUGUUGCAAGUCACCUCUGAGAGUGGACGAUGAUAAGGAGCAUUCGACUUUGGAGCUUGAUUCUGAGACUUGUUCUGAUAGCCAGAGUUGGAAGAGUGGGAAGAUCCAUGGCCACCUUUGUUCUUCUGCUGGUAAGGCUGACGAAAGGAGGAGGAGGAGGCAACCAGAACUUCUGUUGCUUAGCAGCCACUAGUGAGGAAGAAGAAGACUGAACUGCGUCCCUGACUCUCUUCUUAGAAGCCUCACACUUGAGCUGAGCAGCCUCUUGCUUCAGUGCCAUGUUAUAGACUUGAUCAAACUGAGUAGGCUCAACAAGAACGAGAGCUAACUGCAGAUCCUCUCUAAGGCCACCUCUGAAGUGAUAGAUCAUGCUCUUUUCAUCAGGAAUGUCUUGUUUAGCGAAGCGAGCAAGUUUCUGAAACUGGAUGUUCAAUUGAUACACAGACAUGUUGCCUUGCUUGAGAUUGCGGAACUCCUCACGCUUGCUCUCAACAACACUUUGUGGAAUGUGGUGCGCUUUGAAGUCCCGACAGAAGUCAGUCCAAGUGAUCACACGACCUCCUCUGGAAUCUUUGUAUUGUUGAUACCAAUCAGCAGCUUGGUCCUUGAGCUGAAAAGAAGCUGACAUAGUCCUCAGGCCUGACAUUGCUACAUUCAAAAUGCUUGUUCAUGUCCACGAGCCAAUCAUCGGCAUCCGUGGCCUCGGCACAGUAGCUGAAAGACUUGGGCUGAUUUGCGAGAAACUGGUUGAGAGUAGCAAAGUGAGGCUGAUUGUUGCCUUGACCUUGAUUUCCUUGAUUGCCUUGCCCUUGGGUGCGUUCUUGCAAGAGUUGCAGAAUCAUCUGAGCAUUGGCGUUGGUGGCUGCCAUGAUAGCUUGCCAUGCCUCCGGAGGCGGAGGUGGUGGUGGAGGGUUCGCCUGACUCCCUUCAUUGCGUUCCGGAUUCUGACGCGUUGGCGGAGCCAUCCUGAAGAGGGUGACAUCCGUUAGCAUCUUGAUAGACAAAUAGACAAGUUGAAUCAACGAAUAGAAAUUGCAACAUAUAGUCUUCACAAUAAACAUUCGAACGAGGAUGAAUGAAUGAAUUCCAUAGUAAAUCAUCACACUUCCAUUAAGUUGAGAAGCCACUUAGAAAAAGGUAUGGAAUCAACAUUUGACUUCAAAGCAACUCGAAUACCACAAUUCAAAACAAAACAAAGUAUUGGAUUGCAGAAUAAGCCGGAACAAACAUAUGAUAGAGAUUUCAUCCGAAGUUUUCGUGGUGGGGCCCACAUGGGCUCAAUUGUACAGCACCAUCAUGUACAAGGCAGUGCACAUGACAUACGAAGCGUCCCCGAGUCGGCAUAGCCAAGGACUCUUUAAGACACUACGAGACCACUGUAAAACCAACCGUGGAAAGGCGGACCACUAGACGUCGAACACCAAUCUCAUAUCAUGCGUCUGUCGGAAAGAUAUCCUAGGAGCUACUUGAAUUCCCACUUAUAAACUCCCGAAACUUUCUGGUUAUGCAAUCUGGUGUUGGGGAUACAGGGGACACAAAAUAUAUCACCCAAACUAGCAAUCCCUAGAUCCAGCUGUAUCCAUCCGUCAACACAUAACCAAGAAACCUUCGGAAAUCGUGUACCUCAACCUUCGAAAAGCAUCCGUUAUACGAGUUAUGGCAAUACUCCCGAACUCCCGCCCCAGUACUGGGUUGCGUCGAGGUGAUCUCACCAACAACUGCAUAAAAGAGAUUUGGAUGUCGGCGAAACUCAGGUAUUCCAGAACUGCAACGAUAAAAUUGUGACGACAACACCUCGGAGCUCAACUCCCCGGGACACUGCCACAACCCCUAAAUGUUAGGAGGCACCAAGAACAAUGUUCUCGUCACAAAACCAUCAGAACGAUUCUAAGAUACCCGCGUGAUCCUAAAUUUUUUUUAGUGAAAUUUGAGGAGAGAAGAGUCAAAACUUCUACGUCAGGAGGCCUCACCAGAGCGACGAAGGGACUGAGGAGUAAAAGAAUCCGACUCUCCGAUAUAUAUAAUCCUAAGACUCAAAACAUUUUUGUUCUAGACUCAACAACGCCAGCGAUUCGAUCAAGCAGGGGGCUCCUAAGUCGGGGAUGGCUCUGAUUACCAACUUGUAACGCCCACGAUGCGGCUAUAUCUCCCACGUGUCGAGGCACGACUUAGAGGCAUAACCGCAUUGUGGUUUUGUCGCAAGAAGGGUCAUCUUCACACAAUCCCAUGUAAUGAACAAGAAUGGGAUAACGAGAGUUGGCUUACAAUCGCCACUUCACACAAUACAUGAAUAUAAUUCAUACAUCAUCCAAAAUACACACAUAGACCGACUACGGUCAAAUCCAAAUGAAAAUAAGAUAACCCCAAAUGCUAGAUCCCCGAUCAUCCCAACUGGGCUCCACUACUGAUCAUCAGGAAAAGACACAUAGUAACGACCACGUUCCUUGUCGAACUCCCACUUGAGCUCGGUUGCGUCAUCUGCACUGGCAUCGUCGGCACCUGCAACUGGUUUUGGUAGAAUCUGUGAGUCACGAGGACUCAGCAAUCUCACACCCGCGAGAUCAAGACUAUUUAAGCUUAUAGGAAAGGAUGGUGUAAUGAGGUGGAGCUGCAGCAGGCACUAAACAUAUAUGGUGGCUAACAUACGCAAAUGAGAGCAAGAAGAGAAACAACGCAACGGUCGCGAAGCUAGAAAUGAUCAAGAAGUGAUCUUGAAACUACUUACGUUCAUGCAUAACACAAACCGUGUUCACUUCCCGGACUCCGCCGAGAAGAGACCAUCACGGCUACACACGCGGUUGAUGUAUUUUAAUUAAGUCAAGUGACAAGUUCUCUACAACCGAACAUUAACAAAUUCCCAUCUGCCUCAUAACCGCGGGCACGGCUUUCGAAAGAUAAAUACCCUGCAGGGGUGUCCCAACUUAGCCCAUUAUAAGCUCUCACGGUCAACGAAGGAUAAACCUUCUCCCGGAAAGACCCGAUCAGUCUCGGAAUCCCGGUUUACAAGACAUUUCGACAAUGGUAAAACAAGACCAGCAAAGCCGCCCGAAUGUGCCGACAAAUCCCGAUAGGAGCUGCACAUAUCUCGUUCUCAGGGCACAUCGGAUAAGUCAAGCUACGAGUAAAACCAGUCCUCGAGUUUCCCCAUGGUGGCCCCGCAGGCUGCUCGGUUCGGACCAAUACUCGAAGGAGCACUGGCCCGGGGGGGUUAAAAUAAAGAUGACCCUCGGGCUCGCGAAAACCCAAUGGAAAAGGCUUAGGUGGCAAAUAGUAAAACCAAGGUUGGGCCUUGCUGGAGGAGUUUUAUUCAAGGCGAACUGUCAAGGGGGUCCCAUAAAUCACCCAACCGCGUAAGGAACGCAAACUCAAGGAACAUAAUACCGGUAUGACGGAAACUAGGGCGGCAAGAGUGGAACAAAACACCAGGCAUAAGGCCGAGCCUCCCACCCUUUACCAAAUAUAUAGAUGCAUUAAUUAAAUAAGAGAUAUUGUGAUAUCCAAAAUAUCCAUGUUCCAGCAUGGAACCAACUUCAACUUCACCUGCAACUAGCAACGCUAUAAGAAGGGCUGAGCAAAAGCGGUAACUUAGCCAAACAACGGUUUGCUAGGAAAGGAUGGUUAGAGGCUUGACAUGGCAAUAUGGGAGGCAUGAUAUAGCAAGUGGUAGGUAGCGCAGCAUGGCAAUAGAACGAACAACUAGCAAAGCAAAGAUAGAAGUGAUUUCGAGGGUAUGGUCAUCUUGCCUGCAAGGUUCUUAGAGUUGUCGAAAGCUUGAUCCUCGUAAGCGUACUCAACAGGUUCCUCGUUCACGAACUCGUCUCCCGGCUCUACCCAAAAUAAGAACACAAGCAACGGAACCAGAAUCAAUCACGGGAAAUGCACAAGCAACAUGAUGCAAAACAUGUAUGAUAUGCGGGAUAUGAUAUGCGAUGCAUAUGCGUGCUCCGGAAGAAAAAUGAUGGACAAGGAAGUAACUUGGCAAAACAAGCAUGCCACUGGAAAGAUGAGAUGAUUUCGGUCGAAAUCGAUAUAAAGAUCACCGGAAACGGAUGCACGGUUUGCAAAUGGCAAGCAAAACAAGAAUGUCACGAAUCUGUGAUUAACAGCAUGAUAGCACUUAGAAUGCAACAAGUAACAAUGCUACAGCACUCCAACAUAGCAACAAAGCAUAUGAAAGUAAUCUACAGGUGAUGCUUGACAAAAUAUGAACACUGUGCUAUGGCUAGAUCACAACACAACAGGUUAAAACAAGCAUGGCAAAAGUGCAAAAGAUAUCAGGUUCACAGACUUGGUGAAAUUACUGGACAUGCCUGAAACAGCAUCAGGUAGCAAUGUUCAGAGCACGAAAUCAACAUGCUACAGGAACUUAAAAUAGUAAAACAAGGCCUGGCAGUAAUCUACUAAAUGCAUAUGAGAAAAGUGCCUUAAUGACGAUAGGCCAGAAAGGACAAGAAGAUAUGAUGGCAACCAUGUAAACAUAGCAAGUUUCGUUAACAGGUUUCAGACAGCAGAAAACAGAGAAUGACAAAAACAAUAAUAUGAAGGCAUCUUUGUGAGCUUGAUGCACUCAUCACAAAGAAAUGUAUGACAAAACAAGCACACCUACAGCAAGAUGGCAUGUUUAACAAGCUAUCCAUGGCAAGAGCAAUUACAUAGCAUGUAUGAAACAACUACAACAAGCUUGGAAAAAUUGAAUAUCAUGUUAACAAUCCGCCAGAAAUAUUUUAUAGCAAAAGUAGAGCAAGAUUGAGUCAUUCUAUGUCACUCUAUAUUCGCAAACAAGGGCAUGAAUGGAUCAACUAUAACAAUAUCAACAAAACAUCCUUACUGAACAUCUCCAAAAGGAGCAUGGAUCUCUCUGUAGCCACAUGGAUACAUAGCAACAAAAUAACAGCAGCCACAAACAGUAAAAUUACUCAAGUCUCUGAAAUCAGAAACAUCACGAAGCCUAGUUUGCAUGCUUGUGCUAGUCACCACAGAGAUCACAAAAAUACAUGGCAUACACCUCUGUAAGAUGGCAUGGCAUACAUCAAAACACAUGUAGAGCUGAUGCCCAUAAGAUGCACACAUAAAUAGCAACAAAAAUAACAAUCCUCAAGUUCUGAUAAGUAACAGUAGUUAACAGCAACUAGCACUCUUGCACCAGAGAUUUGGGCAUCGAGAUGGACUCAAAUGAACAUGGCGUAAUGGAACAAAAUGAAGAGCAUCUCGAGAUGAACAUUUCGAUAUCCUACACGCGCGAAACGGAUCUACAUGCAGAGAGUUAUGCCAUGAGGAAGUAUGCAACCGAAUGUAAGAAAUAAAGACUUGGAGGAAAUCGGGGGAGGAAGAAAAAGUCAACCGACGCGCUGGAUCUGGAUCGGGCUCGGGCUCGUCGGCGCGCGAGCUCGCCGGAGCUGCUGCUGCCCGGAGCGGAGGAGGGACGGGGCCGGAGGAGAAGGCGACGAGGCCGGCGAGGGAGGAGACGCGGGGGUCGCGGGGGUCGCGGGCGACGGGCGGCGGAGGCGGUGGCNNNNNNNNNNNNNNNNNNNNNNNNNNNNNNNNNNNNNNNNNNNNNNNNNNNNNNNNNNNNNNNNNNNNNNNNNNNNNNNNNNNNNNNNNNNNNNNNNNNNNNNNNNNNNNNNNNNNNNNNNNNNNNNNNNNNNNNNNNNNNNNNNNNNNNNNNNNNNNNNNNNNNNNNNNNNNNNNNNNNNNNNNNNNNNNNNNNNNNNNNNNNNNNNNNNNNNNNNNNNNNNNNNNNNNNNNNNNNNNNNNNNNNNNNNNNNNNNNNNNNNNNNNNNNNNNNNNNNNNNNNNNNNNNNNNNNNNNNNNNNNNNNNNNNNNNNNNNNNNNNNNNNNNNNNNNNNNNNNNNNNNNNNNNNNNNNNNNNNNNNNNNNNNNNNNNNNNNNNNNNNNNNNNNNNNNNNNNNNNNNNNNNNNNNNNNNNNNNNNNNNNNNNNNNNNNNNNNNNNNNNNNNNNNNNNNNNNNNNNNNNNNNNNNNNNNNNNNNNNNNNNNNNNNNNNNNNNNNNNNNNNNNNNNNNNNNNNNNNNNNNNNNNNNNNNNNNNNNNNNNNNNNNNNNNNNNNNNNNNNNNNCGCGGAGUGGCCGCGGGGCGGCGGCGCGAUUCGUCCGGCGGUGGUGUACGUGUCCGGUGGUGGCAGUGGCGAUUUGAUCUAGGGUUUGAUCCGGAUUCCGGAGGGCGAGGUGUUUUAUAGGUAGAGGGAGCUAGGAGACUCCAAAUGGAGUGCGGUUUUCGCCCACAUGAUCGUGAUCGAAUGACCUAGAGCAUGGAAGUGACUAAGAGGGGUUUUGGGCUGAUUGAAGGGGUUUUUGCUGCAACACACAAAAGGACUUUGCGGUUACCCGGUUAACCGUUGGAGUACCAAACGACCUCCAAAUGAAACGAAACUUGACAGGUGGUCUACCGGUGGUAUACCAAGGCCACUUGACAAGACUCGGUCCAUUCCGAGAAUGUUCAACACCCGCUCACGAAAAGAAAACAAGAGGGGUGCGCCGGAGGAGGUGGGAGUGCCGGAUUGCAAAACGGACAGCGGGGAAAAUGCUCGGAUGCAUGGGACGAACACGUAUGCAAAAUGAGAUGCACAUGAUGACAUGAUAUGAGAUGCAUGACAUGAACAAAAUGCAAAACGAAAAACAAAAACCCGACCACGAAGGGAAUAUCAUAACACAUAGCCGAAAAUGGCAAGAGUUGGAGUUACAAAUAUGGAAAGUUACAUCCGGGGUGUUACACUAUGACGGCACGGAAGUGGCCAUCACCGCCGACUAUCCCGGUCUUCUCCCUGCUUCACACGUCAGUAAUCAGGAGACAUCUCCUCCGAAAGAGUUCCCUCGUUCUGCCUCACCCACCGCACUGUCUCGUGCUCAAAAGGGGAGGCGUUCGGUGCGCCAUGCUACCCCAGAGGCAACUCCAAAGAGAGCGGCGCCCACGCCGGGCAAGCCUUCAAAGAGGAAGGCAAACGGAGACACGGCCGAGCCUUCAUCGAAGAGGUAUGGAUUUGCAAAUAUGCCCCUUGGCAGUCGCAUCCAACUAUGACUUUUUUGUUUGUCCUAUAUCAGGAAAAGAGUUCGCCGGACUAUGUCCGAGGCUCUGGCCGGUCAUACUCCCAACAGCCGGGAUCCAGAUCCUGUCGCAAAGGCAGGGGCUGAUACGGGAGCGGGGCUGGAUUGUCCUUCGGCAGAGGAUUCAGAUGAUGUAUCCGUCAUGAACUCGGAAGUGGAGAGCGCCAUGAAUCAUCGGUGCCGGAGGGCCGUUUUACGAGACCCCAGCUUUACCAAUGAGGCAUUCAAUGCCGUCAGCUCGGCUGAUGCAUACAUCCAAGCUGCUCGAGACGGGCUUAACAGAGCCACAUACCAGCAUUUAAAAGAUAUGCAGGUAAGUUUACAUUGUCAAAUAUGAUAAAUAUAUACCAGUAGCCCCCGAGACGUGAAGCAGUUGAUACAACUGAUCUAAGGAUCGUUGUAUAACUAGGUGCUUACGGAGAAGAACAACCUGUUUUCUCGAGAGCUAGAAAGAUGUCGGACACAGCUAACUGCUGUUACUGCCGAACUGGAGAAAUCCAAGAAGGCGUCACCUGGUAAUAUUCCCCUCCAUCGAGGAAUGAUAAUUAUAUGCCAGCUAUGCUAAUACUGUUGCUUAUCUCAUGACAGGAUCGUCAGAUCAACUGGAGGAGCAACUGAAAGCCGCUCAAGCGGGAGAGAAAGAAUCCAAAAGACUACUCGCCGCGGGCGAACGUGUGCUGACCCGAGUCAGGGAGGAGAAAAACAAGAUCCAGGAUUCCAACACCCAGCUGGGCGAAGAACUGAAAGAUGUGCGGGCCCAGCUGGCUGACUCCGUGAAGGAAAAUAAAAGGCUACGAGGCGGCAUAUUCAGUAUGUGGUCAAACUUACCUUCUAGUAAUUCAGGGAUGAAAGGAACUGAUAGAGUUAUGUUUGUAGGUAUGCUGACGGGCCGUCCUGAAGAGGAGAUGUCCGGAUCGUCGGGCGAUCUGCUGCAAGAGCUGUCGCAAAUGCAUGAGCAAGCUCGGCAGGCGAUGAGAUGUGUUGCCAAGGCUUUAUGGCCAUCCGCCUCCCCUCCAGGAAGUAUGGAGGAGCUUGUACAGCUAUUCAAGGGAGCACAGUGGCGUUUCCGAUUAUGGAAAAUAUCGGCCUGCCGGGAAGGUGCACGAGAGGCCUGGGCCAUAGUGAAAACACCGUAUACCAAGCUUGAUCCGAAUCGUAUGGCCCGGGUCGGACCUCUAGGGUCAGAUGGAAAAGAAGUUCCCGUUAAUUUGGUAUAUGACCAAGUAGAAGUAGCUGCCAAGUAUUCCAGCAGGCUUGUAAGUUAGACAGUCAGCUGGACGGUAUAGAGGAGGAAAUUUUUGAGUCCAAGUGACUAUGUACUUUCCUUGACAUAUGUAACUCUAGCUGAAUUGUAAAACGAUUGUCAUGGCAGACCUUUUCGCUUUGACCUCUUGACCCGAAGGUGCGGAGUGUUUCCGAAUACCUGAGCGGCAAAAUAAAUCGGGGUAUGCGUGGAAACCAGGCAUAGGGGUCAUAGUUGUUUGAACAGACAAGUUGUAUCCGGCUAGUUAUGUCAUAUUACAUUAUGAUUGUAAGAAACAUCUUCCAGAGAGAAUAGUCCCGUUAAGGGUUCCUUUCCCUGGGUGUGCAUGCGUUAAUGUGCAUGUCCGAACUGUGAUUGAAAAAAUUGCAGUAUACAUAACAUCUGGGGGUUCACAAUGGGGUGAAUGCAAAAACAUCUUUAAUCCACUGACCGAAUAUUCCCUUAAGAACGCUAGCUUUCAGCUUCACCCAGUCUGAGGUACACAUCCGGAUGACCCGGCAGUAACAAUCGCAGAGGUGCUCCCUUUAUGCCCUAGCCGGACUAACAGGAACGUAGGGCAUAACCACAGGAGCCAGGCAACCCAGCUUGGCCAAAACUUAAGUCAUAUCGAUGCAUAUAAUGGUCAAGAAAAGGUACAUAUGGGAAAAAACGCAUAUGUGAUGAGCUUGAUGCUCGGAAAAUAAUAAUAAUAAGCUUUUGUCCGGGAAGCCCCCAGGUAAAGUGGACGUACAUGUUCGAGGAUGUGUACGUCACAGGUGCACGGUUUACCUGCGUGAAAGCUUUAAGGCUAGAAAAAAGACGAAGAAUGAAAAGAGAGGAAAAAAUAAUGGAAACAACAGGGAGAAGGAGACGAACAAAUAGUUUGGCGCUAGGCAUAGAAUCUUCAGAGUCUGGCCGCGUUCCAGGGGUUCGGCUCUAGGCGAUUGUCUGAUGCAUCAUGCAGGCGGUACGCUCCUCCAGUGAGAACUUUUUCAAUGAUGAAGGGACCCUCCCAUUUGGGCUUGAGUUUGUCCUUUUUCUUCUCCGGCAAGCGUAGAACGAGUUCGCCAGCAUUAUAAGUCUUGGCCCGUACUCCUCUGCUUUGAUAUCUACGGGCCUAUUGUUGAUAAAAUGCGAAACAGGCUUUUGCAACGUCGCGCUCCUCCUCCAGGGCAUCUAGGUUGUCCUGCCGAUCAAGCUCGGCCUCUCUCUCUCUCUCUCUCUCUUCGUACAUGCGCACUCGAGGUGAGUGAUGAAUAAUAUCGCAGGGCAACACAGCCUCCGCGCCGUACACCAUGAAGAAAGGUGUAUAUCCAGUAGUGCGGUUGGGCGUGGUCCGCAGCCCCCAGAGUACGGAGUCGAGCUCCUCAACCCAGUGCUUGUCUGAUUCUCUCAAAGACCGCACUAGUCUGGGUUUAAUGCCACUCAUAAUAAGACCAUUGGCCCGUUCGACUUGACCGUUUGUUUGCGGGUGAUAGACAAAGGCAUAAUCGAGCUUAAUGCCCAGAUUAGCACACCAGGUUAUCACCUCAUCGGCUGUGAAAUUGGAGCUGUUAUCGGUGAUGAUGCUGUGUGGAACACCAUAACAGUGCACAACACCGGAUAUGAAUGCUAUCACUGGCCCGGCCUCGGCCGUUUUAACUGGAUUGGCCUCUAUCCACUUAGUGAAUUUGUCCACCAUGACCAGCAGAUACUUUUUGUUAUGGCUUCCUCCUUUAAGGGGUCCGACCAUAUCGAGCCCCCAGACCGCGAAAGGCCAAGUGAUGGGGAUCGUUUGUAGGGCAGUGGGUGGCAUAUGGCUUUAGUUGGCGAAAAGCUAACAUCCAACGCAAUGUUGGACAAGGUCCUGUGCAUCUGCUCGGGCCGUUGGCCAAUAGAAACCUGUACAGAAGGCCUUGCUUACGAGGGCCCGAGCCGUGAUGUGAUGACCACCGAGACCGGCAUGAAUUUCAGCCAAGAGCUGCCACCCUUCUUCCUCAGAGAUACAUCUUUGAAGUACUCCGGUGGCGCUUUUCUUGUAGAGUUCUCCGUCAUGAACCUUGUAGGCUUUCGAACGCCGGACAAUGCGGCGAGCCUCAUUCUGAUCCUCGGGGAGUUCUCGCCUAUUAAGGUAGGCCAAGAUGGGUUCGGUCCAUGGGGCAAUGACUGCCAUGAUGAGAUGGGCCGACGGUGUUAUUUCGAUGGCCGAGGCCCCGAUGGUGUCAGUGUGUUCGGAAUCUAGGGAUGUGGUGGGAUCCGGACUAGUGUUGCCGCUCUCCCCUUGCCACACCACGGAAGGCUUAAAAAGCCUUUCCAGAAAGAUAUUAGGUGGGAUGGGGUCGCUCUUGGCGCCGAUGCGAGCAAGGACAUCCGCCGCUUGAUUGCUUUCUCGAGCCACAUGAUGGAACUCGAGCCCCUCGAAUCGAGCUGACAUUUUGAGAACGGCAUUACGGUAAGCUGCCAUCUUUGGAUAUUUGGCGUCGAAAUCUCCAUCUAUUUGAGAUAUUGCGAGGUUUGAGUCCCCGCGCACUUCCAGGCGCUGUAUGCCCAUGGAGACGGCCAUGCGAAGACCAUGCAAUAAGGCCUCGUAUUUGGCUGUGUUAUUGGAGUCUGUGUAUAAUAUUUGGAGUACGUAUUGGACUACGUCUCCAGUGGGGGACGUUAAAACGAUGCCCGCUCCUAAUCCUGCCAGCAUUUUGGAACCAUCGAAAUACAUAACCCAGUUGGAAUAUGUGUCGUACUCUUUAGGGAGUUCGGCCUCUGUCCAUUCGGCGACGAAGUCAGCCAGUACUUGGGAUUUAAUGGCUCGACACGGUUUGUAUGUCAUGUCGAAUGGAAGGAGCUCAAUGGCCCAUUUGGCAAUCCGACCCGUAGCAUCGCGGUUGUUUAUUAUGUCAUUGAGUGGUACUUCGGAAGCCACCGUGAUCGAACACUCCUAGAAGUAGUGUCGUAGCUUCCGGGAUGCCAUGAAGACCGCGUAUGCUAUCUUUUGAUAAUGAGGGUACCGGGAUUUGCAUGGUGUGAGGACAGUAGAUACGUAGUAUACCGGCUUCUGAAGCGGGAAUUUAUGUCCGUCCUGCUCUCUCUCAAUGACGAGCAUGGCGCUCACCACCUGGUGUGUUGCCGAUAUGUAUAAUAACAUGGGUCGCCGACGUUCGGCGCGGCCAGGAUUGGGUUGCUCGCUAGAAGGGCUUUUAUUUCUUCCAGUCCAGCCGUUGCCGCAUCCGUCCACUCGAAGUGAUUGGUGCGCCGGAGAAGGCGAUAGAGUGGCAAUGCCUUUUCUCCCAAUCUGGAGAUAAAGCGGCUUAAAGCUGCCAUGCAUCCGGCGAGUUUUUGAACCUGUUUAAGGUCUGUUGGUGUAGCCAAUUGUGACAAAACUCGGAUUUUUGCUGGAUUUGCUUCAAUUCCUCUAUUGGAAAUGAUGAAGCCCAGCAUUUUUCCAGUGGGGACGCCGAAAACACAGUUUUCCGGAUUGAGCUUGAUGUCAUAUGCACGGAGGUUGUCGAAUUUGAGACGUAAAUCGUCUAUUAGUGACUCGACGUGCCUAGUUUUGAUGACGAUGUCGUCCACGUAUGCUUCAACUGUCUUGCCGAUCUGUUUCUCCAGGCAUGUUUGAAUCAUGCGUUGGUAGGUUGCCCCGGCAUUUUUGAGCCCGAAGGGCAUGGUGUUGAAGCAGAAUGGCCCAUAUGGGGUGAUGAAUGUCGUUGCGGCUUGAUAGGACUCCUUCAUUUUGAUUUGAUGGUAUCCGGAAUAUGCAUCGAGGAAGCACAGUGAGUCGUGUCCUGCAGUAGCAUCAAUGAUCUGGUCGAUGCGGGGGAGGGGGAAGGGAUCUUUAGGGCAGGCCUUAUUGAGGUCUUUGAAAUCGAUGCACAGGCGCCAGGAUUUAUCCUUCUUUGGCACCAUCACCAAGUUUGCUAGCCAGUACGGGUGUUUUAUUUCUCUAAUGAAUCCGGCCUCGAUUAGCUUGGCUAGCUCCUCCCCCAUAGCUUGACGUUUAGGUUCGGAAAAGCGCCGUGGUGUUUGCUUGACAGGUUUAUAUCCCUUCAAUAUAUUGAGGCUGUUUUCGGCCAACCUGUGUGGGAUUUCUGGCAUAUCAGAAGGGUGCGGGAGAAUAUAUCCCAGUUCUCACGCAGGAACUCUCGUAGCGCGGCGUUGACCGUUGGGUCUAGUUGUGCCCCGAUAGAUGUUGUCUUCUUGGGGUUGAUACGUCUCCAACGUAUCUGUAAUUUUUGAUUGUUCCAUGUUAUUAUAUUAUCUGUUUUUGAUGUUUAUGGGCUUUAUUAAACACUUUUAUAUUAUUUUUGGGACUAACCUAUUGACCCAGAGCCCAGUGCCAGUUCCUGUUUUUUCCCUUGUUUCAGUGUUUCAAAGAAAAGGAAUAUCAAACGGAGUCGAAACGGAAUGAAACCUUCUGGAGAAGUUAGUUUCGGAAAGAAAGCAACCCGGGAGACUUGGAGUGCACGUUAGGAAAGCAACGAGGCAGGCACGAGGCAGGGGGGCGCGCCCUCCACCCUCGUGGGCCCCUCGUGGAUCCCCUGACGUAUUUCUUCCGCCUAUAUAUAUCCAUAUACCCUAAAACCUUCGGGGAACAGAAUAGGUCGGGAGUUCCACCGUCGCAAGCCUCUGUAGCCACCAAAAACCAAUCGGGACCCUGUUUCGGCACCCUGCCGGAGGGGGGAUCCCUCACCGGUGGCCAUCUUCAUCAUCCCGGCGCUCUCCAUGACGAGGAGGGAGUAGUUCACCCUCGGGGCUGAGGGUAUGUACCAGUAGCUAUGUGUUUCAUCUCUCUCUCUAUCUCUCUCUCUCGUGUUCUUGAUUUGGCACGAUCUUGAUGUAUCGCGAGCUUUGCUAUUAUAGUUGGAUCUUAUGUUGCUUCUCCCCCUCUACUCUCUUGUAAUGGAUUGAGUUUUCCCUUUAAAGUAAUCUUAUCGGAUUGAGUCUUUAAUGAUUUGAGAACACUUGAUGUAUGUCUUGCCGUGCGUAUCCGUGGUGACAAUGGGAUAUCACGUGAUUCACUUGAUGUAUGUUUUGGUGAUCAACUUGCGGGUUCCGCCCAUGAACCUAUGCAUAGGGGUUGGCACAUGUUUUCGUCUUGAUUCUCCGGUAGAAACUUUGGGGCACUCUUUGAGGUUCUAUGUGUUGGUUGAAUAGAUGAAUCUGAGAUUGUGUGAUGCAUAUCGUAUAAUCAUACCCACGGAUACUUGAGAUGACAUUGGAGUAUCUAGGUGACAUUAGGGUUUUGGUUGAUGUGUAUCUUAAGGUGUUAUUUUACUAUGAACUCUAGGGCUGUUUGUGACACUUAUAGGAAUAGCCCAAUAGAUUGAUCGGAAAGAAUAACUUUGAGGUGGUUUCGUACCCUACCAUAAUCUCUUCGUUUGUUCUCCGCUAUUAGUGACUUUGGAGUGACUCUUUGUUGCAUGUUGAGGGAUAUUUAUAUGAUCCAAUUAUGUUAUUAUUGUUGAGAGAACUUGCACUAGUGAAAGUAUGAACCCUAGGCCUUGUUUCCUAGCAUUGCAAUACCGUUUACGCUCACUUUUACCACUUUUUACCUUGCUGUUUUUAUAUUUUCAGAUUACAAAUACUCAUAUAUAUCAUCCAUAUUGCACUUGUAUCACCAUCUCUUCGCCGAACUAGUGCACAUAUACAAUUUACCAUUGUAUUGGGUGUGUGGGGACACAAGAGACUCUUUGUUAUUUGGUUGCAGGGUUGCUUGAGAGAGACCAUCUUCAUCCUACGCCUCCCACGGAUUGAUAAACCUUAGGUCAUCCACUUGAGGGAAAUUUGCUACUGUCCUACAAACCUCUGCACUUGGAGGCCCAAAAACGUCUACAAGAAGAAGGUUGCGUAGUAGACAUCAAGCAGUUUCUGGCGCCGUUCCCGGGGAGGUGAGUGCUUGAAGGUAUAUCUUUAGAUCUUGCAAUCGAAUCUUUUUGUUUCUUGUUUUAGCACUAGUUUAGUUUAUAAAAGAAAACUACAAAAAAAUGGAAUUGAGUUUACCUCAUACGCUUCAUCUUUUUAAUAUCUUUCGUGAGUAUGAUGGAAAAGAAAAUUGUGCCAAAGUGUUAGAAGAAGAAUGCAUUAAAAUGUUUGGCACUAAAUCUUUGAACGAUGAGCAUGAUUGCAAUGUUGUUAGUAUGAACUCCUUGAAUAUCCAUAGUACUAAUGAUGAUUGCACUAGUUAUGAUGAAAAUGUCUCCUAUAAACAUGUCAAUUUUUGUGGAGUGCAUUGGGUUUGCAAGUACACACCAAAUAGGGAAGAUAGAUAUUGCAAGAGGAAUAAGCAUUUAGAAACUAAAUGGUUGCAAGAAAGGCUAGAUGUUUGUGCUGAAAAUUUAAAUUUUCUUAGCCGUACUUGUGAACUUUGCAAUGAACAUGGUCAUUUCAGUACCCAAUGCAAAUUGUUUCAUGAUCGUAUCGUGUCCAAAAAUUGUGAUGACUUGAUUUCCCUUGCACAUCAUAAUGAACUUAGUUUGCUCUUGGGUUAUGAAGAAAUGAAACGUAUAACUAAGGUUAUUCCAGAAUUUGCCCUUGAUAGAGUUCUUCAUUUUGAUCUAGAGGAAAUUUAUAUGUAUUGCGCGGUAAAUUGCAUUGAAAAUCCUUAUAUUGCCAACUACAUAAAGAAAAGAAAACAAAUAGAAGAUGAAGAGAAUACUAAUGAAAUGGAAGAGACUUCCCAAUAUCCUCCUAUUAUUUCUUAUGAUGAAUCAGGUAACGAGGAGGAGCCUUCUAUUCAACCAAUUUCAUUAAUAAGGAGCUCCAAAAAGAGGAUUGAACCCGCACAUGAUGUGGUGAAGAAGAAGAAAAGAAAAAGGAGGAGAGGUAAAAAGAUAUCUCUCCCAAAUAAUGUUGCUCCUAUUAUUGUUGUGCCUCAUGAAAAUGAAGAUGAUGCACUUGAUGAUGAUCUCGUUAUGCCUAUUGCUUGUUGUGAUGAUUAUGAUUGGGAAGAUAAUGAUACUUCUUAUGAUCUUGAAAAUCUUUUUGGCACUUGCUUGGAAUAUGACAAUUGCUAUACUAUUGGUGCUAUCCAUACUAUUAAUGAUGAGAGUGAUUAUGCUUAUGAUAUGAAAAGGCCCAAGCUUGGGGAUGCUAUGUUUGAAGAAGAUGAUGUUUUUGAGAAUAUAUUUGCUGAAAUUAAUGUUUUUCCCAAGCUUGGGGAUGCUAUGUUUAAUAAUGAUGAUAUUUUUAGUCUCCCAAGUUUUGAUAUGCAAAGUUGUUAUGAUGAUAGCAUGCCUUCUACCUAUGAUGAUUAUAUUGAUGAAAGUGGGUUUGGAAGAGUGUCAACUUUAGGAAGUAAUGAUCCCACUAUUUUGGAGGAUGUUGAAUCUUAUAAUAUUUAUGAAAGUGGAUUUGGAGAGGUCAUGACUUUAUUUAGUGAUGUAUCCACUAUUUCGGAAGAGGUUUCAAUCGAUUAUGAUGAGAACAAAGUUGCUACUUAUGAUGAUUAUUGUGAUGAAACUUAUGCUAUAAAAAGUAGUGAUAAUUAUAAUUAUAAAACUUGUCAUGAUUAUGAUUCCCCUUUUUCUGAACAUCACUCUUUUAAUGUGGAAACAAUUUAUAGUAUUCAAGUCUCUUAUGAUACUCCCACUAUCCCAAAUGAGAAGAAUUUUGCUUAUGUGGAGAGUAAUAAAUUUUCUAUGCAAGUAGAUCAUGAAAAGAAUGCUUUAGGUGCUGGUUAUAUUGUUGAAUUCAUUCAUGAUGCUACUAAAGAUUAUUAUGAGGGAGGGAUGUAUGCUUGUAGGAAUUGCAAUAAUAUCAAGUUUCCUCUCUAUGUGCUUAAAAUCUUGAAGUUAUGCUUGUUUUACCUUCCUAUGCAAGUUGAUUCUCGUUCCCAUAAGUUGUUUGCUCACAAAAUCCCUAUGCGUAGGAAGUGGGUUAGACUUAAAUGUGCUAUUCAUACUCUUCAUGAUGCUCUCUUUAUGUUUCAAUUAUUAUCUUUAUGUGAGCAUCAUUGAAAUCAUCAUGCCUAGCUAGGGGCGUUAAACGAUAGCGCUUGUUGGGAGGCAACCCAAUUUUAUUUUAGUUUCUUGCUUUUUGGUUCUGUUUAGUAAUAAAUAAUCCAUCUAUAUUCUGUUUAGAUGUGGUUUUAUGUUUUAAUUAGUGUUUGUGCCAAGUAGAACCUUCGGGAAGACUUGGGUGAAGUCUUUAUGAUCAUGCUAUAAAAAACAGAAACUUUAGCGCUCACGAAAUUAGCUUCAAAUUUUUUACUGGAGAGUGCUAUUUAGUUGAUUCUUUUUGCAGAUGAUUACUAGACAAAUUCCUCAGGUCCACCAAUUUAUUUUAGAAUGUUUGGAGAUCGAGAAGUAUACGUUUUGAUACAGAUUACUACAGACUGUUCUGUUUUUGACAGAUUCUAUUUUUUGUGGGUUGUUUGCUUAUUUUGAUGAUUCUAUGGCUAGUAAAAUAGUUUAUAAACCAUAUAGAAGUUAGAAUACAGUAGGUUUAACACCAAUAUAAAUAAAGAAUGAGUUCAUUACAGUACCUUGAAGUGGUCUUUUGUUUUCUUUCGCUAACGGAGCUCACGAGAUUUUCUGUUGAGUUUUGUGUUGUGAAGUUUUCAAGUUUUGGGUGAAAGAUUUGAUGGAUUAUGGAACAAGGAGUGGCAAGAGCCUAAGCUUGGGGAUGCCCAUGGAACCCCCAAGAUAAUCUAAGGACACCAAAAAUCCAAAGCUUGGGGAUGCCCCGGAAGGCAUCCCCUCUUUCGUCUACUUCCAUCGGUAACUUUACUUGGAGCUAUAUUUUUAUCACCACAUGAUAUGUGUUUUGCUUGGAGCGUCUUGUAUGAUUUGAGUCUUUGCUUUUUAGUUUACCACAAUCAUCCUUGCUGUACACACCUUUUGAGAGAUACACACAUGAUUCAGAAAUUAUUAGUUUUUGCUCUAGUACUUCACUUAUAUCUUUUAGAGCACAGUGGUGGAUUUGUUUUGUAGAAACUUUUGAUCUCUCAUGCUUCACUUAGAUUAUUUUGAGAGUCUUAAAUAGCAUGGUAAUUUUCUUAAAAAAUCCUAAUAUGCUAGGUAUUCAAGAUUAGUAAAAACUUUCUUAUGAGUGUGUUGAAUACUAAGAGAAAUUUGAUGCUUGAUGAUUGUUUUGAGAUAUGAAGGUAGUGAUAUCAAAGUUGUGCUAGUUGAGUAGUUGUGAAUUUGAGAAAUACUUGUGUUGAAGUUUGCAAGUCCCGUAGCAUGCACAUAUGGUAAACGUUAUGUAACAAAUUUGAAACAUGAGGUGUUCUUUGAUUGUCCUCCUUAUGAGUGAUGGUCUUUUCCUACCAAUCUAUCCCCCUAGGAGCAUGUGCAUAGUGCUUGGUUUUUGAUGACUUGUAGAUUUUUGCAAUAAGUAUGUGAGUUCUUUAUGACUAAUGUUGAGUCCAUGGAUUAUACGCACUCUCACCCUUCCAUCAUUGCUAGCCUCUUCGGUACCGUGCAUUGCCCUUUCUCACCUUGAGAGUUGGUGCAAACUUCGCCGGUGCAUCCAAACCCCGUGAUAUGAUACGCUCUUUCACACAUAAACCUCCUUAUAUCUUCCUCAAAACAGCCACCAUACCUACCUAUUAUGGCAUUUCCAUAGCCAUUCCGAGAUAUAUUGCCAUGCAACUUUCCACCGUUCCGUUUAUCAUGACACGUUCAUCAUUGUCAUAUUGCUUUGCAUGAUCAUGUAGUUGACAUAGUAUUUGUGGCAAAGCCACCGUUCAUAAUUCUUUCAUACAUGUCACUCUUGGUUCAUUGCAUAUCCCGGUACACCGUCGGAGGCAUUCAUAUAGAGUCAUACUCUAUUCUAGUAUCGAGUUGUAAUCAUUGAGUUGUAAAUAAAUAGAAGUGUGAUGAUCAUCAUUUUCUAGAGCAUUGUCCCAAGUGAGGAAAAAAAGAGAAAGGCCAUAAAAAAAGGAGAAGGCCCAAAAAAUGAGAGAAAAAGAGGGAAGGGACAAUGUUACUAUCCUUUUCCACACUUGUGCUUCAAAGUAGCACCAUAAUCUUCAUGAUAGAGAGUCUCUUGUUUUGUCACUUUCAUAUACUAGUGGGAAUUUUUCAUUAUAGAACUUGGCUUGUAUAUUCCAACAAUGGGCCUCUUCAAGUGCCCUAGGUCUUCGUGAGCAAGCAAGUUGGAUGCACACCCACUUAGUAUUCUUUUGUUGAGCUUUCAUAUAUUUAUAGCUCUAGUGCAUCCGUUGCAUGGCAAUCCCUACUCCUUGCAUCAACAUCAAUCGAUGGGCAUCUCCAUAGCUCAUUGAUUAGCUUCGUUGAUGUGAGACUUUCUCCCUUUUUGUCUUCUCCACAUAACCCCCAUCAUCAUAUUCUAUUCCACCAUAGUGCUAUAUCGAUGGCUCACGCUCAUGUAUUGCGUGAAGGUUGAAAAAGUUUGAGCUUACUAAAGUAUGAAACAAUUGCUUGGCUUGUCAUCGGGGUUGUGCAUGAUGAGAGCAUUCUUGUGUGACGAAAAUGGAGCAUGACUAAACUAUAUGAUUUUGUAGGGAUGAACUUUCUUUGGCCAUGUUAUUUUGAGAGGACAUAAUUGCUUAGUUAGUAUGCUUGAAGUAUUAUUAUUUUUAUGUCAAUAUUAAACUUUUGUCUUGAAUCUUAUGAAUCUUAAUAUUCUUGCCACAAUAAAUAAGAUUACAUUGAUAAAUAUGUUAGGUAGCAUUCCACAUCAAAAAUUCUGUUUUUAUCAUUUACCUACUCGAGGACGAGCAGGAAUUAAGCUUGGGGAUGCUGAUACUUCUCCAACGUAUCUAUAAUUUUUGAUUGUACCAUGCUAUUAUAUUAUCUGUUUUGGAUGUUUAUGUGCUUUAUUAAACACUUUUAAAUUAUUUUUGGGACUAACCUAUUGACCCAGAGCCCAGUGCCAGUUCCUGUUUUUUCCCUUGUUUCAGUGUUUCGAAGAAAAGGAAUAUCAAACGGAGUCGAAACGGAAUGAAACCUUCUGGAGAAGUUAUUUUCGGAAAGAAAGCAACACGGGAGACUUGGAGUGCACGUCAGGAAAGCAACGAGGGAGGCACGAGGCAGGGGGUGCGCCCACCCCCCUGGGCACGCCCUCCACCCUCGUGGGCCCCUCGUGGCUCCCCUGAUGUAUUUCUUCCGCCUAUAUAUAUCCAUAUACCCUAAAACCUUCGGGGAACAGAAUAGAUCGGGAGUUUCGCCGCCACAAGCCUCUGUAGCCACCAAAAACAAUUCGGGACCCUGUUCCGGCACCCUGCCGGAGGGGGGAUCCCUCACCGGUGGCCAUCUUCAUCAUCUCGGCGGUCUCCAUGACGAGGAGGGAAUAGUUCACCCUCGAGGAUGAGGGUAUGUACCAAUAGCUAUGUGUUUGAUCUCUCUCUCUCUCUCGUGUUCUUGAUUUGGCACGAUCUUGAUGUAUCGCGAGCUUUGCUAUUAUAGUUGGAUCUUAUGUUGCUUCUCCCCCUCUACUCUCUUCUAAUGGAUUGAGUUUCCCUUUGAAGUAAUCUUAUCGGAUUGAGUCUUUAAUGAUUUGAGAACACUUGAUGUAUGUAUUGCCAUGUGUAUUUGUGGUGACAAUGGGAUAUGACGUGAUUCACUUGAUGUAUGUUUUGGUGAUCAACUUGCGGGUUCCGCCCAUGAUCCUAUGCAUAGGGGUUGACACACGUUCUCGUCUUGAUUCUCCGGUAGAAACUUUGGGGCACUCUUUGAGGUUCUAUGUGUUGGUUGAAUAGAUGAAUCUGAGAUUGUGUGAUGCAUAUCGUAUAAUCAUACCCACGGAUACUUGAGGUGACAUUGGAGUAUCUAGGUGACAUUAGGGUUUUGGUUGAUGUGUGUCUUAAGGUGUUAUUUUACUACGAACUCUAGGGCUGUUUGUGACACUUGUAGGAAUAGCCCAAUAGAUUGAUCGGAAAGAAUAACUUUAAGGUGGUUUCGUACCCUACCAUAAUCUCUUCGUUUGUUCUUCGCUAUUCGUGACUUUGGAGUGACUCUUUGUUGCAUGUUGAGGGAUAGUUAUAUGAUCCAAUUAUGUUAUUAUUGUUGAGAGAACUUGCACUAGUGAAAGUAUGAACCCUAGGCCUUGUUUCCUAGCAUUGCAAUACCGUUUACGCUCACUUUUACCACUUGUUACCUUGCUGUUUUUAUAUUUUCAGAUUACAAAUACUCAUAUCUAUCAUCCAUAUUGCACUUGUAUCACCAUCUCUUCGCCGAACUAGUGCACCUAUACAAUUUACCAUUGUAUUGGGUGUGUUGGGGACACAAGAGACUCUUUGUUAUUUGGUUGCAGGGUUGCUUGAGAGAGACCAUCUUCAUCCUACGCCUCCCACGGAUUGAUAAACCUUAGGCCAUCCACUUGAGGGAAAUUUGCUACUGUCCUACAAACCUCUGCACUUGGAGGCCCAACAACGUCUACAAGAAGAAGGUUGCGUAGUAGACAUCAGGGGUCCGUUGGAUGGACUUGGAAUUUGACUAUUUCUUCUGCUGGUUUGAAGGAGGUGGAUUUGGGUCAUUUGUCCAGGAUUACAUCGUCCUUAUCCACCGUGGAGCGCAAUGCGGUUAAUUCUUCGGCUGCGAGGGCUUCAGAUAAUGCCUCAAGGGCCAGGGACGCGGUUUUAUUUUCGGCGCGGAGUGCUAUGUCCGGGUCACUGGCGAGAGUGAUUAUGCCGUUGGGCCCGGGCAUCUUGAGCUUCAUAUACCCGUAGUGAGGUAUAGCUUGGAAGCGUGUAAAUGCAUGUCGCCCCAAUAGGGCGUGAUAUCCACUGUUGAAAGGGGCCACUUGGAAGGUUAUUUCUUCGGACCGAUAGUUCUCCGGUGUGCCGAAUACCACGGCGAGCGUGAUUUUUCCCGCGCAUUGCGCCUCCCGACUGGGAAUAAUUCCUCGGAAGGUUGUGCUACUUUGCUCGAUGCGGCUCCUGUCUAUUUCCAUUUUGCUGAGUCUAUCCUCGUAAAUGAGGUUUAGUGGGCUACCACCGUCCAUGAGGACCUUGGUGAACCGAAAGCCGUCCACGAUCAGACUGAGGACCAAGGCGACUGGUUCCCGGACUGUCCUGAAUUUUGGUUCAUCACCGGCAUUAAAAGUUAUAGCCGUGUCGUUCCAAGGGUUUAUUGCUAUGAUUCGGCAGACUUCGGCGAGGUCGCGGAGUGCCCUUUUUCGCUUGUUGUUUGAAGCGAGGGACUCGAAGACCGUCAAUACUCUGAGGUCGUCGUCUUCUGGGGGUGUUGCUCUGGGGUGUUUUUGGCGACGAUAUCCUCGCCGCUCUUGGCCACUUGCCGGAGUAUCCAACAUGCUCUAAGGUUGUGGGUUGAUAUGGUAUCCGGUGUUGUGUGUAUUCUGCAUGCCCAUCGAGCCAUCCCUCCAGAACGGUUCUGUGCCCCAUAACGGGCUUAUAUUUCUUUACCAUUGGGUCGGGCGUGCCACGAGGGUGCGUCCUUUUCGCCUGAACAAGGGGUUGGGUGGAAACCGGUGGUUCCCAGCGAGCUGCCUGAGUUUUCCACGCACUUUCCAUUGCGCAGUACUUGUGUACUAUGGUUGCCAAGUCAGCGAAGCGUGAUACACGAUGGCGGUUGAUGGCGUUGAGGAUUCCUUCAUCCGUGCAAUUGUUGCGGAACGCUGAGAUCGCGUCUCCGUCGCGGCAAUCUUUAAUCUUGUCUUUGACAAGGAGGAAUCUGGCCCAGAAGUGGUGGACCGUUUCUUGAGACUGCUGUCGUAUGCCCAUGAGAGCGCUUAUAUCUGGGUGGGUGGGUGGAUUUAAAUCCGAAUCCUGACCCAAUUUGGGAUUCGGAGUCUGAAGAACUUCCGAACUUAAUAGUUCGGGCUCCGGGAUGUCAACUGAUUUUUUAGGCUUGUCGUCCGAUUCUAUGUUCGAAGUACAGGACGUGUCUUUCAGCAGGCAGGUCUCCGACUCUUCAAGCUCGGAGAUCCGAACAUAGUUCGUCCUUAGUAUGGAGGAAGAAUUGUUGUCUUGCUCUUCAACUACCGCUAUUUGAUGGGUGAUCGGUGGAGUUUUAAUUUCCCUCUGGUCGGGUUUAAGCCCAAUCCGAUCAUAGUCUGUGGCGACCCCCAGGGCGGCGAUGCGAUCUAGGAGCUCGUUUAAAGACGAAAACUCCGCCGGAUCCAUCUGCUUGGAGUAUUUGGAGUCAACAUGGAGGAAAUUUUUGAUGACCCGAGAAGUGAUCCUCGGCUUAAUGGUCGAACGGGUGGUCAUCGUGAAGCCGCCCAACCGGAGGGUUUGGCCUGGGGCCAGUGCUCCUCCGGAGGUGAUAUUGUCCUUGAGAACAAGGCGAGCCAUCGAUCCUGUCUUCGACGUCACAGCGGAACUCUCAAUGAAAGCAUCAAUGUCGGUGUCAAAACUGGCGGAUCUCGGGUAGGGGGUCCCGAACUGUGCGUCUAAGGUCGAUGGUAACAGGAGAUAGGGGACACAAUGUUUACCCAGGUUCGGGUCCUCUCUAUGGAGGUAAUACCCUACUUCCUGCUUGAUUGAUCUUGAUGAAUAUGAGUAUUACAAGAGUUGAUCUACCAUGAGAUCGUAAUGGCUAAAACCCUAGAAGUCUAGCACGUAUGACUGCGAUUAUGAUUAUUCGCCUCUACGAACCUAGCCCUCCAGUUUAUAUAGACACCGGAGGGGACUAGGGUUACACAAAGUCGGUUACAGAGAAAGGAAUCUUCAUGCUUGGUCGCCAAGCUUGCCUUCCACGCCAAGGAGAGUCCCAUCCAGACACGGGUAGAGUCUUCGGUCUUUGUAUCUUCACAGACCAUCAGUCCGGCCAACGGCUAACAGGCCGGAUGCCCGAGGACCCCUUAGUCCAGGACUCCCUCACCCCCUUUUAUAGAUUAUGGUGUCACCACAAUGGCAAAGUAGUCAUUAUCCACUGAUAUGAUAGCAAAUAGUGCUAUCAUACCUAACUCCGUGGGCUGACAGGGUGCAUUAAAUGAACCACUUAGUGUCACAUCACUGGUUGCCCGGCAAGGCUUGCCGGGCUAUCUUGCCAGCUCCAUGCCUGUUCCCUUGACACAUCGCAGGACAUGUGUCAUCUGUGGGUUUCUUCUGUAGGAAAUGGCUGCCAUGUGGCGAAUGACUGCCACUUAAUCAUCUUGCGGCUUGACACCGCACUGAUUGACGACGUGGGUCGUGCUUGAUUUGUUGGUGGGGUGGUUCUGCCCCUGCGAGCCCCGGCAAACCAUGCCGGGGUGCCUUGGUUGCCUGCUCCUGGCGGUGGCCUCGCCCCUUGCCGGGCUCGCCUGCCCGGCAAGGUAUGCCCUUCUCUUGUCGAUAGCUUGCUCCUCUGGCUUGAUCCUGGUUCCUCUGAACUGCAUGUUGUUCUUCAAAUCUCUUGGUUCUUCAAAUCUCUUGGUUCUUCAAUCUCUGACUUAAGCUGGUGUCUUAAUCUAAUUCUUGUGCCUGUGCACAGUCAGGGCAAUGGACCCAGGGUUUGUUGCACCGACACCCCCCUCCCUCUUUUCGGCACGAAGGGAAUCCUAAGCUAUGAAUGCAUGCCCCUCCAACCGAGGUUCACCUAGCAAAGUGCAAAGUAGCUAGCAGCCCCCCUCCCUCAUGCCGGCACAAAGGGAAUCCUAAGCUAUGAAUGCAUGCCCCCCAACCGUUGUUCACCUNNNNNNNNNNNNNNNNNNNNNNNNNNNNNNNNNNNNNNNNNNNNNNNNNNNNNNNNNNNNNNNNNNNNNNNNNNNNNNNNNNNNNNNNNNNNNNNNNNNNNNNNNNNNNNNNNNNNNNNNNNNNNNNNNNNNNNNNNNNNNNNNNNNNNNNNNNNNNNNNNNNNNNNNNNNNNNNNNNNNNNNNNNNNNNNNNNNNNNNNNNNNNNNNNNNNNNNNNNNNNNNNNNNNNNNNNNNNNNNNNNNNNNNNNNNNNNNNNNNNNNNNNNNNNNNNNNNNNNNNUGUGUCGGCACGAAGGGAAUCCUAGCUAUGAAUGCAUGCCCCCCCCAACCGAGGUUCACCUAGCAAAGUGCAAAGUAGCAGCCCCCCACACACACACUCUUUUAGUCGGCGGGCCAGAGAGGCAUAUCUCACCAAGAUGGAUCGUAAAACGGACCAAGAAUAAUCCACCUUGGUCGUACAAUAUCUCUCUUGUUGUUGGUCAAAGUGAUGGCCAUCCAUGCGACCCCGGAGAUGGGCUAGCUCGCCAAUAAUCACGCAAGUAGCUAGUCCCCGAAGACAACCACUACAUGCGUGUGGCCCAAACAUAUGUAUGGAGAGGUGUGUUUUUGAGUACACAAUUGAACAACUUUGAUGUGGCACCGUGAUUUCGAACUAGAGAUCCCCACACUGAGUGAGGGUUAGGUUGAUGAUGCAUAUGUAUGUUACACCACACUUCAAGCCAACAACGGGGAUUCAGGCAUGCAUGCGUGCAUAGUAUAUGUGCUCAAACUUAAUUAUGUCUGAAUCUCACCAUGACCUAUACUACGAUAACACGAACCAAAUGAAGAAUCCGCCAUGGUAACCUAUCUUGUUGUCGGUCAAGGUGAUCAUGGAUGUCCACGCGGGCCCACAAAUAUAUAGGCUUGUCGCCGAUAACCACGCGAGGGAGUGUACCGUUCAAAGGCAACCACUACAUGCAUAUGUACGGAGGUGAUAAGUGCAUGCAUGUUUGAAUACCAUUUCACAAGAUUGAUGUGGCGCGUGCGUCGAAAAUCAUACACUCCCCACACAGAGCGAGAUCGGUUCAUGACGUGUCGUUGUACUAGCCACUUCGACUCGAUGGGAGGGAUUCAUGCGUACACAUGCAUGUGUGUGUGCUCAAACUGUAUCAUGCAUGUCCUCCCAGAGCAUGACCUAUAUGUAUACCGUAUUACAAGCAAAAAAAUCCCCUCCUAAGUCAAAUUAACCUCUCUCGUUGUCACGCAAAAAGUAGUGAUGGACCAAGCGGGCCCACAGAUGGAAAGCAUCGAUAUCGCUGAUAACCGCUUAAGUGGGUACGAGAGGACAACCACCAUCACUUUGCAUGUGGGCCAAACAUAUAUAUGUUGAAUACCCAAAAUGAACGACUUUGAUGUGCCACAUGCCUCAAAAACCGUAAACCAUGCACCCACACAGAGCGAGGUUCAUGAAGCGUACUACAUAUGAUGGUCCCUUCCCCCCUCUUCGACGCAUACUAUAUGCUCCUACCGUAAUAUGUACAACCCAAAAGAAUCCUCAUCGAUGGUGAAUUUAAUUAACCUCUCCCAAUGUAGGUCAAAGUGAUGCAUGCAUGCAUCGAUGAUGGCCUCGUGGGCCCACAGAUGGAAGCGUUACACGUGAGUGCCCUAGCUAGGAUAACCACCGCGUGCAUGCAUGUGGCCCAAAGAGGUAUUGUGUGAUGUUUGAAUAGCCAAUUUCACAAUUUUGAUGUGGCACGUGCCUCGGAAACCAACAAGUCCCGACACUAAGUGAGGUGUACUUGUUCACGGACGCGUACGUAUAGUAUAGAUGCUAGUCCCUUCCCACCUCUUCGACGCGUACUAUAUCCCACCAUAACACAAACAAAAAAAGAUUCUACCUUGCUGGUCAAAUUAACCUCACUGUCGGCUGUUCGUCAAAGUGAUGGACGACAACCUCGCGGGCCCACAGAAAGCGUCACACACGAGUAUCGAGUGUCGUGUAGGACAACCAUCGACCGCAUGUGGCCAAAACAUGUAUGCAUGAAAGGGUUGUGUAAUGUUUUAAAUAACGAAUUCAUGAAUUUGAUGUGGCACCGGCCUACCUAACAAAACGGCCAACCCACACGGUGGCUCAAAACUCGUAGUGUACUGUGAGCCACCCGCCACCCCCAGACGCACACACCCACACACACACCGCGAAUCCACCGCAACUACGAUGCAUGUUAAAUUAAUUAUCCCGCGGUGAACAUAUGUUACCAAAGGAGGGACAUUUUAAUUUCGAAAAAAACAAAGAGCAUUAAGACAUUUUAGUACAUUAAUUGAUUGAUUUUCUACGGGUAUAAUGUGCAAAAAUCAAAUUUGAGCUAUAUGCACACGUGGCAGUGCACCUAAAUGGAUUGCAAAAACACAUGUGUCUCACUGGGUGCAUGUUUACUCCCCGUGCAACAAAUUUCAAACAUUGAGAAUCUUGAAUUUUAAAUUCUAGUACAUCCAAAACUUAUUUGAAGUUCAUGAAACUUAUUGUGCUGUCAUAUGGACACCAAUACAAAGUGGCAUUGUACUUUUUUUGUUAAAUUUGAGACCAGUUUUGAUGUAAUCUUUAUCUAAUUACAAACGGGAGAUUAUUAAUAAUUGGGAACCAAUAUCCCAAACGGAUUAUUUAUUCGAACCGUGAGUGUUAGACCAACAAUGGAUACGUGCCAUGCUUCGGUUAAGCAAUAAAGCGGUAGCAUUAAUCAUCCAAAUAGAAAAAUAAUAUACGUGCCGCCGCGCGACCCGUGUGUCGUGCGAGCAGGCGUGAGUUGACGGGACGCAUGCGAGCAGUCCGCCGCGCAGGCAGACCGGGAGGCGUGCAUGCAGGUGUGUGAAAUGAUGGAGGCGUUCUCGCUGCGCAGUGUCAUCGGGAGGCGUGCGAGUAGCCGUGUGAAACUUUGGUAGGCAUGCCAGCAGUCCGAUGCAUAGGCUCACCGGGAGGCGAGCCAUCGGUUUGACCGCUGCCCGCCUCUCUCCCACAACUCCCACUACUCCAUAUUAAUGGUGCACCCGAGCGGCCGCACCCCCCAUCCUCUGUCUUGUUAUCGGACUUCGCACACGUUUCCGAUUACAGACAUGUUUGCUGUGUAUCACACACAUCUUGUUAAGUUGAACCGUUACUAUUCUCUUGUCUCAACGCAAACAGUUCAUCCGAGUGAACCGCAUGCCGUAUAUUGCACACACAUUGAUCUGGCUGACCGUUUCUUUUGUGUUGCCUAAUCACAAACAGUUCAUCCGAGUGAACCGUAUGUUGUACAUUGCCCACACCUUCAUCUGGCUGCCCGUUUCUUUUGCUCCUCCUCAUCGCAAACAGUUAAUUAAACUGAACCGUAUGCCCUGCAUCGCACACGCAACUAGAAUCUGAACCGUGUUUGAUGCAUCCUCCAUCGCAAAUGUUUUGCACCUUUUUUGACGGUUUUUUUACAACACCGUUUGCGAUUAUUGCAUCGCACACAGUUUCGCCGAAGGGUCUCUGAUUGUACUGCCGCAUUAGCAGCAUCCUACAGUAGUGGGGGCUCACAAUCAUAAAAGAUGUCCAAGAUAGUGUAUUUGCAUGUGAAUCUUCUCUUCCCUUAUUAAUUCUUUCAUGAAUUGCAUGAUUGACCAAUGUUAUGUUUGUCAACUUUCAACAAAUUUACCACUUUUACUUUUCCUUAUGUGAUGUAAUUACUUACAAUAAGAUUAGCAUAUGAUAUUUUUCAUUAUUUUCUUUUAUUUUGAUUGAAACAAAAAAGCAAAGAAUCAAAAACUCAAACUAAACUUUAUUAUAUAACUCUCACUCGAUUACAUAGAUAGAUAGAUCACGAAGCUAAUACUCGAGAAAUAGAUCGAACUAAACUUUUAUUCAACUAGUUCAUAAGAUAACUAAAGAUCGAACUAAGAUAGGUAGAGGUAAUUAAAAGUGAUGGUGAUACAAUACCCAUGUACUCAAGUCUCCUUUGGUGGGGAAGAUGAUGAUGGAGGUGGUGAUGAAGUAGUAGGUUUGUCCUCCGGCUUCCAUGGCAGCGGCUCACCAUCAUAAGAGGAAGCAUGAGUCUCACGAGUCCUACAACUGGCAGCCAAACUCAUACCUUUAGAUCUUGCCUCAUAUUCAAAGACUUGACUUUGGGGAUCAUAGAUUUUUCUCUGUAGAAACUUGAUUUGAUCGAUGAGGGUGAAGACGAUGUCCUUCAUAGACCGACACGGGUAUAGCGAGGUGUUGUACAAAUGGUUUUUAACCCCUAUCCACGACGGUGUUUUGUACCGUCGCCUAGUGAUUGGCUGCGAUACGGGGGUCCUUCCCACACGACCCAGAAACCGUCGGGGAUAGGGAGCCUUGAUGCAUACAGUUGUCCUAUAAAACUAUUUCUGAUAUCUCGAAUAUCCCAAAUGCUUCAUCCUUGCUACUCGUUCGUGCUUGCAUUUCCAUCGCAGUCGGAGUUCUGUUGUUUUACCUAAAACCAGGCACAUUCCAGGCACGGGAGUUUUCCAAGCACGUACCAAACUGGCUCUACGUUUACAAUGCCUAGCACAUCACAAACAGUUCAUGAUUGUAAACCGUGUACGAUAGGUCGACAAUCACGCACAUUUAGUUUUCCCGCACCAUUUGUGAUAUUGUCUGACAUCACACACGCUUUGCAAACGGCAACUGUGUGCAUGGUUACACAUGUUUCCUCUCCGUGAACCGUGUCAUAUUAUGAUGCAUAUCACACAUGCUGUGCUUUAUAGACCGUGUGUGCUGUAAUGACCUGCAGACCGUAAUUUCACCCUAAUUUAAUUGCCGCUAUUUAAAAUUAUACCUAAUUUGAAUUCGAAACUAGGCUAUAGCUUUAUUCAUAUUCAUCAAGUUCAAACAACCAAUGCAUUAUUCGGUUCACAUGUACAUAUCUUCAAGAAUUACAUAAGAAACAAAUAAAGAAUGAUGAACCAGGGUUCUAUACUUGUACUAUUGCAGAUGGUAAAGAAAGAGGCGAAGAGACAUUCUGGUUGCUGAACAAGGUGAAGCGGAAUGGCCCUAUUGUGCUCUCCUGGAUGCAGAAGGCACGUACAACUCUAGUCCAGCCCCUUGCGAUGGCCGGAAGCCAAUCAUGUAGUUUGAGAGGUAAUCUUUAGUAAACUGCUUCAGGAUCCAUUGCAAAGGAAAAAGAUUAAGACAUUGUCAUCUAACACUACUCAUUACGGGCAGUAAAAAGAAGGCUAUGAUACGUCCAUUUUGCAUCAUGCUUUUAUAUUGAUAUUUAUUGCAUUAUGGGCUGUUAUUACACAUUAUAUCACAAUAAUUAUGCCUUUUCUCUCUUAUUUUAUAAGGUUUACAUGAAGAGGGAGAAUGCCGACAACUGGAAUUCUGGACUGGAAAAGGAGCAAAUAUUAGAGACCUAUUCUGCACAACUCCAAAAAUCCUAAAACUUCACGGAGAAUAUUUUUGGAAUAUAUAAAAAAUAUUGGGCGAAGAAAAUACCAGGGGGGCACCAGCCAGCCACAAGGGUGGAGGGCGCGCCCCCCGUCCUUGUGGGCCCCCUGGCAGGCCCCCGACGCCCAUCUUUUGCUAUAUGGUGUGUUUUGACCUGGAAAAAAAUCAGAAGGGAGCUUUCGGGAUGAUAACCCACAAGUAUAGGGGAUCAACUGUAGCCUCUUUCGAUAAGAGUGUCGAACCCAACGAGGAGCUAAAGGUAGAAUAAAUAUUCCCUCAAGUUCUAUCGACCACCGAUACAACUCUACGCACGCUUAACGUUCGCUUUACAUAGAACAAGUAUGAAACUAGAAGUACUUUGUAGGUGUUGUUGGAUAGGUUUGCAAGAUAAUAAAGAGCACAUGAAUAAAUUCUAGGGGUUGUUUAGAUAAAGAAACAACUAAUUUAGUUUCAGUAGAGAGCUUUUUGUCACGAGAAAGUUAUUUGUCCCUAGACAAUCGAUAACUAGACCGGUAAUCAUUAUUGCAAUUUUAUUUGGAUUGGAACUGUAGCAAGCAUCCGCAACUACUAAAGAUCAUUAAGGUAAAACCCAACCAUAGCAUUAUAAGGCAUCAAGUCCUCUUUACUCCCAUAUGCAAACAACCUACUUACUCGGGUCUGUGCUUCUGUCACUCACGCCACCCACCAUAAGCAAAUCAUGAACAUAUUGCAAACCCUACAGCGGGGAUCCCUCACACUUGCGCGACACAGAGAGCACCAUAGGACAACACCAAUAAUAAAACAUGCAACUCAAACCAAUCACGAUCAUCAAUUAACCCAUAGGACAAAACGGAUCUACUCAAACAUCAUAGGAUAGCCAUACAUCAUUGGGAAAUAAUAUAUAGCAUUGAGCUCCAUGUUUAAGUAGAGAUUACAAUGGGCAAAAGAGGGGUUACACCGCUGCAUAGAGGGGGAAAGAGUUGGUGAUGACGGCGGUGAAGUUGUUGGUGUAGAUCAUUGUCGCGAUGAUGGCCCCGGCGGUGUUCCAGCGCCACCGGAAGAGAGGGGGAGAGAGCCCCCCUUCUUCUUCUUCUUCCUUGACCUUCCCCCUAGAUGGGAGAAGGGUUUCCCCUCUGGUACAUGGCCUCCAUGGAGGCGGAGGGGCGAGAGCCCCUCUGAGAUUGGAUCUCUCACUCUCUCUCUAUAUGUUUCCUUCUGUUUCUGUGCUCCCUGAUUCUGCCCUUUCACCGUUUCUUAAAUUAACGGAGAUCCGUAACUCCGAUUGGGCUGAAAUUUUGACACGAUUUUUAUCCGAAUAUUGGCUUUCUUGCGGAGAAAUAAGGGCACCAACCGCCUUAGAGAGUGUUCACAAGGGCCCAGGGCGCGCCCUACCCCCUGGGGCGCGCCCCUCACCCUCGUGGGCCCUUCAGGCAUCGUCUCGCAUUGAUACCACUUCCCAAAAUUCACAUAUAUUCCAAAAAAAUCUCCAUAAGUUUUUAUCCCGUUUGGACUCCGUUUGAUAUGGAUUUUCUGCGAAACAAAAAACACGCAACAAAUAAGAACUGGCACUGGGCACUGGAUCAAUAUGUUAGUCCCAAAAAUAGUAUAAAAAGUUGCCAAAAGUAUGUAUAAGUUGUAGAAUAUUGGCAUGGAACAAUCAAAAAUUAUAGAUACGACGGAGAUCAAUGUUAUCAUGGCUUAUGUGAUGCGGGUGAUAGUGUGAGUGCAAUUCCUUAUACUACGGAGAUCAUAGAAAUUCCCUUUGGCACAUGGGAGUAUAUGCUCCUGCCAUCAAAAAAUAUAUUUCAAAAUGUCAAAAAAUUCUGAACACAAAUUUGACAGGCACAUCUCAACAUUGUAUGUGCGCACGCCAAGUUUCAUGAAAAACCGACAUUUUAUACGCCUUGUGUAAAAAGACAAAAAAAAGUCUCAUGAAAAUCCUUUUUUAACACUAAAUUUUGUCUUUUUUGCAUGUGACACAAAAAUUGUCGGUUUUCUACGAAACGAGUUUGUAUGCACUUAGAAUGUUAAGAUGUACGCGAGAAUCAUUCUGUCAGAAUUUUGUUACAUUUCAAAAUAUGUUUAAACACAAUUUAAAAUCCAGGAGCAUAUGCUCCCAUGUGCCAAAACGCCACUCUCGUUAUUGUUAUUAUGAAUGAUAUUGCACCUGCUGAGAUAGAAGCUAUUUAUGUUACUAUUAAGCUUGCCAAUAGAGGUACUAUAUCACCAAUUGGGAUUGUUAGAGAUGUUGAAGUCUUGUGUGGGAAAAUAAAAUACCCUACUAAUUUUCUUGUUCUUGGUUCCCCACACGAUAAUUUGUGUCCUAUUAUAUUUGGUAGACCUUUCUUGAAUACUGUUAAUGCUAAGAUAGACUGCGAGAAAGGUAUUGUUACUGUUGGUUUAGGGGAUAUGUCUCAUGAUUUUAAUUUCUCUAAAUUUCGUAGACAACCCCGUGAUAAAGAAUUGCUUAGUAAGGGUGAAAUUAUCGGUCUUGCUUCUAUUGUCGUGCCUCCUACUGAUCCUUUAGAACAAUAUUUGCUAGACCAUGAAAAUGAUAUGUUUAUGAAUGAAAGAAGGUAAAUGGAUGAAAUAUUCUUCAGUCAAGGGCCUGUUUUGAAACACAAUUUGCAUGUUGAAAUCCUUGGAGAUCCUCCUCCACCCAAGGGUGAUCCCGUGUUUGAGCUUAAACAAUUACCCGAUACUUUGAAAUAUGCUUAUCUUGAUGAAAAGAAGAUAUAUCCUCUUAUUAUUAGUGCUAACCUUUCAGAGCAUGAAGAAAAGAAAUGAUUGAAAACUUCAAAAAAACACUGUGCUGCUAUUGGAUAUACUCUUGAUGAUCUUAGGCAUUAGUCCCACUCUAUGUUAGCACAAAAUUAAUUUGGAGAAAGAUGUUAAACCAGUUGUUGAUCACCAGAGACGGUUAAAUCCUAAAUUGAAAGAAGUGGUAAGAAAUGAAAUACUAAAGAUUCUGGAGGCAGUAUAAUUUAUCCCAUUGCUGAUAGUAGAUGGGUAAAUCCCGUUCAUUGUGUCCCUAAGAAGGUAGGUAUUACUGUUGUUCCCAAUGAUAAGAAUGAAUUGAUCCCACAAAGAAUUGUUACAGGUUAUAGAAUGGUAAUUGAUUUUCGCAAAUUGAAUAAAGCUACUAGAAAAGAUCAUUACCCUCUACCUUUUAUUGAUCAAAUGCUAGAAAUAUUAUCCAAACAUACACAUUUUUGCUUUCUAGAUGGUUAUUCUCGUUUUUCUCAAAUACUUGUGUCAAAAGAUGAUCAGGAGAAGACCACUUUUACUUGCCCUUUCGGUACCUUUGCUUAUAGACGUAUGUCUUUUGGUUUAUGCAAUGCACCUGCUACCUUUCAAAGAUGUAUGACUGCUAUAUUCUCUGAUUUUUGUGAAAAGAUUGUUGAGGUUUUCAUGGAUGAUUUCUCCGUUUACGGAACUUCUUUUGAUGAUUGCUUAAGCAACCAUGAUCGAGUUUUGCAGAUAUGUGAAGAAACUAAUCUUGUUUUGAAUUGGGAGAACUGCCACUUUAUGGUUAAUGAAGGUAUUGUCUUAGGACAUAAAAUUUCUGUAAGAGGUAUUGAAGUUGAUAAAGCUAAAGUAGAUGCUAUUGAAAAAAUGUCGUGUCCUAAAGAUAUCAAAGGUAUAAGAAGUUUCCUUGGUCAUGCUAGUUUCUAUAGGAGGUUUAUUGAAGACUUCUCUAAAAUUUCUAGGCCUCUCACUAAUCUCUUGCAAAAAGAUGUUCCUUUUGUUUUUUAUGAAGAUUGUGUAGAAGCAUUUGAAAUACUUAAGAAAGCCUUGAUUUUUGCACCUAUUGUUCAGCCACCUGAUUGGAAUUUACCCUUUGAAAUUAUGUGCGAUACUAGUGAUUAUGUUGUUGGUGCUGUUCUAGGACAAAGAGUUGAUAACAAAUUGAAUGUUAUUCAUUAUGCUAGUAAAACUCUAGACAGUGCCCAGAGAAAUUAUGCUACUACUGAAAAAGAAUUUUUAGAGGUUGUUUUUGCUUGUGAUAAGUUCAGAUCUUAUAUUGUUGAUUGCAAAGUAACUGUUCACACUAAUCAUGCUGCUAUUAAAUAUCUUAUGGAAAAUAAAGAUGCUAAACCUAGACUUAUUAGAUGGGUUCUCUUAUGACAAGAAUUUGAUUUGCAUAUUGUUGAUAGAAAGGGAGCUGAGAACCCCAUUGCGAACAACUUGUCUAGGUUAGAGAAUGGUCUUGAUGAACCACUACUUAUUGAUGAUAGCUUUCCUGAUGAGCAAUUAGCUGUCAUAAAUGCUUCUCAUAAUACUCCAUGGUAUGCCGAUUAUGCUAAUUACAUUAUUGCUAAAUUUAUACCACCUCGUUUCACAUACCAGCAAAAGAAAAAGUUUUUCUAUGAUUUAAGACAUUACUUUUGGGAUGACCCACACCUUUAUAAAGAAGGAGUAGAUGGUAUUAUUAGACAUUGUGUACCUGAGCAUGAACAGGGACAGAUCCUACGCAAGUGCCACUCCUAGUCUUACGGAGGACACCACGCUGGAGAUAGAACUGCACAUAAGGUAUUGCAAUCUGGUUUUUAUUGGCCUACUCUCUUUAAGGAUGCUCGUAAGUUUGUCUUGUCUUGUGAUGAAUGCCAGAGAAUUAGCAAUAUUAGUAGACGUCAGGAAAUGCCUAUGAAUUAUUCACUUGUUAUUGAACCAUUUGAUGUUUGGGGCUUUGAUUAUAUGGGACCUUUUCCUUCCUCUAAUGGGUAUACAUAUAUUUUAGUUGCUGUUGAUUACAUUACUAAGUGGGUAGAAGCUAUUCCAACUAGUAGUGUUGAUCAUAACACUUCUAUAUAUUAAGAUGCUUAAAGAAGUUAUUUUUCUGAGGUUUGGAGUCCCUAGAUAUUUAAUGACUGAUGGUGGUUCACAUUUUAUUCAUGGUGCUUUCUGUAAAAUGCUUGCUAAGUAUGAUGUUAACCAUAGAAUUGCAUCUCGAUAUCAUCCUCAGUCUAGUGGUCAAGUAGAAUUGAGCAAUAGAGAGAUUAAAUUGAUUUUGCAAAAGACUGUUAAUAGAUCUAGAAAGAAUUGGUCUAAGAAACUUGAUGAUGCAUUAUGGGCUUAUAGAACUGCUUAUAAGAACCCAAUGGGUAUGUCUCCGUAUAAAAUGGUUUAUGGAAAAGCAUCUCACUUACCUAUUGAAUUAGAACAUAAGGCAUAUUGGGCUAUUAAAGAGCUGAAUUAUGAUUUCAAACUUGCCGAUGAGAAGAAGUUAUUUGACAUCAGCUCGCUUGAUGAAUGGAGAACCCAAGCCUCUGAGAAUGCCAAGUUAUUUAAAGAAAAGGUUAAAAGAUGGCAUGACAAGAGGAUUAAAAAACAUGAGUUUAAUGUAGGUGAUCAUGUUUUGCUAUACAACUCUCGUUUAAGAUUUUUUGUAGGAAAACUUCUCUCUAAAUGGGAAGGUCCUUACAUUAUCGAGGAGGUCUAUCGUUCCGGUGCCAUAAAAAUCAACAACGCCGAAGGCACAAAUCCGAAGGUGGUAAACGGACAAAGAAUCAAACAUUAUAUCUCAGGUAAUCCCAUAAAUGUUCAGACCAAUAUAAUCAACACCGUAACACCGGAGGAGUACAUAAGGAACACUUUCCAGAACGUUUCAGACUCCGAAAAGGAAUAGGUAUGUGGUACAGUAAGUAAACCGACUCCAAAACUGUUCAAAUAGCAUUUUUUCUCUGUUUUGGAAUAUUUAAAAAAUUAGGAAAAUUAAAAGUAGUCCGAAAGAGACAUGAGGCAACCACAAGGGUGGAGGGUGCGCCCUACUCCCUUAGGCGCGCGCCCUGACCUUGUGGCCACCUCGUGUGGCCUCCGGACUCCGUUUUCUUGCACGAUACUUUUUUUGGUCGGUAAAAAUUCAUUAUAUAAUCUCCCGAAGGUUCUGACCACCGUACCAUGGCAAAAUCCCAUGUUUUUGUUUUGAGCUAUUUUUGCAGUAGAUUUAAAGCAAUAUGUCGUCCCAAUAUUCGGAGGGAGAGAGCUAUGUAGCUGAUUACAUUGCAGACCCCAAGGUCUACGGGGAUUUGGAACAUUAUGGUUGGAGCACUAAGGAAGAAGAAGACUAUGAUCCAAAAGGAAAGGAAGAGACAAGUUCCGAUGAAGAGGAAGUCCCGCUACCCCAACCUGGGGACAUGCACGUGGAGUUCAAAAUGUCAAGUCUCCCGAACAAAGCAAACAAACCAAAGAUCGAGUUUAUCCCUUUUAGUCUUCUGCAGGAGAACAAGCAAGAAUUAUGCAGAAGGAUAUUAACACUGGAGCAGGAGAUCAGUGAAAUGGAGGAAAAUUCCAUCCUCAAGCGUAGGCUGAGGAAAAAGGACAAGCCUACAUCAUCAACAACUCCAUCAUCACCACCUCCGAAGAAAGAGACAUAAACACAGGGGUAUGGGCACUCCCCUUGGCAACUGCCAAGCUUGGGGGAGGUGCCCUGGUAUCAUAUCACCAUCACACCUUUACCUUUAUCAUUUUUCUUAGUUCGAUCCUUUUGGUUAUAUCUUGAUCUAGUAGAAUACAGUUUUGAGUAUGAUCUAGCUUUGAGUUUUGUAAUCGAGUCCGUGAGUUAUAUAUAAUAAAGAGUAGUUUUGAGUUGAGGGCCUUUACUUUCUUGCUAUGAUCUUGAGGGAAUAAAAUUAACGAAAGGAUAAAAAGAAAUAAAAAGAUCCUAUAUUGAUCUUAUGGAAAGUAAUGACUUCACAUAUAAAGAGUAUGAUGAAUAAAAGUUGUUGAGAGUUGGCAAACAUAGUUUUGGUCAUUGUUGCAAUUAAUAGGAGGUAAUAAAGAAAGAGAGGCUUCACAUAUAAAUAUACUAUCUUGGACAUCUUUUGUAAUUGUGAGCACUCAUUAAAAUAUGACAUGCUAAAAAGUUGAUGUUGGACAAGGAACACAACAUAAUGGGUUAUGUUUUCUUAUAUCUGAAUAGAAGGUAUAUUAUCAUGGAUCAUCCAACAUGUUGAGCUUGCCUUUCCCUAUCAUGCUAGCCAAAUUCUUUGCACCAAGUAGAGAUACUACUUGUGCUUCCAAACAUCCCUUAAACCAGUUUUGCCAUGAGAGUCCACCACACCUACCUAUGGAUUGAGCAAGAACCUUCAAGUAAGUUGUCAUCGGUGCAAGCAAUAAAAAUUGCUCUCUAAAUAUGUAUGAUCUAUUAGUGUGAAGAAAAUAAGCUUUAUACGAACUUGUGAUAUGGAAGAAAUAAAAGCAACGGACUGCAUAAUAAAGGUCUUUAUCACAAGUGGCAAUAUAAAGUGAUGUUCUUUUGCAUUAAGAUUUUGUGCAUCCAACCAUAAAAGCGCAUGACAACCUCUGCUUCCCUCUGCGAAUGGCCUAUCUUUUACUUUCAUCUUCUACCCUUAUACAAGAGUCGUGGUGAUCAUCACCUUUCCUUUUUAUACCUUUUCCUUUAGCAAGCACUAUGUGUUGGAGAGAUCCGGAUAUAUAUAUCCACUUGGAUGUAGGUUAUCAUAAAGUAUUAUUGUUGACAUUACCCUUGAGGUAAAAGGUUGGGAGGCGAAACUAUAAGCCCCUAUCUUUCUCUGUGUCCAAUUGAAACUUCGUACCCAUAGGUAUCGCGUGAGUGUUAGAAAUUGUGAAAGAUUAAAUAAUAGUUGAGUAUGUGGACUUGCUGAAAAGAUCUUAUAUUGACUCUUUCCGAUGUUAUGAUAAAUUUCAAUUGCUUCAAUGACUGAGAUAAUAGUUUGUUAGUUUUCAAUGAAGUUUCUGAUUCAUACUCUACCUUGUGAAUGAAUUAUUACUUUAGCAUAAGAAAUUAUAUGGCAGUAUAUGUUGUUGUUCUAAAGAUGAUCAUGAUGCCCUCAUGUUCGUAUUUUAUUUUAUCGACACCUCCAUCUCUAAACAUGUGGACAUAGUUUUUGGUUUCGGUCGGCUAUCGCUUGAGGACAAGCGAGAUCUAAGCUUGGGGGAGUUGAUAUGUCCAUUUUGCAUCAUGCUUUUAUAUUGAUAUUUAUUGCAUUAUGGGCUGUUAUUACACAUUAUAUCACAAUACUUAUGCCUUUUCUCUCUUAUUUUAUAAGGUUUACAUGAAGAGGGAGAAUGCUGGCAGCUGGAAUUCUGGACUGGAAAAGGAGCAAAUAUUAGAGACCUAUUCUGCACAACUCCAGAAGUCCUGAAACUUCACGGAGAAUAUUUUUGGAAUAUAUAAAAAAUAGUGGGCGAAGAAAAUACCAGAGGGGGGCCACUAGCCAGCCACAAGGGUGGAGGGCGCGCCCUACCCCCUGGGCGCGCCUCCCGUCCUUGUGGGGCCCUGGCAAGCCCCCGGCGCCCAUCUUCUGCUAUAUGGUGUGUUUUGACCUAAAAAAAUCAGAAGGGAGCUUUCGGGAUGAAGCAUCGCAGUCUCGAGGCGGAACUUGGGCAGAACCAAUCUAGGGCUCCAGGGGAGCUGUUCCGUCGGGGAAACUUCCCUCCGGGAGGGGGAAAUCAAAGCCAUUGUCAUCACCAACGAUCCUCUCAUCGAGAGGGGGUCAAUCUCCAUCAACAUCUUCACCAGCACCAUCUCCUGUCAAACCCUAGUUCAUCUCUUGUAUCCGAUCUUUGUCUCAAAACCUCAGAUUGGUACCUGCGGUUUCCUACUAGUGUUGAUUACUCCUUGUAGUUGAUGCUAGUUGGUUUUUUCGGUGGAAGAUCAUAUGUUCAGAUCCUUAAUGAUAAUUAAUACUCCUCUAAUUAUGAAUAUGAAUAUGCUUUGUGAGUAGUUACGUUUGUUCCUGAGGACAUGGGAGAAGUCUUGUUAUAAGUAAUCAUGUGAAUUUGGUAUCCAUUCGAUAUUUUGAUGAGAUGUAUGUUGGCUUUCCUCUAGUGGUGUUAUGUGAACGUCGAUUGCAUGACACUUCACCAUUGUUUGAGCCUAGGGGAAGGCAUUGGGAAGUAAUAAGUAGAUGAUGGGUUGCUAGAGUGACAGAAGCUUAAACCCUAGUUUAUGCGUUGCUUUGUAAGGGGCUAAUUUGGAUCCAUAUGUUUCAUGCUAUGGUUAGAUUUAUCUUAAUUCUUCUCUCGUAGUUGUGGAUGCUUGCGAGAGGGGUUAAUCAUAAGUGGGAGGCUUGUCCAAGGAAGGGCAGCACCCAAGCACCGGUCCACCCACAUAUCAAAUUAUCAAAGUAAAAAAGUGAAUCAUAUGAGCAUGAUGAAAACUAGCUUGACAACAAUUCCCAUGUGUCCUUGGGAGUGCUUUGCUUUAUAUAAGAGUUCGUCCAGGCUUGUCCUUUGCUACAAAAAGGAUUGGGCCACCUGCACCUUGCUUACUUUUGUAACUUGUUACCCAUUACGAAUUAUCUUAUCACACAACUAUCUGUUACCAUAAUUUCAGUACUUGCAGAGAAUACCUUGCUGAAAACCGCUUGUCAUUUCCUUCUGCUCCUCGUUGGGUUCGACACUCUUACUUAUCGAAAGGACUACGAUAGAUCCCCUAUACUUGUGGGUCAUCUGGCUACAUAAUUCUUACUUAACAUCCUAUAGUUCACUGUUGUCUUGCAUAAAGUGUAAACAAAUAGUUCGAUUGACAUCUUUUGACCCAUUUUAAUAACAAUAUUUAUCAGUUUCCUCACUUGAUGCUGGUUCAUGAAUAUCCCAUUGCCCCAUACGCAGAAAGGGUCGAAGUGUGGAUCUUUGGCAAUGACAUAUGUACCUAAAAGCACCAAGUUAAUAUUAGAAGCUAAACAACAAUUGCAAAAUGAUGUAGUACAACACUCCCUCCAUCCCAUUAUACAAGAUCUUAUUACAUGUAUAUCUAGACAUCAUCAGAACAUUAAGGUAACACUCUUCCUUGUUACUAUGUAGCCUAGGAUUGCAUAUUUGGUCAUUCAGUAUAAUACAUGUUGCUAUGUAGCCUCAGUUAUAUUAAAUAUGGCCCUAGUUAACCUACUAAUAAAUGGGUUACAGAUAUAAUCAGUGAAAUGUCCGAUUUGACGAUUAGUCCCUUAUCAGACCCCAGGCUAUAUGGUACCAGCUACUGAUAUCCUGAAUAGUGAGUAUAUACAAGCAAUGCGAUGAAACUAAUCUCGAUGGAAAACAGCAGCUAUUCUCCAUAUUGUCAUGUAUGAGUACAUAUAAAGGCAUGUUAAGCACAACAAAACAUCAACCAAACAAUCCAGGGUAGACAACAUAAUCUACAUAUGAUAGCUUCAGUGUGCAGGUUUAAGCACGCUAGUUAAGCAAAACAAGAAGUGGAAAGGUGUGUUAACUGCAAUAGGCAUAACAUUUAAAAACAAGCAAAUAUAGGUGGCCUUUGUUUGAGCUUCAGCUAGUGAUUCUGGAUUCUACUCCUUCCAAAAUCUGAAUCUCAAACAAAUAGCUAGCUUCCCACCAUAUAUUUUAGGAAUCGAUUCGAAAAACUACAUUGCAAGGUGUCUCGAGCCGAAAGCUGUGAUUUAGCUGAUUCCCGAGCGAUUCCGAGCUUCCACUUAUCCCCCUUCAGGUCUAUCCUAAUUUCUCCCCGUUAUUACAGCCAAAAUGCCAUCACUUUCCCAACAAAUAUUUCCCCUCUGUUCUUUCUCCACCCGAGCGAGCAAAGAGAGUUACGGGACAUGGGCCUUCUUUCCGGCGGCUCCAUGAGCGUCGGCCCCGGCGGCUCCUGAGCGGAUGGGUCCGCCGCAUCCGCCGCUGCCCGAAGUCAGUCCAAUCUCUCUGCCCAUCCCCAACCUCCGGCCACUGCCAAGCGAAUGGAUUUGAGCGCCCCUGCUCCUCCCUGACAUCCAGCCAUGCCCAAGCUAAUGGGAAGCUCUGUCGGCUGUGUCCGCUCUUCUAGCCAAUAUCCUCUGUUCGCACCAUCCCCAGCUCCGUCCGCAUCCCACCACGCCCCAAGCUCAAGUGGGGACACCCAAGUUCAGUAUAUUCGGGGCUGUUGCAGACAUUUUACAACAUUUCAGAUUUUCCUAAACCAAGGUAAACAAACAUGCUGCUUCAGAUUUCUAGAAUCUGUAGCUGCACCUGAUUCUCAAAAUCCAAGCCAAAGUUGAUUUUCAAGAAUCCGUAGCCCAAACAAAGGGGGCCAUAGUCAUUCAAACUGGUAUUGUGCAGGUCUAAAGUACACUAGUUAUUUAAAAAAAGAAAAGGCAUGUUAACUGCAACAUCCUUAACAGCAACCAAAUAUUGUAAUUCAUAGUGGUAUUGUUGAAACUAUUAUUGAUGAAAUUGAAAUGCACGGCAAAUAGUUGCACAUAUAGAGCAUCACAUUGUGAAGAACUGAAAUAAACAAGGCAUAUAGAGCAUCACAUUGUGAAGAACUGAAAUAAACAAGGCAAUUUUUGGCCUUUUCUAGUCGAUCCCCUAAACUUUACGUUGUAAACUUCAAUUUGAUCAAGUUCAAAGCGGGUUCAACUGAAAGUAGCAUGUAUUCAAACAUAAACAUAAAUAGUUUUGCAUAAGCGAACAUAAAACAUAUAUUUAAACUAAACUACUUUCAGUCGAAGUGGAGGUCGAGCCAAUCCUUCCUCGUCAGUUACGGUGUGCCGCGAGCCCGGUCCAGGCCGGUGCCGUCAUCGGUGUCGUUAGGGAAGACACUCCUCCAGUCAUCGACGUCUAUCUCCUCGUCCUCGCCGCCCACCUCGAAACCCUCUACGCCCCCGUCCUCGCCGCCUUCGACCUUGUCAUCGAAGGAGAGCACGAUAACCUCGCCGCCCUCCGCGUUGGCAAAGAUCACCCGCUCCGCCUCCACGAGCUCCGGGUGCUGCCGGCGGAGCUCUUACAUGUAGGCCUCAUCGGAGGCCUUGGCCUCGAGGCGCUCCCAUGCCUCGCGGUCCUCCCGAGCCAUAGCCGAGCUCACCACCCUGGCUCCAGUGGAACGAGGUCGACCAGAUGUGUGUCGAAGGGGAAAUUGAGCCUAGCCGCCGCACCGUGGUAGCGGACCUACCAGCGGUCAUACUCCAUGGCCGCGAGCUCGGCCAUGUGGGAGCUACCAAGCCACCGCCGGGUGUUGGUCUCCCGAUCCAUAAUCUCGGCGACCAACGUCCCCACCGCCGCUGCCGGACCCCGAGGUAGGACCUCGUUGGCAGCCGGGCCCGAGCAAGGACGGGGAAGUCCUCGAACCGGCGUAGGGGCGCGGCGGCGGGCGGAUCGGAUGACCGAUGACGGCGGAUUGAUAAAGAGCCCGUGAAAGAUGCCGGGGACACCUUGGCAGCCACCUCACCGGCAUCGGGCAAAGAGGCCGUGAUAAACCUCUUUUGGGACAUUGGCUCCUCGAGCUCCCUGACACACAGGUAGAGGUUGAGGAUGGAGGCGGUGGCAGAGGCGGCGAUGGGGGUGACUACCAAUGGUUUCGAUCGAGGGAGGGGUGGUGUGUGUCUCUGUGAGCGGAGGUUUUGGGGAGUGUGUGGUGUGUGUGGAGGGGGGCAAGGUGGUGUUUGAGGGAAUACCACGGCAACUGAAAUUUUUUACUAGGCGGUAGUAAAAUGCCGGUCUACUGAAAAUUUGGAUCAAGGGUGAGCACAUAUUUUUUAGAUUGCGAAGAAUGCAGAGGUGGGAGUAACAAGGCAGGGCUACUGAAAAUUUGAAUCAAGGACGAUUAGAUAUUUUUGAGAUUGUGAGGAUGCAGAGGUGGGAGUAAAAUGCCGAGGAUACUGAAAAUUUGAAUCAAGGGCGAGCAGAUAUUUUUGAGAUUGUGAGGGACGCAGAGGCGGGAGUAAAAUGUCGGGGAUACUAGAAAUUUGAAUCAAGGGCGAGCAGAUAUUUCUGAGAUUGCGAGGGAUGCAGAGGCGAGAGUAAAAUGCCGGGGCUACUGAAAAUUUGAAUCAAGGGCGAGCAUAUAUUUUGAGAUUGCGAUGGAUGCAGAGCCAGGAUUAAGAUGCCGGGGCUACUAAAAAUUUGAAUCAAGGGAUUGAAGCAGAGCGGGAGUAACAGACAUCGCACACGGUCCACACAUACUAAUCGUGUGCUAUCAAACAUAAAAACCUUCCAAGCGGUAGAUAUUUUCGAGAUUACGAGGCCGUAGAUAUUUUUGAGAGCGGAAGGCAAGCCUCGUGGAGCCCAAUCUACCGUGCUGAUGUGAGUGACUGCAAGGGCACGGGCGUGCCACACGGGUAGCCUGACCGAACCGUGUAUAUUGCGUACCCAAUCGCAGACGGUUUCUACAUCCUACUGCAGGAUGCUGCUAACGUGACACUACGAUCAGAGACCCUUCGACAAAACUGUGUGAUAUGCAAUAAUCGCAAACGGUGGUGUAAAAAACCGUCAAAAAAGGUGCAAAACAUUUGCGAUGGAUGAUGCAUCAAACACGGUUCAGAUUUUAGUUGCGUGUGCGAUGCAGGGCAUACGGUUCAGUUCAAUUAACUGUUUGCGAUAAGGAGGAACAAAAGAAACGGGUAGCCAGAUAAAGGUGUGUGCGAUAUACAGCAUACGGUUCACUCGAAUGAACUAUUUAUGAUUAGGAAACACAAAAUAAAUGGUCAGCCAGAUCAAGGUGUGUGCGAUAUACGGCAUGCGGUUCACUCGGAUGAACUGUUUGUGUUGAGACAAGAGAACGGAAAUGGUUCAAUGUAACAAGAUGUGUGUGAUACGCGGCAAACAGGUCUGCAAUCAGAAAUGUGUGCGAAGAUCGAUAAUAAUACAGACGGUUGCUGCUAAUAAGACGUGUGUGUUGUGCGAUGGGAUUGCAUACAGAACAACAACAUAUAUAUACACACACUUAUAAGGACAUGGUUGCAUAACCAAAUUAAACAUCCACUUACAUAGGUGGCUACUGCAACCAUGGCAUUUGCACACACCAAAGUAAACUAUUACAUGCAUAAUUACAUAGGUGGCUACUACACACAUGACAUUUCCACACACCAAUAAAGAAACUAUAUAUUACAUGCAUGAUUAACUAGCAUAAACAAUCAUCUGAUCAUCAUCUACUUCUUGUGACGCUUGCUCUGCUUGUGGCUCGAUCCGGGAUCGUCGAUUUGGGUAACGAGGCACUUCCUCAUGUCAACGAUCCGCCUGUGCAUCUCGUAGCAUGUGUACAUGCUCUUGGCCGCGAACCUGAGGUGAGGUUCAUCCAGUUGCCGCAUCCAGGCCCUGUGCCAGGAUACGGAACUUGUUCUAUGGGCAUCCUGCUUCAUCUUUUCGUAGUAGCGGUCGAUGAUGGCCGAGGCGAGUUCGAGCAGGGAGUCCUUCGUGCUGCCCCAGACCCUGUAGUGGUCACGGAUUUCGACAAGGUUUUUGCAGGCCAAGCCCGUAACACUGAGCACUUUUACAUCUUCGGUGGUUUCCACCAUGGCGAACUUGUAGUCAGCGUUGUUGACAAACCUGUUGAAACGGUCGCAAGGCUCUGUGACCAUGCAGUAGUGAUAGAUGAGGACAUGAUGGCGCACGCACAACUGGGCGACGGCAACCUUCUGAUCUAUGCCGGGACGACCGGCGAUGUACUGGAGGUCGAUGCCGACUGAGGGAGUCCUGGACUAAGGGGUCCUCGGGCGUCCGGCCUAUUGGACAUGGGCCGGACUAAUGGGCUGUGAAGAUACAAGACCGAAGACUAUCUCCCGUAUCUGGAUGGGACUCUCCUUGGCGUGGAAGGUAAGCUUGGCGGCCAAAUAUGAAGAUUCCUUUCUCUGUAACCGACUUUGUACAACCCUAGUCCCCUCCGGCGUCUAUAUAAACCGGAGGGCUUAGUCCGGAAAGAUAUACAGUCAUGCAGGCUAGACUUCUAGGGUUUUAGCCUGGUAGAUCAACUCUUGUAAUACUCAUAUUCAUCAAGAUCAAUCAAGCAGGAAGUAGGGUAUUACCUCCAUAGGGAGGGCCCGAACCUGGGUAAACAUUGUGUCCCCUGUCUCUUGUUACCAUCGACCUUAGACGCACAGUUCGCGACCCCCUACCCGAGAUCCGCCGGUUUUGACACCGACACCGACCACCUUGUACUUGUCUCGAGUAAGCAACUUCUCAACUCUGUUGAUGUAGUCGUCCACCACGGCCGGGUCGAUGGUGUACAGCACCGAGAGAUCCGUCUCCCUCGCGUGGAUCUCAACUCGAUGCUCGUCGAACUCCAUUGGAGCGCCACUGGACAUCCCCUCUCUAUGUGUCGUCAUGGGUGUGCUUGUUGUGUUGUGGGGCGCGAUCGAAAGGUUGAAGAGACUAAGGUUAUAAUGGCCACGGGAAUUAAAGGGGAAGCCGGACGGCCAGGAAUAUCGGCAGGCCUUGAUGGUAGUUCUAAUUUGCAGCGCGUAACUCCAUCGUGCCGCACGCAACUGCAUCGCGUGGCAACGCGUGCGGUGCAACGGCAUGCAUAUGGGGGCCCCGACGAGAUCAUGCGCACGCCCAACCGCUGGCAGAGCACGCGCGGAGGGACGCGAGCAGAGCGCUCCGCAGUCGCCUCAACGGCGAGCAACCAUAUACAUAUGCAUAUAGCAGUUGAACACGCAAGGAAAAGUUGUCCACAAGCCCAGCGCGCCGACAGACGCGAGCAGAGCGCGCUGCAGCGCCUAACGGCGAGCAGAGCUUGCUGAGGGACGCGAGCAGAGGCCGGCACAGUGAUACGUGGCAAAUAAGACGAACUGUGCGAGCGAUGUCGGAGAGAUCAAGCACGAAUCAGAUUAGAGUUGCGUGUGCGAUACGUGGCAUACAGUUGAUCCAUUCGAGCUGUUUGUGAUGGAAUAAGCAGUGUGUUUUGCGGGAAAACGCUUGCUGGUAUAUAACCUUAAAUUUAACCAAAAACGUGUUAAUGCAUGUUACAAAAAUUGUAUAGCUGGAAACUAUGUUCAAAGACAAAUCUAACGAUAUAAUCUUUGGCGAGAUGCAUUCAUAUUUUAUUAGUUAAAUCCUACUUAUAAACCAGGACGGUGGUAUAGUAGGUAAUUAAAUCGCAAAUGAUUUUUUUGUAUUAACCGUAUGUGUAUGUGUCCUUUCAUCCUCCUCUCGCACGUCUUGUCACCCUGCUGCCGCAGACGGCUUACAGCGCAAGCUUGCGCAGCGAGCGGGGGCGAUCUUUUGGCCAAACGGUGGCUCAAAGUGGCGCCAAUGAAUAGUCAGUCAGCCUGUUCCCGUGCAAUCUCGCAGGUUCCCGUGCAAGCUUCUCGGCCGACUCGGUGACAUCCCCCAAAAUCCCAAUGCUUACCGGCCUGCUAUAUAAACCCUCACGGCCGGCGAGUCCUGCGUCACAUUUUCCCCUCCCUCCCUGUAGCUUAUCUCGUCUGCUUCUCCCACAAUCGCCAAUGGCACCGGUCCAUCAUCGUCGCUCAGCCACUCCGCCGUCAUCAGAGGACAGCUCCAGCUGGGAGGUUACACCGCGGCGGCGGCGCAUUCCCCGACAUAGUGUAGUGUGCGUGUCGUCCCUGUUGCGUGUGCGCGGAACACCUACCACACGCUCCGCCGCCGCUACCCGUCGGCAGCUGUUGCCGGCCGCCGUUGUAGCCACACCAUCGUCGAAGCCGGGGCCAUCUCCCACUCUGCCGCUGCGGCCCGAAGGCAGGAGGUGGCCGUCGUGACCGCCACCCCACUGUCGGCCACCGUGGCCAUCACCCGCUCCGCCACCGUGGCCCGAAGGCGGGAGGUGGUGGUCGUGGCCGCCACCCCAUCAUCGGCCGCUGUUGCCGCGAGCCCACCAUCGAUCGCCGAGAUCAUCACCCGCUCCGCCACCGCCGCCCGAAGGAGGGAGGCGGGGGUGGAGGCCCGCACGUGCAUCAGCGACCUUGCGCGCUACAUCGAGUUCCUGCGGGAGGAGGAGGAGCGCCUCGUCGAGCAUGCAAAGAGCCUUACCGCAGCCGUGGCUGCAACACAUGCCGACGCAAAGGCGAGGAAUCAGGAGAUCUACGAGCAGUCCAGCCGCUUCGAGAGGGAUCGUCUGGAGCGGCAGUGGGCGUUCGAGCUGGCGAGCGUCACUGAAUGUGCAGCAGCGGCAGGUGUCGUAUUGCAUAGGCUCCUCCUCCUCCCCUUCCUCUUACUGAGCGCGCUCUGCAAAGGAGAGGCUUUCGUAAGUAGCACAAAGCCCCUCCGUAGUAGUAGUAUUUAGGGGCUAUUUUUUUAGUUCAUCUGACUAUAGAUGUGUGGUGGAACUGUACAACAUACUUAAAAUUAGCUAGUAUAUAUGGUUGAACUAGCUAUUUCAGUACGUGGUUGGCAACAAUUGGGGAAAAUUUUGGUCGGUUCAGCUGUCGAGUUGAACUGUUUGUAUAAAUUAAGAAUGAUUGCUUAAUCUAUGAAUGAAAUCUAUGCUUAAUUACUGAAUUUUAGUUGCAAAAAUUAGAUAGUGCUAGUGAUUUUUUGCUGCAUAUUUUGAUAAAUCGCAGUGUUACAAGGAUUGACAAAUGGCAAGUUUACUAGAUCAAAAAAUGUCAAUCUUUCCAGUUUGACAAAUGGCAACAUACCCAAUAUGACAGAUGCAAAUCUUACCAAAUUGUUUGUACGUGGUUGCACACGGGUCAUCCAAAACAACCGUUUGCGUUGAAGGGGUGCACAAAUCCUGCGCUGCAAAUUUUCCCUCGACUUAAGGGGGAAGACCAUAGCUCUCGCUUUGCAUACGGGUGUUCUAUCUAAAACGUUUGCGAUCAAGAGCUGCAGAAAUCCUGCUCGGCACAUUUUCUCUUGGCUUCCUGGGGAAGCUGUCGGUUUGCAUACGGGUGUUCUAACUAAAACAUUUGCCAUCAAGAGCUGAACAAAUCCCGCUAGGCACAUUUUCCCUUGGCAUCCUAGGGAAGUUGUCGGUUUGCAUACUGGUGUUCUAACUAAAACGUUUGUGAUGAGUGUUUUAUAUUUAAAAACCAUAUUAAACUGCGGCUUGGGCGCCAUUAAUGGAGAGGAUGCGAGCAAGGCGGGCGGCCAUGGAAGUCAAAGGGCUCGCUUUCCGGUGAGCCUGCGCGGCGUACAGCUCGCAUGCUUCCCGAUGAGCCUCCGCAUUGGAGUACAGCUCGCACGCCUCCCGUUUAGUCUAGCACUCAAGCACCUGUCCGCACGACACCUCCUAUCCAUUAAAAGAGUGAGGCGUGGCAUCACGUGAAUGGUUAAUAGAAGGCACACAAUUUAUAAACACUGGAGCAUGUGCAUGCAGUUCAAAUUUGAAUUAUGCACAUAAAAUGCCUAGAAAACCCAGUUAACGUAUAAAAAUGUCCAAAGGAACCCCAAAAAAUUCCAAAAUUAAACACAACACUCUUGUUGUUCUAUGUUGACACUAGAAAUUUUUUGAAAGCAAUAAGAGGCAACUGAUAUCGUUUCGUCCCCAAAGGUGGCACGUUCCCUACCGAAACCAUCACGCUUGUUGUGAGAAGCUCUGGUUUGUGAGACGCUUACACCCAAACCUGCCCCAAAUGGGACAAAAAAUUUACCACGGCAUGUUGACGCCGCUCUAUCAUAGCAUGCCAAGUUUCAUGAAUUUCAGACGAUUUUGGAUGUACUAGAAUUUAAAAACCAAGUAUCUCAAUGUUUGCGGCCGAGUGACGGUGGCAGGGUGUUUGAAAUUCAUUCCCAUUUCUUGCAUGGGACCCAAGCAUGCAACCAUGGACACAGAUUUGAUUUUUCAACCAGUUUAUAUGCACUGGAGCAUGUGCAUGUUGUUCAAAUUUGAAUUAUGCACCUGAAAUGCUUACAAAACCAAGUUAAUGUAUAAAAAUGUCCAAACGAACCCCGGAAAAUUCCAAAAUUAAACACAACACUCUUGUUAUUCUAUGUUGACACUAUAAAUUUUUUAAAGCAAUAAGAGGCAAUGGAUAUCGUUUCGUCCCCAAAGGUGGCACGUUCCCUACCGAAACCAUCACGCUUGUUGGGAGAAGCUCUGGUUUGUGAGACGCUUAUACCAAAACCUGCCCCAAAUGGGACAAAAAUCUUACCACGGCAUGUUGAUGCCGCUCCUUGAUAGCAUGCCAAGUUUCAUGAAUUUCAGAUGAGUUUUGGAUUUACUAGAAUUUAAAAACCAGAUAUCGCAAUGUUUGCGGCCGAUUGACGGUGGCAGGGUGUUUGAAAUUCAUUCACAUUUCUUGCAUGGGACCUAAGCAUGCAAUCAAGGACACAGAUUUGAUUUUUCAACCAGUUUAUAUGCACUGGAGCAUUUGCAUGUAGUUCAAAUUUGAAUUAUGCUCCUGAAAUGCCUACAAAACCAAGUUAAUGUAUAAAAAUGUCCACACGAACCCCGAAAAAUUCAAAAAUUAAACACAACACUCCUGUUGUUCUGUGUUAACACUAGAAAAAAUUUGAAAGCAAUAAGCGGCAAUGGAAAUCGUUUUGUCCCCAAAGGUGGCCCGUUCCCUACCGAAACCAUCACGCUUGUUGUGAGAAGCUCUGGUUUGGGAGAAGUUUAUACCCAAUCCUACCCCAAAUGGGACAAAAAAUUUACCAUGGCAUGUUGAUGCCACUCCAUGAUAGCAUGCCAAGUUUCAUGAAUUUCAGACGAGUUUUGGAUUUACUAGAAUUUAAAAACCAGGUAUUUCAAUGUUUGCGGCCGAGUGAGGGUGGCAGGGUGUUUAACAUUCAUUCCCAUUUCUUGCAUGGGACCUAAGCAUGCACCGAAGGACACAGAUUUGAUUUUUCAACCAAUUUAUAUGCACUAGAGCAUGUGCAUGUAGUUCAAAUUUAAUUAUGCACAUAAAAUGCCUAGAAAACCCAGUUAAAGUAUAAAAAUGUCCAAACGAACCCCGAAAAAUUCCAAAAUUAAACACAACAUUCCUGUUGUUCUAUGUUGACACUAGAAAAAAUUUAGAAGCAAUAAGAGGCAACGGAUAUCAUUUCGUCCCCAAAGGUGGCGCGUUCCCUACCGAAACCAUCACGCUUGUUGUGAGAAGCUCUGGUUUGUGAGAAACUUAUACCCAAACCGCCCCAAAUGGGACAAAAAAUUUACCACGGCAUGUUGAUGCCGCUCCAUGAUAACAUGCCAAGUUUCAUGAAUUUCAGACGAGUUUUGGAUUACUAGAAUUUAAAAACCAAGUAUCUCAAUGUUUGCGGCCGAGUGACGGUGGGAGGGUGUUUGACAAUCAUUCCCAUUUCUUGCAUGGGACCUAAGCAUGCAACCAAGGACACAUAUUUGUUUUUUCAACCCGUUUAUAUGCACUGGAGCAUGUGCAUGUAGUUCAAAUUUGAAUUAUGCACAUAAAAUGAAUAGAAAACCCAGUUAAUGUAUAAAAACGUCCAAACGAACCCCGAAAAAUUCCAAAAAAAAUUACGACACACCUAUAGUUGCAUGUUCACUGCAGAUAAAAGUCUAGCAAUUAAACACCAUCCUUUUCAGCUGUGACCCCAUUACGUAAUUUAAAUCAAGACGGAGAAUCAAGUAGAUCGCACACAGUUUAUUAUCACCAACCGUGUGAGAUGCAGCACAAAAUAUCUUGGAGCACUCUAGAGUGUCAAGCACAGUAGACCGGUCCUCAAAUAUCAUUUCACUGUUCAAUCGUCGCCGGUGAAAGAUGGAGACGUGGACCCGCGUCGUCAGGGCAACUUCGGCGGCCCACUCCGGCGAUAGCGCGGCCGCAGCCGCCAGGCGCGUGCUAACAAGCUUCGUGAGGGCGACCGCGAUAUGCGUCUGGGCGGCCAAGGCAGCCCAAACGGCCGUUGUUGCUUCUCAGGCGGCGGCAGCAGCAUCUGCCUCGGGGAUAGCAACUGGCGAGAGCGGCACAGCAACUGUCUGUUUCGCAGCGGUGGCCUUAGCCCUGAUGGAGGCCGCCCACGAGUAGUAGGCACCUCCGGUGUAGUAGGAGUCGUCGUCGACGAUGGCGUCUGGCUCCUGGGCUCCAGCAUCUGGUUGCGACAACUAGGGAGAAAGGAAAGGGGGGAAAGAGGGAGAAAAGUAACCGUGAGUACUCAUCCAAAGUACUCGCAAGCAAGGAUCUACACUACAUAUGCAUGGGUAUCUGUGUAAAUGGGCAAUAUCGAUGGAAUGAACUGCAGAAUGCCAGAAUAAGAGGGGGAUAGCUAAUCCUAUCGAAGACUACGCUUCUGGCAACCUCCAUCUUGCAGCAUGUAGAAGAGAGUAGAUGGUAAGUUCACCAAGUAUCAUCGCAUAGCAUAAUCCUACCCGGCGAUCCUCUCCUCGUCACCCUGUUAGAGAGCAAUCACCGGGUUGUAUCUGGAACUUGAAAGGGUGUGUUUUAUUAAGUAUCCGGUUCUAGUUGUCAUAAGGUCAAGGUACAACUCCGGGUCGUCCUUUUACCGAGGGACACGGUUAUUCGAAUAGAUAAACUUCCCUGUAGGGGUGCACCACAUUACCCAACACGCUCGAUCCCCUUUGGCCGGACACACUUUCCUGGGUCAUGCCCGGCCUCUGAAGAUCAACACGUUGCAGCCCCACCUAGGCACAACAGAGAGGUCAGCACGCCGGUCUAAAUCCUAUGCGCGCAGGGGUCUGGGCCCAUCGCCCAUUGCACACCUGCACGUUGCGAACGCGGCCGGUGAGCAAACUUAGCAACCUCCAUUACAAAGGAAGUUACGUUACGCGGUCCAACCCGGCGCGCGCCGCUCAGUCGCUGACGUCAAGAAGGCUUCGGCUGAUACCACGACAUCGAGUGCCCAUAACUGUUCCCGCGCAGUUGGUUAAUGCGUAUAGGCCAGUGGCCAGACUCAGAUCAAAUACCAAGAUCUCGUUAAGCGUGUUAAUUGAAGUAUCCGCGAACGCCGACCAGGGCCAGGCCCACCUCUCUCCUAGGUGGUCUCAACCUGCCCUGUGGCUCCGCCACAAAGUAACAGUCGGGGGCUGUCGGGAACCCAGACCCACCUCUACCGGGAUGGAGCCACCUGCCCCUUCAGCCCCCAUCUACGAACAGUAUCAUAAGUAAUGUAAUAGUAUAAAGUACAUAGCAUAUGCCCGUGAUCAGCUCCCGAAGUGAUCACGGCCCAGUAGUAUAGCAUGGCAGACGGACAAGAGUGUAGGGCCACUGAUGGAACACUAGCAUCCUAUACUAAGCAUUAGGAUAGCAGGUAAUGGUAACAACCGUAGCAACAAUGACAAGCUAUGCAGCAGAAUAAGAUUAACCAAAAGUAGUAACAUGCUACACUACUCUAAUGCAAGCAAUAGAGAGAAGGAAUAGGCGAUAUCUGGUGAUCAAGGGGGGGGCUUGCCUGGAAGCUCAGCCAAGAAGGAGGGGUCGUCAACACCGUAGUCGAUCGGGGCAGCAACGGCUUCGGUCUCGUAGUCUACCGGAGAGAAGAGGGGGAAGAAACAGUAAAUACGGAGCAAACAAAGCAUCACAAAACAUAACGAGGUAAUACACCGUGUUAGGUAUGCCCUAACGUGGUAUUAGGUGAUACCGACGAAGGGGGAAAACAUCCGGGAAAGUAUUCUCGGUGUUUCGCGUUUUCGGACAAACGGACAAGAGGGGGAAAGUUGCGUGUUCGCUAUGCUAGGGAUGCGUGGCGGAUGAAUGGGCUAUGUAUCCGGAUUCGUUUCGUCGUUCUGAGCAACUUUCAUGUACAAAGUUUUUCCAUCUGAGCUACGGUUUAUUUUAUAUUAAUUUUUAAAGUUUUAAAUCAUUUUCUACAUUAUUAUUAUUAAAUUAAUUCGAAAUUAGUAUUAUUGCAUCAGCAUGACGUCAACAGUCAACAGAGGUGUUGACUGGUCAAACUGACGCGUGGGUCCCGGCUGUCAUUGACUGAUUAAUUAACUAACAGUUAAUUAGGUUAAUUAGUGAUUAGAUUAAUCUAUUUAUGAUUAAUUAAAUUAAUAAAUUUAUUUAUUUAUUUAAUUAAAUUUAUUUUUAUUUUUAUUCUUUUUUAAUCUUUUUUCCUUAUAUAAAAUCGUUCUGGGGGCUAGGCCCCACAUGUCAUAGGCCCUAAGGGCCAUAGCGGGUUUGGGCGCUAGCGAAACGGGGCGGACGCAGGCGCACCUGAAUGGGCGCUCGCCCGCAGGGUGUGCAGCGGAACGAGGCCGUAGGGGCGCGCGCGGCCGGCGGCACCGGCGGUUGGGCGGCUGCAGCGGGGGAAGCGGCAGGGUGGAGCCGGCGAUGAGAGGGGGCCAGCAGCGGGCGCGUCUGGAGCCUAGGCGCGUGGGGGGAGCUCGGGCGAAUGGGAGGGCAUGGCCAGACGGAGUGGGCACGGCGGCGAUGGCAGCUGAGGCUGCGGGCGCGCAAGCGGCCAGGAGCAGCGAGCGGUUGCAGGUGGAUGAGGCCAGGCGCGGCACGGGCACGGGCGCAGGCGGGCAGCGGGAGCGCGGGGCGAGCGGGGAGCACGGGGAUGGGCGCGCGGUCGCAGAGGCGGAGGCGAUGCGGGCGAUGCCGAGGAGUGGUGGCCGUGAGGCGUGCGUGCGCGCGUGCGCGUGAGCGCAGUCGACGGGCGCGCGGGGAUGGCGUGGGUGAGGCACAAGCGAGCGUGGCCGGAGCGCGAGCUAUGUCGCUCGGCCAUGGCGAUCGGCAGAGGGAAGUGGGGGAGGAAGUCGAGGCUCACGGGGGGGUUUGCAGGGCAUGGGGCAGUUGGGGUCGAGGAGGAGGACGGAGACGACGCGUGGGAGGCGGGAAGGCAGUCCGGCGAUGGCAUGGCGGCUCCAGGGCGAGCUGCGACGGCGGCGGGGACGGGCGACGUGCGGCGUCGGGCACCGAGGGCGACGGGGUCAGGCAGCGGCGGCGACGAGCGGUGAGUGACGAGGCGAGGGGAUGGAGGAGCACGGCGAUGACAGUAGCUCCGGCGAGGGAAGGCCUCCGUGCGUCGGCGUCGGUGGGGUCGUCGCCCCGAUCCGGAUCGGGAUCGGGGGUGGAAGAGUGGACCGAGGGGGAGUGAGAGAGAGGGGAUCGACUAGGUUAGGGUUUGGGGUGGGUUAAGUACGCCGAUGUGUGUGGUGGGCCGGCCUGGGUUGUGGCCUGGUGGGUCGGGGCCCAUCAGGGGGUUUUCCUUUCAUUCAUUCAUUCUUUUGGUUUAGUUUUCCUUUUAUUUAUUUUUAUUUUUUGUUCCCUUUUGACUUUUCAGUUUAUUUUAAUUUUGUAAAAAUAUAAUUUCAACUCCUAAUUUAGCAUUGCCACUAAACCUACUAUCACAAAAGGUUUUACCCAGAACAAAAUAGUUUAUAAUUUUAUAUAAUACAAAAGGCAUUUAAUUAAUUGUUUUACCUAGAGUUUUAUUUAUCUUGAAUAGUUAAACAUUUUUCUGAUAGUGUCGUUUCUUCAGCAUAAUUACCUACGCAUUAUUUGGCACAACUUGAACAUUUUAGUUUUAAUGUUUGAAAACUUUUAUCGUUUGACCUUAAUUCAAAUUUGAAUCGUUUUGAACUAACAUGAGAUUAGCAACAGUAAUGGAGGUGACGUGGCAUCAUUAGCUGAGGGUUACUGUAGCUUAAAUAUCCGGGCGUCACAAUUCUCCUCCACUACAAGAAAUCUCAUCCCGAGAUUUAAGAGGGAAGUAAAGGGGGAAGGUUCGGGUUACGAAAUUCGAGGGAGUGUUCUUGGUCUUGGUUGUUCUUCUUGAAGAGGUUGAUCCAUUACAUUGAUGUCUUCACUUCGCUGUUUCAGGUCAUCAUGAUGAAGUUGUCGUCCUUUCUUCGGGAACUCCAUCGUACUUACAAAUAGGUAAGGGGCAGCUUUACAACAAUUGAAUGUUAUAAGGGAAAAUCAUCUGGGGGUGGGGUAUCCCAAGAAUGAUCAUAAGAGUAUCUCUCGAGUUGAACAAAUGAAACACAUCGAGAGCAAAGUAAGAAGGUACCAUAAGAAGUUUGAAGCGGAUAGACAAUCGUCGUUGCCUGAAAUAACGCGUGAAAGGGGUUCAAGGCAACGGGAAUAGGUAUUGUGUUUAAUACCAGAAUUGAUGAUCACACGGAAGGUGGCUCAUGAAUUACAUAUGAAGCCAAGCAUGAGGAAUAACUUUAGAAACAGGGUUGUACAGGAGAGUCAGGUUUCGAUCCUGGGGAACUAUGGGUUAUGGGCCCACCAUGUGUGUUAAAAGUAGGAAGGGCGUUGACAUCUUGCACGGUCAUGAUAGCAAGGCAUGUUAGAGAAUAACCGGUCUGUUAUGUUGGCAGCAUUGUUGGUACCAAGGGCGAGGGACGAAGAGAACCAUUUUCCUGCUCGUUGAAAUGAGGCGGACCAAUAGGCAAAGUUCUCAUCCAUCGGUGGUUACCGGAAUGUCGUCAACAAAAGCAACAGGGUCUUACUGACAGGGUGGUACAACGAGGUGCUGACCUGAGUAGGGGAUUAUUACUGCUUAGUUAAGUAUAUUUCAAGAAAGGUUAACCAAAACAAUGGAAAGGAAAUUAUGAGUAUCAGAUUAAACAGAACAAUGGAAAGGGAAGAUGUGUUUAAACACAUAAUUCAGGGGUAUAUCCUUUCCAAGGUGAAACAGAGCAGAAUAUCCAUGACAGGAUAUAAUGUAGAAAACCCUUUAGGAAAGAGGAGAGAAAUUUCAUGCAUUACCCAUACAACGGUGUUUGGAUAAUUGACUAGGAAAACUUAGCAUUGUGCUUUAAAUGUUUUAUUGAGAAUCGGAGUACCACAGACAUGCUUCGAGAUAGCAUCGACAUGGUCUUAAGGCAAAGGUCAGACUUUGGAUACACAAGGAUCUAUCGGGAAUAACUUAUAGAAUAAGUCUUACCAUCUCCUCAUGGAAGGAUGGCUAACCUUGCUAAAAAGGAAACUAUAACAAUAGGUCCUCCGGCCAGAUGUGCUAGGCAUGACAUCACCUUACUGGACAUUAAAAAAACACCAACGUUAAAACUCGUAGAAAUAUGUUCCCACCAUCAUAUCUAACCGAGAUUCCGAUAUGAUUGAUGUCAGGAUACCUCAGACUCGUGAUGCCCGAGAAGGAAAGGGGGCAACACAAUUUAACGAGAUGGAGUUGCAAGAUUCUCGGGAAAUGGACUAUGGAAGCAAGUUCCGAAUCAUGAGUUCAUCAUUAAACCAAGGAGAGAAUGAGGGGGUGGCUGAUGAACUCAGCGACAAUCCAUGGAGAGUCCCAAAAGAUGUAUUUCCAGAAUUAUGUGAACAAGGAGAUAAUAUCUGUCAGAUCAAAAGAUAUAAUGGUGUAUGCUCAAGGAAAACAUACACAUUUAAGCAUUGGAUGAAAGGUGCACCCGAAAUAUGGGCUGGGAUGCACGACCAAUAUCAGAAUGGUGAUUCAGCAACCAGCACACUAAGUUGGAAUUAUUGUCCAUUAACUCUGAAGCAAUAAGGUUGCUAAGAAUACUGAAGUCUCACGGCAGAGUUCACAUAUUGGUAUUCCGGUUAGAAGCAACACGUGGUCCAAACAGAAGGGUGAUGGCGAGAGGCAUCACAAUACCCAGAAUUCUUAAGAGGUGGAGUAAUCCUUGCGACAUCCUUGACAUAAGGGCCAGUAAUACUUCAAGGUAGAACAUAACACAAACUGAAUAGCAAGUUGCAUCCUUAACAAGAACAAGUUUGUGAUGAAAGGAAGGUAAAGAUGUUGUCGAUGGUAACUCAAAUUACCAAGAGACGAGGAUGUCACUUACCAUCAUGAAUUCAAUUGAUGCCCGGGAAGGAUUCAAAAUGUUGAUGAUGAUCAUGGCAAAUUUGUCGAGAGGUUUCAAGAAGAUGUAAUCGAUCGGCGGUGACAUCAAGUCAAAGGACUAAUGAAGCGAAAGGUUAUUGGAACCAAGGGUACAACACGAACUCAAAAUCAAGCUUGAUGUUAAGGCGAAAUGAUAUGACGAGGAAGAUCGACGUAAGUUUAGCUCAUUGUCUAAAGUUGUGCUCCGGGAAGGACCAGGUAGUACAGUUAAAAUUGGCACAAUAAUGAUGUAGCCGAUCCGGCUCGGAAUGACGUGAUGGAGUAUUAAACUUCUCAACAUCAAAGUACUGGAAGUACUGAAUCACAGUGUUGAUUUGAUUCACAAAUCGGUGUUCUCGGUUGACGACAACCCAGAACCCGUGGAGUGACCAUGACGGGGAAAGUUACUACUUCAUCAGAAAUUCAUAAGAUGUAGUGUAAUGGGUUGAUAUCCUCGAGAUACCAGGGGGUAAUACUCAAAGGUAGAUCAAAAUAGAGGUUGGGCAGACGUAAUGAUCUGCAGAAGGCAAGUACUUUUAACUUGUCCGAGAAUGGGAUCAAAGAAGAACAAUCACGGUCGGAACCACGAUUGCAAAGGACAAAAUCAUAUAUACAAAAUCAAAUUAUGUCAAGUGAAUAAUUAUUGUUACGAGAAGCUAUCAUGAUAAGCUCAACAUCGUCUCCAUGGGCAUGAACACAAAGUUCAAGGUCGACUCCCACUUCUCCAAUGCAUAACCUUUCACUCACUUCUCAUUUUCGAAGAAGUUGUAAUAUUGAAAUUUUAUCUAUCAUAACACCAGUAGAGUAUGACCCAUAGUAGUUUCCGGGUUCACACGGAUUCGAAAAGGCAUAGGUUCAACCCAUCUGGGCCUCUUAGGAACAUAUACCACAAACUUCAGGAGUAAACAACACAAGCUCGAAAGUAGAGCAUGGUUCACAAAGCAGAGGAUACAAUUUACCAAAGGCAUUAUAUACCCAUGGAAAGGCUCACAAGGUUAUUCAAUAUGAAGGACACUGUUGGAUAAUAAUCCAACAAGAGGUCUGGUGGUCUACAACAGAGCUGAUGUGAGUAUCGGUACUCUACCAGAGGAAGAAGGAACGAAAGGGCAUCGGAUUAUAGAAACAACUAACUAAUUCAAAGAUCAAAUGCAAAUAAAUUAUCAUUUCCAAAUCAAGGGUUCGGAAGCCAACGGUCUGAUUUAGAAUGGAUAAGUCGAAUAGACUUAGGGGUAAAAUCGACGGCAAUUUGAUGGGUCGAUAACCAGCUCAUGUUCAAAAUGACAUCUGAGUCGAAAAGAUAAUUUAAAAGGAUCAACCGAUGAUUGCGUGCCUUCGCACUCGUUUUGAAUCAAUAGGAUCAAAAUGAUGUUGAAUCAAUAGGAUCAAAAUGGCGGUGUUAAAGGAGACUAAUGAAUAUUGCCAGCCAUAUGGAAAGCAUCCAUAAUGCAAGCAGACAAGUAUUUGCAGAGCAAUAAGCUGCUAAGGAUUUUUGAAGGAUCGAAUAGUAUUUCGAAGACUUUCGUGAAACACCUGAACAACUGGGGAUGAGCAGAUACUUGGUAAGUGCGAGGAAUUAUCCGUAGGGGUAUUCAUGUGGCAAAGAACUGCAAGGCAGUAGGCACAAAGUAUUCUCGGAACAACAACGAGUAUAUUGAGGUAUCUCGUAAUAACAAGAGCAACUAGGUACUAAUGUAAGAAUGGCAAGUGCAUGUAGUUAUCUAUAGAGUUGACGGUGGAACGGAAUUGCAAAUGCAAUGAGCACAAGUUCUCGGGAUAAUAUCAGAGAGUAUCUUCGGAAUCCAUCGGCGCACCAAGCAAUCCUCUGGAGUGAGGGGCUCUCCGGGAGAAAGUAAUUACGAGAACCUAGAGUCAGAUUUAGUAAAAUCAUUUAACCCGGAUAGAAGAGAGAUCAGAGUCCCAGAGUAUAGACGAGGAAUAAAAGAUCCUAAUACCACCCAGUGGAGACAUGGGCCCGUAAGCCACACAGCCAUGUUAGUAAAAGUUAAGCAAUGACUAGACUCAACUGCGGCCAAGGAGUUGGAAAGGGGAUUCCUACAGGCAGUCGACUCUGAUAUCAACUUGCGACGCCCCCGAUUCAAUCGUACACUAAUCAUACACGCAAACGUGUAUGAUCAAGAUCAGGGACUCACGGGAAGAUAUCACAACACAACUCUAAAAAUAAAAUAAGUCAUACAAGCAUCAUAAUACAAGCCAGGGGCCUGGAGGGCUCGAAUACAGGUGGUUGAUCAUAGACAAGUCAGCGGAAGCAAUAAUACUGAGUACAGACAUAAGUUAAACAAGUUGCCAUAAGAUGGCUAGCACAAACUGGGAUACAGAUCGAAAGAGGCGCAGGCCUCCUGCCUGGGAUCCUCCUAAACUACUCCUGGUCGUCGUCAGCAGCCUGCACGUAGUAGUAGGCACCUCCGGUGUAGUAGGAGUCGUCGUCGACAGUGGCGUCUGGCUCCUGGGCUCCAGCAUCUGGUUGCGACAACCAGGAAGAAAGGAAAGGGGGGAAAGAGGGACAAAAGCAACCGUGAGUACUCAUCCAAAGUACUCGCAAGCAAGGAUCUACACUACAUGUGCAUGGGUAUCUGUGUAAAUGGGCAAUAUCGAUGGACUGAACUGCAGAAUGCCAGAAUAAGAGGGGGAUAGCUAAUCCUAUAGAAGACUACGCUUCUGGCAACCUCCAUCUUGCAGCAUGUAGAAGAGAGUAGAUGGUAAGUUCACCAAGUAUCAUCGCAUAGCAUAAUCCUACCCGGCGAUCCUCUCCUCGUCACCCUGUUAGAGAGCAAUCACCGGGUUGUAUCUAGAACUUGAAAGGGUGUGUUUUAUUAAGUAUCCGGUUCUAUUUGUCAUAAGGUCAAGGUACAACUCCGGGUCGUCCUUUUACCGAGGGACACGGCUAUUCGAAUAGAUAAAAUUCCCUGCAGGGGUGCACCACAUUACCCAACACGCUCGAUCCCCUUUGGCCGGACACACUUUCCUGGGUCAUGCCCGGCCUCUGAAGAUCAACACGUCACAGCCCCACCUAGGCACAACAGAGAGGUCAGCACGCCGGUCUAAAUCCUAUGCGCGCAGGGGUCUGGGCCCAUCGCCCAUUGCACACCUGCACGUUGCGAACGCGGCCGGUGAGCAGACCUAGCAACCUCCAUUACAAAGGAUGUUACGUUACGCAGUCCAACCCAGCGCGCGCCGCUCAGUCGCUGACGUCAAGAAGGCUUCAGCUGAUACCACGACGUCGAGUGCCCAUAACUGUUCCCGCGUAGUUGGUUAGUGCAUAUAGGCCAGUGGCCAGACUCAGAUCAAAUGCCAAGAUCACGUUAAGCGUGUUAAUUUAAGUAUCCGCGAACGCCGACAAGGGCCAGGCCCACCUCUCUCCUAGGUGCUCUCAACCUGCCCUGUCGCUCCGCCACAAAGUAACAGUCGGGAACCCAGGCCCACCUCUACCGGGAUGGAGCCACCUGCCCCUUCAGCCCCCAUCUCCGAACAGUAUCAUAAGUAAUGUAACAGUAUAAAGUACAUAGCAUAUGCCCGUAAUCACCUCCUGAAGUGAUCACGGCCCAGUAGUAUAGCAUGGCAGACGGACAAGAGUGUAGGGCCACUGAUGGAACACUAGCAUCCUAUACUAAGCAUUAGGAUAGCAGGUAAAGGUAACAACUGUAGCAACAAUGACAGGCUAUGCAGCAGAAUAGGAUUAAUCGAAAGCAGUAACUUGCUACACUACUCUAAUGCAAGCAAUAGAUAGAAGGAAUAGGCGAUAUCUGGUGAUCAAGGGGGGCUUGCCUGGAAGCUCAGCCAAGAAGGAGGGGUUGUCAACACCGUAGUCGAUCGGGGUAGUAGCGGCAUCGGUCUCGUAGUCUACCGGAGAGAAGAGGGGGAAGAAACAGUAAAUACGGAGCAAACAAAGCAUCACAAAACAUAACGAGGUAAUACGCGGUGUUAGGUAUGCCCUAACAUGGUAUUAGGUGAUACCGACGAAGGGGGGAAACACCCGGGGAAGUAUUCUCGGUGUUUCGCGUUUUCGGACAAACGGGCAAGAGGGGAAAGUUGCGUGCUCGCUAUGCUAGGGAUGCGUGGCGGAUGAACGGGCUACGUAUCCGGAUUCGUCUCGUCGUUCUGAGCAAUUUUCUUGUACAAAGUUUUUCCAUCUGAGCUACAGUUUAUUUUAUAUUAAUUUUUAAAGUUUUAAAUCAUUAUCUAAAUUAUUAUUAUUAAAUUAAUUCAAAAUUAGUAUUAUUGCAUCAGCAUGAUGUCAGCAGUCAACAGAGGUGUUGACUGGUCAAACUGACGCGUGGGUCCCGGCUGUCAUUGACUGAUUAAUUAACUAACAGUUAAUUAGGUUAAUUAGUGAUUAGAUUAAUCUAAUUAUGAUUAAUUAAAUUAACAGAUUUAGUUAAUUAAUUAAUUAAAUUUAUUUUUAUUAUUAUUCUUUUUUAAUCUUUUUUUCCUUAUAUAAAAUCGUUCUGGGGGCUAGUCCCCACAUGUCAUAGGUCCUAAGGGCCAUAGCGGGUUCGGGCGCUAGCGAAACGGGGCGGGCGCAGGCGCACCUAAACGGGCGCUCGCCCGCAAGGGGUGCAGCGGAACGAAGCCGCAGGGGCGCGAGCGGCCGGCGGCACCGGCGGUUGGGCGGCUGCAGCGGGGGGAAGCGGCAGGGUGGAGCCGGCGGUGAGAGGGGGCCAGCAGCGGGCGCGUGUGGAGCCUAGGCGCGUGGGGGGAGCUCGGACGAAUGNNNNNNNNNNNNNNNNNNNNNNNNNNNNNNNNNNNNNNNNNNNNNNNNNNNNNNNNNNNNNNNNNNNNNNNNNNNNNNNNNNNNNNNNNNNNNNNNNNNNNNNNNNNNNNNNNNNNNNNNNNNNNNNNNNNNNNNNNNNNNNNNNNNNNNNNNNNNNNNNNNNNNNNNNNNNNNNNNNNNNNNNNNNNNNNNNNNNNNNNNNNNNNNNNNNNNNNNNNNNNNNNNNNNNNNNNNNNNNNNNNNNNNNNNNNNNNNNNNNNNNNNNNNNNNNNNNNNNNNNNNNNNNNNNNNNNNNNNNNNNNNNNNNNNNNNNNNNNNNNNNNNNNNNNNNNNNNNNNNNNNNNNNNNNNNNNNNNNNNNNNNNNNNNNNNNNNNNNNNNNNNNNNNNNNNNNNNNNNNNNNNNNNNNNNNNNNNNNNNNNNNNNNNNNNNNNNNNNNNNNNNNNNNNNNNNNNNNNNNNNNNNNNNNNNNNNNNNNNNNNNNNNNNNNNNNNNNNNNNNNNNNNNNNNNNNNNNNNNNNNNNNNNNNNNNNNNNNNNNNNNNNNNNNNNNNNNNNNNNNNNNNNNNNNNNNNNNNNNNNNNNNNNNNNNNNNNNNNNNNNNNNNNNNNNNNNNNNNNNUUGCAGGGCACGGGGCAGUGGGGAUCGAGGAGGAGGACGGAGACGACUCGUGGGAGGCGGGGAGGCAGUCCGGGGAUGGUGUGGCGGCUCCAGGGCGAGGUGCGACGGCGGCGGGGCCGGGCGACAUGCGGUGUCGGGCACCGAGGGCGACGGGGUCAGGCAGCGGCGGCGACGAGCGGAGGGGACGAGGCGAGGGGAUGGAGGAGCACGGCGACGACAGUGGCUCCGACGAGGGAAGGCCUCCGUGCGUCGGCAUCGGCGGGGUUGUCGCCCCGAUCCGGAUCGGGAUCGGGGGUGGAAGAGUGGACCGAGGGGGAGUGAGAGAGAGGGGAUCGGCUAGGUUAGGUUUUGGGGUGGGUUAAGUAGGCCGAUGUGUGUGGUGGGCCGGCUUGGGUUGUGGCCUGGUGGGCCGGGGGCCAUCAGGGGGUAUUCCUUUCAUUCAUUUAUUCUUUUGGUUUAGUUUUCCUUUUAUUUAUUUUUAUUUUUUUGUUUCCUUUUGACUUUUCAAUUUAUUUUACUUUUGUAAAUAUAUAAUUUCAACUCCUAAUUUAGCAUUGCCACUAAACCUACUAUCAGAAAAGGUUUUACCCAGAACAAAAUAGUUUAUAAUUUCAUAUAAUACAAAAGGCAUUUAAUUAAUUGUUUUACCUAGAGUUUUAUUUAUCUUGAACAGUUAAACAUUUUUUUGAUAGUGUGGUUUCUUCACCAUAAUUACCUACGCAUUAUUUGGCACAACUUGAACAUUUUAGUUUUAAUGUUUGAGAACUUUUAUCGUUUGACCUUAAUUCAAAUUUGAAUUUGAAUCGUUUUGAACUAACGCGAGAUUAGCAACAGUAACGGAGGUGACGUGGCAUCAUUAGCUGAGGGUUACUGUAGCUUAAAUAUCCGGGCGUCACAAUGCUAUUAUAUUAUCCAUCUAGGAUGUUUUAUAUGCAUUUAUAUGCUAUUUUAUAUGAUUUUUGGGACCAACCUAUUAACCUAGAGCCCGGUGCCAGUUUCUGUUUUUUCCUUGUUUUUGAUUAUCGCGGAAAAGGGAUACCAAACGGAGUCCAAUUGACGUGCCAAUUUUUGAUGAUUUUUUAUGGACCAAAAGAAGCCCCCAGAGUAAAAGAGUUGGGCCAGAAGAGUCCCAGGCUGUCUACGAGGGCGGGGGCGCGCCCUACCCCCUGGGCGUGGGCCCCUAUCUCGUGGACGACUCGGAGACCCCCCCUGACGUGAGACCUACGCCAAAAAUUCCUAUAAAUACAGAAACCUCCAGAAAAUAACCUAGAUCGGGAGUUCCGCCGCCGCAAGCCUCUGUAGCCACCAAAAACCAAUCGGGACCCUGUUCCGGCACCCUGCCGGAGGGGGGAUCCCUCACCGGUGGACAUCUUCAUCAUCCCAGCGCUCUCCAUGACGAGGAGGGAGUAGUUCACCCUCGGGGCUGAGGGUAUGUACAAGUACCUAUGUGUUUGAUCUCUUUCUCUCUCUCGUGUUCUUGAUUUGGCACGAUCUUGAUGUAUCACGAGCUUUGCUAUUAUAGUUGGAUCUUAAAAUGUUUCUCCCCCUCUACUUUCUUGUAAUGGAUUGAGCUUUCCCUUUGAAGUUAUCUUAUCGGAUUGAGUCUUUAAGGAUUUGAGAACACUUGAUGUAUGUGUUGCAUGUGCUUAUCUAUGGUGACAAUGGGAUAUCACGUGAGCUACUUGAUGUAUGUUUUGGUGAUCAACUUGCGGGUUCCGUGACCUCGUUAACUUAUGCAUAGGGGUUGGCACACGUUUUCGUCUUGACUCUUUGGUAGAAACUUUGGGGCACUCUUUCAAGUACUUUGUGUUGGUUUGAAUAGAUGAAUCUGAGAUUGUGUGAUGCAUAUCGUAUAAUCAUACCCACGGAUACUUGAGGUGACAUUGGAGUAUCUAGGUGACAUUAGGGUUUUGGUUGAUUUGUGUCUUAAGGUGUUAUUCUAGUACGAACUCUAGGAUAGAUCGAACGGAAAGAAUAGCUUCAUGUUAUUUUACUACGGACUCUUGAAUAGAUCGAUCAGAAAGGAUAACUUUGAGGUGGUUUCGUACCCUACCAUAAUCUCUUCGUUUGUUCUCCGCUAUUAGUGACUUUGGAGUGACUCUUUGUUGCAUGUUGAGGGAUAGUUAUAUGAUCCAGUUAUGUUAUUAUUGUUGAGGGAACUUGCACUAGUGAAAGUAUGAACCCUAGGCCUUGUUUCAACGCAUUGCAAUACCGUUUACACUCACUUUUAUUACUUGUUACCUUGCUGUUUUUAUAUUUUCAUAUUACAAAAACCUAUAUCUACUAUCCAUAUUGCACUUGUAUCACCAUCUCUUCGCCGAACUAGUUCACCUAUACAAUUUACCAUUGUAUUGGGUGUGUUGGGGACACAAGAGACUCUUUGUUAUUUGGUUGCAGGGUUGUUUGAGAGAGACCAUCUUCAACCUACGCCUCCCACGGAUUGAUAAACCUUAGGUCAUCCACUUGAGGGAAAUUUGCUACUGUCCUACAAACCUCUGCACUUGGAGGCCCAACAACGUCUACAAGAAGAAUGUUGCAUAGUAGACAUCAAGCAGUUUCUGGCACCGUUGCCGGGGAGGUGAGCACUUGAAGGUAUAUCUUUAGAUCUUGCAAUCGAAUCUUUUUGUUUCUUGUUUUAUCACUAGUUUAGUUUAUAAAAGAAAACUACAAAAAAUGGAAUUGAGGGUGCCUCAUAUGCUUCAUCUUUUUAAUAUCUUUCAUGAAAAUAAGAAUUCCGAUAAUUGUGCCCAAGUGCUAGAAGAAGAAUGCAUUAAAAUGUUUGGCACUAAAUCUUUGAAUGAUGAGCAUGAUUGGAAUGUUGUUAGUACGAACUCUUUGAAUAUCCAUAGUACUAAUGAUGAUUGCAGUAGUCAUGAUGAAAAUGUCUCUUAUAAGCAUGUCAAUUUUUGUGGAGUGCAUAGAGUUUGCAAGUACACACCAAAUAGGGAAGAUAGAUUUUGCAAGAGGCAUAAGUAUUUAGAAACCAAAUGGUUGCAAGGAAGGCUAGAUGUUUGUGCUGAAAAUUUAAAAUGUCUUAAUCAUCCUUGUGAACUUUGCAAUGAACGUGGUCAUUUAAAUAUCCAAUGCAAAUUGCUUCAUGAUUGUAUCGUGUCCAAACAUUGUGAUGACUUGAUUUCCCUUGCACAUCAUAAUUAACUUAGUUUGCUUUUGGGUUAUGAAGAAAUGAAACGUAUAACUAAGGAUAUGCCAGAAUUUGUCCUUGAUAAAGUUCUUGAUUUUGAUCUAGAAGAAAUUUUUAUGUAUUGUGCGGUGAAUUGCAUUGAAAAUCCUUAUAUUGCCAAUUACAUAAAGAAAAGAAAAGAAAUAUAAGAUGAAGAGAAUACUAAUGAAAGGGAAGAGACUUCCCAAUAUCCUCCUAUUAUUUCUUAUGAUGAAUCAGGUAACGAGGAGGAGCUUUCUAUUCAACAUAUCUCAUUAAUAAGGAGCUAAAAAAAGAGGUUUAAACCCACACAUGAUGUGAAGAAGAAAAAGAAAAGAUGGGAAGCAAAGGUAGAAAGGUAUCCCUCCCAAAUGAUGUUGCUCCUAUUACUCAUUGUGAUGAUGAUAAUUGCUAUACUAUUGGUGCUAUCCAUACCAUUAAUGAUGAGAGUGAUUAUGCUUAUGAUAUGAAAAGGCCCAAGCUUGGGGAUGCUAUGUUUGAUGAGAAUGACAUGUUUGAGAAUAUAUUUGCUACAAUUAAUGUUUGUCCCAAGCUUGGGGAUGCUAUGUUUAAUGAAGAUGAUAUUUUUAGCCUACCAAGUUUUGAUGAGCAAAUUUAUUAUGAUGAUAGCAUGCCUCCUAUUUAUGAUGAUUAUUGUGAUGACACUUAUGCUAUAGAAAGUAGUGAUGAUUAUAGUUAUAAAACUUGUCAUGAUUAUGAUUACCCUUUUCUGAACAUUACUCUUUUAAUGUGGAAACAAUUUAUAGUAUUCGAGUUUCUUAUGAUACUCCCACUAUUCCGAAUGAGAAGAAUUUUGCUUAUGUGGAGAGUAAUAAAAUUUCUAUGCUUGUAGAUCAUGAAAAGAAUGCUAUGGUUAUAUUGUUGAAUUCAUUCAUGAUGCUACUGAAAAUUAUUAUGAGGGAGGAACAUAUGCUUGUAGGAAUUGCAAUAAUAUCAAGUUUCCUCUGUAUGUGCUUAAAGUUUUGAAGUUAUGCUUGUUUUGCCUUCCUAUGCUAGUUGAUUAUUGUUCCCAUAAGUUGUUUUCUCACAAAAUCCUUAUGCAUAGGAAGUGGGUUAGACUUAAAUAUGCUAGUCAUAUUCUUCAUGAUGCUCUAUUUAUGUUUUAAUUCUUAUCUUUUAUGUGAGCAUCAUUGAAAUCAUCAUGCCUAGCUAGGGGCGUAAAACGUUAGCACUUGUUGGGAGGCAACCCAAUUUUAUUUUUGUUCUUUGCGUUUUGUUCCUAUUUAGUAAUAAAUAAUUCAUCUAGACUCUGUUUAGAUGUGGUUUUAUUGUUUUAGUUAGUGUUUGUGCCAAGUAGAACCUUUGGGAAGACUUGGGUGAAGUCUUUGUGAUCUUGCUGUAAAAAACAGAAACUUUAGCGCUCACGAGAUUAGCUGCCAUUUUUUACUGGAGAAUGAUUUUAGGUUGAUUAUUUUUUAAGAUGAUUAAUAGACAAUUUACUCAGGUCCACCAAUUUAUUUCAGAAUUUUUGGAGUUCCAUGAGUAUACGUUUGAUACAGAUUACUACAGACUGUUCUGUUUUUGACAGAUUCUGUUUUCAUUGUAUUGUUUGCUUAUUUUGAUGAAUCGAUGAGUAGUAUCGGAGGGUAUGAACCAUAGAGAAGUUGGAAUACAGUAGAUAUUACACCAAUAUGAAUUUAGAAUAAGUUCACAACAGUACCUAAGUGGUGGUUUUAUUUUCUUAUACUAACGGAGCUUACGAGUUUUCUGUUGAGUUUUGUGUUGUGAAGUUUUCAAGUUUUCGGUAAAGAUUCGAUGGACUAUGGAAUAAGGAGUGGCAAGAGCCUAAUCUUGGGGAUGCCCAAGGCACCCCAAGGUAAUAUUCAAGGACAACCAAGAUCCUAAGCUUGGGGAUGCCCCGGAUGGCAUCCCCUCUUUCGUCUUCGUUCAUCGGUAACUUUACUUGGAGCUGUAUUUUUAUUCACCACAUGAUAUAUGUUUUGCUUGGAGCGUCAUUUUAUUUUCUUUUGUUUUGCUUGCUGUUUGAAUAAAAUACCAAGAUAUGAAAUCCUUAAAUGUUAGAGAAUCUUCACAUAGUUACAUAAUUAUUCAACUACUCAUUGAUCUUCACUUAUAUCUUUUGGAGUAGUUUGUCAUUUGCUCUAGUGCUUCACUUAUAUCUUCUUAGAACACGGUGGUGGUUUUAUUUUAUAGAAAUUGUUGAUCUCUAAUGCUUCACUUAUAUUAUUUUGAGAGUCUUAAACAGCAUGUUAAUUUGCUUUGGUUAUGAAUUUAGUCCUAAUAUGAUGGGCAUCCAAGAGGGAUAUAAUAAAAACUUUCAUAAUAAGUGCAUUGAAUACUAAGAGAAGUUUGAUUCUUUAUUAUUGUUUUGAGACAUGAGGAUGGUGAUAUUAGAGUCGCGCUAGUUGAGUAAUAGUGAAUUUGAGAAAUACUUGUGUUGAAGUUUGCAAGUCCCGUAGCAUGCACGUAUGGUAACCGUUGUGUGACAAAUUUGAAACAUGAGGUGUUCUUUGAUUGUCAUCCUUAUGAGUGGCGGUCGGGGACGAGCGAUGGUCUUUUCCUACCAAUCUAUCCCCCUAGGAGCAUGCGCGUAGUGCUUGCUUUUGAUGACUUGUAGAUUUUUGCAAUAAGUAUGUGAGUUCUUUAUGACUAAUGUUGAGUCCAUGGAUUAUACGCACUCUCACCCUUCCAUCAUUGAUAGCCUCUUCGGUACCGUGCAUUGCCCUUUCUCACCUCGAGAGUUGGUGCAAACUUCGCCGGUGCAUCCAAACCAUAUGAUACGCUCUAUCACACAUAAGCCUCCUUAUAUCUUCCUCGAAACAGCCACCAUACCUACCUAUUAUGUCAUUUCCAUAGCCAUUCCGAGAUAUAUUGCCAUGCAACUUUCCACCGUUUCAUUUAUUAUGACAUGCUUCAUCAUUAUCAUAUUGCCUUGCAUGAUCAUGUAGUUGACAUCGUAUUUGUGGCAAGGCCACCAUGCAUAAUUUUUCACAUGUCACUCUUGUUUCAUUUCCCAUCCCGGUACAUCACCGGAGGCACUCAUAUAGAGUCAUAUUUUGUUCUAGUAUCGAGUUGUAAUCAUUGAGUUGUAAAUAAAUAAAAGUGUGAUGAUCAUUAUUAAUAGAGCGUUGUCCCAUGAAAAAAAAAGAAAAAAAAAGGCCAAAUAAAAAAAGGAAAGGCCAAAUAAAAAAAGGAAGGAAAAAGAAAGAAAGGCCAAAUAAAAAAAGGAAGGCCCAAAAAAAGGAAAAGAAGGGACUAUGCUACUAUCCUUUUUCCACACUUGUGCUUCAAACUAGCACCAUGAUCUUUAUGAUAGAGAGCUUCUUAUAUUGUCACUUUCAUAUACUAGUGGGAAUUUUUCAUUAUAGAACUUGGCUUGUAUAUUCCAACAAUGGGCUUCCUCAAAUGCCCUAGGUCUUCUUGAGCAAGCAAGUUGGAUGCACACCCACUUAGUUUCUUUUGUUGAGCUUUCAUACAUUUAUAGCUCUAGUGCAUCCGUUGCAUGGCAAUCCCUACUCCUUGCAUUGACAUCAAUUGAUGGGCAUCUCCCUAGCCCGUUGAUUAGCCGCGUCAAUGUGAGACUUUCUCUUUUUUUUGUCUUCCCCACACAACCUCCAUCAUUAUAUUCUAUUCCACCCAUAGUGCUAUGUCCAUGGCUCGCGCUCAUGUAUUGCGUGAAAGUUGAAAAAGUUUGAGAAUACUAAAGUAUGAAGCAAUUGCUUGGCUUGUCAUCGGGGUUGUGCAUGAUGGGAGCAUUUUGUGUGACGAAAAUGAAGGAUGGCCAAACUAUAUGAUUUUGUAGGGAUGAGCUUUCUUUGGCAAUGUUAUUUUGAUAAGACAUAAUUGCUUGGUUAGUAUGCUUGAAGUAUUAUUAUUUUUAUGUCAAUAUUAAACUUUUGUCUUGAAUCUUAUGGAUCUGAAUAUUCUUGCCACAAUAAAGAAGAUUACAUUGAUAAAUAUGUUAGCUAGCAUUCCACAUCAAAAAUUCUGUUUUUAUCAUUUACCUACUCGAGGACGAGCAGGAAUUAAGCUUGGGGAUGCUUGAUACGUCUCCAACGUAUCUAUAAUUUUUUAUUGUUCCAUGCUAUUAUAUUAUCCAUCUAGGAUGUUUUAUAUGCAUUUAUAUGCUAUUUUAUAUGAUUUUUGGGACUAACCUAUUAACCUAGAGCCCAGUGCCAGUUUCUGUUUUUUCCUUGUUUUUGAGUAUCGCAGAAAAGGGAUACCAAACGGAGUCCAGUUGACGUGCCAAUUUUUGAUGAUUUUUUAUGGACCAAAAGAGGCCCCCGGAGUAAAAGAGUUUGGCCAGAAGAGUCCCGGGCUGUCCACAAGGGUGGGGGCGCGCCCUACCCCCCUGGGCGUGGGCCCCUAUCUCGUGGACGACUCGGAGACCCCCCUGACGUGAGACCUACGCCAAAAAUUCCUAUAAAUACAGAAACCUCCAGAAAAUAACCUAGAUCUGGAGUUCUGCCGCUGCAAGCCUCUGUAGCCACCAAAAACCAAUCGGGACCCUGUUCCGGCACCCUGCCGGAGGGGGAUCCCUCACCGGUGGCCAUCUUCAUCAUCCCGGCACUCUCCAUGACGAGGAGGGAGUAGUUCACCCUCGGGGCUGAGGGUAUGUACCAGUAGCUAUGUGUUUGAUCUCUCUCUCUCUCUCUCUCGUGUUCUUGAUUUGGCACAAUCUUGAUGUAUCGCGAGCUUUGCUAUUAUAGUUGGAUCUUAUGAUGUUUCUCCCCCUCUAUUCUCUUGUAAUGGAUUGAGUUUUCCCUUUGAAGUUAUCUUAUCGGAUUGAGUCUUUAAGGAUUUGAGAACACUUGAUGUAUGUCUUGCAUGUGCUUAUCUGUGGUGACAAUGGGAUAUCACGUGAUCUACUUGAUGUAUGUUUUGGUGAUCAACUUGCGGGUUCCGUAACCUCGUGAACUUAUGCAUAGGGGUUGGCACACGUUUUCAUCUUGAAUAUCCGGUAGAAACUUUGGGGCACUCUUUGAAGUACUUUGUGUUGGUUUGAAUAGAUGAAUCUGAGAUUGUGUGAUGCAUGUCAUAUAAUCAUACCCACGGAUACUUGAGGUGACAUUGGAGUAUCUAGGUGACUAGGGUUUUGGUUGAUUUGUGUCUUAAGGUGUUAUUCUAGUAUGAACUCUAGGAUAGAUCGAACGGAAAGAAUAGCUUCAUGUUAUUUUACUACGGACUCUUGAAUAGAUCGAUCAGAAAGGAUAACUUUGAGGUGGUUUUGUACCCUACCAUAAUAUCUUCGUUUGUUCUCCGCUAUUAGUGAAUUUGGAGUGACUCUUUGUUGCAUGUUGAGGGAUACUUAUAUGAUCCAGUUAUGUUAUUAUUGUUGAGGGAACUUGCACUAGUGAAAGUAUGAACCCUAGGCCUUGUUUCAACGCAUUGCAAUACCGUUUACACUCACUUUUAUUACUUGUUACCUUGCUGUUUUUAUAUUUUCAUAUUACAAAAACCUAUAUCUACUAUCCAUAUUGCACUUGUAUCACCAUCUCUUCGCCGAACUAGUUCACCUAUACAAUUUACCAUUGUAUUGGGUGUGUUGGGUACACAAGAGACUCUUUGUUAUUUGGUUGCAGGAUUAUUUGAGAGAGACCAUCUUCAACCUACGCCUCCCACGGAUUGAUAAACCUUAGGUCAUCCACUUGAGGGAAAUUUGCUACUGCUCUACAAACCUCUGCAGUUGGAGGCCCAACAACGUCUACAAGAAGAAGGUUGCGUAGUAGACAUCAAGGCCGUCCUCGCCCAGCUCAUGGCGGUCACCGCACAAAUCAAACGAAGCUUCUCCGACAACGGUCGACAACCCACGGCCGAAGAGUUGGCAAUCACCGAGAGAGUUCGAGCAGCCGUCCAUUCCUGCGCGGCAUACCUUGCCACGACGGAUCCCACCAAAGCCCAGAUCGCGGCCGCCCAUGCCCAGCUCGUGGCGGCCUAUUCCAAAGAUAUGGCGGACGCGGAUGGCGAGAUGCUUCCGGAGUAUGGUGCAAUUGAUGUUGUGGAGCCCCUUCCCCAGGAGACCGUCGGGCGCGAGCCGGACAUGGAGGCGGCAGCGGAGAUCGACGAGCACCAGCCAUAGUAGUACUCUUUGUUUUGUUUAAUUAAGAGCGCCGGUCUUUAAUUUGUUAGAUUAAUGUUUAGGUCAGCUAGCUCUUUUUUGAUUGCUGAACUUGCUCGAUUAAGAAGUGUGGGUGUGCUGUAGUCUCCUUUGUGUACCCAAAUUAUGCAAUGACGUGGAUGACCACUGUAACCAGGGAAAUUCAAACCAAAAUUUUUGACAUUCAAACUCAUCACACACGGGUUAAGAUAUCUGAAUCGUUUGUGAUGUUCACAUACCGUAACAGUUCUGAAUAAGAGACCGUGUCUGACGAAACUUUGUGUGCCAGUUUUUUCGCUGAAGCGAUUCCAAAUUUUCGGCUUUCGCGGAAAUAUCUACCUCCCUGCCCCUCCCCCUUACCAAAAGCCACAUUUCCCCUUUUUCGCCUUCCUUUCCAAGUUGAAACCUUCACUCCUUGCUUGCAGCGCCGCCUCCUCGCCGGUGACCCUCCUUCAUGCUGCUCGGCCUCGCCUAUCCAGGCAGGUAAUCCACACCCGACCCCCAUCCUCCUCCUCCUUCCACAUCCCACAUGCCACGACCGCUGGCGCGAGUGCGACACCUUCCACCCAAAUCACCGACCCCUCCACCAAAUAAGCGCCGCCCUAAGCCAUGGUGCAUGCAGUAUAGCCAGGAUCUCAAGGAGCAUUUAGCAGUGAAGAAGCAAAUCACGGCCGCACGCGUGGAUGAGGUCGCGAUGGCUGCCAUUUGUGCCGACCCCCAGAUCUUGGAGGAGCACCUCGCCAUCGAGGCCACUGUCGAUGCCUCGCGCACCGAUGCCGCGACGCGGUUGGCUGCUUUAAAUGACAGUUCGUGGCGUUUUCUCGAGGCCACCGUCGGUGCCUUCGAUGAAGACUACGAGGUGUUUUCUCAGCAUGCACGUGCUUACCUCAUCUCGAGAGCCAGCAGGUUGGUGCCCGGAGCGGCUCAGGCAACUCACCACUACGACGAGGGCACCCACGAAGCGGAGGCCUCGCCCUCUUCCAUGUCCAAGGAGCCAAUCGUCAUUGAUAUCUCCGACAAUGAGGAGUAUCUUUUCUUAUUAGCUCACUAUAAGGACCCAUGUUCAGUUUGCUAACUACUGCCUUUCCUUAACAAAUUCUAGUGAACUGUGCUAUCUACUUUUACCAUGCAAUCUUCUGCUCUAGAGUAUAUGUUCUAUAUGUCGUGCAAUGUGAUGUUCAGUUAACUGUUUGGUUCAAUUCUGCAAAUGUGAUGUUCAAUUCUUCAGGGUGCAAUUUUCCAAGUUGUCAAGCAUGCUUGGUUUGGUUAACUGUCCAAUCUUCUAUUAGGAGUAUGUUAUAUUGUGCAAUGUGGUUCUCAGUUAACGUUUGGUUCAUUUGUUGUGGUGUUUAGUUAACUGUUUGGUUCAAUUCUGCAAUGCGAUGUUCAAUUGUUGUGGGUGCAUUCUGUUAUUGUAUACCAUGUGAGAAAUAAAUUGAAUUUGGUUGUACUAAAUACAUCAAAAACAAAUACAAUUGCUAUAUUUCCAAGUUGUUAAGCAUGCUUGGCUUGGUUAACCGUCUGAUCUUCUACUAGGAGUAUGUUAUAUUGUGCAAUGUGGUGCUUAGUUAACGUUUGGUUCAUUUGUUGUGGUGUUUAGUUAACUAUUUGGUUCAAUUCUGCAAUGCGAUGUUCAAUUGUUGUGGCUGCAUUCUGUUAUUGUAUACCAUGUGAGGAAUAAAUCGAAUUUGGAUGCACUUAAUACAUGAGAAACAUAUACAAGUGCUAUAUUUCCUAGUUCUUAAUCAUGCUUGGUUUGGAUAAAUGGGUUUUGUGGCUUGAAUUAAUCUGAUAAAUCUGCAAUGUGCUUAUUUUUCAUCAACAUAUUUUACUGAUAGCAUGCGAACCCUUACUUAACCUCAUGAGUAACUACCUUAUAUGUGUUGCAGGGAAACAAUGGUAAGCACUGAGGUUUACAAUCGAGGUUAGCACGUGCAUGGUCCGUUGUCUAAUAGCACAUUAUUGUGCAAUUGCAGGAACCAUUCUAAUAUUUAGGUUUUUAACAAUUUGGUCUUGCACAUGUAGGUCCUGCUAUCAGAGGUUUUGACCCACUGUUUGACCCUUUUUGCAUAUGGGGAAAUGAGUUGUCCAUGAAUAUCAAUCAAGUCAAGAAACUCAGAAAGAUUGUUAGGAUAAAGACAUUAGCGACAAAAAACAACAAGAUCUUUGUCUGCACAAUGAAGAAGACAUCAGUUCACUACAAGAUGGUACUAACUAUUAUACCUUGCCUUUUUUUAUUCCUUUGCCCCAUUUCCAAUAUAGAGAAGAUAUUUAUGCACAUCGUUGUUUUCAGGCCUUUCCAAAGCAGUUCACUGAUGAUUACCUCUCAAACCACCUCUAUGGUCAGGAGGCGAGGAAGGUUUUCAUACAACACCCACGGUUCAAUAUUGAAGUGUUCCUGAAGAGGACGAAGGACAGACGGUCAAUCAUACAUAGGCAUUGGCCUAAAGUUGCAAAGACCUUCAACAUGAAUGAAGGCUCAAUAUUCGCCUUCCGCUUCAACAGUUUUCCAAAUGAGAUGCAUCUGUCGAUAUACCGUCUAUGAUGCUAAUUUCGAAAGGUUCUACAUGUUGCAUGUGAAACUUGGUGCUGGUGCAGUUGUGCAACGGGGUAGCCGAGUGCUGAAGCUAUAUCAUGUUGUACUCUAAUGUAUUUCAAUUAUGAAAUCCUGCUUCCUUAAUAUGGAAAUGAAAUAUAUUAUGUGCUUAAUAUGAACGUCAAUUAGAUUAAUAAAUGGAUUAUUAAUAAUAGGGCAAUUAGCCUGCUAAUUGGGUUUUGCUAUUGCAAACAGUUAUUCAGAAAAUAUUGUGGGCGAUGACCUCAGGCAACGCACACAGUUUCUAGGAAUAAACCGUGUUGGAUCAAUGAACAAUCACACACGACCUUCUCUUGAAAAUUGUUUGCGUUAGGCCACCUGGCGCAAACAUUUACCACAUAAAAACUGUGUGUGAUGGACAGCCCUUGACACACAGUUUCUUCUACGGACCGUGUGUGAUGCAUUCAAUAACGCAAACGAUAAAAUUCUUAAUACCGUGUGCAAUGGCAACGCUAUCACAAACGAUUUAAUGGGAAAAUUGUGCGUGAUGUACCUGUGAACGGAAACGUUUUCCUUGGAGCGACUAUGUGGGAUGUACAUACGAACGGAAACGCUUAGCGGGGACUGAUUGUGUGGGAUGUACUUGCGAACGGAAACAAUUUCGCCUGUAUAAUUGUAUUUUUUUAGCUCUACUGUAUGUAUUUCCGUAUUUGAGCGCUCGCCGGUCACACAUGACCUCAUUUUGUCGAACGUGUGUGCCAGGAGGGCAUAUCCCUGACAGUUUCUGGCUCAUGUGGGAAGGACCCCCCUAUCGCCGUCAUUCACUAGGCGACGGUGCCAAAUGUCGUCGCGGAAAGGUGUUAAAAACCGUUUGUAUAGCACCUCGCUAUACUAGUGAUCCAACUCAUGUACUGUUAUGAAUUUGGCAAAAAGAAUAACGCGGGAAAGGGUCAGAACAUGAACACACUUGCAUGUGGACCAAAUAUAUGUAUGAAAAUGGUGGUUUGAUGUUCGAAUACCCAAUACACAACUUUGAUGUGGCACCUAUCGCACAAAGUGCACAGUAUUGCUAGUCAGCCACCCCCUACGAACCCCACUUCGUGUCGGUGGUAAGGGAAUCCUAGCUAUGAAUGCAUGCCCCCAGAUAGUUACGUUUGAAAUCUCACCCUAGCUACCGUAACACAAAACCUAUAGGAGUCCAUCAUAUAUAUGGUCAAACUUCCCCUUUCGUUUCCGGACAAAGGUGGACUGUGUGCCGACCCACGAAUGUGUGUUUGUGGCGGGAGAUGGGUAAGACCACAUAUGAACCACCUGCGGGUGGCCCUAUACUAUAUGUAUGAAAGGGUGUGGUGUGAUAUUUAACUACCAUUCACAACUUCGAUGUGGCACGUGUGCCUCGCAAAUUAACCAGACUUCCCCGACCCCACGGAGGUUGCGGGUAGUGCGAAGUAGCCCCCCCCCCACACACACACACUCCUAUUGGGGGUGGAGGGCAUCUCACCAAGACGUACAGUAACAUAGACCAAACAGAAUCCAACUUGAUCGUAUAACCUCUCUCACUCGUUGUUGGUCAAAGUGAUGGACGUCCACAUGGCCCCGCAAAAUGGGCUAGCUUGUCACCGAUAAACUUGCGAGGGAGUACUGUCUGAAGACAAAACCCACUCUUUGCAUGUGGCCCAGUUAUGUAUAUGUAAGUGGUGUGUGUGGCGUUUGAAUACGCAAUGCACAAAUUUGAUGUGGCGCCAUGCUUUUUGGAACCGUAAAAUCCCCACACUGAUCGAGUGAGGGUUCACGAUGCAUAGCAUGCAUGCGCUCAAACUUAAUUAGGCCUAGAAUGAUCGACCUACUAUACGGUAACAUGAACCAAAGAAGAAGAAUCCACCCUGGUAACCUUUCUUGUUGUCGGUCGAAAUGAUGAACGUCCACGCGGGCCCACGAAUAUAUAUAGGCUUGCCGCCCAUAACCAAGCGAGCCAGAGUGUCCAAAGAUAACCAUUGCAUGCAUGUGUCCCAAACAUAUUUAUGGAGGUGCGUGAUGCAUGCAUAUGUGUUGAAUACCUAAUGCACAACAUUGAUGUGGUGCAUGCUUUCAAAAUUGCACAGGUCCCCACACAGAGCAAGAGGUUCAUGAUGUGUCGUGUGCUCCCCCCCCCCCCUUCGAUCCGGCGGGAUGGAUUCAUGUGUACACACGCGCUAUUAUAUAUGUAAUCUCACAUCAUGACCUAUAUCACGAGACAAACAAAAAAUUAAUCCCCUCCUAAGUCAAAAUAAUUAACCUCUCUCAUUUUCAGUGAAAGUGAUGGACCAAGCGGGCCGACAGAUGGAAGCGUCGCUGAUAACCACGUGAGUGAGUGCCACAGGACAACCACCAUCGCUUGCAUGUGUGCCAAAACAUAUAUAUGGAGAGGUGUGUGGUUGUGAUGUUUUGAAUAUACCUAAUGCACAACCUUUGAUGUGGCAUUUGCCUCAAAAAUCGCAAAGUCCCCACACAGAGUGAGAUUCAUGUGUGACACCUAGUAUAUGUUGGUUCCAUCCCUCCUUCGACACGUACUAUAUAUAUACUCCUACCCUAACAUAGCCCUAAAAGAAUUAAUCCUCCUGGUUCAUCAAAUGUGCCUCUCUCUCUCUCUUUGGGUCAAAGUGAUGGAGGACGACCUCGCGGGCCCAUAGAUGGAAGCGCCGCACGCGAGUGAGUUCCUAUAGGGCAACCACCGCCUGCAUGGUAUUGCAUGAUGUUUGAAUACCAAUGCACAACUUUGAUGUGGCACCUGCCUCGGGAACCGGAAAGUCCCCACAUAGAGUGAGGUUAUGACACACACACACACACACACACACACACACACAUAUAUAUAUAUAGAGAGAGAGAGAGAGUAUACAUGUUGCCUCCUCUUUGACAUGUACUACAUACUCCUACCGUGCAUAUAUGUAACACAAACAAAAAAAGAACCGCCCUUGUUGGUCAAAUUAACCUCUCUCUCGUUGUACGCUCAACUGAUCGAUGAAGACCUCGCGGGCCCACAGAGAGUCACAUGCGAGCAAGUGUCAUAGGACAACCACCGCGUGCAUGUUGUCGUGUGUUGUGUGAUGUUUGAAUACCCAAUGCAAAAAUUUGACGUGGCGCAUGCUUCGCAAACCGGAAACGCAGUACACAGAGGUUCAUGAUGCGUAGCCCCCUCACUUCGAGCCGGUGGGAGGGACUCAUGUGUACGCACGUGCCCGAACUUUGAUAUGGAAUCUCAGCAUGAUCCACACCGUAACACACAUGCCAAAGAUGAAUCCACCUUCGGUCUGAUGCCUCUCGUUGUCGGUGGAAACUAAAAACCUUUGCAGGCUAACGAAUGGGCACGUUGCUGCUAACCGCACGAGGGAGUGUCCGAGAGGACCACCAAUGCAUGCAUGUGGCUAGAACAUGUACAUAUGAAAGGGUUGUGUAAUGCUUUAAAUAACCAAUUCACGACUUUGAUGUGGCAUAUAUACAUGACUCACAAAAUGAUCAAUAAUCCCACGUCACGAAGGCUCGCGACUAGUAGUGUACUCAUGGACCCCCCCCCCUACCCACACACAGAGACACACAUCCCGCACCAUCACCUCCACUCCGAGGCAUGUCAAACUUUUUCUGUAGUGAACAUGUGACCAAAGGAGUUUCGUGUUAAAGUUUUAAAAAAUAGAGAUCAUUCAACCUGUUUUAUACAUUGAUUGAUUUCCUAGGGAUUUAAUGUGCAAAAAUCAAAUUUGAGCUACAUGUGCACCAAAAUGGAUUGCAAAAUCAUAUGUGUGUCCCUGGGUGCAUGCUUUCCCAUGAAAGAAAUUUCAAAACAUUGAGAAUCUUGAUUUUUGAAAUUCAGUAAAUCCAAAAACUAGUUCAAAUUCAUGAAACUUAUCGUGGUGUCAUGUAUGGACACCUAGUAGACUAUGAUAUUGUAUUUUUCGUCAAAUUUGAGACAAGUUUUGAUAUGAUCUACUUACAAACGGGAGAUUGUUAAUAACUGGCAACCAAUAUCUCAUACGGAAUAUUUAAUUGGACCGUGUGUGUUAGACCGUACCAUGCUUCGGUUAAGCAGUAAAGCGGCAAAAUGAAUCAUCAAAAAAAUGUGCCGCCACGCGCCUCGUGUGGCGUGCGAGCAAGCGUGAGUUGACGGACGCAUGCGAUCAGUCCGCCGCGCGGGCAUACUGGGAGGUGUGCGUGGAGGUGUGUGAAUUGACGGGAGGCGUUUUCACUGUGCAAUGUCACCGGGAGGCCUGUGAGUAGCUGUGUGAAAUGAUGGUGUUGGAAUGCCAAAAGUCCGCCGCGCAGGCUCACCGGGAGGUGAGACAGCCUUUGACCGCCGCCCGCCUCGCUCCCACUGGUCCGUAUUAAUGGCGUGCUCGAGCGGACGCACCCCCAUCUUCGCCACACCCACAAUCCUCUCUCUCCGCCCGCAUCCUCGGCGCCGCUCUCAGUCCUCAAAGCCGUUAGUGUAUGAGGAUGCCGCUGAAGCGCCCCAUCAGAGGGAGUGGCGACGCCGGGGCUGCUGAAGCACUGGAGCACAGCGUGUAUAUGGAGACAGAGGUUGUCGUCGCCGCCAAAAAGGUGGAGAACGAGGCUGCCAACAAGCAAAGGCGGGUCGAGAAAGAACGGCAAGCGACUCCAGCAGGCCUAGACUUCAUCAGCAGCCUCCCCGAUGAUAUGUUGACAGUCAUCAUAUCCCUCCUCCCAAUCAAAUAUGGGGCGAGGACAACCGUCCUUUCCCGAUGGUGGCGCCCCCUAUGGCUCUCCACCCCUCUCGACCUCCUCGACGCCCAAGAGCUCUGCCAUGGCUAUCGCAAAAGCUUGGAUGCGUUCUCCCAGAUCCUCGGCAGUCACCAUGGCCCAAUCAGAGGCCUUUUCAUGGGCAAGUUCCAUUCCAACGGCAAGGACCAAGCCAAGCUUGACGAGUGGUUCCGAUCCCCCGCCCUAGAUCAGCUCGAGGAGCUCAGUUUUAAUGAUGGGCAUAUGCGCUCGCUGCCAAUGUUCGCGCUCUGCUUCGCACCCACGAUGCGACUCGCCAAGUUCAUGAACUGCCAUCCUCCCUUAAUGACGCGCCCCCUCUUUUUCUACCACGACUGAAGCACCUCGAUCUCGUCGCCUUCUACAUCCCAAAGGAUGGCAUGGAGCGCCUGCUCCGUGGCUGUACUGCACUCGGGUUCCUUCAUCUUCAGGCGAUGAAUUGGUCGAGUAGCUUCCACAUCACCUCCAUGACUCUCUGGACUAUUUAUGUAUGUUGCUGGUGCUGCAACAAGAGAUCACAAAAGGUGGACCACAAUAUGGUCAUAAGGACACACCUUCACUUGAGAGAUUAGUUGUAGUUGAUCAACAAGGUCCAACAAGAAUCACUGUCAUUUCGGUGCCAAAAUUGAUAGUGGUGGGCUACUCGUCUGUCAAAUACUCCGAACAUGUUAUUGGAUCCACACCCAUUCAGGUACAACAUUCGCCUUCUACCUCUCCUUCUUGAUAUCAACAUUGUUUCUAAUUUUGAAGAUGUACUUUCGUCUGUCAUCCAGAAAAUCUUGACCUAGAUUCCGCGCACAAUGAAGGUCUUGGCACUAGAGUGUAUCAGCCCCAACCUGCAUGAAGUUGUCAGUUUCCUGAGAUGAUUUCCGUGCCUGAAGAAGUUGCAUAUUGAGGCGAUGUUCCUUUCCUGUUAAAUGUUAACCAUAAGGGAGUUCAAUUUUUGGCACCUUUUCCCAAGUUUACAAUGACAAUGUGCUACGAUUUCUGAAGGAAUUUUGGAGGAUUUCAGGACAUACCCCCCCCCCCCACCCCAUAUUGGUUGCUUGAUUCAUAUGGUUACAAUCCAUGAGCAUUUCUCCUUUGGAUUCAUCUGUACUAGUUUUCUGGGAAUUUUUAUUCCACUCCAACCUCUUGUGAAGAGGCUACAUUUUUCUAGAUUGUAAUAAAUGCCCAUGUUAAUCAUGUCAGAUCGAAGAUGGCACGUUGGUGCAUUUUACAAAUCCUGCAAACCAAAUAGGAAUGUAGUAGUGUUUAAAACUGCAUGUAGGCACUAACACGUUCUCUUCUUUUGCAGAUAAUAAUAGGCCCGGUGGUGGAUAAUGUGAUACAAUAUAACGACAAUCACAUCGAAUGCCUAGAUCUGCAUCUCUCAAAAAUUACUUUGAACUCCUACCGAGGGACCUUACUGAAGAUUAUAUUUGACAGGUUCUUUGUUUUCAGAGCAAGGGUGCCGAAGGUAAUUAAGUUGAACAUGCAUUUAUAUAGAAAAUAUGAAUGGUUUGUUGAUUAGAGCCGGCAGCUACUGCAAAAUGCAAGAUGCUCCAAAAAAGCUAAACUUUGUAUUGGAACUGCAUAUGACAUAGUAAUUGGAAGUUAUUGUGUCAACCCCAUAUAUGACUAGUCAGCGGCUGAUCCCUUUGCAGAAAUGAUGAGGUUUCGAAACCAGCCUUACUAUUUGUAUUUUUAGUUUGAACCUUUCUUAUAUUCAUGUUCAGCUGAUCAGCACGGGCGUUUGCAGUUGAAUGAGCUGAAUUUCAUUUCUAAUAUCAGUUUGAACCUUGUAAUCUUCGAAUUUGAGCCAUGUAACUCUGGAAUUUGAACCUUGUAAUAUUUCAAGCUUUUAUGAUACAAUCGUUGAAAUGACAUCAUAUGAGACUCGUAUAUUGGUAGUACUAUCACUGGUACGCGUCGGUGCUAUACAAACGGUUUUUAACCCCUUUUCGCGACGGCAUUUGGAACCGUCGCCUAGUGAGUGACGGCGAUAGGGGGUCCUUCCCACACGACCCAGAAACCGUCGGGGAUAUGCCCUCCUGGCACACACCCUCGGCAAAAUGAGGUCGUGUGCGACCGGCGAGCGCUCAAAUACUGUAAUAUGUACAGUAGAGCUAAAAAAUACAAUUAUACAUGCGAAAUUGUUUCCGGUCGCAAGUACAUCCCACAUAGUCAGUCCCCGCUAAACGUUUUUGUUCAUAUGUACAUCCCACACAGUCGCUCCAAGGAAAACAUUUUCGUUCACAGGUACAUCACACACAAUUUUCCCCGUUAAAUCGUUUGUGAUAGCGUUGCCAUUGCACACGAUAUUAACAAUUUUAUUGUUUGCGUUAUUGAAUGCAUCACACACGGUGCGUAGAAGAAACUGUGUGGCAAAGGCUGUUCAACGCACACAGUUUUUAUGUGGUAAACAUUUGCGCAAGGUGGCCGAAGCAAACAGUUUUCAAGAGAAGGUCGUGUGUGAUUGUUCAUUGAUCCAACAUGGUUUAUUCCUAAAAACUGUGUGCGUCGCCUGAGGUCAUCGCCCACGGUAUUUUCUGAAUAACCGUUUGCAAUAGCAAAACCCAGUUAGCAGGCUAAUUGCCCUAUUAUUAAUAAUUCAUUUAUUAAUCUAAUUGACAUUCAUAUUAAGCACAUAAUAUAUUUCAUUCCCAUAUUAAGGAAGCAGGAUUUCAUAAUUGAAAUACAUUAGAGUACAACAUGAUAUAGCUUCAGCACUCAGCUACCCCAUUACACAACUGCACCAGCACCAAGUUUCACAUGCAACACGUAGAACCUUUCGAAAUUAGCAUCAUAGACGGUAUAUAGACAGAUGCAUCUCAUUUGGAAACUACUGAAGCGGAAGGCGAAUAUUGAACCUUCAUUCAUGUUGAAGGUCUUUGCAACUUUCGGCUAGUUCUUGUGGAUGAUUGACCGUCCGUCCUUCGUCCUCUUCAGGAACACUUCAAUAUUGAACCGUGGGUGUUGUAUGAAACCUUCCUCGCCUCCUGACCAUAGAGGUGUUUUGAGAGGUAAUCAUCAGUGAACUGCUUUGGAAAGGCCUGAAAACAAGGAUGUGCAUAAAUAUCUUCUCUCUAUAUUGGAAAUGGGGCAAAGGAAUAAAAAAAGGCAAGGUAUAAUAGUUAGUACCAUCUUGUAGUGAAUUGAUGUCUUCUUCAUUGUGCAGACAAAGAUCUUGUUGUUUUUUGUCGCUAAUUUCUUUAUCCUAACAAUCUUUCUGAGUUUCUUGACCUAAUUGAUAUUCAUGGAUAACUCAUUUCCCCAUAUGCAAAAAGGGUCGAACAGUGGGUCAAAACCUCUGACAGCAGGACCUACAUGUGCAAGACCAAAUUGUUAAAAACCUAAAUAUUAGAAUGGUUCCUGUAAUUGCACAAUAAUGUGCUAUUAGACAACGGACCAUGCACGUUCUAACCUCGAUUGUAAACCUUAGUGCUUCCCAUUGUUUCCCUGCAACACAUAUAAGGUAGUUAGUCAUCAGGUUAAGUAAGGGUUCGCAUGCUAGCAGUAAAAUAUGUUGAUGAAAAAUAAGCACAUUGCAGAUUCAUCAGAUUAAUUCAAGCCACAUGGAAAACCCAUUUAUCCAAAUCAAGCAUGAUUAAGAACUAGGAAAUAUAUCACUUGAUGUUUCUCAUGUAUUAAGUGCAGCCAAAUUCGAUUUAUUCCCCACAUGCACAACAGUACAAAAUUCUACCAACGACAAUUGAACAUCGCAUUGCAGAUUUGAACCAAGCAGUUAACUAAACACAACAACAAAUGAAUCAAACAUUAACUGAGCACCACAUUGCACAAUAUAACAUACUCCUAAUAGAAGUUCAGACAGUUAACCAAACUAAGCAUGCUUAACAACUUGGAAAUAUAACAAUUGUAUUUGUUUCUCAUGCAUUUACUACAGCCAAAUUCAAUGUAUACCUCACAUGGUAUACAAUAACAGAAUGCACCCACAACUAUUGAACAUCGCAUUGCAGAAUUGAACCAAACAGUUAAUUAAACACCACAACACAAACGAACCAAACGUUAACCGAGCACCACAUAGCACAAUGUAUAACCAAACCAAACAUGCUUGAUAACUUGGAAAUAUAGCAAUUGUAUUCGUUUCUCAUGUAUUUUGUAAAGAUAAAUUCGAUUUAUUUCUCACAUGAAAGACAAUACAAAAUUGCAGUCUGAAGAAUUGAACAUCACAUUUGCAGAAUUGAACCAAACAGUUAACUGAAGACGACAACUAAUUAACAAAAUAGUUAAUAAGUGAGCACCACACAGCACGACAUAUAGAACAUAUACACUAGAGUAACAGAUUGCAUGGUAAAUUUAGAUAGCACAAUUCACUAGAAUUUGUGAAGGAAAGGCAGGAGCAGCACACGCAACGGGUAAACCGAGCAUGCUUAACCGGCGUAGCUACCAAAUGCCAAGGUGCUCCUCCAAGAUCUGGGGGUCGGCACGAAUGGCAGCCAUCGCUAUCUCAUCCGCGCGUGCGGCCGCGAUUUGCUUCUCCGCUGCCAAAUGCUCCUUGAGAUCCUGGCUAUACUGCGUGCACCAUGGCAUAGGGCAGCGCUUAUUUGGUGGAGGGGUCGUUAAUUUGGGUGGAAGGUGUCGCGCCAGCGGUCGGGGCAUGUGGGAUGUGGAAGGAGGAGGAUGGGGUCGGGUGUGGAUUAUCUGCGUGGAUGGACGAGGCCGAGCAGCGUGAAGGAGGGUCGCCGGCGAGGAGGCGGCGCUGCAAGCAAGGAGUGAAGGUUUCAACUUGGAAAGGAAGGCAGAAACAGGGGAAAUGUGUCUUUUGGUAAGGGGGAGGGUGCAGGGAGGUAGAUAUUUCUGCGGAUGUUGCUGCCUCGACAUGGUCGUGGGUGGCCACCAUCAGGGCUAAGGCCGCCGCUGCGGAACAGACAGCUGCUGUGCCGCUCUCGCCAGUUGCUAUCCCCGAGGCAGAUGUUGCUGCCGCCACCUGAGAAGCAACAACGGCCCUUUUGGCUGUCUUGGCCGCCCGGUCGCAGAUUGCAGCCGCGCUCAUGCACCUUGUUAGCACGCGCAUGGCGGCUGCGGCCGCGCUCUCGCCGGAGUGGACCACCGAAGUUGCCCUCCCGACGUGGGUCCACGUGCCCAUCUUUCACCGGCGAUGAUUGAACAGUGAAAUGAUAUUUGGGGAGCGAGCUAGUGUGCUUGAGACGCCGGAUGUGGACUGUAGUUGACGCACCUUCUCGUGUAAGCCAUAGGCGUACUAUACACCGACGGUGCUCCAGGAUAUUUUGUGCUACAUCUCACAUGGUUGGUGAUAAUAAAUUGUGUGGGAUCUACUUAAUUUUUCAUAUUGAUUUGAAUUAUAUAAUGGGGUCAUAGCGGCAAUGGACGGUGUUUGAAUUGCUAGAUCUUUUAUCUGCAGUGAACAUGCAACUAUAUGUGUGUCGUAAAAGAAUUGGAAUUAUUCAGGGUUCGUUUGGAUAUUUUAUAGAUUAAAUUGGUUUUCUAGCCAUUUCAGGUGCACAAUUCAAAAUUAAACUACAUGCACAUGCUCCGGUGCACCAACAUGGGUUGUAAAAUCAUAUAUGUGUCCAUGGGUUUAUGCUUAUGUCCCAUGCAAGAAACGGGGAUGAAUUUCGAACACCACGGCACCAUGGCUCUCCGGCAAACGUCGAUGUACUUGGUUUUGUAAUCUAUUUAUAUUAAAAAGUACUUGAUGGGGUCAUCAGAAAAAAGAAAAUUUGCCUAAAAUCCCACAAUAAUUAGAAACAUCCGGUCGUUAUUUUAUUAGAUUAGAAAACCAAAACCAUUGGAUUAAUUUUAAAGCUAAAGAAAUUACCCACCAAUGCCACAAAAUAUAGCCCGCAACCUAAUAUUCCCUACACGUCCAUACUAUGUCCAAUCUAAAAGCUCCUGUUUGGAUCGGAAGCAGCCACGGCAGCCGCCGGCCACCCAUAGAUACAUGUUUAAUAAUUUCUCUCACAAGCGAUUCAGCGGAGCCGUCGCCAUGGUUAGCUACAGAUUGGUUCUGUCAAUUCAAUUCCUAGGUACGUGCGUUUGCAACCAAUGUUAAAAGAUCAAUCCACCUGCUUGCUACACAUGUGUGUCCAGAUCGAUUAGUUUCAUUGGUUGGUUUGAGCCGACUCUGUACAUGGCUGCCACCGACAAAAAUACUAUGUCAGCUUCAUGGGUUGGUUUGAUCCGGCUCUGUACAUGGCCGCCACCGGCCAAAAAUGCUAUGUCAGAUGUACGUGCAAGAACAGCCAGUUGAGAUACAGCUCUUAGCAUAUUUCUUUUGAGAAAAUCUAUAUACAUAGCUGCCAUCGGCCAAAAGAACUAUGAACACAAUAACUAUUCCAAUUAUACAUCAAUGGAAGGAUGCCUCUACAGAAACACAUGUAACUACAAUUAAAUGAUCACAACUGCAGGGUUAAGAAAGAUAUAGAUUAUCUGAAUUUUUGAUGCCACAACACCAUGGGAACAAAGUCUAACUUUAGACAGAUAUGUUGUACCAGGCUGGCGGUGUUUGCUAUCUUGAGUGAUCGGGGCAAGGUGAGACCGCGAGAAGGCAAGGUUCUGUUUUAUGAGCUUUUGCAAUCAGAUUAGCAAUGGUGGCAGCACAAGAAAACCAAACGUGUGAGCUAGCAUCAAAUCAAGUUCAGCACGUGGCACAUGUUAGAGCCCACCUUCAGCAUCAUCUUCCUCCAGGGAUUGACACAUAGACAUCAUCUUCCUCCAAUAGUUGCAAGCACCAAAAUCUCCUUUGUUGACACUCAUCGAUUGUCAUCGGCUCUGUGAAGCGAUCACACCACCCCCAGUAAGUACCAUGUGCACAUACUAAGAGAUCAAACUACCUCCGGCGUAUCACCUGCACAAAUUUACAUAAUCUGCAUGAUUCUUGUAUAUGGCAUUGAUGAAUUUGUUACAUAUCAUUGAACAAUGGAUCAACAGUACUUCAAUACUCAAGGCAGUGCUCAUCUAAAGAGUUUUGACAUGCUAACUCACAAGGUGGAUCAAAUAUGCAAUCCAAAAAGGUAACUAUUAAGUAACUGAUCUUGCAUCUUUCAUAGCAGUACAUACAAAAUCAGUAGAACGACUACCAGCGGUGGUUGCUAUCUUGAGAAAUUGGGGAAAGGUGAGACAGCGAGAAGGCAAGGUUGUGUUUUAUGAGCUUUGGCAAUUAGCUUAGCAAUGGUGCCAGGGCGAGAAAACCAACCAUGCAAGCUAGCAUCAAAUCAGGGUUAACACGUGCUGCACAUCAGAACCCACCUUCAACAUCGUCUUUGGUAGAACCAGGGAUCCUACCGGACCUGCUCCGUAGGUUGUAGGGGAAGGAUUGAGGAGGGCGCGGCGAUGAGCGGGCGCGCCGGCGGCUGGGCACCGUCGCGUGGGAGGAGGAUGGCGGCGGCGGCUAGGGUUAGAGGCGGCUAGGGUUCCGGCUCCUCUGGGAGCCGGGCAAUAGAGAUAAUAAUAUUCUUAUUGCUUAAUUCCAAAAAGAGUCUUACAGCCUAUAUUUAUAACCUAGAUAACUUGCAUAAGAAUUAACCUAAGAUAACUUGCAUAAGAAUUAACCUAAGAUAACUUGUGGGCUAAGAUUGCCCGCUGGGCCUAGCUAAACCGGCCAUAACACUAGCUAAACCGGCCAUAACACUUCUCCCCGCCUGCACAAACAGCUCGUCCUCGAGCUGUAAGGUGGGGAAGCGCUUGCGGAACUCCUCGAGGUGAUCAACCAGCGUCAAACACCUUCUCGACGGCUGGGGCGGCCAGGUCGGCGGCGACGGCGUCCUCCGGAAUGUAGUCUGCAACCUCCAGGUAGAAGAGUCGCGGGCAGGCAUGGCCGGGCGUGUAGGGCUCGUCGCAGUUGAAGCACAACCCUUGGCGGCGACGCUCGAGUAGCUCGGCUGAGGUGAGCCGGCGGAACGGGCGCGCCGCGGUCGCGGCGAGGGGUGCCGCAGAAGCUUGCGCAGGCCGACCCUGCGCGGAAUCCGGCCCGGGUAGCGACCCAGCGGUCCGGGACGGUGACUCCUGCUGGAUGGCCACCGCGCGGCGCUCGAACGCGCGGGCGUAGUACAUGGCCGACUAGAGAUCCUGGGGUCCCCGAAGCUCCACGUCCACGCGGAUGUGAUCCGGAAGUCCACCGACAAAGAGGUCGGCCCGCUGUUGCGCCGUCACACCCGACGCAUGGCAUGCCAGGGCCUGGAAAUGGUCGGCGUAGUCCUGCACCGUGGAGGUGAAGGGAAGGCGGCCGAGCUCCUCCAGGCGGCUCCCGCGGAUCGGGGGCCCAAAACGAAGGAGGCAGAGCUCGCGGAAGCGCUCCCAAGUCAUAAGUGGCGAAGUCGAUCUUGGCGAACCGUGGCGGCUUCUGGGUCGGCGCGCCAUGGCCGACCGGCUCGGCGGUGCGGAGCAGCGAUGAUGACGGCGCCCGGUCAAUGGUGGGGAGACCGUCGUAGGCCCCCGCGGAGCCGGACAAGGCCCCAGACUGCAGCGUGGGUACCGGUGGGUCCCCGGCCUCUGUGUAAACUGGUGGUGGCGACGUCCCGGUUAGCCAGGCCGGGAUUGGGGACGGGGACGGCGGAAACCGGACCUGCUGGAUCGGAAGGCCUCCCGGUGUGGACUGGCCCAGUCUGGAGCUGGGCGGUGGCGGUGGGNNNNNNNNNNNNNNNNNNNNNNNNNNNNNNNNNNNNNNNNNNNNNNNNNNNNNNNNNNNNNNNNNNNNNNNNNNNNNNNNNNNNNNNNNNNNNNNNNNNNNNNNNNNNNNNNNNNNNNNNNNNNNNNNNNNNNNNNNNNNNNNNNNNNNNNNNNNNNNNNNNNNNNNNNNNNNNNNNNNNNNNNNNNNNNNNNNNNNNNNNNNNNNNNNNNNNNNNNNNNNNNNNNNNNNNNNNNNNNNNNNNNNNNNNNNNNNNNNNNNNNNNNNNNNNNNNNNNNNNNNNNNNNNNNNNNNNNNNNNNNNNNNNNNNNNNNNNNNNNNNNNNNNNNNNNNNNNNNNNNNNNNNNNNNNNNNNNNNNNNNNNNNNNNNNNNNNNNNNNNNNNNNNNNNNNNNNNNNNNNNNNNNNNNNNNNNNNNNNNNNNNNNNNNGUCCCGCUCGGGCCCGACGCGUUCUGGAUCGGCCAGUGUGUCGCCGGGUGGCUGUAGGCGGGAAGCGCAGCCAGCGGGGUGGUGUGCGGGCCGGCCAAGUACAGGGAGAUGCCCUGGACAGCCGUCACGAGGUCCCGCAGGGUGCUGGUCAUCUCCUCCGGCGUGAAGACGGAGGUUGUCGGCGGCGCGGAAGUGACGGGGGCCGGCGGCGCGGAGGUGAUCGGGGCCGGCGGCGUUGGGGACCCGGCAGUGGUCAUCGGGGCGGUGGUGAUGAUGGGCAGCGGCGGCGUGGGUGUUGAUGACGACAUGAUCGAACCCGAGUCUCUGGAUACCAAACUGGUAGAACCAGGGGUCCUACCGGACCUGCUUCGUAGGUUGUAGGGGAAGGAUGGAGGAGGGCGCGGCGAUGAGCGGGCGCGCCGGCGGCUGGGCACCGUCGCGUGGGAGGAGGAUGGCGGCGGCGGCUAGGGUUAGAGGCGGCUAGGGUUCCGGCUCCUGUGGGAGCCGGGCAAUAGAGAUAAUAAUAUUCUUAUUGCUUAAUUCCAAAAAGAGUCUUACAGCCUAUAUUUAUAACCUAGAUAACUUGCAUAAGAAUUAACCUAAGAUAACUUGCAUAAGAAUUAACCUAAGAUAACUUGUGGGCUAAGAUUGCCCGGUGGGCCUAGCUAAACCGGCCAUAACACUAGCUAAACCAGCCAUAACAGUCUUCCUCUAGCGAUUGACGCUUGGACAUCAUCUUCCUCCAAUAGUUGCAAGCGGCCCAAUAUCCUCUGUUGAUACUCCUAGAUUGUUAUCGGCUCUGUCGAGCAAUCAAACCACCCCCAGUAAGUACAAUGUGCACAUAAUAAGAGACCAAACUACCUCCAGUGUGUAUCAGCUUCACAAACUUAGAUAAUUUGCAUGAUUCUUGUAUAUGAAAUUGAUGAAUUUGUUACUGAACAUUGAAUAAUGGAUCAACAGUACUUCGAUACUCAAGGCAAUGCUCAUCUAAAGAGUUUUGACAUGCUAACUCACAAGGUGGAUCAAAUAUGAAAUCCAACAAGGUAAUUAUUAAGUAACUAAUCACUCAUCUUUCCUAGCAGUACAUACAAGAUCAGUAAAAUGACUACCCGCCUAUUAAUCGACAUACUCACAUACACAUAAAAAACAUUCAAAUCCAGCCGCUACAGAUUAGAGGCACUCAUGAUCUUCAACAUUGUAACACAAGGUGAUCAACACUAUCCUCACACUCAUGAUCUUCAAGAUUGUUACACAAGGUGAUCAACACUAUCCUCACAACUAAUUUGCAGGUAGUAUAUUAAGUUUUAUACCUCCAGAAAUAGAAGCAAAAAUUAAAUAGUACUCCAUCUACAUAAUCAGGACCUUCAAAGUUAGGUAGUAUGGAAAAGCAUUAAAUUAUAGAACUGUGAUAUGUUGAUCUUAAAACAAAGGUUUUCCUAUAACCUUGCUCAUGAAAUAUACUUACCAUCUCUAAUUUGUUAUUUUAUCUAAUCUGAUAUGCUUUUUCUUGACUUCGGAGGAAUUUGUGUGCUCAAGGAAAGCAAAAACUUAUGAGAUUAUAACCGACAAAAGGUUUCUGGUACAUGGAAUGCAAACUUUGCUUUUCUGCCACAAGAAAGGUAAAUCAUAACUAUAUUUGCAAUUCACGUCAUGAAGUAGCCGAAAACGUCGUCCUACGGUGAGCAUCUUUGGUACUAUUUUUUAGUAGCAUUGCCAGUUAUCACAUUAGGUAUCUACUUAAACUCAAGGUAAGCAAUGAUACAAUAACAACAACAUUUCUGAUGUUUAAUGAGGCUACGGAGAGACUUUUAGGCAACACUUGUGCAUACCAUGCUAAAGAACGAUGGAUUCAAUUCAAAACCUUUAUGGUAAAACACACAUUCUGACUAAAGUUAAAUUCAAGGAAACUGUAAGUAUGAAUGGAAAAUUUCAAAGUGAGCUUCCCUUUUGAACUUCAUGAGAGGCUUGAGACAAACAUUUAAACAAAAUAGUUGAAGAGGUAUGUUCGUGCACAUUACAGUAUGUUCAAAUGGUUUAUAAACUUAUAAUGAGAAUAUGCUCUUUAUGACGCAUGCUGGAAAGCCAAGUUACAGAAGGUUCUUCAAAUUCUGUUAUUCGAAAGUGAGAUAAUGAGGAUUGCAAUUAAGUAACGGUUUUAUUAUCAUAAAUACGGUAUAAUUUCUUAAAAGUAUCACCAACAAGAUUUCCAUUUAACAGGGCAAGAGCCACUACAAGAAUGCAGGAGAAAGUGAGAAGAAGAAUAUGUUUGGAAAGAAAGGAUCUACAUCAUCUAACAAAAAACUUCUCGGUCAAGCAAAAUAUCUAAAAAAAAUAUGUUAGAAAGAUUGAUCUAGAAAUAGCAAAUAAACUGUUAAAGAAAUUGAACUUCAUGUGAGGCAAUACACCCAAAACAUUUUCUCGCUGUAUAUGCAUUAACUAUUUACAACCUAUUGUUAAAUGAUAUUAAAACAUGUUUUUUUAAUAAUGUAAAAAUGAUUUCUUUUUAUAGGGCAAUCGUUCCUACAAGAUUGCAACUAGAGGAGAGAAGAAAAAUGUGCUUGAAAAGAAAAACUCUACAUCAUCUAACAAGAAACUUCUAUUGAGGAUAAAAAGAAGAAGUAAACAUGCAGGUGGAGUCAAAAAAAUUAUUUCAGAGAACACACAAAGAGAGACAAAGAAGAUGUAAACAGGAUUUGAAAGGAAAAGCUUUUUGAAAUAACUAAAAAAAUUUGGUGCAAAAAACAAAGUACACAAUGAGGAGGUAUUCUGUUGAAAUCAAUAUGAAAAGGAAGUACCCAACAUUCAAUCUACAGAUUUAGCUGUAAUCACAGUGGAAGAUGAUUCAGAUAAAGACUGAAGAAAACUGUACACAUGUCAAAAGUCCUAGCAACAAGAAAUUCAAAAGAGUUAUCAAAUAAAAGAAAUUCAACAAUGAGGUGAAAAGUGUAUACUUUCAACAUAAUAUAUGGUUUUCAAGAUAAACCCAAGUGUUCUAUUUGAUGUUCCAAAUUAUGGUAUUCUAUCUCAUAGUUUGAAGAGGAAGAAAAUGAUGUAUCAGUGAUUCAAAUGAUGAUUCAUGAGUCAACCAUCCAAGAUACUAAUGGUGAGGUAUUAUCAUUUAACCACUGACUUUGUAUUCUUUAUCAAUUGGGGAUGCACUGGCAGUCUGGUAGUACUAUGUCUCAGAUGCACCUCUGAAACCAAUUAAUUUACUAGCAAAUCUAGCAUACAUGUGCAUGCAAGUUCUCUGCAUGCAAGUUUAUAUGCACCUCUUGAGCCAAUUAAUUUACUAGCAAAACUAGCAUACUGGUGCAUGUAUGUUAUGUGCUUGGAAAUUUUAGUGAACAAUAAAAUACUUUCAUCUACAUUAUUCAAUGAUUUUCAGUAUUAUGGAUCACUGUUACAUUUGAAGAUACAGAAUUCAUAAAUAAUAGUUAAAUUUAUGAUAUUGCGUAGGAAGAAGAGAGACACAAGAAGACAAGUAAAAAAGUCACAAGUGAAGAUUUGAGAGAGGGCUGACACAAUCAGAGAUUUAAACAUGGUAUGGAAGGACGGAAUUGGUCUACUACUCUGCAGAAGUACUGGAAAUGUGCAUCAAGAUCCAUAUGAUGAAAAUAGUUAAUAAAUACCAAACAUCGACAUUCUAUAUCGACAUAUGAUGGAGUACAACCCAAUAGUCAGGGCAUUCGUCUAUCAUUAUAUUUUGUAUAUGUACAAUUCGGUCAGACCUAUUUGACUAUUCAAUUAUUAAAAACUAAUUUGUCUUUGGGAAAUACUACUAAACUAUACCAACUCAAUACAGUGAUUAUACUACUAAAUUUGUUGAAUAUGAAUUGGGGUACGGCAGCCUAACACUACCUAUGCCAGUCGCAAAGCCCAGAAAAAAUUGGAGGGUACAGAAGAAAAUUAAGAUUAUUCACUAACAGAUAGUACCUCAAUUACAUUAUAUUGGUAUACAAUCAUACACACUGAGGAAAGGUUAAGCAAAAAAUAUGAUAAGACAGGAAAAGCAAAAAAGAGGGACCUGUAGGUCGAAGAAUACUGACGUUGUGGAGGAUGGUGAUGAUGUGUUGGGCUGCCUCGAGUGGGAACAACGACCAUGCGGAUGGCUCGCGCGCUUGGGAAGACAACAUCGCCAGCAUCCUCAUACUCAAGCUGGAUCCAUGCUGCUGCUGGAGACGAGAUCCACGCCCACAUCACCUGCACGGACGCCGAGGGAAACGACACCGUGCAGAUCGACGAUCUCGCCUCCUCCCUUCCGCAGAUGCUCCUCGGACCCUGCUACACAUCCGUCGCUGUUUACCGGCCCAAGAGACAAGCCGCUGUAGACAGACACCCCUGUGGGCUGUGGCCGCAACAACGAGUUGAGCUGCGGGGAUGCCUGCAGCUGAGGAGGAGCAGGCUCAAGGCAACAAAUCAAGAGGGAAAACUAUUGGGGACGGCUCAUCCGGUGGCAGCAAUUUUGGAGUGAGCGGAUGGAAGAAGGAAAGAAGAAAGGGGAUCGGGGCAUCAGGCAAGAGAAAAAUGUGAGAGUGUGAAGGUGUGUGUGAGACUGUGAGUGAGAGAAAUAUUCUUUUUUAAGCGUAGAGUGAGAGAGAAGGGUGUGUGAGCACUAAGCAGUGGUGUAAAUCUGCUUAAGCGUGUUGGGCUCGAACCAAUUAAUUAUAUCAUACCAGGACAAAAAAACAACUUUAAGUAUAUAGUGCAUAUACGUGUGUUUAGCCCAAAUUACAUAAUUUUCCGUUAAAACAUUCAGUACAUUAUUCAUAUGACUAAAAAUCCCUCACAUAUACAAAUGUGUCAUAUUGGGAAUCAAAUUUAAGAAUAUGAGACUCUCCGUAAAAAUAUCAUACAUAUAUUUAACAUGAACGAAAUUAUUAUGGUGUGAUGUGUCGUUUAGUCCAAAUAAGUCGACAUUCCAUGACAAGCCAUACCCACAAUAAAAACAUGAUAGCCCGACCACACGUCACUCCUGCACUAUUCUACAUGAACGCGCCCUCUUGGUAUUUUCCAAAACAUGAAAGGAGAAUUCCUCUUGUGCCGAAAAAACCACUUCACAAUCAAUGGACAAAAAAACUUAAUAUUUUCUUUUUUCAAACAAACUUUCUUCCAUACUAGCCUGCACAUAUGUGCGGGCCACUUUGCUAGUUCUAGUAAAUCCAAAAGUCGUCCGAAAUUCAUGAAACUUGGCAGGCUAUCAUGGAGCAGCAUCAACAUGUCGUGGUAAAAAUUUUGUCCCAAUUGGGGCAAAUUUGAGUAUAAGCUUCUUAUAAACCAGAGCUUCUCACAACAAGUGUGAUGGUUUCGGUAGGGAAAGUUUCAUCUUUCUGGACGAAACGAUAUUCGUUGUCUCUUCUCGAUUUUAAUUUUUUUCCUAGUGUCAACAUAGAACAACAGGAGUGUUGUGUUAAUUUUUGGGAUUUUUCGGGGUUCGCUUGGACAUUUUUAUACAUUAACUGAGUUUUCUAUGCAUUCAUGUGCAUAAUUCAAAUUUGAACUACAGGCACAUUCUCUAAAGCAUAUAAAUUGGUUGAAAAUUCAAAUCUGUGUCCUUGGUUGCAUGCUUAGGUCCCAUGCAAGAAAUGGGAAUGAAUGUCAAACACCCUGCCACCGUCACUCGGCCGCAAACAUUGAGAUGCCUGGUUUUUAAAUUCUAGUAAAUCCAAAGCUCGUCUGAAAUUCAUGAAACUUGGCAUGCUGUCAUGGAGCGGCAUCAACAUGCCGUGGUAAAUUUUUUGUCCCAUUUGGAGCAGGUUUGGGGAUAUGCUUCUCACAAACCAGAGCUUCUCACAACAAGCCUGAUGGUUUCGGUAGGGAACGUUUCACCUUUCUGGACGAAACGAUAUCCAUUGCCUCUUCUCGAUUUCAAUUUUUUCCUAGUGUCAACAUAGAACAACAGGAGUGUUGUGUCAAUUUUGGGGAUUUUUCGGGGUUCGUUUGGACAUUUUGAUGCAUUAAUUGAGUUUUCAAUGCAUUUAUGUGCAUAAUUCAAAUUUGAACUACAUGCACAUGCUCUAAUGCAUAUAAAUUGGUUGAAAAUUCAAAUAUGUGUCCUUGGUUGCAUGCUUAGGUCCAAUGCAAGAAAUGGGAAUGAAUGUCAAACACCCUGCCACCGUCACUCGGCCGCAAACAUUGAGAUACCUUGUUUUUAAAUUCUAGUAAAUCCAAAACUCGUCUGAGAUUCAUGAAACUUGGCAUGCUAUCAUGGAGCGGCAUCAACGUGCCGUGGUAAAAUUUUCGUCCCAUUUGGGGCAGGUUUGGGUAUAUGCUUCUCACAAACCAGAGCUUCUCAUAACAAGCAUGAUGGUUUCGGUAGGUAAUGUCCCACCUUUGGGGACGAAACGAUAUCCAUUGCCUCUUAUUACUUUUAAAAAAAUUCUCGUGUCAACGUAGAACAACAGGAGUGUUGUGUCUAUUUUGGGGAUUUUUCGGGGUUCGUUUGGACAUUUUUAUGCAUUAAUUGAGUUUUCAAUGCAUUCAUGUGCAUAAUUCAAAUUUGAACUACAUGCACAUGCUCUAGUGCAUAUAAAUUGGUUGAAAAUUCAAAUAUGUGUCCUUGGUUGCAUGCUUAGGUCACAUGCAAGAAAUGGGAAUGAAUGUCAAACACCCUGCCACCUUCACUCGGCCGCAAACAUUGAGAUACCUUGUUUUUAAAUUCUAGUAAAUCCAAAACUCGUCUGAAAUUCAUGAAACUUGGCAUGCUAUCAUGGAGCGGCAUCAACAUGCCGUGGUAAAAAAUUUGUCCCAUUUGGGGCAGGUUUGGGUAUAUGCUUCUCACAAACCAGAGCUUCUCACAACAAGCAUGAUGGUUUCGGUAGGGAACGUCCCAUCUUUGGGGACGAAACGAUAUCCAUUGCCUCUUAUUGCUUUCAAAUUUUUUCUCUUGUCAACAUAGAACAACAUGAGUGUUGUGUCAAUUGUUGUGAUUUUUCGGGGUUCGUUUGGGUAUUUUUAUGCAUUAACUGAGUUUUCAAUGCAUUUAUGUGCAUAAUUUAAAUUUGAACUACAUGCACAUGCUCCAGUGCAUAUAAAAUGGUUGAAAAAUUAAAUAUGUGUCCAUGGGUGCAUGCUUAGGUCCCAUGCAAGAAAUGAGAAUGAAUUUCAAACAACAAGGCGACGUUGAAUGCCGGCAAAACGUUGAGAUACUUUGUUUUUAAAUUCUAGUAAAUCCAAAACUCGUCUGAAAUUCAUGAAACUUGGCAUGCUAUCAUGGAAUGGCACCCGACAUGCUGUGGUAUUUUUCGUGUCCAUUUUGAGAGAAGGCGCACUCGAAUAACAACCAACAAAGGCAUUUUGAAAAAAAUAGCUGCCACUUUAAUAUCUCAAACGUUUGUAUAAUUCAAACCGUGUGCGUUCUUUUAACCAUUCACCUAACGCCACGUGUCUUGGUUUUAAUGGCUAUAGGAGGUGCCGUGCGACAGCUGCUUGACCUUGAGUGAACGGGAAGCGUGCGAGCGUAGUCCGGUGCGCAGGCUGACCGAGAGGCGUGCAAGCUGUCCUCCAAUGCACAGGCUCACCGGGAAGCGUGCAAGCUAUACGCUGCGCAUGCUCACUGGGAAGCGAGCCCUUUGACUUCCAUGGCCGCCCCCCUUUCUCUCCAUUAAUGGCGCCCGAGCCGCUGCUUAAUACGGGUGGCCUUACUGUUCGCCUCCCAUUCCCCUCCCUCCCGCAGAUCUCCACCAACACCAUGGCGCAGAAGGAUCAUCUGCUACUAGUCUUCAUGUUUGGUGAAGUCGACUCCGAGCCGGAGGAGAUAGAAAAUAAGGAGGAAUGGGGCCUCAUGGACAUGGCCCAGAACGAGCUGGCCACGGCGGUUGCUGCCCCCGCUCCCGUCCCAGCUCCCAUCCCCGCGCCAGCCACCAUCCCCGUAGCAUUGACGGGCUGGUCGCCGAGCACUAUCGCAGAGCUGGAAGCCGCGGGCGUCAGCGAGGUCUCCGCGGACCCGCGUGAGCUCGUGUACAUGCCAGCACCAGCGCCCGUGCCCGUGCGUGCCCCUCCACCACCGCGGUGUCGGUCCCCAUGCGUUUGGACGCACCCGCCGCACCCGUGCCCAUGCGCGCGCCCCCCUCGGCGGCAUGGGACACCGCCGUCGACCGCUACCUCUCAGCGCCGCCAGUUGCCGUCCUCCCGCGCCCCGCACGUCGAUCACGCGAUGACAUGAUGUGUGAUUUACAAGUGAAGAACAUUCGGUGUUGCAUUGAAGACUUCAACAACGGCGUCCCGAAGGACGACAACGACAACGACGGCGCGGCACGCCGCCUCCGCCGCCGCCGGAAAUAAUUUUUUUUCUUGGGUUUAAUACUGUAUCUCGAUCAUAUGAAUAUAAAUUCGCAGUAUGAUUAAAUGAAAGAUAUGGUUUGAGCGAACUUGCAUUUUUCUCUCUUAAUGUACAGACUUGUCAAACGAUUUUCUUUUGAAAAAAACGUCAAUGGUUUUUAAAUAUAAAACACGCAUCGCAAACGUUUUAGUUAGAACACCCGUAUGCAAACCGACAGCUUCGCCAGGAAGCCAAGGGAAAAUGUGCCGAGCAGGAUUUGUGCAGCACUUGAUCGCAAACAUUUUAGAUAAAACACCCGUAUGCAAAGUGAGAGUAGGAUUUAUGCAUCUCUUCAACGCAAACGGUUCUUUUAGAUGACCCAUGUGCAACCACUUACAAACAAUUUGAUAAGAUUUGCAUAUGUCAUAUUGGGUAUGUUGCCAUUUGUCAAACUGGAAAGAUUGACAUUUGUUGAUCUAGUAACAUUGCCAUUUGUCAACCUUGUAACACUGCGAUUUGUCAAAAUAUGAAGCUAAAAAUCACUACCAGUAUCUAAUUUUUGCAACUAAAAUUCAGUAAUUAAGCAUAGAUUUCAUUCAUAGAUUAAGUAAUCGUUCUUAAUUUAUACAAACAGUUCAACUCGACAGCUGAACGGACCAAACUUUUUCUCAAUUGUUGUCAACCACGUACUGAAAUAGCUAGUUCAACUAUAUAUACUAGUUAAUUUUAAGUACGUUGUACAGUUCCACCACAUCUAUAGUUAGAUGAACUGAACAAAAUAGCCCCUAAAUACUACUACUACUACGGAGGGGCUUUGUACUACUUUCGGCUGCCUCUCCUCUGCCGAGCGCGCUCAGUAAGAAGCAGAGGAGGAGUAGCCUACUAACGAGCUGGACAACUGCAAUACGGUGUCUGCCGCUGGUGCAGCUUCAGCGACGCUCACCUCGAAUGCCCUCUGCCACUCCAGACGACCCCUCUCGAAGCAGUGGUUCUCCUCGUAGAUCUCCUGAUUCCUCGCCUCUGAGGCGGCAUGUGCCGCGGCCACGGCGGUGGUAAGGCUCUUUGUGUGCUCGACGAGGCGCUCCUCCUCCUCCCGCAGGAACUCGGUGUAGCGCGCAAGGUCGCUGACGCACGUGCGAGCAUCCACCUCCGCCUCCCGCCUUCGGGCGGCGGUGGCGGAGCGGGUGAUGACCCCAGCGGUCGACAGUGGGCUGGCGUCCACGGCGGCCGGCGAUGGGGUGGCGGCCACGACCAUCACCUCCCGCCAUUGGGCCGCGGUGGUGGAGCGGGUGAUGGCCACGGUGGCCGGCAGUGGGGUGGCGGCCACGACGGCCACCUCCCGCCUUCGGGCAGUGGAGGCGGAGCAGGCGAUGGCCCUGGCUUUCAACGGUGGUGUGGCGGCAACGACGGCCGGCAACAGCUGCCGACGGGCAGCGGCGGCGGAGCGUGUGGUGAGUGUUUCGCACACACCCAACAGGGACGCCACGCGCACUACACUAUGCCCGGGACUGCGCUGCUGCCACGGUGUAGCCUCCCAGCUAGAGAUGUCCUCUGAUGACGGUGGAGUUGCUGAGCGACGACGACGGACCGGUGCCAUUGGCGAUUGUGGGAGAAGCAGACGAGAUAAGCUACAGGGAGGGAGGGGAAAAUGCGACGCGGGACUCACCGGCCGUGAGGGUUUAUAUAGCAGGCCGGUAAGCAUUGGGAUUUUGGGGGAUCUCACUGAGUCGGGCGGGAAGCUUGCGCGGGAACGGGCUCACCGACGAUUCAUUGGCGCCACCGUUUGGCCAAAAGAACGCCCCCGCGCGCUGCGCAAGCUUGCGCUAUAAGCCGUCUGUGGCAGCGGGGUGACAAGAUGUGUGAGAGGAUGACGAAAGGCCACGUACACAUACGGUUAAUAAAAAAGCGUUUGCGAUUUAGUUACCAACUAUACCCCCGUCUUGAUUUAUAAGUAUGAUUUAACUAAUAAAAUAUGAAUGCAUGUCGCCAAAGAUUAUAUAGUUGGAUUCGUAUUUGAACAUAGUUUCCAAUUAUAUAAUUUUUAUAACAUGCAUUAACAAUUUGUUGGUUAAAUUUGAGGGCAAAGUAUGGCACAGAAUAUAAAGGGGACUAUAGACUAGACGGAGGUAGUAGCACACGACAACUCUCUACGCAGCGACGCAACUGUCGGCCGGCUUGUAGGCGACCAUUUCCUGCGUGUUCAACUGCUCUAUGCGUGUGGUUGCUUGCGGUUCAGGCGGCCGCGGCGCGCUCUGCUCUCGCGUCCCUCCGGGUGCUCUACCAGUGUUUGGGGUCGGCGCACGAUCACGCACGUUCGUGUGCAUGCGGUUGCGCCGAGCGCGGUGCGACAAUGCAGUUAACCACUGCAAAAACUGCCAUGCGGACGCGCGGAGAAUCCAGGCCGCCCGGCCCCCAUUUAUUCCUGCGGCCAUUUACCUUUAUCUCUCACGUCACACGACACAAUAAGCACACCCACGACGACACAUACAGAGAGGACAUCCAGCGGUUCCAAUGGCGCUCCUAGCGGCCGACGACGACAACGGCGGGCAGUUCACCACGCAUCACGUAGUGGACACCCACGUGAGGGGGAAGGCCCUCUCGGUGGUGUACAUGAACAAUCAUGUCUCGGUGGAGAGCUCCAUCCAAACUAUGGAGCAAUUCCUUGCCGAGGACAAGUACCAAGUGGUCGGCUUCGACCUCGAGUACACCAUCGGUCGUGCCGGGCACGAUCAAAAGGUUGCCGUUGCCCAGUUAUGCAUGCGACAUGACGUCCUCGUCUACCACUACCACCUUGCCAUAAGGCCUUUCGAGCGUUUCUCCAGGUUUAUCAACAGCUCCGACUACAGUUUCGCUACGGUGGACACCACCAAUGAUCUAACAGCGCUCAAGGUUUCGGGCUUGAAAUGCCCGAAUAUUGUCAACACCCAGCACCACUACAAGGUCUAGGGCAGCGACAAAAACAAACUGAACUCCCUGGUUGACCUUGCCUCGGCCAUCAUCGACCCCUACUACAUGAAGAUGAAGAAUGAGAGCAAGAAGGACAAGAAUGCCUCGCACAGUGUGUGGCACGAGAGACUGGAUGAACAAUAUGUCAAGUACGCGGCCAAGGACGCGUACACAAGCUACGAGAUGUACAGGUGGAUCGUUGACACGAGGAAGUGUCUUCUUCCUGCCCCAGAUGAGGGAUCGAGCCACAGAGCAGUGGCGGGAGCGUCACAAGAAGUAAAUGACUAGACGAUUGUUUCUCCUACUUUAGAAUGCAUGCAAUUGUUUACUGAGGUGUGUGCGAAUGAUCUGUAUAGUCACUUAUGUAAUUGGAUGUUUAUUUCAGUUAUAUAUAUACAAGUUAUUCUUCUGUAGACAGAGCAAAUCACACGACUUAUUAGCAGCAAUCGUUUGUGUUAUUAUUGGUCUUCACACACAUUUCUAAUUACGGACCUGUUUGCCGCGUAUCACACACAUCUUAUUCAGUUCAACUGUUUCCAUUGUGUUGCCUAAUCACACACAGUUCAUGCUAGUGAACCGUAUGCUGUAUAUCGCACACACCUUCAUCUGGAUGCUCGUUUCUUUUGUUCCUCCUCAUCCCAAACAGCUAAUUGAACUGAACCAUAUGCCCUGCAUCGCACACGCAACUAAAAUCUGAACCGUGUUUGAUGCAUCCAUCAUCGCAAACCACUACUAGGGAAAACCUUACCAGUAGCGCUGGUUUUUGAGCUACCAGUAGCGCGGGCGCCAGCGCUACAGCUAGCAGUAGCGCUUGUUUAGGCCAGCGGUACUGGUAAGUUCAGAUACUAGUAGCGCGGCACUGGAAAGCGCUACUGGUAAAUGAGCGCUGCUGGUAAUAUUUUGGCCCGCGCCACUGCUAAAAUUUAUGUUUUUUUAGCAUUUUGGUGCUGUACAUGUUUAAACAGAUAUAUCUUUUAUACAAUAACAACUCAUCAUGAACUAGUCUGUUUAAAUAGCAUAUUCAUUACCACUUGUCAUCACCACCAAACAAUGUUUGUCAAUGAGACAUCAUAUAACAAGUUGGUCACUAGUCAUAAUCACAACUCCUCCUCAUCAUCAUCAACUCUAACACAUUGUAGCACAUAAUAACACAUUCUAGCUAUGACCUACUCCUCUCAUAGGACCUACUCUACCCUCUAUUAGGUAAAAUAUCAUAAAACAAGAUAGGCAUUGACUCUCCAUUAAGGAAAAUUGACUCUCCAUAAUAAAGAACGGAGAUCAUCCUGUCUCCAAGUCUUGGCCGACGCACAAUGUUGCUUCCAAGUAGCUCUCUACGAUGGUUCAAACAUUUUUUGAAAUCAUUUAUUAUCAUGGCUUCCUCGCUUUUAGAAAUCUGGUAUGGACAGGAGUGAUGUGGAUACUGCGGCUGACCUGGCCGUGGUGGCCGUAAGCUCAUAACAUCAACGCGACCUCUCGGCAACAUCAGAUGAGGCACACAAUCCAUCAGGAUUUUAUGUUAAAAAACAUAGUAAUAACUUUGUAGUUAGCAAUGUAGUUUAGUUUUAGAAGAAUUUAUGCAAAAGAUGCACGGAUGUCGUAAUAGUAGAAAAUCUUACCAUGCUAUCUCCAUUGAUGUUACCGUAGUUCAACACGUGCACUAGUGGCACAUAUUGACCAUAAUGUGGAGGAGUUUGAUAAUGGCUAUUGUAAUUCUCAAGAUUAGUAAAAAAUGCGAUAAGACCAUCUUUCUCCUUAUAAGUUAAUUGUGCUUCAUCAUUGUAGUAGUAGGUUCUGUCUACCAUUUUCCAUACAUUUUUGAAGAAGGAAAAUAAGCUGUCAAUGGAAAUAAGCUAUCAAAUAUUUUGAAAUAAACAAUAUAAAUUAUUUAAUAAAUAUGUUUGAGAAACUCACACAGCGGUAGAACUGGAAGCGUGUCAACAAGGACCCAAAUGGUCAUAUUAUUUUCGUCGAUGUCAGGAUCACCAUGAUCGAAGGUGAGAAGCAUACCCUCAUGAAAAUCAUGCGCCUUGCAAAGGGCUUCCCAAUUCAGGCAACCAAAAUUGGAUGAGUUCACAGAAUUGUAUAGAUUUACAGCAAAAUCAUAACCAUGAUGGGUCCUUAGUUGAAUUAUCUUUGUCUCCAUGCUUUCAUGAUCUUCAAAACCCAUCUUCUCCCAGACAUAGCGUCUUGCAUGGCAUGGGAUAAGCUAGUCGAAUUGUAAAAGACGGAAAUUACACGUUGAAGAAGCAGAGAAGUCGUGCAAAAAAUAACAAAAAACACUUGUCGUCAUUGAGGGAGUCCUGGACUAAGGGGUCCUCGGGCAUCCGGCCUGUUAUCUACUGGGCCGGACUGAUGGGCUAUGAGGACAUAAAGACCGAAGACUGUACUCGUGUCCGGAUUGGACUCUACUUGGCGUGGAAGGCAAGCUAGGCGACCGAUUAUGAAGAUUUCCUCCUAUGUAACCGACCCCAUGUAACCCUAGAUCUCUCCGGUGCCUAUAUAAACCGGAGAGCAUAGUCCGGAUAGGGGAUACUCAUUACCAUAUUCACAUAGGCUAGACUUCUAGGGUUUACCCAUUAUGAUCUUGUGGUAGAUCAACUCUUGUAACACUCAUAUUCAUCAAGAUCAAUCAAGCAGGAAGUAGGGUAUUACCUCCAUAGAGAGGGCCCGAACUUGGGCAAACAUCGUGUCCCCCGUCUCCUGUUACCAUCGAUCCUAGACGCACAGUUCGGGACCCCCUACCCGAGAUCCGCCAGUUUUGACUCCGACAUUGGUGCUUUCAUUGAGAGUUCCACUGUGCCGUCGACGAAAGGUUUGAUGGCCCCUUCAAUCGUCAGUAAUGACGUGGUCCAGGGAGAAACCUUCCUCCCCGGACAGAUCUUCGUAUUCGGCGGCUUCGCACUACGGGCCAACUCGCUUGGCCAUCUGGAGCAGAUCGAUAGUUACGCCCCUGGCCACCAGGUCAGGUUCGGAAGCUUGAACAACGUCGCAGAUAUCCGUGGAGACUUGAUCUUCGAGGGAUUUGGAACCGCGGCGACCGCUCCCCCUUCCUCCGAUGAACAUGACUUAAAUCUGUCAUCAGAGCACACCUAGGAGAUGGAUCCUGUUGCUGCAACGGCCUCAGUACCGAAGCAGAUCAUCCCCUCCGAGGCCAUAAAGUCCGCGGCGUUGAAGCCGCACACGGACUCGACAUCCUGCAAUGCUGGCGUCAAUGGAACUCCGGACUCGUCUCCGGCUACACGUUCCGGAUCAAGCGCGCCUGCGGACACCGAGCUAGAUCGGUUAUCGAUUUUCGAAUUUAGCGCCGCAGACAUCUUCCAGCAUUCGCCUUUGGAUGACGUACUAAAUUCUUUGAAGAACUUGUCCUUGGAGGAAGACUCGCAGCCGAACUAUAUUCGGUUUGAGCUAAAGGCAGACAACGAGGAAUUUCGCUUCCCACCCGCCACCCACUUCAUAGCCACUAUCGACGACUUAACCGACGUGCUUGACUAUGGCUCCGAAGACAUCACCGGUAUGGACGACGAUGCCGACAAUGAGCAAGGCCAAGACCCGCCAUUCACUGGACAUUGGACGACCACCUCUUCGUACGACGUAUACAUGGUUGAUACACCCAAAGGAUCUGGCGACGACAAAGAAGAGCCAGAUAAGAAUAAACCUUCUGAAACGCAGUCCAAGCGUCGGCGCCUCAAACGCCGUUCUAAGCCUCGCCGCUCAAAAGAUAGCAACACUGGUACCAGAGAAAUAGCACUCCGGGCGACACCGAAAACAAUGAAGACCCUAUCGGUGCUGCAUCCGAAUAGGAGGAACAUGACGACAGGCAAGACAACCCUGAUGAGCAGGCCAUAGAAGAUUACUCGGGGGACGAUAGUUAUCGUCCACCCUCCGAAGAGGAGACAACCCUCGGCAACGAAGAUUUCAUCGUGCCUGAGGACCCUCUGGAGAAGGAGCGCUUUAAGCUCCAACUCAUAGCCACUGCAAGGAGCCUGAAAAAGAAACAGUAGCAGCUUCAAGCUGAACAAGAUCUGCUCGUCGACAGAUGGUCUGACGUCCUGAGAGCGGAAGAAUACGACCUCAAGCGCCCAGCUAAGAGCUACCCGAAACGCAGACUGCUACCUCAAUUCGACGAGGAAGCACUGGAGCACACAUCUCCCUCGCGUAAUGCGGAACGACCACCGCGUGGUCGAGACAGGGCGGCUGACCGGCCACCCCGCGGCCAAGACAAAGCGGCAACUCAGGCCGAACAGCAGCCUGCCCCACCGUCUCGUAAAAAUAGAGACGGAAGAGUUCGGGGUCACACAUACGACCUCCGGCAAACCCUGGAUAGUAGAGCAGGACAUACAAGCUCGAUCUACGGAUCGCGAGGACGUGCCUCGAGGCACGAAGACGGCUACCUAUUCGGACGUGACAAACCUAACCACGCCCGGUCCGAAUGCCGUAGACGGACUCCAUCAGAGCUAUGCCCCGACACGGCCUGGUACAGAGGUGCCACACACCCUCUCUGCUUCACAGACGAGGUACUGGAUCACGAAUUCCCCGAGGGAUUCAAGCCCGUCAAUAUCGAAUCAUACGACGGCACAACCGAUCCCGCAGUAUGGAUCGAGGAUUUCAUUCUCCAUAUUCAUAUGGCUCGAGGAGAUGACCUCCACGCCAUUAAAUAUCUCCCACUCAAGCUCAAAGGGCCAGCUCGGCACUGGCUUAACAGCCCGCCUGAAAAUUCUAUCGGCAGCUGGGAGGACUUGGAAGAAGCUUUCCUAGACAACUUCCAAGGAACCUAUGUCCGGCCACCAGAUGCCGAUGACUUAAGCCACAUAGUUCAACAACCCGGAGAAUCAGCUAGGAAAUUCUGGACUAGGUUCCUAACCAAAAAGAACCAGAUCGUUGACAGCCCGGAUGCCGAGGCCUUGGCGGCCUUUAAGCAUAGCAUCCGGGACGAAUGGCUCGCCCGCCACCUCGGCCAAGAAAAGCCGAGGUCCAUGGCAGCCCUCACGGCACUCAUGACCCGCUUUUGCGCGGGAGAGGACAGUUGGCUGGCUCGCAGUACAAACACGGCCAACGAAACAAGCCCCUCCGAGGUAAAAAACAGCGCCGGCAAGCUACGGCGCAACAGAAAAAAACGCCGAAGCAAUGGCGAUAACACCGAUGACACAACAGUUCAUGUCGGAUUCAGUGCCUCCAAGUCCGGCCAACGAAAGAAGCCCUAUAAAAGGAGCAGUGGAAAACCAUCCAGCUUGGACCGCAUACUCGAUCGUCCUUGCCAAAUACAUGGCACCCUAGACAAACCGGCCAACCAUACUAACAGAGAUUGCCGGGUCUUUAAACAAGCCAACAAGGUAAAUAGCAGAAACAAAGAAGGGGAAUCACAGAGCGAGGACGAUGACGAAGAGCCCCGGCAGCCGAACACCGGGGGGCAAAAGCAAUUCCCCCUGAAGUCAAAACGGUGAACAUGAUAUACGCUACACAUAUCCCCAAAAAGGAGCGCAAACGCGCACUCAGGGACGUCUACGCGGUAGAGCCCGUCGCCCCGAAGUUUAAUCCGUGGUCAUCAUUCCCGAUCACCUUCGACCGCCGAGACCAUCCGACUAGCAUCCGGCAUGGCGGUUCAGCCGCACUGGUCCUCGACCCAAUCAUCGAUGGAUUUCACCUGACUCGAGUCCUAAUGGACGGUGGUAGCAGCCUCAACCUGCUCUAUCAGGAUACAGUACGUAAAAUGAGCAUUGACCCCUCAUGAGUCAAGCUCACGAAGACUACCUUUAAAGGAGUCAUACCAGGUGUAGAGGCCCGUUGUACGGGCUCAAUAAUGCUGGAGGUAGUGUUCGGUUCCCCAGAUAACUUCCGAAGCGAAGAACUAAUCUUCGAUAUCGUCUCAUUUCGCAGUGGCUAUCACGCACUGCUCGGACGAACCGCAUUCGCUAGAUUCAACGCGGUGCCGCAUUAUGCUUAUCUCAAGCUCAAGAUGCCCGGUCCACGUGGCGUCAUUACGGUAAACGGAAAUACGGAACGCUCCCUCCGUACAGAGGAGCACACCGCCGCCCUAGCAGCAGAAGUACAGAGUGGCCUUCUCAAGCAGCACUAUAAUCCGGCUGCCGAGCCCCUGGACAAAAUUAAGAGGGUCCGAACUACACUGCAGCAGGACAACUCGGCUCGUCACAAGCCAAACUAGCAAUUUGGCCUCCGUCCCAGCCCUAACGAGGCAAUGGUGUUAGUACCACGCGCAUUAACUAUGCACUCGAAACCCCAGGGGUAUGGACGGAGGCACAACUCGCUCGCGAUCCACAGUACGGCUUGAUAGACCCUGGGAUUCGCACGCUCCUGCUUUUUCCUUUGACGGGUUUUUCUUUUCUUUUUCAAGGUCUAUACGGACGACCCGUUCGCAGAACACACCAAGGAGGCAACGAGCUCUGGCGUACAAGGGAACCCCCAGGUGGUCUCUAAUAAACGAUUAAUAUACUUGUUUUACAUACCCGCAUGCAGCUCGCCCUUGGUUACAGCAUGUUAAAUAGCCUUACUUGCUUAUCGCAUUACUGGUACAAAGUACGCCUCGACGUACUGAUUACAUCACAACGGUGAAUAAAUGGUGGCGUCAGCUCAUUACUUAAUCUUUUCCGUUUCCUCACCUCAGUAUCUAUUACUCAUUGCACACGUACAUCAUGGUACGUACUAGUACGCCAGGGGCUUCAUUAUACCCCUCAUCACGACAAUAAAAGUACGAACACUUUUUCAGUAUAGUUCGGCACCCUGAACUUAUAGCAUUAUAUGCAUCGGCUCCGAAUCACGUCUUUGGUCAAUAGUUGGGUUGCCCGGCUCCUGUGCUUACUACCUUACGUUCCGCUAUAUCGGCUAGGGUAGUAAAGGGAGAACUACUGCGAUUGUUUCCCGGUUCUUCCGGACGAGCACCUCAGUAGAGAAAGCCGAAAACUGACUGUCAUGAUGCGGCGAGAGCCAGUCAGCUGUUCGUGAGGAUCCAAAUCAUUGGAGAUUUUUUCCGCUUCUUGCGAAGAAUCGGUUCUUCUGAUUUGGCGUGUAUAGCGCCCCUAAUUCGGCCUUCCGAACACCAAGGGGUUCGCCAACUUUAUUAAUUGUCAAACUCCUAUGGCUAAGUGGGGGCGGUAAAGGCCGCAUAGUCUGAUUGCCUUGUUCGCUGCGGUAAACAUCUCCUUUAAGGACCAGAAUGUGGAGUAAAGAGUGUUUAGAUUUAUCCCGAGCACCCCCGGACUAUCUACGUGGGGGCAGAAGCCAACGACUGGUCAUCCCUCAGAUUAAUAAAUGGCCGCACAGGAGGUAAAAUUUAAAAUCAUAAACAUUAUACUACAUAACAUCUUUGUUCCAUAUUACAGGGCAAGAUAAUACACAUGUUCUUAUGGGAAUAUAAUAUCCUUCAAACAUUGCUCCGCCGCAAGGCGGGACCCCUCCAGGACGCCAUCAAAAUAGUGCUCGGGUCGACGAUGCUCCUUGCCCUCCGGCGGUCCUUCGGUCAUUAACUUCUUGGCAUCCAGCUUCGCCCAAUGCGUCUUGACGCGGGCAAAAGCCAUACGCGCACCUUCAAUUCAGACCGACCGCUUCAAGGCUUCGAGCCGCGGACAGGCACUCACAAGCCGCUGCACAAGUCCGAAAUAGCUGCCAGGUGUAGGAUCGGCAGGCCACAGCCGGAUUAUUAGGUCCUUCAUGGCCAGCUCUGCCAACCUGUGCAGCUUGACCAACUGCUUUAGCUGGUCGCUAAAGGGCACCGGAUGUUCGGAUCCCAGAUAUUAGGACUAGAACAGCUUCUCCGUAGACAUCCCUUCUUCGGCUCUAUAAUGCUCGGCUGCGUCUGACACACUGUGCGGCAGACCUGCAAAUGCCACUGGAAAACCAAAAUUCAGGACAAGUACAAGGGACGUUUUCUCUACAUACUUGCUCGGCAUGGUGAAAGACUCACCCGCCGCAAUUUUCUGGGCCACUUGAAUCUCCUGGAGGGCGCUCUGGUCUUCGGCUCGUGCAUCCUGCGUGCUCUGGCGAGCCUUCGCCAAUUCGGACUCCUGCGCCUUAAAAUCGCGCUCCAAGGACUCAAAUUUCUCUAUCGCGCCCUGGAGUUGUUGUUGCGCCUCGCCAACCCGGGCCUCGUGCUUCUUGCGCAAAGCGCGUUCCUUGACCGCUUUGUCCUCGGCCUCGGCUAGUGCCUUCUUAAGGGUUGCCACCUCGGUCGUGGCCCCUAAUAAAGUUUAUGACACUUUCAGUCCGGUCAGACUAUUCAUUUUUUUCGAAAUGUACCCACGGGUUACUACAUACCUUGGCUAUCUUCCAACUGCUUCUUCACGCGGCCGAGCUCCUCCUUGGCCCGCUCCAAUUUCUGCUUCAGUCCGGAGACCUCCACAGCAUGAGCAGUGGCAGCCUGCAGCGAUACCUGCUUAUUCACAUAGACAACUCAUGUUAGACUCCUGCAGUUUUUUGAUCCUCUGUUAGGCUUUUCUUCCCGAACACCAAACAGAGUAUCAGGGGCUACUGUCUAUACUGUGAUAUUUUUUCUAUAAUCACAUUACUUACCUCAAAGCCUGUUAGAAGGCUAGUGCAGGCUUUGGUCAGUCCGCUUUUAGCGAACUGAACCUUCUCUAUUACCGUGUCCAUAAGGACACGAUGUUCAUCCACGAUAGAGGCGCCUCGCAGCGCCUCCAGCAGAUUAUCCGGUGCCUCUGGUUGGACAGAGGUCACCGGUGGAACAGGCACGCUCCCUCCUUGGGGGGAAUGCUGUUCGCUGGACCCCGGAGCUGUAUAGAUUUCCGGAAUGGUAUCCGGCUAAGGUCCGAAGGGAACUCGGACCCUGUCACCAGUCUCCAUGGGGGCUUUUUCCCCCGUGUGUCCGGCGUCCGAGGAGUGAUCCUGGGGCGUCACCCCGAUGAUCUCCGGAACCUCCCCCUGGCCUGGGAAGGCCUUUUUGGACACCACCUCGUCAUCACCCCUGGGUGAGACGGAAUGAGCAGGUGGCGGAGAUAUGCUAGCCAUCUCCUCUGUGUCCAGUGAAUCCUCUGUCGAGGAUCGCGGGGAGUCACUGCGUGCCGGACUGCAAUGACAAAAGUUUAUAAUAUGUCAAUAUUACAAACCAGGAAGGCGAGACUUAUGCGAAUUCUGGUACUUACGAAGCGGCCCGAGGCUUGGUCCGGCGAGGUCGUUCCGGACUGCUGUCAACAUCCCACGCGGAGUUAUCCGCGAGGGAGCCUUUAACCCUCUUAGGCGCUUUCGCCUCCGGGCUUUUGGGGGCCGCUCUCUUCUUCCUCCGCGCUUCAGGUGGGGAGUCAUUUUCUUCUUCCUCUUCAUCGCCGUUGUCAGCAGACGAAGAGGAAGUCUCGCUUCCGGACGUCUCGUCCGGAGUGCUUCUCCGGCGAAGGCCCUUCUUGGCCCCUUGGGCCGCCUUCUUAGCCGUCUUCUCCGGCACCUCAUAAGGUGCAGGGAACAACAUCUUCUCCAAUAAUGGAAAUUCUUGGUCCUCGGGCAGCGGAGCCGAACAGUUAAUCUCCUCGGCUAACUUAAUCCAGGCCUGAAAAUAGGGGAAGGAAGCUUAAAUUUCCUCUCAAAAUAUGCUAGUAGGGGAUACUCCUUGAAAACAUUAAAGGAACUGGCCGGGUUGGGCUGGCGCUUUAAGCUAAGCCCGCGGUCUUCGGUCGUAGGCGGUGCCGUCUCGCCGGCCUUGAAGAGCACCUUCCAGAUUUCUUCGUGCGUCGUGUCGAAGAGCUCCAAUAACGUCUGGUUCUUGGCCGGCUCGAACUCCCACAAAUUACAAGUUCGACGUUGGCACGGAAGGACCCGACGAACAAGCAUGACCUAGACCACGUUGACGAGCUUGAUUUUCCUUUCUAUCAUGUUCUGGAUGCACGUCUGGAGCCCAGUCAGCUUGUUCGAGGGACCCCAGGUUAGGCCCCUCUCUUGCCAGGAGGUGAGCCGCAUCGGGAUUCCGGAUCAAAAUUCGGGGGCCGCCAACCAGUCAGCGUCGCGCGGCUCGGUGAUGUAGAACCACCCCGAUUGCCACCCCUUCACCGUCUCCGCAAAAUAACCUUCGGGCCAGGUGAUGUUGGGCAUCUUGCCCACCAUAGCGCCUCCGCACUCUGCUUGUUGACCGCACACUACUUUCGGCCUCACAUUGAAGGUCUUCAGCCACAGGCCGAAGUGAGGCAGGAUGCGGAGAAAAGCCUCACAAACGACGAUAAACGCCAAAAUGUUGAGGAUGAAGUUGGGGGCUAGGUCAGGAAAAUCCAGCCCAUAGUAAAACAUCAACCCACGGACGAAUGAGUGAAGAGGGAACCCAAGCCCGUGAACGAAAUGUGUAAGAAACACAACCCCCUCGUGGGGAUCGAGAGUGGGGACGAUUUGUCCCUUCGCCGGGAGUCGAUGAGCGAUCUCUUUGGCCAGAUAUCCGGCCUCCCGGAGCUCCUUGAUAUCCUUCUUCUUGACAGAAGAAGCCAUCCACUUACCUCCAGCUCCGGAUCCGGACAUCCUCGAAGUACUUUCUCGAACGAGGGAAAAGCUGAAGCUUGGGCGCUGGAGCUCAAGGACGGAAGGGCUGAGGAAGAGAAAGGGCGUGGGUGAAAGAAGGGAAUCCUUACCCCCUUUAUAGAGGCCGCAAAUGUCAAGCGCCUUCCCACUCGCCUUAAACUCGCCUAUUCCCAAUGGCUGUGCAAAUGGCGUGGUUGGGUUACCCACGCCCGCAUUGAUGAGGAUCCCGCAAUAAGCAGACAUGAUCUCUGCUUCGACAAGACGUGCCAAAUAGCAACCGCAUCUCGGAACAUGGGGUGGCAGAUGAAAAACGGUUCAAAAUUAUAACCGUACAGACGUGGCAUCAUAAAAAACUGUCAGCAGAUUAGACUCAUGCAAAUAUUAUAUUCUCUCUGCGGUUGUGUGUGGAAUGCGUUACAGGUCCGGAUACAAUCAUCGCAUCCGAAGACUAUCUUGGAGUUCAGAAGAAGGGGAACCCGCCUUGCAAUGCCGAAGACAAUCUACGCGCCGGACUCCUCGUCAUUGAAGCCAGGUUCAGGGGCUACUGAGGGAGUCCUGGACUAAGGGUCCUCGGGCGUCCGGCCUGUUAUCUACUUGGCCGGACUGAUGGGCUAUGAAGACACAAAGACCAAAGACUGUACCCGUGUCCGAAUUGGACUCUACUUGGCGUGGAAGGCAAGCUAGGCGACUGGUUAUGAAGAUUUCCUCCUAUGUAACCGACCCCAUGUAACCCUAGAUCUCUCUGGUGCCUAUAUAAACCGGAGAGCAUAGUCCGGAUAGGGGAUACUCAUUACCAUAUUCACAUAGGCUAGACUUCUAGGGUUUAGCCAUUACGAUCUCGUGGUAGAUCAACUCUUGUAACACUCAUAUUCAUCAAGAUCAAUCAAGUAGGAAGUAGGGUAUUACCUCCAUAGAGAGGGCCCGAACCUGGGUAAACAUCGUGUCCCCCGUCUCCUGUUACCAUCGAUCCUAGACGCACAGUUCGGAACCCCCUACCCGAGAUCCGCCGGUUUUGACUCCGACAGUCGUUGCGUACCAUUUCAACAUCGAAGGACUCUUGGAGCUUGAUGCUGAAGCGCUGAGCUUCUACCAGGUGAGGCCUGUCGCACAGACCGCGCUCAUCUUCGCAGUACUCGCACAUAGCGAAUUCCCUUUCGUCGUUAGACAUUUCCUAAUAGGUAAUUAAUAAUCCAUCAUCGAAUACAUAUAUAGUAGUUUGUAGCAAAGAUCAUCAUAUAACAACUAAAACACCUAAAAUUUGUAGUUUGUAGUAGUUUGUAGCAAAGAUCAUCAUCGAACCUAGUUUGUAGCAAAGAUCAUCAUAUAAUCCAUCAUCGAAUACAUAUAUAGUAGUUUGUAGCACAAACCACGCUCAUCUUUUGCAUUCAAUAAGCAAAUAACUAAUAGGUAAUUAAUAAUCCAUCAUCGAAUACAUAUAUAGUAGUUUGUAGCAAAGAUCAUCAUAUAAUAUCACUAAUACAUCUCGAAUAAUAGCUCCUCUAGGUUCAGUGGGCCGCGGUGGACACCCAAAGAGAAGGAACCAUCACCGGAUCAUAGCUCCGGUGAGAUCCCCAAAGAAUCUGCCAGGUAUUGGAGAACCGGCCGUUCGCCAACGCAACCAUGUAGCGCUGGACGUGCGCGUUCUCCUCCGUGACACGGUGCUGUACCACCUGCGCGGGGGACUCAAGCCUCUGCACUGAUGCAGGCCCACGUGACCACCACCAAAGAAGCUCCGGGUCGACGACGGGCUGGCUCCUCACUAAGCUGCGCUCACCAGAAGGUAGCACAACCAAGUACCAGCCCGGCGGAGCCCAGUUCCGGACAUGGCCCCUCGGCUCAAGCAGGAGUCCUCUGCCGAGUCAACGACGAGGAUGCGGGAUAGGCAUCUUCGACGUCAAGAACAAAAUGCUUAAUUAUGAAAACAAAAUUAAUAAACACUUAGCAAAAUUCGGCAUGACCUUUGCUAAAAGCAGGACAUAUCGAGCGCCUGAAAUUUGCCAGAACGUAAACGAAUCGACAUUUCUGGCAAAACAUAGGCCACUCGGAAAAAUAUGACAUGUGCAAAAUGUGACAUGUUCAAAAUAUGACAUGUCCACUACAAAUUUGCAUAUAACAGGAAAAAUUGCUUUAACUAAAGAAAUAACAACAAUUGCUUUACCUAAAAAAAUACCUAGAAUUCUGUUAACUACACCUAAAACAACUAAAACACCUAAAAUUCUGUUAACUACACCUAAAACAACUAAAACACCUAAAACUCUUUUAAAUACACUUAAAACACCUAAUUUAUAUUAACUACACCAAAUUAAAAACCUAGCUAAAUUUCUGUCCUAACUUUAAAACCUAGCUAAAUUUAAAAACCUAGGGUUCAUACGAAUUAACUAGGGUUCAUACCUAAUCUGUCCUAGCUAGGGUUCGAUCAUAACCUACAUUAUUCUAAGAACCUACAUUUUUUCAACUAUAUAGGAUUCAAAAUAACUACUCUCUAAUAACUAUAACGAGGGAGGGAGGGAGGAGGAGGAAGGAGGGAGGAGUACCUCUCGGUGGAGGAGGGCCGACGCGGGGGGCGACCGGCGGGGGAGGAUGGCUGGUGCCGGGAGGACAGGGGAGGAGGGCCGGCGCGGGGAAGGGUGGCCAACGGGGGAAGUGGGGCCCGCGCGGGGGAGGGCGGCCGGAGUAGGACACGGGGGCGGCGGCCGGAUCGGGGGACGAUUGAGGGAUUCAAUCUGUGAGUGUGAGCGUGUGAGUGUGAGUGAGUGAGAGGGGAGAGGGGCGCGCGGGCCAGUGUGGGAGGAAGCAGAGGUGGGCUUAGCGGCAGCGCGGGGGAGGAGGCCCAGUGCUAUAGCUAAAGCUGGAAAAGGGGGCCGAGAGCGUGGCCCAUCAACAGCAGCGCUAGCCGGGAAAUCCCGCGUUACUGCUAACGUGCGCUUGUAGCGCUGGUGUUGUCCGGCGCUACUGCUAAAUAGCAGUAGCGUGGCGUCUCUAACCAACGCUACUGCUAAAUGUCUACCUAUAAGCAUUUUCCUAGUAGUGAACGUUUUGCACCUUUUUUGACUUUUUUUACACCACCGUUUGCGAUUAUGGCAUCGCACACAGUUUUGUCUAAGGGCCUCUGAUCGUAGUGCCGCGUUUGGACCAUCCUGUAGUAGUGUAUUUUGACCUUAAUAUGCAAUAGACUUAGAUUUUAUUAACCAUUCACGACCAGGGAUCCAGCCAGAAGCAAAGUGAUGCGGAGCAUCCUAUGGACAUCACCAUGUCAAGAGUCCAUUCGGCGAGUGACACGUGCGACAUCUACUUCACAUACACAAAGGUGAAUCAUCUCCUUUACACGCGCUCACUUGACACCUUCGAAGAUGGUAUACUACUUGACACUCCACUCAUGUGCAUGCAUAGGUAUUGUCGGAACACUAUGGACGACGAGGAGGAGUGCAAGCGCCAAGGAACAACUACACCAUCCGCGAGAGAAGCAUGGAAGCGACGAUGGAAGAAGAAGACGGAGACAGCUCCCAGGACCCGGACAUCCGGCCAGGACCCCGGACAUCCGGCCCCUGGAACCUCACCCACAGCAGCCGCCCAGCCGCCAAGUACCAUCAGCGGCCGGACAUCCGGCGCCAGCCCCGGACAUCCGGCGCCUCGCCAAAGCCCGGACAUCCGGCCCUUCCCCCGGAAAUCCGGCAUCGACGACAGAACGCACCCGAAGUUUGGCCACUUCAGCCUGGACAUCCGGCCCGAGCCCGGACAUCCGGCGACUCGCGAAGCCCCGGACAUCCGGCCCCCAGCCCGGACAUCCGGCGCCUGCCUGCGUGCAGAGACGGGCCAGAGGCCCAUGUAUCCCCUCCUCACUUACCCCUUCGUGGCUUAGACUAUAUAUACUCCCCCCUCCUCCUAGUUAGGGUCAGCAUUGGUUUAGCUCAUUUAGAGAUAGAGCUUUGCUCAUCCAUAUCGGAUCUACUCCACGAGAGAGACUGCAGCCCCUCUACGGAGAAGAUCCACCUUGGAUUCAAGACCCCUCACGGGAAGAUCCCCUCGUGGAUUCAAGACCUCCUCACGGAGAAGAACCGGUUACCGUUUGUAUCGUCCGUUGUUGACUUUGGAUCUUGUAUCUUACCAUUGUGUUCAUCGAUCUAGCGCAUGUGUGAUCUAUUCUUGUUGGUUGAGUGAUUUCUCUCGUGUUUCCCCUCGUGUUCAUCACGUUCUUCGUAGGGAUCCGCUCCUUUCGUGAAAGAUCGGCCGUCUAGGGUUCCACCCUACAUCAUCUUGGAUCAGAGACAGCUUGUCUCAUGAUAUCAUCUUGGUAUCAUGAGCCACGUUGAUCACGAUUUCGGAGCCCCCUCUCUUUGUUUUCUAGCUUGAUUUUGUUGUUUUUCGUCCUAACCCGAAAAUUGCCCCACAAAAAUAGCCCCAAUUUUUUUUGUGAUUUGUUGGUGUGAUGAAGUUUUGUUGGAUUUGAUCCGCGGAUUUCGUGUGUUGCAGGUAGAUCUAGCUUUUCCCCAUCUUUUCCCCAAUUUCCAUCCACAAAAUCUUCUGAAUUUUGCCCCGGAUUUGACCUCUCCACGCGGUGUUCAUCCACGGAUCCCGAGCCCGGACAUCCGGCCCCUGACAGCAUCAACUCCAUCCUCCACUCCGUUUACCGCCUAACUUUCGUCCAAUUUUGUUCCGAAGCCCACAUACACUUCCGCAUACCACCACAACUUCCGCAUAACCACCAUAGCCUUCCGCAACCUAACCCAAUUUGUUCCCCAUAGCAUUAGUGGUUGCUUGAGUUGCGAUUCGAGUCUCCUAAGGUGUUUCGGCUACUUAGGGACUGUGUUUCGAACUCCGACACCGUGUAUAGUCCAUCCACCUUACCCUCGACUUUCGCAUUGCGUCUCAAAACCCAUCAUUGCAUUUCCGCAAUCACAUUGAGCUUCCGCAAAACCACCACCGCUUACACUACCACCGUUUGACUUUUGUCCUUGAGAUUUUGAGUUGUGGUUUUUCCGUUUCCUAAGGUGUUUCGGCUACUUAGGGACGAGUCUCCAUCAUCUUGGUAUCUACAUCAAGAACACCGCCACUCAUCAUCGCCAAGGACGGUAACCUCGACGAACCAUUGUAUAUUCCCCUUGCAAUUGCAUGAUAACCCCUAGCCCAUUUUGUGUCACUUACCUAUCGAGACUAGCCAUUUGAGUAUUGCCGGCAACAUUACUUGUGCACAUUAGUGAUCCACACCAUAUACAUUGCAUACAUACCAUACCAUAUUGGUAUCAUAUCAUCUCUUGUGUCACAAGUUUGUUCCCGCAUACACACUAUUGCUAUCUUGGUUUGUGCAUUUUGCAAAGUGGCCAUACAUACAAAAAAAAGAAUAAGCUUUUAAGCAAAAGAGAAGAGCAAAGAGCUUGUAAGCAAGUGCCAUAGCAUCAUACCACAUUGCAUAUAAGAUUGUCAUAUCCGAUCAUCUUGGAUCAUCUUGAGAGAAACACCGGGAACCAUACAUAUAUAGCAUACUUGGGAUAGAAGUUUAUCCAUUUUGCAUAUCAUAGGUUGUGCACAAGUGUCGUAUCCGCCUAUUGAGCAAUCGUGCUAGUGUCUCUCUUGAGUUGUGCAACACGAGCGUUUUCCAUGGACUCCACAUUUUGUGCUCAUUCCUUGGUUCACGACCCCAUUUAUCUAUCCGUGUGUGUGUUUCCAUGUGCCAUUCUUUGCUAUUGGUCUACUUGUUUCACUUGCGAAUUUGUGAAUCUUUUUCAACAUUAUUGACUCUUGCUAACAUUUUGCAUCAAAUUUUUUGUGCCGCUAUCCUCACCGAGCUCCACUAUAAGCCUUACUUAUGUAGGUGUGAGAAACCGACAAGAAUUGGUACCAAUUGUGCUAUUUCCUUGUUACACAUUGAGUGAUCAUUGAUCCAUCUUCAACAUCGGUCAAGGUACAUUUGGUAUUGUUCUUCUCUUUCUCCCACUCACAUUUGCUCGAGUCUUGUGAUGGAUAGGCAAGGCAUUUCACCUCCGGUCUACAACAACAAAGACAAGUUCGAUGCCACGAACAACAACUUCGACGCCAAGAUGCAAGCUCAAAUGGAGGAGAUCCAAACCCUCAUCAAGUCCUACAAGCGAUCUUCCUCAUCUUCGAUAAGACGCUCAAGAGCACAUGCCUCCGAGCUACCAUCUCUGGCAAGGUCACAUCGGCAUCGACACCUCACCACCACAAACGUGAAGGUCAAGAGCUCUACACCAACAACCGCUCAACGACUUCACCAUCUCCCUUGGCAUCUUCGCCAAGCGUCUUCAAGGCAUCUUCGCCUACGGAUAUACGGCAUCUUCGCCAACAAGCACCUCAAGACGACACUCAAGAGAAGCUCCCCAAGCUCAAGUCCGCGACUUCCACGAGCUACUAUGACCUCGACACCGACCAUGAGAUUCCUUUCUAUGGGACUCAAGAACCCGAGGAGUAUCUCGAGUGGGAGCACCUAAUGGACGACUACCUCAAGCUACAUCAAGUUCCUCCCAAAGAUCAAGUGAAGUGCGCCACAAGAAACUUCCACGACUACGCCUCGACAUGGUGGCUUCACACACCUUUGGAAACCUACGACAUGAGUUGGCCCAAGACGAAGAAAGCUUUGCGGCGAGAGUUUGUGCCUCCAACCUACACGGAAAAACUUCUACGCCAAUUGGAGAACACCAACCAAGGAUCCAAGUCCAUCGACGCGUACUUCAAGGAGAUGAAGAUUGCCUUGCGACGAGCCGGCGUGGACGACCCCAUGUCAAUGAAGUUCCACUUCAUGAUGGGAUUGAACAACGACAUCUCCAAGACUAUCUUCCUCGAGAACUACAAGUCCCUCGACGACAACUACAUUGGUGCUCUCAAGGCGGAACAAGAACGCAUGAAGGCCAAGGCUUCUCCACCCCAAGCACACUUCUCGAAGACCAAGCUCAAAGACGACGAGCAUGAGGCUAGUACCACCAAGAUGUCCAAGCCCGACGAACUCCAAGACGAUGCUCCCAAGUUCGACUUCACCGCCAUUCCUCUUUGUGGCAUUGAUGAUGCCGAGUCCUCCAUGACUCUUUUUCAAGAUGGUGCGGCGACGAGUAUGACUACGGAGACCUUCAAGGACCAAGCUUUUGAGGCAAGCGACAUGGUGACGAGCAAGGAUGAUGUUUCCAUCUUAGGAGGCGAGAGUGAUGAUGUGCCAUCUUCGGUCUUCAUCCACAGCGACGGCGAUGAGAUGGUUGAGUAUUUCACUUCGACCACGGCGACGUAUGAUGACUUGAGUGACUUGUGCCACCAUAUUGAGAGUGAGAGUGACUUCACCACUAGCCCCAUAUCCGAUGUGUUGCCCCAAUUCCCAUGUGCGGAGAGCCACAACCCCACCACUUGAGUGAGAUGAGUGACUCCACCAUACGUGCGAUUGAGUGCACCUACUUUGAGGGAGUGAGUGAACCACCACAUAGAGAGAGUGAGGCCACUUCGAUUUCUAACGACUUAACCUCUACCUCUAUUGUGUCUUCUCAUUUGGUGCUAGGUCUCAUUUAUGAUGACGCGCUGAUUCACGACGACUUCGUCCUUCCUAUGGACAUGACGAUGGCCAUGGUGGAAUAUGAUGCACCCCCACAUGGUUCCAUCAAGAUGAAGAUGACCACCAUUUGGUCUUUCCCACCUCACCUACACCACUUGAGUGGAAUGAACAAGGUAACAUAGGUGACGGUGAUUCUCUAGUCCCACUAGUGGACAUUCUUGACAUUGAUUGCUUGCAUGAUGUUGAUCCACCUAUUACCUUGCUUCAUGCUAGUGAGAUUUCCCCAUGGGAUGAUUUACCCAUUUAUGAUGAGUAUGAUGAUUGCUAUGUGGAGUCUAUUAGUUGUGAUGCCUUGUUACAUAGGAUUUCUUGUGACAAUUCUUUAGGUCACAUCAUGUUUGACAAUCCGCUUGACUUGUCAUAUGCUAUGCAUGAGAUCAAUCAUAUGUCAUAUUUGCAAUCUCUUCGUAGUGACUAUACAUAUGCCAUUAAAAUUAACCCAAUUUGCACAUAUGGCAUAGAUGACAAGCCCAUGGUUAUUGGCAUUUGUUUUUCUUGUGAUGAUAUUGACAUGCUCCCUUUGCAUCAUUUAUCUCAUAUGCCAUGCCAUGACCAUCUAGCUUCGGAUAUGCAUUGUUGUGGAUGUUGUCCAUUUUCUCCAUAUGAUUACAAUAUUGCUCAUGAGGAGACCCCCAUAGUUUCCUCAUACAUUUUAGGAGAUUUUGAUCCAUCCUAUCCAUUGCAUGAUCCCAAUAAUUAUGUGCACAAUAUGCUCCCCAUGAAUCAUAAUGAUAUUGUUGUGCCAUACACUAGUAUGCUCAAUUUGCAUCCCCAUCGUGUCAUACAUAACAACUAUUCUUUCAUGAUGGAUGACAUGUUCUUAUACCAUGCAUCAAAUUUCUUUGAGCGAUGCUUAUCUUGUGGUAACACUCACUUGCACAUACACAUCAUGAUGGAUGAUGUGUACAUUUACCACGCGCACAAUUUCUUUGGUUUGUGUCUCUUUUGUGUAGGCACCCAUGAAUACUUGUCAACCUCGCAAUCCCACGAGUUGACAAAACGAGCUCUAGAGAGCAAUGAUGACUUGGGACCCCAUGGAUUGCCUUUCCCACCGCUCACUUCGCGCAAACACUUCGCGCAUUUCUUUUACAUGGCCCUCACAUGGUUAUGGGUUGUUGUCCAUUAUAUAUCAUUUGCCCAUCUUGCCAUGUUCACUUUGCAUGAUAUGCCCAUUACUAUGCCUUUGCCAUGCAUUUGUGACCCAUGCUUUGCAUUACACAUGAUGAUUGAUUCUAGUACUUGUAUGUGUAUUUGCAAGCGUGGUGGAGAUAUUGUUUGUUAUUGCCAUGAUUGCUUUGUGCCCCAUUCCUAUGAUGAUACUAUGAUCUUGAUUUUUGUUCGUGCUUGCGAUAUGUCAUGUACAUUGCCUAUGCCUAUUCUUUGCUCACAUGACAUGAUUGCCAUGAUUUCCUCUAGUGUGUUGCAUCUUCGCUCCACUAGUUUGCACGACUUGAUUAUUAUUGCUUGCCUUGUUGCAUCACCAAUGAUUUAUACUUGCUCACUUCAUGCGGUUGAUGACAACUAUCUACAUGCUUUGCACAUGAUUGUUAUUGCUUCUUGUCAUAUCUCUCCAUAUGUUGCCUCUAUCAUGAUAGAUGAUUUGACAUGUAUUGAGUGCAACAAUGCUAUUAGUCUUGCUUAUGAGUUUGCCCCCAUAGCAUUCUCACACAUAUUUGGAGAUUUCGACAUAUUUCUUGUGAAGCCUGCUUGUCUUAACUCUUUGCACCAUAUACCUAGUGCCAUGAAUAUUGCCAUUGUUGCAUCAUAUUAUUCAUGCACUUGUGCUUCUAAUGGUUAUGUGCAAGAGAAGAGAACCAUCAUGAUGGAUGAUGUGUUUAUCUACCAUGCGCAUACGUUCUUUGUUUUGUUGUGUGCAUGUGUAGGAUACUUGGACUUUGUGUCGACUUCCGCUUCACGUGAGUUGACCAUUCGAGCUCUUGAGAGCGAGCCUCAUACAUUCGACCACGACUCGUUUCUACGCCACCUUUCCUACCGCUUCGGCAUUGUGAAGAAUGCACAAGGACACGCCAUCAAGGUGAUAUCUUUCUUGAGCAUGGAUAUUGCGGAUCAUACUACUUGUGUUGCUUGCACCAUGAGACUUAUUGUUCAUCUUGGACCACUUGAUUGCACACUUGAUAGAGAUCUUGCUUCGACUUGUCAUUUUCACCGUCCCAUGCAUCAUGAUAUAUAUGCCUUGUGUGUUGCAUCCAAUUCUUGGAUUGCUUGCUCCACUCAUAUGUUUGGUUGCAACAAUGUCAUCCCUUCACAUAUGCCAUGUCCCAUUGCUUGUCACAUGAUUGACUUGAUUGCCUCACACAUGAUGAACAAUUGCUCUUUCUAUUGUGUUGAGUGCCACACUAUGUUCACUACACCCUAUGCACAUUAUGCUUGGAUUGUCUUGCACUUAACCCAUGUGCUUAGACAUCUCAUCUUCUUAGGUGUCGUGAAUGAUUCUUAUGCCUACCAUAGACCUUUCAUUGAGCGCUUUUCCCAUGCUUGCUAUGAACCUGAGGUAGAUGCUUAUUCUCUUAACACACAUAUUUGCAUCUCUACCUCCAAUUUACAUGCUUGUCCCCAUGAUAUCUUUGCUUGUGCUCGAUUGAUAUACUUACAUGCCAUGUCUCAAUCCUUUGUCACACCAUAUGCUUUGCAUGAUGACGACACUUGUUUGGUGAAUCACCUCUUGAAUGCUUGGUUUUGCAAUAACGCUAACCACAUUUGUUUUUCCAAGUGUUUGUUGUCCUUACUCCUUUUGAAGGAAUCACAAGACGGUGCGACAUUGGAGAGUGCCCAUUUCGAGCUUCAAGAUGACAAGUACUUGGUGAACGUCCACUUCUACACGGCGAAGCCAUCUCUUUCCCAUGGUGAUUUGGUUUUCGAUCCGAGGUCGGAUCUUUCCCAAGGGAGGGGAGAUGAUGCAGAGCAUCCUAUGGACAUCACCAUGUCAAGAGUCCAUUCGGCGAGUGACACGUGCGACAUCUACUUCACAUACACAGAGGUGAAUCAUCUCCUUUACACGUGCUCACUUGACACCUUCGAGGAUGGUAUACUACUUGACACUCCACUCGUGUGCAUGCAUAGGUAUUGUCGGAACACUACGGACGGCGAGGAGGAGUGCAAGCGCCAAGGAACAACUACACCAUCCGCGAGAGAAGCAUGGAAGCGAUGAUGGAAGAAGAAGACGGAGACAGCUCCCAGGACCCGGACAUCCGGCCAGGACCCCGGACAUCCGGCCAGGACCCCGGACAUCCGGCCCCUGGAACCUCACCCACGGCAGCCGCCAAGUACCAUCAGCGGCCGGACAUCCGGCACCAGCCCCGGACAUCUGGCGCCUCGCCAAAGCCCGGACAUCCGGCCCUUCCCCCGGAAAUCCGGCAUCGACGACAGAACACACCCGAAGUUUGGCCACUUCAGCCCGGACAUCCGGCCCGAGCCCGGACAUCCGGCGACUCGCGAAGCCUCGGACAUCCGGCCCCCAGCCCGGGCAUCCGGCGCCUGCCUGCGUGCAGAGACGGGCCAGAGGCCCAUGUAUCCCCUCCUCACUUACCCCUUCGUGGCUUAGACUAUAUAUAAUCCUCCCCCUCCUCCUAGUCAGGGUCAGCAUUGGUUUAGCUCAUUUAGAGAUAGAGCUUUGCUCAUCCAUAUUGGAUCUACUCCACGAGAGAGACUGCGGCCCCUCUACGGAGAAGAUCCACCUUGGAUUCAAGACCCCUCACGGGAAGAUCCCCUCGUGGAUUCAAGACCUCCUCACGGAGAAGAACCGGUUACCGUUUGUAUCGUCCGUUGUUGACUUUGGAUCUUGUAUCUUACCUUUGUGUUCAUCGAUCUAGCGCAUGUGUGAUCUAUUCUUGUUGGUUCAGUGAUUUCUCUCGUGUUCCUCUCGUGUUUCCCCUCGUGUUCAUCACGUUCUUCGUAGGGAUCCGCUCCUUUCGUGAAAGAUCAGCCAUCUAGGGUUCCACCCUACAUCACAAAGCAAUGGCAAGCGUCGUCGCAACAAGAUGUAGAUGAUUAGAUGCUCGUUUAUCCUAGUUUAGUAUGCAUGUAAUUGCUUAUUUUGGUGUGUGGAAAUGUUAUGUCUGUAGUCACUUAUGUAAUUGUAUGCUUAAUUCGGUUAUGCAAUGCUAUUCUUAUGAGUAUAUAUUUGAUGUUCUGUAGACAGAGCAAAUCACAUCGCACACAGACUAAACAAUGGAAACCAUCGGUGAUGAUUCCAUCAAUCACUCACAAUUUUAUACCAGCAAUCAUUUGCUCACAACACAUAGGCUUGUUAACAGGAAUUGUUUGUGUUUUUAUCGGUCUUCGCACACAUUUCCGAUUACAGACCUGUUUGCCGCAUAUCACAUACAUCUUGUUAAGUUGAACCGUGUCUGUUCUCUUGGCUCAACGCAAACAGUUCAUCCGAAUGAACUAUAUGCCGUAUAUCGCACACACCUUCACCUGGCUAGCCGUUUCUUUUGUGUUGCCUAAUCACAAACUGUUAAUCCGAGUGAACUGUAUGUCGUAUAUCGCACACACCUUCAUUUGGCUGCCCGUUUCUGUUCUUCUGCCUCAUCGCAAACAGUUCAAUGAACUAAAUUGUAUGCCCAUCAUCGCACACACAACUAAAAUUUCAACCGUGUUUGAUGUAUCCACCAUCGCAAACAUUUUGCAUCUUUAUUGACAGUUUUUUUACACCACCAUUUGCGAUUAAUGCAUCGCACACAGUUUCAUCAAAGGGUCUCUGAUCGUACUGUUGCAUUAGCAGCAUCUUGCAGUAGUGCGACCAUCCACCUUAAGAUCAUGGGUGAAAUCCCUUGGCACUUGAAGAUCUCCUGCUCCACCGCCUCGAUCCUAGCCUCCACGGUUCCUGUCUUCUUGGGCCCUUGAACAUCCCGGAUGUGGAGCACCCACUCACGCAUCUCAAUGGCUUGAGGGUGCUUCAGCACCUCCAACAAGUAGGGGUUGAUUACCUGAUAACCCGCAAGUAUAGGGGAUCGCAACAGUUUUCAAGGGUAGAGUAUUCAACCCAAAUUUAUUGAUUCGACACAAGGGGGGCCAAAGAAUAUUCUCAAGUAUUAGCAGCUGAGUUGUCAAUUCAACCACACCUUAAAGACUUAAUAUCUGCAGCAAAGUAUUUAGUAGAAAAGUAGUAUGGAAGUAACGGUAACGGUGACAAGAGUAACAAUAGCAGUUUUGUAGUAAUCAUAACAGUGGCAACGGAAAAGUAAAGUAGCAAAGGUCAAUAUGUGAAAAGCUCGUAGGCAAUGGAUCAAUGAUGGAUAAUUAUGUCGGAUGGCAUUCAUCAUGCAACAAUUAUAACAUAGGGUGACACAGAACUAGCUCCAAUUCAUCAAUAUAAUGUAGGCAUGUAUUCCGAAUAUAGUCAUACGUGCUUAUGGAAAAUAACUUGCAUGGCAUCUUUUGUCCUACCCUCCCGUGGCAGCGGGGUCCUAUUGGAAUCUAAGGGAUAUUAAGGCCGCCUUAAUAUCCCUUAGAUUUACCUCUAAUUGUCAUUGCAAACAUGUUUCAUCCAUAAUAGGUUGAAUCAAGAAUGGUGAACUAAUCAUAUUUACAAAAACACAAUAGGUUGAGUUCAUACUAGCUUUUCCUCAUCUCAACCAUUUUAUCAUAUGUCGUCAUUAUUGCCUUUCACUUGUGAUACGUCUCCAACGUAUCUAUAAUUUGUGAUCGUUCCAUGUUGUUAUAUUAUCAUUCUUGGAUGUUUAACAAUCAUUUUAUAUCAUUUUUUGGUACUAACCUAUUGACAUAGUGCCCAGUGCGAGUUGUUGUUUUCUGCUUGUUUUUUACAUCGCAGGAAAUCAAUAUCAAAUGGAGUCCAAAUGCAACGAAAUUAUUUGUGGACCAGAAGACACCCAAUGGGCCGGAGAAGCACCUGGGGGUGCCCCAAGGGGGGCACAACCCACCAGGGCGCGCUUGGGCCCCCAAGCGCGCCCAGGUGGGUUGUGCCCACCUCGGUGGCCUCCCACACUGCCUCUUUGCUCUAUAAAUACCCCAAUAUUAUAGAAACCCUAGGGGAGUCGAUGAAAAUCAAUUCCAGUCGCCACAAGUUACAAAACCACCAGAUCCAAUCUAGACACCAUCACGGAGGGGUUCCUCAUUGGUGCCUCUCCGAUGAUGCGUGAGUAGUUCAUUGCAGACCUACGGGUCCGUAGUUAGUAGCUAGAUGGCUUCCUCUCUUUCUUUUGAUUCUCAAUACAAUGGUCUCUUGGAAAUCCAAAUGAUGUAACUCUUUUUGCGGUGUGUUUGUUGGGAUCCGAUGAACUUUGAGUUUAUGAUCAGAUCUUUGUUUUUAUCCAUGAAAGUUAUUUGAGUCUUCUUUGAUCUAUUAUAUGCAUGAUUGCUUAUAGCCUCGUAUUUCUUCUCUGAUAUUUGGGUUUUGUUUGGACAACUUGAUCUAUUUAUCUUGCAAUGGGAAGAGGUGCUUUGUGAUGGGUUCAAUCUUACGGUGCUUGAUCCCAGUGACAGAAGGGGAACCCACACGUAUGUAUCGUUGCUAUUAAGGAUAACAAGAUGGGGUCUAUUUCUACAUAAAUAGAUCUUGUCUACAUCAUUUCAUCGUUCUUAUUGCAUUACUCCGUUUUACCAUGAACUUAAUACACUAGAUGCAUGUUGGAUAGCGGUCGAUGUGUGGAGUUAUAGUAGUAGAUGCAGGCAGGAGUCGGUCUACUAUUCUUGUACGUGAUGCCUAUAUAAUGAUCAUUGCCUGGAUAUCAUCAUGAUUAUUUGAAGUUUUAUCAAUUGCCCAACAGUAAUUCGUUUACCCAUCGUUUGCUAUUUUUCUCAAGAGAAGCCACUACUGAAAUCUACGGCCCCCGGGUCUCUUCUUUAUUAUAUUUGCCUUCGCGAUCUAUUUUCAUUUGCUUUUAUUUUCAGAUCUAUAUUUCCAAAAACCCAAAAAUACCUUGCUGCAAUUUUUGUUUAUUUAUUUUAUCUCGCAUUCCCGCGAGAUCUAUUUAUCCAAUCUACUACAAUUUUAUCUAUCUUUUUACCCAUGAGGGAUUGACAACCCCUCUCUUACGUCGGGUUGCAAGUAUUUGUUCUUUGUGUGCAGGAGCUGUUUACGUGGUGUUGUGUGGUUCUCCUACUGGUUCGAUAACCUUGUUCUCAUCACUGAGGGAAAUACCUACCGUUGUUGUGCUGCAUCAUCCCUUCCUCUUUGGGGAAAUACCAACGUAGUUCUAGCAGACAUCAAAAGGAAUUUCUAGAGCCGUUGCCGGGGAGACAUCAUCAACAUCUACCAGGUUCCUAAUCACAAAUCUCAUCUCCUUGCAAUUUAUAUUAUUUUCCAUUUGCCUCUCGUCUUCCUCUCCCCCACUUCACAAAAAUUUGCCGUUUUAUUCACCCUCUUUUUCAUUCGCCGUUUUCUUGCCGGAUCUUGUCGGGAGAAAUCGACACCUAUGGAAUCACUGGGAUUCCUUCUAUGGUUGGCUGGCGCGAGGUUGUGCAAAGAGCGGGUCUGACAGGAAGCACACGGAUCGUUUACCCAGGUUCGGCCCGUGAAGAUGCGUAAUACCCUAGUCCUGAUUUGGUGGAUGUGUUUGAGUGUUCUUGUGUUCUUGAGCUAGCUACGGGGUGUAACUUGCCCAAAAGAUCCGAAUCCUUCUCCUGGUCACCUCGGGCCUCCUUUUAUAGGAAAAAGGGGUUGCCACAGUGGCACACAGGAGGUGGAAAGGUCUACAGGCGAUAAGCCUAUCCUCUGGUACCGUCGGACAAACGCAUUUAAUGCGCUGCCGACGUGCCCCUCUCACUUUAUUGGGGACGGCAAGGAAGCACGUCCCAGCUGUCGCCGCCUCGUCCGGUUCCGACGCGCGUCCGAGCUGACAAGGCGUUGCUGCGCCACGUUGGCUGGCUGCUGGGCUAGCGCGGUGGUGGAGCCUUCACGAAGGGUCGCAUGCCACUAUGCAGGUGCUUCCUGAGUCGGUGUAGAGGCCUCCCGUAGCCAUGCAGGUGCCUGCCCAGCUGGUUGAGCUAACAACUGCUUGGGGACGGCGGUGGAGUCUUGGCAGGCGCGGGCCUGGCUGUGGCCUCGCUGAUGCCCUCGGCAAGGGUCUUGCCGGGGGCCCGGCAAGGGUCUUGCCGUGGCGUUGCAGUCGUCCCCGGCAAGGCGCUUGCCGGGGGUCUUGUGUAUUUCCUCGGCUAGGAUCCCGCUGAGGGUCGCCGUCUUCUGGUCCUCAUCUGAUCCUGUGUAUUUAUGAUCUUGACAAAAAUCUGCAUGCCACCACGGAGGUGCCUCCCGAGCCCUGGUUCCAAUGUAGUUGUUGACGGUGUUUGGAACCCUUGGGCUCAAGGGUGGCUCGCUCUACUGGCGUUGGGAAAGUUGCCCCGACAAAGCUCUUGCCGGGGCCGCGGAGGUCGUCCCGGCAAGGGUCUUGCUGGGGGGGUCCACGUCGCCCCUUUGCUCUUUGUGUUUCUGGUCUUGGCGUUGCCUCGGUUAUCUUUGUGCCUUCAGCUUCCCUCCUCUGCCCUGCUUAGUGUGGCCGUGGGCGUGGCUUCGACUGUCCGUGCAUAAGUAAAGGGGUAAAAAGGAGUCCCUACUUUUGUACACCGGCAGGAGCCCCUGGGCCUGGGCCACACAUAAGCACGACACGUUGUUGGGCCAGGCCCAAAACGGUGCGUGGGUAGUCAGGGCGGGAUUUUUACUGUGGUAACUUCUCAUCCGCUGCGCUUCUCCACGACCCGCGCUGAACGCGUGACGUGGAGAGUCGUGCGUGACGUGGGGGUCAUGCGUGGGGCGGUUCCCGCACGCAUGCUUCACAUCGCAGUUAAUGGGAAAAGAGGCGGCCCGCGCCUUCCCCGUAAAAAGGAAUAACCGCGGGCGCGCUGCUCAUUUACCCUCCGUGCUUUCCCCAAUCUCGGAACCGCCGUCCCCUUCUUCCUCCCUCUCAAGCUCUUGCCUUAGCUCGCCGCCGCCGCGCCUUCGCCAUCCUUCAUUCCUCGCCUCCCGCAGCCGCCAUGGCACCCAAGACCAGCAGAGGCAAGGGGGUGGCCAAGGAUGCCGGGACGAACGAGCCACCGGAGAGCGAGUUGGCGGUGCGGCGGAUGCAGUCCGCCUACUUCCCCACGGCGGUCAACGAAGUCCACCUCCGGGACUACUUCAAGCACUUGUGUGGGUGCAAGANNNNNNNNNNNNNNNNNNNNNNNNNNNNNNNNNNNNNNNNNNNNNNNNNNNNNNNNNNNNNNNNNNNNNNNNNNNNNNNNNNNNNNNNNNNNNNNNNNNNNNNNNNNNNNNNNNNNNNNNNNNNNNNNNNNNNNNNNNNNNNNNNNNNNNNNNNNNNNNNNNNNNNNNNNNNNNNNNNNNNNNNNNNNNNNNNNNNNNNNNNNNNNNNNNNNNNNNNNNNNNNNNNNNNNNNNNNNNNNNNNNNNNNNNNNNNNNNNNNNNNNNNNNNNNNNNNNNNNNNNNNNNACCCGGCCACGCGCGUCAUCCCUGCUGCUUUCGCUGAGGCCGGCCCGAAUCGGUACCCGUUCUUCGUCGACUACUUUUCUUGCGGCCUCUGCCCCCCUUCUGUGAUUUCUUCAGCGACAUCAUGCACACCUACGGAUUCCACCUUCUGGAUUUUACCCCAAAUGUCAUGGUGUGCCUGGCUCUUUUUGCGCACCUCUGCGAGGGCUUCGUCGGGGUGCAUCCCAACACGGCGCUCUUCCGCCACUACUUCUUCCCUCGGAUCCAAAAGGGGGGCGCCAUUUCCGGUUGUGUCCCCUGGAUCCCAAGGUCCAAUGGGACAUACCCGGAGGGCGCUCAGAAGGAGAGGUGGGAGGAGUGGCGGGGCCGGUGGUGCUGGAUUGAGGAGGAGGAUCCACCAGCAUUCUGCGAGGUUCGCCAGGCACCGCCGGUUCGCCGAAGUGACUGGAGCGAUGUUGCUGCCGACGAUGCGAAGCUCACGGCCGCCACCACCAAGAUUCUUCGCCUCACCGAGGCCGGGCUUACCCUCGAGAUGAUCGAGCGGAUUUCAUCCGCCGCCAAAUCGCCCCGCUGCACAACAAGGGGAGGCCGGCCUGGCUUUUCACGAAUGCGGCUAACAUCAUGAGGCUUCGCCCCGGCCUCGACCACAACCUCACGGUGAUGGGGCAUGCCCACUUUUGCCAGCGACACUUCCAGCUUGACGUAAACCGUAAUGGCAAGGUUGAGCGGUCUGGCAAGGCCGCGAAGGCCGGCAAGGUCGCCAAGGGGCUCUUGUUUAAGUUGUCGGCGGGGGUGGUCCUGCUGAGCAACAACUCGCGUCGAAACGACAUCAUCGCCAUGAUGCUGGAGUUCAACGCGCACGGCCUCGUCCCAAAUUGGGCCGAGCCGCCGGAGGAUCAGGUGCAGGAGUUCUUUGACACCUUGGAGGAGAAGUACGUCCGCGAUGAGCCGCGGCUCGUCCAGGACACCACCCAGGCGGAGCUGGACUACAUUGCCGCCAGGGCGGCGGAGGCGGAGCUCGCCAAGGAGGCCGGCAGCACCGGCGGCGUAGAGGAUAAGGCCGCGGCAGCCGCGGAGGAGAAGGAGCUUGCCCAGUGGGCGGAGUCCGCUGGGGAAGCCAGGAGCGCCGGCACCAGGGCCCCUCUCGUCGAAGAUGUGGUCGACGAGUCAUCGGAGGAGGAGACUGAGGCUGUCGACCCUCCGGUCACGGGGAGAGGGCGAGUCCUGCGGCGGGCCACCUCUGGCGAGCCGGUCCGGCCUGGCAGGGCCAUGCAACCGUCGCAAGCCCAGGAGGGGUCCACGCGCCAAACGAGGGCCGCGGCGGUGAAGAAGUUGGUGAGGGCCGCGGUGGCGAAGAAGAAGGCAGUUGCCUCUUCUUCGUCUAAGCGUGUUCAGACCCCCACCUUCUCCCCCCUCCGGCAAAUGUUGACGCGGAGGUCUUCUUCGGCUUCGGGUCCCUCAGCCCAAGGAGGAAGUGGAAGGCAGCAGAGGAGGAGGUUGAGCACGAGUAAGUAUCUUGUCCCUUUCUGUCAUCUCUGUCCCCUCAGACCGUGCCACUUAUCUUGAUUCGUUUUCAUCUUUGCAGGGAUGCGGAGACGCUGGCUGAUACGUCCAUUUUGCAUCAUGCUUUUAUAUUGAUAUUUAUUGCAUUAUGGGCUGUUAUUACACAUUAUGUCACAAUACUUAUGCCUAUUCUCUCUUAUUUUACAAGGUUUACACAAAGAGGGAGAACGUCGGCAGCUGGAAUUCUGGGCUAGAAAAGGAGCAAAUAUUGGAGACCUAUUCUGCACAACUCCAAAAGUCCUGAAACUCCACGAAAGUUAUUUUUGGAAAUAAUAAAAAAUACCGAGCGAAGAAAAUACCAGAGGGGACCCACACCCUGGGCACGAGGGUGGGGGCGCGCCCCCUGCCUCGUGGGCCCCCUGUUGGCCCUCCGGUGCCCAGCUUCUGCUAUAUGAAGUCUUUCGUUCGAGAAAAAAUCAUAAGCAAGCUUUCGGGACGAGACUCCGCUGCCACGAGGCGGAACCUUGGCGGAACCAAUCUAGGGCUCUGGCCGAGCUGUUCUGCCGGGGACACUUCCCUCCGGGAGGGGGAAAUCAUCGCCAUCGUCAUCACUAACGCUCCUCUCAUUGGGAGGGGGCCAAUCUCCAUCAACAUCUUCAGCAGCACCAUCCCCUCUCAAACCCUAGUUCAUCUCUUGUAUCCAAUUCUUGUCUCUAAGUCUGAGAUUGGUACAUGUAGGUUGCUAGUAGUGUUGAUUACUCCUUGUAGUUGAUGCUAGUUGGUUUAUUUGGUGGAAGAUCAUAUGUUCAGAUCCUUUAUGCAUAUUAAUACCCCUCUGAUUAUGAACAUGAAUAUGCUUUGUGAGUAGUUACGUUUGUUCCUGAGGACAUGGGAGAAGUCUUGCUAUUAGUAGUCAUGUGAAUUUGGUAUUCGUUCGAUAUUUUGAUGAGAUGUAUGUUGUCUUUCCUCUAGUGGUGUUAUGUGAAUGUUGACUACAUGACACUUCACCAUUAUUUGGGCCUAGAGGAAGGCAAUGGGAAGUAAUAAGUAGAUGAUGGGUUGCUAGAGUGACAGAAGCUUAAACCCUAGUUUAUGCGUUGCUUCGUAAGGGGCUGAUUUGGAUCCAUAUGUUUCAUGCUAUGGUUAGGUUUACCUUAAUACUUCUUUUGUAGUUGCGGAUGCUUGCAAUAGGGGUUAAUCAUAAGUGGGAUGCUUGUCCAAGUAAGGACAGCACCCAAGCACCGGUCCACCCACAUAUCAAAUUAUCAAUGUACCGUACGCGAAUCAUAUGAACCUGAUGAAAACUAGCUUGACGAUAAUUCCCAUGUGUCCUCGGGAGCACUUUUCUCUAUAUAAGAGUUUGUCCAGGCUUGUCCUUUGCUACAAAAAGGAUUGGUCCAUCUUGGUGCACUUUAUUUACUUUUGUUACUUGUUACUCGUUACAAAUUAUCUUAUCACAAAACUAUCUGUUACCUAUAAUUUCAGUGCUUGCAGAGAAUACCUUGCUGAAAACCGCUUAUCAUUUCCUUCUGCUCCUCGUUGUGUUCGACACUCUUACUUAUCGAAAGGACUACGAUAGAUCCCCUAUACUUGUGGGUCAUCAAGACUCUUUUCUGGUGCUGUUGCCGGGGAGUGAAGCGCCUUUGGUAGGUGGAAUUUGGUAAGGAAAAAUUUAUAUAGUGUGCUGAAAUUUACUGUCACUUGUUACUAUGGAAAGUAAUCCUAUGAGGGGCUUGUUCGGGGUAUCUUCACCCCGACCAGUAGAGCAAAGAGUUGCUCCUCAACCUACUGAACCUACUGAAAAUGAAAAUGUCUACUUUGAAAUUCCUUCGGGUAUGAUAGAAAAACUGCUAGCUAAUCCUUUUGCAGGAGACGGAACAUUACAUCCUGAUGAGCACCUAAUCUAUGUGGAUGAAGUUUGUGGAUUAUUCAAGCUUGCAGGUAUGCCCGAUGAUGUUAUCAAGAAGAAGGUCUUCCCUUUAUCUUCGAAGGGAGAUGCAUUGACAUGGUAUAGGCUAUGUGAUGAUAUGGGAUCAUGGAACUACAAACGAUUGAAAUUGGAAUUUCAUCAGAAGUUUUAUCCUAUGCAUCUUGUUCAUCGAGAUCGUAAAUAUAUAUAUAUACAUAAUUUUUGGCCUCGCGAAGGAGAAAGCAUCGCUCAAGCUUGGGGGAGGCUUAAGUCAAUGUUAUAUUCAUGCCCCAAUCAUGAGCUCUCAAGAGAAAUGAUUAUUCAAAAUUUUUAUGCUCGGCUUUCUGACAACAAUUGCACCAUGCUCGAUACUUCUUGUACUGGUUCUUUUAUGAUGAAGACUAUUGAAUUCAAAUGGAAUUUAUUGGAAAGAAUUAAACGCAACUCUGAAGAUUGGGACCUUGACGAAGGUGAGGAGUUAGGUAUAACACCUAAGUUUGAUUGUGUUAAAUCUUUUAUGGAUACCGACGUUUUCCGUAAAUUUAGCACUAAAUAUGGACUUGACUAUGAGAUAGUAGCUUCUUUCUGUGAAUCCUUUGCUACUCAUGUUGAUCUCCCUAAGGAGAAGUGAUUUAAAUAUCAUCCUCCCAUAGAAGUAAAAGUAGCUGCACCUAUUAAACUUGAAGAAAAGACUAUCACUUAUAAUGAUCCUAUUGUUCCUACUGCUUAUGUUGAGAAACCACCUUUCCUUGUUAGAAUAAAGGAUCAUGCUAAAGCUUCAACUGUGGUUCGUAAAAGCAAUAUUAGAACUUAUACACCUCCUGAGCAAGUUAAAGUUGAACCUAAUAUUGCUAUUGUUAAAGAUCUCUUGGCUGAUAAUAUUGAUGGGCAUGUUAUUUAUUUCUGUUAUGAGACUGCUAGAAUUGCUAAACCUAGUGCUAAAGAUAAACAUAGACCUGUGGUAGGCAUGCCUGUUAUUUCUGUUAAAAUAGGAGAUCAUUGUUAUCAUAGCUUAUGUGACAUGGGUGCUAGUGCUAGUGCAAUACCUAUUGAGUUAUACAAAUAAAUUAUGCAUGAUAUUGCACCUACUGAGUUAGAAGAAAUUGAUGUUACCAUUAAGCUUGCCAAUAGAGAUAUUAUAUCACCAAUUGGAAUUGUUAGAGAUGUUGAAGUCUUGUGUGGGAAAACUAAAUAUCCUGCUGAUUUUCUUGUUCUUGGUUCCCCACAAGAUAGCUAUUGUCCCAUUAUAUUUGGUAGACCCUUCUUAAACACUGUUAAUGCUAAGAUAGACUGCGAAAAUGAUGUUGUUACCAUUGGUCUAGGUGAUAUGUCUCAUGAGUUUAACUUUUCUAAAUUUCGUAAACAACACCGUGAAGAGGAAUUGCCUAGUAAAGAUGAAAUUAUUGGUCUUGCUUCUAUUGCCGUACCUCCUAGUGAUCCUUUAGAACAAAUUUGCUAGACCAUGAAAAUGAUAUGUUUAUGAAUGAAAGAAGGGAAAUAGAUGAAGUAUUCUUUAAACAAGGACCUAUUCUGAAGCACAACUUGCCUGUUGAAAUCCUAGGGGAUCCUCCUCCACCCAAGGGUGAUCCCGUGUUUGAGCUUAAACCAUUGCCUGAUACUCUUAAAUAUGCUUAUCUUGAUGAAAAGAAGAUAUAUCCUGUUAUUAUUAGUGUUAACCUUUCAUAGAAGGAGGAAGAAAAAUUAUUGAAAACUCUGAAGAAGCACCGUGCUGCUAUUGGAUAUACUCUUGAUGAUCUUAAGGGCAUUAGUCCCACUCUAUGCCAACACAAAAUAAAUUUGGAGAAAGACGCCAAACCAGUUAUUGAUCAUCAACGACGAUUAAAACCUAAGAUGAAAGAAGUGGUAAGAAAGGAAAUAUUAAAGCUCCUUGAGGCAGGUAUAAUCUAUCCCGUUGCUGAUAGUCAGUGGGUAAGUCCUGGCCAUUGUGUCCCUAAGAAAGGAGGUAUUACUGUCGUUCCUAAUGAUAAAGAUGAAUUGAUUCCGCAAAGAAUUAUUACAGGUUAUAGGAUGGUAAUUGAUUUCCACAAAUUAAAUAAAGCUACUAAAAAAGAUCAUUACCCCUUACCUUUUAUUGAUCAAAUGCUAGAAAGAUUAUCCAAACAUACACAUUUUUGCUUUCUAGAUGGUUAUUCUGGUUUCUCUCAAAUACCUGUGUCAGCUGAUGAUCAAGCUAAGACCACUUUUACUUGCCCUUUCGACACUUUUUCUUAUAGAGGUAUGUCUUUUGGUUUAUGAAAUGCACCUGCUACCUUUCGAAGAUGCAUGAUGGCUAUAUUCUCUGACUUUUGUGAAAAUAUUUGUGAGGUUUUCACGGACGAUUUCUCCGUUUAUGGAUCCUCUUUUGAUGAUUGCUUGAGCAACCUUGAUCGAGUUUUGCAGAGAUGUGAGGAAACUAAUCUUGUCUUGAAUUGGGAAAAGUGCCACUUUAUGGUUAAUGAAGGCAUUGUCUUGGGGCAUAAAAUUUCUGAAAGAGGCAUUGAAGUUGAUAAAGCUAAAGUUGAUGCUAUUGAAAACAUGCCAUGUCCCAAGGACAUCAAAGGUAUAAGAAGUUUCCUUGGUCAUGCCGGUUUUUAUAGGAGGUUCAUUAAGGACUUCUCAAAAAUUUCUCGGCCUCUGACUAAUCUAUUACAAAAAGAUAUACCAUUUGUCUUUGAUGAUGAUUGUGUAGAAGCAUUCGAAAUACUUAAGAAAGCAUUGAUUUCUACACCUAUUGUUCAGCCACCUGAUUGGAAUUUACCCUUUAAAAUUAUGUGUGAUGCUAGUGAUUAUGCUGUAGGUGCUGUUCUAGGGCAAAGAGUUGAUAAGAAAUUAAAUGUUAUUUAAUAUGCUAGUAAAACUCUAGACAGUGCUCAGAGAAAUUACGCUACUACUGAAAAAGAAUUCUUAGCAGUUGUAUUUGCUUGUGAUAAGUUCAGACCUUAUAUUGUUGGUUCUAAAGUAACUAUUCACACGGAUCAUGCUGCUAUUAAAUAUCUUAUGGAAAAGAAAGAUGCUAAACCUAGACUUAUUAGAUGGGUUCUCUUGUUACAAGAAUUUGAUUUACAUAUUAUUGAUAGAAAGGGAGCCGAGAACCCCGUUGCAGACAACUUGUCUAGGUUAGAAAAUGUUCUUGAUGACCCACUACCUAUUGAUGAUAGCUUUCCUGGUGAACAAUUAAAUGUCAUAAAUGCUUCUCGUACUGCUCCAUGGUAUGCUGAUUAUGCUAAUUACAUUGUUGCUAAAUUUAUACCACCUAGUUUCACAUACCAGCAAAAGAAAAAGUUUUUCUAUGAUUUAAGACAUUACUUCUUGGAUGACCCACAUCUUUAUAAAGAAGGAGUAGAUGGUGUUAUUAGACGUUGUGUACCUGAGCAUGAACAGGAAUAGAUCCUACGCAAGUGUCACUCUGAGGCUUAUGGAGGACACCACGCUGGAGAUAGAACUGCACAUAAGGUAUUGCAAUCCGGUUUUUAUUGGCCUACUCUCUUCAAGGAUGCCCGUAAGUUUGUCUUAUCUUGUGAUGAAUGUCAAAGAACUGGUAAUAUUAGUAGAUGUCAAGAAAUGCCUAUGAAUUAUUCACUUGUUAUUGAACCAUUUGAUGUUUGGGGCUUUGAUUAUAUGGGACCGUUUCCUGCCUCUAAUGGGUAUACUCAUAUUUUAGUUGUUGUUGAUUACGUUACUAAGUGGGUAGAAGCUAUUCCAACUAGUAGUGCUAAUCAUAACACCUCUAUUAAGAUGCUUAAAGAAGUUAUUUUUUCGAGGUUUGGAGUCCCUAGAUAUUUAAUGACUGAUGGUGGUUCACAUUUUAUUCAUGGUGCUUUUCGCAAAAUGCUUGCUAAGUAUGAUCUUAAUCAUAGAAUUGCAUCUCCUUAUCACCCACAGUCUAGUGGUCAAGUAGAAUUGAGUAAUAGAGAACUCAAAUUAAUUUUGCAAAAAACUGUCAAUAGAUCUAGAAAGAAUUGGUCCAAGAAACUUGAUGAUGCAUUAUGGGCCUAUAGAACUGCAUAUAAAAAUCCUAUGGGUAUGUCUCCGUAUAAAAUGGUUUAUGGAAAAGCAUGUCACUUACCUCUCGAACUAGAACAUAAGGCAUAUUGGGCCAUUAAAGAGCUCAAUUAUGAUUUCAAACUUGCCGGUGAGAAGAGGUUAUUUGACAUUAGCUCACUUGAUGAAUGGAGAACCCAAGCCUAUGAGAAUGCCAAGUUGUUUAAAGAAAAAGUUAAAAGAUGGCAUGACAAAAGGAUACAAAAGCGUGAGUUUAAUGUAGGUGAUUAUGUAUUGCUAUACAACUCUCGUUUAAGAUUUUUUGCAGGAAAACUUCUCUCUAAAUGGGAAGGUCCUUACGUUAUCGAGGAGGUCUAUCGUUCCGGUGCCAUAAAAAUCAACAACUUCGAAGGCACAAAUCCAAAGGUGGUGAACGGUCAAAGAAUCAAACAUUAUAUCUCAGGUAAUCCUGUAAAUGUUGAAACUAAUGUUAUUGAAACCGUAACCCCGGAGGAAUACAUAAGGGACACUUUCCAGAAUGUUUCAGACUCCGAAAAGGAAUAGGUACGUGGUAGGGUAAGUAAACCGACUCCAAAAUAGUUCUAAUGGCAAUUUUUCUCCGUUUUGGAAUAUUUAGAAAAAUAGAGAAAUAAGAAGCAGUCCGGGAAGGACACGAGGGCUCCACGAGGGUGGAGGGCGCGCCCCCUGCCUCGUGGGCACCUCGUGCGCUCUCCGGACUCCGUUUUCUUGCACGAUACGUAUUUUAGUCGGUAAAAAUUCAUUAUAUAUUCUCCCGAAGGUUUUGACUCCUGUAUCACGCAAAUAUCCUCUGUUUUCGUUUCGAGCUGUUUUUUUGACAGAUCUAGAUCACCAUGACGUCUCCAAGCGCCCCCAAGGACAAGUUCUUCGAGAAGGUCAUCAACCCCUACCUCGCGGAAGUGCUGCAACACCCUCAAACCAUUGAGAUGCGUGAUGGGUUGCUGCACAUCCGCGAUGUUGAGGGACCAAGGAGGACCGGAAGCAUGGAGACGAGACUCGAAGCAAUGGAGCAGCAAGUUUUCAAGUGCCAGGGGAUGGUGGAACGCGGACUCAACGCCAACCAUAUGAUGAUCGCGGAGUUCACCAACAACCACAAGUUGGAUGCCAAGAACAUUGGGGAGACCAUCUUCAAGCUUCACGAGAAGAUCGAGCACCUCCAAGCCCAAAUCUAUGACCUGCAAAACCAAAACUAUGAGUAUGAAUAUAGAUUCAAGAGGAUGAGUUUGGCUGCAGAUUUGAGGAUCCCGGAGACUCGAUCAUCCUUCUAUGAUGGUGAGCCUAUGCCUUGGAAGAUGGACGACAAGCCCACAUCAUCAACAACUCCACCACGCUCUUCACCGGCAAAGGAGACAUAAUCAUAUGGGUAUGGGCACUCCCCUUGGCAACUGCCAAGCUUGGGGGAGGUGCCCCGGUAUCGUAUCACCAUCACACUCCUAUCUUUACCGUUUUUCUUAGUUCGAUCCUUUUAGUAAUAUCUUGAUCUAGUAGAAUAAAGUUUUUGGUAUGAUCUAGUUUUGAGUUUUGCUUUAUGAUCCCUUUAUGUAAUCGAGUCCGUGAGCUAUAUAAUAAAGAUUAGUGUUGAGUCAAGGGCUUGAUUAUCUUGCUAUGAUCUUGAGGAAAUAAAAGAAAAGAGAAAAGAAUAAAAGGAAAUAAAUAGAUCAUAUUGACCUUAUGGAGAGUAAUGACUUCACAUAGAAAGAGUAUGAUGAUUAAAAGUUGUUGAGAGUUGGAAAACAUAGCUUUGGUCAUCGUUGCAAUUAAUAGGAAGUAAUAAAGAAAGAGAGGUUUCACAUAUAAAUAUACUAUCUUGGACAUCUUUUAUGAUUGUGAGCACUCAUUAAAAUAUGACAUGCUAAAGAGUUGAUGUUGGACAAGGAAGACAACGUAAUGGGUUAUGUUUUCUUAUAUCCGAAAUAAAGUAUAUUUUCAUGGAUCAUCCAACAUGUUGAGCUUGCCUUUCUCCCUCAUGCUAGCCAAAUUCUUUGCACCAAGUAGAGAUACUACUUGUGCUUCCAAAUACCCUUAAACCCAGUUUUGCCAUGAGAGUCCACCAUAUCUACCUAUGGAUUGAGUAAGAUCCUUCAAGUAAGUUGUCAUCGGUGUAAGCAAUAAAAAAAUUGCUCUCUAAAUAUGUAUGACUUAUUAGUGUGGGAGAAAAUAAGCUUUAUACGAUCUUGUGAUGUGGAAGAAAUAAAAGCAACGGACUGCAUAAUAAAGGUCCACAUCACAAGUGGCAAUAUAAAGUGACGUUCUUUUGCAUUAAGAUUUCGUGCAUCCAACCAUGAAAGCGCAUGACAACCUCUGCUUCCCUCUGCGAAGGGCCUAUCUUUUACUUUUAUCUUCUACCUUAUGCAAGAGUCAUGGUGAUUUUCACCUUUCCUUUUUACAUUUUAUCCUUUGGCAAGCACAGUGUGUUGGAAAGAUCCUGAUAUAUAUAUCUAAUUGGAUGUAAGUUAGCAUGAACUAUUAUUGUUGACAUUACCCUUGAGGUAAAAGGUUGGGAGGCGAAACUAUAAGCCCCUAUCUUUCUCUGUGUCUGAUUAAAACUCCGUAAGUAUUGCGUGAGUGUUAGCAAUUGUGAAAGACUAAAUGAUAGUUGAGUAUGUGGACUUGCUGAAAAGCUCUGACAUAGACUCUUUCCGAUGUUAUGAUAAAUUGCAAUUGCUUCAAUGACUGAGAUUAUAGUUUGUUGGUUCUCAAUAAAGUUUCUGAUUCAUACUUGACAUUGCGAAUAGAUUAUUACUUGAGCAUAAGAAAUCAUAUGACAAUAUCCACAUAUGUUGCUGUUAUAAGAAUGAUCAUGAUGCCCUCAUGUCCGUAUUUUAUUUUAUCGACACCUCUAUCUCUAAACAUGUGGACAUAUUUAUCGUUAUCGGCUUCCGCUUGAGGACAAGCAAGGUCUAAGCUUGGGGGAGUUGAUACGUCCAUUUUGCAUCAUGCUUUUAUAUUGAUAUUUACUGCAUUAUGGGCUGUUAUUACACAUUAUGUCACAAUACUUAUGCCUAUUCUCUCUUAUUUUACAAGGUUUACACAAAGAGGGAGAAUGCCGGCAGCUGGAAUUCUGGGCUGGAAAAGGAGCAAAUAUUGGAGACCUAUUCUGCACAACUCCAAAAGUCCUGAAACUCCACGGAAGUUAUUUUUGGAAAUAAUAAAAAUACCGAGCGAAGAAAAUACCAAAGGGGACCCACACCCUGGGCACGAGGGUGGGGGCGCGCCCUACACCCCUGGGCGCGCCCCUGCCUUGUGGGCCCCCUGUUGGCCCUCCGGUGCCCAUCUUCUGCUAUAUGAAGUCUUUCAUCCGAGAAAAAAUCGUAAGCAAGAUUUCGGGACGAGACUCCGCCGCCACGAGGCGGAACCUUGGCAGAACCAAUCUAGGGCUCUAGCGGAGCUGUUCUGCUGGGGACACUUCCCUCCGGGAGGGGGAAAUCAUCGCCAUCGUCAUCACCAACGCUCCUCUCAUCGGGAGGGGGCCAAUCUCCAUCAACAUCUUCACCAGCACCAUCUCCUCUCAAACCCUAGUUCAUCUCUUGUAUCUAAUUCUUGUCUCUAAGUCUGAGAUUGGUACCUGUAGGUUGCUAGUAGUGUUGAUUACUCCUUGUAGUUGAUGCUAGUUGGUUUAUUUGGUGGAAGAUCAUAUGUUCAGAUCCUUUAUGCAUAUUAAUACCCCUCUGAUUAUGAACAUGAAUAUGCUUUGUGAGUAGUUACGUUUGUUCCUGAGGACAUGGGAGAAGUCUUGCUAUUAGUAGUCAUGUGAAUUUGGUAUUCGUUCGACAUUUUGAUGAGAUGUAUGUUGUCUUUCCUCUAGUGAUGUUAUGUGAACGUCGACUACAUGACACUUCACCAUUAUUUGGGCCUAGAGGAAGGCAUUGGGAAGUAAUAAGUAGAUGAUGGGUUGCUAGAGUGACAGAAGCUUAAACCCUAGUUUAUGCGUUGCUUCGUAAGGGGCUGAUUUGGAUCCUUAUGUUUCAUGCUAUGGUUAGGUUUACCUUAAUACUUCUUUUGUAGUUGCGGAUGCUUGCAAUAGGGGUUAAUCAUAAGUGGGAUGCUUGUCCAAGUAAGGACAGCACCCAAGCACCGGUCCACCCACAUAUCAAAUUAUCAAAGUACCGAACGCGAAUCAUAUGAACGGGAUGAAACCUAGCUUGACGAUAAUUCCCAUGUGUCCUCGGGAGCGCUUUUCUCUAUAUAAGAGUUUGUCUAGGCUUGUCCUUUGCUACAAAAAGGAUUGGGCCAUCUUGCUGCACUUUAUUUACUUUUGUUACUUGUUACUCGUUACAAAUUAUCUUAUCACAAAACUAUCUGUUACCUAUAAUUUCAGUGCUUGCAGAGAAUACCUUGCUGAAAACCGCUUAUCAUUUCCUUCUGCUCCUCGUUGGGUUCGACACUCUUACUUAUUGAAAGGACUAAGAUAGAUCCCCUAUACUUGUGGGUCAUAACUGGCCUAGAGGGUGAAAAGGGCCAGGGCUUCGGCGGGCGGCCAGCCCCCGGCAGGCGCUUUCGGCACACCGCUGGUGGUGUUGGGCAGCCCGGACAGCAGCCCCCGGCACAGCCCCCAGUGUAAGUUCAUCACUCUCCCUUCGUCAACGUGUGUUGGGGGCACGAUCCCUUGGUGCUGACCUUGCCGUGAUUGCAGGAGGAGGACAGCAACAGGAGGAGCCACAGAGGGCUACCCCCAACACGCCGCCCCCAUCGACCACGCCGCCCCGAGGGGCGUCCCCGGCAAGGGUGCCAAGCACUGAGCCCAUGCACACGGAGGAGGAGGAGGCGAACUCGGGCGCUGGUGGCUUCGCCUCGGCACCAAAUGUUGGCGGGGAGGGGACCUCUGCUUCCCAGCCCGACACGGGUAAGUCACUUGCCUUCCGUCCCUGUUCUUUUUCUGUUCUUUCUGAAUCUUGGUCUUGGCUUCGCCCCAUCCCCUUCUCGGUAUCCAGAUCCUCCUUCGGCGGAUCCGAAGGACAUAGAUACCGUCAUCGAGGAUGUCGCCAAGGACGCCGCGGCGGAGGCCGACAAGAUCGCCGCCGAGGAGGCCGCCAGGGGCGCUGCUGAAGAUGCCACCAAGGGGCCCAUCGGGGAGCCCGGCAAGGCUGCUGCCAAGGAGGCCGGCAAGGGGCCCGCCGGGGAGGCCGGCAAGGCCGCUGCCGAGGAGGAGGUGGUUUACGACCAACCUUCCUCCUCCGCUGCCUCUGGCUCAGGCAGGUACCUGAGGGUGAGCGACGACAUGUUCGUCCACCUCCCAGGGACGGCGAGCACCGGGGCGCCUGUCGAAGGGGAGGUGUUCGAUGAUGAAGUGCUCGCCACCGCCUGGCUUGAGGUCGUUGACGAGCCGAGUGCUGGUGGCGGGGGUUCCCAGGAAGAGCGGCUCCUCCAGGCCAUGGGCGCUAACUUCCAGAAGCUCCGGGCGCUUCACCGUGCUCGCCUGGACAAGGCCAAGUCCAGGAUGGCAGUGGUGGACAAGGCGGAGGCAGACCUCGAGGGGCAUGUUGCCGAGGUGCAGGCUUGGUUCCGCCAGGCCCACAAGGACCAGAAGGCCACCCAGGACGCGCUGGCUGAGCGCGACCUGGCGCUCGUCAUGAAGCAGGCCGACAUCGAGAAGGCCCAGGAACUGGCGAAGCAGGAGGCCGCUCAGGCCGAGGCCGCUCGGCACCAGCAGUAGGCUGAGCUAAACUCCCAGGAGGAGGACCUUGCCGCGCGCGAGGAGAGGCUCGCCGCAAUGCUCCGCGGCAAGGACGCGGAGGUGGAGAAACUCUUCGUGCAGCGGACCCAGGAGCUGGAGUAGAGGCACAAGGAGGCACUCAAUGCCCAGGCUCUGGUUCACGCCGGCAAGGUGAAGGAGCUGGAGGUGGAGCGGGAGGAGCUGAAGGACCAGGUCCUGAAGCUGUCCAAGGAGAAGGACACGCUCAACGGUGCCCUAGUGGAGGCGCAGGGCGCAGUCCUUGGCAAAGCUGAGCAGCUCUCCAAGGCCAACGACUCCAUCAAAGACCUGAAGCGGAAGCUGGAGGGUCUUGAGGAGACGCUCUCGGAGGCCAAGGCCCGGGAGGAGACCCUGGCCAAGGAUCUGGGGGCCGAGAAGCAGCAGCGGAAGAACGAAGCCGCCAACCACAGGGACUUUGUGGAUGGUGAGAAUCGCUGGAUCGGCCGCCUCGAAGACGUCGCCGGCAGGAUCACCACGCAGCUGGCCACCAUGGGGAUGCCAAAUGUGAGGUACACCCCGGAGCGCAACGCGAGCCCCAACGCCAAGCUGACCCUGUUCUUUGAGGGUGUCUUCGGGGCCCUGGAGCAGCUUCACUCCAGCCGGGCGGCCUCUCUGGCCGAUGAGGCCCGGAGGCUUUGCCGGGGUGCCAUGACUAAGGUCCUCACCAAGGUGGCGCACUGGAACCCCAACCUCGACUUCGAUGCCGCGCUGGAGAGCUUGCCGGAGGAUGCGGACCUCGCGACGCUCAAGGAGCCUAUCAAGCCCAUCAUCAGCCGCAUCGACGGAAUCCAGAGGGUGGAGGGCCUGCGCCGGGACUAGGCACCCCGUUUCUCAUCACCGGUGUAGGUUCAUGACCAAGACAAUUUCUAUCUUUAGUUAGAACCGCAACAACAAUGGAUGUAAUAUAACUCUGCAGUACUUUUGAUAUUAUGCACGUUACUUUCCUGUUCAAUCCCCCCUUUGUAUGUUCACCCUACGUUAAUCGGGUAGGCUUGCCGGCGCGUAACCCAGGCCACGGCGCCUUGAGGACGGAUCCCUAAUAGCCUGUCGGGUAUGCUUGCUGCCAGGCAAGCCACCUUACCGUCCUCAACACGGCCGCUUGAACUGUCGAGCUUGACUCGAGUCAGAAUCGAGAGCGUCUCUAAUUGCAGAAGGCUACCAUGCCGCUCUCGACGCGGCCGCUUGAGCUGUUGAGCGGACUCGAAACAGAGCAAGGGCGUUGCCAAUCGCGGAAGGGCCCCCUUGCGUGCAGGUUUUCCAUACAUAGGGCAGGACCUUCGAGGAUAAUAACCUUAUAUAUAAAAAGAAAUUGCUUAAAGUUUCGCACAACUUAGCUUUUCUGUCGUUGCACGGGCGUCCACCGCAUCUGUAGAUGGUGCCAUCAAGCUUGGUCGUCUUCUUCCUUGGAACGACAGCCGCGAUGAAGCCGCCGCUUCGAUCAGACCAGAUUUCCACCACUGCGCGCCCCCUACCUGGCGCGCCAAAGAUGUCGGGGGAAAUCGACACCUAUGGAAUCACUGGGAUUCCUUCUACAGUUGGCGGGCACGAGGUUGUGCAAAGAGCAAGUCUGACAGGAAGCACACGGAUCGUUUACCCAGGUUCGGGCCGCGAAGAUGCGUAAUACCCUAGUCGUGCUUUGGUGGAUGUAUUUGAGUGUUCUUGUGUUCUUGAGCUAGCUACGGGGUGUAACUUGCCCAAAAGAUCCGAAUCCUUCUCCUGGUCGCCUCGGGCCUCCUUUUAUAGGAAAAAGGGGUUGCCACAGUGGCACACAGGAGGUGGAAAGGUCUACAGUCGAUAAGCCUAUCCUCUGGUACCGUCGGACAAACGCAUUUAAUGCGCUACCGACGUGCCCCUCUCACUUUAUCGGGGACGGCAAGGAAGCACGUCCCAGCUGUCGCCGCCUCGCCCGGUUCUGACGCGCGUCCGAGCUGACGAGGCGUUGCUGCACCACGUUGGCUGGCUGCUGGGCUAGCGCGGUGGUGGAGCCUUCACGAAGGGUCGCAUGCCACCACGCAGGUGCUUGCUGAGUCGGUGUAGAGGCCGCCCGUCGCCACGCAGGUGCCUGCCCAGCUGGUUGAGCUAACAGCUGCUUGGGGACGACUGUGGAGUCUUGGCAGGAGCAGGCCUGGCUGUGGCCCCGCUGAUGCCCUCGGCAAGGGUUUUCCCGGGGGCCCGGCAAGGGUCUUGCCAUGGCGUUGCAGUCGUCCUGUAACAUCCCAAAAUUCUAAAUUUCGGAAUGUUAUAUUAAAUAAAUUAUUAUGAUUGUUUGUUUGAUUGAUUGACUGAAAGUGAGUGAAAUUUGAAACUUCUGAAGUUGGAUGAGAGGGAACGAAAUGACUUUCCCAAACUUUCAUCCUUGCAUUUUAUCUCAAUGAAUUCAAAUUCAUUUCAUCACAAAACCCCAGAGUGAAGAUGACAUGACUUCUUCCAUUUGAAAUCCAAAGGGUUUUUGAAAAGAUUUGAAUUCCAUUUGGAAAUAUUUCAAAUUCUAAAAAAAAACUUUAUGCAACUCAAUGAUUUUCAUGAGAGAAGAUAAAAUGACUUCUUCAAUUAUAUGAAAUAUGAGUUGGAAGUCAAAAAGAAUCAAAUUGAAAGUCAUUUGAAAGUAUUUUGAAACUAUCUUUCAAAUUUGGAAUUAUUUGGAUUUUAUUCAAAUUAUUUUUCUCCUAAAGAUAAAUAAAUGGAAAUAAGGGUAAAAUGAUUCCCUUCAAUGGAAAAUUAGGAUAAAAUGAUUUUGAAAUCAUUUUGGUAUUUAAAAAAAUGAUUUUUUGUUGAGUUUUAUUGCAACAGUAGCUCUGUUUGCUUUAUUUAAAUAUUUGUUGAUUUUAUUUGGACUGGAAAAUAUGUUCAUGUUUUAGGAUUUAUUUUUAUGAAAAGUUUGAUAUAUUAUAUUCAUAUAUAAUAUUUUCUUAUUUGCUCUUUAUUUCAGUUUUCCUUGUCUAUGUUUAUAAAAAAAACUGGCGAAGCCCAGCCGCACCAGGCCCAGCCUCCUCCACCACCCAACAGGGUCAUCUUCCUCCUACGAACCUUCAGAAGCAGAACGCACACACGCACCCCACCCCGUGCUCCAUCCCCUUCCCUCCUUCCCCUUUUCCAAGAAUCCUCUGAAUGGAUCCACCUCCUUCCCCUACACCUCCUUCUCCAAGUAAAAGGCCAUUAAUGCCCCGGAUUUUCUCGCCGGAGAUCCGAACUUGCCUUUUUUUUUGCUCGUCAUGGCUGCACGCAGAUGGCCAUCCCCUCGCCCUAUAAAUACCUCCCUCGUGUUUCCCUCUUUCCCCUCGCACAAAGCCCUCUCCUAUGGGAGCUUAUCCCCCUUCCUAUCCCCCAUCAUUACUCAUCGGAGUUCAUAAACUCCGGCGGCUUCUCCGUGGCCGCCCGAGGCGGGGUUGGUACUUCCUCGGCCUCCCCUGAGUUCGCUAAGAUCUCCUCUGCACCGUCCCGUGCUCUCCUUCUUCUAGGAGCCCCUACAACUUCGGAUUCGAUCUUCUUCCCCAACUCCGGCUACUACUCCGGUGAGAUCAAAGAAAUCCCGUAAUUCUUUUUUUCAGAAAAGUAGCGAUCUUAGAAAAUUCAUAUCUAGUAGUAUACAUAUCCAAAUUGAGUGGUUCUUUUUGCAUUGUGUCACAAAUUUGUUAAAGCUUCUGUUUCUGCAAUUGGAUUUCAAAUUUGAGUAGUUUAAAAUUGAAUUUGAUGAAAUUUGUUCAAAUUAGUAAUUUGGCCAUAACUUGAGUUUUAUAAAAUAUUUUUGAUCGAUUCUUUUUGCUACUGCCUUGUUAUUGUUUUGUUUAUCCAGUGGCAUAUAGUUAUUUAUUUUUAGUUUAUUUGAAAUUAGGUGUUUAGCAAAACAGUACUGUUUUAGUUAUAGUUUUGUUUUAAGUCUUUUCUUUAUUGCUUUUAUUAGUUUUAAAUUAUUUCUUUUUGUCACUCUUGAAAAUUUUGGUUUAGUUUCUGUUAGUCAACAAAAGAAAAUUUUGUUUUUGUUUUAAAAAUUUAUUUUACUUAGUUUUGUAGGAAAACUUGUUUAGGUCAUAGUUAGUGUUUCAUAAAAGCUUUUUAUUUGUUUCUUAUGCAAAUAAAUUUUUAUGAAAAAUACCUUCUGUUAAAUUAGUUGUUUUACUUUGUAUUUUCUGUUAAUUUAUUAGUUUAGUGUUUUAAUUGUUGUUAAGUUUUUACUUAGGACAAAACUGUUUUGUGUUAUGUCUUGGAGUUUUCUUUAGUAGUUUUGUUGUGUAGUUUUCCUUUGUUUUUAUUUGGUGUCCCUUGUUGAUUUGCAUUUUAUUUGUUGGUUUUAUUAUGAGUGUUAGAAUUGCUUGCUAGUAUGUUUGCUUAUAUGAAUGCUAUGUUUGACUAUAUAGAUUUUCAACGGAGUGACGAAUAGUUCUACCAAGUCAUUAUUCUGAGAGUGUUGUUAUCUUCAUCAAGUAAUACCAGGCAAGUUCACUUUGACCAUGUUUUUCAUACCUAUGUUUUAUUGCAUUUAGUGUCAUCUUUGCAACAAUCCCUCCAGUAGUGAUAUUGAAUUUUUGUAGUUGAGUAGUAUGCAUGAGGUAGGAACCCAUCACCCUGUUACCAAGCCCGGGACGUUAUUUAUUUUAAUGCUACGCUAUAGUAGACGGGGUUUGGUAUGAGUGCACGAGAGUGGUGUGAAGAAGGAGGACUCUACGUCAAUGACGACAACUCCAUGAUGGCAUAUGCGAGGACUGCAUCUUCAAGGCCUCAAGACUUCAAGACUUGAGACAAGAAUUCAAUACACACUACUGGGUGAAGGACGGUUGACGGGCACCCUGGAGAAACCAGUGGAUGGCCGGGAUGCAUGGAGAAGCGCCAUGACAUAUUGCGGAAAGCUUCACCCAGACUCAAAGAGACGGAAGAAUACUUCAUGCCCGGAAGCUUACCUGUGCAACCGCAAGUCACUAUGGGCUCUGGCUUGGUUGACCUUAGUUGUGAGUCUGGCUGGGACGGUGCUAGCAGAUGUAGAACUACGGUAGGAUUGGAUGAGCACCGGACAGUGGUCAGAGGAACUCUUUGGAAGACCAUGUUUCGGUCAUCUUGUUCUCAAACACCCUGAAGUGCGAGAACGUAAAAAGAGGGAUCGAAUCUUGCGGGUAAAGUGUACAAACCUCUGCAGAGGGUUUAAACCUAAUCAAUUAGCCGUGUCCCCGGUUACGGACAAUUUGAGCCUCUGGACUUGGAUCUAUCUCGGAACUCUCAACACCGGACUGAUAACAUAAUUGUGGGCAACUUAUGAUGAUUUGGGCCAUGAGACAUCGGUUGGCGGAACCAUGUCAUGAUAGGAAACUCCGUAGUAUAGACUCCUGAAUUUCUUUGAUGUAGGGAAAAUAAAACCAGCUUUUAUGCAAAACAAAACUCAGACACAGAGCCACAAAGCCAUAUUGCAUAUAGUAUAGUUUUAUCAUGUGUUUUCUCAUGUUGUGAUCUUGCCGGUACAUUCAAUGUACUGACCUACACGGCUGCAACGUUUCAUGUUGCAGAUACUUUCUUCCAACGAGUAAGAGUAUGGUACAUGGUUACGGUCUACACUCAACCUGCCGAUGGCGUUGAUGGGACUCCACACCCGACUAUUUGUUUCCGCUGUGACUUAUGAGGUAUAUAUCAGUUUUACGUUAUUUAUACAUGUGAUUGCACUUUGAUAUAUACAUUGAUGUACUGUGUGUGCCAGCAUACUGAUCCAGGGAUGGCACAGAAACACAGAGACUUGACCGUCUGAGGUCGGGUCGCUACACGUCCCCGGCAAGGCGCUUGCCGGGGGUCUUGUGGAUUUCCUCGGCUAGGAUCCCGCCGAGGGUCGCCGUCUUCUGGUCCUCAUCUGAUCCUGUGUAUUUAUGAUCUUGACAAAAAUCUGCAUGCCACCAUAGAGGUGCCUCCCGAGCCCUGGUUCCAAUGUAGUUGUUGACAGUGUUUGGAACCCUUGGGCUCAAGGUUGGCUCGCUCUGCUGGCGUUGGGCAAGUUGCCCCGACAAAGCUCUUGCCGGGGCCGCGGAGGUCGUCCCGGCAAGGGUCUUGCCGGGGGGUCCAUGUCGCCCCUUUGCUCUUUGUGUUUCUGGUCUUGGCGUUGCCUCGGUUGUCUUUGUGUCUUCGGCUUCCCUCCUCUGCCCUGCUUAGUGUGGCCGUGGGCGCGGCUCCGACUGUUCGUGCACAAGUAAAGGGGUAAAAAGAAGUGCCCAUACUUUUGUACAUCGACGGAUCUGUUUUGCGUGCGUUCUUGUUUGCUUAGUCAUGAUGCCUGAAAGAAAAAAUUAUGAUGUUCCUUACCCCAAUAUUUUGCUUGAAAUUGAGAAAAGUACUAAGGAAUAUAUGACUACACAAUUUGAGCACAAUAAAUAUUUUACCAAAGAACUUAAGGAGCACUCCGUUGUGCUAGAUGCUAUAACAAAACAAUUUGAUGAUAUUAGUAGAGAAUUUCGCAAUCUCCAAUCUAAGUCUGCUUUUGCUGAAAGUUUGCUAGGCAAAAUAUCCGAUGCUCAAGCUACCCUAGUAAAUCAAAUGGUCGCUAAACCAAUCUCUUUAGAAGAUAAAAAAGAUAAAGAUCUUAAAGUGAUUGGUGUUUCUUCUAUUGAUUCCUUGUUUAGUAAAAUUAAGAUUGAUGAAAAAGGGACUGAAGAAGAGUCAACUUUAGUUAGAAGGCGUCCCGAUAAUUCGGAGGGUGAAAAUCUUGUUGAGAAAAUUGAUAAAAGUGGGUUUGAAGAGGUCAAAACUUUAACUAGUGAUGUGCCCACUCUUUUGGAUUACAAAGACUUUAAUUAUGAUAGUUUCUCUUUGAUUGAUUGUAUUUCUUUGUUGCAAUCCAUGAUUAAUUCACCCCAUGCUUAUGAACAAAAUAAAGCAUUUACUAGACAUAUUGUUGAUGCUAUGAUGAAAGCUUUAGAAGAAAAGUUGGAAUUAGAAGUUUCAAUUCCUAGAAAAUUACAUGAUGAAUGGGAGCCUACUAUCAAAGUCAAGAUUAAAAAUUAUGAGUGUUUUUCUUUAUGUGACUUGGGUGCUAGUGUUUCUACAAUUCCGGAAUCUUUAUGGGAUGUGCUUGGUCUUACCGAUAUUGAAGAAUGUUCUUUAAAUUUGCACUUGGCGGAUUCUACUAUUAAAAAGCCUAUGGGAAGAAUUAAUGAUGUUCUUAUUCUUGCAAAUAGGAAUUAUGCGCCCAUAGAUUUCAUUGUUCUUGAUAUUGAUUGCAAUCCGUCUUGUCCAAUUAUUCUUGGUAGACCAUUUUUACGUACUAUUGGUGCCGUGAUUGAUAUGAAAGAAGGCAAUAUUAAAUUUCAAUUUCCACUAAGGAAGGGUAUGGAACACUUACCUAGAACAAGAAUUAGGCCACCAUAUGAAUCAAUCAUGAGGGCAUCUUAUGGAUCUCGAAACAAAGAUGACAACACUUAGAUCCUUUGCGUUAUGCCUAGCUAGGGGCGUAAAACGAUAGCGCUUGUUGGGAGGCAACCCAACUUGUAUCUUUUUGCAUUUUGGUUUUCUUGCUGUUUUCAAUAAAAUACACAAUUAUUCCUCUGUUUAGAUGUGUUUUUUGGGUUUAAAUUAGUGUUUGUGCCAAGCAAAGCCUUUGGGAUCAUGUUGGGUGAUAGUUGCUUUGAUCUUGCUGAAAAACAGAAACUUUUGCGUCCAGAGAAACAAUUUUUAAAAAUCACAGAAGCGACGAAAAAUUCUGAUUUUUUUUACAGUAGAUGGACAUACAAAUUUCUCACGUUGUCCUAAUUGUUCAGAAUUUUUGGAGUUACAGAAGUAUUCGAAAUAGCCAGAUUGCUACAGACUCUUCUGUUUUUGACAGAUUCUGUUUCUUUGCGUUGUGUGCUUGUUUUGAUGAUUCUAUGGUUUUCUUUGAAGAGUUUUUGCCAUAGAAAAGUUGGAAUACAGUAGAUAUAAUGCAAGAAUAAAAUAUGAAUGGGUUUACAACCGUACUUAUAGUAGUGAUUUGCUUUCUUAUACUAACGGAUCUCACGAAGGUUUUGUUGAGCUUUGUGUGAUUGAACUUUUCAAGUUUCGGGUGAUGUUACGAUGGAUGAAGGAAUAAGGAGUAAGAAGAGCCUAAGCUUUGGGAUGCCCAUGGCAUCCCAAGCUAUUGUCCGAAGAGAAGCAAGCAACUAAGCUUGGGGAUGCCCGAGUGGCAUCCCCUCUUUCUCAUAAUGACCAUCGGUAUUUUACUCGGAACUAUAUUUUUAUUUGUCACAUAUUAUGAGUUUUGCUUGGAGCGUCUUGUAUGAUAUGAGUCUUUGCUUGUUUUGCUUUCUAUUUUAAGUCAUGAAUCCUUGCUGGACACACCUAUUUGAGAGAGCCAAAAUUAUGCUGACUUGUUAGAAUUGCUCUCUAUGCUUCACUUAAAUCUUUAUGAGCUAUGGAAUUUCUCUAGUGCUUCACUUAUAUCUUUUUUCAGCACGGUGUGCUUUGUUAUUUUUGAAGAAAUGCUCUCAUGCUUCAGUUAGAUUUAUUUGAGGGUUAGUAAUUUUUUUAAGAAAUUCUCUCUUACUUCACUUAAAUUAUUUUGAGAGAAAGAAAUAUGAUGCUCAUGAUCUUCACUUAUAUUUGUUUGAGCUUAUUAAAAGCAACAUAUGAAACUAGUUCCAAAGUGAUAGACAUCCAAGAAGGAUAUAAUAAACACUUACAUGAAGAUCAUUGGACAAAAAUAAACUUGAUUCUUUGUAAUAGUUUUGAGAUAUGAUGAUAUGAUAUGUGAGUCAUGUUAAUGAGUAAUUAUGCUUUAGUAAGAAUAUCGGUGUUAAGGUUUGUGAUUCCCUAUGCAAGCACGAAAGUCAACAGUUAUGCAAUGAAAUUACACCCUACUUGUGGUGCAUUAUUCGGUGUUAGUUAUGCUUAAUGCUCGCUUAUGAGAUUUUUUGUUUCCUGGUUGGAUGCUUCCCAAUCUUUUGCCAGCCUUCAUUUGCACUAAGUAUGAUCACUACUUGUGCAUCCAAAAUCCUUUAAACCAGUUUUUGCCACAUGAGUCCACCAUACCUACCUAUAUGCGGUAUUCUUUUGCCGUUCUAAGCAAAUUUGUAUGUGCCAUCUCUAAUUUUCAAAAUAAACUUCUCUUUUGUGUGCUUGUACCGCUCAUGAAGCAGUAGGGGGUGGCUAAUAUAUUUCCAUGCUAGAUAUGUCAUUCUCAAGAUGAAUGUUUAUUCACUUGUCAUUGCACGAGAGUAAGGCAAAGGUAUUAGGGAUGCCCAGUCCCGAAAUGAAAAAUGAAUUUACUUUAUGUUGUAAAAUAAUAAAUUCUUUGGAAAGUGUUGGUAUGGAAGGCACCCAUGGAUACGCCUAGCCAUGGAAAGUGAAAGUAUGGUUGAAAAAGGAAUAAUUUUUUUUCUGUUUGGGAACCGCCUAUGAUAUAUCUAGCAUGGAAAGUAUUGGGAACUACUUGAUCGUUUUCGUUGACAGGAAAAGCAUGCCUCCGAAAAUGUUUUCAUCUCUAUCUUUUUUGCUUUGAGCUCUAGCACCUCUACAAAUCCCUACUUCCCUCUGCGAAGGGCCUUUCUUUUACUUUAUGCAAUUUUUAUUUUUACUUGAGUCUCCAUCUUGUCUUAUAAGCAACUAAGGGGCACUAUGAUUGUACUUGAGCAUUGGGUGUAGCUAAUAUGCGAGUGUGUUUCAUGAAUGGAUCAGUGAUUGAGCAUAAUGGGCUAGGGAUAACUUAUUUUAGCAUUGAUAUUUUGAAAGACAUGGUUGCUUGUUGAUAUGCUUGAGUAUUGAAGUCCUCAUGUCAAAACUAGACUAUUGCUUUGAACCAUAUAAGAGUCCAAAUGUCCAUGCUACAAAGAAAAGAAUAUGUGAUGAACAUGUUAGGCAGCAUUCCACAUCAAAAAUUCUGUUUUUAUCAUUUACCUACUCGAGGACGAGCAGGAAUUAAGCUUGGGGAUGCUGAUACGUAUCCAACGUAUCUAUAAUUAUUGAUUGUUCCAUGUUGUUAUAUUAUCAUUCUUGGAUGUUUUACAAUCAUUUUAUAUCAUUUUUGGUACUAACCUAUUGACAUAGUGCCCAGUGCCAGUUGUUGUUUUCUGCUUGUUUUUUACAUCGCAGGAAAUCAAUAUCAAACGGAGUUCAAAUGCAAUGAAACUUUUUGUGGAAUUUUUAUGGACCAGAAUACACCCAAUGGGCCGGAGAAGCACCUGGGGGGUGCCCUGAGGGGGGCACAACCCACCAGGGCGCGCCUGGGCUCUCAGGCGCGCCCAGGUUGGUCGUGCCCACCUCGGUGGCCUCCCGCACCGCCUCUUUGCUCUAUAAAUAUCCCAAUAUUCCAGAAACCCUAGGGGAGUCGAUGAAAAUCAAUUCCAGUUGCCGCGGGUUACAGAACCACCAGAUCCAAUAUAGACACCAUCACGGAGGGGUUCAUCAUCCUCAUUGGUGCCUCUCCGGUGAUGCGUGAGUAGUUCAUUGCAGACCUACGGGUCCGUAGUUAGUAGCUAGAUGGCUUCCUCUCUCUCUUUUGAUUCUCAAUACAAUGGUCUCUUGGAGAUCCAUAUGAUGUAACUCUUUUUGCGGUGUGUUUGUUGGGAUCCGAUGAACUUUGAGUUUAUGAUCAGAUCUAUGUUUUUAUCCAUGAAAGUUAUUUGAGUCUUCUUUGAUCUCUUAUAAAUUGCUUAUAGCCUUGUAUUUCUUCUCCGAUAUUUGGGUUUUGUUUGCACAACUUGAUCUAUUUAUCUUGCAAUGGGAAGAGGUGCUUUGUGAUGGGUUCGAUCUUACGGUGCUUGAUCCCAGUGACAGAAGGGGAACCGACACGUAUGUAUCGUUGCUAUUAAGGAUAACACGAUGGGGUCUAUUUCUACAUAAAUAGAUCUUGUCUACAUCAUGUCAUCGUUCUUAUUGCAUUACUCCAUUUUUCCAUGAACUUAAUACACUAGAUGCAUGCUAGAUAACGGUCGAUGUGUGGAGUAAUAGUAGUAGAUGCAGGCAGGAGUCGGUCUACUAAUCUUGGACGUGAUGCCUAUAUAAUGAUCAUUGCCUGGAUAUCGUCAUGAUUAUUUGAAGUUUUAUCAAUUGCCCAAGAUUAAUUCGUUUACCCACCGUUUGCUAUUUUUCUUGAGAGAAGCCACUAGUGAAAUCUACGGUCCCCGGGUCUCUUCUUUAUUAUAUUUUCCUUCACGAUCUAUUUUCAUUUGCUUUAUUUUCAUAUCUAUAUUUCCAAAAACCCAAAAAUACCUUGAUGCAAUUUUGGUUUAUUUAUUUUAUCUCGCGUUCCGCGAGAUCUAUUUAUCCAAUCUACUACAAUUAUAUCUAUCUUUUUACUUGUGGGGGAUUGACAACCCCUCUCUUAUGUCGGGUUGCAAGUAUUUGUUCUUUGUGUGCAGGAGCUGUUAACGUGGUGUUGCGUGGUUCUCCUACUGGUUCGAUAACCUUGGUCUCGUCACUGAGGGAAAUACCUACUGUUGUUGUGCUGCAUCAUCCCUUCCUCUUUGGGGAAAUACCGACGUAGUUCUAGCAGACAUCAACUUGCACGACCGUACGGUGUGGAUAAUAAUAAUAGUGCACGUGCAUUGGACUAAGCUGGAAUCUGUAAACAUUUAUUCAAAGGAGAAGACAAGGUAAUAUGGGCUCUUUGUUAGAUCAACAAUAAUGGAUAUGAGAGCCACUCAACAUUUUCAUCGUGGUUUUCUCCUCUCGACCCCCAAAGAAAAGAAAAUAAUUUCAAAGAAACACAUUGAAAUGUUUUUGGAGUUUUGUUUUUCUGAAGAUAUUAAAACAAGAAUGAGAAAAACUAUUUACACGGGAAAGCUCCCAACAUGCAAAAGAAGAACGAGAAAUAUUUUUGGGUUUUCUUUAAUACUACAACUAAACAUGGAAAGUAAACUAAGCUACAACUAAUUUUUUUGGUUUUUCUGAAGUUUUUUCAAACACACAAGAAGAAAGCAGAAAAAGAAAAUAAACUAGCAUGGUUAAUACAAUGAAAAAGUAUGAACACCGACAACCGGAAUGAGUGUGUGAACAUGAGUCUAAUGUCGGUGAGAAAUACGUACUCCACCAAGCUUAGGCUUUUGGCCUAAGUUGGUCUAGGGCCACCACUGGCCCGGAUGAUAUCCGAAAUCAUAGUUGGGGUCGUAUUGUGCUGCGGCAGCUACCGCUUGGCGAGCUGCUUCCUGGAGGCGAGCGGCCUUUCUUGUUCUCUCAUACUCGUUUGCCUCCUCUCUAGUUAUAAAAUAUCUCCCAUUUACCUGAAAGUUAAAGAAGGCAGGAGCAGGAAGGGUAAUAUGGACGGCACACUGUCUGUCAAAGAUUAGUCGGUACUGGAGGGACUGUUUGUUCCUCUCAAGAAACUAAUAGCGCACCAAAGCAUUAUAAUCAAGAAAAGCAGGUGGCAACUCUAUGUCAUCCCCCCUUAUGGGUACUCCAAGAUAAUUAGCUAAACGAGUUGCAUAAAUCCCACCAAAUAGAUCUCCAUAUUUAGCAUUAAGAUGUAACCUCCUCGCAAUAAUGGCACCCAAGUUAUACCAUUUAUCACCCAACACUGCUGAUACGUCUCCAACGUAUCUAUAAUUUUUUAUUGUUCCAUGCUAUAUUAUAUUCUGUUUUGGACAUUAAUGGGCUUUAUUAUACACUUUUAUAUUGUUUUUGGGACUAACCUAUUAACCGGAGGCCCAGCCUAGAAUUGCUGUUUUUUUUGCCUAUUUCAGAGUUUCGCAGAAAAAGAAUAUCAAACGGAGUCCAAACGGAAUGAAACCUUCGGGAAUGUGAUUUUUGGAACGAACGUGAUCCCGAGGACUUGGACCCUACGUCAAGACAUCAACCAGGAGGGCACGAGGUAGGGGGGCGCGCCUACCCCCCCAGGCGCGCCCUCCACCCUCGUGGGCCCCAUGUUGCUCCACCGACGUACUUCUUCCUCCUAUAUAUACCUACGUACCCCCAAACUACCAGAUACAGAGCCAAAAACCUAAUUCCACCGCCGCAACCUUCUGUACCCAUGAGAUCCCAUCUUGGGGCCUUUUCCGGAGCUCCGCCGGAGGGGGAAUCGAUCACGGAGGGCUUCUACAUCAACACCAUAGCCUCUCCGAUGAUGUGUGAGUAGUUUACCUCAGACCUUCGGGUCCAUAGUUAUUAGCUAGAUGGCUUAUUCUCUCUUUUUGGAUCUCAAUACAAUGUUCUCCCCCUCUCUCGUGGAGAUCUAUUCGAUGUAAUCUUCUUUUGCGGUGUGUUUGUUGAGACUGAUGAAUUGUGGGUUUAUGAUCAAGUUUAUCUAUGAACAAUAUUUGAAUCUUCUCUGAAUUCUUUUAUGUAUGAUUGGUUAUCUUUGCAAGUCUCUUCAAAUUAUCAGUUUGGUUUGGCCUACUAGAUUGAUCUUUCUUCCAAUGGGAGAAGUGCUUAGCUUUGGGUUCAAUCUUGCGGUGUCCUUUCCCAGUGACAGUAGGGGCAGCAAGGCCCGUAUUGUAUUGUUUCCAUCGAGGAUAACAAGAUGGGGUUUAUAUCAUAUUGCAUGAGUUUAUCCCUCUACAUCAUGUCAUCUUGCUUAAAGCGUUACUCCGUUCUUAUGAACUCAAUACUCUAGAUGCAUGCUGGAUAGCGGUCGAUGUGUGGAGUAAUAGUAGUAGAUGCAGGCAGGAGUCGAUCUACUUGUCUCGGACAUGAUUCCUAUAUACAUGAUCAUACCUAGAUAUUCUCAUAACUAUGCUCAAUUCUAUCAAUUGCUCAACAGUAAUUUGUUCACCCACCGUAAUACUUAUGCUCGAGAAGCCACUAGUGAAACCUAUGGCCCCCGGGUCUAUUUUCCAUCAUAUUAAUCUUCCAACACUUAGCUAUUUUUAUUGCCUUUUAUUUUACUUUGCAUCUUUAUCAUAAAAAUACCAAAAAUAUUAUCUUGUCAUAUCUAUCAGAUCUCAUUCUCGUAAGUGACCGUGAAGGGAUUGACAACCCCUUUAUCGCGUUGGUUGCGAGGAUUUAUUUUUUUGUGUAGGUGCGAGGGACUCGUGCGUGGUCUCCUACUGGAUUGAUACCUUGGUUCUCAAAAACUGAGGGCAAUACUUACGCUACUUUACUGCAUCACCCUUUCCUCUUCAAGGGAAAACCAACGCAGUGCUCAAGAGGUAGCAACCGCACACUUGAGGACACUAAGAUCCGAUGCGCAAAGGUGGCUAUGAUCAUGUUUAGCAUUAAUGCAUCUUCCUAUGAAGAGAGCAAAAUAAUGUAUGGCAGGAAAAUGAAUGCUCCCCAUGGAGGCUUGUGUAAUAAGUCUAGUCUCUCCCACCGUAAUGCUAGCAAGGAAAUAAUUGUAUUCAGCUUUAUGAGGCUCACUAAGAAUACCCCAUUGUGGAAUUUUGUAUGCAUCACAAAAAUCUUCUAGUUCCAUGGUAUAUGAUUCAUCAUAAAGAUCAAAUAAAACAGUAUGGGUAUUGCGCUUAGAUGAAAAUUCAAACCUCCGCACAAAGGAAUCAGUGAGGUAAUAGUAUUGUUGGCACUUAUCUGAUACGAAGUCCUCAAGAUCAACAUUCCGUACAUACACAUCAAAUUCAUCCUUGAAGCCUGCGUGAAUCAUAAAUUCAUCCGACGACCAUUCACAAGGCCACACUUGAGCUUCCCUUGGUGGUUCAAGGUCCGGCUCACGUAUCACGAGCCUCGGUGCUUGCUUCCUCGAAGAACCACCUUGGUACAUUUUCCUAGACAUUUUUCUUCCUCUGGAAAUUUCUGAAAUUUUUAGUGACUCAAAAUAAAAGUGAACCAAACUCAACAAAAUUGAUAGCAACUACUCCUACAAGUGUCUAGAGGCUAAAUCAUGCAUCAAAACUACUUUGGACCAUAUAAAUUUGACAUGCAAGCUCAAGAACAAGGUCACCACAACAUCAAAAAUUUGCAAUAAAUAAAGCAUUAGAACAAAAACUAAUUGUACCAUUGGAGGAGUCACAUACCGAAGAACAAUCCCCCAAAGCAGUUUUGUGAAUGGAGCUUUGAGCAAGGAGAUAAAAAAUGGCAGCAAAAUGAGCAAGAACAUGGGUUUGAGCUACGAGAUGAUUUUUCUGGAGGAAGACGAAGUGGAUGGGUACUGGAAUAAGUGGAGGGGACCCACGUGGGACCCACAAGACAGGGGGGCGCGCCUAGGGGGGUAGGGCACGCCUUCCACCCUUGUGGCCCACUGGUGGAGCCCCCUGGUGUGUUCUCAGUGCCAGAAAUUCUCAAAUAUUCUAUAAAAAUCAUACUAAUUUUUCUGGGCAUUUGGAGAACUUUUAUUUUCGGGACAUUUUUUAUUGCACGGAUAAUUCAAAAAAUAGACAGAAAAUACUAUUUUUGCUUUAUUUAAUCCAAAUAACAGAAAUUAAAAAGUGGGUACAAAAAGUUGUGCUUUCUACAUUCAUCCAUCUCAUGCUCAUCAAAAGGAAUCCAUUAACAAGGUUGAUCAAGUCUUAUUAACAAACUUCUUCCGAGUGCAUGAAACCGGAGAAUUUUCGAAUAACACUAGGUUACCUCAACGGGGAUAUGUAUGUCCCCAAUAAUAAGAAUAUCAUAUUUCUUUUUGACAGUAGGAAGAGGAAAUUCAAAACCUCCAAUAGUAAUAGUUGAAAUUUUUCCAAUAGAAUUGAUACUAUGAACUUGAGGUUGUUUCUUCGGAAAGUGUACCAUAUGCUCAUUACCAUUAACAUGAAAAGUGACAAUGCCUUUGUUGCAAUCAAUAACAGCCCCUGCAGUAUUCAAAAAGGGUCUACCAAGGAUGAUCAACAUACUGUCGUCCUCGGGAACAUCAAGAAUAAAAAAGUCCGUUAAGAUAGUAACGUUUGCAACCAGAACAGGCACAUUCUCACAAAUACCGAUGGGUAUAGCGGUUGAUUUAUCAGCCAUUAUAAAGAAAUUUCAGUAGGUGUCAACUUAUUCAAUUCAAGUCUACGAUAUAAAGAGAAAGGCAUAACACUAACACCGGCUCCAAGAUCACAUACAACAGUUUUAACAUAGUUUCUUUUAAUGGAGCAUGGUAUAGUUGGUACUCAUGGAUCUCCAAGUUUCUUUGGUAUUCCACCCUUAAAAGUAUAAUUAGCAAGCAUGGUGGAAAUUUUAGCUUCCGGUAUCUUUCUUUUAUUAGUAACAAUAUCUUUCAUAUACUUAGCAUAAGGAGGCAUUUUAAGCAUAUCGGUCAAACGCAUACGCAAGAAGAUAGGUCUAAUCAUUUCAGCAAAGCGCUCAAAAUCCUCAUCAUCCUUUUUCUUUGAUGGCUUAGGAGGAAAGGGAAUGGGUUUCUGAACCCAUGGUUCUCUUUCUUUACCAUGUUUCCUAGCAAUGAAGUCUCUCUUAUCAUAACGUUGAUUCUGUGCUUGUGGGUUAUCAAGAUCAACAACAGGUUCUAUCUCGACAUCAUUACCACUACUAGGUUGAGCAUCAACAUGAACAUCAUUAUUAACAUUAUCACUAGGUUCAUGUUCAUCACCAGAUUGUGUCUCAGCAUCAGAAAUAGAAAUAUCAUUGGGAUUCUCAUGUGUAUCUAUAACAGGUUCACUUGAAGCAUGCAAAGUCCUAUCAGUUUUCUUUUUGUUACUAUUACUAGGACUAGGUGCAUCAGUAUUAAUUCUCUGAGAAUCCUGCUCAACUCUCUUAGGAUUUCCUAAGGGAUACAAAGGUUCUAGAGUCAUAUUAUCACCUCUAGUCAUAACCCUAACAACAUUAUCAUUAUUCUUACUAUUCAACUCAUUAAGCAAAUCAUCAUGUGCCUUAAGUACUUGUUCUAGUUGAGUUGUAACCAUGGAAGCAUGUUUACUAAUAAGCUUAAGAUCAUUAAUAGUUCUACUCAUAUAAUCACCCAAGUGGUCAAGCAUGUAAGCAUUACGUUUCGAUUGUCUACUAACAUAAGCAUUGAAGUUUUCUUGUUUAACAAUAAAGUUAUCAAACUCAUCCAAGCAUUGACUAGCAGGCUUAUUAUGAGGAAUAUCACCUUCAUCAAAUCUAUAAAGAGAGUUUACCUCUAUUACCUGUGUCGGGUUAUCAAGACCAUGUAUUUCUUCAAUGGGCGGUAAAUUCUUAACAUCUUCAGCUUUAAUACAUUUUUCUUUCAUAGAUUUCUUUGCCUCUUGCAUAUCUUCAGGACAGAGAAAUAGAAUACCCCUUUUCUUUGGAGUUGGCUUAGGAGUUGGUUCAGGAAGUGUCCAAUCAUUACCAUUACUCGAUAUAUUAUUCAAUAACAAUUCAGCUUGCUCAACAGUUCUUUCCCUGAAAACACAACCAACACAACUAUCCAGGUGGUCUCUGAAAGCAUCGGUUAGUCCAUUAUAAAAGAUUUCAAGUAUUUCAUUUUUCUUGAGAAGAUGAACAGGAAAAGCAUUAAGUAAUUGGAGAAGCCUCCCCCAAUCUUGUGGGAGACUCUCUUCUUCAAUUUGCACAAAGUUAAAUAUUUCCCUUAAGGCAGCUUGUUUCUUACGAGAGGGAAAUAUUUUACAGAGAAGUAGUAAAUCAUAUCCUGGGGACUACACACACAACCAGGAGCAAGGGAAUUAAACCAUAACUUAGCAUCACCCUUUAACGAGAAAGGAAACAACUUAAGAAUAUAAUAAUAGCGAACUUUUUCCUCAUGAGCAAAUAGGGUGGCUAUAUCAUUCAAUUUAGUAAGAUGUGCCACAACAGUUUCAGAUUCAUAACCAUAGAAAGGAUCAGAUUCAACCAAAGUAAUUAACUCAGGAUCGACAGAGAAUUCAUAAUCGUUAUCAGUAACAAAGAUAGGUGAAGUAGCAAACUUAGGAUCAUAUUUCAUUCUAGCAUUCAAAGAUUUUUAUUUCAGCUUAGCUAACAGUUUCUUAAGAUCAUCUCUAUCAUUGCAAGCAAGAAAGUCUCUAGCAGUUUCUUCAUCCAGAAUAUAACCCUCAGGUACACCAAGAAAUUCAUAUCUAGGAGAGAUUCAUAUCUUCAGUUUCAAUAAUAUCAUCAGUUUCAGUAAUUUCAUUCUCUCUAACCCUAGCAAGUUGUUCAUCAAGAAAUUCACCUAGUGGCACAGUAUUAUCAAGUAGAGAAGUAGUUUCAUCAUAAGUAUCAUGCAUAGCAGAAGUGACAUCAUCAAUAACAUGCGACAUAUCAGAAUCAAUAGCAGGUGUAGGUGUCACAAGUUUACUCAAAACAGAAGGUGAAUCCAGUGCAGAGCUAGAUGUCAGGUCCUUACCUCCCCUUGUAGUUGAGGGAUAGAUCUUGGUUUUGUUGUCUUUUAGAUUCUUCAUAGUGAUCAACAGAUAUAAAUCCCAAGUGACUCAGAGAAUAGAGCUAUGCUCCUCGGCAACGGCACCAAAAAAGGUCUUGAUAACCCACAAGUAUAGGAGAUCGUAACAGUUUUCGAGGGUAGAGUAUUCAACCCAAAUUUAUUGAUUCGACACAAGGGGAUCCAAAGAAUAUUCUCAAGCAUUAGCAGCUGAGUUGUCAAUUCAACCACACCUGAAAGAUAUCUGCAGCAAAAUAUUUAGUAGCAAAGUAGUAUGGAAGUAACGGUAACGGUGACAAGAGUAACAGUAGCAGUUUUGUAGUAGUUGUAACAGUGGCAAUGGAAAAGUAAAGUAGCAAAGAUCAAUAUGUGAAAAGCUCGUAGGCCAUGGAUCAAUGAUGGAUAAUUAUGUCAGAUGGCAUUCAUCAUGCAACAGUUAUAACAUAGGGUGACACAGAACUAGCUCCAAUUCAUCAAUAUAUAGGCAUGUAUUCCGAAUAUAGUCAUACGUGCUUAUGGAAAAGAACUUGCAUGACAUCUUUUGUCCUACCCUCCCGUGGCAGCGGGGUCCUAUUGGAAACUAAGGGAUAUUAAGGCCUCCUUUUAAUAGAGUACCGGACCAAAGCAUUAGCACUUAGUGAAUACAUGAAGUCCCCAAACUACGGUCAUCAUCGAGAAGUGUCCCGACUAUUGUCGCUCCGGGGUUGCCGGAUCAUAACACGUAGUAGGUGACUAUAACUUGCAAGAUAGGAUCAAGAACACAAAUAUAUUCAUGAAAACAUAAUAGGUUCAGAUCUGAAAUCAUGGCACUCGGGCCCUAGUGACAAGCAUUAGGCAUAGCAAACUCAUAGCAACAUCAAUGUUAGAACAUAGUGGAUACUAGGGAUCAAACCCUAACAAAAUUAACUCGAUUACAUGGUAAAUCUCAUCCAACCCAUCACCAUCCAGCAAGCCUACGAUGGGAAUACUCACGCAUGGUGGUGAGAAUCAUGAAAUUGGUGAUGGAGGAUGGUUGAUGAUGACGAUGGCGACGAUUUCCCCUCUCCGGAUCCCAAAACGGACUCCAGAUCUGCCCUCCCAGGGAAGAACAGGAGGUGGCGGCGGCUCUGUAUAGUAAAACGCGAUGAAUCCUUCUCUCUGUUUUUUUCUCCCCGAACGUGAAUAUAUGGAGUUGGAGUUGAGGUCGGUGGAGGUAUGUGGGACUCACAAGACCAGAGGGCGCGCCCUCCACCCUUGUGGUCAGGUGGUGGGUCCCCUCUGGUUGAUUCUUUCGCCAAUAUUUUUUAUUGAUUCCAAAAGUAUUCUCCGUCAAGUUUCAGGUCAUUCCGAGAACUUUUAUUUCUGCACAAAAAUAACACCAUGGCAAUUCUGCUAAAAACAGUGUCAGUCCGGGUUAGUUCCAUUCAAGUCAUGCAAAUUAGAGUCCAAAACAAGGGCAAAAGAGUUUGGAAAAGUACAUACGAUGGAGACGUAUCAUUACCCUCUCGAAGAACUUGUCCUUGCAAAAGCUUGGUGGGGCCACGGCGAUCUGGAUUUGUCAAAAAAAUAGCAAGGAACAAGAACAGAAGAUUUCUCUGUGAUACGGUGGUCAAUACGUCCGGGGGGUAUAUAAAGAUUUUUUAUCUUGGGAAACAAGCAAAACGGAAGGAAAAUGGAUUCGGGGAGGUUCCCGAGGUGGGCACAACCCACCUUGGCACGCCAGGCAAGGCAGGCGCGCCCUGGUGUAUCGUUCUCACCUCCGUUGCCUUCCUGGUUGUUUCUUAUUUUCCUAAUUUUUCUAAUACUCCAAAGCUGACAGAAAAUAUUUGCGGAUUUUUUGGAGUCUGUUUACUUACCCUAUCACGUACCACCUCUUUUUCAGGUUUCAGGAGUGUUUUGGAAGGUUGCUUUUAUGUGCUCCUCCAGUGUCAUGGUUUGGAUAAUAUUGAUUCCAACAUUAAUAGGCGUACCUGAGAUAUAGUGCUUAAUUCUUUGCCCAUUGACAACCUUUGGAUUAGUGCCUUCGGCAUUAUUGAUCUUAAUGGCUCUAGAACGAUAAACCUCUUCGAUAAUAUAAGGUCCUUCCCAUUUGGAAAGAAGUUUCCCUGCAAAGAAUCUAAAACGAGAGUUGUACAAAAGAACAUGUCACCAACUUUGAAUUCCUGCUUUUGGAUUCUUUUGUCAUGCCACCUUUUAACCUUUUGAAAGUGCUAGUUAUUGACUAGAGAGGGGUGAAUAGGCGAUUUUUAUGAAAGUCUUCAAGACAGGCAAUGUCUUCGAAGAUAGACAACCAAAUACAACCUAUACAGUAUGCAGCGGAAGAUAAACUACACUAGCCAAGCCAUAGUCUAGUAAAUAGAACGAAGUAAACAUGAAGACAAAUAUCAGCUAGGUAGAGUGGAUUAGAAUAGGAAGACAAUAUGAAGCCAAUUAUGCAAUCAGAGAGAAUGUCUUCACAAAGUGAAGUCAAACAAGGCAAACAAGCAAUGACUUCACGAAGCUAAACAGUGAGUAAGGGUGAAGUGAUAGAACUAGUUGCUUGGCGAAGACAAGGAUUUGGUAGACUAGUUCCUGUAAGUGCAUCUAGUGCCCCUUAGUGAUUUUGGUGUAUUGAAGACUUAUAGGUUAAGGGACUAAUGUGUUUGUGAGUGUACACAGGUCUAUAAGUCUAUAAGGAGUUUCAUAUUUACAGAGAAAGUCGACCCCUAAAAAUGAAUGUCUUCAACUGAAGACUUUGGCUUUCUGAAGACUUUGAAAGUGAAGAAAUUGGUGUGACCGUGAAGACUUGAUAUUCAUGCGAGGAAAAUGAAGCGUGAAGACUUUUGUUUUUGUAGUUUCAUUUUCUCUUUCUUGAUUCAUAGGAAACACCGUACUAUUAAAGGAGUUGAGGAAAAACUAAGGAAAACUUUCCAAUUGAUGCUCAACUCAAAAUCCUACACCUACCAAUCCCUUCGAGUGAAGCCAUUGGAAAUCUCAUAUAGUUCAGUCAAUUUCUUCAGUGACAGAGACGAAGUUCUUCUGGUCUCUGAGGAAUUUGUUCUGACUGAGGAGUUAGGAAUUCGCCAGUGCGGAUUGCCUACAAGUGAGGAACAUGAUAGCCCUGAGGAAUUUGAACCUCAAAUUUCCGACCGUUGCUGUGCUAUGCGCCACCUGUCCCAAAAUAUCUUAUCCACCUAACGGUCAUAUCAUUGAAGGGCAUUUAUGUCUUAUCAUGUCGGGAUGCUCCCUAGGCUAUAAAUAGCCACCCCCUACAACCACUAGCUGGUUGGCUGCUCCGAGAGAAACUAACACUUGUCAUUGAGAGCAUCCCAUCCUUUGAGGACUUUGAGCGAAAAUCAUCAAGUGAGGAAAACCCAAACCCAAACACCUACAAACCCAAAGUGAUUGAGCAUCACUGAAGACAUUGUUCCUGUGUGGAUCCGACGCUUGUUACCUUUGAACAUUGUGCAUCUUCAGACAAUUAGGCGUCAUGGUCUAGAGCAUCCAAGAGGAAAUUGUGGAUCGCCGAGUGACCGAGUUUGUGAAGGUUUGGAAGUCACCUGAAGACUUACCACGAGUGAUUGGGUGAGGUCUGUGUGAUCUUAGCUCAAGGAGAAUACGGUGAGGACUGUCUGUCCGGGACUGUGUGUCCUCGGGUUUAAAUACCUAGCCGCUCCAACCAAACGUACAACUGUCACAACAGUUGGAACUGGUCUACCAAAUCAAUGUCUUCACCGAGCUAACUGGUUCUAUUUCCUCAACCCUUCCGUUUCCUCAUUACUGUGUUGUGUACUUGAUCGUUACUAUUUGAAGACUUUAACUAAAGACUUUCUCAAUUUCCUCAGCUCAAUUUCUUUAGUCAGUUUGUCUUCGGCCUGCUUAUCCUGUGCUUACACUUUCUGUACUUUAUGCUUGUUCUCAUUUCAUCAUGAUGACUGUGCUUCUGUUCUGUUAUGCUUGCAUCUGAAUACUUAUUCUGCUGCUAGUCGUUCGCGACUUAGGAAUUUCCUCAUUGUGAAAUUCCUUAGUGACGAAUUUGUAAAAAUCGCCUAUUCACCCCCUCUAGUCGACUUAACGCACUUUCAAUUGGUAUCAGAGCAAGGUACUCCCUUGUUCUGUGUGAUUUUGGUUUAACCGCCUGGUGUUUUAGUUAUGUCGACCGCAGGAAUGAAGACUGUGUCAUGCCCCAUCUUUGACGGUCAUGAUUAUCCCAAGUGGAAGGCCAUGAUGAAGAAGCGACUCAUGGCAAUGAACAGCGAGCUGUGGACCAUCACUGAGAUUGGUCUUACCGAUCUGUGCAAGAUGGCGGAGGCUGAUGACAUUCGCGAGUACACUCUUCUCAACCUCACGGGGAAGGACAUCAUCUGCUCAUGUCUGUCUCAAAAUCAGUUCAGGAACAUUAUGCAUCUCAGCCACGCGAAGCUUAUCUGGGACCGACUCUCUGAGGUCUAUGAAGGUCAUCGAACUCAUCGUGAUCCCUGGUUUGAGGAUUUCAUGGAAUUGCGCAAGGCUAUGACUUUCGAUCCAGAAUCAUCAUCCUCUGCACCAUGCCUUAUGGCAAAAGGUGCCAAGGUAACUGAAUGCUACCUAUCUGAGUCCAGUGAUGAUGAAUCUGGUGAUGAAUUUGGACCCAGUUAUACCAAACUUGCUUCGCUUGCCACUAAACAACAAAGAGCUUUGGAAAAAGUUCAAAAAAUGCUAGACGAGAGCGAUGAUAUGUUGGGUGAAGAAAUGGAUCGCACUAAGACUUUGACUAAAAAUCUUCAGAGACUUCAGUCCAAGUUUGAUAACCUUCAGAGUCAUCAUAACAAUCUCUUAUCUGAUCAUGAGAAGCUUUCUUAUGAAUUUCUUCAGAGAAAGCAAGAUCUUGAGAAGCUAAGGGUGAGUUAUGAAGAUCUUCAGAAGGAGUGAGAUUCAUUACUUCCUCAACAGAUCAGAGCUGCUCAGGAAGAAUUCAUUCCUCCAUGUUUGAAGUGCAUUGAACAUGAAUCUGCUAAUUCUUCACCUGAAAGUUCAAAUGCUUCUAUUGCUGCGAAUUCUUCACCUGUCUCUGCUAUCACUAAUUCCUCAUCUAAGGAUGUUGCUAGUAUCACUGACAAUGCAGGGCUGAAGGAAUUGUAUGUGACAUGCAUGUACAAAAGCCUUAAAAGGCAUCAGGCACUUUGUGAUGUGCUUCAAAAGCAGAUCCUCAAUAGGAACCCUAGGAAAGAGGGUAUUGCCUUUGAGAGGAAACUCAAUGCUGAUGGAACAUACUGGAAGCGUUAGCAGUAUCCCAAAAGCUCAUGGGUUGCUGCAAAGGGACCUCCAGUAGAUCCAUCCACUCUAUCUGGCUUUACAUGUGAAUCUUGAUACUCUUCUGAUGAGUCAUUUGACUCCAACUAUAAACUGUUCAAAAAUCAGAAUGGUGAAGUAUUUGCUAGAUAUGUUGGCACUAACUGCAGAAACGGUCCCCCCAUGAAGAAAAUCUGGGUUCCCAAAAGGUGCCUUGAAAGUCUUCAGGUGAAUGUCAUCAUGACACCACGUGUGAAGAAUAGGAACCCCAGAUCAAAUUCUUCAUAUGGACCAAAGUCUUCAUAUGGAUCCAAGUCCUCAUAUGGAUCAAAGUCCUCAUAUGAACAUCAUCGUGCUAACACUUCUGUUUCGCAGGGAAAGACUAAGGGUUAUGAAUAUGUGCAUUAUUCUUCUAAUCAUUAUGUUCAUAAGUCCUCGAAGAAUUUAUUUGCUUAUUCAUAUGCUUACCCUAACCCCUCUUAUGUGAAAUGAAGUGGAUUGGCAUCUAUGCCACCUGUCUCUUAUGGAGCUCGCAGAAUGAUGAACUCUUUGCCACCCCUCCAGAUGUGGGUGGUGAAGAAAAAGAACUAAUAUCUUAUGCAGGGUCAGGUCUCCAGACGAACUUAAAUGUCUGAAGAAUUUGCUGGAGACCUGAAUUUGCUUGAAAGGACGCAAGCUAAUCAUGAAGAAAUGAAUUUUCAUUUCUCACGUCCUCAUACUGCUUUACCUGUUCUCUUACUUGAUGAAAUUGAUCUGAUGAAUUUGAUGUCAUAUUCUUCACUGAUGAAGUAUAUGAGUUCGUAAGCUGCACUAAUUCAUUUGCAGGAUGAUCAACCCAAAGGCACUAAGUGGGUCCUCGAUAGUGGAUGUACAAAUCACAUGACUGGUGACAAGAACUUAUUGAUGGACGCUCCCUUGUCUCCAUCGCAUCUGAAGCAUAUCACCUACGCUGACAAAGGAAAAAGCAAGGUAUUGGUUCUAGGUAAGGUUGCGAUCUCAAAGGAUCGACACACGGACAAAGUCGUGCUUGUCGAGUCCUUAGGAUUCAACCUCAUGUCAGUCUCAAUGCUUUGUGAUCUUGAUAUGGUUGUUAUCUUUGGCAAGUAUCGCUGUGUUGUGAUCAUGGAAGCUGCCAUUCCAAAGUCUUCGAAGGCUUUAGGAGAGGAUAUUUGUAUAUUGUUGAUUUAUCUACAUGACCACAACCUGCCACAUGUCUACUUGCAAAAGCUUCAAAAGGCUGGCUAUGGCAUCGAUGACUUGGUCAUGCUGGCAUGAGGAACUUGCACACUCUCGCGAAGAAAAAGCAUGUCAUAGGCAUCAAGGAUGUCAAAUUCCUCAAGGAUCACCUGUGUGGAGCCUGUGAAGCUGGAAAGAUGACCAAGGCCAAGCAUCCCGCAAAGACUAUCAUGACCAUCACUCGUCCAUUUGAAUUGUUUCACUAUUCUGCAUUCACCAAUGAAGCAUCUCUAUAUGGCUUUGUUAUUGUUGAUGAUUAUUCUCGUUACACAUGGGUGCAUAUAGUCACUUACAAACGUGAAGUGCAGGAAGUCUUCAAACAAUUUUCCUCGAGGGCUUCAACCAACUUUGGUGUGAAGAUCAAGCACAUCAGAAGUGACAAUGGAAGUGAGUUCAAGAAUACUGGUCUUGAUGAUUAUCUUGAUGAACUUGAUAUUACUCAUGAGUUAUCUGCUCCUUAUACUCCUCAGCAGAAUGGCGUCGUGGAGCGCAAGAACCGGACUCUUGUUGAGAUGGCUCGCACUAUGCUUGAUGAAUACAAGACGCCUCGUCAUUUCUGGAUUGAGGCAAUUGAUACUGCGUGCCACAUCAUCAACAGGGUAUAUCUUCACAAAUUCUUCAAAAAGACCGCAUAUGAACUCCUCACUGACAAGAAACCCAAUAGAACACCUACCUCCUGUGCUAGAUGAAAAAUCACCUAAGGAAACCAUCAAGUUCAAGGCUACUGAGGAUGUCAUUCCUACUGAAGAAUCUGUUGAAGAAGUCAUUCCAGAUCGUGAAGAUCAUCAUGCUGGUGCAGCUGAAGAAAAUGGCUCUAAGGAAAAUGCUGAGCAAAUUCCUCGUCGUCAACCAGCUCAUCCUCGCGUUGCAAAUGAAGUGCAGAUUGAGAAAAUCAUCAGCGACAUCAACGCACCAGGUCCUCUCACAUGCUCAAAAGCUUCACAUUUCUCUAACUUUUGUGGGCACUUUGCUUUCGUCUCUAUCGCAGAACCCACUAAGGUAGACGAGGCAUUUCUGGAGCCUGAGUGGAUUCAAGCUAUGCAAGAGGAAUUACAUCAGUUCAAGCUCAACAAUGUCUGGGAACUUGUCAAGCGACCAGACCCUCGCAAGCACAAUAUCAUCGGCACAAAAUGGAUCUACCGCAACAAGCAAGAUGAGAAUGGCCUUGUGGUGAGGAAUAAGGCAUGGCUUGUAGCUCAAGGCUAGACACAGGUUGAAGGAAUUGAUUUUGAUGAAACUUUUGCACCUGUUGCUAGACUUGAGGCUAUUCGCAUAUUGCUUGCUUAUGCUAACCAUCAUAAUAUCAUCUUAUAUCAAAUGGAUGUGAAAAGUGCAUUCCUCAAUGGUAAGCUUGAGGAAGAAGUAUAUGUUGCUCAACCCCCAGGUUUUGAAGAUCCAAAGCAUCCUGACAAAGUAUUCAGACUCAACAAGGCCCUCUAUGGCCUCAAGGAGGCCCCUCGGGCAUGGUAUGAUACUUUGAAGGAAUUCCUCAUGAAGAAAGGCUUCAAACCCGGUUCACUUGACCCAACUCUUUUCACCAAAACUUAUGAUGAUGAAUUAUUCGUAUGCCAAAUAUAUGUUGAUGAUAUCAUCUUUGGCUGUACUAACCAACGUUAAAGUGAUGAAUUUGCCUAUAUUAUGAGUGAAGAAUACCAAAUGUCAAUGAUGGGAGAAUUGAAAUUCUUCUUAGGUCUUCAGAUACGUCAACAACGCAACGACAUCUUCAUAUCUCAGGAGAAAUACCUCAAGGAUGUAUUGAGGAAAUUCGGCAUGCAAAAUUGCAAAGGAGUCAAAAUCCCUAUGCCCACAAAUGGCCAUCUAUGCACUGAUGAAAAUGGUAUUGACUUUGAUCAAAAGUUAUACCGCUCCAUGAUUGGCUCUUUAUUGUAUUUGUGUGCAUCUAGGCGAGAUAUUAUGCUUAGUGUUUGCAUGUGUGUCCGCUUUCAAGCUACACCGAAGGAAUCACACCAUAAGGCUGUGAAGCAUAUUCUUCGAUAACUAACUCACACUCCAACACUUGGAUUAUGGUAUCCCAAGGGCUCGGCUUUUGAUCUCAUUGGAUAUUCAGACUCUGACUAUGCUGGUGAUCGUGUGGACCGCAAGUCAACAUCAGGCACAUGCCAUUUCCUCGGACGACCUUGGUAUGUUGGUCCUCCAAGAAAUAGAACUGCGUGUCACUAUCAACUGCUGAAGCUGAGUACAUUGUUGCUGGUUCGUGUUGUGCUCAAUUGCUAUGGAUGAAGCAAACCCUCAAGGACUAUGGCAUCAAUGUGAAGAAUGUGCCUCUCUACUAUGACAAUGAGAGUGCCAUCAAGAUUGCUCAUAACCCAGUUCAGCACUCGAAGACAAAGCACAUUCAGAUUCGUCAUCAUUUUCUUCAUGAUCAUGUGUUGAAGGGCGACAUCUCUAUCGAGCACAUGAAGACUGAAGAACAGCUAGCCGAUAUCUUCACAAAGCCCUUGGAUGAGAAGAGAUUUAGCAAGUUGCGGUGUGAGCUAAAUAUCUUAGAAUCUUCGAAUAUCGUUUGAAAAGGACACACAUCCUAACACUUAUGCAAAAUUGAUGACUUAGAUGUGCAUCACACGAAGUAACAUUUUUCUUCAAUCACUGAAGACAAACCCUCUAAGUGUGAAUAAAUUAAUGAAGAAUUUGAUUCUCAGAGUCCUAAGACAAUUGUAUGUGGUGUCUGAAAUCAUCAUUCUUAUACGGUGGGUGAUGCCACCAACAAAAGUUGAAAAUAUUCUAUUUGAGUUUUUCUUCAGUUUUUGAAAUUCCUCAGUUGCUCAAUUUCUUCAACUUUGCAUUGUCUUCACUCUUUCUAUCGUUUUUCUUCAUUGACUAUAUAUGAGUUUAAGUCCUCUACAUCAUUCACUUAUUGCUAUUACUUCAAGUUGCUAUUUCUGCUAAGUGAAUGUGAUCGGACCCUUCCCCCUCUAUGCUAAACUCAACCUAGCCUGUUCUCAAAUUCUUCAUGUGCGUUCUAUUUGAAAUCCGUUCAAAAUCUUCACUGUGUCCUUGUCAGCUGAAGAAUUUGCGAACAAAGCGUUAAAAUAUUCUAAUCUAAAUUUUUGGCUUUUGCCGCUCAAACCGUUCCACCUCCCACGAUAGAAUUUAUCUAUUCACCCACGAUCUCACACGAUCUCCACCGCUCUGUACGUGGGUGACACAUGUCGCUAGGAUGAGAAGAGUCAGGGGCACGUUCGUCCAUUUUCCUCUGGCGAGCGGUUUUUCACCUCGGCUAUAUAUACCCCUUCCCUUCUCAGACUGCAUUUACCCUGCUCGACCUCACUUCCCCUCGCCCGAGCUUCCCGACCUAGCGCUGCCACUACUUCCAUCAUCGCUGGUGAGGAAGAGCUUCACUGCCUCGACCUCGUCGCCGUCGUACUCACGCCGGUCGCGGAUUUCUUCACUCCACCGCCGUCGUAGCUGUCUUCCUCUGCCAAGUUAGGGCGUGGAAGAUCUGGACUGACGAACUUCCAAUCUACUACUCCUAGUUCAUCGUGUUCUUCAUCAAGGGUAAUUAAAAGUUACUUUUACUGCCCUUGUUGAUUCUGAUGAUCUCUACAAAAUCUUCAAAAGGUGUUUAUUCUUCAACUUCCACACUUUAAACACCUCACACAAGCAUCUGUUCUUGAUCCAUUUGUCUUAAGCAACAUUUUUCUUCAAGAUUCCUCAAUUGUGUGGAUUUUCAAUCUAUAUAACUCUGGAACCUAAGUCAAAAAGCGCUUAGUGAAAUUCCUCAAGACGCCACUGGUCAAAUUCCUCAAACUUGUUCUUUUUGCAAAAACUUCUGAGAACGCAUAUGACCUCUCCAAAUUCUUCGCACCUAUACUCUGUUCACAGGUACUCAUGUACGCUACUGAAUCACUAGGUUCUCAUCAACUUAACUCAUUUGCAGCGUUCCUCGAAGAUAAAUUGCACACCUCUUCAAAGAACUUAAUUGUUCAAAAUCCUCAGCUGAAGAAUAUGGCAGAUGGCAAGAAGCCUCAGAAGGGAGCACUACAAAAAAAGACACAUCCGUGACAUUUUGGGCCGAACGAAUUUUUUUUCUGUCGUACUUAUGACACUUCUAUGACGAUAAUUGUGACAAAACCCGGUAUCAUCAUAGAUGUGGUCGGGUCCUACUUCUAUGACAAAAAAUCAUGACAGAAAAUGGGCUUUUCGUCCUAGGCGGGCCGGAGACGCAGUGCAUGACAUUCUUUGGGCCGUCCAUGAUGGAAAAACCGUGGUAGAAGCGAGGGCGAGGAAAAUAUCGGGGUCUUCCCGGUUACGGUGGGUGGUCAGGGCCGAGCGAUGCGCGUUUCUCUCAUACACGCACGCGCGUGGGUGCGAGGCGUUGGGAUCUAACUGAACCCGAGUGAGGCGUUGGGCUCUAACUGAACCCGAGCGAUUGCACUGCAGGCUACGCGUUACUGAACCCGAGCGAUCGAUCGAUGGCUGUUAACUGAACCCGAUCGAGCGAUUCCUUCACUACUGCUGCUAACUGAAGCCGAUCGAUGUUGCCUCUGGAUGAACAGUGAGCNNNNNNNNNNNNNNNNNNNNNNNNNNNNNNNNNNNNNNNNNNNNNNNNNNNNNNNNNNNNNNNNNNNNNNNNNNNNNNNNNNNNNNNNNNNNNNNNNNNNNNNNNNNNNNNNNNNNNNNNNNNNNNNNNNNNNNNNNNNNNNNNNNNNNNNNNNNNNNNNNNNNNNNNNNNNNNNNNNNNNNNNNNNNNNNNNNNNNNNNNNNNNNNNNNNNNNNNNNNNNNNNNNNNNNNNNNNNNNNNNNNNNNNNNNNNNNNNNNNNNNNNNNNNNNNNNNNNNNNNNNNNNNNNNNNNNNNNNNNNNNNNNNNNNNNNNNNNNNNNNNNNNNNNNNNNNNNNNNNNNNNNNNNNNNNNNNNNNNNNNNNNNNNNNNNNNNNNNNNNNNNNNNNNNNNNNNNNNNNNCAGGACCCCGUGGUGUUGCCUCUGGAUGAACAGGACCCCGAUCCAUCGAGCCGGUUGGGGCUGGAUGAACAGGACCCCAUGGAGGGAUGAACAGGACCACCCUGUGGAGGGGUGGAUGAAAAAUAGAUGGUGGAGGGCUGGAUGAACAGUAGCCCGUGGAGGGGUGGUUGACCAGGAGCCCGUGGAGAGGGCUGGUUGAACAGUAGCCGGUGGAGUAGCGCGCGGUGGAGGCUGGAUGAACAGGAGCCCGUGGAUGAACAGUCGCAGGUGGAGGCUGGAGGAGGUCGACGGUGGAUGAACAGUAGCCCGUGGAGGCUGGAGGGGGUCAACGGUGGAGAUGAACAGUAUCCCAUGGAGUCCCAUUUUGCGGUACGCCACACCCCUCCCGAUCAACAGGACCCCCGUUUCGACUGUAGGAGGUCCGUUUCCUCCGUUUUGCGGUACGCCAGACCCCUCCCGAUGAACAGGAUCCCGUUUCGACCGUGGCCGGUCGAACACAAGGCCGUUUCCUCCGUUCUAUGGUAUGCCAGGCCUUGUUUCCAUCGGCUGUUCGGUCCAAGCCCUCCUGAUGAACACGACGACGCAUUCCGUUCCGACCCAGCCGGUUGCCUCCCCAUGAACACGACGAUGACGAUGUUUCUCCGUUCCAUCCCAGCCAUGUACAUGAGCCCUGGCCGUACGUAUGCGCGAGUAGGCGUUCGAGACCCUGCCCGUAUGUACGUACAUGGCCGUAUUUUCUUUCUUGCACACUGGCCGCUGUACGUACAUGUACAUGCUACGUGCGCGCCUCUACUAUGACACAUGCGCGCCUCUACAUCGACCAGUAUGUACGUACACGUUCGCAACCAGAAUGACAACGCUACGUACGCUUCGACCAGGUGGGUCCCGACUGUCAGGCACUUCCUUGCGUGCGAAGAUGUAGCUGGUGGGUCCCAACAGUCAGGGGGGCGAAUCGUUUUUUUACCCGGACGGACUUCCUUGCGUGCGAAGAUGUAGCUGGUGGGUCCCAGCAGUCAGGGGGAAAUGUUUUUUUCACAAAAUACGGUGGCCCAUCCGGUGGCCCGUCCGGUGGGUCCCCGCUGUCAGGUGGAGGAAUAAUUAUUUUGCGCGUAAUAAGGAGGCACUUCCUUGCUGCGGCCGUGGACCCAGCUGUCAGCUUGUCCACGUACAGUACUCUUCCGAUGGAAGUUGUUCCUUGACCAUGCUGACCACGCCGCGCUGAGAGCACCAGGGCGGUGGACGACAGCGAGGCCUAGGAAGGGGACGACGCGGAGCCGGGGAUGACGCGGUAGUGGAAGCCCGUGCGGAGAGGAGUACGAGGGUUCACUGGUUCGGCUGCGGUGUGAGGCUGCCGUCGCCACAGGGCCUGGCCAGUGGUGGGAAUAGUAGGGGGCGGUGAGGCCUCCGCGGCAGCACAACCGGCCAUGGGAGGCAGGAGCAUGCGACACGACCGGCGUUGCUUUGGGCGGCUGGAGCAAGAAGACCAGAGGUUGAAGAAGCACUACGGCCGUUGGAUAGACAUCGUACGGUCACUGGAGCUAGAAUCGUUCAUAUUGACUAAGUUGACAAAGCACUCCGUCCCCGUCAACUUAGUAGGCCCACAAGUCAGCCACCCACCAAGGUGGGUGCCAACUAGCAGGGGGAGUAUUCAUUUUUUUGUGCGUAAUAAGGAGGCACUUCCGGUGGGUCCGAGCUGACAGUGGGGGGAACGUUUUUUUCACGAAAUACGGUGGCCCGUCUGGUGGGUCCCAGCAGUCAGGGGGAAAACGUUUUUUUCGCCAAAUACGGUGGCCCGUCCGGUGGGUCCCUGCUGUCAGGUGGAGGAAUAAUUAUUUUCCGCAUAAUAAGGAGGCACUUCCUUGCGGCUGCCGUGGACCCAGCUGUCAGCUUCUCCACGUACAGUACUCUUCCGAUGGAAGUCGUUCCUUGACCACGUUGACCACGCCGCGCUGAGAGCACCAGGGCGGUGGACGACGGCGAGGCCUAGGAAGGGGACGACGCGGAGCCGGGGAAGACGCGGUAGUGGAUGCCCACGCGUAGAGGAGUAUGAGGGUUCACUGGUUCGCUGCGGUGUGAGGUUGCUGUCGCCGCAGAAUAACAUGGGGUGUGGGUGAGUAGAGGGAUGGCCUGGCCAGCGGUGGGAGUAGUAGGGGCGGUGAGGCCUCCGCCGCAUCGCAGCCGGCCACGGGAGGCAGGAGCACGAGGCACGACCGGCGCUGGUUUGGGCGGCUGGAGCAAGAAGACCAGAGGUUGAAGAAGCACUACGGCCGUUGGAUGGACAUCGUAUGGUCACUGGAGCUAGAAUCGUGCAUAUUGACUAAGUUGACAAAGCCCUCCGUCUCCGUCAACUUAGUAGGCCCACAAGUCAGCCUGCCACUAUACUGGGUCCUAGCUAGCAGCGGGAGUAUUCAUUUUUUGUGCGUAAUAAGGAGGCACUUCCUUGAGUGCGAAGAUAUAGCUGGUGGGUCCGAGCUGUCAGCGGCGAUAACGCUUUUUUCGCGAAAUACAGAGGCCCUUUCGGUGGGUCCCAGAUGUCAGGUGGAGGAAUCAUUACUUUGCGCGUAAUAAGGAGGCAUUUCCUUGCGUGCGGCCGUGGACCCAGCUGUCAGCCUCUCCACGUACAGUCCACUUCAGAUGCAUGUCAGUCGUUGACCAUGUUGACCAGGCCGCGCCGAGAGUACCAGGGCGGUGGACGACGGUGAGGCCUAGGAAGGGAACGACACGGAGGCAGGGAAGACUCGGCAGUUGUUUCCCACGCGAAGGGGAGUACGACUGUACGAGGGUUUACUGGUUCGUCUGCCGUCGCCGGAGAAUAACAGCAGGUGUGGGUGAGUAGAGGGAUGGCUAGGCCAGGGUGGGAGUACGGUGGGGCGGUGAGGCCUACUCGGCAGCACAGCCGACCGCGGGGAGGAGGGAGCAGGCAGUCCCGCCGACGCUUGUUUGAGCGGCUGGAGCAGGAAGAGCAGAGAUUGAAGAAGCACGAUGGCCGUUGGAUGGACAUCCAAUAGUCACUGCUUGUGCGUCAACCUUUUUUUAGGAAAGCCUCAAAUCUGUGGAAAACAGCAUACAGCCCAUCUGCCACUAUUUCUAAUAAUUUACAGCCCAUUUGCUAAUUCUUAAGGUUUUUUUGGAGCCCAUAUUCUUUUUGUUAGCAUUACAGCCCAUAUUGUGGCCACGGUUAAAAAAUUAUACGAAAUUUUGCAUAUUUCGGUGCGGUCCGAACUGUUUUUAAUCCCGAAAUUUCAAGUCACAUUCAAACUGAUUUAAAAAAAGAAAUGUAUAUCAAUAUAAAAUCCAACAAAUUGUCCACGCAUAAAAAUUAAUGCAAUUUAAAAUCUCGAAAUGAAAAAAAGAAAUUUGAAACUAAGUGCCGGUUUGAUGUGUUUUAAAAAUGUACAGCCCAUUUCUCAUUACUGAUAGGCCAUUUUCUCGACCAGCCGAAUGAAGCUCUCCUCGUCUUGAAAGAUUUGCAGCCCAACAUGCCUGACAAAGCGACUUACUUGGCAAAUCACAAAAAAACUAGGCUAGCCAUUUUCAGAAAGAAAGAAAAACUACUGGGCUGGUCUGUGGUAAACCUAAAAGAGAAGGCUGUCUAGACAGGCCAGAGUGCCCCGCACAGCCCAGUUGACACCCUGCUUCUGUCUCAAAAACAAAUUAGGUAAAUGCCAGUCCAAUUAUGGCGAUUCAUAAAAAUGCCACUACAAUUUCCAAACUUUGAAAAAUGCCACUGCAAUUUUUGCAAACUUUGGAAAACGCCACUGCAAUUUGCAAACUUUGAAAAACGCCACUCCAUACUUCGAAAAAUGCCACUGGAAAUGGCAUGAAAUGGCAUUUUUCAAAGUUUGGAAAUUGCAGUGGCAUUUCUCAGAAACACCAGAUUUGGAGUGGCAUUUGUCAAAUUAACCCAAAACAAAAAUAACUGGGCGAGCUGCUGGGUCCCUGGUGUCAGCCGCUCGUUGUGCAAUUCUCUCGUUUAUUGACUACGUUGACAAUGGCAUGGGACCAAGAUGUUAGAAAUCCAUUAGGAGGAGCCAUUUUUUUAUUGGCUUGAAAUAAGGAGGCACUUUCUUGUGUACUGCCAUGACCUUGGCGGGUCACUGCUAUCAUCCUCUCCACAUAUAAUCAUCUCCUGAUUGUGUACGCGUCAACUUGGUAGGCCCACAAGUCAGCCUCUAAACCCGUGGAGGACAAAUACAACCCAUUUAAAAAAAUAACAGCCCAUUCCAUACGUUCAAACGGAAAGUUCAACAUUCAGAGCAAAGUAACAGGUCUGAUCCACAUAUAGAGUACUGAACUUCCACGUUAACAACCAUCAUAGCCAAGUUAACUAUCUACUCCCACUAAUACUCUAGUAGCGUACAAGUACUAACUUACUCUUAGCUAACUAGACGAUGCCGGCCGCCAUCUGCGGUACACGCUAAACGCCGGCACGGGCGUCCUCCGCCUCGCCUCGGACUUGCCAUAGGUGCGACAGGGCGCGGUGCUCGCGCGCGUUGGCCCUUUCCAUGCCGGCGUGGUCCACCGAAGCUUCGGCUUCUAAGCGGGAAACCCACUUGACGAGCUGGUAGUAAAAAUUAGCGUCGCGAACGCGUGCGUGCCCGACAGCCUCCAGGGCUAUUUGCCGGGCGCCGGCCUCCACGUAGUCGGCCCAGUUGCGGGUGCUCUGCUCGCGACUCAGAGCGUCGGUGUGCUGCUGCUCCAUGUCCCGCUGGCGGCGCAAAUCGGCGAUACGCUGCUCCUCCGCCAAGCGGUCGCGCUCCAACAACUCCUGCUCCUCCGCCAGGCGGUCGCGCUCCAACAAGUCCUCGAUCUCCGCAUUGCCAUCUAAAGACCGAUACAAUGCCUCCUCCCUCCGUCUGCCUUCCAGUGAAAAACCGAACACUAGUUCCGGCGGUGACUGCCUCCGGUGUCGCCUAUCGCGGACGGGCGGGGGCAUGGCGGACGUGGCGAGAGCGAGGAUAAGUGGCGAGCGAUGUCGGGCCGGUGGGGGCUUAUGAGGAUAGGGCAAGUUGGGUGAUGGUGCCACCGGAGAAGCCCGGGAAACAGUAAUUAUAGGCGGAAGGUAGGCGAACUAGCGUGUCGCGGGAAACGUGACGGUCAUCGCGGUCAUCGGAAUUCAAUGCAUAAGCGGGCAUGGCUUAGCACGCCAGCUUGCCAUGGAAAACUAGAAAAACUGAAAUUAUGACUGUGCCGUCCCGUCCCGUCAGUGGUGCGUCCCGUCCAUGCUGGGUCGCACGCCAGCAUGACGGUCAAAUGAGUGCACUCGAAUCAUCUCCCUCCAUGUCAAUAAUGAUUCCACGAAUUUAAAAGGCCCGCAACAAUUAAAGCGCAUCUUUUUUCGCAUCAGUUAGCUGCCUUAAUUACGGCCGGCUGCAUGCAGGCACUCAAAAUCGCUCGCAGCCAGUAUGCAGAGCAGCAUGCAACGAGUCGCAGCCGAGGGCAUUACUUGAUGAACUUUAGCUGGGAGAUAAGGCAUUUGCGAACGUUUUCACUGGCAGUUUCUUCAGAUUCGCAUGGCAUUUUCUUCAGAGCAGCUUGUCAGUUUCUUCAGAGGUAGGCAUUUUUAUUCAAAAAACUGCCACUUCGGAUCUUGCAUCGCAACUAAAACUGCCAGGAGCACAUUAGUAGGCUAGCUAGUGAUCGAUUAGUAACUUGUAAACACUGAACGAAAAGAAAUAAGGAACUGUUAAUGCAUCUCAAUGAUUCACAGAUCAUAUACAAAUAUGUAGCUCCAAAAGCAAAGAUCAGCCACUUCGGAUCUUGCGUCGACACUAAAACCAACUAGUAUGAUUCCCAUACAUAAGAUCAACAUGUUAAUGCAUCUCAAUGAUUCACAUAUCACAUACAAAUAUGUGGCUCCAAAAGCAAAGAUCUAGAAAAAACAUCUGUUCUGCCUACUAACAUGGAUGCUUAUCUUGGCACAUUCAGUACAGACUGAAAGACAAAUUUGUUUGUGAAGUCUACAAUUCCUCUUGCAAAUGUAAGUGGUUUCACCAAUAGCUGGAACCAUGAGAAUGAACCACACAUGAUGGAGGAACAUCCACUGCAAUAUGAUUUGGUCUUCUCUCGAUCACAUGGCGAGACUAUUUUCGGAAUACAAACUUUAACUUAGGCAAAAUGAUGCCCCUUGUAUAAUCAUACCAAAGCAAUGAAGCACCUAGUGUUGGCCAAUAAAUAGUACAGUACUACUUUUCUGCAGUCCAUGAAGUGAUUAUCCAAUCUUUCUGUGUCUAUUUUCAAAUGGCACUGCAUGCAAUGACUAUACUAUUCUCUUGUGCAGUUCAACCAAAACUGCGGUCACUUUGUGUGUUUGCCAAAUAGCAACGGGCAGACAUCUCUGUCUGCACAAAUAUCAAGCAGCUAGUAAACAUAUACCCCACCUUGUAUUUUCGGUUUAAACAUGUCUCUUCCGCUUAGCAUCUGUCAUGUUUUGCACUGGACAAUUUGAUACAGUCAUGUUUUGCCCUAGACAAUUUCAUACUGAAUUGAUUUGCUGGUUCAGAGCAGAAAUAUAGCGCCUAUUCUUCAUCAGACCAAGGAUAUCCAUGUUCGCAGUGAUGGAAGAGGUGAAAUCGAUACAACCGAAAUUGAGCAUCCAAUCAUUGAAUCCUAUCCUGCACCUCCAAUGUAGGUCCACCCUGCCAAUAAAUUCACAUGCAAACCACUAGUAUUACUAUCUAAUGAUAGUACAAAAAGAGUAGCAAGAUAGUAGCAAACCAUGUACCUUCGUAAUGAACAGCUCAUAGUGCCACCAAUUGGAUAUAAAGGUUUGGAAGAAAACAUGCUCCUUAUGUUGAACCAGUUGGUCUUUUUUGCAGUUCCACUGAAAUCGAGCAUCCCUAUUUGCAUAGAUAUUGAAAGUUUGAUUACUAUAAAAGUGGCACUAGUUGAAGCAUAGACUCACAAAUAUAAGCAUUCCAAUUUCCUAAUGGGAAAAGUUAGCAAGACUGUUUCUAACCACCUGUUUGAAGGAAUAAAUAAGGCAACAGCGGCUGAUGUCAGAAAGGCAUAUAUAGUUCUUUCUGAAAGAAUGAUCGAUUCCUGACCUUUCCUCUUCUUUUAAACAUAUUUUGUGCAGUUCAACUAAAAUAAAAUGCCAUCACCGCCUUGACAAUUCAGUGACACUGUACAAAAGGAAAUGACUUAACAUUACAUCAUGAUGUCAGGUAUGUAGUCGACAGGCAUUAGAGACAAACUUACAGACCUCCUCCGAUAACAUAAUGAACAUUAAUUUUAACAAAGGUGUGACUAGCUUUACCGGGAUAAUUUUAGUGAACUCUACACCCUCUGUUCCUUAAUAUAAGACAUUUUCGCGGUUCAAUUUAAAGUACCCAAACGUCUAGUAUUUAGAAAAACUGGUAGUAGUUUUCUUGAGCACAUAUAUGGGAAAGCUUACCACACUUUAUUUAUGUCCAUAUGCUAAUGCAACACCAUUCGAAAUUUCGAAUACUACAAAUAUACACUAAUCCAGUGGCUAGUGCAACAGUAGAGUAGUUAUUUUAUUACAGGGUACAAUACAAUGGUUUUACUGAGCAGAUUUCAAUAAACUCUAGCACUGGAAGAUUUCUAUAAGAAUUAACAAUACAAAAUGUAAAGGUAACAUGUUUCAGCAUUGGUAUACUAGCUGUGCAUGAGCAUUAAACCAAAUACAAAAGUCUGAAGGUAACUAGCAUUAUUAACUAAUGACAGUAUAAAAAAUUGCAAACCAUGUACCUCCAAGGUAAAUAUCAUUUCAAACUCGGGGGGACCUUAAAAAUUGCUAUCCCAAUCUUGAUAAUCGAUCAAACAUAAAAACUUGAUCGAACGAAUCAAGAGAACAGCCGGAGGAGGAGGAGGUGCCCACUCUUGACCUUUCCUCUUGUCUUCAUAAUUUUUUGUGCAGUUUAACCAAAAUAAAAUGACAUCAGCACCUUGGCAUUUUGGUGACACUGUACAAAAAAAUUAACUUAUCUCAUGAAAAUGAGGUAUGUAAUCUAUAAGCAUUAACAGUGCAAAAUCUGAAGGUAGUAACAAGUUUCAUCAUUGGUAUACUGGCUGUGCAACAACAUUAGAAUUCCUUAGAUGAAAAAUCUUUAAUACAUCCACAAUCAACAGCUAACCCUGAAAUAAUCCAGUGACAUUAAAUGGCAUUGCUUAAAUUUAUCGGUGGCAUUAGACUGAGUGCGGCAUUAGUUAAAUGUGGCAUCACUUUAGCAGUAGCAUUGCUUGACUUGACUGCCGGCGUUAUACUAACAGCAAAAAAGUGACAAUAAGAGCAUUGGAGGCCCAUAUGGACAGUGGGCGCACCAGUACGAUGUACCUCCACGGACGCAUAGAGUGGUGAGGGAGGUAUGGUUGCCUAGAGCAACAAAUAUCCAGGCAGCAUAUGUGGAUUACGUCCCAUUUUUGUUCUGUUUAGCCACCUUUUUCCUAUGUGAGGACAACAAACUGAUCGACCUGGUCAUUCUCUAUUGCGUUGUCAUGCCUUUCUACCCUUCUUCAACCAAGAGACACGAGACUCGUUCCUUAGCUACUGAUUUUCCCCUUUUCAACCUAGAUGCGGGUUCGAUGCCUACUCUCUUGGACAGUACAGUCUCCCUUCCUUUCCUUAUUAACCCAGACAUGGAUUAGUCUGCAUGAAGUAGGGUUUCCUUUAAUAGUGCAAAUUAAGGUUUUCGUCUGCGUGACCAGCAGAGCAGAGGAUAGCAAAUUGGGAAGAUGGUGGAGUGGAAAAAGAUCCACAUGCACCGACGUGGCAGAUGGGGCAAUAGAACAAGGGUAUGGUUCGAAAAGAGGUAGCAUACCUGAGGGUCGGCGGGAAGUGGCUUCGCUCGUGGUCGUCGUCCUCCGCACGCACUACGGCAGCGAGCUUGGGGACGGAGGCCAUCCCGCGCGGGUGCUAGGUCUGAGAGGACAGCCUUGUCGUCAGUGCGUGACCUCGCUCGCCGACGACGAGUGCGUCAACGCUGCACGUCCUUUUCUUUCCCGACGGAUCCGUGACCACCGGUGAGGAGGGAGAGAGAGGCCGUCUUUUUUAGAUCUGGAGAGAGGGUGAUAGUGUGAGAAGCAAGUGGGCAGCCCUUAGCAAGAAAGCUCUGAAGCUCCAGCCUAUAUAUCUUUUUUAUACUACUAGUAGUACUAGAGGUGGAGUAGUGGUAGAGUAGUUUAUAUUUUCUCUACAAACAGAACCAGUUAGUCGUGCUUCAAAACUGAACGGCACGCCAUUAAAAAAAUAUAGGUCGAUAACUAAUGCGGCACCUCGGGCCAACGCGUCCAGAUCGCAUUUUGCACGAGAAAUUACACACCAUGUUUCGUUGACAUGUGGUCCCGUUCCAACAUGUCAGUGAGACGACGGCAAGUCCUUUUGUACAAUUUCUAAAAGGACGUGUAGGCCGGGGCGCCUCUUCGUGUACCGUGGCAAACUGGCAACUGUCCACCGACUCUUCGCCUUUCCCUCUCGAUUUGGAAGUGCUGUCGCACGCUCUUCCUCCCUCCUCCAUUUGCCUUCACCCUUCCUUCUGCCAUUGUUCGAUCGUCUUCUCCAUGGAGGGAACAAGCCGGAAAUGACCCCGUUAUUCUUUCACUGAUCUGAAAGAUGACGUGGUGGGGGAACUCAUUGAUCGGUGCGACGUCAUCACCUCGGCUAGCAUGGCAGGUUCGUUCAAGACCAUUCUUGAUUCAACUAAUAACAUCAUUACAAGGAACCCAAGGGUCCAGGAGCGGUUUGAUCUCCCUUAUCUUCUUUGCUAUAAGCCUGUUCGCAUGGGCACGGACGACGGAGGCCUCGCCUUGUGCAAGUUGAUGCCGCUUGAUAACGAUACGUGUGAUGUCAAGAUGUCAUCGCUUCAGGGUAAGGCCUGGGAUGGCGUAAAUGGAGAUUGGGUUGUUUAUAUUGGGUACAAUUGCGAGUGGGAACUUGUGAAUGUGUACACUCGUCAGCGGAUUCCACUUCCAAAAAUCUCCGAGUGCCCUGAGGUUGAGCACACACAUGAUCUACGUACGUUCAAAUACGAUCAUGGUGACUGUCAUCUAUGGAAGAUAGCAAUUUCUCGAGUUCCCAACCGCUCUUGGAAUUACGAGAACUAUCAAGUUGUUGCUAUCUUCGACAAGCUUGUUGCCGUCGUUACUGAUUCCACGGUUCGUCCAUGGAUAUUGCUCAAAAAUCAGUUUCUGUACACGGAUGAGUAAUGUGAUGCAAUUGAAUACGAGGAUCCUGUGUUUGCUGCCACCACUCGUGGCACUGUUUUUGCAUGGGAUCCUCCUAGUUUCGGUACGUUUGUCUUCCACCGUAAUUAUAAUUGUUUCAGUCACAUGCAUGCGGGUUAGCAAGUUUCCCUUUACUAAUUAACCUUAUUGUUGUGUUUCCAAGGUCCUGUGAACAUUCCAUCACCUAUACUUGAAAAAUUUAUAACCAAGGGGGAGAUGAUGAUGGUGAUGAUCACGAGCAUGAGGACGAGCAGAACUUAUAUACUCAGUGGUGCCUGGCAACUAAUUCCGAUGGAUCACCUCUUCUUGUCUGUAUACAGUGCACUAUGAUUGUUACUACUGAGGUAGCAGGUGUUGUCUCCCAUGGUCGCCCUCUCCGGACCUAUUCCAACACCCGUUGCAGGAUAUUCGGGGUGGAUACUAGUGUGCUAGCGCCAACACCUUCUCCCUGGUACAGUAUUGGUAGUCUUGGAGCAAACUCGCUCUUCCUUGGACCAAACUAUCCAAUGAUGGUUAAAGGCGAUCCAGCUGCUGUUGACACAACGUUACUACCAUUUAUGAGAAGCAACUGUAUCUAUACCUCGGACAUUGCGGUGGUUCCCUACCUUGCUCCUGAUAUAUGCCUCUUCAGCUUGGAUGAUCGGUCCUGCGUUGCUCUCGAUAUUGACAAUAGCUGGCCCUUCCCAGAGCACCUAUGGUUCAAAGCAAGCGUUUCCAACGCCAAAGAUUGGUUGAGUUGAAGUUCAUUUCAUUGCUUGUUAUUUGCUGUGUGAUGAAAACUCUAGAAUGUUUUGUUGGAAAUAAUCUAUAAUCCAACAUGUAUCAUCGUUGUCGUUGUGUGUUGAUGACUUGUUGUAUGUAAUGAAUGGUACAUUUGCAAAUGCGUGUCAUAGACUCAAUUUAUGAAUGGUUUUCGAGUCACUUCUUGGAGUGUGAGUACCGUAGUAGUAUAGCCAGCAUCCGGUUAGUAUAUGAAGUUGCCACAUCACAUAGAGCCAACCUAAAAUUGGAGUACCAGAUCUGAGAUGCCACGUGUACCAGAUGAAUGACUCCAAGUUCGACCACCGUGAUGCUAGGUGCGAGCCGAGGAACACUGUUGGAGAGACCCCCCUCAUAAUUUUCCUACAUUGGUCGUUUGAUUCAUAGGAUAGAGUGCUUUAGGAUUUUUUCCUAUGUAAUCAUGUUUUAAUUGGCAAUCUAGCAUCCACUCCAACUUUUGUUUCACUUCCUUUGAUCCUACGAAGAGAGUACUUGCUCUAAAUGAUGUGCCACUGCAAGAGCCGCCUAUAUUAAUUAACCAUGCUCUAAAAAGGUGGACCAGCUUUGGCUGUAGUAGUACUGUACUAGGUUAGUAGGUGACCUUGCGCUUGGCUCUUCUCCUCUUUCGGAAGUCGAACAAUAAUGAUGGUACUGUACUACUUCUGGCAAUCUGACACCAAAUGAACUGCUGCACGUCCACCGCUUGUAAGCAAAAGUUUCUCCUCGUGCUGCGAGCCAGCACGCACGCGUUGGCGAGGGAGAAGGCGUAGUAAGCAAGCUUCUCGUCAUUCUGCUAGUUGACGGGACACAUCAAAGUUACGUAUUUAUUAGUAGUCUCUUCAAAAAGGGUCGGCCAUGUCCAUGGCUACCAUCCUGUGCUCUGUCAUUGAGUACAUGCACUAUUCACGUGCCAUCGAGGAGAAAAAAUAUUGCGUAGUACUAGGUGCCAUCGAAGUGCACGACUCACUUACGCACUGCAUAUCUCCAUUUUCUUGCAUGACACGCCACCUUGAUGCUAGAUGUCCCGCGUGUCAUGGAGGCAUAUAGUAUGAUUUUGUAAAAUGGAGGCAUAUAGAUGUCCCGCGUGUCGGCAACAGGAUGAACAAAGCUCAUGUCUUAAACGAAAGAGUGGAAGAACAUAGAUUCCUGACGACCGAGAAGGAGCUACAAACCUUGGGGUGGAGCGUCUGCACUCAUAAUAUUUUAUAUUAUUCAGCGAUAUAAAAUCAACCAAAUCUCUCCACGUUCCUAUACCAUUCUAUAGUAUGAGAAUAACUUUGAACGUAAGCCAUUGAUUCACUCUAUCCAAUGGUCAUAGUUGGAAAAUCCAAACAAAACCAAGCAUUGGAUCAACUCUUUUUUCGAGAACAACUCUUUUAGCACUUAGAUUGUUGCCGCCUGCCCACCUAGCCCACCUAUAUAUCCGCUCACGUGUGAUGACCACAUGAGCUAUCCACUCAGAUUGUAUGUUACUCCCUCCGUCCGGGUUUAUUGGGCCCGAGAGCCAUAGAUGGUUGUACCAUUUUAUUAGGCCCGUACAUUAAUUACCUUGCUUUAUUACCUGAAAUCUCUCGCACGCAUGCAUCGUUGCAAUGGAGCCGACGCAGGAACCUUGCCGAUUGGGCAUGGAUGCACGCUGCAUGCGCAUGCCGGCCGCUGCAUGCGCUGCUCUAGUUAAUAGGGUGAUUUAAUAGGGCAGUUAGAGAGAAAAUUAAGCAGAUUUAUUUCCUAAAUCUCUACAUGCGUGUAUCUCCUUGGUCUUUGUGUUCUGGCUUAAGGGCCCAAUAAACCCGAAUGGAGGGAGUAAAGAAAUAAAGGUCGAUAACUAAUGAGGCACCUCGGGCCAACGCAGCCAAAUCGCAUUUUGCAUGAGAAAUUACACACCAUGUUUCGUUGACAUGUGGUCCCGUUCCAACAUGUCAGUGAGACGACGGCGAGUCCUUUUGUACAAUUUCUGAAAGGACGUGUAGGCUGGUGCGCCUCUUCGUGUACCGCGGCAAAGUGGCAACCGUCCACCGACUCUUCGCCUUUCCCUCUCGAUUUGGAACUACUGUCGCACGCUCUUCCUCCCUCCUCCAUUUGCCUUCACCCUUCCUUCUGCCAUUGUUCGAUCGUCUUCUCCAUGGAGGGAACAAGUCGGAAACGACCCUGUUAUUCUUGCCCCGAUCUGAAAGAUGACGUGGUGGGGGAACUCAUUUAUCGGUGCAACGUCAUCACCUCGGCUAGCAUGGCAGGUUCGUUCAAGACCAUUCUCGACUCAACUAAUAACAUCAUUACAAGGAACCCAAGGGUCCAGGAGCAGUUUGAUCUCCCCUUUCUUCUUCGCCGUGACCCUGCUGACUGGCGCGGGGACGAGGGAAGCCUCGCCUUGUGCAAGUUGAUGCCGCUUGAUAAUGAUACGUAUGAUGUUAAGAUGCCAUCGCUUGAGGGCAAGGCUUGGGCAGGCACAAAUGGAGAUUGGGUUCUUUAUAUUGGCUGCAACUGCGAGUGGGAAAUUGUGAAUGUGUACACUCAUCAGCGGAUUCCACUUCCAAAAAUCUCCGAGUGCCCUGAGGCUGAGCACACACAUUAUCUACGUACGUUCAAAUACGAUCAUGGUGACUGUCGUCUACGGAAGAUAGCAAUUUCUCGAGUUCCCAACCGCUCAUGGAAUUACAAGAACUAUCAAGUUGUUGCUAUCUUUGACAAGCUUGUUGCCGUCCUUCGUGGUUCGACUGGAUGGAUAUUGCUCCAAAAUCAGUUUCUAUACAUGGAUGUGUACUGUGAUGCAAUUGAAUACGAGGGUCUUGUGUUUGCUGCCACCACUCGUGGCACUGUUUUUGCAUGGGAUCCUUGUAGUUUCGGUACGUUCGUCUUCCACCGUAAUUAUAAUUGUUUCAUCCACUUGCAUGCGAGUUAGCAAGUUUCCCUUCUCUACUAAUUAACCUUCUUCUUGUGUUUCCAAGGUCCUGUGAACAUUCCACCACCUAUACUUGAAAAAUUUUAUAACCAAGGGGGAGAUGACGAUGGUGAUGAUCACGAGCAUGAGGACGAGCAGGGCCCAUAUGCUUACUGGCGGCUGGCAACUAAUUCCAAUGGAUCACCACUUCUUGUCUGUAUACAGCCCACUGCUGAUGUUACUACUAAGGGAGCAGGUGUUGUCUCCCAUGGUCGCACUCUUCGGACCUAUUCCAACAGCCGUUGCAUGGUAUUCGGGAUGGAUACUAGUGUGCUAGCGCCAACACCUUCUCCCCGGUACAGUAUUGAUAGUCUUGGAGAAAACUCGCUCUUCCUUGGACAAAACUAUCCAAUGAUGGUGAAAGGCGAUCCAACUGUUGUUGACACAACGUUACUACCAUUUAUGAGAAGCAACUGUAUCUAUACGUUGGACAUUGCUGUGGUUCCCUACCCUGGUCGUGAUAUAGUAGGCCGCUUCAGCCUGGAUGAUCAGUCCUGCGCUGGUCUCGAGAUUGACAGUAGCUGGCUCUUCCCAGAGAAUCGCUUGUGGUUCAAAGCAAGCGUUUCCAACGCCGAGGAUUGGUUGAGUUGAAGUUCAUUUCAUUGCUUGUUAUUUGUUGUGUGAUGAGAACUUUAGUAUUUAUAAUGUAUCCUUGUUGUCGUUGUGGGUUGAUGACCUGUUGUAUGUAAUAAAAUGAUAUGCCUGUGAUAAACUUACUAAAUUUAUGAAUGGCUUUCGAGUCGCUUCUCUGAGUGGGUGCUGUGACAGUGCAACAGGUUAUGGGAUGAGGCCAAUAAACAGUAGUACACUAUUUGUACUAGCUUCACAUGCUGCACUAUCUCUACGUCUACGUACGUAAUACACAAGUUUUAAACUUGAGACCAGCCACCCAUCCUCACAAAGAACACUUUUUAAUCUAGCACAGACUCUAGGAAAUUUGGCCACAGUGUGAGGUGGGUCAUAUGUUAAUGUGUUCGUUGUACGUAACCAGCACCUCGAAUCCUUGAUACUACUACUAUAAGUAGUAGGAGUAGUAGGGUGGCAUGGGCCAGAACAAGCAUUCACGUCCAGGAGUACAUCACACACCACCAACACGACUUCCAUCUAACACCAUAUUUCUUGGAGUUCGUGCUACAGCAAUCUCUUCAACCUCAUCGUUUCUCUAACUCAGCCAUCGCGCGGCGAGCGAGGUGGGGGUUUGCUGAUAGUCGGUUUCCUCAACUGCGGUCCCACUUGUAAGGCCAACUCCAACGCAUGACCCCAAACGGACCUCCGUUUUGCCUGGAUUCUGUCCGUUUGGGUAGGGCAAUGGGGUCGUGUCUGGGCCAUUUCUCGGAUGCGGUGGCCGUGCGCUGAACGCGCGGAUGCAUCCUGGCCGCGUACAUUUUUCUUUGCAAACACAUAUCUUUUUUCGUCAUUGAUUUUUUGGUACAUGGAAAUACAUCACCAAAAAUUUGACUAGAAAAGCAAGACCAAAGAAAACAAGAACCACAAGAAUACAUUUUAGAAGAUAUCCAACUUCCAUAACUGCUCCUGUAAGUUGGAUUAGUGCCUUCUCGAUGCAUUCAUUGUUGAUCUGCGGACUCGAUCUUGCGUGCUUCUUUCUUCUUCGAGUGUAAAGAAGUAGACGUGUCUAGCCUAUAUUCUAUCAACAAGAGCACUAGUCUCAUCUCUAGCCUCUAUGCUAGCUAAAAGUGCUAGAACAUCUACUAAAUUGCGCUCUAUCAAUAUAUCGUUGUACUCUUCUUCCCAAUACCAAAACUUGCAUCCAUUCUACACAAUAAAAUUUUAAGUUAGCACAACUAGUCUAAUCCGAGAGCACAACCAAAGAUUUGGUCGAGUUCUUCCUCCUUUUGCCGACACAUGGGACAUCCAACAUCCAGGUCGUGUCAUGCAAGAAAAUGGAGUGGUAGUUGAAGCCACGUGAUGUGCAUCUUGGGUUAAACUGUAAAUAGAAUCUUACUAGUCUUGAGUAACUCCAAAAGCGGCCACCGGAGAUCUUUAUUGGAUUUGUUUUUCAUCACCAGCACGUCGAGGUGAAAGAUGUGUAGGUUCAGUGGGUCCUCUUGCGUUUUCACUGACAUGUGGGACCGCAUAUGAGCAAAGAGACAAUGGGCUCCACACGUCUGCUGGCUGGCUGUGAAGAGAGAUAGAGGAGGGCAGAGCAUGGACUCCAGGAAAUUUGUUCUACAUAACCAGCACCUCGAUAUAGUGGGGUGGCAUGGGCCAUAACUAGCAUUCAUGUCUAGCAGUACGGCACACGCCACCCACACGAGUCCCAUCCGACGCCAAUUUUCUUGGAGUCCGUGCUACAGCCAUCUCUUCUCCCUCCUGUUUUCUCAGCCAUCGCACAAUGGGCGUGGGGGGGGGGUUCCCGAUAGUCGGUUUGCUCAACUGCGGUCCCACUUGUAAGUGAAAAUGCAACACAACACGCAUUCCCCCUUGAGCGGCGUGCCAGACCAACCGUGUGGGGGUGCGACGCGAACACGGCAGGCUUUUCCUUUUGAACUUGUAACUUGUAAAAUUUGGUUCUGCUCCAUGGCAUGACCGAUAGAUAGAAAUAAUGAUUUUCCCUAGAGUAAUGAGAAGUUUGGUUCUGGCGCGGUUCAUGCAUGGAGUACGUAGGAAAAUUAUGAAGUUGACGCAAAAGGUAAGAUAAUUACUAGUAGUACCAUAUACUACUACAUGGAUUUGACAGAAAGAUAAAGAUACAUACGGAUCCAUCAACAACAUCCUCACGCCCUAGUGCACCAGGUCACCAACCGACGUGUGAGGAGGAGCGGCGUUGGCGGCAAGCUCAACGUGCUUUUGAACAAUGCCAUCCAAGGUUGCCCUGCGGUCCAAGAAGGCCAGCGUCCUAUCGUCCUCCUCUUGCAUGUAGUAGUCCUUGUGGACGAUUUGUGCGUAGACGUGGGUGAUUAUGUCGAUGGUGUCUUGCUGCGCCAGGCGUUGCAUGGCGAGUGCGACCUCGAGGUGGACAUUCUCCUGCGCGACGGCGGGCAGUCGCAGGGCCACCAGUGCAUUGAAGAGGUUGUCACCAUAGAGGCCGUUGAGGGUGGCAGGCAUCGCAGAGCCUGGGCGGGUGGGCUGGAGGCGUACGUCAAGGUCGUCCGCGAGCUUCUUGACGAAGGUGAACUUGUCGAGGAAGCCGACGAGGACCUCAUCGAACAAGGAGACGGAGCUGUCGUCCAAGCGGUCCCUUGCCCUGGCGGCCUCAAGCACUACCUGGAGAUGUUCCUUGGUGCCGGGCCGCAGGCCGACGUCGUGGACCAUCUGGCACAGCCGGCUGAUGCUCGCGCUCAUCGCCUCCAUGGGUCUAGCUUCUAGUCAACUGAUCUUGCGAUUGGAGUGAUCACUCUUGCCCUUGGGUGCGUAGGUGCGUAGGAUUUCGUAGAUUGGACUGGCGGGAGCCUUUAUAUGAGAAGUGCAGACUACGUUGAAUUCACGUGUGUGUUGGCCAUCUACUCCUCGCCCCUCUACGGCACCUGCCUUUGGCUGUAUGACAGGUUGGCCAGCCACCCGUUGGGCCCACGUGUCAUACACCCAAAGGCAGGUGCAGUAAAUCAAUGAAGCUGCGUCCCCCUCCGUGCCCGUGCAUGCUUUCAAUGACUUGAGACUACCAAACAUCACAUGCAGUGGUUAGUUCAUUGCAUGUAAUCCUAUUAAGUAACAAAAAGACAUUAAGUUAUCUCGCUGAUAGGAAUAAAACAAUACACCAUGUAUUUAUUUACAGAGGGAGUAGUACAAUUUUUGUGACAUGCAUUACUAGAUAUUGCUAGUCAAAUACUAAAUCCAGAUGGACGUGGUAGUACUACUAAAUCCAGACGGUGGUGCUAGUACUAGUAGUAGUACUACUACCAAUGUAGUAGCACUAUACUACCCAUUGGUCAAAUUAUUAUGUGUUGCUCCUCAUAGUGAAGUGACAAGACCCUACGCUGGAGAUGACACCUGAGUAUAGGCGCCGUGUUCGGCAUACCAUAGUCAGCCUCACCGUCUGCAGUCACUAUCAUCAUGGCUGUAGACCUAGCCUGCUUACAACUAGCCGUGUUCGACAUAAUUUCCCGUGCGUAGAUGCCCGUGCAUUGCACGGAACACCAAGAUUGGGGGGUGGACGGCGCCGACAACGGCCAUCGCGCCAGAUUUUUCCAUGGCCUUCUAGAUGUGGUGGGGAGGAGAUAAGGCUGAUUGUGAGAGACAAGGAGCUGUUUGUAAAUAGGGAACAAGUGCGGGCAUCUUUUUGCAAAACUGGAGAAGUUUGGUUUGUAUGCGUCAGAUCUAGAUCCGACGGCUAUUGGUGAAAGAUGGCAGGCCCAACAUCAUCACCAACUCAGGACCUGUUUGAUUCGCAGGAUUUUGAAAACGCAGGAAUAGGACACGGCAAUAUUACAAGUUUCAAACUGAUAUUACAAAUGUUAGGAGUAAUGCUGCACCUAUGAAGAGGGAAUUACUAGGAAGUUUACGUAAGAACUUUCGUUACUUUAGGUGGAUGCAGCAUUAUCGUACAAACUAAAAUCCACCGUCCUGACAAGUCACUAAUGGGCAAAUAAGUUUUCGAGUCUCUAGCCACUUGAUGUUUCAAAAACAAAUUCAGCUUCCGCGGAGACUUUGUCAUUUAGGCUUAGACGCUUGCGGUGAUCAGCACGCCAUUCAUUGUUGCGCCAGAGAACGCCAAACCUCAUUACCUUGAGCACACUUGCCUCCAGAACAAAGAACCUGGCCAAUUUAAUCUCAGAUGUGCUGCCUCGGUAGUCAAUCAAAUCAAUUUUUGUAAGAUGGAGAUCAAGGCAUUCGAUGAGAUUGUUAUAGUGCAACACAUUUUUCACUUUCAGGUCUUUUUUAUCUGCAAAAGAAGAGAACAUAUUAGAGCAGCUGGCUGUAUAAGAUUGCCGUGUCAUCAAGAGGUACCAAUAUCAUUCGCUCAUAUGAUAGGGUUGGCUGGCUAGUGAUAUUUUUUGACUCUCUCUCUCUCUCUUUCCUCUCAUUUACCUAGGAGUACGUGAAGAGCUUGGAAAUUUGUUGCCUUCCACUAUGUGGCCGAUGCAAUAUUUCGCAAAAGUAUGCCACAUAAUACGCAUCGAUGUCAAAUCAAAAGAUUUUGGCACCGCUCUCGCGAUGUGAGAGAGUUGGCACUGCUGUGCACACAGACCCACAUGUAUAAACAAAUCAAUCAAACCAACUACACCAGCCUCUCACUCUCCCAAACAAGUGUUUUUUUAUUGCUUCAGUCCUCUCUCUCUCCCACGCAAGUGGUUUUUCAUUGCGUGAGUUAAUUUGGCACCGGAGCAAAGUAAGUGAUCCAGAUUGGGGCACCAGGUGAGAAAUGGAGGGGCAUCGAUGCCAAAUGCAUCACAAGUGAAUUUGGCACGUGUUUUGGCCUACAUAGUGGAGGGCCGUUAUAGCCCACUUUUGUACUACCUCUUAUUUAGUAUAAAAUUUUGACCAUAUAUUUAUGUAAGAAAAUGCCAAUGCAUGUCACUAAAAAUUACACCAUUUUAAAUUAUGUUCAAAUACGAAUCCAAUGAUAUAGUUCUUAGUGACAUGCAUUAACAUUUUGUCUGUUAAAUCUAUGGUCAAAUUUUGAUACUACAAAAUAGGAAGAGUAAACCAGGACGGAGGUAGUACUUGCUCUUAGGGUAACCAUAGAGUUACUGGAGUAGUCUAAGUUACUUUCCACUAUGACUAGCCUAGGCUACUAUAGUAGUACAACAAAAAAAACGAUGCAGGUGAUCACGUGAGAAAAAAAAAUACUAAAAACGUUUAUUUCGGUGCAGUGCGUAGAUGCAGUUUUGAACACUACACUUGUCAUCGUAAUUUGGGAAAAUUACGAAAAAUUUGAGCUACGUUGUGAUUACCGUUUACUAAGAAGUUUCACCUCGAUGAGUAGCUUCUCCGUGCACGAAAAGCAUGUAGGGAAUCCAACAACUUGAUCCAGAUUGGUGCCGAUAGAUUUUAUUGCCAAGAUCUUCACUGUGCGCAUAGACUGGGUCAUGCUUGUGGGGAUCAUUUUCUCGAAGACGGUCGUAAAUACAUCAAGAAGAAAUUUAAAAAUGUGAAUUUCAAGAAGACGGAGAAGAAGAUGAGUGUUGUACCUGAACGAUUACGGAUCCAAUAAAGAGUUCGGAGAAUUUGGCAGACGAGUGCACCAACGCUGUCAAUUUCGGCGCGUCAAUGACCCUGAUUUUUGUUGGACCUUCUAGAUCCGAUACAAGCAAUCUCUUAAGGAAAGGCACAUUCUCAAUGACCAUAACGUGGAACAGCUGGAGUGAUCUCUUCCCAAUUGAUGUCUUGUUGCGGGGCCAGCAAGACACAUAAAUCCAUCGGAGAUUCGUCAAGGCGAUGUGGAGGCUAAUGAACCCGUGGAUCUGCUCAAGACGAAGGUACUCGAGCGCAGUACAGCUGCGGAGGAGGUGCUCCAUAGCCUUCUUCGAGAUGACAACGUCGAAGAGGUCGAGCUGCUUGAGUUGAGGGAGAAGAAGGGCGGGCGCGGCAUUAAUCUGGGGAAGAUAGCAGGAGCUGAAGCUGGCGCGGCACGGCAUUGGCGCGAGGCGGAGCGCGGACGGCGGCAGAGAGCGACAUCGUCCAGCUUCAAAGCUGAGCUCCUUGAGCUGAUCUAGGGCGGGGGAUAAGAACCACUCGUCGAACUUGGGUUGGACCUUGCAGUUGGUACUGAACAUUCGGAUGUCAAGGCGUCUGGCUGGCCUAGGGUGCGAUGAAAGGAUCUUGGAGACUGCGGCCAUGCGUUUGCAAUCCCCGUCACAGAGGCAGCUCUCGACGGUGAGGUUGAGGGGGACGCGGCGCCAGAGGGGACGCCACCGCCGGGAGAGCAGGGUGGUCCGCACGGCAGAUUUGGUGGGGAGGAGGCCGAUGAUGACGAGCAGCAUGUCGUCGGGGAGGCUGCUGAUGAAGUCCAGGCUCACCGGAUGUGGUUUUGGCUCGAGCCGCCUCCGCUUGUUGGCUGCUUCGCCGUCCAUCUCAACCGGCGGCGACGCCGGUGUACACGUGUGUUGGUGUGUGUUUUGUGCUGGGUGUGCGCGAGUGCGUCCUUCUGUGCAUGCCGCCGCGCAGUGGUGAAUUGUGCGUGAGUGCGUCCUCCACGCGGAAGAAGUGUGUCCUCAAUGCGCCCUCAAUUUACUAGCGUGCGGGGUGCUACCCCAAGUGGUUUCAACUUUGUUUACUUCACCGCGUGUCAGAUGGGCCUCUAGUUUACUUAUUUUCACCCAUUGCCACAUGGGCCAGCACACGAAGAUACAGAACACGAGCUGACAAGGCAGCAUGUGGACUGGUUGACCGGUCAACUAAACAAUAUACGGAGCUAUACGCUGACACAGUGAGCGUAUAAUCCGUCGGUAUAGAGUGUUCGUGUGAGAGGGGAGGCCCGUGAGAGAUAGCAGAGAGAGAGAGAAAGAGCUACUCCCUCCAUUCGAUAAAGUAGUUCCAACAUUUUUUUAAAGUCAAACUUUUGAAACUUUGACCAAGUUUAUAAAGAAAUUACUUAUAUCUACAAUACCAAAGAUAAAUGAUAGUAUGAAGUAAGUACAUGUUGUGAUGAAUCUAAUUAUCUUUACAUAUGUAAAUGUUUUUCUCCACAUAUACCUGGUCAAACUUUUCUGAGGUUUGACUUUUCAAAACAUCCAUAUGCUUAUGGAGAGAGAACGAGGGAGAGAGAUAGAGUUUUAGAUGGACCUAUCGAGUGCGAGUGAGAUAUGCAUGUGUAUGUGUGACCCAGGUAGAUGGAGAGUUUGAGAGAGAGGGGGAAGAGCUCCGAGACGACAGAGUGGUGCGUGAGAGAGUUACGGGCAAUGAGCCAAGGAAUUUGCGUGCAUACGAUGAGUGCACCCAAGAUAUCUAGCUUGGACUAGAGAAUCAUACAUAGUGUGCGAGAGAGACCUAUAGAUGGAGUAUAUAUGCAUGCGAACUAGAAAGACCCCCCACGCACACACACAAAGAGAGAGAGAGAGAGAUGGAGAGAAAGCGAGAGGGACCAACAAGGUUUGUGUGUUGGAUGCGUGCGACAUAAUUGAAGAUUGUCGGCGAGAGAGAGAGAGAGAGAGAGAGAGAGAGAGAGAGAGAGCAGGAGUCCGGGAGAGGGGGAGGUCGCGUUUUAUGCAUCAAAGACUGAUAUAAACCAUGUUUCGAUAUAAACUUGCAUUCAAAUAUUUAAAUUGGAGAACAUGUUGUCUGCAAUCCACACAUGAACAGAUAUAUGCGUAUAUCAAACAAGUUCAUUAAUUUGACUUUCAACAUGUUCAUGGAGUACUAUAAUACUGUACAACAUGCUAUUCGAUUGAGGUGUUCAAUUUUGGAUUUAGUUCACUAUUUUGACUUGGUGAACGAGCUAUUUCAUUGAAUCGAGAUAUUUCAUUUUGGGUUUGAUUCCCGUUUUUGAGUGGGUCAACUAUUUGUCAUAUAGUAAAUCGCUAGCAACGAGCAUGUAAAAACACGUUACUCCCGAGCAUCAUCUCUCCAUCUAAAAAAGAAGUGGCAAGCUAAUAUUUCAAAAUUUGAUUCGAAUCGACUUGGUAAGGUAGACGUGGAUGCUCGUUCUCCCAAAUUUUGAACGAACUGUUAAACAUCCUCUGCUCGGUGGAAUUCGUCCGAGCAAAUAAAUGGGAGACGCGAAGUUACCGUCCUAUGUGGGAGACACAUUAAUUGGCCCGUUGUACAUCGAGGGUAGGUUCGCAACUUCAUCCAAGCGCGCCUUCUCCUCGGCCGAAAUGACAUGUGUCGAAUAAUUCAUAAACCAUGGUCGGCAAAACAUGCUCUCCUCGCCCGAAGUAGCUCGCGCCCACUAUUUCAAAACACGCUCUCCUUGCCCGAAAUCGCUCGCGCCCACUAUAUUUCAAAACACGCCCUCCUCGCCCAAAAUCGCUCCCGCCCACUAUUUGGGGAGAAGCAAAGUUACUCUACUAUCCCCGACCCUCAGUACACAGACCCAAGCCGAGAAGCCUAAAGGCAGGGGUAGAACUGUAACUCCCCCUCACAUUUUAGACAAAUGCGUCCGUAAAACAUGGUUCCACUCCCCUCCCAAUCCCCCCCAUUCAUACCUCGUGGGCGCCAAAUCACCUUCUCCCCGAAAGCUCCCUUCUCCCGAGCCGCGAAACCUCAGCCCCUCCUCCAUGGCACCCCCACUGCACCAAUUUCACAGCCUCCCUCCUCCCUAAUGCCGAAGACGCUGUCCAUUUGCCGUCGUGCACUGGGUCGUGUGCCUCUUACUCCGUGCUGCUGGAGCUGCCUGGACGACAGCCGCGUGAACCGUACCGGAGCCGAUUCACCCCCGCCGUUGUUCACGGCGCCGGAGCGGCUCCAACUUCGGAUCCGUCCAGAGUCCCGGCGUUGCUUCCCCGUAGCCGUCGAACAUUGCGACAUCGUUGUUUCCCUGCCGCCGGUGGCCACCACAACCGCGCCGGCCUCACCGACUCGGCAGCUGGACCUGCCUACUUCACCAUGCCGCCAGAUAGGUCACACCCUCAUCUCAAAUCACUUUAUUUAGGCGUCAGUUGUCUGAAUUUUUAUUCUGGGCCAAUCGAUUCCCAAUGGGAAGCAGCACCCCUUGAGGCGGCGGAGCUCCUAGGCUGCCGGUUGGCUGGUGUCUAACGUAAUGGUGCGGGGCCGCAAGUUCGCAGCGGAAGCAGCGCUUAGAUGGCUAUCUUAGGUUGUGUGGGUUGAAGGUACUGGCGCCGCCGGAUCUCGAUGACGGGGAGUCUUUGUGGAUUGGCCCAGGGGCGGGGCAACCACGGCAGUGCGGUGGGGUGGGGAGCGGGGUUUUGGCCGGGGCCACGGACGGCGGAGGCAAGCUGCUCUGUCGCUGGCUCUUCGGGGAAGAUUCCUAACAGUGUUAGCUGGGAGGCACAAGACGGCCAUCAAGCCAUCCGGCACAGAUCGGACAGUACAAAAAUAAAAUAAAAUUGUGUGACCCCAAUUUAGUCUUUAGUCAACAGACGUGUGACCACUCUCGUACCUUGCUGUUGAUCACUUAGUGUAUUUCUUCAGAUCAAAGAGAUGUGUCGUUCUUAACAUUAUGCGUUAUCUGCAUCUUCAGCCACACCGUCUUCCGACUCACCGCAACUGCUCCAACAAGGGAAGCAUACACCAGAAGGGAGCUAUAGUCCCCACUCAACAGUUCCCUGCAUCGAAUGUGCGUGCCCGACAUGGACAGCCACAACAACUGCAGGGCCAUCGACAAGUCAGCACAUGAUGCUCACUCCUAUGGAUGGCGGCCAGAUAGGUUGUACCCUCAUCUUACUUGUGUGCAACAUUUAUGGCUUUGUUAUUCAUCUAAGCAUGGAAAAUAGAUUAUCACAUUUCACUGUAUAUUCAUGCUGAUCUCUUACGGGUCUUGUUCAGGAGUUAACGCUAUUCCAUAGUUCAGCUAAGAUACUUGUUCUUUAGGUAACGCUGUUCCAUAGUUAUCAUCCAUCAGCCAAUGCUAUCCCACAGGCUGGUGAUUAUAGUAUUAUACCACUUCUAGUAUUACCUAUGUUGUUCUUUAAUACUUUUGUGUGCCAUCUAGUUAAUCUCGAGUACAAAUGAUACAUAUUCUGUAGCUUUCAUCUGUGUUCUCCCUUUAGUUUUUGAGACCUAUUGCUGCUAGUUAACCCCAGUCCUACUAUUUAUGUCGUCUCCUGCAGGCACUCAUUACAUAAAUCUAACUACUAGUUGUCUUCCAUGCAUGUCUGAUAUAGUUGCACACACUGAUAUAUCCACAAGAACCUCACGGAGCAAUGUAAAGGCCAAUAAACUUGAUGUCAAUGAUACCCAAUAUGAUGGAACAUGUAAAGGCAGUUCUUCAGAAGACUUGCAGAAAGAUGUUGAAUCCUCUUCACCCCACAAGGUCCUUGCUCUAACUUGGCCCGUGAUAUGGGUACAACAUGCAUAUAACGUCCUGGAGUGUAUCUACUUUGUUGCAAUGCCAUGUGCUUAGCAUGCUGAUCAUGCAUGUAAAUAUGUCAUGCCUUCCUGUUUUUCAGUACCUAUUCCAUUCAUGAUAACAUGUUUUCAAAUUCAAGUACUGUCAUUCUACUCUAUCGCAAUGCCAUCUGCUUAAUUUGGACAUCAUGCUUCUGAAUAUCUUAUGCAUCGUUAUUCAUCAGUAUGUACUUCAUCUAUCUACCAUACCAUGUUUUUUACAUUGAAGUGAUGUUCUAGUGCUCUGUUGCAAUGUCAUCUUAGUUUCCCAAUCAUACACGUGUAUGUUGCCUUAGUUUCUUCUGUACGUAUUCCGCUAACAUACAGUUCUACAUUCAACUAGUGUUUUUUUAUUGUGUUGUCCCGUCGUAUCCCUAGCUCUUACACCAUACUCCCUCCAUCCGGAUUACAUGUUGCCAAAAUGGAUAAAAAGGAUGUAUCUAGAACUGAAAUACGCCUAGACCCAUCCAUUUUUUCCGGAUGGAGGGAAUACAUGUCAAUAUGUCAUGCCUUUCUAUUCUUCAGUACCUAUUCCAUCUCUCUGUUGUAGCAUGUUUUAUAAUUGAAGCACCAUUCUUCUAUACAAGGCAUGCAAGGGGAAGACGACUAUGUUAGAAUCUGAAGGGUUACAAACCAGGUCUUUGCAAAAGAUCCAAACGCCAGGAGAUAAUAGACCAACUCCAGUUUUUAUAGAUACUGCUCUAGCACAGAGAAACCCAACUCCUACUGAUAAUAAGCAGAUUCCAGUGGCCAAAGAACUAGUCCGCUCUAGUCCAGCAAAAAUAUGUCAACUCCAUUCUAAGAAGCGUGUGCGUAUCCUUGCAUCAUGAAAUUUUAUAGGAUGCUGAUCAUAUUUUCUACAUGUUUUCUUACCCAUCUAUCUUUUAGAAAAUAAGGUUAAAUGAUAGAAGACUUCCUUCAUUGGGAUUGUAUUCGAGGAAAAUAUCUUGUGGGAAUUCUCUGUGCUCCAAUGCUGAUGUAAGUACCUGUUCUAUAUCACUAUAUUUUUACAUCAGCAUGUAUUUUGUUAAUCGGCGUGAAUCCAACCUUUAUCUGAUCUAAAUUUAGUUGUAGAAUAAUGUAUGAUUAAAGGCCACAAUGUUGAUUUUUGUAAGGAAAACUGCCUGGUAGUUUUGCAUCCUGAGCUGCAUGAGUGUACUAUCUCAUAUCAGUGGGUCUGAUUACUUUGGUUCUGCAGUGGGUUUUCAGUGUUUUUUUACUGUGUUGUCCUGUUGUAUCCCUAGCUCUUACAUCAUACUCCCUCUGUCCGGAUUACAUGUCGCAGAAAUGGAUAAAACUGGAUGUAUCUAGAACUGAAAUACGCCUAGACCCAUCUAUUUAUUUCCGGAUGGAGGGAAUACAUGUCAAUAUGUCAUGCCUUUCUAUUCUUCAGUACCUAUUCCAUCUCUGUUGUAGCAUGUUUUAUAAUUGAAGCACCAUUCUUCUAUAUAAGGCAUGCAAGGGGAAGACGGCUAUGUUAGAAUCUGAAGGGUUACAAACCAGGUCUUUGCAAAAGAUCCAAAUGCCAGGAGAUAAUAAACCAACUCCAUUUUUCAUAGAUACUGCUCCAGCGCAGAGAAACCCAACUCCCACUGAUAAUAAGCAGAUUCUAGUGGCCAAAGAACUAGUCCGCUCCAGUCCAGCAAAAGAAUGUCAACUCCAUUCUAAGAAGCGUGUGCGUAUCCUGGCAUCAUGAAAUUUUAUAGCAUUCUGAUCAUAUUUUCUACAUGUUUUCUUACCCAUCUAUCUUUUAGAAAAUAAGGUUAAAUGAUAGAAGACUUCCUUCAUUGGGAUUGUAUUCGAGGAAAAUAUCUUGUGGGAAUUCUCUGUGCUCCAAUGCUGAUGUAAGUACCUGUUCUAUAUCACUAUAUUUUUACAUCAGCAUGUAUUUUGUUAAUCGGCGUGAAUCCAACCUUUAUCUGAUCUAAAAUUAGUUGUAGCAAAAUGUUAAAGGCGCCAAUGUUGAUUUUUGUAAAGAAAAUUGCCUGGUAGUUUUGCAUACUGAGCUGCAUGAGUGUACUAUCUCAUAUCAUGCACAUUACUGAAUUGUAGUGCUGCUCUGGUUGCCCAAUCAUUCAUUGUGUCAAUGUUGCUUUUGUAUUACCUUACCUGGCUGAUGAUAGCUAUGCCAUAUUGUGUUAAUUUGGUGUUGGCUAGUUGCCCAAACGUUCGUUGUGCCAAUGUUGCUUUUCUAUUAUCUGACUUGGCCAAUGAUAGCAAUGCUAGUGUCUUAAUUUGGUGUAGGCUGCUGAAGAUAAGAAGACAAACUCUGAAAACAACAAGGCAACCCCAUUGUUUCUUUCCAAUAAAUCUAGGCCAGGUAAUAUGCCAAUAACUCAUGAUUAAUCUGUUUGGUUACCCUCCUAAUUUAUGUUAUGACGUAGUGGUCGAGACACUCUCCACUAACAAUAAUACAAGCCUGCCAAAAUUGCCAUCUGAAUCUGUUCAGCAUCCUCUGUCUCGAAUGCAACGGAAAAAAUGUAUGUUUGUGAACCAAUUAAUGGCUGAAGGAAUGAUGGAAAUGGUGGAGGAAUCAGAGGUGCAGAGUCGUGCGACACAACAACUGAUCAAUGUUUUCAGAGAUAGUGUAGCAAAGCAGCAAGAACUUGCCCACAUGCUUAUGGGCGUCAUCCAUGCUGAGGUUGCAGAUUGUGACGUUGUAGAUCGUUAGGUUCUGUUCAUUUAUUUGCACUGGCAUCAAUCUUUGAUUGCCUAGUGGAUGUAAUUUCCUGUAAUAUAUGCUGGAUGUGCAACGUUUUUCCCUGUAUACCGUACCUUUGCUUGAUCGGUUUUGGUCCUGUGCAUAAUUGCUCGUCGUAAUGGGCUCAAAUUAUCUAAUUUGGCCUAAAGACAUGUACGAACUUUAGUGGGCCCAUUAAGUUAAUGGGCCAUUACCAGGCCGAAAGUUAAUGGUCGGCCCUCUUAACUCCCCGGUCGUUAACAGACUGACAUUGAAGUGGGCAACAUGUGGGCCCAAUUGAUUUCACGGGCCGUUAACAGGCUGUUACUAAGUUCGGGCUACAUAUGGCCCAACUAUACUGUGGGCCUUUAGUAGGACGAAAGAGACAGCGGGCUUGUACAGGACCAUGAAGAGCAUGGGCCGCUAAGAGGUCGAAAGUCAGGUCGUAUUGUAAAUGACCCAACUGUGUUGUGGGCCUUUAGCAGGCCGAAAGAGAAACCGGGCUGGUAUUGGAUCAUGAAGGGCAUGGGCCGUUAAAAGGCCAAAACUUAGGUCCGACUACAAAUGGCCCAACUCAUUUAUGGUCCGGUAACAGGCUGAAAGGCACACAUGGCCGGGAAUUGGCCCAACACUUAAAUGGGUUGCUAAAAGGCCAAAACUCAGGUCCGACUACAAAUGGCCCAACAGAUAUAUGGGUCGUCACCAGGCUGAAAGACACACCGGGCCAGAAAUUUUCCCAACACUUCAAUGGGUCGCUAAAAGGCUGAAACUCAGGUCCGACUACAAAUGGCCCAACUGAUUUAUGGGCCGUUAAUAGGCUGAAAGACACACCGGGCCAGAAAUUAGCCCAACAUUUAAAUGGGUCGCUAAAAGGCCGAAAGAUGUACAUCGUGAAAAUUGGCCCAUCCACUGAAUGGGCCGUUAACAGGUCGAAAUCUCAUCGUGCCGAUAUUCAGCCCAAAUAUAUAGCGGGCUGUUAACGGGCUCGAACUGACGAUGGGCUGCAAUGGUAUCAAAUCUUUAACGGGCCGUUGACGGGCCGAAUUGGCACAUCUCGUAUGGGCCGUGGGCUUAAAUGGACCUGACACAAGUAGGCCUUAUAUGGGCCGCCCUACUAUUUUUUACUGGGCCGACCUUUUUCACCAGAAUGGGCCACUGUUGGGCCGUGCCACGUGUCGACCUAUCAUAGGCGCCUCAUGUCCAAUGACUGGAUGACAUAUGUCCCAACGGUGAGGCAACACGUGUUUCCUCCGGCCAAUGAUGAUUUUACACGUGGAAAAUCCCCAUUGGUCCGGGCUGUUAACGGGUUAUCGGAUCCAAAACCAGACCCGAUAGCUUAACAGUGUUCCGUUACGGUGGAUGCCACGUGUCGGUCACCCUUGACGAAAGCACUUCUAUGACGCGUGAUUUAUCGUCAUGGAAGUGGACACUUCCGUGAUGAUAAUUUUGGUAAUGUCGUGGAACACUUCUACGACAGCACAGGUAUGACUAUCUUGAUUCUGUCAUAAAUUUUUCAUGGAUGUACAUGCAUGACAGAAAACGUGACCUACUGUGACAAACACGUAUCAUCACGGAAGUGUAUUUAUUUGUAGUGGAGGCAAGAAACUGGAAGUCAACACAGCAUUUGAGAUCCCUGAGGACAUUUAUGAAGAAUAUUGUACUCCUGAUGAGGCCAAACAUGGCAAGGAGAACAAGAAUCUGCGCUAGGUGCACAUACAAAGGAUAGAGAGGAGAUGGGCAUAGGAAUGGAGGGAGUAUAGAUAUGUCACCCCAAAGUACAUGAAGAAAUUCGCUCUUCACCCUCCUUGACCAAGACCACCUUUGGCACCUGGCCAAGAAGCUGAUCCCAUCAGCCUCAAGCGCGGUGAGGACUAUCCUGAUGAAUGGGAAAAAUGGCAAGCCAAGCUAGCCAAAAUGGCUAAGGAAGCAGUGAGGAAAUUCAAUGAAGACUCUACUGUUGCCGCUGUUGAGGCCUCUGCUAGCAAGCCUAGGAAGGCCAUGGCCAAGAAACCAGCUCACAAGCCCAGUUCUUCGGCAAUGGCCUAACGGCCCAGCUCAUCUAUGCCCUCACGGCAAAUUCCUCAAGCUGCACCAGUUCCUCCGAUUGCAAAGUCCUCAGCUGCUCCGACAAAGUCCUCGGCACAUGUGCAUCUUGCCUCAUGUCAAAGGAUGAUACAUCUCCAACGUAUCUAUAAUUUUUGAUUGUUCCAUGCUGUUUUAUUAUCAAUCUUGGAUGUUUUAUAAUCAUUUUAUAGUCAUUUUAUAUCAUUUUUUGGUACUAACCUAUUGACAUAGUGCCAAGUGCCAGUUGCUGUUUUUUCCAUGUUCUUUACAUCGCAGGAAAUCAAUAUCAAACGGAGUCCAAAUGCCACGAAACUCCAUGAUGGUUUUUUAUGGGCCAGAAGAAAGGCAAUGGGCCCUAGUUGCACCUAGUGGGUGCCCCGAGGGGGGCACAACCCACCAGGGCGCGCCAGGAGGCCCAGGCGCGCCCUGGUGGGUUGUGCCCACCUCGGGUGCCCCCCGGACCGCCUCUUUGCUCUAUAAAUACCACAAUAUUCCAGAAACCCUAGAACAGGCGUUGAAAUAUUCAUCCAGCUGCCGCAGAGUCUAGAAUCACCGGAUCCAAUCUAGACACCAUCACGGAGGGGUUCACCACUUCCAUUGGUGCCUCUCUGAUGAUGCGUGAGUAGUCCUUUGUAGACCUUCGGGUCCGUAGUUAGUAGCUAGAUGGCUUUCUCUCUCUCUCUCUCUCAGUGAAUUCUCAAUACAAUGGUCUCUUGGAGAUCCAUAUGAUGUAACUCUUUUGCGGUGUGUUUGUUGGGAUCUGAUGAACUUUGAGUUUAUGAUCAAUUAUAUCUUUUUAUAUCCAUGAAAGUUAUUUGAGUUUCUUUGAUCUCUUAUAGACUCGUAUUUCUUCUCCGAUAUUUGGGUUUUGUUUAGCCAACUUGAUCUAUUUAUCUUGCAAUGGGAAGAGGUGCCCGGUAGUGGGUUUGAUCUUACGGUGCUCGAUCCCAGUGACAGAAGGGGAAACGACACGUACGUAUCGUUGCUACUAAGGAUAAAAAGACGAGAUCUAUAUCUACCGCCAUAUAGAUAAGCAGAUCUUGUCUACAUCAUGUCCUCGUUCUUAUUGCAUUACUCCGUUUCUCCAUGAACUUAAUACACUAGAUGCAUGCUGGAUAGCGGUUGAUGUGUGGAGUAAUAGUAGUAGAUGCAGGCAGGAGUCGGUUUACUAAUCUUGGACAUGAUGCCUAUGUAAUGAUCAUUGCCUGGAUAUCGUUAUGAUUGUCUGAAGUUCUAUCAAUUUCCCAACAGUAACUUGUUUACCCACUGUUUGCUAUUUUUCUUGAGAGAAGCCACUAGUGAAACCUACAGCCCCCGGGUCUUCUUUCUCAUAUAUUUGCCUUGCGAUCUACUUUUCCUUUGCAUUUUUAGAUAUAUUAAACCAAAAAAUACAAAAAUACCUUGCUGCACUUUAUUUAUUCGCGAUCUAUUAUUUCAAUCUACUACAAUUUACCUCACGUCCGCUUGCCAAUUUCUGGCACCGUUACCCGAAAGGGAUUGACAACCCCUUUAGCACGUCGGGUUGCGAGGUGCUGUUAUUUGUGUGCAGGUGUUGUUUACAUUGUGUUGCUUCAUUCUCCUAGUGGUUCGAUACCUUGGUUUCAUAACUGUGGGAAAUACUCUACUGUCGUUGUGCUACAUCAUCGCUCCCUCUCCGGGGAAAUACCGACGUAGUUCUAGCUACCAAUCAAGGAGAAUUUCUGGCGCCGUUGCCGGGGAGGAUCUUCAACAUAACCAGGUUCCUAAUCACAAAUCUCAUCUCCUUGCAUUUACAUUAUUUGCCAUUUUCCUCUCGUUUUCCUCUCCCCCACUUCACAAAAAUUUGCCGCUUUAUUCGCCUCUCUUUUUCCGUUCGCCGUUUUCUUGCCGGAUCUGUUUAUUGAGUGCAAUCUUGUUGUGUGGUCAUCAUGACUCAAGAGAACACCAAGUUAUGUAAUUUCUCAAAUACCAACAACAAUGAUUUCAUUGGCACUCCGCUUGCUCCUCCCGCCACUAGUGCGGAGACUUGUGAUAUUAAUACCGCUUUGCUGAAUCUUUUUAUGAAAGACCAAUUUUCCGGUACUCCUAAUGAGGAUUGCGCGUCCCAUCUUAAUACCUUCAUGGAGUUAUGCGAUAUGCAAAAGAAAAAAAAUAUGUGGACAAUGAUGUGGUCAAGAUGAAAUUAUUUCCGUUCUCUUUGCAUGAUUCCGCAAAAAAUUGGUUCUCUUCUCUGCCUCGCAAUAGUAUCGAUUCUUGGAACAAGUGCAAAGAUGAUUUUAUCACUAAAUAUUUUCCUCCUGCAAAAAUUAUUUCCCUUAGAACCUAGAUCAUGAAUUUCAAGCAACUUGAACAUGAGCAUGUUGCACAAUCUUGGGAAAGGAUGAAAAUGAUGCUAAGGAAUUGCCCAACUCAUGGGUUAAAUCUUUGGAUGAUCAUACAAUUUUUUUAUGCGGGAUUGAAUUUUGUUUCUCGUAAUCUUCUAGAUUCCGCCGCGGGUGGUACUUUUAUGGAAAUUACUUUGGCUGAAGCAACCAAAUUUCUUGAUAAUAUCAUGGCAAAUUAUUCAAAAUGCCAUACCGAAAGAGCUCCUACUAGUAAAAAAGUUAAUUCGGUUGAAGAAAUUUCUUCUUUGAGUGAUAAAGUUGAUGCUCUUAUGAAAUUGGUUGCUAGUAAAAGUGCUCCUAUUGAUUUUAAUGAUAUGAAUUUAUCUACUUUGAUUGAGCAAAAUAGUGAUGCCAUUGAUGUGAAUUUUAUCUCUAGAAAUAAUUUCAACAACAAUGCUUAUAGAGGUCAUUUUAAUCCUAGACCUUUUCCUAGUAAUUCCUCUAACAAUCAAGGUAAUUCCUAUGGAAAUCAAUCUUACAAUAAUAAUAGGAACACCUCUGAUCUUGAGAAUAAUAUUAAAGAAUUUAUCAACACACAAAAAGUUUUCAACACUUCCAUAGAAGAAAAGGUGAAUAAGAUUGAUGAUUUGUCUAGAAGUGUUGAUAGAAUUGCUCAUGAUGUGGAAAAUCUCAGGAUGAAAUUUUUUGUGCCUAAAGUAGAUGAAUCAAUUAAAGCUCUUUAUGUUUAUAUGGAUGAAAGUAAGAAAAGAACUGCUAUGCUUAGAACUAAAAGAGAAUUUUUAGAAAAAUCUUUUUCUAGUGAUUAUUCUUGCAAAAGCGAUGAAGAUCUUAAAAUGGUUGGUGUUUCUUCUAUUGAUUCCUUGUUUAGUAAAGUUAAGAAUGAUGAAAAAGGGACUAGAGAAGAGUCAACUUUAAGUAUAAGACGUCCCAAUAUUUCGGAGGGUGAAAAUCUUGUUGAGAAAAUUAACGAAAGUGGGUUUGGAGAGGUCAAAACUUUAGCUAGUGAUGUGCCCACUCUUUUGGAUUACAAAGACUUCAAUUAUAAUAGUUGAUCUUUGAUUGAUUGUAUUUCUUUGUUGCAAUCCAUGAUAAAUUCACCCCAUGCUUAUGAACAAAAUAAAGCUUUUACUAAACAUAUUGUUGAUGCUAUGAUGAAAGCUUUGGAAGAUAAAUUGGAAAUAGAAGUUUCAAUUCCUAGAAAAUUGCUUGAUGAAUGGGAACCCACUAUCAAAGUCAAGAUUAAAAAUUAUGAGUGUUUUGCUUUGUGUGACUUGGGUGCUAGUGUUUCUACAAUUCCGAAAUCUUUAUGUGAUGUGCUUGAUCCUACCAAUCUUGAAGAAUGUUCUUUGAAUUUGCACUUGGCGGAUUCUACUAUUAAAAAGCCUAUGGGAAGAAUUAAUGAUGUUCUUAUUCUUGCAAAUAGGAAUUAUGUGCCCAUAGAUUUUAUUGUUCUUGAUAUUGAUUGCAAUCCGUCUUGUCCAAUUAUUCUUGGUAGACCGUUUUUGCGCACUAUCGGUGCCGUGAUUGAUAUGAAAGAAGGCAAUACUAAGGUCCAAUUUCCUUUGAGGAAGGGGAUGGAAAACUUUCCUAGAACUAGAAUUAAGCCACCUUAUGAAUCAAUCAUGAGGGCAUCUUAUGGAUCUCGAACCAAAGAUGACAAAACUUAGAUCCUUGCUUUAUGCCUAGCUAAGGGCGUAAAACUAUAGCGCUUGUUGGGAAGCAACCCAAUGAAUAAUUUUUUUUUUUGCUUUUUGCUUUCUGUUCUCGAGUGUUUAUACAAUUAUGCUAAUUUUAUUAUUGUGUUUUUUGUGUUUUAAUUAGAGUUUGUGCCAAGUAGAACCAAUAGGAUCUUCUUGGGUGAUAGUUGUUUGAUCUUGCUGAAAAAGAUAGAAACUUUGUGCUCACGAAAGUAAUUGUUAAAAUUCACCAGAACGUAAUAAAAUUCUAAUUAUUUUUGCAGAAGAUCAAUAUACAAAUUAUCUAGGUUUUCCUAGUGUUUCAGAAUUUUUGGAGUUCCAUAAGUAUUCGAACAAAUCAGAUUGCUACAGAAUGUUCUGUUUUGACAGAUUCUGUUUUCUUUGUGUUGUGUGCUUAUUUUGAUGGAUCUAUGGUUUUAUUUGAUGAGUUUUUGCCAUAUAAAAGUUGGAAUACAGUAGAUAUAAUACAAAAACAAAAUAUGAAUUGGUUUGAUACACCACUUAUAGUAGUAAUUUAUUUUUCUUACACUAACGGAUCUCACGAAGGUUUUGUUGAGUUUUGUGUGAUUGAAGUUUUCAAGUUUUGGGUUAUCUUACGAUGGAUGAAGGAAGGAUGUAAGAGCCUAAGCUUGGGGAUACCCCGAAAUCCCAAGCCAUUAUCCAAGAAUGAGCAACCAACUAAGCUCGGGGAUGCCCCCGAGUGGCAUCCCCGCUUUCUUCUAACGACCAUCGGUAUUUUACUCGAGGCUAUAUUUUUAUUCGUCACAUGAUAUGUGUUUUGCUUGGAGCGUCUUGUAUGAUAUGUGUCUUUUCUUGUUUUAUUUUGUGUUUUAAGUCAUCAAUCCUUGUUGGACACACCUUUUUGAGAGAGCCAAAAUUAUUUCAUGACUUUGUAGAAUUGUUCUCUAUGCUUCACUUAAAUCUUUUGUGAGCUAGGACUUGCUGUAGUGCUUCACUUAUAUCUUUUUUGAGCACGGUGUGCUUUGUUAUUUUUGAGAAAUUCUCUCUUGCUUCACUUAAAUUAUUUUGAGAGAAAGAAAAUUUGUUAUGCUCAUGAUCUUCACUUAUAUGUGUUUGAGCUUAUGAAAAGCAAGACAUGAAAGUUAGUGCCAAACUGAUAUAUAUCCAAGAAGGAUAAAGUAAAAGAAAAUGUCAUGAAGAUCAUUGGACAAAAUAAACUUGAUUCUUAGUAAUAGUUUUGAGAUAUGAUGAUGUGAUAUGUGAGUUAUGUUGAUGAGUAAUUGUGUUCUAGUAAAAAUAUUGGUGUUAAGAUUUGUGAUUCCCUAUGCAUGCACGAAAGUCAAUAAUCAUGCAAUGAAAAUUAUAUCCUACUUGUGGUGCAUUAUUUGGUGUUAAUUAUGCUUAAUGCUUGCUUAUGAGAUUAUUUGUUUCUUGGUUGGUCGCUUCACAAUCUUUUGCUAGCCUUCAUUUUGCACUAAGUAUGACCUCUACUUGUGCAUCCAAAAUCCUUUAAACCAGUUUUGCCACAUGAGUCCACUAUAUCUACCUAUAAGCGGUAUUCUUUUGCCGUUCUAAGCAAAUUUGCAUGUGCCAUCUCCAAUUUUCAAAAUAAACUUCUCUUUUGUGUGUUUGUUUCGCUCGCGGAACGGUAACGGGUGGCUAAUAUUUUCCAUGGUAGAUGUGUUAUUCUCAAGAUGAGUGUUUAUUCACUUGUCAUUGCACGAGAGUAAGGCAAAGGUUUUAGGGAUGCCCAGUCCCGAAAUGCAAAAAUAUAUUUAAUUUAUGUUGUCAAAUAAUAAAUUCCUUGGAAAGUGUUGGUAUGGAGGGCACCCGUGGAUACGGCUAGCCAUGGAAAGUGGAAGAAUGGUGGAAAAAGGAAUAAACUUUAUUUUCUAUUUGGGAACCGCCUAUGGCAUAUCUAGCAUGGAAAUUGUUCGGAACUCUAAGUCGUUUUCGUUGGUAGGAUGGAUACACCUCCCAAAAUGUUUUUGUCUCUAAUGUUUUGCCGUGAGCUCUGGCACCUCUACAAAUCCCUACUUCUCUCAUAAAAGGCACCAACUAGGAAGCAAUAUGAUCGUGCUCAAUUAUUGGGUGUAGUUAAUAUUCGAGUCUGUUUCAUGAAUGGAUCAAUGUUUGAGCAUGAUGGGCUAGGGAUAACUUAUUUUAGCAUUGAUAUUUUGAAAGGCAUGGUUUCUUGUUGAUAUGCUUGAGUAUCUAAAUUAUUAUGUCAAAACUAGACUAUUGCUUUGAAUCGCAUAAAAGUCCAAAUGUCCAUGCUAUAAAGAAAAGAAUAUGAUAUGAUAUGACAUGAUGAACAACACUCCACAUCAAAAGUUUUGUUUUUAUCACUUACCUACUCGACGACGAGUAGGAGUUAAGCUUGGGGAUGCUGAUACGUCUCCAACGUAUCUGUAAUUUUUUAUUGUUCCAUGCUGUUUUAUUAUCAAUCUUGGAUGUUUUAUAAUCAUUUUAUAGUCAUCCUAUAUCAUUUUUUGGUCCUAAACUAUUGACAUAGUGCCAAGUGCCAGAUGCUGUUUUUUCCAUGUUUUUUACAUCGUAGGAAAUCAAUAUCAAAUGGAGUCCAAAUGCCACGAAACUCCACGAUGAUUUUUUAUGGGCCGGAAGAAAGGCAAUGGGCCCUGGUUGCAACUGGGGGAUGCCCCGAGGGGGGCACAACCCACCAGGGCGCGCCAGGAGGCCCAGGCGCGCCCUGGUGGGUUGUGCCCACCUCGGGUGCCCCCCGGACCGCCUCUUUUCUCUAUAAAUACCACAAUAUUCUAGAAACACUAGAACAGGCGUCGAAAUAUUCAUCCAGCCGCCGCAGAGUCCAGAAUCACCAGAUCCAAUCUAGACACCAUCACAGAGGGGUUCACCACUUCCAUUGGUGCCUCUCUGAUGAUGCGUGAGUAGUCCUUUGUAGACCUUCAGGUCCGUAAUUAGUAGCUAGAUGGCUUUCCUCUCUCUCGCUGAAUUCUCAAUACAAUGGUCUCUUGGAGAUCCAUAUGAUGUAACUCUUUUGCGAUGUGUUUGUUGGGAUCUGAUGAAGUUUGAGUUUAUGAUCAGUUAUAUCUUUGUAUAUCCAUGAAAGUUAUUUGAGUUUCUUUGAUCUCCUAUAUGCAUGAUCUCUUAUAGCCUCGUAUUUCUUCUCUAAUAUUUGGGUUUUGUUUGGCCAACUUAAUCUAUUUAUCUUGCAAUGGGAAGAGGUGCCCGGUAGUGGGUUUGAUCUUACGGUGCUCGAUCCCAGUGACAGAAGGGGAAACGAUACGUACGUAUCGUUGCUACUAAGGAUAAAAAGACGAGAUCUAUAUCUACCACCAUAUAGAUAAAUGGAUCUUGUCUACAUCAUGUCAUCGUUCUUAUUGCAUUACUCCGUUUUUCCAUGAACUUAAUACACUAGAUGCAUGCUGGAUAGCGGUCGAUGUGUAGAGUAAUAGUAGUAGAUGCAGGCAGGAGUGGGUCUACUAAUCUUGGACGUGAUGCCUAUGUAAUGAUCAUUGCCUGGAUAUCGUCAUGAUUAUUUGAAGUUCUAUCAAUUGCCCAAUAGUAAUUUGUUUACCCACCGUUUGCUAUUUUUCUCGAGAGAAGCCACUAGUGAAACAUAUGGCCCCCGGGUCUUCUUUCUCAUAUAUUUGCCUUGCGAUCUACUUUUCCUUUGCAUUUUUAUUCAGUUCUAUUAAACCAAAAAAAUACAAAAAUACCUUGCUGCACUUUAUUUAUUUGCGAUCUAUUAUUUCAAUCUACUACAAUUUACCUCACGUCCGCUUGCCAAUUUCUGGCACCGUUACCCGAAAGGGAUUGACAACCCCUUUAACACGUUGGGUUGCGAGGUGUUGUUAUUUAUGUGCAGGUGAUGUUUACGUUGUGUUGCUUGGUUCUCCUACUGGUUUGAUACCUUGGUUUCAUAACUGAGGGAAAUACUCUACCGUCGUUGUGCUACAUCAUCCCUCCCUCUCUGAGGAAAUACCGACGUAGUUCUAGCUACCAUCAAAGGACCAAUGGCAUCUCAAUUGCCUCAGGAGCUUCUGCAAGUUCUUCAGCUCCUUCGCAGUCCUCAACAGGCCCUACUCUGCUGAAGACUAAGGCUACUACUGGAUGAGGCUCAAGACCAAGUCCUCACAAGAAUCAGGUUUCCUUUCAUGUACCGUCCAGUGAUGACGAAGCUGAUGAUGAAGAACUUGCUGAAAUCAUCAGAGACAGACAGCAAAGGGCCGCUAGAGCCAAAGGAAGUGAACUGCCUCUUCUGCUGGAUCCCAAGUUGAUCCUUGAGUACAUUGAUCUCUGGCACAAGGACCCCAACACUCUUAUGCCUGACUUCAAGCUUACUCCUGGCCAAAGUCACAUGUUGACCGCCUUCAUAGGCAAAGAAAAAUGGAAAUAUGAGAAGGCCAGGUAGCUGAAGAAAGCUCAAUACAAGAAGGAGCGCUUUCUAAAGAAGAAUGUUGUCAAAAUGACAACUGAUGAACUUCUAGCUGCACAAGCUGAGAUCAAAGGGCUCAAUGAUGAAUUCCAAGCCUACCGUGCAGAUUGGCUUGGAGCCAAAGUCAUAUUUGUUAAGAUGGCUGAAAAAUUCACUUCCAAUGUUGCUGCAUCAUCGCAACAUGAAUCUCCUCAGGCUGAAGCCUCUGCUCAGCCCACUGAAGAACAUGCCAGCACCGCUGAUGAAAAUCAGGCUGCUGAUGAAACUGCAAGUACCAGGGCUGAUGAAGCUAUUCCAGCCGCUGAUGAAAUUGCCAGGGCAACCACUAGUGUUGCGCCUGAAGAACAAGCCAGGCCAGCUGAAGCAUCUGUCGCUGCACCUGAAGAAACGGAACAAGCCAGGGUAACUGCAUUACUUGCGCCUGAGGUAAAUGAACCAAUUUCCUCUGCUCCUCCUGCACCAACGCCAAGUCAUGUUCUUCCUUCUGCAUCAGAAGCGAAGAAAACUAAAGCUGCGGAGCGAGCAGCUGUGAAGAAAAGGAAAGCAUAUGCUACCUCAGAGUCUUCAGCACCAAAGAAGAUGAAGACUUUGACGAGCUCGUUUUAAAAUCCCAUUGAUGCUAUUCCUAUUUCUAGCAUGCCAUCAAAGGAAAUCAUUCCCUUUGGUGAGGAUUAUGAGAUCCCAAGCGGAUCUGAUGAAGAUGUUACUUCUGCUGCUUCGUCAGAGCAGUUGGACGAAGAAAUUGAAGUGGAUGAUAUCCCUUCAACUCCUCUAGUAUCAUCGCCUAUGCCUCAAUUCACAGCUGAAGAGGCAGGCGUUGAGGAAAUUGAUGAUAAUGAAGAAGAUGUGGACAUUGGGUGCACUACUCCAGUGCUUGAUGUCUACUACACAACCUUCUUCUUGUAGACGUUGUUGGGCCUCCAAGUGCAGAGGUUUGUAGGACAGUAGCAAAUUUCCCUCAAGUGAUGACCUAAGGUUUAUCAAUCCGUGGGAGGCGUAGGAUGAAGAUGGUCUCUCUCAAACAACCCUGCAACCAAAUAACAAAGAGUCUCUUGUGUCCCCAACACACCCAAUACAAUGGUAAAUUGUAUAGGUGCACUAGUUCGGCGAAGAGAUGGUGAUACAAGUUCAAUAUGGAUGGUAGAUAUAGGUUUUUGUAAUCUGAAAAUAUAAAAACAGCAAGGUAACUAAUGAUAAAACGGUAUUGCAAUGCUAGGAAACAAGGUCUAAGGUUCAUACUUUCACUAGUGCAAGUUCUCUCAACAAUAAUAACAUAAUUGGAUCAUAUAACUAUCCCUCAACAUGCAACAAAGAGUCACUCCAAAGUUACUAAUAGCGGAGAACAAACAAAGAGAUUAUGAUAGGGUACGAAACCACCUCAAAGUUAUUCUUUUGGAUCGAUCUAUUCAAGAGUUCGUACUAGAAUAACACCUUAAGACACAUAUCAACCAAAACCCUAAUGUCACCUAGAUACUCCAAUGUCACCUCAAGUAUCCGUGGGUAUGAUUAUACGAUAUGCAUCACACAAUCUCGGAUUCAUCUAUUCAACCAACACAAAGAACUUCAAAGAGUGCCCCAAAGUUUCUACCGGAGAGUUAAGACAUAAACGUAUGGCAACCCCUAUGCAUAAGUUCACGAGGUCACGGAACUCGCAAGUUGAUCACCUAAACAUACAUCAAGUAGAUCACAUGAAUAUCCCAUUGUCACCACAGAUAAGCACAUGCAAGACAUACAUCAAGUGUUCUCAAAUCCUUAAAGACUCAAUCCGAUAAGAUAACUUCAAAGGGAAAACUCAAUCCAUUACAAGAGAGUGGAGGGGGAGAAACAUCAUAAGAUCCAACUAUAAUAGCAAAGCUCGCGAUACAUCAAGAUCGUUCCACCUCAAGAACACAAGAGAGAGAGAUCAAACACAUAGCUACUGGUACAUACCCUCAGCCCCAAGGGUGAACUACUCCCUCCUCAUCAUGGAGAGUGCCGGGAUGAUGAAGAUGGCCACCGGUGAGGGACCCCCCCCCCUUCGGUAGGGUGCCGGAACGGGUCUAGAUUGGUUUUCGGUGGCUAUAGAGGUUUGCGGCGGCGGAACUCCCAAUCUAGGUUAUGUUCUGGGGGUUUCUGUAUAUAUAAGAGGAUUUGGCGUCGGGAACAAGUCAGGGGGGUCUCUGAGGCGGCCACGAGGUAGGGGGGCGCGCCCAGGGGGGUAGGGCGCGCCCACACCCUCGUGGUGGCCUCGGGACUCUUCUGGUCCAUCUCCGAUGCUCCAUGGGCUUUUGUGGUCCAAAAAUAAGUUCCCUGAAGUUUCAUGUCAAUUGGACUCCGUUUGGUUUUCCUUUUUUGCGAUACUCAAAAACAAGGAAAAACCAGAAACUAGCACUGGGCUCUAGUUUAAUAGGUUAGUCCCAAAAAUCAUAUAAAAUAGCAUAUAAAUGCAUAUAAAACAUCCUAGAAGGAUAAUAUAAUAGCAUGGAACAAUAAAAAAUUAUAGAUACGUUGGAGGCGUAUCAGCAUCCCCAAGCUUAAUUCCUGCUCGUCCUCGAGUAGGUAAAUGAUAAAACGGAAUUUUGAUGUGGAAUGCUACCUAACAUAUUUAUCAAUGUAAUUUUUUUAUUGUGGCAUGAAUGUUCAGAUCCGAAAGAUUCAAGACAAAAGUUUAAUAUUGACAUGAAAAUAAUAAUACUUCAAGCAUACUAACAAAGCAAUUAUGCCUUCUCAAAAUAACAUGGCCAAAGAAAGUUAUCCCUACAAAAUCAUAUAGUCUGGCUAUGCUCUAUCUUCAUCACACAAAGUAUUUAAGCAUGCACAACCCCGAUGACAAGCCAAGCAAUUGUUUCAUACUUUUGAUGUUCUCAAACUUUUUCAAUCUUCAUGCAAUACAUGAGCGUGAGCCAUGGAUAUAGCACUAUAUGUGGAAUAGAAUGGUGGUUGUGGAAAAGACAAAAAGGAGAAGAUAGUCUCACAUCAACUAGGUGUAUCAAUGGGCUAUGGAGAUGCCCAUCAAUAGAUAUCAAUGUGAGUGAGUAGGGAUUGCCAUGCAACAGAUGCACUAGAGCUAUAAGUGUAUGAAAGCUCAACAAAAUAAACUAAGUGGGUGUGCAUCCAACUCGCUUGCUCACGAAGACCUAUGGCAUUUUUAGGAAGCCCAUCAUUGGAAUAUACAAGCCAAGUUCUAUAAUGUAAAAUUCCCACUAGUAUAUGAAAGUGACAACAUAGGAGGCUCUCUAUCAUGAAGAUGAUGGUGCUACUUUGAAGCACAAGUGUGGAAAAAGGAUAGUAACAUUGUCCCUUCUCUCCUUUUCUCUUUUUUUAUUUGGGCCUUCUCCCUUUUUUAUUUGGGCCUCUUUUUUUUUGUCCGGGGUCUCAUCCCGACUUCUGGGGGAAUCAUAGUCUCCAUCAUCCUUUCCUCACUGGGACAAUGCUCUAAUAAUGAAGAUCAUCACACUUUUAUUUACUUACAACUCAAGAAUUACAACUCAAUACUUAGAACAAAAUAUGACUCUAUGUGAAUGCCUCCGGCGAUGUACCGGGAUGUGCAAUGAAUCAAGAGUGACAUGUAUGAAAGAAUUAUAAAGGUGGCUUUGCCACAAAUACGAUGUCAACUACAUGAUCAUGCAAAGCAAUAUGACAAUGAUGGAUCGUGUCAUAAUAAACGGAACGGUGGAAAGUUGCAUCGCAAUAUAUCUCGUAAUGGCUAUGGAAAUGCCAUAGUAGGUAGGUAUGGUGGCUGUUUUGAGGAAGGUAAUGGUGGGUGUAUGGUACCGGCGAAAGUUGCGCGAUACUAGAGAGGCUAGCAAUGGUGGAAGGGUGAGAUUGCGUAUAAUCCAUGGACUCAACAUUAGUCAUAAAGAACUCACAUACUUAUUGCAAAAAUCUAUUAGUUAUUGAAACGAAGUACUACGCGCAUGCUCCUAGGGGGAUAGAUUGGUACGAAAAGACCAUCGCUCGUCCCUGACCGCCACUCAUAAGGAAGACAAUCAAAAAAUAAAUCAUGCUCCAACUUCAUCACAUAAUGGUUCACGAUACGUGCAUGCUACGGGAAUCACAAACUUUAACACAAGUAUCUCUCAAAUUCACAACUACUCAACUAGCAUGACUCUAAUAUCACCAUCUUCAUAUCUCAAAACAAUCAUAAGGAAUCAAACUUCUCAUAGUAUCAAUGCACUUUAUAUGAAAGUUUUUAUUAUAUCCCUCUUGGAUGCCUAUCAUAUUAGGACUAAAUUCAUAACCUAAGCAAAUUACCAUGCUGUUUAAGACUCUCAAAAUAAUAUAAGUGAAGCAUGAGAGUUCAUCUAUUUCUUCAAAAUAAAACUACCGCCAUGCUCUAAAAAGAUAUAAGUGAAGCACUAGAGCAAACGACAAACUACUCCAAAAGAUAUAAGUGAAGAUCAAUGAGUAGUUGAAUAAUUAUGAACUAUGUGAAGACUCUCUAACAUUUAAGGAUUUAAGAUCUUGGUAUAGUAUUCAAACAGCAAGCAAAACAAAAUAAAACGACAUUUCAAGGAUAGCACUCAUCAUGUGAAGAAGCAAAAACUUAGGCUCAACCGAUACUAACCGAUAAUAGUUGAAGAAGAAAGGUGGGAUGCCUACCGGGGCAUCCCCAAACUUAGAUGCUUGAGACUUCUUGAAAUAUUAUCUUGGGGUGCCUUGGAAUCCCCAAGCUUGAGCUUUUGUGUCUCCUUAAUUCCUCUCAUAUCACGGUUUCCUAAAUCUCGAAAGCUUCAUCCACACCAAACUCAACAAGAACUCGUGAGAUAAGUUAGUAUAAACCAAUGGAAAAACCUUAUUAUUUUCUACUGUAACAAAUCACUAAAAUUAUUAUUCAAAAUUGCAUACUAAAUGCCUCUGCAUAUUUAAUACUCCUAUCCUCAAAUAGAAUCAUUAAACAAGCAAACAUAUGCAAACAAUGCAAACAUAACAGCAAUCUGCCAAAACAGUACAGUCUGUAAAGAAUGCAAGAUUCAUCAUACUUCCCUAACUCCAGACAUUAUGAAAUUCUACCACACUGUAGAAAAUUUAUCACAGCUUAUUAUGCAAAAAGUUUCAACAUUUUAUCAUAUUCUGACUUUUCUAGGGAAUUUUUGCAACAGCGGUAAACUUUCUGUUUUGAAACAGCAACAUGUAUACUUGCAAAAUAAGCAUGGUAAUGGCUAUCCUUGACAUUUUUAUUAAAAAUAGAGAUGCAAAACAUUAUUAUAAAUAACAACAAGAAAAUACUAACAAAAUAAAAUGACGCUCCAAGCAAAACACAUAUCAUGUGGUGAAUAAAAAUAUAGGUCCAAGUAAAGUUACUGAUGAACGAAGACGAAAGAGGGGAUGCCAUCCGGGGCAUCCCCAAGUUUAGGCUCUUGGUUGUCCUUGAAUAUUACCUUGGGGUGCCCUCGGCAUCCCCAAGCUUAGGCUCUUGCCGCUCCUUAUUCCAUAGUCCAUCGAAUCUUUACCCAAAACUUGAAAACUUCACAACACAAAACUCAACAGAAAAUCUUAUGAGCUCCGUUAGUAUAAGAAAAUAAAUCACCACUUAGGUACUGUUGUGAACUCAUUCUAAAUUCAUAUUGGUGUAAUAUCUAGUGUAUUCCAACUUCUCUAUGGUUCAUACCCUCCGAUACUAAUCAUAGAUUCAUCAAAAUAAGCAAACAACACAUAGAAAACAGAAUCUGUCAAAAGCAGAACAGUCUUUAGUAAUCUGCAUCAAACGCAAACUUAUGGACCUCAUAAACAUCUUCCAAAAUAGGACGACUUAGAUAAUUUGUUUAUCUAUCUACUGCAAUUGGAAUCAGUAUUUUAUCACGUUCUGGUGAUUUUUAACAAUUUUUUUCGUGAGCAGAAAGUUUCUGUCUUUUUUCAGCAAGAUCAAAUAACUAUCAUCCAAGAAGAUCCUAUAGGUUUUACUUGGCAAAAACACUAAUUAAAACAUAAAACCACAUAUAACCAGAGGCUGGAUCAAAUAUUUAUUACUAAACAGAACAAAAAAGCAAGAAACAAAAAUAAAAUUGGGUUGCCUCCCAACAAGCGCUAUCGUUUAACGCCCCUAGCUAGGCAUGAUGAUUUCAAUGAUGCUCUCAUAAAAGAUAAGAAUUUAAACAUAAAGAGAGCAUCAUGAAGAAUAUGAAUAGCCCAUUUAAGUCUAACCCACUUUCUAUGCAUAGGGAUUUUGUGAGCAAACAACUUAUGGGAACAAUAAUCAACUAGCAUAGGAAGGCAAAACAAGCAUAACUUCAAAAUUUUCAACACAUAGAGAGGAAACUUGAUAUUAUUGCAAUAUGUAGAAGCAUAUGAUCCUCUCUCAUAAUAAUUUUCAGUAGCAUCAUGAUUGAAUUCAACCAUAUAACCAGCACAUAAAUCAUUCUUUUAAUGAUCUACUUGCAUAGAAAUUUUACUACUCUCCACAUAAGCAAAUUUAUUCUCAUCAAUAGUAGUGGGAGCAAACUCAACAAAAGAACUAUCAUGUGAAGCAUAAUCCAAUUGAAAAUUAAAAUCAUGAUGACAAGUUUCAUGGUUAUCUUUAUUAUUUAUAGCAUACGUGUCAUCACAAUAAUCAUCAUAAAUAGGAAGCAUGCUUUCAUCAUAAUAAAUUUGCUCAUCAAAACUUGGGGGACUAAACAUAUCAUCUUCAUCAAACAUAGCAUCCCCAAGCUUGUGGCUUUGCAUAUCAUUAGCAUCAUGGGUAUUCAAAUAAUUCAUACUAACAACAUUGCAAUCAUGCUCAUCAUUCACAUAUUUUAUGCCAAGUAUUCUAUGUAAUUCUUCUUCUAGUACUUGAGCACAAUUUUCCUUCCCAUCAUUUUCAUGAAAGAUAUUAAAAAGAUGAAGCAUAUGAGGCAACCUUAAUUCCAUUUUUUAUAGUUUUCUUUGAUAAACUAAACUAGUGAUAAAACAAGAAACUAAAAGAUUCGAUUACAAGAUCUAAAGAUAUACCUUCAAGCACUCACCUCCCCGGCAACAGUGCCAGAAAAGAGCUUGAUGUCUACUACACAACCUUCUUCUUGUAGACGUUGUUGGGCCUCCAAGUGCAGAGGUUUGUAGGAUAGUAGCAAAUUUCCCUCAAGUGGAUGACCUAAGGUUUAUCAAUCCGUGGGAGGCGUAGGAUGAAGAUGGUCUCUCUCAAGCAACCCUGCAACCAAAUAACAAAGAGUCUCUUGUGUCCCCAACACACCCAAUACAAUGGUAAAUUGUAUAGGUGCACUAGUUCGGCGAAGAGAUGGUGAUACAAGUGCAAUAUGGAUGGUAGAUAUAGGUUUUUGUAAUCUGGAAAUAUAAUAACAGCAAGGUAACUAAUGAUCAAAGUGAGCACAAACGGUAUUGCAAUGCGUUGAAACAAGGCCUAGGGUUCAUACUUUCACUAGUGCAAGUUCUCACAACAAUAAUAACAUAACUGGACCAUAUAACUAUCCCUCAACAUGCAACAAAGAGUCACUCCAAAGUCACUAAUAGUGGAGAACAAACGAAGAGAUUAUUGUAGGGUACAAAACCACCUCAAAGUUAUUCUUUCGGGUCAAUCUAUUCAAGAGUUCGUAAUAGAAUAACACCUUAAGACACAUAUCAACCAAAACCCUAAUUUCACCUAGAUACUCCAAUGUCACCUCAAGUAUCCGUGGGUAUGAUUAUAUGAUAUGCAUCACACAAUCUCAGAUUCAUCUAUUCAACCAACACAAAGAACUUCAAAGAGUGCCCCAAAGUUUCUACCAGAGAGUCAAGAGAUAAACGUGUGCCAACCCCUAUGCAUAAGUUCACGAGGUCACGGAACUCGCAAGUUGAUCACCAAAACAUACAUCAAGUAGAUCACGUGAAUAUCCCAUUAUCACCACAGAUAAGUACAUCAAGUGUUCUCAAAUCCUUAAAGACUCAAUCCGAUAAGAUAACUUCAAAGGGAAAACUCAAUCCAUUACAAGAGAGUAGAGGGGGAGAAACAUCAUAAGAUCCAACUAUAAUAGCAAAGCUCGCGAUACAUAAAGAUUGUACCACCUCAAGAACACGAGAGAGAGAGAGAGAGAUCAAACACAUAGCUACUGGUACAUACCCUCAGCCCCGAGGGUGAACUACUCCCUCCUCGUCAUGGAGAGCGCCGGGAUGAUGAAGAUGGCCACCGGUGAGGGAUCCCCCCUUCGGCAGGGUGCCGGAACAGGUCUAGAUUGGUUUUCAGUGGCUACAGAGGCUUGCGGCGGCGGAACUCUCGAUCUAGGUUAUGUUCUGGGGGUUUCUGUAUAUAUAAGUGGUUUUGGCGUCAGGAACAAGUCAGGGGGGUCUCCGAGGCGGCCACGGGGUAGGGGGGCGCGCCCAGGGGGUAGGGCGCACCCCCCACCCUUGUGGUGGCCUCGGGACUCUUGUGGUCCAUCUCCGACGCUCCGUGGGCUUUUCUGGUCCAAAAAUAAGUUCCAUGAAGUUUCAUGUCAAUUGGACUCUGUUUGGUUUUCCUUUUUUGCGAUACUCAAAAACAAGGAAAAGACAGAAACUGGCACUGGGCUCUAGGUUAAUAGGUUAGUCCCAAAAAUCAUAUAAAAUAGCACAUAAAUGCAUAAAAACAUCCUAGAAGGAUAAUAUAAUAGCAUGGAACAAUAAAAAAUUAUAGAUACGUUGGAGACGUAUCAGUGCUGAAUGAUGACAAUUGGGAAAGUCAUCACCCCAAUUCACCCAUGUUCACCCCACUACAACAGAUUACUCAGUCCCUAGUUCAUACUGAAGAAAUUCAAAUGGGCUCUGAUGAACAUUAAGCCUCACUGCUCACCAUCCCUGAAGUAAUUCCAACCGCUAGUGCGGAUGCUCAUGCUGCUAAAGAAGUGGAGACCCAGGCUGCCACUGAAAAUGUUGAUUCUGAAAUUCCUUAGCCUGCGGCUCCUGAGACUAUGAUUCCUCAGGCUGUGAAGACAUUAAUUGAUACUCCUCAGCCCAAUCCAAAGAAUCCCUUCUCAAAGAAGCAGAAGUUCAAAGCUGAUGACUUCUUUCACGAGCAUGUAUUCUUCACUGACUUCAACCCCUAUGACUCUGCUCGUCUUUGCUGCAAGCGUUUCUGGACAACAAGCCACAUGAAUUUUUAUUCUUCUCUGCUGUUCAACAAAGACAAGAUCUUCGACCAUGAGCAUAUUCCUCAUGUGGAUAUGGAAUCACUGCCCUGCUUCACCCCAGUCCUUAGUGGUCUUCAUGAUGCUGGGCUGCUCAAUUUUUGCACUGACAUCGUUGACUGGAAUGAAGAGCUAAUUCUUCAGUUCUAUGCUACAUUGCACAUCACCGGCAACGCUGAAGAUGUGAAUUCAUGGGUGCUGGACUGGAUGACAGAGAACAUGCACUAUAAAGCACCGGCCUCUGAAUUGCUUCAUGCCCUGCCUGUCAGUCCUCCCCUUGAAGGUGUGCAGCUCAUCUAUCAUGAACCUGAGCUAUCUGAUCAUUAUAUGCAAGUGUUGAUGAAGCCGCUGAAGCCUGGUCAAGCCCCCAGAAGCAAAUUCCUCGUGAAGGAAUUGCUCUAUGUGCCAAGAACCAUAUACAUGAUUUUGACCAAGACCCUGAGUCCUAUCAAAGGCCACAAUUAUAAUGAAGAAGAAGUUGUUGGCAUCAUGAAGAAUUUGCUAUUCAACAUCAUCCAUGGAGUUCCUGUCAACUUCCAUGAUUUCUUCAUGAGGACUCUGGCGAAUGUUGCAUUGUCACCUUUUGAGUUGAAGCCUUACGCUCCUUGGAUUAUGAGAUUCCUCAGAUCAAGGUCUUCAAUCAAUUACAAGCCUGAUACUCUUAACCAUGACAGCUACUUCCCCCCUAUUGAAGUCCUCAAGCAGACAUUUCCCUCAGAUGAUGAGAAGGGCAAGGCGACUGCGGUUAUUGAUGAAGGCAUUCGUCCAUUGGAUGGACAAUUCCGCAAAGCUGCAUCCUACUCCACCAAUGAUGACUCUGCCGCCCAUGACUAUGCCACCAAUGCUUCUAAGAAAAAUCCACAAGGCACAGCUCCAAGGGUGAUGACUGAUAGUGAGCUUCUCCUCAGUCUACACCAGAAGGUCGAUCGCAACCACAAAUGGGUCAAGAGACAGUUUGGUUCAAUUCUUCAGAACAUGAACAUCACUCAGAAUUCAGUGAAGAAGAACCAUCACUACCUCCAUGAAGUAUUUGAUCGCACCUGGGCUGUUCUAUCUCAUCUCUACGGUGAAGAAGAUCUAAAACAGAUGGGCUUCAAGCAGGACUUUGACUGGUCUCAGCCACCUUUGAAGAAAUUCAAGAAGGUCAAAGUUCCUCACUUGGUGGCCAACUCUUAUUCUUCAUUGCGUGAGACUGAUGAAACUGAAGACUUGGACGACACCGCGGCAGGCCCUACUUCAACAACUGACCCCAACAACGCUGGCGCUCCUCCAUUGACCCAAUGAUGUUAUUCUUCAGGGGCGUUAGUCCUCACUUUUCGCCCCUUUUGGUCAUUCAAUGACAAAGGGGGAGAAAUUUGAGUUAGUCUUCAAUCGGGUCUAUAUAUGGGCGUUUUUUUUUGCUAAGUUACAACUCUCGUUCUUUUGAAACUUUGUUGGGUCGAGUUGUAAUCUUAACUCCGAUGGUUGUCUGAUACUUUUGCUAUGUUCUACUACAUGCUAUUUCCUCAUAUAUGUUAAUGCACGCAUGAUGAAUUACAUCAGUCACCAUAUUUCAUCAUGCAUUUCAAAUUCUUCAUAUCAUAUGUUAAAUGCGUGUAUGAAUUACAAGAUAUAGGGGGAGAUCUCCACGAUUCUACUCUUCAAUGUGCAUUGCUUCAAAAGCAAAUUCCUCACAUAUGCACAUCUUCAGGGGGAGUUCUUCUAUAUCUUGCAAAUCAAAUUCCUCAAUAUCAGUACUUACACUUCAUAUAUUUAUCCCCGUUGAAAACUUAACCUAUAUUGUCAUCAAUCACCAAAAAGGGGGAGAUUGUAAGUGCAUCUAGUGCCCCUUAGUGAUCUUGGUGUAUUGAAGACUUAUAGGUUAAGGGACUAAUGUGUUUGUGAGUGUACAUAGGUCUAUAAAUCUAUAAGGAGUUUGAUAUUUACAGAGAAAGUCGACCCCUAAAGAUGAAUGUCUUCAAAUGAAGACUUUGGCUUUCUGAAGACUUUGAAAGUGAAGAAAUUGGUGUGACCGUGAAGACUUGAUAUUCAUGCGAGGAACAUGAAGCGUGAAGACUUUUGUUUUAUUAGUUUGAUUUUCUCUUUCUUGAGUCAUAGGAAACACCAUACUGUUAAAGGGGGUCGAGGAAAAACUAAGGAAAAGUUUCCAAGUGAUGCUCAACUCAAAAUCCUACACCUACCAAUCCCUUCGAGUGUAGCCAUUGGAAAUCUCAUACAGUUCAGUCAAUUUCUUUAGUGACAGAGACGAAGUUCUUCUGGUCUCUGAGGAAUUUGUUCUGACUGAGGAGUUAGGAAUUCACCAGUGCGGAUUGCCUACAAGUGAGGAACAUGAUAGCCCUAAGGAAUUUGAACCUCAAAUUUCCGACCGUUGCUGUGCUAUGCGCCAGUUGUCCCAAAAUAUCUUAUCCAUCUAAUGGUCAUAUCAUUGAAGGGCAUUUAUGUCUUAUCAUGUCGGGCUACUCCCUAGGCUAUAAAUAGCCGCCCCCUACAACCACUAGCUGGUUGGCUGCUCCGAGAGAAACUGACACUUAUCAUUGGGAGCAUCCCAUCCUCCGAGGACUUUGAGCGAAAAUCAUCAAGUGAGGAAAACCCAAACCCAAACACCUAUAAACCCAAAGUGAUUGAGCAUCACUGAAGAGAUUGUUCCUGUGUGGAUCCGACACUUGUUACCUUUGAAGACUAUGCAUCUUCCAGACGGUUAGGCAUCAUGGUCUAGAGCUUCCAAGAGGAAAUUGUGGAUCGCCGAGUGACCGAAUUUGUGAAGGUUUGGAAGUCACCUGAAGACAUACCACGAGUGAUUGGGCGAGGUCUGUGUGAUCUUAGCUCAAGGAGAAUACGGUGAGGACUGUGUGUUCGGGACUGUGUGUCCUCGGGUUUAAAUACCUAGCCGCUCCAACCAGACGUACAACUGUCACAGCAGUUGGAACUGGUCUACCAAAUCAAUAUCUUCACUGAGCUAACUGGUUCUAUUUCCUCAACCCUUCCAUUUCCUCAUUACUGUGUUGUGUACUUGAUCGUUACUGUUUGAAGACUUUGACUGAAGACUUUCUCAAUUUCCUUAGUUCAAUUUCUGCAGUCAGUUUGUCUUCAGCCGGCUUAUCCUGUGCUUACGCUUUCUGUACUACGUGCUUGUUCUCAUUUCAUCAUGAUGAUUGUGCUUCUGUUCUGUUAUGCUUGCAUCUGAGUACUUAUUCCGCUGCUAGUCAUUCGUGACUUAGGAAUUUCCUCACUGUGAAUUUCCUCAGUGACGAAUUUGUAAAAAAAAUCGCCUAUUCACCCCCCCUCUAGUCGACUUAACGCACUUUCAGUUCUAGUUGAUGUGACAACUGUACGUCUGGUUAGGGAGGCUGAGAUUGAACUCAGAAGACCACAUCUUCACCUUAUUCCCCUUGAGCUAAGGACACUUAUUCCUCGCCCAAUAACUCUGGUAAGUCUUCAAGGUAGACUUCCAAACCUUCACAAAUUUUGUUCGCGGGCGAUCCACAAUGACUCUUGGAUCCUCAGAACACGACGCCUAACCGACUAGAAGAUACACAGUCUUCAAGUGUAAUAAGUCUUCAGAUCACGCGGACAGAAAGACUUCAGUGAUGCCUAACACUCUUUGGCUCUGGGUGUUUUGGGCUUUAUCCUUGCAAGGAUUAUGUCUCAAAGGCUUCAGAGGUGGGUUGCUCUCAAACGACAAAAUCCGUGCACUAACUCUGAGCAGCCACCAAUUUAUGGUGUAGGGGGUGGGCUAUUUAUAGUGAGGAGGCAACCCGACAAGAUAUGUCCGAAAUGACCCUGGGUCACUAAGGAAGCGACACGUGUCCAACGGUCGGAUUUCACACGCGACAGCUUGACUUGGGCUACAAGCCAAGAUGACUCAUCCAACUCUGGAUAAGAUUUACUCUCAUUGUCUUCACUCGAAGACAUAGGAUUUGGGUUGGGCAUCACGUCAGUCUUCUAACUUUGUUCACCUGGACCCCACUUAACAGUUCGGUGGUUCCUAUGACUCAAGAAAGAAAAAAAAUGAAACUACGAAAUAAACUAUGUCUUCGCACUCCAUAGUCUUAAGGUGAAUGUCUUCACACCUCAUUAUCUUCAACGUGAAUGUCUUCAUGAACCACCAUUGUCUUCAAUGUCUUCAUACAUUUUUAGGGGUCAUCUCUGGUAGGUAAACCGAAUCAAUGAGGGACUUCUACCUAUGUUAUUCUGCUAUUCUCACAAACACAUUAGUCCCUCAACAAUGUUUGUCGUCAAUACUCCAAAACCAACUAGGGGUGGCACUAGAUGCACUUACAAUCUCCCCCUUUUUUGGUGAUUGAUGACAAACUGGUUGAAGUUUUCAAUGGGAUAAAAAUAUAUGAAAGUUAAAGAACAUGGUCAUUAGCUUCAUGAAGUUGAAGGGGCUCCCCCUGAAGAUGUGCAUAUAAGUAGUUUGGCUUUGAAUGCAAAUGCACAUUGCAGGUUUUGUUUUGUGGAGAUCUCCUUCAAUUCUUGGAGUCAAUUCAUCGUGCAUACAAAAAUUGCAAUGAAGAUAAUGACACGCACAAUGAAAAAUGGGCGUCUGCAGAAUGACUUCAUGUGGAAUUUAGCCUCACAAUAAAGAGUAGCAGCAAAUGUAGCAGACGUCCCAUUUGUACUUAUAAGUGUUACAACUCAAAACCAACAGUUCAUGAACGAGAGUUGCAAAAUUAACAAAAAUAGGCACCCGACCCAUAUAGACCCGCUUGAAAACUAUCAACUCAUAUGCUUCUCUCCCUUUUGUCAGGAAUGACCAAAAAGGAGUGAAGACAUAGAGUGUCUAAGCGUUCCCGUGAGGUGUUGGUGAAGAUGUUGGUGCAGCCGGGUCGAUGGUGGAGUUGGGCGAUGCAGAAGGGCCUGAUGCAGAAUCGUGAUGCAGUGAACCCAUGGCUGGUGAAGUGGCGUUGUCCUCCUCAUCAAUGACUCGCACAACAAUAGUUGGAGCCGAAGAUGAGUAGUCAGAAUCUUCAAUGGAUGGUGUAGGACGCCAACUUGCUAACUGUGGAGGCCUGGAGUCAAACUUGAAUCUUUCAGUGAAGCCAUCUGCAGUGAGUUCAUCUUCAGAACAUAGCAGAGUCAGGUCUUCCAGGCAUGCCGACAGGCUUCAUGAGCAACAAAAGAAUUCUUGGUGGAGAGAUUGCAUAUGCGAUUGACAUCCACAAGAAGUCUUUGCAUCUGACGCUUCAUCCAGUCAUGAUGCCUAUCCUGCUUCUGAUGAAGAGAAACUCGAAGCUCUCGGCCAUUGAGCACACGAGCACGCUUCUGAGGCCUUUGAGCUACUGUGCUAGCUGUAGCAUCGGUGGGAUCACGAUGCGGCAGCCUAAACUGACCGACGAGAGGACCAGCAGCAGUAGGUGGAUUCGGCACAUGAGUGGCUUCAAGUGGUGCUAGAAGCUUUGAAAUGCAGCAUUGCCUUCACGAACUGGUUCAUUGACAUGCUUGGGAUAAAUGGCUUCAUGAUACAUAUCCACUUCAGGCAGAAAGACAACAUGAUUGUGCGAUGAAGCUUGAUAGUUGAUGGUGGAGUGAAGAUUGAUCAGCCGCAUAACCCGUGGUGCAUAGAAUUUGAGGCUAGAGAGAUCAAUGCUUGAAGCUGCCAACUGACGGAUGAAGAAAUCUUGAGUGUUGAAGUGGAUGCCGUUGAGAAUGUAGAAGACCAAUGUCUUCAUGGUGCCUUCAAUCUUGGCAUGUGGAGACUGCCCUUUGAUUGGCCAUAGAGUAUGCCUCAGAAUAUGGUAUAUGGUGCGGGGCAAGUACUCGAGGUCAUUGAAAAAGAAUUCCUUGGGGUACUCUGCCUCUACUGGCAAUGGCUUCAUCAUGCUCAUCAUUUGACUCAUGUUGGGCUCUGUCUUCUGGAAGAUGCUUUCAAGUUCAUGUUCAUAUCGCUGAGAACCUGGCUCAUAGAGAUCACCAGGAGUGGGCAGGGAAGUAAGCUCGAUGAUGUCUCGAGCUUUGGCUUCAUGGUGUACAUCGCCUAACAUCCACUCAAGGACCCAUGUCUUCGGACCCCUGUUGUAGCCUGAGAUAUGAAGGGUGGCAUAAAAUUGAAGCAAGAGCUCUUAAUUCCAGUGCUCCUUGUCGAAGACAACAAAAGGGAGCAGACCAACUUCACGAAAGCAAUCAAGGGCUUCUUCAAGGCAUGGCAGUCCAGCAAUGGCAUCACAACACAGGCGCUUGUGAGGGAAGAUCCUGUCCUGGUUGUACAAGAUGCAUGAGUAAUAGCUUCUUUGCUGAUGACUCUAGAACCUGUCAGAAGAGAUCUUGGGCUUCUUGUAGGGAUUCUUGGCCUUGUCAAAGAAUGUGUUGUGCUCUCUGAAGCUUAAGACACUGAAUGAGCCCUGAGUGGUGGCAGCACUAGGAAGCCUUGGCAUUCUUGGCUUUGGCUUCUGCGUCUAAGGCCUUUGCUCGAUAUGGUAAUCAUAUUGUGGGCCAUGAGCUUCAGGAGGUGUCAUAAUCGGCCAUCUGACACUGAUCAGCGCACCUUCACAGUUGAAGGCCCUUCCAUAGUGUGUGGUAUGGGUGGAGUAACAGCAACAUCCGAGGUGGAUGGUUGAAUGUCCUCCGUGGCAUCAAGGGCUUCAGUCUAAAGAUGGGCUUCAGGCUGCGCAUUGUCUUCAGCCAUGACAAUGUCAUUGGCUUCAGUAGGAGUGGCAGCAGUAGCAGCAUCCGCAGUGGCUUCAGGANNNNNNNNNNNNNNNNNNNNNNNNNNNNNNNNNNNNNNNNNNNNNNNNNNNNNNNNNNNNNNNNNNNNNNNNNNNNNNNNNNNNNNNNNNNNNNNNNNNNNNNNNNNNNNNNNNNNNNNNNNNNNNNNNNNNNNNNNNNNNNNNNNNNNNNNNNNNNNNNNNNNNNNNNNNNNNNNNNNNNNNNNNNNNNNNNNNNNNNNNNNNNNNNNNNNNNNNNNNNNNNNNNNNUCGGGAAUCACACUUGGUGCAGUAGGGUAAUAACAACUUCUUCUUCUUCUUCUCUUUCCUUGGCUGAUGCAGCCGGAAUAUCUUCAGCCUCUUUGGCUUCAGACUCUUGAGCAGACUCUGAGGGGAUGGAUUCAGGAACACUUGACGUGCUACUGAGCUUGUGGCUUGCACAUCCUCUUCAGGAAUGCUAGACAUGGAGACUAUUGGCCUUGGGCCUAGGGGAAGCCUUCGAAAAGAAGGCGACGCCUGCGAUGUGGGAGUGGUCUUCACCAUGUCUUCGGGGGUUUCUUGGGGAGUCUCAAGCACUGGAGUAGUGACUUGAGCUGGUGGAGUGCGUGGAAUGACUUCAUGGAGCGGGGUGUUGGGGUGUUGCUCUUCUCAGAAAUCAUCUUGAGUGAUUGGCGUUGGGGGACCGUCAAUGCUGAUCUGUUCACUGCUCGUGGGAGCAGGCGAUGAGACCGGUUUUGGCAUGAUCUGGGGAACCUGAGGAAGGACUUCAUCAUCAACCAUUGUCUUCACGACCAAUGUCUUCAGCUGCGGUGGUGUCAACGGCUAGGAUUUCUUCGGAUUCUUGAGCCUCUGUGGUAGCAGGCUCAUGCACAACAAGACGAUGCUCGCGGUUGGAGGAGGCUGGUAAGUCAACUGAGAUGGGCUCAACUAGCAGUGGCUCUUCAGGAGCAGAUAAGGCAGUUGGUGCUUGGGCCCUUCUUGAAACCUUAGAAGGCUUUGUCUUCAGCCUUUUCUGAGAUGGAGCGGCAUCAGAGGUUUCUUGAUGCUUGUGCUUCUUGGCUUCAGCCUCAGCCUGCUUCCUUUUCUUCCUCUCAGAAGCAGUAGAUGGGACCUUAGGCUUCGAGCCAGUCAUGCUGGUAAGGAAGACAAUGGUAGGUCUUUCCUACCUUGGAGCCUCAGCUGGCUUCUUCUUCUUGGCGGGCAACCGUGGGUCAAUGCCGGGACGCCCAAGGGCCUUUCUCUUCAUGGCUUCAUUGUGAGCAUGUACACAUUUCUCAGCAUAGUACUUGAGGUGUUCUCGGGAGCCUUUGCCUUCAUCGUGACGCUUAUGGAAUUUAGCCUUGAGAUCUGCCAUCAUCUUCUGGAAGUUCUGUACAUCAGUGACACUGAGCUUGGCCAUGUGCUUCUUGAAGAGAGCUUUCUCAUGGUCAAACUUGUUCUUCUGCUCAACGACCUUCUGAGCAAUAGCAAGCUCUUUAGCUAUGCAGCCCUGGAAUGUGAUGCUGAUGUCAAUUGGCAUAUGUAGAUCAUCAAUGGUGAGAGUUGUAUCUUCAAACAAUUCAUCGAUGAAGUUGUUUAAAAUGUCAGUAUCAAACAGAGGCAAAUCUCUGAAGAUUUCAGCCUCCUGUUUGCUCCUGAUCAGCAUCUCAAGGGCAUCAACAGCAAAAUCUUCAUCACUUGAUAGAUCUAUUACACCCUCUUCAUUGUGCAGGAUGCUUGCAGGUGUGAGGCCUUGCCCUGAGAUCUUCUUCUUCCUCGCAGAUGUGCGGGAUAAGUCUUCAGAGUGCACAUUGGAUUCGGGAGGUGCAAAUUUCAAUGGCUUCACUCUUGAAGCUUUUGGUGCAGCAGAAGUGUUUGAAGCAUUUGACUUCUUCACUGGCUUCGGGGGCUCUGGAGCUGCAGUCUGUUCGUCAUCUUCAGCAGCAUCUUCAACACUGGCUCUUUGUGCUGCACAAUGUGCCAGAAAUGAGUCGAAGUCAUCGAAUGGGCCAAUGAGAUUUUGUUCGGCCUCACGACUACCAUCGGGCCUUGGUGCAGCUGGACCUGGGUUGAAAUCAAUCCUAAAUUCCUUGUUUUGAACUACUGAAGCUUUAGCAAAUUGGAGAUUGGCUUCAAACAGAUCAUCCUCACGACACCAUCAAAGACUAGAUGGGUCGGCAUUCUCUGGCAUUGGUCCUCUGACCAUACAAGGAAAGAAGCCUCUCUGAAUGGCUUCAGCCUUGGCCUUUUGAUGUAGUUUCUUGUACACAAUAUCAGCCCAGGGUGGCCUCACAACAUUUUUGGCCGCGUACUCUCGAGUCACAAAGUGGUACAGGAACCACUGCUCUGCCCAAUAUAUUCAAAUCCAUUGGACGCGAGAUUUGUGCUCACCAUAGCUCUCUUCAGGAUCAGGCUUAUACAGUUCAUAGAGAUCUGGUGGCAGGUCUUUUGCAGUGUUAUCACGGUGCUAUUUGCCACCUUUCUUUGCAGAUUUUCCACUGGCCAUUGGCUUCACAAGACUGAAAGGCUUCAUAGCGGUGUUAGGCUUCGCUCUGCUUGUCAGACAAGAAUUGGGUUCAGGCGAUUCAAUAUGAUGCUGUAAGAAUUCUACAAAUGAAUGCAUACUAUGAGAACCAAGAGACUCCCACCACUACUAGGGAAAAGCCUAGCAGUAGCGCGGGGUGCCGCGCUACUGAUAAGGCGCUACAACUAACAUGUAGCAGUAGCACAUGUUGUCCCACGCUACUGCUAUACAUGGCUAGCAGCAGCGGGCUUCAGUGGAACGCGUUGCUGCUAAUAGCUGCAGCGCUUUUAACUAGGGCGUGCUACUGGUAAGAGAGCGAUACUGCUAACUUUAUUCCCCUCGCUACUGCUAGUUUUAUUAGUUUCUGUUUUUUCUGCAUAUCUGUUUUGUAUUUGAACAAACUUUAUACAAUAAUCUUUAGCAUAUCAUACACAUACAAAUGUAAUCAUAGCAUAUACAUACAAAUAGUCUCAUCAAAUCAUGUCAUCAUCAUAAUCAUCAUCCAACACAAAGUGGUCUCUCAUCAUCAUCUCAAAAAUAGCGAUACAAGUCUCUAUUACUUGCAACUACAUCGUCAUCCAUCUAAACAAUGAUAUACGUAGUACAUGAGUUUGUAUCCCUAUCACGCAUUAGCGUGAACCUAAACUAACUAUUGGCUGUCGCUCGGAAACCGGAAACCGGUACACCGGGGCCUGACACUCCAGCUCGUCGUAUACUCCUGGCGUAGCACUUCUUCGUCAUCGAUGAUCUAUGCACCUGCAUCGUCACAUGAGUCGAUGAUAUGCAACAUAUAUAGUUGAGCAACAGAAAGAGACAGACUUGGCAAAAAUAGAAGCAACAUAUCAUAAGCAUAAAUAACAAAGUUCAUCGUACCCAAAAUGCCCUAACUAGAGUGAUCUUCGCUAGUUGAGGAGGACGGUUUAAUUACAUCACAAAUAAAGUUUCAUCAUGCAUAACUCAAAGUUUCGUCAUUUGGAAAGUAUGGACUAAACGGACACAUUGUCAUAUAUCGACAAUCACUCCAACAUGUCGUGCCAUCCAUCCAAGUCAGGGAGAUAGUCCCCGAGCUUAGUGAAAGGCUUCAGGUCGAGACGUUGAGCGGCUACACGUGUCUUGUCAUGCAUCUGUUUGCUUGUAUUUACUGUUUCUCCCCCCUCUUCUCUUCGGUAGACCCCGAGACCGCUGCUGAUGCCCCUGUGAUCGACUACGACGACGAUGAACCUUCUUCCCUUCCAGGCAAGCCCCCCCCCUUGAUCAUCCCGAUAUCGCCCAUUCCAUUCCCUCAUGCUUGCAUUAGAUUUUGCUACUGUAAUUGAUUGCUCCUAUUCUGAUGCAUGACCUGCUUUUGUAACCUGCUUAUUGUUACCUACCUGCUUAUCCUAAACUGUUUAGUAUAGGUUGGUUAGUGAUCCAUCAGUGACCCCCACCUUGUCCUUGUUGCCCCUGCUUCAUCAUUGAAGACUCGAUCAACGGGAUCGAAGACCAGGCCCCGGCACCGCACAUCACUUUCCCCUUGGUUGCUCGACACUACUGGGUUACUAUUGAGUGCCGAGGGUGAGACCUCUACAACACUUCUGAUGUUAACCCUGUAGUGUAGUUAUUCGGUCGUGGUCAUCGAGGGUGAUUACACCUUAACCACUUCCGAUAUGACUCUGUCGUGCAACCCCUCAAGUGUGAACCUCGGGGGUGGUUCCUCUUACGUUCACCUUGAUGAUUACAUCGAGUGGAAUCCACCGGGGGUGAUUCCUCGGGUUUUCCCCUUGAUGUUUGGACACACAGUUACUAUGGUUACUAUGACUUUACACUGAACCAUGUUACUAAAGACGGGUCGGCCCUGAGGAGUACCCGCGCGAGCUUAAUUGCGAGUGAUGUGGAGAUGGUUUGACCUGGAGGGUGCCCGCGAGAUAAUUACGAGGCGUGGUCGGGCAUUCUUAGCCCUUGCCGCAAGUCCUCGAGACGGGGCAAUGGGGUCACAUCUUUCGUGAGUCUCUGCUUGUUACCGCGCGUUCCUAAUCCACUACGAUUUGGAUAUUUGAUCCGAGGGGCCUCUGGCCUGAUAGCACUAACCAUCACGUGGGCAUAGUAUGGGCGUUCUGCAUCGUAUGCAUUAGCCGAAGCUUAAUAGACGUCAGCGACUGAGCGGCGCGUGCCGGGUUGGACUGCGUAAGCACCUGCCUUGUUGAAGGAGGUAGCUAGGUCUGCUCACCGGCCGCGUACGCAACGUGCAGGAGUUCCCAGGGAGAUGGACCAUGACCCCUGGGGGCAUAGGUUUAGUCCGGCGUGCUGACCUCUCUAUUAAGCCUAGGUCGGGUUGCGGCGUAUUGUUUGGCCGAGGCCGGGCAUGACCCAGGAAAGUGUGUCCGGCCGGAGUUAAGCGAGCGUGGUGGGUAAGUUGGUGCACCCCUGCAGGGAAGAAAACAUCUAUCGAUAGCCCGUCCUACGGUGACGGACACUUGGAGUUGUAUCCCGAUUGAUACAACUAGAACUAGAUACUUGUGAUGAGAAAUGGAUUGUGAUGAUAACUGGAUAGUAUGGCUCUGGGAUUGCUUUCUCGCAGGGAGUCGAGAAAGGAUCUCUGGCCGAGGUUGAUAACACUACUACUACUUUACUUUAUGCUAAUCUACUCCCUCCUGUUGCUGCAAGAUGGUGGUUUCCAGAAGAUGCUAGUCUUUGAUAGGACUAGGUUCUCCCCUCUAUUCUGGCAUUUCUGCAGCCUAGUCCACAUAUACAGCCUUCCUUUGAUAAUGUUGCAUAUGUAGUGUAGAUCCUUACUUGCGAGUACUUUGGAUGAGUACUCACGGUUGCUUUGCUCCCCCUUUUCCCCCUUUCUUCUUCUUUCCGGUUGAUGCAACCAGAUGUCGGAGCCCAGGAGCCACAUGCCAUUGUCGAUGCCUACUACUACGUGGAGACCGCCGACGACCAGGACUAGUUAGGAGGCUCCCAGGCAGGAGGCUUUGCCUUUUCGAUCGUUGCUACUUUUGUGCUAGCCUUCUUAAGGCAAACUUGUCUAACUUAUGUCUGUACUCAGAUAUUGUUGCUUCCGCUGACUCUUGUGUUUUCGAGCUUAUGUAUUCGAGCCCUCAAGGCCCCUGGCUUGUAAUAUAAAGCUUGUAUUAUUUUAAUUUGUGUCUAGAGUUGUAUUGUGAUAUCUUCCCGUGAGUCCCUGAUCUUGAUCGUACACAUUUGCGUGUAUGAUUAGUGUACGAUUGAAUCGGGGGCGUCACAGUUGUAUCGGUGGUCGAUAGAACUUGAGGGAAUAUUUGUUCUACCUUUAGCUCCUCAUUGGGUUCGACACUCUUAUUUAUCGAAAAAGGCUACAAACGAUCCCCUAUACUUGUGGGUUAUCAAGACCUUUUUUUGGCGCCGUUGCCGGGGAGCAAUAGCGUCGGGUAAAUAUUCUCGUGUGUGCUUGUUUGCUUUAUCACUAAGUAGUUUUUAUUUCCUGUUCUAAGUUGUUCUCUAUCUUUAGUUAUGGAUAUGGAACACGAAAUACCAAAAAAAUUAGUUCUACUUGCUACUCAUGGAGAUGGGGAACCUCCUAAAACCCUCGAUGCUCGUUAUGUGAAAAAUAUUAUGCACUACUUUGAUAAUCCUGAGAAAACCCCAUUCAACUUGAUAAUGGAAGUAAUGUUGGAUCAACGUGAAUACUUUAGGGAUUAUCGCUUGACUCAAAAGGGAAAACUUUUAUGGGAUCAAAUUGAAAUGUUGCAAUGGUAUGCUUGGGAUUUAUGCCAGAGAUAUGGUUAUACUUGUUGCUCUAGGAUGAAUCCUCCACAUCUUCCUUUUUCAUGUGAAUUUAAUGAUAAUGAAACCUUGGCUUCUUAUUCUAAUGGUAUAUAUGAUUACUAUGAUGUGGAAUGAAUAGAAGAAUUUGUUGCUUUUAAGGGUGCUUAUGAAAUUGAAUCUUUGUUUGAAAAGUUCGAAGAUUUUGAUGAUUCAGUUUAUAGACCUGAAAAUUUUGCUAUCCUUAAAUAUUGCUAUGGUAAUUAUAAAUACAAUUCCGAUAUUGAUGCAUUUAUUGAGAAAGUCUCCGCUGUGCAAGAAGAGACUAAUAUUUUGCAAGAGUCUAUGGAAGAAGAAAUUGAUGAAACUGUGUGCUCAUUGGAUGAAAAAUAUGAUGAGGAGAGCGAAGAACAAGCGAAGGAAGACCGGAUUGAUCACCCGUGCCCGCCUUCUAAUGAGAGUAACUCUCCAACUCAUAGAUAGUUUAAUUUCCAUUCGUUCUUACCGAAGGAUGAUUGCCAUGAUAAUUGCUAUUAUCCCGUUGAUUCAUUUGAAAUAUCCCUUUUUGAUGAUGCUUGCUAUGCUUGUGGCCACGAUGCAAAUAUGAAUGAUGCUUAUGGAGAUGAACUACUAUAGUUCCUUAUGUUAAGAAUGAAAUUGUUGCUAUUGCACCCACGCAUGAUAGUCCUAUUAUCUUUUUGAAUUCUCCAAACUACACUAUAUCGAAGAAGUUUGCUCUUGUUAAGGAUUAUGUUGAUGGGUUGCCUUUUACCGUUGCACAUGAUAAUUUUGAUGAAUGUAAUAUGCAUGUGCUUGCUGCUCCUACUUGCAAUUAUUAUGAGAGAGGAACUACUUCUCCGCCUCUCUAUGUUUCCAACACGAUAAAAUUGUAAGAAACUUCUCAUACUAUGUAUUGGCCUUUACUUGAUGUGCAUGAAUUGUUCUUGUAUGACAUGCCGAUGCAUAGGAAGAGAGUUAGACUUCGUCAUUGCUUGAUAUAUGUUGAUUUGUGCUCACUACUAAAUGCCAAAUCAUUGUUAAUUCAAAUUGGCUUUGAUAUACCUUGGGAUCCGGGUGGAUUCAUUACUUGAGCACUUUAUGCCUAGCUUAAUGGCUUUAACGAAAGCGCUGCCAGGGAGAUAACCCGGAAGUUUUAGAGAGUCAUUUAUUUCUGUUGAGUGCCUUUAUAAAGUUUAAAAACAAAAAAAAUAUAGAGGGGAACUUAAAACUUCACAAAAAGAAAAGUGAAAGUGAGAUAGACGAGCAUUGUGAAAGUGGGGGACGUCCUUGAACUUUGUUCAUGCUCACGGAAACUUUGUGAAUCUUAAUUACAGAAAAUUUUCAACAAAAAUAAUUAUGCCCUUGUAUAAUUCCAUUGUAUUAUAAAAAUAAUGUGCCAAGAUUUGCCUUUAGGAUGUUUACAUUGCUUGUUGGCUUGUGCAGUGCAAAACAAAAACUUUGGCUGUAGUGCGCGAUUUUACAUUUUUUACUGGAACGUCAAACGGUUCUGAAAAUUUUUGCACUGUCUUUCUAUACAAAUUGUUUACUUUUCAUAAUUUUUUCAGAAUUCUUCGAGUACCAGAGGUAUGGUGAAUGUUCCGAUUACUACAGACUCUCCUUUUUAAGACAUAUUCUGUUUUUGAUGCAUUGUUUUGCUUGUUUUGAUGAAACUAUCGAUUUCUAUCAGUGGAUUAAGGCAUGAAGAAGUUAUAUUACAGUAGCUACAAUGCGAAAACAAAAUAUGAAUUUGUUUGCAACAGUACUUAGAGUAGUGAUUUGCUUUAUUAUACUAACGGAUCUUACCGAACUUCCUGUUGAGUUUUGUGUGGAUGAAGUGAUCAAAGAUCGAGGAGGUCUCGAUAUGAGCAGAAGGAGGAGAGGCAAGAGCUCAAGCUUGGGGAUGCCCAAGGCAUGCCAAGUAAAUAUUCAAGGAGACUCAAGCGUCUAAUCUUGGGGAUGCCCCGGAAGGCAUCCCAUCUUUCUUCGACAAGUAUCGGUAUGUUUUUGGUUUCGUUUCUUUCGCGUGACAUGUGCAAAUCUUGGAGCGUCUUUUGCUUUUAAUUUUCACUUUUCUUUUUUUUGCACCAUGCUGGUAUGAGAUAGUCCAUGGUUGAUUUAUAGGAUGCUCAUUGCACUUCACUUAUAUCUUUUGAGUGUGGCUUUAUAGAAUGCUUCAUGUGCUUCACUUAUAUCAUUUGAAGUUUGGAUUGCCUGUUUCUCUUCACAUAGAAAACCGUUAUUUGAAGAAUGCUCUUUUGCUUCACUUAUAUUUGUUAGAGCAUGGUCUUUUGUAUAAAGAAUUAAACUCUCAUGCUUCACUUAUACCUAUUUAGAGAGUCAAAUUGGUCAAUUGCAUGGUUAGUCAUAAAAUCCUACAUAAAGCUUAUGGAUCACUGAAUAUGAUAUGUUUGAUUCCUUGCAAUAGUUUUGCGAUAUAGAGAUGGCAUAUGUGGGAGGUACUAGUAAACGGUUGUGGUUAGUAAGAAUAUUGGUGUUAAGGUUUGUGAUUCCCGAAGCAUGCACGUAUAGUCUCUCGUUAUGCUAUGAUGUUGGAGCAUGAUUUGUUAUUGAUUGUCCUCCUUAUGAGUGGCGGUCGGGGACGAGCGAUGGUCUUUUCCUACCAAUCUACCCCCUAGGGGCAUGCGUAGUAGUACUUUGCUUCGAGGGCUAAUAAACUUUUGCAAUAAGUAUAUGAGUUCUUUAUGACUAAUGUGAGUCCGUGGAUUAUACGCACUCUUACCUUUCCGCAAUUUGCUAGCCUCUACGAUACCGUGCGUUGCCCUUUCUCACAUCGAGACAUGGUGCAAACUUUGCAGGUGCAUCCAAACCCCAUGAUAUGAUACGCUCUAUUACACAUAAGCUUAUUAUAUCUUCCUCAAAACAGCCACCAUACCUACCUAUUAUGGCUUUUCUAUGGCCAUUCCGAGAUAUAUUGCCAUGCAACUUCCACCGCUUCCGUUUGAUGAAUUGAGCAUUCAUUGUCAUAUUGCUUUGCAUGAUCAUAUAGCUGACAUAGUAGUUGUGGCUCAGCCACCAUUCAUCAUUUUUCAUAUAUGUUACGCUAGAUCAUUGCCAGAGGCAUUCAUAUAGAGUCAUAUUUUAUCAUAGGUAUCGAGUUGUAAUUUUUAUUUCUUUUGAGUUAUAAGUAAACAGAAGUGUGAUGAUCAUCAUUAUUCAUUUUUAGAGCAGUGCCCCAGUGAGGAAAGGAUGAUGGAGGCUAUGAUUCCCCCACAAGUCGGGAUGAGACUCCGGACAAUGAGAGAGAAAAUAUAAAAUGAAGAAAAUGAAAAAAAGUAAGAAAAAAAAAAUAAAAAGGAAAAAAUAAACAAAGAGAAGGAGCAUUGUUAGUAUCCUUUACCACACUUGUGCUUCAAAGUAGCACCAUGUUUUUCGUAUGGAGAGUCUCCUAUGUUGUCACUUUCAUAUACUAGUGGGAAUUUUUUCAUUAUAGGAUUAGAUGCACGCCCACUUAGUUCUCAUAUUGAGCUUUCAUACACUUAUAGCUCUUAGUGCAUUUGUUGCAUGGCAAUCCCUACUCCUCACGUUGAUAUCAGUUGAUGGGCAUCUCCAUAGCCCGUUGGUUAGCCGCGUCGAUGUGAGACUUUCUUACUUCUUUGUCUUCUUUAUAUUUACCCCCUAUCAUCAUACUCUAUUCCACCCGUAGUGCAAUAUCCAUGGCUUGCGCUCAUGUAUUGCGUGAGGGUUGAAAAAGUUGAAGCGCGUUAAAAGGUAUGAACCAAUUGCUCGGCUUGUCAUCGGGGUUGUGCAUGAUAAAUACUUUAUGUUAAGAAGACAGAGCAUGACAAGGCUAUAUGAUUUUGUAGGGAUAGCUUUCUUUAGCAUUGAUAUUUUGAAAGACAUGAUUGUUUGUUGGGAUGCCUGAGUAUUGAUGUCUUUAUGUCAAAUUAUAGACUAUUAUAGUCUUAAUAUUCAUGCCAUGACUAGAUAUAUGAUCAAGUUUAUGCUAGGUAGCAUUCCACAUCAAAAAUUAUCUUUUUUUAUCAUUUACCUACUCGAGGACGAGCAGGAAUUAAGCUUGGGGAUGCUGAUACGUAUCCGUCGUAUCUAUAAUUUUGAUUGUUUCAUGCCAAUAUUAUACCACUUUCACAUACUUUUGACAACUUUUUAUAUGAUUUAUUGGACUAACCUAUUGAUCCAGUGCCCAAUGCUAGUUCCUGUUUUCUGCAUGUUUUUUGUAUCGUAGAGUAUCCAUAUCAAACGAAAUCCAAAUGCAAUAAAAUUUCAUGGAGAAUUAUUUUGGAAUAUAUGUGAUUUUUGGGUGUUGGAAUCACUGCAAACGGAGGCCCACACAGGGCACAAUACAGCAGGGCGCGCCAGAGGCCCCUAGCGCGCGGUGGUGGGUUGUGCCCACCUCGUACGUCGGUUGGACCUCUACUUCGGGCGCAAGGCAGCUUAUAUCCGAAAAAAAAUCGUGUUAAAAUCUCAGCGCAAUCGGAGUUACGGAUCUCCGGGAAUAUAAGAAACGGUUUUCGGCCAGAUCUGAGGAACGCGAAACAGAAGAGAACAGAGAGGGAGAUCCGGUCUUGGAGGGGCUCCCGCCCCUCCGCGGCCAUGGAGACCAAGGACCAGAGGGGGAACCCUCCUCCCAUCUAGGGGGGAGGCUAAGGAAGAAUAAGAAGGAGGGGGGCUCUCUCCCCCUCUCUCCCAGUGGCGCCGGAGUGCCGCCGGGGCAACGAUCGGGACGGCGAUCUACAUCAACGAUCUUGCUACCGUCAACACCAACUCUCUGCCCCUCUAUGCACCGGUGUAACACCUCUUCCCCCCGCUAUAAUCUCUACUUCAACAUGGUGCUCAACUUUAUAUUAUUUCCCAAUGAUCUAUGGUUAUCCUAUGAUGUUUGAGUAGACCCGUUUUGUCCUAUGGGUGAUCGUGAUCUUGGUUGGUAUGAUUGUAUAUUUUAUUUAUGGUGUUGUCCUACGGUGCCCUCCGUCUCGCACAAAUGUGAGGGGCCCCCUGCUGUAGGGUGUUGCAAUAUGUUCAUGAUUUGCUUAUUGUCAGUGUUGCGAGAGUGAUAGAAACUUAAAAGCGGAUAGGCGGGUUAUGGCGUAUGGAAGUAAAGAGGACUUGAUACUUAAUGCUAUGGUUGGGUUUCACGACCUUAAUGAUCUUUAGUAGUUGCGGAUGCUUGCUAGAGUUCCAAUCAUAAGUGCAUAUGAUCCAAGUAGAGAAAGUAUGUUAGCUCAUGCCUCUCCCUCAUAUAAAAUUACAAGAAUGAUUACCGGUACUUGUUAUCGAUUGCCUAGGGACAAAUGACUUUCUUAUUGUCAAAAUCUAUCCUAUUUUAUUAUCUUGCAAUUUAUCUGUAGUUUUAUUCUCGCAAAGUACUCGUAGUUUUAUUCUUGCCAAAUAUUUUCCUACUUGUUUCCGAUAAAGCAAACGUCAAGCGUGCGUAGAGUUGUAUCUGUGGUCGAUAUAACUUGAGGGAAUAUUUGUUCUACCUUUAGCUCCUCGUUGGGUUCAACAGUCUUAUUUAUCAAAAAAGGCUACAAACGAUCCCCUAUACUUGUGGGUUAUCAUGGUGUAGGACAUAGAAUCCAUCACUAAGAGUAUCACUCGGUUGCUGGAUGUAGCAGAAGUCGGUCUUAUGGCCGAACGCAUUCCUGUCACCCCUUGUCUUCUUGGUCUUGAUCUCUCCACCCCGUACGCCGUAGAACAAGAUAGCACUUUCGAGAACAGACUUGAUGUGGGUGUAAUACUUUUUGUUCAAGUUCUUCGACAAGUCUGAUACGUCUCGAAUGUAUCUCUAAUUUUUUAUUGUUCCAUGCCGUUUUAUUAUCAAUCUUGGAUGUUUUAUAAUCAUGUUAUAGUCAUUUUAUAUCAUUUUUUGGUACUAACCUAUUGACAUAGUGCCAAGUGCCAGUUGCUGGUUUUUUUUCAUGUUUUUACAUCGCAGGAAAUCAAUAUCAAACGGAGUCCAAAUGCCACGAAACUCCACGAUGAUUUUUUAUGGGCCAGAAGGAAGGCAAUGGGCCCUGGUUGCACCUGGGGGUGCCCCGAGGGGGGCACAACCCACUAGGGCGCGCCCUGGUGGGUUGUGCCCACCUCGGGUGCCCCCCGGACCGCCUCUUUGCUCUAUAAAUACCCAAAUAUUCCAGAAACCCUAAGGGAGUCGACGAAAUAUUCAUCCAGCCGCCGCAGAGUCCAGAACCACCAGAUCCAAUCUAGAGACCAUCAAGGAGGGGUUCACCACUUCCAUUGGUGCCUCUCCGAUGAUGCGUGAGUAGUUCCUUGUAGACCUUCGGGUCCGUAGUUAGUAACUAGAUGGCUUUCUCUCUCUCACUGGAUUCUCAAUACAAUGGUCUCUUGGAGAUCCAUAUGAUGUAACUCUUUUGCGGUGUGUUUAUUGGGAUCUGAUGAACUUCGAGUGUAUGAUCAGUCCUAUCUUUUUAUAUCCAUGAAAGUCAUUUGAGUUUCUUUGAUCUCUUCUAUGCAUGAUCUCUUAUAUCCUCGUAUUUCUUCUCCAAUAUUUGUUUUUUUGGCCAACUUGAUAUAUUUAUCUUGCAAUGGGAAGAGGUGCCCAGUAGUGGGUUCGAUCUUACGGUGCUCGAUCCCAGUGACAGAAAGGGAAACGACACAUACAUAUCGUUGCUACUAAGGAUAAAAAGACGAGAUCUAUAUCCACCGCCAUAUGGAUAAAUGGACCUUGUCUACAUCAUGUCAUCGUUCUUAUUGCAUUACUCCGUUUUUCCAUGAACUUAAUACACUAGAUGCAUGCUGGAUAGCGGUCGAUGUGUGGAGUAAUAGUAGUAGAUGCAGGCAGGAGUCGGUCUACUAAUCUUGGACGUGAUGCCUAUGUAAUGAUCAUUGCCUGGAUAUCGUCAUAAUUAUUUGAAGUUAUAUCAAUUGCCCAACAGUAAUUUGUUUACCCACCGUUUGCUAUUUUUCUCGAGAGAAGCCACUAGUGAAACCUACGGCCCCGGGUCUUCUUUUUCAUAUAUUUGCCUUGCGAUCUACUUUUCCUUUGCAUUUUUAUUCAGAUCUAUUAAACCAAAAAUAUAACUUUGCUGCACUUUAUUUUAUUUGUGAUCUAUUUAUUCAAUCUAUUACAACUUUCUCCCGUCAUCACGCAAUUUCUAGCGCCGUACCCCGGAAGGGAUUGACAACCCCUUUAGCUCGUCGGGUUGCGAGGUGUUAUUGUUUAUGUGCAUGUGUUGUUUACGUUGUGUUGCUUGGUUCUCCUACUGGUUCGAUACCUUGGUUUCAUAACUGAGGAAAAUACUUACCGUCGCUGUGCUACAUCAUCCCUCCCUCUCCGGGGAAAUACCGACGUAGUUCCAGCUGCCAUCAAGGAGAAUUUCUGGCGCCGUUGCCGGGGAGGAUCUUCAACAUAACCAGGUUCCUAAUCACAAAUCUCAUCUCCUUGCAAUUUACAUUAUUUGCCAUUUGCCUCUCGUUUUCCUCUCCCCCUUUACAAAAACAAUUGCCGUUUUAUUCGCGCCUCGUUUUCCGUUCGUCAUUUUCUCCUCGGAUCUAUUCUUUGCUUGCAAUCAUGAGUGAUUUUGGUAUGGCACCAACAGAUGACGGCCUGACUCCUAAUAUGGGAUGUACGGGCAAUCUGGAUGCUAAAACUUUUAUCUUGGGGCAAGGGAACGUUAUGGGAAAAGAAUGUAUCCAAGAAUUUUUCAAUUGUGUUGGGAAUCUAAGUCUUGAUGAUGCUCCUAUACUUAAAACUACUAGAUCUUAUGCAGAUGUUAUUUCAGCACUAAUUCUGAAACUUGAAAGCAAAUUUAUCCGCACUCAUCCUACUUUGCAAAGAUUGUUUUUUGAGCUUCCCUAAAUAAAGAAUCCGAGAGCCAAAAAGUUGGCCACUCUCGUUCUCAUGAAUGAGUUUGACUACAUAAUUCAGGAAGCUAGGGAAAUCUUUGACUUUUAUGGUAUGAAUUGUGAAAAACCGUGAUUGAUGAAAUUCUUUACAAUAGUGACUACACACUAAGGCAUUUGCUUGGGGAUAAUAAGAUCUUUGAUGAGAAUCUUAAAAAGGAGGUCCCCGUUCUAGAUAUAAUCCAACAAGUUUUUAAUAAUGUUAAUCAACACUACUCUUGGAUUGUAGCGGGAAAUCAAAGGGGUUAUGAGGAAAAUCAACUAAGGAAUGCUAAAGUUUCUAUGGAUAAUAUUUUUUAUGUUGUGUUUACAAAACCUCCUGAUAAAAACACCCCCAAGAAAAUCAAGAAGAAGCAGGAUGACAAAACUUAGAUCCUUGCUUUAUGCCUAGCUAAGGGCGUAAAACAAUAGCGCUUGUUGGGAGGCAACCCAAUGAAUAAAAUUUAUUUUUACUUUUUGCUUUCUGUUCUUGAGUGUUUACACAAUUAUGCUAAUGUUAUUCUUGUGUUUUUUAUGUUUUAGUUAGUGUUUGUGCCAAGUAGAACCAAUAGGACCUUCUUGGGUGAUAGUUGUCUGAUCUUGCUGAAAAAGACAGAAACUUUGUGCUCACGAAAAUAAUUGUUAAAAUUCACCAGAACGUGAUAAAAUGCUAAUUCUUUUUGCAUAAGAUCAAUAUACAAAUUACCCAGGUUGUCCUAGUUUUUCCGAAUUUUUGGAGUUCCAGAAGUAUUCAAACAAAUCAGAUUUCUACAGACUGUUCAGUUUUGACAGAUUGUGUUUUCUUUGUGUUGUGUGCUUAUUUUGAUGGCUCUAUGGUUUUCUUUGAUGAGUUUUUUCCAUAGAAAAGUUGGAAUACAGUAGAUAUAAUACAAAAACAAAAUAAGAAUUGGUUUGAUACAACACUUAUAGUAGUGGUUUAUUUUUCUUUCACUAACGGAUCUCACGAAGGUUUUGUUGAGUUUUGUGUGAUUGAAGUUUUCAAGUUUUGGGUUAUCAUACGAUGGAUGAAGGAAGGAUGUAAGAGCCUAAGCUUGGGGAUGCCCUGGCAUCCCAAGCUAUUAUCCAAGAAUGAGCAACCAACUAAGCUUGGGGAUGCCCCCGAGUGGCAUCCCCGCUUUCUUCCAACAACUAUUGGUAUUUUACUUGAAACUAUAUUUUUAUUCGUCACAUGAUAUGUGUUUUGCUUGGAGCGUCUUGUAUGAUAUGUGUCUUUGCUUGUUUUAUUUUGUGUUUUAAGUCAUCAAUCCUUGCUGGACACACCUAUUUGAGAGAGUCAAAAUUAUAUCAUGUCUUGUUAGAAUUGCUCUCUAUGCUUCACUAAAAUCUUUUAUGAGCUAGGACUUGCUCUAGUCCUUCACUUAUAUCUUUUUGAGCACGGUGUGCUUUGUUAUUUUUGAAGAAAUGCUCUCUUGCUUCACUUAGAUUUAUUUGAGAGUUAGUAAAAUUUUGAAGAAAUUCUCUCUUGCUUCACUUAAAUUAUUUUGAGAAAAAGAAAAAUUGUUAUGCUCAUGAUCUUCACUUAUAUUUGUUUGAGUUUAUGAAAAGCAACACAUGAAAAUUAGCCCAAAGUGAUAGAUAUCCAAGAAGGAUAAAGAUAAAGAAAAAUAUGUCAUGAAGAUCAUUGGACAAAAUAAACUAGAUUCUUAGUAAUAGUUUUGAGAUAUGAUGAUGUGAUAUGUGAGUUAUGUUGAUGAGUAAUUGUGCCCUAGUAGGAAUAUUGGUGUUAAGGUUUGUGAUUCCCUAUGCAUGAACGAAAGUCAAUAAUCAUGCAAUGAAAAUUAUAUCCUACUUGUGGUGCAUUAUUCGGUGUUAAUUAUGCUUAAUGCUUGCUUAUGAGAUUAUUCGUUUCUUGGUUGGUCGCUUCCCAAUCUUUUGCUAGCCUUCAUUUUGCACCAAGUAUGAUCUCUACUUGUGCAUCCAAAAUCCUUUAAACCAGUUUUGCCACAUGAGUCCACUAUAUCUACCUAUAUGCAGUAUUCUUUUGCCGUUCUAAGCAAAUUUGCAUGUGCCAUCUCUAAUUUUCAAAAUAAACUUCUCUUUUGUGUGUUUGUUUCGCUCACGGAACGGUAACGGGUGGCUAAUAUUUUCCAUGCUAGAUGUGUUAUUCUCAAGAUGAGUGUUUAUUCACUUGUCAUUGCACAAGAGUAUGGCAAAGGUCUUAGGGAUGCCCAGUCCCGAAAUGCAAAAAAAAUGAAUUUACUUUAUGUUGUCAAAUAAUAAAUUCCUUGGAAAGUGUUGCUAUGGAGGGCACCCGUGGAUAUGGUGAGCCAUGGAAAGUGAAAGUUAUGGUGGAAAAAGGAAUAAACUUUAUUUUCUGUUUGGGAACCACCUAUGGCAUAUCUAGCAUGGAAAUUAUUGGGAACUCUAAGUCGUUUUUGUUGGUGGGAUGGAUAUACCUCCCAAAAUGUUUUUAUCUCUAAUUUUUUCGCUUUGAGCGCUGGCACCUCCACAAAUCCCUACUCCCCUCUGCGAAGGGCCUUUCUUUUACUUUCUACAAUUUUUAUUUUGAAAUUUGAGUCUCCGUCUUCUCUCACAAAAAGCACCAACUAGGAGGCAAUAUGAUCAUGCUCAAGUAUUGGGUGUAGUUAAUAUUCGAGUGUGUUUCAUGAAUGGAUCAAUGUUUGAGCAUGACGGGCUAGGGAUAACUUGUUUUAGCAUUGAUAUUUUGAAAGACAUGGUUGCUUGUUGAUAUGCUUGAGUAUCUAAAUUAUUAUGUCAAAACUAGACUAUUGCUUUGAAUCACAUAGAAGUCCAAAUGUCCAUGCCAUAAAGAAAAGAAUAUGAUAUGACAUGAUGAACAUCACUCCACAUCAAAAAUUCUGUUUUUAUCACUUACCUACUUGAGGACGAGUAGGAGUUAAGCUUGGGGAUGCUGAUACGUCUCCAACGUACCUAUAAUUUUUUAUUGUUCCAUGCUGUUUUAUUAUCAAUCUUGGAUGUUUUAUAAUCAUUUUAUAGUAAUUUUAUAUCAUUUUUUGGUACUAACCUAUUGAAAUAGUGCCAAGUGCUAGUUGCUGUUUUUUCCAUGUUUUUUACAUCGCAGGAAAUCAAUAUCAAACGGAGUCCAAAUGCCACGAAACUCCACGAUGAUUUUUUAUGGGCCAGAAGGAAGGCAAUGGGCCCUGGUUGCACCUGGGGGUGCCCCGAGGGGGGCACAACCCACCAGGGCACGCCAGGAGGCCCAGGCGCGCCCUGGUGGGUUGCGCCCACCUCGGGUGCCCCCUCGGACCGCCUCUUUGCUCUAUAAAUACCCAAAUAUUCUAGAAACCCUAAGGGAGUCGACGAAAUAUUCAUCCAGCCGCCGCAGAGUCCAGAACCACCAGAUCCAAUCUAGACACCAUCACGGAGGGGUUCACCACUUCCAUUGGUGCCUCUCCGAUGAUGCGUGAGUAGUUCCUUGUAGACCUGCGAGUCCGUAGUUAGUAGCUAGAUGGAUUUCUCUCUCUCUCGCUGAAUUCUCGAGACAAUGGUCUCUUGGAGAUCCAUAUGAUGUAACUCUUUUGCGGUGUGUUUGUGGGGAUCUGAUGAACUUCGAGUUUAUGAUCAGUCAUAUCUUUUUAUAUCCAUGAAAGUUAUUUGAGUUUCUUUGAUCUCUUAUAUGCAUUAUCUCUUAUAGCCUCGUAUUUAUUCUCCGAUAUUUGGGUUUUGUUUGGCCAACUUGAUCUAUUUAUCUUGUAAUGGGAAGAGGUGCCCGGUAGUGGGUUCGAUCUUACGGUGCUCGAUCCCAGUGAUAGAAAGGGAAACGACACGUACGUAUCGUUGCUACUAAGGAUAAAAAGACGAGAUCUAUAUCCACCGCCAUAUGGAUAAACGGAUCUUGUCUACAUCAUGUCAUCGUUCUUAUUGCAUUACUCCAUUUUUCCAUGAACUUAAUACACUAGAUGCAUGCUGGAUAAAGGUCGAUGUCUGGAGUGAUAGUAGUAGAUGCAGGCAGGAGUCGGUCUACUAUUCUUGGACGUGAUGCCUAUGUAAUGAUCAUUGCCUAGAUAUCAUCAUAAUUAUUUGAAGUUCUAUCAAUUGCCCAACAGUAAUUUGUUUACCCACAGUUUGCUAUUUUUCUCGAGAAAAGCCACUAGUGAAACCUAUGGCCCCAGGGUCUUCUUUUUCAUAUAUUUGCCUUGCGAUCUACUUUUCCUUUGCAUUUUUAUUCGGAUCUAUUAAACCAAAAAUACAAAAAUACUUUGCUGCACUUUAUUUUAUUUGCGACCUAUUUAUUCAAUGCAUUACAACUUUCUCCCGUCAUCACGCAAUUUCUGGUGCCGUACCCCGUAAGGGAUUGACAACCCCUUUAACUCGUUGGGUUGCAAGGUGUUGUUGUUUGUGUGCAGGUGUUGUUUAUGUUGUGUUGCUUGGUUCUCCUACUGGUUCGAUACCUUGGUUUCAUAACUGAGGGAAAUACCUACCGUCGUUUUGCUACAUCAUCCCUCCCUCUCCAGGGAAAUACCGACGUAGUUCCAGCUGCCAUCAAAGUCCAUGUAAAGAGCGUGGGAGUAUCGGGGGUAAAGGAUGAUGAGGACGGGGCGACCGCCACUGCGCAAAAUAAGUACACCUCAAAUUAAUUAGCCUCCACCAUGCAAAUGAAUGAUUGAAAUCGAAGGAAGGAUAUCCACGCGGAUGACUUACAUGGGAUGAUAAGGCACGAGAAUCGUCUCCUUGUCCUUAUUGGCGACCAUGAAGUCGAGGAUGUAGUCCCUCACGUAUUCACGGCGCUCUGCGCAGACUACCAAGAAGCCCUCGUGCAUGAAGUACGGGUCAGUGACACAGAUAUAAAGUAUCUGCUCAAUCCCGAUGAUGUAGUUCAUGUACAAGGCAUAAAGGCGGACAAACGUAAAAUCCAGCUUCUUCAAGUGAAACAUGUCGAAGAUGUAAUCAAAUAGAAGGAAGAACUUCUCCGCGGGGAAUGUGUGGACGUACGACCUUUGCUGCGGCACGUUAACCACGUAGAGUGGGUAUCCUGGAUUUUCCGAGCCGAUGAGGCUUUUCUCUCUCCGCAGCACAUUGUCAUGAAGUCUCCUUAGAUUGCCGUGUGUGGCCUCUACCGUUGCCUUAGGUAGGAUUGGUUCACCGGGGAUAAUGCCAUUUUGCCGCACCGGGGAUAGGUAUACGGUAUUGAACCCGAGGCUGCGGAGGCGGCUGGAUCAUAGAAGCAGCUUUGUUGCCUUUCCUCGGUCUCUUCCUAUGCUUCUUUUCUACCGGAAGGUCGUCUAUAAUACGUUCAGCUUCCGGAGGCGGCAAUUCAGGCACCGACUCAUGACGCUCAAACCCUGAGUACUCAUACUGCUGAGCCAUCAAUCCUCCGUCAUCAUAGGCGCCAGUAUUGAGAUACUGUUGAGUGUCAUCAUCAUCCUCAUCCUCAUCUAUGGCUAUGUCAUCAGCGACUAAUGGAGCCUCUUCCUCACCCCGUCCGCUAUCACCCAGCACGACAGCCGACGCUAGUUGGGUAGGUGGGGUGUUGAUGUUCAUACCUUGCUGAGGCUGCGUGCUCGUGGGUGUGCUCCUGGCCGCCUCCAGACGAAGCAGACUCUUUGGCCACAACAGGACCCACCCAUUGCAAUCGCCAAGCCACUGCGGGGUCUCGUCAUCAUCCCCCCUAGUACUAGAGGGGCCAAAUUCUCGUGGCCCGGUUUGACACUGGCGACGGAAACCUUGAAGACGUCAGGGGGGAUCGGCCGGCUGUGGAACAAUGGUUCCUUCGGCUUCAUUACCAUCGCCUUCCCCACGUCCACCUUCUGGUCGAUGAUGGUGUACAAUAUGGUGCACGGGGUUACAUCGGCCUGCAAAGACAUGUCUGCGACAUGAGACAUCCGAAAGGCAACGGAAAUGGGAGAUUAUACAUUCAUUCAAGAGGGUCGGUGUGACAGAUACUGUGAGGGCGUCGAGCUCAGCCAAAGAAGAAGCACUACCGAGCACGUCCGAGACGGAGGACGGGCUGCUAUGAGCAGGUGCGGGAGCCGGUGCAGGAGCUGGAGCGGGAGUAGGUGCAGGUGCUGGUGCAACGCUAGUUGAGCUGCUCCCGAAGAAGUCAGCAAGGGGAAAGUCCGCUGCAUUUUUUUCUGGAUUUUUCCUGCUCCAACAGACAACGGCCGGAACCAAGACACCAGGCAUAUCUACAAUCACCUGUUUUGCGGCAACUACCGCUGUUGCGACUGUCUCAGCUGAUUUCUUCUCAACCGCAAUCUCAACCUUCUUGUCGAUGUUUUCUUUAGUUGACCUCCGUCUUUCCUUUCUCUCCUCCAUGGUCUCAUGGUAGUACUUCUUCCACGUGGCGCCAUCUCCGACACCAUGCACGCGUCCAUACGACAACCGAGUGUCCACCGAGAGUCCUUUCAAGAUGUUCAACACCCAGUUGAAUGGGGUGUCCCACUUGGGCCUCGCCAAUGCCUCAGACGGCGAGUCGCUUUGGCCGCAAUCCUCUGCUGCUCUCUCUGUAAAAGGAACAAGGAUCGUUUACCAAUAUGACUAAACGUGUAGUCGAAUUGAUCAAAAACUAAAAUUACCAGCAGUCUCAUGAACUCCAUCGUGACCGAGUCUGUCUCGAAAACCUUCUUGACUGGGUCCCAAUGGUACUGGGCCCUGAGGACGUCACGCUCCUGCGGGACGGUGAACUCCGCCAAGGGGUCUGGGAUGCCUAGACUUUCGUGUUCCGCGUCCUCCUUGGCCGAUAUGGACCUCUUCCCGCUGUAACCACGGCUUCCGAGGUGGUGGCGCCCCGUGUUCCUCCGUUGAAGCCCCUUCAUGUACUUUGACUUUUCUUUGGCAUUCAAACUGCUCUUCCAUUAUUGUCGGAUUAUCCUCUACAAUCUCGGAGGGUUCCUUUUUGUUGAUGAUCCGAUGUUUCACCCUUGCUUUCCAGGCGGCCAACGCGUCGCUAAACUUGGUCAUGGCACGUUUGUUUAUCUUCUUCAUUGCCGGGUCUUUAUCUGGGUUUUAAUAUUCCUUUUCAUCCCGACCUGGGAACAAGAAUACCUGGUGCAGCUUCUUUAGGAGGGAGGGCCUCAUAUUAUCUAUCUUCUUUAGUUUCUCAUCAUUGAUGGUGGCGGUUUUCCGUAUGAUGUAGCCUAUUUGAUUGCCGUAGCACGCGCGCGCUUGCGCGGGCUCUUUUGGCUCAAAAUUGUCGUCGUCCACCUCCGUGACCACCACUCUAGUAGUGAUGAGCUGGUUUGGGCGCCGUUGCCUCUUUGCUUUCGGUUCUAUACCGGCUCCGCUAGUCUGGGUGCCGAUCUCGGCGCCGGUCUCAGUCUCAGCGCCGGUCUUGAUGUGGGUCUCAGUCUCCAAUGCGACAGGUGGGCCCAGCAAAAACAACCAUUGAUCGUCGACAAGGUUCAAAAAUUCGUCUGCCGGCCGGUAGACGUUGUCGCAAUCACCAGAACCCUGUCCUUCAUCGUUGCUAGCCAUGUUUCCUACGAUUAAAUCUAGUCAAUUAAUUCUAGACCUAAUAAAAUGAAUAUGACAUAAAAAGGCCUAUGUUUUGCAGGAACGUUGAUUCCUUCCCGGUCCUAGUUUGUAGCACAAGUCAUGGCGAAAUUCACGAAAAAUUUCGGCAUGACCUUUGCUAAAAAGUGGACAAAUCGAGCACCUGAAAUUUGCCGGAACGGAAAUGAAUCAACAUUCCGGCAAAACAUAGGCCACUCGGCUUCAUUUCGUGGAAACAACAAAAGGCCACUUGGGCACAAUCGAACCACUUCAAUGUUGCAUAUAAUAGGAGCACUUAAGAAUAUGUACAUGAGAAACUACAACAGUAGAUAAACAUGAGCAAACACAAUUGAGGAAUUUGCAUAUAUCAUGACCACUUCAAAUUUGCAUCUCCUAAUGUUUGACACUUCAAGAAAAUCUACACAAAUUUCAUGCUCUCUCAAACUCAAUUCAAAAACCAAAUAUAUAUAUUAUAUUUAGUUAACUACUGAACUAAACUUUACUCUAGACUAAACCCUACUGCCCUAAUUAACAUCUAGUUAAACAACUCAAUUCAAAAACUAAACCCUACUGAACUAAUUAACAUCUACAUUAUCUAGUACUUAACAUCUAUUAUUACCCUAACUAAAAAACAGCUACUAUUAACCCUACUGCCCUAGUUAACUAGUACCAUCACUACUACUAAUUAACAUCUACUACUACUACUACUAAAAAACAUUAUUUAUGAACCCUACUACUAAUUAACAUCUACUACUACUGCUAAUUAACAUGGCAGGAAGAAAAUACAGAGAGAGGGGGGGUGNNNNNNNNNNNNNNNNNNNNNNNNNNNNNNNNNNNNNNNNNNNNNNNNNNNNNNNNNNNNNNNNNNNNNNNNNNNNNNNNNNNNNNNNNNNNNNNNNNNNNNNNNNNNNNNNNNNNNNNNNNNNNNNNNNNNNNNNNNNNNNNNNNNNNNNNNNNNNNNNNNNNNNNNNNNNNNNNNNNNNNNNNNNNNNNNNNNNNNNNNNNNNNNNNNNNNNNNNNNNNNNNNNNNNNNNNNNNNNNNNNNNNNNNNNNNNNNNNNNNNNNNNNNNNNNNNNNNNNNNNNNNNNNNNNNNNNNNNNNNNNNNNNNNNNNNNNNNNNNNNNNNNNNNNNNNNNNNNNNNNNNNNNNNNNNNNNNNNNNNNNNNNNNNNNNNNNNNNNNNNNNNNNNNNNNNNNNNNNNNNNNNNNNNNNNNNNNNNNNNNNNNNNNNNNNNNNNNNNNNNNNNNNNNNNNNNNNNNNNNNNNNNNNNNNNNNNNNNNNNGGCGGCGGUGAGGUCGAGGGCGGCGGCGGUAAGCUCGAGGGCGGCGACGGUGAGGUCGAGAGCGGCCUCGGGCGGCGGCGGUGACGUUGAGGGCGGCCUCGGGCGGCGGCGGUGAGGUUGAGGGCGGCCUCGGGCGGCGGCGGUGAGGUCGAGGGUGUGUGCGAUCAACGACAGCGAUAGAUGAGUUGGGGGAACAGGGGGGAGAGGGGGGAAAGGACUUAGCAAAUUUUUGAGCCCGCGGGUGGUUAAGUCAAACUAGCAGUAGCGCUGGUAGAAAAACAUGCUAUAGCUAAGUUAGCUAUAGUGGGUUCUAGCAAAACGCGCUACUGCUCUAGGAAGCAGCUAUUUAUUUCCCUUUUUCUUUUCCUUUUAUCUAAGGAACGUAGCUAUAGCGUGGGCUUGUAAAACGUGCUACUGCUAUGCCUUUCUCCUUUAUUUUAUUUUCUUUUGUUCAUCUUUACAUUUUCUUUUUUUCAUUUCUCUUUUUCCUACUUCUUUCAUUUUUUUUACUUUUCUAUUUUUUCCAUUUUAUUUUCUUUUUUAGCAGUAGCGCUCUAUGCAGGAAACGCGCUGCUACAACACACUUAGUGGUAGCGCGCUUUCUAUGGAAGCGCUACUACUAUUCCUAGCCUACCGCCAACACGGUGGGAAUUAUAGUGGUAUGCUUUUUCCAGCAGACGCGCUACUGCUAUAGCUGUAGCUAUAGCGCGCUUUGUGAGAACGCGCUACUACCAAGUAGCAGCAGCGCCCUGUUUUAACCAGCGCUAUUGCUAUACCUCUCUGUAUAAGGUUUUCCCUAGUAGUGCACGGACAUGUACCUGUGACAGCAUUAGAGAUGCGAGGGAAGGGAAGAGGUCAUAUGCAUUCUCAGAGGAUUUUGAAGAUAAAUCAGUUCGAAGACAUUGACCUCAUAGUGCGAAGACAUUCCUUAUUGAUAUGAGUUGGUUCCAGAUUUGUAUGAAUCCAUGAUUAAGUACAAGUGAGGAAUCCAACUAGCUGUGAAGCAUAAGUGAAAGUACUUGCAAGUUAUGAGAUGCAUAGUAUGGAAGAUUUAGAUUUGGAAGUGAAGAAACAUCUUUCUGGAGAUAUAGAAAUUUUUUAAUGGAUCAAACAUGCGGUAAAAAUAGACUUUAAUUUACCGCUCAAGAACAGACGCGAACUGCUAGACGAGUCAUGGACAGAGCCCGAGCAGUCCAAUCUCCCGUGCCCUAACUUGCCGGCGGAAGACACCUACGAUGGUGGCGGGAGGAAGAUGUCCACGGCCGGCGUGAUGACGACGAUGGAGAAGUCACGACAGCGAAGCGCUUCGUCUCCGGCGAUGACGGAAGCUAGCGACGGCGCUAUGGUUUGAGUGACACAGCGAGGGGAGUAAGUUUUAAUGACCGCAGGGCGUGCGUAUUUAUAAGGAAGAGGGUGGCGCAGUGUAAUUACUUAGCUACCCCUAGCGGUUCACAUCUGAGCUCCACGUGGCACGCAUGCAACAACUUAAAUGUUGUGCCACGAACCCAUGUGCACCUGGUUUGUCGGGUGGUCAUUCUGACUUCUCUGGAUUCGACUGACAAGGACACAGUGAAGACAAUCGACACAUGUCAAACGAAUGCAUAUUCAGAUUUAGAGAGAGUAGGAGAGAUGAGUACAGAUGGGGUUAGGGUCCGAUCACAUUCACUUAGUGCAUAAAAUGGCAACUUGAAGACAUAGCUAUAAGUGAAUAUUGUAGAGGACAGAACAUAUAUAUAUAUAUAUAUAUAUAUAUAUAUAUAUAUAUAUAGUUGAGCAAUGAAAUUCAAAACAUUGAGAAAAUAAAUCAUGAAGGUAAACCAAUGUUGAAGACAAACCAACUUUGAAUAUAAUGCAAUAUGACGCCUAACGAAAAUAUUCAAGAAAAGUUGGUGGUGGCGUUACCCACACCCACCGUAUAGGAAGUAGUAGACCCAUACACGACGCACAAUUAUCGUGGCGCUCUGAAGUCAAUUUCCACAUUAAUGUAUUCACACUCAGAGUGUAUGUCUUCAUGAAUUGAAGACAUACUUUACUUUGUGUGUUGCGCACCUAAGUCAUCAAUAUGCAUAAGCGUUAGGAUGUGUGUCCAUUCACAUGACAUUCGAGGAUUCUAAGAUAUUUAGCUCACACCGCAGCUUGCAAAACCUUCUCUCAUCCAAGGGCUUUGUGAAGAUAUCUGCCAAUUGGUCUUCAGUGUUGACGUGAAUGAUAUCAGUGUCUUCCUUCAACACAUGGUCUCUAAGAAAGUGAUGAUGGAUCUGAAUGUGCUUUGUCUUCGAGUGCUGAACUGGAUUGUGUGCAAUCUUGAUGGCGCUUUCAUUGUCUUAGUAGAGGGGCACAUUCUUCAUGUUGAUGCCAUAGUCCUUGAGGGUUUGCUUCAUCCAGAGAAGCUGAGCGCAACAAGAUCCAGCAGCAAUAUAUUCAGCUUCAAUAGUGGAUAGUGAUACACAGUUCUGCUUCUUUGAAGACCAACAGACAAGAGAUCGUCCAAGAAAGUGACAUGUGCCUGAUGCGGACUUGCGAUCGACCUCGUCACCAGCAUAAUCAGCAUCUGAGAAUCCAACUAGAUCAAACUCUGAGCCCUUUGGAUACCCUAAUCCUAGCGUUGGGGUGUGAGCCAAAUAUUCAAGUAUUCGCUUCACCAUGAGGUGAUGCGAUUCCUUUGGUGCCGCUUGGAAUCGGGCACCCACGCAAACGCUAAGCAUUAUAUAUAGCCUAGAUGCACAUAAGUACAAUAAAGAACCAAUCAUGGAGUGGUAUACCUUUUGAUUGAACUCUUUACCAUUGUCGUCGGAGCCCAAUUGACCUUUGGUUGUCAUUGGUGUCGUGUAUCCUUUGCAAUCUUGCAUUCCAAACUUCUUCGGGCAAUCUUUGAGGUAUUUCUCCUGUGAUAUAAAGAUGUCAUUUCUCAGUUGACGGAUUUGAAGACCAAGAAAGAAUUUCAGCACUCCCAUCAUGGACAUCUGAUAUUGCUCUUUCAUCAGAUGGCCAAACUCAUCACUGUAUCUUUUGUCUGUGCAGCCGAAGAUAAUGUCAUCCACAUAUGUCGGUGUACAAAAGUAGGGGCUCUCCUUUUGACCCCUUUACUUGUGCACGGGCAGUCAGAGCCGUGCCCGCGACCACACUUAGCAGGGCAGAGGAGGGAAGCCGGAGCACACGACAAUCAAGGCAAUGCCAAGACCAGAAACAUUAAAGAGCAAAGGGGCGAGGUGGGCUCCCCCGGCAAGACCCUUGUCGGGGCGGCCUCCGCGGCGCCGGCAAGAGCCUUGCCGGGGCAACUUGCCCAACACCAGCAGAGAAAGCCAGCCUUGAGCCCAAGGGUUCCAAGCACCGCCAACAAACUUCAUUGGAACCAAGGCUCGGGAGGCACCUCCGUGGUGGCAUGCAGUUCUUUGUCAACAUCAUAAGCACACAAGGUCAGAUGAAGACCAAAAGAUGACGACCCUCGGCGGGAUCCCAGCCGAGGAAAUCCACGAGACCCCCGGCAGGAUCCUUGCCGAGGACGACCACGACGCCACGGCAAGACCCUUGCCGAGGACACCAGCGGGGCCGUAGCCAGCCCCACGUCUUCCAAGACGCCACCGCCGUCCCCAUGCAGCUACUAGCUCAACCAGCUGAGCAGGCACCUGCGUGGCGGCGAGUGGCCCCUACACCAACCGAGCAAGCACCGGCGUGGUCGCAUGCAGAUCUUCAUGAAGGCUCCACCACCGCACCAGCCCAGCAGCCAGCCAACGUGGUGCAGCAACGCCUCGUCAGCUCAGACGCGCGUCGGAACCAGGCGAGGCGGCGACAGCUGGGACGUGCUUCCUUGUCGUCCCCAAUAAAGCGAGAGGGGCACGUCGGCAGCGCAUUACUUAAAUGCAUUUGUCCGACGGUGCUAGAGGAUAGACUCAUCUACUGUACACCUUUCCACCUCCUGUGUGCCACUUUGGCAACCCCUUUUGUCUAUAAAAGGAGGACCGAGGCGACCAGGAGGAGGAUUCAGAUCUUUUGGGCAAGUCACACCCCGUAGCUAGCUCAAGAACACAAGAACACUCAAAUACAUCCACCAAAGCAGGACUAGGGUGUUACGCGUCUCCGCGGCCCGAACCUGGGUAAACGAUCUGUGUGCUUCCUGUCAGACCCGCUAUUUGCACGACCCCGCGCCCACCAACCGUAGAAGCGAUCCCAGUGAUCCCAUAGGUGUCAAUUUCCCCCGACAUCUUUGGCGCGCCAGGUAGGGGGCGCAGUUGUGAAAAUUCGGUCUAGCGGUUAGCUUAGCAGUUCUUCAUCGCCAUGGCUUUCAAGAAGAAGACUAUCACGGUGAUCGGUUCAUCCGGAGCCGGACGGCCCGCACCGAUGCGCACGAGCAGCGGGCCGGUCGCGGACAGAACCCGAGGCGCGGCCCGCGAGCACCAGAGCCUGGUGAGCGGCAUCGUUCAUGCGGGAGACGACGGGCCGCACGCCGCCAAAUCCACAGAUAGAGUCGGGCCCCCACAGGCAGCGCGGGGCCCUCCAAGGGCAGCGCCGUGCCACCUAUGGGCGGCGCGGCGACCUCCAAGUCGCCUACGCCGGCGCCCGCGACGCGCUCUUCCCAGGGUGCACGCGACGAGCAGCGCCACCAUGCUGGGGACCCCGGGCGCCGCCGUGGGAAGAGUCCCGUGCAUCACUCGCGGGACAGAGGAAGCCAACAUGCCCGUCGAAGUGCUGGCAGAGAUGGCGUACAGCCGCAGGGCCGUGAUGGAGCUCCUUCUAACGUGGUUAGGAGUCGGAGCGUGCCACGGUCCACGCAGCUUUCGCCGCCGCCCACACCGGCAGAAGCUUUGGUGCGCGUGUAGUUGCUCCUCGACUUCCCUCCUGUUGCGGAAAAGCUCGACGAGUGGAGAGCCACCAUCCGGAGCCUCGUCGGUGUCCCCAACAAAGAUGAGCCGUGGCCAGCGGGGCCCUCAGGCCGACGCUCCGUCGAACCUCCGCACGCCAACGGUGGAGGGGUCGGGGGUGCUGUGACCAUGGUGCAUUCUCCUCCUCCACGCCAGCCACCGCGUGUGUCGAUCCGUCAUGACGACGCUUGCGAUAACAUGUCCAUAGCGUCGUCCGACCCACGGACCCACCGCGACCAGUGCCAAGUUCUUCAGGAGCGAGCCCAUGAAGACGCUCGAACCACCAUCGAGCACCGGCGAGAUACACGCCACCAGUCAGAUAAGUGGGCGGGGCCCGCUAUGGACCACCCAGCACCUGGGGGCUCCGGCGGCCUACCUUACGAGGUGGGUUGCCCAGCCUUUACCCGUGAGCUGCGGCAGUUCCAGUGGCCGUCCCACCGCACAUUCAAGCCCGACGUCGGCGAGAAGUACAACGGCAAGACCCAUUCGUCAGAGUUCCUCAGCAUUUACGCCAUCGCGAUGCAGGCCGCUGGAGCUCGUGACGACAAGGUGCUUGCCAAUUACUUCCCGUUGGCCCUGAAACCCAAUGUCAUGUCUUGGUUGAUGCACUUGCCGGCGGAUUCCAUAUCUUCUUGGUCGGAUCUGUGUCAUGAGUUCGUUGGUGCCUUCACUGGAGGCCACCAAGCUCAUGGCCAGACGAGUGAUUUGCAUAUCAUUCCCCAGAAGGAAGGUGAAAACCUGCGCAAGUACAUACAGAGGUUCAGCCGAGUGCAAUACAACAUCCCAGACGUUCAUCCCGCCGCCGUGAUCAGCGAAUUCCAUCAGAAUGUGCGUAACCGCAAGAUGCAUGAAGAGCUGGCAAUGAACAAAGUCAAGGAUGUGGCCGAACUUUAUGUUCUGGCUGAUAGAUGUGCUUGGGCUGAAGAGGGGAGGAAGUUCCCCGGCGAGGACGCCGGCGCGGAAACCGACUCUACGGACGAAGACACCGCUGCCCCAACGAAGAAGGGUCGGCGCCGCAACAGGAAAAGCAAGGGCAAGGCCGUGCUUGCCGUCGAGGGAUCUGACGACACCGGCGCUGCCAAGAAGGCCAAGGCAGACGACCCCGACAAGGAGAUUGCCGGGUGCGCCGCUUGCCGGGCCUUAGCGGCUGCCGACAAGCUAGGAGGCUCCGACAAGCAGUAUUGCAAGAUCCACCGCACCAAGGGCCACGACCUCCAGAACUGCCGACAAGUCAAGCUGCUUGCUGAAAAGCAAAAAGGCGAGUAUGAAAGGCGGGACAAGGAGAAGGGUCAGGAUGGUGCUGAAGGAUCCGGCAAGAAGCGUGGCGGCCAAGGAGGCCAUCGCGGCAAGGAUAACCAGCAAGAGAGGCCCGCUCGGGGCCGCGACAAGAAGCAAGAAGACGAUGAUCAUGACAAGGACGACGAGUCCGGCGAGCAUGAGUUCCAGAAGGCUACGGAGGCCAUGUGCGUCGAUGGUGGCUCUCACUACAUACCUCUCACCGCCAGCUCAAGCAGUGGGCGCGUGAGAUCACAACAGCGGAGCCGGCGUUCGACGCUCAGAAGCCGCUGAAGUGGUCCAGCACGCCUAUCAUAUUUGACGCCGAGGACCACCCUGAUUGCACAACUGCGGUCGGGUGUUUGCCGUUGUUGGUUUCACCAACGAUAUGCAACCUCAAGGUGAACAAGAUGCUGGUUGACGGCGGGUACGGUCUGAACUUGAUCUCACCCAUUGUGAUCAAAAGGUUGCAAAUUCCAGAUGGAGACCUCGAAGAAACGGGCACGUUUCAAGGGGUCAACCCGGGAAGGAGCCAACCGAAGGGUAAAGUCAUGCUGCCUGUUACAUUUGGAGGCGAGUUGAACUACAGGACGGAGAGGAUUGUCUUUGAUGUAGCCGAGAUACCCUUGCCCUACAAUGGGAUCCUCGGCUGCCCGGCACUAGCCAAGUUCAUGGCAGCGUCGCAUUACGCCUACAACACGUUGAAGAUGCCUAGGACGAUGACCAUCAUCACUGUUCCUUGCGACAAGAAGGAUGCGCUGAUCUGCGCCGACCUACUCUACUGGGAAGCAGUUGCAGCAACUGCCGCCAAGGCACUUGCUCCUGCCGCUGAAGCCCCGGGAGGGAAGAAGAAGACCGGUAAGACCUCUCACACCCACCUCGGCAAGCGCACCUCUUCGGAGUGUUGUGCUACCGUUGAGGACGUGCCAGAGAUCUCCACCGGCAAGAGCAAGAAAUCCAGAGUUGCACCGCCAGAGACCAAGAAGGUGUCCGUCAAGGGGGAUGGCACAGGAGGGGCUUUCACCAUAAGCUCCACCUUCGACAGCAAAUAGGAAAACGCGCUCGUCACUUUCCUGCGGGCGAAUGUCGAUGUGUUUGCAUGGAAAGCAUCCGACAUCCCCGGUGUUCCCAGGGAAGUGAUUGAGCACCAUCUUGCUGUCUGUCCCCAUGCGCGACCCGUCAAGCAGAAGGUCAGGAAGCAAGCUUUGGAAAGGCAAGAGUUCAUCACAGAGGAGAUCAGGAAGUUGGAAGCGGCAGGCUUGGUGAGAGGGGUGCUCCAUCCGAUGUGGUUGGCCAAUCUGGUGGUGGUGCGCAAGGCAAAUGGGAAGUGGAGGCUGUGUAUUGAUUACACAGAUAUCAAUAAGGCUUGUCCUAAGGACCCCUUCCCGUUGUCGCACAUCGACCAGAUUGUUGACUCCACGGCCGGGUGUGAUCUGUUGUCAUUCCUUGACGCCUACUUGGGCUACCACCAGAUCUUCAUGACAAGAGAAGACGAAAAGACAACAUUCAUCACCGCAUGUGGUACGUAUUGCUUUUUACGGAUGCCUUUCGGGUUGAAGAGUGCUGGCUCAACGUUUGCAAGGGCAGUCCAAAUUGGUUUUGAGCCCCAGCUACAUAGAAAUAUGGAAGCUUAUAUGGAAGACAUAGUGGUCAAAACCAAGGACAGGGCAACACUUGUACAAGACUUAGAAGAGACGUUUGCAAACCUGCACAAGAUCAACCUCAAGUUGAACCCUGAGAAGUGUGUCUUCGGCGUUCCGUCCGGCAAACUUCUCGGGUUCUUUGUGUCACAGCGUGGGAUUGAGGCAAACCUGGACAAGAUCAAGGCUAUCGAGCAGAUUGAGGCGCCCAAGCGGAUCAAGGAUGUGCGUCGGCUCACUGGCUGCGUUGCCGCCAUGAGCAGAUUCAUCUCCAAGUCUGCCGAGCGCGCCCUUCCCUGUUUCAAAAUCUUGAAAAAGGCGGGACCAAUGGAAUGGACCCCGGAGGCUGAAGCAGCGCUACAGGAUUUGAAGAAAUACCUCAACUCUACGCCGAUACUAGUUGCACCUAAACCACAAGAGCCAUUGCUGUCGUACCUAGCGGCAACGAAUCAAGUGGUCAGCGCCGCGCUAGUGGCACAGAGGGAGGUCGAUGAAGAGGCAGUUGCAACGACAUGGCCUGGUGCCGGCAAGGCAGGGCAGGGCCCCCGGCAGAGCCUGACACCAUCAGAGCGGGGCCCGCACAACCCAAUGAAGUGGUGCAGAAGAAGAAAAUGAUGCAGCACCUGGUUUACUUUGUCAGCUCCCUCUUGCAGGGGGCUAGGUCGAGGUAUUCUGGUGUGCAGAAAUUGCUCUUCGGCCUCCUUAUGGCCUCGAGGAAGCUGCGUCAUUACUUCCAAGCCCACGAAAUCACCGUCGUCACCCGCCUCCCGUUGCAACGGAUAUUGGAUAACCCAGACGCAACUGGGAGGAUUGUGGAGUGGGCCUUGGAGCUGUCGAGCUUUGGUUUGAAAUUUGAAAGUACUUCGACAGUCCAGAGCAGAAUCCUGGCGGAGUUCAUUGUGGAAUGGACCUCAACACCCGACGAAGAGAUCCAAGAGACCACUCUCCCCGGCAAGGAAGCAAGUCGCAGCUGGAUCAUGUACUUUGACAGGCUUUCUUGCUGUAAGGCGCCGGUGCUGGUGUGCUGCUUGUCGCACCCACCGGAGAGCACCUCAAGUAUGUAAUCUAGAUGCACUUUCCGAGGGAGAUGUCCACAAACAACACUGCUGAAUACGAGGGGUUGCUUGCCGCUCUCAGGAUCGCGGCAGACCUCGGGGUAAAGAAGCUCAUCGUCAGGGGUGAUUCACAGCUUGUUGUCAGGCAAGUCAACAAAGAUUAUUAGAGCCCGUUGAUGGAGGCCUACGUAGAUGAGGUGAGGAAGCUAGAAGAGCACUUUGACGGUAUACAAGCAGAGCAUGUUCCCCGAGUGGAGAACGACAUCGCCGAUUACCUGUUGAAGCACGCUGCAUUCAAGCUACCUGUGGAACCAGGUACUUUUGUGCUUCGGUUAACUCAACCAUCCGUUGAACCAUCAACAGAGCAGAACAAGCGGAGGAAAUCAGGCCCCGGCAAGUACUUUCCCGCCGAGCCCCCUGGGGCCGCCGACAAGGAUGUUGUCAUGGGUACUGAGCCUGCCGAGGGGCAACUGAAUUCGGCGGGGCGUCAAGCCCUGUCCGUAGAGAUGGACGCUCCCAUGGCAGAAGAAAUGCCUUUAGUCCUUGUCGUCGAGCCCCAGACUCCGACAUGGGCACAACAUACCUUCCGAUUCCUCCAAACAGGGGAGCUUCCUGAGGAGCAGGAAGAAGCAGAGAAAGUAGCCCGUCGGUCAGCUAUGUAUCAGUUCCUCGAUGACGUCCUGUACAGGAAAAGACCGAACGGUGUGAAAUUGAAGUGCAUUCCCCGGGAGGAAGGACUGGAGCUGUUGGGGGAGAUACACAGAGGCAUAUGUGGCUCCCACAUAGGGUCGAGGGCCCUUGCCGGCAAGGCGUUCCGGCAAGGUUUCUUCUGGCCCACGGCCCUCCAGGAUGCAACGGCACUAGUAACCAAGUGUGAAGUGUGUCAGUUCCAUUCGAAGAAGCUUCAUCAACCAGCUCAAGCCCUUCAAACAAUUCCUCUCUCCUGGCCAUUUUCGGUCUGGGGGCUCAACAUACUGGGCCCUUUCCCCCGCGCUGUCGGGGGCUUUGAUUGCAAUUGACAAGUUCACAAAGUGGCCGGAGGUGGAAGCAGUGAGGAAGGUGACAGCACAGUCAGCCGUCAAGUUCUUCAAGGGGCUAGUAUACCGUUUUGGUGUGCCAAACAGAGUCAUCAUCGACAACGGCACGCAGUUCACAAGCCACACCUUCAUGCAAUACAUCCAAGACCUCGGCAGCAAGGUCUGUUUUGCUUCCAUGGCACACCCACGGAGCAACAGACAGGCGGAGAGGGCAAAUGCUGAAGUGCUGCGAGGCCUGAGGACCAAGACUUUUGACAGGCUGCACCAGAGCGGAAGGCACUGGAUUGAUGAGUUGCCGGCGGUUCUUUGGUCAAUCAGAACGACGCCAAAUCGAGCCACCGGCCAGACACCCUUUGCCCUGGUAUACGGGGCAGAAGCAGUUCUCCCCACAGAACUCACAUACGGGUCACCUCGAGUGCUCGCUUAUGACGAGCUUGAGCAAGAGCAAUUGCCGAAAGAUGACGCAAUGCUCCUCGAGGAAGAUCGUCUUCGGGCAGCUGUGAGAGCAGCGCGCUACCAACAAGCCUUUCGCUGCUACCAUAGCCACAAGGUUCAUGCCCGAAGCUUUGAGGAAGGCGAUCUUGUUCUUCGGCGCGUUCAAUCGACCAAGAAUUCCAACAAGUUGAUGCCAAAGUGGGAAGGCCCUUAUCGGGUAAUACGAGUCACUAGGCCCGGCGCAGUCCGCCUGGAGACCGAAGAUGCUAUUCCAGUGAGCAACUCCUGGAACAUUGAACAUCUUCGCAAGUUUUACCCAUAAGGCGCGGUUGCUGGGCCCCCGGCAAACCACCUUUUGUACAAGCCUUGCCGGCAAGGCAUGUAACCCUCUGUACAAAGCCAGGCGCAGACCCUGAGCAUAAAUAAAUGAAGCGCUGGCGCCCUAAGUUUUAGCAUGCAUGCUAGGUUAAGUAUCCCCCUCGGUUAGGGUUGAUAGUGCUUAGCGGCGGCUAACCCCCAGCAUAGAGGUCGGGUGUGCGUUUCUCUAUUCCUUUCCGUCCUCUUUGGUUCGCAGGGUACAUGGACGUUUCUGCUGAGCUGUUUGGAAGAAAGAGAACGAGCCGGCGCUCCGGCCUCGGCAAGCCAAGGUUGCAGGGGGCUGCAGAUUCAGAUAAGUCUUUUAUCCUCUAUUGUGCAUUUCCGUAUGAAGUUGGGACAUAUGAAACCUCGUUUUGCUCCUAGACCACCGUGCUCCCCCUUUGUUCCUAGACCCAAGUCCCUGGGUCAAGACCGGGUUGUAGUCACGGUGGCGAGGAAAUAAACGAGAGACCUAACUCUACUUCGCCCCUGCCUCCGCCAAGAGCGUGAGAAUGGUCGACUGAAGUAAGGGGGCGGCAAGGCCUAUUGCCGGGCGACAAUGUUUAUCUUAAAAAUAACAAGGAUUCAUUCCUUGGCAUGGGCCUCGCUCACGCACAAAGAACCCGGCAAGCACCCUUUUUCAUUAAAAACGUCCCAUACAGGUACAAUUCAUACGGGAUAAAAAACAUGAGCAAGGGGACUACAAGUUUUAAAUCUAACAAGUGCCCGCAGGCUUACAAACUAAAAAUAGAUAAGAUGCCCGUAAUCCCUUUCUUGUCCCUCUCCUCGGAAGAUGGAACAAGGUAACAAGAGGGAAAAAAGAGCGCCUAGGCGAGGUACGAGGAGCAGAAGGCACCAAGAGAACAUCCCGGUGCCGGGAGGGGAGCUGGAAGAUGAGGCAGCGGGCCGAUAAUACGCAACGAAGGUGUCGGUGCCCGCGUACUCCGACUUGACGGCCGCCGCCCGCCUUCUUCGCCUUCUUCGGCCCUCCUACGCCAGCCGCCCAAGGAGGCGACAGGGAACAUGCCGAUGGAGAGCUUGACGUGGAAGGCCCUCGGCAGGGUGCGUGGCCGAGGGAGGGACAACACGGUCAGUCGGAGUCGGGGUCGGCGUCCCACCGCUCGGCGCCCUCGUCAUCGCUGUCGCUGUCCUCCUCGCCUCUCCUGCUGGAGGAGGAAUCUUCAUUGUCGGAGGAGCUCUCCACGCAGCACUUUAGGUGAGUUCCAAGAUCUCCAAAGACCUUGACGGAGAGCAGGCCGUUCUCCAUUAACUUGAAGUAGAGAACGAGCCCCGCCGUCAGGCUGCGGACACGAGUGAACGUCUUCCAUCCGCGACGGUGGUACAUGACGUGAGGAGCGAGGAAGUCGAUGUCGACCCGUGCACCGCCUUUCCCGUAGCCCCUCAUGUGCAACCUGAGGGGGUGGAUCGAGCUCCAUCUCCCGAGCAAAUGGGGUAGGGAGACGGAGACGAUGACGCGGUGGCCGGCACAGCCUGAAGAAGAACUCACGGGGCUGGUCCCCGACGUGGCCCUCCAUCGGGGGAGACAUCGCUGGUGGAGGCAAGGCCGGUGCGCUGCCCCGUCCCCCUCUUCCCCGAGCACCACACCGACCUCGGCCUCGCCCCCUCCCCCUUCCUCUCGUGGCCGGCUCCGCCGCCGCGAGCUCUUGGGAAGAAGGGACGCGCUGUCGAGCAGCGACCCUUGCCGCCACCGUUGAAGGGCCGGUGCCUCCUCUUGCCAUGGCAGAUGGAGGAAAGGAGCCGAAGUGAAUGGAGACGGAUGAUGAAAGGGUGUGGGAUGCCAUCCCCCCUUCUUAUAAAGGGGCGGGGUCGGGGCUCGGCCGCCCCACUCAACCAACCGGCCAUCGGGGGCACAGGGAAUCGAGACCGACCUGCUGCCCCAAUCGGCGACGGCCCGGUUUCCCGCCUCCACCGCCUGCCACCUGCAUGGGGGACACAUGGCGAGCAAGCAGAAUCGAGGGGACGGGUGAGGCGACCGUUCCCCACCCCGUGAUCGUGGUGCACGGACGCCUUGAAGACCACGACCCGAGUCUACUCCGUAAAUGAGCCGCGCCUCUGCGUCUCCCUCUUUUUAUGGGGAUGGCGCGAGCCGCCUCUUUACCAUGAUGUCACGCAUGCGUGCGGGAACCGCCCCACGCAUGACCCCCAUGGCACACACGGCCCUCCACAUCGCGCAUUCGACGCGGGUCGUGGGGAAGCGCAGCGGAUGAAAAGUUACUGCGGUAAAAUCUGCCCCACCUGCCCGCGCACCGUUCUUGGCCUAGCCCAACAACGCGUCGCGCUUAUGUGUGGCCCAGGCCCGGGGGCUCCUAUCGGUGUAAAAAAGUAGGGGCUCUCCUUUUGACCCUUUACUUGUGCACGGGCAAUCAGAGCCGCGCCCGCGACCACACUUAGUAGGGCAGAGGAGGGAAGCCGGAGCACAAGACAAUCAAGGCAACGCCAAGACCAGAAACAUUAAAGAGCAAAGGGGUGAGGUGGGCUCCCCCGGCAAGGCCCUUGCUAGGGUGGCCUCCGCGGCCCCGGCAAGAGCCAUGCCGGGGCAACUUGCCCAACACCAACAGAGCGAGCCACCCUUGAGCCCAAGGGUUCCAAGCACUGCCAACAAACUUCAUUGGAACCAAGGCUCGGGAGGGACCUCCGCGGUGGCAUGCAGAUCUUUGUCAAGAUCAUAAGCACACAAGGUCAGAUGAAGACCAAAAGAUGACGACCCUCGGCGGGAUCCCAGCCAAGGAAAUCCAUGAGACCCCCGGCAAGAUCCUUGCCGGGGACAACCACGACGCCACGGCAAGACCCUUUCCGAGGACACCAGCGGGGCCGCAGCCAGGCCCACGUCUGCCAAGACGCCCCCGCCGUCCCCAUGCAGCUGCUAGCUCAACCAGCUAAGCAGGCACCUGCGUGGCGGCGAGCAGCCUCUACACCAACCCAGCAAGCACCUGCGUGGUGGCAUGCAGAUCUUCAUGAAGGCUCCACCACCGCACCAGCCUAGCAGCCAGCCAACGUGGCGCAACAACGCCUCGUCAGCUCGGACGCGCGUCGGUACCAGGCGAGGCAGCGACAGCUGGUACGUGCUUCCUUGUCGUCCCCAAUAAAGCGAGAGGCGCACGUCGGCAGUGCAUUAAAUGUGUUUGUCCGACGGUGCCAGAGGAUAGACUCAUCUACUGUACACCUUUCCACCUCCUGUGUGCCACUGUGGCAACCCCUUUUGUCUAUAAAAGGAGGCCCGAGGUGACCAGGAGGAGGAUUCGGAUCUUUUGGGCAAGUCACACCCCGUAGCUAGCUCAAGAACACAAGAACACUCAAAUACAUCCACCAAAGCAGGACUAGGGUAUUACGCGUCUCCACGGCCCGAACCUGGGUAAACGAUCUGUGUGCUUCCUGAUAGACCCGCUCUUUGCACGACCCCACGCCCGCCAACCGUAGAAGGGAUCCCAUUGAUCCCAUAUGUGUCGAUUUCCCCCGACAACAUAGAUUUGGCAUACACACAGUUCUCCAUCAUAUGUCUUCAUGUAGAGAGUGGGAUCUAGAGAACCAGGUUUGAGGCCUUUGCUCUUCAAGAAGUCUUUGAGUGUGUCAUACCAAGCACGAGGCGCUUGUUUGAGGCCAUACAGUGGCUUGUUGAGCUUGUAGACCAUAUUAGGAUGCUUUGGAUCUUCAAAACCAGGUGGUUGAGCUACAUAUACUUCUUCUUCAAUUUUGCCGUUAAGGAAGGCACUCUUCAUAUCCAUUUGGUACAGAAGGAUGUUGUUGUGGUUAGCGUAGGUUAGCAGUAUAUGAAUGGCUUCAAGCCUAGCCACAGGAGCAAAGGUUUCAUCGAAGUCAAUUUCCUCUACUUGUGUGUAACCUUGAGCAACGAGACGAACUUUGUUUCUGAUAACUUGACCGUGUUCAUCUCGUUUGUUGCGAUAGAUCCAUUUGGUGCCAAUAAUUUGUGCUUGCAAGGAUCGGGACGUUUGACAAGUUCCCAGACAUUAUUGAGCUUGAACUGUUGAAGCUCUUCUUGCAUAGCUUGAAUCCAUUCUGGUUCCAUGAAGGCUUCAUCAACAUUCUUGGGUUCAAAUAUGGAGACGAAUGCAAAGUGCCCACAGAAGUUUGCUAGUUGUGUAGCUCUUGAUCGAGUAAGCGGACCAGGUGCAUUGAUGCUAUCAAUUAUCUUCUCAAUCUGAACUUCAUUGGCCACACGAGGAUGAACAGGGCGAACAUUUUGCUGUUGCUGAUCAUUGUCUUCAUCUUCAGCAUUGCCUUCAGGCUCAGCACUGUCUUCACGUUGAGUAGGAGCUGGAAAGACAAUUUCCUCUUCAGCCUAUUCCUCGGUGGGUAUGAUUUCUCUAGUACCCAUUAGCUUGAUAGAUUGACUAGGAGAACCUUCAUCUAGCACACUUGGCAGGUGCUCUCUUUGCGAGUCGUUAGUAUCAUCAGACCGCACAUCUACAAUUUCAACCACUUUAUAGUGAAAGAGGUUGAAAACUCUGUGGGUGUGCGAAUCCUUUCCGUAACCAAGCAUAAAACCUUCAUGUGCUUUCGGUGCAAAUUUGGAAGUUUGAUGUGGAUCCUUGAUCCAGGACCUAGCACUGAAGACUUUGAAAUAGCUUACGUUUGGCUUCUUACUAGUGAGUAGUUCAUAAGAUGUCUUCUUGAAGAAUUUGUGAAGAUAAAUCUGUUGAUGAUAUGGCAUGCAGUAUCAAUGGCUUUAGACCAGAACUUUCUUGGAGUCUUGCACUCAUCAAGCAUCGUACGAGCCAUCUCAAUAAGGGUCCUGUUCUUGCGCUCCAUGACGCCAUUUUGCUAGGGUGUGUAUGGAGCAGAAAGCUCAUGAGUGAUGCCCAGUGUAUCAAGAUAAGUGUCGAGGCCCGUGUUCUUGAAUUCCGUGCCAUUUUCACUCCUGAUGUGCUUGAUCUUGAUGCCAUAGUUAGUCUUCAAUGAUCUUCAUGAAAGUUUUUAUUAUAUCCCUCUUGAAUACCCAUCAUAUUAGGACUAAAUUCAUAACCCAAGAAAAUUGCCAUACUAUUUAUAAGACUCUCAAAAUAAUAUUAAUUAAGCAUGAAAGUUCAUCAAUUUAUUUAAAAUAUAACUGCCGCCGUGCUCUAAAAGAUAUAAGUGAAGCACUAGAGCAACUACCUAGCUCAAAAGAUAUAAGUGAAGCUCAAAGAGUAUUCUAAUAAAUUCAUGAUUAAUGUGUGUCCCUCUCACAAAGGUGUGUCCAGCAAGGAUGAUUGUGGCACACUAAAAAGCAAACAAAGCAAAGACUCAUAUAAUACACCAUGCUACAAGGAAAACACAUAUCAUGUAGUGAAUAAAAAUAUAUCCUCAAGUAAUUUACCGAUGGAUUGUAUACAAAAGAGGGGAUGCCUUUCGAGGCAUCCCGAAGCUUAGACGCUUGGUUGUCCUUGAAUAUUACCUUGGGGUGCCUUGGGCAUCCUCAAGAUUAGGCUCUUGCCACUCCUUAUUCCUUAGCCCAUCGAAACUUCACUCAAAACUUGAAAACUUCACAACACAAAACUCAACAGAAAACUCAUGAGGUCCGUUAGUAUAAUAAAGCAAAUCACCACUUUUAGGUACUGUUCUAAACUCAUUCCAAUUUUAUAUUUGCAUUAUAUAUACCAUAUUCUAACUUCACCAUGGUUCAUACCCCCGAUAUAGCCCAUAGAUUCAUAAAAACAAGCGAACAACACAAUGAAAAUAGAAUCUGUCAAAACAGAACAGUCUGUAGUAAUCUGGACUUUUGCCAAACUUAUGUAAAUCCAAAAAUUCUGAAAAUUUAGGAGAACGUGGGAAAUUUGUAAAUCAAUCAUGUGUAAAAAAUUCAUAAUUUUUCGUCGCUCCAGUGAUUUUAACAAUUUUUCUACUGGACGUAAAAGUUUCUGUUUUUUCACCGAAUCAAAUCAACAAUCUUCCAAAUCAUCCCAUAGGUCUUACUUGGCACAAACACUAAUUUAAACACAAGAACACCAUCAUAACAGAAGUAUAAUGGUAUAUUUACAUAAAAAGAAAAAAGAAAAAUAUUGGGUUGUCUCCCAACAAGUGCUUUUCUUUAAAUCCUUUUAGCUAGGCAUUGAUAAUUUUAAUGAUGCUCACAUCGAAGAUAAGAAUUGAAGCACAAAGAGAGCAUCAUAUAGCAUGUGAAAAUCACAUUUAAGUCUAACAUACUACCUAUUCAUAGGCAUUUUAUAACCAAACAAAUUAUCAAGACAAGCAAUAUCUAGUAUAUGCAAGGAAGAAAAAAGAAACGAUAACAAUCUCAACAUGAAGAGAGGUAAUUUAGUCACAUGAGGAUUUCUACAACCAUAUUUUCCUCUCUCAUAAUAAUUACAUGUAGGAUGAUUGUCGGUGGAAACGACACCUAUGGGAUCACUGGGAUCCCUUCUACGGUGGGCGGGCGCGGGGUUGUGCAAAGAGCGGGUCUGGUAGUCAGCACAAGGAUUGUUUACCCAGGUAUGGGCCGCGAGGAUGCGUAACACCCUAGUCCUGCUUUGGUGUAUAUUUGAGUGUUCUUGAGCUCUCGAACUAGCUACGGUGCGUGCGUAGUCCAAAAGAUCCGAAUCCUUCUCCAGUACGCCUCGGGCCUCCUUUUAUAGACAAAAGGGGUUGCCACAGUGGCACACAGGAGGUGGAAAGGUAUACAGUGUACAAGCUUAUCGCAUGUCAUUAUGGGACAAGGCGCAUUAAAUGCGCCCCUUAGGUGUCCCGUUCCUUUAUUGGGGACGGCAACGAGGCCCGUCCCGUCCGUCGCCGCUUUGCCACGCGUCCAGGCCAACGAUGCAUGCAGCGCUACGUAGGCUGGCUGGCUGCUGAUAUGGCGUGGUGGUAGGUUUUUCACGAAGAUCUGCAUGCCACCACGCAGGUGCUUGCUGAGUUGGCCUGGAAGCCGCACGUUGCCACGCAGGUGCCUGCCCAGCUGGUUGGGCUGGCAGCUGCAUGGGAACGGCGGCGGAGUCUUGGCAGACGUGGGUCUGGCUGUGGCCCCGCAGGUGUCGUCAGCAAGGGUCUCGCCGGGGCCCCGGCAAGGGUCUUGCCGCGGCAUCGCUGUCGUCCCCGGCAAAGAUCUUGGCGGGGGUCUCAUGGAUUCCCUCGGCAAGGAUCUUGCCGAGGGUCGUCGUCUUCUGGUCUUCAUCUGAUCUCGUGUGCUUAUGAUCUUCACAAAGAUCUACAUGCCACCACGGAGGUGCCUCCCGAGCCUUGGUUCCAUUGUGGUUGAUGGUGUUGGAACCCUUGGGCUCAAGGGUGGCGCGCUCUGCUAGCGUUGGGCAAGUUGCCUCGGCAAGGCUCUUGCCGGGGCCGUGGAGGUCGCCCCGGCAAGGGUCUUGCCGGGGGGUCCAGUUCGCCCUCUUGCUCUUCGUGUCUCUGGUCUUGGCGUUGCUUUGUCCGUCUUGCACUUUUGGCUGGAGCGCUGCUCGGGUAUUCUUGUGCUUCUGCUCCCUCAUCUUGCCCUGCUAAGUGUGGCCGCAAGCGCGGCUCUGACUGCCCGUGCACAAGUAGAGGGGUAAAAAGGAGAGCCCCUACUUUUGUACACUGACAGGAGCCCCCGGGCCUGGGCCACACAUAAGCACAACGCGUUGUUGGGCCAGGCCCAGAAUGGUGCGCGGGCAGGCGGGGCGGAUUUUUACCGCAGUAACUCCUCCGCUCGCCGCGCUUCCCCACGACCCGCGUUGAAUGCACGACAUGGAGGGCCGUGCGUGACGUGGGGGUCGUGCGUGGGGCGGCUGCUGCCCUCAUGCAUCACAUCGCGGUAAAUGGUAACGAAGCGGCCCGUGAUGUCUACUACGCAACCUUCUUCUUGUAGACGUUGUUGGGCCUCCAAGUGUAGUGGUUUGUAGGACAGUAGAAAAUUUCCCUCAAGUGGAUGACCUAAGGUUUAUCAAUCCGUGGGAGGCGUAGGAUGAAGAUGGUCUCUGUCAAGCAACCCUGCAACCAAAUAACAAAGAGUCUCUUGUGUCCCCAACACACCCAAUACAAUGGUAAAUUGUAUAGGUGCACUAGUUCGGCGAAGAGAUGGUGAUACAAGUGCAAUAUGGAUGGUAGAUAUAGGUUUUUGUAAUCUGAAAUUAUAAAAACAGCAAGGUAGCAAGCGAUAAAAGUGAGCGUAAACGGUAUUGCAAUGCUAGGAAACAAAGCCUAGGGUUCAUACUUUCACCAGUGCAAGUUCUCUCAACAAUAAUAACAUAAUUGGAUCAUAUAACUAUCCCUCAACAUGCAACAAAGAGUCACUCCAAAGUCACUAAUAGCGGAGAACAAACGAAGAGAUUAUGGUAGGGUACGAAACGACCUCAAAGUUAUCCUUUCUGAUCGAUCUAUUCAAGAGUCCGUAGUAAAAUAACAUGAAGCUAUUCUUUCCGUUCGAUCUAUCAUAGAGUUCGUACUAGAAUAACACCUUAAGACGCAAAUCAACCAAAACCCUAAUGUCACCUAGAUACUCCAAUGUCACCUCAAGUAUCCGUGGGUAUGAUUAUACGAUAUGCAUCACCAAUCUCAGAUUCAUCUAUUCAACCAACACAAAGUACUUCAAAGAGUGUCCCAAAGUUUCUACCGGAGAGUCAAGACAAAAAUGUGUGCCAACCCCUAUGCAUAGGUUCAUGGGCGGAACCCGCAAGUUGAUCACCAAAACAUACAUCAAGUGGAUCACGUGUAAUCCCAUUGUCACCACAGAUAAGCACGGCAAGACAUACAUCAAGUGUUCUCAAAUCCUUAAAGACUCAAUCCGACAAGAUAACUUCAAAGGGAAAACUCAAUCCAUUACAAGAGAGUAGAGGGGGGGGGGAAACAUCAUAAGAUCCAACUAUAAUAGCAAAGCUUGCGAUACAUCAAGAUCGUAUCACCUCAAGAACACGAGAGAGAGAGAGAUCAAACACAUAGCUACUGGUACAUACCCUCACCCCCGAGGGUGAACUACUCCCUCCUCAUCACGGAGAGCGCCGGGAUGAUGAAGAUGGCCACCGGUGAGGGAUCCCCACUCCGGCAGGGUGCCGGAACAGGGUCCCGAUUGGUUUUUGGUGGCUACAGAGGCUUGCGGCGGUGGAACUCCCGAUCUAUUCUGUCCUACGAUGUUUUUAGGGUAUAUGGAUAUAUAUAGGCAAAAGAAGUCGGUCAGGGGAGCCACGAGGGGCCCACAAGGGUGGGGGCGCGCACAGGGGGGCAGGCGCGCCACCCUGCCUCGUGGCCACCUCGUUGCUUCCCUGACGUACACUCCAAGUCUCCUGGUUUGCUUCCGUUCCAAAAAUAACUCUCCCGAAGGUUUCAUUCCGUUUGGACUCCGUUUGAUAUUCGUUUUCUUCGAAACACUGAAAUAGGCAAAAAACAGCAAUCUGGGCUGGGCCUCUGGUUAAUAGGUUAGUCCCAAAAAUAAUAUAAAAGUGUAUAAUAAAGCCCAUAAACAUCCAAAACAGAUAAUACAAUAGCAUGAAUACUUCAUAAAUUAUAGAUAUGUUGGAGACGUAUCAGCAUCCCCAAGCUUAAUUCUUGCUCGUCCUCGAGUAGGUGAAUGAUAAAAGAAAUAAUUUAUGAAGUGUGAAUGCUAGCAGGUGCACAAGUUUGAUCAAUGAUAAUUUCAAUCACCUUUUCUAGCAUCAUCAUAUGUCAUAACAGUAGCUCAUCUCAUAAAAAAUUUCAUGAUCAAGUAACAAGCUAUUCACAUGUUAAAGUAUAGAUCAUAAACCUUCUUGAAAACUAACAAACCGUGUUAUUAGUCAUCAAACAAUUACAAUUCAUCUUAUUUUCAGGAAGAGUCUAUGUCAGAGCUUUGAUUUAGCAAACUCAACAUACUCAACUAUCAUUUAGUUUUUCACAAUUGCUAACACUCAUGCGAUAUUUAUGGGUUCAAAGUUUUAAUCAGACACAGAGAAAGAUAGGGGCUUAUAGAUUCGCCUCCCAACCUUUUAUCUCAAGGGUAAUGUCAACAAUAAUAGUUCAUGAUCUUACAUCCAAUUGGAUAUAUAUAUAUAUCAGAAUCUUUCCAACACAAUGUGCUUGCCAAAGGAUAAAAUGUAAAAAGGAAAGGUGAAGAUCACCAUGACUCUUGCAUAAGGUAAAAGACAAGAAUAAAAGAUAGGCCCUUCGCAGAGGGAAGCAGAGGUUGCCAUGCACUUUUAUAGUUGGAUGCACAAAAUCUUAAUGCGAGGGAACGUCGCUUUAUAUUGCCACUUGUGAUAGGGACCUUUAUUAUGCAGUCCGUCGCUUUUAUUGCUUCCAUAUCACAAGAUCGUAUAAAGUUUAUUUUCUCCACACUAAAAGAUCAUACUUAUUUAGAGAGCUAUUUUUAUUGCAUGCACCGAUGACAACUUACUUGAAGGAUCUUACUCAAUCCAUAGGUAGGUAUGGUGGACUCUCAUGGCAAUACUGGUUUAAAGGAUGUUUGGAAGCACAAGCAGUAUCUCUACCUGGUGCGAAGAAUUUGGCUAGCAUGAGGGGGAAAGGCAAGCUCAACGUGUUGGGCGAUCCAUGACAAUAUACUUUAUUUCGGAUAUAAGAAAACAUAACCCAUUACGUUGUCUUCCUUGUCCAACAUCAACCUUUUAGCAUGUCAUAUUUUAAUGAGUGCUCACAAUUACAAAAGAUGUCCAAGAUAGUAUAUUUAUAUGUGAAAUCUCUCUUCCUUCAAUAUUCUUUCAUGAAUUGUUCAAGUGACCAAUACAAUGUUUGCUAACCUUCAAUAAAUUUACCACCUCUACUUCUUAUAUGUAAAGUCAUUACUACCCAUGGGAUAAGCAUAUGAAACAUAUAUAAUUUCAGAUUUAAGAUAUUCAAUUCAUUCAACCAUUUACUCAUAGGAUAUAAGUGAAGCACACGAGUAAAUGACAAACUACUCCAAAAAGAUAUAAGUGAAGAUUAAUGAGUAGUUAAAUAAUUAUGUAGCUAUGUGAAGACUCUCUCCCACUUUAAGAAUUUCAGAUCUUGAUAGUUUAUUCAGACAGCAAGAAAAACAAAAUAAAAUGACAUUCUAAGAAUAGCAAACAUCAUGUGAAGAAGCAAAGACUUAGGAUCAACCGAUACUAACCGAUAGUUGUCGAAGAAGAAAGGUGGGAUGCCAACCGGGGCAUCCCCAAGCUUAGACGCUAGAGACUUCUUGAAAUAUUAUCUUGGGAUGCCUUGGGAAUCCCCAAGCUUGAGCUUUUGUGUCUCCCUAUGUAACAUCCCAAAAUUCUAAAUUUUGGAAUGUUAUAAUAAACAGAUAGAUUGGAUUGACUGUUUGAUUGAUUGAGUGAAAUUGAGUGGAAUUCGAAACUUUUUGAAAGUUAAAUGAGAGGGAAUAAAAGGACUUUCCCAAACUUUCAUUUUUGCUGUUAUGAUCUCCAUCAAUUCAAAUUCUUUUCACCACAAAACCCUGGAUAGAAGAUGACAUGACCUCUUCCAUUUAUUUAAAUGACAAGGGGUGUUGAAAAUAUUUGAAUUUCAUUUGAAAAUAUUUUCCAUUUCUGAAACUUUAUGCAACUCAAUGAUUUUCACGAGAGAAGAUAAAAAUGACUUCUUCAAAACGAAUGAAAUAUGAGUUGGGAGUUUCAAAGCUCAAAUUCAAAGUCCUUUUGGAAAGUAUUUUUAAUUUGGAGUUAAUUGAGUCUUAUUCAAAUUAUUUUUCUCCAAAAUAAAAAUAUACAGAAAAUAGGGUAACAUGAUUCCCUACAUCAGAAAAUUGGAGAAAAAUAAAUUUGAAAUCAUUUUUGUAUUUUUAAAAUGAUUUUUAUUGGAUUUUAUUAAGGCAGCAGCACUGUUUGAUUUAUUAAAAUUUGCGUGUAUUUUAUUUGACUUCACAAAAAUGUUCAUGUUGUAGAAAAUCUUUUUCUGAAAAUUUUGAUAUAUAAUAUGCCUAUAUAAAAUUUUAAUUUAUUUUCUUUAUCUGGUUUUCCUUCUGUUCCUAUUUAAAAAAACUGUACAUGCGGCCGAUAGUUAUUUACCGCCCACACGCGUAGCAUUGUGGCCGCGGGCGCCUCAUUUUUUCUUUUCUUUUUCUCUCUCCAAAAUGGGCCAGGCCCAGCCAGCCUUCUUAUUAUUUUAUUUUCUUAGGCCGAUUUUGUUUAAAAAGAAAAAAGAAACUGCAGCCCGUGUACGCGUGCGGCGGCGGAAGGUUUCAAGCCCAUGCGGUUCUCCUCUGUUUCGUUUAUUUACGUCUACGUUUAGUCCCACAUUGCCUAGCCUUUAACCCCUAAACCUCUUUUCCAUCUAUAAAUAUAGAUCCAUAGAGCCUCCAAAAAUUAUCCAUUGCGGGUUAAAUCAAUAUUUUGGUUUGACUAGCUAAAAAUAUAUUUCUCCUCUCCGGCGGGACUUUUGGAAGUUGUCUCCUCACUCCGAAGUCGUCUUUUAGGUAUAUUUAUUCGUUCUCUAUAUUUAUGCGUUAGACCUAUUUUUUUUUAGCCGUAGCUAUUUUUCUUCUGCAAAACAGCUUGGCCCUGAUUUUUCAAAUAGCCAUAACUUUUUACUCGUUCAUCCAAAUUAGAUGAAACCAGCGCCUAUAGUUUCGUCUUGUUUUCACCUAUCCAGUUAACCUGUCACGUCAACUUUUUGAAAUUUUCAAAUUUCGAAAUUUGUUCAAAUUCAUAUUCAAACUUCUUUUGUUCAUAACUUAAGUUCCGUAACUCCGUUUGAGUUGAUUCUUUUUGCAAAGCGAAGCUCUUGACCUAAACUUUCUGAUAAGGCCAAAUUAACGUAAUUUUGGUGCUGUUAGAAACUGUUUUAUGUCGCAAGAGUUAUUUGCUUGGUUUUGAAGUUUUCCGAAUUGUUUUCUUCGUUCUUCUCGAUCUUUUGAGUGAUUGCUUAUGUGUGGUUACUAUUGCUUGCUCUCGAUAGAUUGACCGGAGUGUGACGAGUAGAUCUAUCAAGAGUUUUGAGUGCGAAUCAUCUUCAUCAACAUUGCAGGCAAGUUCACACUUUGAUCAUAUCCCUUUCAUACCCAGUUUUUAUGCAUUAGAUUCAACCCUCAAACAUUGCAUGAGUAGGAUUGAUAACAUGUGGGUAUUGGGAAGUAGUUGAUGAGGUAGUACCUAUUGCCCUGUUUACAAUCAAACCUUUGGGAGUUACUUCACGUUUGCUUAUAUUGCUAUGCUAUGCUCGUAGACGUGGAUUGGGUUUGAGUAUUUCCAUGACAGAUGCGAGAUUGUUAAUUAAUGGUUCAACUUAAGGUGGCUACUUAAAUAAACAUCUGGGUGGAUUGAGGCACCUGGAGAACCCAGUGUUGUCUGUUUGUAUAAGGACCGCCACCCAGGCUCAAAGGGAUCAUAAGAUUAUUCAUGCUAGAAACUUCCGUGUGCAGCCACAAGCUAUUAUGGGCUCUAGCAUAGUUGAGUAGGUUACAUGACCUCUUGAAGAGGUGGGCUAGCAGAUGUAGGGGAAAGUAGGUGUACCGGUCCACCCAGAGUAAAGAGUGAUUGUUCCUGAAAGACUGUGUCUCGGUCAUCCGUUUCUCAAACAUCAUGCAGUGCGAGAAUCAAGCGGAGGAGAUCGAGUCUUGUGGGGAAAAGUGCACAAACCUCUGCAGAGUGUACAAACUGAUCAUGAUUAGCCGUGUCCCCGGUUAUGGACAUCUUGAGUAUCUAAUUAUUGGAUUAUCCCGUUGAUCUCAUCAUGUUACUUUUAAUUAAUUUUGCUGGGUUAAUGAUGACACUUAAUUGGGAUUGAGUUGGAGGUACCUUCUCAAUGUUUCACAACCACCAUGAUAGUUAAAUAAAAUUUAUUCCUUUGAAGUAGGGAAAAAUUGGCUUUUCGCAAAAACAUUAUAACCAUAGAGCUUUUCCACUAGCCAUAUAUGCAUGUAUUGAUAGCCUUUGUUCAUCAUUUCUCUAUGGUGUGAAUUUGCCAGCAUAUUCCAUGUGCUGACCCGUUUUCGGGCUGCAAUGUUUCAUGUUGCAGGAUAUCUUACGACGAGUAAGUGAUACGUUAGGGUUACGAUUUCUACACUCAACUUUGCCGUUGGUGUUGAUGGGAAUCCACAACCUUGUUACUUCCGCUAUUUGGAUUGAGGUAAUGGUAUUUACGUUACUUUAUACAUGUGAUUUACCUCUGUUAUAAAUCCUCGAGUACUGUGUGUGUCAGCAUACCGAUCCAGGGAUGACACUUAAGCACAGAGACUUGAUCCAUUCGGGUCGGGUCGCUACACCUUAAUUCCUCUCAUAUCACGGUUUCCCUAAAUCUUAAAAGCUUCAUCCACACAAAACUCAACAAGAACUUGUGAGAUAGGUUAGUAUAAAUCCAUGCAAAACCUUAUCAUUCUCUACUGUAGCAAAUCACUAAAAUUAUUAUUUAACAUUGAAUACUAAAUGCCUCUUCAUAUUUAAAAGUCCUAUCCUCAAAUAGAAUCAUUAAACAAGCAAUCAUAUGCAAACAAUGCCAACAUAACAGCAAUCUGUCUAAACAGAACAGUCUGUAAAGAAUGCAGCAAAAUCCAUACUUUCCUAGCUCCAAAAAUUAUGAAACAAAAUUCCAACUGUAUUAAAUUUAUCAGAUCUUAUUAUGCAAAAGGUUUCAACAUUUUAUCACAUUCUUAAUUUUCUAGGGAAUUUUUGCAACAGAGGUAAACUUUCUGUUUUCAAACAGCAACAUGAAGACUUAUAAAAUAGGCAUAGUAAGGGUUAUCAAUGCCACUUUCAUUGAAGUAAAAGAUGCAAAACUUUGUUCUAAAUAACAUAAAGCAAAUCCUAACAAAAUAAAUUGAUGCUCCAAGCAAAACACAUAUCAUGUGGUGAAUAAAAAUAUAGCUCCAAGUGAAGUUACCGAUGAACGAAGACGAAAGAGGGGAUGCCUUCCGGGGCAUCCCCAAGCUUUGGCUCUUGGUUGUCCUUGAAAUAUUGCCUUGGGGUGCCUUGGGCAUCCCCAAGCUUAGGCUCUUGCCACUCCUUAUUCCAUAGUCCAUCGAAUCCUUACCCAAAACUUGAAAACUUCACAACACAAAACUCAACAGAAAACUCGUAAGCUCCGUUAGUAUAAGAAAAUAAAACCACCAUUUAGGUACUGUUGUGAACUCAUUCUAAAUUCAUAUUGGUGUUAAACCUACUGUAUUCCAACUUCUCUAUGGUUCAUACCCUCCGAUACUACUCAUAGAUUCAUCAAAAUAAGCAAACAACACAAUGAAAACAGAAUCCUUCAAAAACAGAACAGUCUGUAGUAAUCUGUAAAUAACGAAACUUCUGGAACUCCAAAAAUUCUACCAAAUAUGAAGACCUAGAUAAUUUGUUUAUUGAUCUACUGCAAUUGGAAUCAGUAUUUUAUCACGUUCUGGUGAUUUUUAACAAUUGUUUUCGUGAACAGAAAGUUUCUGGAAUUUUCAGCAAGAUCAAAUAACUAUCAUCCAAGAAGAUCCUAUAGGUUUAACUUGGCACAAACACUAAAUAAAACAUAAAAACACAUCUAAACAGAAGCUAGAUGAAUUAUUUAUUGCUAAACAGAACCAAAAAGCAAGAAACUAUAAUAAAAUUGGGUUGCCUCCCAACAAGCGCUAACGUUUAACGCCCCUAGCUAGGCAUGAUGAUUUCAAUGUUGCUCACAUAAGACAUAAGAAUUGAAACAUAAAGAGAGCAUCAUGAAGAAUAUGACUAGCACAUUUAAGUAUAACCCACUUCCUAUGCAUAGGGAUUUUAUGAGCAAACAACUUAUGGGAACAAUAAUCAACUAGCAUAGGAAGGCAAAACAAGCAUAACUUCAAAACUUUAAGCACAUAGAGAGGAAACUUGAUAUUAUUGCAAUUCCUACAAGCAUAUGUUCCUCCCUCAUAAUAAUUUUCAGUAGCAUCAUGAAUGAAUUCAACAAUAUAACCAUCACAUAAAGCAUUCUUUUCAUGAUCUACAAGCAUAGAAAUUUUAUUACUCUCCACAUAAGCACAAUUCUUCUCAUCAAUAGUAGUGGGAGCAAACUCAACAAAAUAACUAUCAUGUGAAGAAAAAUCCAAUUGAAAAUUAAAAUCAUGAUGACAAGUUUCAUGUUUAUGUUUAUUCUUUAUAGCAUACGUGUCAUCACAAUAAUCAUCAUAAAUAGGAGGCAUGCUUUCAUCAUAAUAAAUUUGCUCAUCAAAACGUGGGGGACAAAAAAUAUCAUCUUCAUCAAACAUAGCUUCCCCAAGCUUGUGGCUUUGCAUAUCAUUAGCAUCAUGGAUAUUCAUAGAAUUCAUACUAACAACAUUGCAAUCUUGCUCACCAUUCAAAGAUUUAGUGCCAAACAUUUUAUAGACUACUUCUUCUAGCACUUGAGCACAAUUUUCCUUCCCAUCAUUCUCACGAAAGAUAUUAAAAAGAUGAAGCAUAUGAGGCAAACUCAAUUCCAUUUUUUUGUAGUUUUCUUUUAUAAACUAAACUAGUGAUAAAACAAUAAACUAAAAUAUUCGAUUGCAAGAUCUAAAGAUAUACCUUCAAGCACUCACCUCCCCGGCAACGGCGCCAGAAAAGAGCUUGAUGUCUACUACGCAACCUUCUUCUUGUAGACGUUGUUGGGCCUCCAAGUGCAGAGGUUUGUAGGACAGUAGCAAAUUUCCCUCAAGUGGAUGACCUAAGGUUUAUCAGUCCGUGGGAGGUGUAGGAUGAAGAUGGUCUCUCUCAAGCAACCCUGCAACCAAAUAACAAAGAGUAUCUUGUGUCCCCAACACACCCAAUACAAUGGUAAAUUGUAUAGGUGCACUAGUUCGGCGAGGAUAUGGUGAUACAAGUGCAAUAUGGAUGGUAGAUAUAGGUUUUUGUAAUCUGAAAUUAUAAAAACAGCAAGGUAGCAAGCGAUAAAAGUGAGCGUAAACGGUAUUGCAAUGCUAGGAAACAAGGCCUAGGGUUCAUACUUUCACUAGUGCAAGUUCUCUCAACAAUAAUAACAUAAUUGGAUCAUAUAACUAUCCCUCAACAUGCAACAAAGAGUCACUCCCAGUGUAGCGACCAGACCUCAAACAGUCUGAUCUCUGUGCAUAAGUGUCAUCCCUAGAUCGGUAAUGCUGACACACACAGUACUUGAAGGAUUUAUAACAGAGUAGCAAUCACACACUUAUUACAUCGAAUGUCUCAAAAGAGAACUUAUUACAAUAAAUAUGGCUUAAGGCCAUCUAAUACGAUAACAACGGAAGGCUUGGAAGAUAAAGUGAGUCCAUCCACUCCAACGGCAUCACGGAGUGAAAGACCACGACCUAAGGCUCCUUACUCGUCGUCUGAAAAGUCUGCAACAUGAUAUGUUGCAGCCCGAAAACGGGUCAGCACAUGGAAUAUGCUGGCAAUGUAUAACAAAAGAGCAAUGAACGGAAUAAUGCUAUCACUACAUGCAUAUAUGGCUGGUGGAGGCUGUAUGGUUAAUAUGUUUUCCGAAAAGCCAAUUUUUUCCUACAACAAAGGAAUAUAUUUUUAUUUAACUAUCAUGGUGGUUGUUAAACAUUGAGAAUGCUAAACCCCAUCUCAAUCCCAAUUAAAAGUAAUCAAUAGCCCAAUCAAAUUUUAUAAUUAAGAGUGAUGAGAUCCACAUGAUAAUCCAAGAACCAGAUACUCGAGAUGUCCAUAACCGGGGACACGGCUAACCAUGAUUAGUUUGUACACUCUCCAGAGGUUUGUGCACUUUUCCCCACAAGACUCGAUCUCCUCCGUUGGAUUUCUCGCACUACAUGAUGUUUGAGAAACGGAUGACCGAGACACAGUCUUUCCGAAGAGGUCCCCUUAACCGAUAGAUAGGCAUGUACACCUACAAUCCCCUACAUCUGCUAGCCCAUCAUGGAAAGGUUUCCCACAACUUACUCAACUAUGCCAGAGCCCAUAAUGGCAUGUGACUGCACAUGGAAGUUUCUAGCAUGAAUAAUCUUAUGAUCCCUUUGAGCCUGGGUGGCAGUCCAUAGGAGAAUCACACGGUACCCCGGGAUUUCCAAAAAUACAGGCAAUCACUGGAAUUCCCUAGGUGCCUCAAUCCACCCAGAUGUGUAUUAAAAUUUCCACCUUAAGUUAACCAUUAAUUAACAAUACUCACAUUUGUCAUGACUACACUCAAACCCAAUCCACGUCUAUGAGCAUAGCAUGGCAAUAUAAGCAUAACGUAAUGGUAACUCCCAAGGUUUGAUAAUCAACAGGUAAAUAGGUACUACCUCAUCUACUUCCCAAACCCACAAUUUAAAUCAAAUCCUAACCAUGCAAUUGUUUGAGGAUUGAUCUAAUGCAAUAAAACUGGGUAUGAAAGAGGUAUGAUCAAAGUGUUACUUGCCUUGCUGAUGAUCCGCGAAACCUAGAGACUCGUAGUAGCACGCUUCACACUCCGGGUACUCUAUCGCAAACAAACAAGCUUAUAAUAAGAAAUCAAGCAAGGGCACAGGUAAAACUCAAAUAAGAGAUCUAACCAGAAAGUUCAACUUAAGAACUCCGGUUUGCAAAAAGAGUCAAAUCAAACGAAGCAACAAAACUCAAACGGCGAAAGAAAGAAGCUUCGUUUACUAAUCUGGACUAAAGUCAAAUUUUACAAUAGCAAAAACUUGUUUAAGUUGGUUAAACAGAAAGAGGGUUUCGAGACGAAACUCUAGGCGCUUGAAUCGCCUGAUUCCGAUAAAUGAGCGAAAAGUUAUACUAGAACGAAAAUCGGAUCAGAAAUCGCGAUCGAAAAUAAUCGCGGAAAAAUCUGAGAAAUAGAAAAACUGACAAACAGGCUAACGAACAAACGUUCGCUGUCUGCGGCUAAACAGUGAAAACCGUUCAUUUAAACGAACGUACGGACGGGCGUUCGCUAAAUAACUAAACCGAAAAAAAUAAACCGAUCUAUAUAAAAAAAAUAAACCACGGGUCUUAAAAAACCGUACUGUUUUCCGAAGAAAACCGGCGGCGGCGGGCGGCUACCUCCGGUGAGGGCGGCGGCGGCGGUGGCUCCGGUGCGGCGGCGCGGNNNNNNNNNNNNNNNNNNNNNNNNNNNNNNNNNNNNNNNNNNNNNNNNNNNNNNNNNNNNNNNNNNNNNNNNNNNNNNNNNNNNNNNNNNNNNNNNNNNNNNNNNNNNNNNNNNNNNNNNNNNNNNNNNNNNNNNNNNNNNNNNNNNNNNNNNNNNNNNNNNNNNNNNNNNNNNNNNNNNNNNNNNNNNNNNNNNNNNNNNNNNNNNNNNNNNNNNNNNNNNNNNNNNNNNNNNNNNNNNNNNNNNNNNNNNNNNNNNNNNNNNNNNNNNNNNNNNNNNNNNNNNNNNNNNNNNNNNNNNNNNNNNNNNNNNNNNNNNNNNNGGCGGGGUUGGUGGCGGCGGCGGGGGCUAGGGUUUGGCGGCUCGGGCCCCUCGCCUUUUAAAGGGCCGUCCGGGUCGGUGUCCCAGGCGGACACGGCCCGGUAGGUCGGUAACUUUUUUUAAAUAAUUCCGACGUGCAGAAAAAGAAAGAAAAGAAAUAUUAAACGGACCCAAAAAAUCCCGAAAUAAAUUUUCCCCGUCCUCUAAAAACAGGCCGGACAAGGUGGACAUUUAUUUGAACCCUAAAUGCAAUUUUGAAAAACGCAUAUUUUUCCUAAUUCAAAUAAAAUAACGAUAAAACUCCGAAUAAAAAUCUUAUUUGAUUUUAAUAUUAAAUCUCCAAUAUUUCUUUGUUUUGAGGAAGUCAUUUUAUCCUCUCUCUUUUGUUUUUAUAAAAUAAAUAUUCAAGAGAAAAAUAAUUAAAAUCAAAUGAUCCUUUUUUCAAAAUUCGAGAAAAACUCGAAUAUGAAAAUAAUGAAAUCCCCAACUCUCUCCGCGGGUCCUUGAGUUGCGUAGAAUUUCUAGGAUAAAAAAAAUGCAAUAAAAUAUGAUAUGCAAUGAUGAUCUAAUGUAUAACAUUCCAAAUUGAAAAUUUGGGAUGUUACAAACCUACCCCCUUAAGAUGAAUCUCGCCCUCGAGGUUCGGGUUGGCUAGAAAAUAGGUGAGAGUGAUCCUUCCGUAGGUCUUCCUCUCGUUUCCAGGUGGCUUCAUCUUCGGUAUGGUGACUCCACUGAACUUUGCAGAACUUGAUUACUUUGCUACGUGUAACUCGGCUGGCAAACUCAAGAAUCUUAACGGGCUUCUCCUCGUAGGUCAAAUGGCUAUCCAAUUGUAUCGCUUCUAGCGGCACUGUAUCUCUCAGAGGAAUAUCUGCCAUCUCUGCGUGACACUUCUUCAACUGAGAAACAUGGAACACAUCGUGAACUCCGGAUAAUCCUUCGGGUAAUUCCAACUUGUAAGCAACUUCUCCCAUACGUUCCAAAACUUUGUAUGGUCCCACAAAACGUGGCGCUAACUUUCCCUUAACUCCAAAGCGCUUCACUCCUCGAAGUGGGGAUACACGAAGAUACACUCUGUCUCCAACUUCGUAAACUGUCUCCUUGCAUUUAGAAUCCGCAUAGCUCCUCUGCCUGGACUGGGCUACCUUGAGUCUAUCGUGAAUCAACUUAACCUUCUCUUUAGACUCUUUAAUCAAAUCUGGUCCAAACAACUGUCGGUCUCCAACUUCGUCCCACAACAAGGGUGUUCUGCACCUCCUUCCGUACAAUGCUUCGAAAGGGGCCAUCUUCAAACUGGCUUGAUAAUUUUUGUUAUAAGAGAACUCUGCAUACGGCAAAUUAUCGUCCCAACUAGAUCCAUAGUCUAGUGCACAAUCUCUCAACAUGUCCUCCAGAAUCUGAUUGACUCUCUCAGUCUGUCCAUCUGUCUGCGGGUGAGAAGCUGUACUGAACUCUAGCCUGGUUCCCAAAGUUUCAUGCAACUGAUUCCAAAACUUUGAAGUAAACUGGGUUCCUCUAUCUGAUACAAUGGUCUCGGAACUCCAUGCAGACAUACGAUCCUGGUCAUGUAUAUCUUUGCCAACUUAGCACUGGUGUAAGUGGUCUUCACUGGGAUGAAAUGAGCUACUUUCGUCAAACGAUCGACUACAACCCAUAUCGAGUCAUAGCCUGAACGAGUCCUGGGUAAUCCCGUGAUAAAGUCCAUGCCUAGUUUAUCCCACUUCCAUUCGGGUAACGGCAAUGGCUGUAGCAAUCCUGCUGGCUUCUGAUGUUCUGCCUUCACUCUCUGACAUACAUCACAAACUGCUACAUACUCUGCAACAUCCUUCUUCAUUCCGGUCCACCAGAAACUAUCCUUCAAAUCCAGAUACAUCUUGGUAUUUCCUGGGUGCAUCUAAUAUGGCGAAUCAUGGGCCUCUUGCAGAAUCAACUUCCUGAUCUCCUGAUCAUUUGGCACAUGUACGCGGUCCUCAAACCAUAAGGUAUCGUGCUCAUCUUCACGAAAUCCUUUAGCUUUUCCUUUACUCAUUCUUUCCUUUAUCUCGGCAAUCUCCUUGUCCGUCUUCUGAGCUUCUCUGGUCUUAUCCAUCAAAGUAGACUGAAUCUCCAAUGCUGCUACAUAACCUCUCGGAACUAUCUCCAAACAUAGUUCGCGAAGGUCUCCUGCCAACUCUUUGGGCAAUUCUCCGGUCAUGAGUGUAUUGACAUGACUUUUGUGGCUCAACGCAUCGGCUACUACGUUAGCCUUUCCAGGAUGAUAAUGCAAUCUCAUAUCAUAAUCCUUAAUGAGUUCUAACCAUCUCCUCUGCCUGAGAUUCAACUCCUUCUGCGUGAAGAUAUACUUCAAACUCUUGUGAUCCGUGUAUACCUCACAAUGGUUUCUGAUGAGAAAAUAUCUCCAUGUCUUCAACGCAUGUACUACGGCUGCUAACUCCAAAUCAUGCGUAGCAUAGUUUAACUCAUGGGGUUUAAGCUAUCGUGAGUCAUAUGAAACAACUCUUCCCUCCUGCAUAAGUACGGCUCCAAGUCCUCGACGAGAAGCGUUACAAUACACUUCAUAAUCCUUGCGUUGAUCUGACAGAAUCAACACUGGUGAUGUAACCAAGCAUAUCUUCAACUCUUGAAACCGGCCUCACAUUCCUCAGUCCAUUUGAACUUGGUGUCCUUCUUCAACAACUUCGUCAUGGGCUUCGCAAUCUUUGAGAAAUUCUCAAUGAACCUCCGGUAGUAUCCUGCGAGUCCAAGAAAACUCCGGAUCUCUCCAACUGACGUGGGUGACUCCCAAUUUGUGACAGUGACAACCUUGGUGGAGUCUACCGCUAUUCCUUCUCCGGAUAUAAUAUGUCCAAGAAAUCCAACUUCCUUCAAACAAAACUCACACUUGCUGAACUUGGCGUAUAACUGAUGUUCUCUGAGCUUCCCAAGUACCAAACGCAAAUGCUCUUUAUGUUCUUCAUUCUUCGAAUAGACCAGAAUAUCAUCAAUGAACACCAUGAUGAGCUUAUCCAAAAACUCCAUAAACACCUUGUUCAUCAUGUUCAUGAAAUAGGCAGGUGCGUUAGUCAGGCCAAAUGACAUAAUGGUAUACUCAUACAUCCCAUACCUCGUGGUAAAAGAUGUCUUAGGUAUGUCCUGCUCUCGAAUCUUCAACUGGUGGUACCCUGAUCGCAGAUCGAUCUUGGAAAACACCUUAGCUCCUUGCAUCUGGUCAAACAAAUCAUUGAUCAUCGGCAGUGGGUACUUGUUCUUGAUCGUCACCUCAUUCAAUCCUCGAUAAUCAACAACCAUCCUUAACGAUCCAUCCUUCUUCUCCACUAGAAGUACUGGGGAUCCCCAAGGUGACGAACUUGGGUGAAUAUAACCUUUAUCCAGUAACUCCUUAAUCUGCUUGUUAAUUUCCUCCAAAUCCUUUGUGGGCAUUCUGUACGGUCUCUUAGAUAUUGGCCCUAUGCCUGGCAAAAGCUCAAUCAAAAACUCAAUGUCUCUAUCCGGUGGCAUGCCUGGCAACUCUUCUGGAAAUACAUCCGGAAAAUCCUUCACCACUGGUACUUCCUCCUGUACAACUCCUGAUAAGGAAUUUACUUGAGUCCUAUUCGGAACAUGCCGGGAUACAUACUUGAUCCUUCUUCCUUCUGGGGUGGUGAGCAAAAUCGUCUUACUGGCGCAAUCGAUGUUUCCUCCAUACAUCGAUAGCCAAUCCAUACCCAGAAUCACAUCCAAACCUUGCGACUCCAAAACUAUCAGAUCUGAGGGGAAAACGUGCCUACCUAUGGUCAAUGGCAUCUGAAAACAUCCUUGGCUUGCCAUAUACUCUGCUCCUGGCGAGCUUACUAACAAAGGUGUACUAAGAACUUUGGUGGGCAGUUUAUACUUAUCCACAAAUCCCCUUGAUAUGUAUGAAUGCGAUGCACCAGUAUCAAAAAGAACGACUGCAGUCAAUGACUUAACCAAAAACUUACCUAUUACUGCAUCUGGCUGGGCUUCAACCUCCUCCACGUUAACAUGGUUCACUUGUCCCAUGUUGAAAGGGUUGGGCUUCUUCCCAGAGCUUCCAUUGUCGUUUCCAUUCUUAGCUUCAGGACAUUCAUUGGCGUAAUGUCCGGUCUUCUUGCACUUGUAGCAAGUAACGUGGCUUAGAUCUUUCUUGGCGGGUGUUGCCGGGUUGGAACGGUUCUGUCCGCUACUUCCUCCAUUACCAUUACCGUUCUUGGAGGCACUAUGGUUGUGUGAACUUCCUCCAUUAUGAGUGUGGCCUCCAUGGUUAUGAACAAGUCCUCCCGAGUUCGGGGUGAAACGGGGUCUCUGCUGAGCUCCAGAAUUAUACUUCCCUUGCCCAUACUUCCUCUUGCGGCUGUCAAUCUGUUGUUGCUUCCCUUCAAGCAUGAGUGCUCUAUCCACCAACUCCUGGUAGUUAUUGAAAUUUGCCACCAUCAACUGCAUGCUCAGCUUAUCAUUCAGUCCUUCCAGAAACUUCUCCUUCUUGGCUGCAUCUGUAGCGAUGUCAUCUGGGGCAUAAUGUGCUAGCUUACUAAAGUCAUCCACAUACUGGCCAACAGUGCGCCCUCCUUGUCGUAAGUUGCGAAACUCACGCUUCUUCAUGGCCAUAGCUCAUGCUGAUACAUGGGCAGUGCGAAAAGCUUGCUAGAACUGGUCCCAUGUCAUAGUGUCAAUGGGGUAAGUGACUAUGAAAUUCUCCCACCAUGAUGAUGCGGGUCCAUCAAGCUGAUGUGUGGCAAAACGCACUCUCUCCGCAUCUGUGCAUCCUGCAGUAGUCAAAUCCCUUUCAAUCUUACGGAGCCAAUCAUCUGCAACAAUCGGCUCGGUGCUACUGGAGAACACCGGCGGAUUCAGCCUAAGAAAAUGGGCUAAGUGAUCAACUGGUGGUGGUGGUGGUGGGUUGUUGUUGUUGUUGUUCCCCUGGUUCUGAUUCUGGACUAGUAUCUGCAUCAAUGCAUUCUGCUGCUGGAUCAACUGAGUGAGCUCCGGUGGGAAAGCAAAUCCAUUGUCGCGUCUCGGAGGCAUCUGCUGGGUUUAGAAAAGAUGAGAACAGAAUAGAAUGAGGUCUAGGGGGAAACACUACCCAUAUGCACAUGAGACAAACACAAACAUAUCACUCAAUCAAUCAAACAAAGGGCAUACAAUCGGUCUAGGACUAUCGUUACAAAAGUGCUCGGACUAUACUAUUUACAUGGUGGAAUACUACUACUGAUAUGGUGGUCGACUAGAAAAAUUGAUCGGUCGAAGACUCCAUGAUAUCUGCUCCAGCUUCAUCAACAUAGUCAUCAUCGCUAUCGUCAGGGUCCGAGUCAGUGUCGUCGAUGAUGAUGUAGUUCUCCGGGCAAGUGGAAUCGUCAUCUUCUCCUCCUGGCGUGGGGUCUCCCAUGAAAACUCCUAGCUUCCUUGUCAAGUCGUCAUUCUUCUCCACUAGUACGACGAUUUCCUCCAUAUAAUCUUCGUGUGUAGCCUUGAGUUCCUCCUCCAGCUCCGUGAUCCUUGUCAUCGCCUUCUUCAAAUCUGUCAUGCCUACGCACAUCUGGUUCUCCUGACGUCGAAUGUGCUGGUUUAACUCCUGGAUGAAAGCGGCAAUCGAUCUAUCCUUCCUGGUGCUGAUCAUCUCCCAUUGCUCAUCUCGGCGCCCACAAAUCUGGUAAAUAGUGUCCUUGAGAUCAUUGUGGUAAACUUCUCCAAUGCGUCCCAUGGUAAUGUGAGCUGCCAUACUCUUUCCUAGACUCCAGGUUGGUGCAUCAAAGGAAAACUCUAUGGGCUCGGUGACUGGCGUGAAUGUCCUUCCUGGAACUUGAACUUGAAUCAUCCAGCGCUCCUCUUCUGGUAAAGUGGCGUUGUAGGUCCCGGUGAAGCAUGGUAUACCAAUGUUCAGUUAUCUAGUGACUUCCUUCAAGUGUCGUCCAAAAAGGGGUGUCUUCAUCCGGUUGCGUGAACUUGAUCCUUGCAUCCGCCAUCCUAAAGAGUAGAAAAUGGAGAGGGGUCAAAAAUGAGAAGAGAGUAGAGAUCUAGGGCUUUAUGCUUAGGGGUCGUGUCCUACAGUCAGCGUGUCCUCUGGUACCAUCUUGUAGCGACCAGACCUCAAACAGUCUGAUCUCUGUGCAUAAGUGUGAUCCUUGGAUCGGUAAUGCUAACACACACAGUACUUGAAGGAUUUAUAACAGAGUAGCAAUCACACACUUAUUACAUCGAAUGUCUCAAAAGAGAACUUAUUACAAUAAAUAUGGCUUAAGGCCAUCUAAUACGAUAACAGCGGAAGGCUUGGAAGAUAAAGUGAGUCCAUCAACUCCAAUGGCAUCACUGAGUGAAAGACCAUGACCUAAGGCUCCUUACUCGUCGUCUAAAAAGUCUGAACAUGAUACGUUGCAGCCCAAAAACGGGUUAGCACAUGGAAUAUGCUGGCAAUGUAACACAAAAGAGAAAUGAACAGAAUAAUGCUAUCACUACAUGCAUAUAUGGCUGGUGGAGGCUGUAUGGUUAAUAUGUUUUGCGAAAAGCCAAUUUUUUCCUACAACAAAGGAAUAUAUUUUUAUUUAACUAUCAUGGUGGUUGUUAAACAUUGAGAAUGGUAAACCCCAUCUCAAUCCCAAUUAAAAGUAAUUAAUAACCCAAUCAAAUUUUAUAAUUAAGAGUGAUGAGAUCCACAUGAUAAUCCAAGACCAGAUACUCAAGAUGUCCAUAACCGGGGACACGGCUAACCAUGAUUAGUUUGUACACUCUGCAGAGGUUUGUGCACUUUUCCCCACAAGACUCUAUCUCCUCCGUUGGAUUUCUUGCACUACAUGAUGUUUGAGAAAUGGAUGACCGAGACACAAUCUUUCCGAAGAGGUCCCCUUAACCGAUAGAUAGGCCUGUACACCUACAAUCCCCUACAUCUGCUGGCCCAUCAUGGAAAGGUUUCCCACAACUUACUCAACUAUGACAGAGCCCAUAAUGGCAUGUGGCUGCACACGGAAGUUUCUAGCAUGAAUAAUCUUAUGAUCCCUUUGAGCCUGGGUGGCAGUCCAUAGGAGAAUCACACGGUACCCCGGGAUUUCCAAAAAUACAGGCAAUCACUGGAAUUCCCCAGGUGCCUCAAUCCACCCAGAUGUGUAUUAAAGUUGCCACCUUAAGUUAACCAUUAAUUAACAAUACUCACAUCUGUCAUGACUACACUCAAACCCAAUCCACGUCUACGAGCAUAGCAUGGCAAUAUAAGCAUAACGUAAUAGUAACUCCCAAGGUUUGAUAAUAAACAGGUGAAUAGGUACUACCUCAUCUACUUCCCAAACCCACAAUUUAAAUCAGAUCCUAACCAUGCAAUUGUUUGAGGAUUGAUCUAAUGCAAUAAAACUGGGUAUGAAAGAGGUAUGAUCAAAGUGUUACUUGCCUUGCUUAUGAUCCGCGAAACCUAGAGACUCGUAGUAGCACGCUUCACACUCCGGGUACUCUAUCGCAAACAAACAAGCAUACAAUAAGCAAUCAAGCAAGGGCACAGGUAAAAAUCAAAUAAGAGAUCUAACCAGAAAGUUCAACUUAAGAACUCAGGUUUGCAAAAAGAAUCAAAUCAAACGAAGCAACAAAACUCAAACGGCGAAAGAAACAAGUUUCAUUUACUAAUCUGGACUAAAGUCAAAUUUUACGGUAGAAAAAACUUGUUUAAGUUGGUUAAACAGAAAGAGGGUUUCGAGAUGAAACUCUAGGCGCUUGAAUCGCCUGAUUUCGAUAAACGAGCGAAAAGUUAUACUAGAACGAAAAUCGGAUCAGAAAUCGCGAACGAAAAUAAUCGCGGAAAAAUCCGAGAAAAAGAAAAACUGACGAACAGGCUAACGAACGAACGUUCACUGUCUGCGGCUAAACGGUGAAAACCGUUCGUUAAAACGAACAUACGGACGGGCGUUCGCUAAAUAACUAAACCGAAAAAAAUAAACCGAUAUAUAUAUAAAAAAUAAACUGCGGGUCUUAAAAAAACCGUACGGUUUUUCGAAGAAAACCUGCGGUGGCGGGCGGCUACCUCCGGCGAGUCCGGUGAGGGCGGCGGCGGCUUCGAUGCAGCGGCGCGGGGUGGCGGGCUAGCGGGUGGCNNNNNNNNNNNNNNNNNNNNNNNNNNNNNNNNNNNNNNNNNNNNNNNNNNNNNNNNNNNNNNNNNNNNNNNNNNNNNNNNNNNNNNNNNNNNNNNNNNNNNNNNNNNNNNNNNNNNNNNNNNNNNNNNNNNNNNNNNNNNNNNNNNNNNNNNNNNNNNNNNNNNNNNNNNNNNNNNNNNNNNNNNNNNNNNNNNNNNNNNNNNNNNNNNNNNNNNNNNNNNNNNNNNNNNNNNNNNNNNNNNNNNNNNNNNNNNNNNNNNNNNNNNNNNNNNNNNNNNNNNNNNNNNNNNNNNNNNNNNNNNNNNNNNNNNNNNNNNNNNNNNNNNNNNNNNNNNNNNNNNNNNNNNNNNNNNNNNNNNNNNNAGGGGCUAGGGUUUGGCGGCUCGGGCCCCUCGCUUUUUAAAGGGCCGGCCGGGUCGGUGUCCCAGGCGGACACGGCCCGGUAGGUCGGUAAUUUUUUUUAAAUAAUUCCGACGUGUAGAAAAAAAAAGAAAAGAAAUACGAAACGGACUCCAAAAAUCCCGAUAUAAAUUUUUCCCGUCGUCUAAAAAUAGGCCGGACAAGGUGAACAUUUAUUUGGGCCCUAAAUCCAAUUUUCAAAAAUGCAUAUUUUUCCUAAUUCAAAUAAAAUAACGAUAAAACUCCGAAUAAAAAUCUUAUUUGAUUUUAAUAUUAAAUCCCCGAUAUUUCUUUAUUUUGAGGAAGUCAUUUUAUCCUCUCUAUUUUGUUUUUAUAAAAGAAAUAUUCAAGAGAAAAAUAAUUAAAAUCAAACGAUCCUUUUUUCAAAAUUCGAGAAAAACUCGAAUAUGAAAAUAAUGAAAUCCCCAACUCUCUCCGCGGGUCCUUGAGUUGCGUAGAAUUUCUAGGAUAAAAAAAUGCAAUAAAAUAUGAUAUGCAAUGAUGAUCUAAUGUAUAACAUUCCAAAUUGAAAAUUUGGGAUGUUACACCAAAGUCACUAUUAGCGGAGAACAAACGAAGAGAUUAUGGUAGGGUACGAAACCACCUCAAAGUUAUCCUUUCUCAUCGAUCUAUUCAAGAGUCCGUAGUAAAAUAACAUGAAGCUAUUCUUUCCGUUCGAUCUAUCAUAGAGUUCGUACUAGAAUAACACCUUAAGACACAAAUCAACCAAAACCCUAAUGUCACCUAGAUACUCCAAUGUCACCUCAAGUAUCCGUGGGUAUGAUUAUACGAUAUGCAUCACACAAUCUCAGAUUCAUCUAUUCAACCAACACAAAGUACUUCAAAGAGUGUCCCAGAGUUUCUACCGGAGAGUCAAGACGAAAACGUGUGCCAACCCGUAUGCAUAGGUUCAUGGGCGGAACCCGCAAGUUGAUCACCAAAACAUACAUCAAGUGGAUCACGUGAUAUCCCAUUGUCACCACAGAUAAGCACGACAAGACAUACAUCAAGUGUUCUCAAAUCCUUAAAGACUCAAUCCGACAAGAUAACUUCAAAGGGAAAACUCAAUCCAUUACAAGAGAGUAGAGAGGGAGAAAACAUCAUAAGAUCCAACUAUAAUAGCAAAGCUCGCGAUACAUCAAGAUCGUAUCACCUCAAGAACACGAGAGAGAGAGAGAGAGAGAGAGAGAGAGAGAUCAAACACAUAGCUACUGGUACAUACCCUCAGCCCCGAGGGUGAACUACUCCCUCCUCGUCAUGGAGAGCGUCGGGAUGAUGAAGAUGGCCACCGGUGAGGGAUCCCCCCUCCGGCAGGUGAUACGUCUCCAACGUAUCUAUAAUUUUUGAUUGCUUCAUGCUAUAUUAUAUUCUGUUUGGAUGAUUAAUGGGCUUUGUUAUACACUUUUAUAUUAUUUUUGGGACUAACCUAUUAACCGGAGGCCCAGCCCAAAAUUGAUGUUUUUUGCCUAUUUCAGAGUUUCGCGGAAAAAUAAUAUCAAACGGAGUCCAAACGGAAUGAAACCUUUGGGAACGUGAUUUUCAGAGCGAACGUGAUCCAGAGGACUUGGACCCUACGUCAAGAAACCAACCAGGAGAGCACGAGGUAGGGGGCGCGCCUACCCCCCUGGGCGCGCCCUCCACCCUCGUGGGGCCCACGUUGCUCCACCGACAUACUUCUUCCUCCUAUAUAUACCUACGUACCCCCAAACCAAUAGAAGCAUCCACGAAAACCUAAUUCCACCGCCGCAACCUUCUGUACCCGUGAGAUCCCAUCUUGGGGCCUUUUCCGGCGUCCUGCUGGAGGGGUCAUUGAUCACGGAGGGCUUCUACAUCAACACCAUAGCCUCUCCGAUGAUGUGUGAGUAGUUUGCCUCAGACCUUCGGGUCCAUAGUUAUUAGCUAGAUGGCUUCGUCUCUCUCUUUGGAUCUCAAUACAAAGUUCUCCACGAUUCUCGUGGAGAUCUAUUUGAUGUAAUCUUCUUUUGCGGUGUGUUUGUUGAGACCGAUGAAUUGUGGGUUUAUGAUCAAGUUUAUCUAUGAACAAUAUUUGAAUCUUCUCUGAAUUCUUUUAUGUAUGAUUGGUUAUCUUUGCAAGUCUCUUCGAAUUAUCAGUUUGGUUUGGCCUACUAGAUUGAUCUUUCUUGCAAUGGGAGAAGUGCUUAGCUUUGGGUUCAAUCUUGCGGUGUCCUUUCCCAGUGACAGCAGGGGCAGCAAGGCACGUAUUGUAUUGUUGCCAUCGAGGAUAAAAAGAUGGGGUUUGUAUCAUAUUGCAUGAGUUUAUCCCUCUACAUCAUGUCAUAUUACUUAAAGUUACUCUGUUCUUUUGAACUUAAUACUCUAGAUGCAUGCUGGAUAGCGGUCGAGGGUGUGGAGUAAUAAUAGUAGAUGCAGGCAGGAGUCGGUCUACUUGUCACGGACGUGAUGCCUAUAUACAUGAUCAUACCUAGAUAUUCUCAUAACUAUGCUCAAUUCAAUCAAUUGCUCAACAGUAAUUUGUUCACCCGCCGUAAUACUUAUGCUCUCGAGAGAAGCCACUAGUGAAACCUAUGGCCCCGGGUCUAUUUUCCAUCAUAUUAAUCUUCCAACACUUAGCUAUUUUUAUUGCCUUUAUUUUACUUUGCAUCUUUAUUAUAAAAAUACCAAAAAUAUUAUCUUAUCAUAUCUAUCAUAUCUCACUUUCAUAAGUGACCGUGAAGGGAUUGACAACCCCUUUAUUGCGUUGGUUGCGAGGUUUUUAUUUGUCUGUGUAGGUGCGAGGGACUUGAACGUGGCCUCCUACUGGAUUGAUACCUUGGUUCUCAAAAACUGAGGGAAAUACUUAUGCUACUUUACUGCAUCACCCUUUCCUCUUCAAGGGAAAACCAACGCAGUGCUCAAGAGGUAGCAAGAAGGAUUUCUGGCGCCGUUGCCGGGGAGUCUACGCAAAAGUCAACAUACCAAGUACCCAUCACAAACUCUUAUCUCCCACAUUACAUUAUUUGCCAUUUGCCUCUCGUUUUCCUCUCCCCCACUUCACCCUUGCCAUUUUAUUCGCCCUCUCUUUUCCGUUCGCCUCUUUUUUGUUUGCUCGUGUGUUGGAUUGCUUGCUUGUCACGAUGGCUCAAGAUAAUACUAAAUUGUGUGACUUUACUAAUACCAACAAUAAUGAUUUUCUUAGCACUUCGAUUGCUCCCCUUACCAAUACUGAAUCUUGUGAAAUUAAUGCUGCUUUGUUGAAUCUUGUCAUGAAAGAUCAAUUCGCCGGCCUUCCUAGUUAAGAUGCCGCUACCCAUCUAAAUAGCUUCGUUGAUUUGUGUGAUAUGCAAAAGAAGAAAGAUGUGGACAAUGAUAUUGUUAAAUUGAAGCUAUUUCCUUUUUCGCUUAGAGAUCGUGCUAAAGCUUGGUUUUCGUCUUUGCCUAAAAAUAGUAUUGAUUCUUGGAAUAAGUGCAAAGAUGCUUUUAUCUCUAAGUAUUUUCCUCCCGCUAAGAUCAUCUCUCUUAGAAACGAUAUUAUGAACUUUAAGCAACUUGAUCAUGAACAUGUUGCACAAUCUUGGGAGAGGAUGAAAUAAAUGAUACGUAAUUUCCCUACACAUGGUUUGAAUUUAUGGAUGAUUAUACAAAUUUUUUAUGCCGGAUUUAAUUUUGCUUCUAGAAAUCUUUUAGAUUCGGCCGCGGGAGGCACAUUUAUGGAAAUCACUUUAGGAGAAGCUACUAAACUCCUAGAUAAUAUUAUGGUUAAUUAUUCUCAAUGGCACACCGAAAGAUCUACUAGUAAAAAAGUGCAUGCGAUAGAAGAAAUUAAUGUUUUGAGUGGAAAGAUGGAUGAGCUUAUGAAAUUAUUUGCUAAUAAAAGUGUUUCUUCUGAUCCUAAUGAUAUGACUUUGUCUACUUUGAUUUAAAAUAAUAAUGAAUCUAUGGAUGUGAAUUUUGUUGGUAGGAAUAAUUUUGGUAACAACUCGUAUAGAGGAAACUUUAAUCCUAGGCCGUAUCCUAGUAAUCCCUCUAAUAAUUAUGGUAAUUCCUACAACAAUUCUUAUGGAAAUUUUAAUAAGAUGCCCUCUGAAUUUGAGACUAGUGUUGAAUAAUUUAUGAAUUCACAAAAGAAUUUCAAUGCUUUGCUUGAAGAAAAAUUGCUCAAGGUUGAUGAAUUGGCUAGGAACGUUGAUAGAAUUUCUCUUGAUGUUGAUGCUUUGAAACUUAGAUCUAUUCCACCUAAGCAUGAUAUCAGUGAGUCUCUCAAAGCCAUGAGAAUUUCCAUUGAUGAGUGCAAAGAAAGAACCGCUAGGAUGCAUGCUAAGAAAGAUUGCUUUAUGAAGGCGUGUUCUUCUAAUUUCUAUGAAAAUAAAGAUGAAGAUCUGAAAGUUAUUGAUGUGUCCCCUAUUAAAUCUUUGUUUUUCAACAUGAAUCUUGAUAAUGAUGGGACUGAAUAUGAGCCACCUUUACCUAGAAGGCGUUCCAAAAAUUCGGAGUCUUUAGAUCUUGAUGCUAAAAUUGGUAAAAGUGGGAUUGAAGAGAUCAAAACUCUAGAUAUUAAUGAACCCACUAUUUUGGAUUUCAUGGAAUUUAAUUAUGAUAAUUGCUAUUUGAUAGAUUGUAUUUCCUUGUUGCAAUCCGUGCUAAAUUCUCCGCAUGCUUAUAGCCAAAAUAAAGCUUUUACUAAACAUAUCGUUGACGCUUUGAUGCAAUCUUAUGAAGGAAAACUUGAGUUGGAAGUCUCUAUCCCUAGAAAACUUUAUGAUGAGUGGGAACCUACUAUUAAAAUUAAAAUUAAAGAUCAUGAAUUCUAUGCUUUGUGUGAUUUGGGUGCUAGUGUUUCCACGAUCCCAAAAAAAUUGUGUGAUUUGCUAGGUUUCCGUGCAUUUGAUGAUUGUUCUUUGAACUUGCACCUUGCGGAUUCCACCAUUAAGAAACCUAUGGGAAGAAUUAAUGAUGUUCUUAUUGUUGCAAAUAUGAACUAUGUGCCCGUAGAUUUUAUUGUUCUUGAUAUAGAUUGCAAUCCUUCAUGUCCUAUUAUUCUUGGUAGACCUUUCCUUAGAACGAUUGGUGCAAUUAUUGAUAUGAAGGAAGGAAAUAUUAGAUUCCAAUUUCCGUUAAAGAAAGGCAUGGAACAAUUUCCUAGAAACAAAAUUAAACUACCAUAUGAAUCUAUUGUGAGAGCCACUUAUGGAUUGCCUACCAAAGAUGGCAAUACUUAGAUCUAUCCUUGCUUUUAUGCCUAGCUAGGGGCGUUAAACGAUAGCGCUUGUUGGGAGGCAACCCAAUUUUAUUUUUAGUUUUUUGCUUUUUGCUUCUGCUUAGGAAUAAAUAUUUUAUCUAGCCUCUGGUUAGAUUUGUUUUUAUGUUUUAAUUAGUGUUUGUGCCAAGUUAAACCUAUAGGAUCUUCUUGGAUGAUAGUUAUUUGAUCUUGCUGAAAAUUCCAGAAACUUUCUGUUCACAAAAACAAUUGUUAAAAAUCACCAGAACGUGAUAAAAUAUUGAUUCCGAUUGCAGAAGAUCAAUAAACAAAUUGUCUAGGUCUUCCUAUUUUGGUAGAUUUUCUGGAGUUCCACAAGUUUGCGUUAGUUAUAGAUUACUACAGACUGUUCUGUUUUUGACAGAUUCUGUUUUCCGUGUGUUGUUUGCUUAUGUUGAUGAAUCUAUGGCUAGUAAAAUAGUUUAUAAACCAUAGAGAAGUUGGAAUACAGUAGUUUUAACACCAAUAUAAAUAAAGAAUGAGUUCAUUACAGUACCUUGAAGUGGUGUUUUGUUUUCUUUCGCUAACGGAGCUCACGAGAUUUUCUGUUAAGUUUUGUGUUGUGAAGUUUUCAAGUUUUGGGUAAAAAAUUUGAUGGAUUAUGGAACAAGGAGUGGCAAGAUCCUAAGCUUGGGGAUUCCCAUGGCACCCCAAGAUAAUCUAAGGACACCAAAAAGCCAAAGCUUGGGGAUGCCCCGGAAGGCAUCCCCUCUUUCGUCUACUUUCAUCGGUAACUUUACUUGGAGCUAUAUUUUUAUUCACCACAUGAUAUGUGUUUUGCUUGGAGCGUCUUGUAUGAUUUGAGUCUUUGUUUUUUUAGUUUACCACAAUCAUAUUUUCUGUACACACCUUUUGAGAGAGACACACAUGAUUCGGAAUUUAUUAGAAUACUCUAUGCGCUUCGCUUAUAUCUUUUGAGCUAUAUAGUUUUUGCUCUAAUGCUUCACUUAUAUUUUUCAGAGCACGGCGGUGGUUUUGUUUUAUAGAAACUAUUAUUCUCUCAUGCUUCACUUAUAUUAUUUUGAGAGUCUUAAACAGCAUGGUAAUUUGCUUAAAUAUGGAAAUUAAUCCUAAUAUGCUAAGUAUUCAAGACUAGUAAAAACUUUCUUAUGAGUGUGUUGAAUACUAAGAGAAGUUUGAUGCUUGAUAAUUGUUUUGAGAUAUGGAGGUAGUGAUAUUAAAGUUGUGCUAGUUGAGUAGUUGUGAAAUUGAGAAAUACUUGUGUUGAAGUUUGCAAGUCCCGUAGCAUGCACGUAUGGUAAACGUUAUGUAACAAAUUUGAAACAUGAGGUGUUCUUUGAUUGUCUUCCUUAUGAGUGGCGGUCGGGGAAGAGCGAUGGUCUUUUCCUACCAAUCUAUCCCCCUAGGAGCAUGCGCGUAGUGCUUGGUUUUUGAUGACUUGUAGAUUUUUGCAAUAAGUAUGUGAGUUCUUUAUGACUAAUGUUGAGUCCAUGGAUUAUACGCACUCUUACCCUUCCAUCAUUGCUAGCCUUUUCGGUACCGUGCAUUGCCCUUUCUCACAUUGAGAGUUGGUGUAAACUUCGUCGGUGCAUCCAAACCCCGUGAUAUGAUACGCUCUGUCACACAUAAACCUCCUUAUAUCUUCCUCAAAACAGCCACCAUACCUACCUAUUAUGGCAUUUCCAUAGCCAUUCCGAGAUAUAUUGCCAUGCAACUUUCCACCGUUCCGUUUAUCAUGACACGUUCAUCAUUGUCAUAUUGCUUUACAUGAUCAUGUAGUUGACAUCGUAUUUGUGGCAAAGCCACCGUUCAUAAUUUUUCAUACAUGUAACUCUUGAUUCAUUGCCUAUCCCGGUAUACCGCCGGAAGCAUUCAUAUAGAGUCAUACCUUGUUCUAGUAUCGAGUUGUAAUCAUUGAGUUGUAAAUAAAUAGAAGUGUGAUGAUCAUCAUUCAUAGAGCAUUGUCCCAAUAAAAAAAGAGAAAGGCCAAAUAAAAAGGGAAGGCCCAAAAAAAUAUAAAAUAAAAAGGGACAAUGCUACUAUCCUUUUUUCCACACUUGUGCUUCAAAGUAGCACCAUGAUUUUCAUGAUAGAGAGUCUCUUGUUUUGUCACUUUCAUAUACUAGUGGGAAUUUUUCAUUAUAGAACUUGGCUUGUAUAUUCCAACAAUGGGCUUCCUCAAAUGCCCUAGGUCUUCGUGAGCAAGCAAGUUGGAUGCAUGCCCACUUAGUUUCUUUUGUUGAGCUUUCAUGCAUUUAUAGCUCUAGUGCAUCCGUUGCAUGGCAAUCCCUACUCCUUGCAUUAACAUCAAUCGAUGGGCGUCUCCAUAGCUCGUUGAUUAGCCGCGUUGAUGUGGGACUUUCUCUUUUUUUGUCUUCUCCACAUAACCCCCAACAUUAUAUUCUAUUCCACCCAUAGUGCUAUAUCCAUGGCUCACGCUCAUGUAUUGCGUGAAGGUUGAAAAAGUUUGAGAUUACUAAAGGAUGAAACAAUUGCUUGGCUUGACAUCGGGGUUGUGCAUGAUGAGAGCAUUCUUGUGUGACGAAAAUGGAGCAUGACUAAACUAUAUGAUUUUGUAGGGAUGAACUUUCUUUGGCCAUGUUAUUUUGAGAAGACAUAAUUACUUAGUUAGUAUGCUUGAAGUAUUAUUGCUUUUAUGUCAAUAUUAAACUUUUAUCUUGAAUCUUUCGGAUCUGAAUAUUCAUACCACAAUUAAGAGGGUUACAUUAAAAAAAAUAUGCCAAGUAGCAUUCUGCAUCAAAAAUUCUAUUUUUAUCAUUUACCUACUCGAGGACGAGCAGGAAUUAAGCUUGGGAUGCUUGAUACGUCUCCAACAUAUCUAUAAUUUUUUAUUGCUUCAUGCUAUAUUAUAUUCUCUUUUGGAUGAUUAAUGGGCUUUGUUAUACACUUUUAUAUUAUUUUUGGGACUAACCUAUUAACCGGAGGCCCAGCCCAAAAUUGCUGUUUUUUUGCCUAUUUCAGAGUUUCGCAGAAAAAGAAUAUCAAACGGAGUCCAAACGGAAUGACACCUUCGGGAACGCGAUUUUCGGAACGAAUGUGAUCCAGAGGACUUGGAUCCUACGUCAAGAAAGCAUCCAGGACAACACGAGGCAGGGGGGCGCGCCUACCCCCUAGGCGCGCCCUCCACCCUCGUGGGGCCCACGUUGCUCCACCGACGUACUUCUUCCUCCUAUAUAUACCUACGUACCCCCAAACAAACAGAAGCAUCCACGAAAACCUAAUUCCACCGCCGCAACCUUCUGUACCCAUGAGAUCCCAUCUUGGGGCCUUUUUCGGCGUCCUGCUGGAGGGGGCAUUGAUCACGGAGGGCUUCUACAUCAACACCAUAGCCUCUCCGAUGAUUGCGGGAGUCUUGGAUUAUGGGGUCCUCGGACAGCCGGACUAUAUCCUUUGGCCGGACUGUUGGACUAUGAAGAUACAAGAUUGAAGACUUCGUCCCGUGUCCGGAUGGGACUCUCCUUGGCGUGGAAGGCAAGCUUGGCGAUACGGAUAUGUAGAUCUCCUCCCUUGUAACCGACUCUGUGUAACCCUAGCCCCCUCCGGUGUCUAUAUAAACUGGAUGGUUUAGUCCAUAGGACAACAACAAUCAUACCAUAGGCUAGCUUCAAGGGUUUAGCCUCUAUGAUCUCGUGGUAGAUUAACUCUUGUAAUACUCAUAUCAUCAAGAUCAAUCAAGCAGGAAGUAGGGUAUUACCUCCAUCGAGAGGGCCCGAACCUGGGUAAACAUUGUGUCCCCCGCCUCCUGUUACCAUCCGCCUUAGAUGCACAGUUCGGGACCCCCUACCCGAGAUCCGCUGGUUUUGACACCAACAUUGGUGCUUUCAUUGAGAGUUCCACUGUGCCGUCACCGUAAGGCUAGAUGGCUCCUUCGAUUAUCGACAACGAUGCGAUCCAGGAUGAGGUUUUCCUCCCCGGACAAAUCUUCGUAUUCGGCGGCGUCGUACUGCGGGCCAACUCGCUUGGCCAUCUGGAGCAGAUCAAGAGCUACGCCGUGGCCAUCAGGUCAGGUUUGGAAACUUGAACUAUAUUUUCGACAUCCGCGGAGACUUAAUCUUCGACGGAUUCGAGCCCAUGUCAGGUGCGCCGCACAAUCACGACGAGCAUGAUUUAGCUAUGCCGUCGGACAGUGUUCGGGAGAUCACACCUGCAACUACCCUGGCCCUCAACCCGGAACUAAUUGUGCCAUCUGAGGACGGGUGGAUAGACCCCGCCACGGAGGCCGCACUCCCAGUGGCGAUAGAGCCGAAUACUGAUUUCACCUCCUACGAGAGCCGUGUCGCCGUACCGUUGGAUUCGUCCCCGGCCACAGGCUCCGAGCCGCUCGCGCUCGUGCCUAUCAAAUCCGAUUGGGCACCGAUCAUGGAGUUUACCUCCGCGGAUAUCUUUCAGCACUCGCCUUUUGGUGAUGUGCUAAAUUCACAAAGGUCUCUCUCCUUGUUAGGAGAACCUUGGCCGAACUAUGUCCGGCUAGAAUGGAGUGCGGACGACGAAGAAAUUCGCUCCCCACCCACCACCCACUUAGUAGCCACUGUCGACGAUCUAACCGACAUGCUCGACUUCAACUCCGGAGACAUCGACGGUAUGGACGACGAUGCAGGAGACGAACAGGAACCACCGCCCACAGGGCGCUGGACAGCCACUUCAUCACAUGAUAUAUAUAUGGUGGAUACUCCCAAAGAAAACAAUGAUGAGGAACGGAAGGAGGCAGCGAAGGAUAGCUCCCUCGAGAAGCAACCGAAGCGACGGCGUAGGCGCCGCUCCAAAUCCCGCCUCGGCAAAAACAACGAUAACAGCGCAAGAGAAAAUAACACCCCAGUCGACUCCAGAGGAAACAUUGACCACAUUGACCCAGUGAUAGAGCAUGAUGAACCAGCGAACGGCGAACAUAGUACGGAUCCGCUGUCUGAACACGGCGAUGCCGAGGAUAAAUCUCGUCAACCUCUCUCCGGAGAGGAAAACAGUCCAGACGAGGAUGCACACAUCAUCCCAGAAAGGCACUUGGAACAAGAGAACCUCCGUAGAAGGCUUAUUGCCACCGCGAGGAGCCUGAAGAAGCAGAAGCAAAGGCAUAAGGCCGCGCAGAAUACGCUCAACAGUAGAUGGAACAAAGUGCUCGACAAUGAAGAAAAGUAUGGUGGUAGUCGCCACACAAAGAGCUAUCCAAAGGGCAAGCUGUUGCCUGAGUUCGAUGAUGAGGCCGUAGAGCCUACACAGCCGAAGAAUAAAACGGCCGAUCAGCCGGAUCGACCACCUCAUGGCCGCGAUAGGGCGGCUAACGAGACCGCACAUAAGUCAACACACGAUUUGCGUGAGGACUUGCGCCAAAGAUCCGGUAUGACCAGGUCUAUCUAUGGAUCUAGGAAGCGCGCUCCGGCACAAAAUCAAAACCGAACACCACAACCGCCAGAACGCCAUGACACAUCCAAAUACGGGGGUGCCGCACACCCCCUAUGUUUCACCGAUGAGGUGCUGGAUCACGAAUUUCCAGAGGGAUUCAAACCCGUGAACAUAGAGGCGUACGACGGAACGACAGACCCUGGGGUCUGGAUUGAGGACUUCAUCCUCCACAUCCAUAUAGCUCGCGGGGACGAUCUCCACGCCAUCAAAUACUUGCCCCUCAAGCUAAAAGGACCAGCUCGGCACUGGCUGAAGAGCCUCCCCGAAAAUUCAAUUGGAAGUUGAGAGGAGCUUGAGGAUGCUUUUAGGGCCAACUUUCAAGGGACCUAUGUCCGACCUCCGGAUGCAGACGAUUUAAGUCAUAUAAUUCAACAGCCCGGAGAGUCAGCCCGAAAGCUUUGGAACAGAUUUCUCACUAAGAAGAACCAAAUUGUCGACUGCCCGGACGCCGAAGCCUUAGCAGCUUUCAAACACAGUGUCUGAGACGAAUGGCUUGCCAGACACCUCGGCCAAGAAAAACCGAGAACAAUGGCAGCCCUAACAAGCCUCAUGACCCGCUUUUGCACGGGCGAAGAUAGCUGGCUAGCCCGUAGUAACACCAGCGACCCAGGCACAUUCGAAGUCAGGGAUGGCAAUGGAAAACCACGACGCAGUAAAAGCAAGCGUCGAAAAAACGAAGACAGCCUAGACAACACGGCGGUAAACGCCGGAUUGAGGGGCUCUCGACCCGGUCAGCGGAAAAAGCCUUUCAAAGGCAGCAGAGAUGGACCGUCCAGCCUAAACAAGAUUCUAGACAAAUUAUGUCAGAUUCAUGGCACCCCCGAUAAACCAGCAAAUCACACCCACAGAGAAUGCUGGGUCUUCAGGCAGGCCGGUAAGCUAAACGCCGAACACAAAAGGAGGAAGACACCAAGUGAAGACGAGGACGAACCUCGCCAGCAAAGCACUGGGGGACAGAAAAAAUUCCCACCAGAGGUCAAAACAGUGAACAUGAUUCACGUGACGAAGAGGAGAAGCAAACAUGCACUCCGAGACACACGCGCCGUAGAGCCCGUCACGCCUAAGUUCAACCCCUGGUCGGCCUGCCCGAUCACUUUUGAUCGCAGGGAUCACCUGACAAGUAUCCGACACGGAGGAUUGGCUGCCUUGGUGUUAGACCCAAUAAUCAACGGAUACCAUCUCACACGAGUCCUUAUGGAUGGCGGCAGUAGUCUUAAUCUGAUAUAUCAGGACACAGUCCGCAAAAUGGGGAUAGACCCGACAAGAAUCAGCCACAGUAAUACUACCUUUAAGGGAGUAAUACGUGGCCCAGAGGCCCGCUGUACGGGCUCUCUAGUACUAGAGGUUGUAUUCGGCUCUCCCGACAACUUCCGGAGAGAAAAGUUAACCUUCGACAUCACUCCAUUCCGAAGUGGCUAUCAAGCACUACUCGGAAGAGCAGCUUUUCCUCGUUUUAAUGCAGUACCGCAUUACGCUUCUCUUAAGCUUAAGAUGCCCGGUCCACGUGGCAUCAUCACAAUUAGCGGAAAUAUCGAGCGUUCCUUACGCGCGGAAGAACAUGUGGCGGCUUUAGCAGCUGAACACUAAACGGCCUCUCCAACCAGAAUAAAUGACCGGUCAUCAAGACCGCGGACACGGCUAGACGAGUCCGGCGCAUCAUUAGCUGUAACAGCUUAGAUAUACCUAAGAUUGUUCGAUGGAUUUACCCUCAUAGGCGGUACCAGGGGCUUCCCGCAUGUAAAAGGACUACAGUUCGGCUCGACCUUACUUAUCUUGAUUUUUAAUGGUUUAUUGAGAAUAACCAAUUUUUCGCACGAGAACUUUCACCUAAGUUCUUCUCUUUUUACAGAUGGUAAUCGUGCUACACCCUUCCAGGAUACGGCACAACGGAGACACAGGCGCAGACGUGCAGCAGGGCCCCGCUCAAAGGUUUCUUUUUAGAUUAAGACCCUGCGUAAACCUUUUUUACUGUCUCUUGUUGCUUCACAUCCUCCGAAUAAACAGCAUAACCGAGAGCGAUGCUGACGUUAUUGGCAUUUCGCCACGUCAAAAUGAUGCACGUACCUGGACACUCAGGGAUCAUUAUCAAGGGCGUUAUUGAGCCCGGUAUAUGUUGUAAAGACCGAAUACCUUAGGGAGUGUUCGGCGUCGCGAGGUUGGCCUUAUAUGCAUCAGCUCCGAAUCAUGUCUUUGGUCAAAUGUUGGGUUUGCCCGGCUCCCGCGUUUUUCUACCUUACGUUCCACUCUAUCGGCUAAGGUGGCACCGGGAGAACUACUACGAUUGUGCCCUGGUUCAUCCGGACGAGCAACUCAGUAGAGAAAGCCGAAAACUGACUGUCAUGAUAAAGCGCGAGACUGGUCAACCACUCGAUGACUUAGCGGAAUCUUCGGGAUUCCUCCGCAUUAAUGAAGGGCCGUUUCCCGGUCAUGUAUGUACGCGCCCCGUAUUCGGAUGAGCGCGGAGGUACCAGGGGCUAUAUAGUAGUCCCACCGUCAAACUCCUAUGGCUAAGUGAAAGUGUUAAAGCAAUAUAGUCCGAUUGCCUCGUUCGGUGCGCUAUCACCUCCUUAAUGGACCAAGACGUUGGAUCAACUGUGAAUACGCGUUUUUGCGAACACCCCCGCAUUAUAUGUGUGGGGGCUGAAGCCGAUGACUGCAAACUUUCAGGUUAUAUACAUAUAUACAUAAACGGCCGCACAGGAGGCAUCAUAAUACUUUCAGGCAAAAGUAUAAACACAGCCUUUAUAAUUUAAUAGCAUUGUUUUUACAAUCGGGAUACAUGUCACUUGAACACGAUACUCUUCGAGCACUUACUCUCUAUUACACGAGCGCCUUCUAGGACUUCUUCAAAAUAGUGCUCGGCCGGGACCUAGUAUGCGGCCGGGCCUCGGGUUGCAAUAGCGGUGGCCUCCAUCUCCGCCCAGUAUGUCUUAACACGGGCAAGAGCCAUCCGCGCACCCUCUAUGCACGCUGACCUCUUUAUAGCGUCAAUUUGCAGCACAUCGCCAAGGAAUCGUUGCACUAGACCAAAAUAACUAUUCGGCCUCGGUCCCUCCGGCCAAAGGUGAUCCACGACUGACCUCAUAGCAAGUCCGGACAACCUAUGGAGCUCGGCCCACUCGGCCAUUUGUUCAUUUAACAGCAACGGACGCGUUGGAGUGCUGAACUGUGACCAGAACAACCUUUCCACUACAUGAUCUUUGUGAUCUUUGAAAAACUUGGUCGCAUCAGCGGCACUCGCUGCUAAAUCCAAGUACGCGUCUGCAGAACUCCAUAAUUUAUCCAGAGGGGCAUACUUCGGGUCUCCAAACCUCGUCCGCAACAAAAAGGGCUUCCCAGCCGCGAUAUCUCCGGCUUGACGGAGUUCCUCCUUCACCGCUCUGACUUGCGAGCGGGUUUCCUUGGCCGCUUCCAUGGCCUCCUUCAGGUCCGCCGCCUUCGCUUGGCUUUCCUUUUCAAGAAGCUCAUACCGGCCGGCGACAUCUUUCAGCUCAACAGCCAUCUUGGCUAUUUCCUCUUUGCUCUGGCAAUGCGCAGCCUGUUCGGCCCUUAGCUCUUCGACCGCCUUCAGGGCGGCCGCAUCACUCUUCCUGGCUUGUUCCUUGGCCCGGGCAAGUUCCGCCCGAAGGGUCUCCAUGGCGACAGCUCCAUCUACAGUCACAUCAUAUUAUAGAUACUAGCAUCAUGCUCCUCUUAAUAUGUGUUGAUCAUAGGAGAAUACAUACCCUGUGCCUCGUCAAGCCCCUUGUUUACAAGCACGAUGUUGGCACCUGCCACAUCAAGUUGCCGCUUCAGCUCGGCAAAUUCACCAGUCCGGCUAGCCACUAGACCCUCGGCCGCCUGCACGUCAAGGCAACAUGGUUAUUACCUGGGACUAUGAUCCUCUAGUUGCCGUCUUGUUCGACAGCAACCAGAGUCUCAGGGGCUACUAUCUGCAUAGGGCACACCUAGCGUGUACGGUACCGUCAAAAUAUAUAUUACUUUGCGUACCUCAAAGCCUCUCAGCAGGCUCAUAAAAGCUUCAUGGAACCCGCUUUCGGCGGAUGAAAUCCUCUCAACCACCGUACCCAUUAGCGUACGAUGCGCUUCUGAGAUAGACGCUCCCUCCAGAAGAUUCAUCAGUGCGUCUGGUCGCGCAUCGGACGGUCCCGGACUCUUUCUGUUGCUCUCCUUAGGAACCAGAUACUCCGGACUUCGGGUGGCCGAAGGGUUACCUUCUGGCCUUGGCGGAUCAGGAGAAACCCUCCGUGAUGACACCUCAGGGUCGUCCGCUUCAUGAGGCGGGGAGGCAUGGGGAGGCGUUUCGCUCUCCAUCAUCUCCGGAAGAAGAUCCCCCGAAGACGAACUCUGUCGAGAAGGGCUACGAUCCGGACUGCAAGACAUAUGUCUUGGUUAUCAUUCUCAAAGAUGAAGCAGGAUAUAUUUAUCGAAAGUACUUUUGUUUACUCACAACUUGGUGGAGGGCUGGUCCCCUUGUGGGUACUGUAUGGCAAGGAUGCCCUCCGGGGUAGGACCUCCUGACAAAGGUUUCUUCCCUCGCUUGGAGAUCAUUACUUCCAAGUCUUCAGAGGCGGUCCUCUUCCUUCCGUGGGGAGAGGGAAUUUUAGACUCUUCCCCCCGGUUAUCCUCCUUCGUGGAGGCACUAAUUCCCCCGGUUCGGAUGAAUAGUGAGUGAGGCUCGCUCUCGGCUUCUGUGUUCCUCCCUUUAUCUUCCCCUGAUGGCGCUUGAUAAGGCGCAAGCUCAAGCAUCCUGGCUAGUGCAGGAUCCGGUGAGCCUUCGGGAAGGGGGGCCGGACACCUGAUCAUCUUCACCUUUUUUAUCCAGUCCUGGUCAAAAGGCGACUUUUCAGAAUGAUGUUGUGAUAAAUUAAAAGACAACGUGUUCGGCCACGGAAUUACUUACUUGAGUGUCUGGACGAUUGCAGUUCAGACCUGCAUCCUCGGAGGUGUCCGGACACUCUAUUUGUGAUCCGAAGAACGAUCUGUACAUCUCUUCGAGCGUCACACCGAAGAAGUGCUGAAUAGUUCGCGGUCCUUCCGGGUUGAACUCCCGCAUACGGAGAGGUCGACGUUUGCAAGGCAGGGCUCGACGAACUAGCAUGACUUGCAUUACCUUAACAAGGCUGACAUCUCUCUCGAGGAGAUCUCGGAUACGACUCUGCAAUGUCAGUGAGGGAGUCCUGGAUUAGGGGGUCCUCGGACAGCCGGACUAUAUCCUUUGGCCGGACUGUUGUACUAUGAAGAUACAAGAUUGAAGACUUUGUCCUGUGUCUGUAUGGGACUCUCCUUGGCGUGGAAGGCAAGCUUGGCGAUACGGAUAUGUAGAUCUCCUCCCUUGUAACCGACUCUGUGUAACCCUAGGCCCCUCCGAUGUCUAUACAAACCAGAGGGUUUAGUCUAUAGGACAACAACAAUCAUACCAUAGGCUAGCUUCUAGGGUUUAGCCUCUACGAUCUCGUGGUAGAUCAACUCUUGUAAUACUCAUAUCAUCAAGGUCAAUCAAGCAGGAAGUAGGGUAUUACCUCCAUCGAGAGGGCCCGAACCUGGGUAAACAUUGUGUCCCCCGCCUCCUGUUACCAUCCGCCUUAGACGCACAGUUCGGGACCCCCUACCCGAGAUCCGCCAGUUUUGACACCGACAUUGGUGCUUUCAUUGAGAGUUCCACUGUGCCAUCACCGUAAGGCUUGAUGGAUCCUUCGAUCAUCGACAACGAUGCGAUCCAGGGUGAGGUUUUCCUCCUCGGACAGAUCUUCGUAUUCGGCGGCUUCGUACUGCGGGCCAACUCACUUGGCCAUCUGGAGCAGAUCGAAAGCUACGCCCUUGGCCAUCAGGUCAGGUUUGGAAACUUGAACUAUACUGCCGACAUUCGCGGAGACUUGAUCUUCGACGGAUUCGAGCCCAUGCCAGGUGCGCCGCACAAUCACGACAGGCAUGACUUAACUCUGCUGUCGGACAAUGUUCGAGAGAUCACACCUGCAACUGCCCCGGCCCUCAACCCGGAACAAACUGCGCCAUCUGAGGACGGGUGGAUAGACCCCCCCAUGGAGGCCGCACUCCCAGUGGCGAUAGAGCCGAAUACUGAUUUCACCUCCUACGAGAGCCGUGUCGCCGUACCGUUGGAUUCGUCCCCGGCCACAGGCUCCGAGCCGCUCGCGCUCGUGCCUAUCAAAUCUGAUUGGGCACCGAUCAUGGAGUUUACCUCCGCGGAUAUCUUUCAGCACUCGCCUUUUGGUGAUGUGCUAAAUUCACAAAGGUCUCUCUCCUUGUUAGGAGAACCUUGGCCGAACUAUGUCCGGCUAGAAUGGGGUGCGGACGACGAAGAAAUUCGCUCCCCACCCACCACCCACUUAGUAGCCACUGUCGACGAUCUAACCGACAUGCUCGACUUCGACUCCGGAGACAUCGACGGUAUGGACGACGAUGCAGGAGACGAGCAAGAACCACCGCCCACAGGGCGCUGGACAGCCACUUCAUCACACGAUAUAUAUAUGGUGGAUACACCCAAAGAAAACAAUGACGAGGAACGGAAGGAGGCAGCGAAGGAUAGCUCCCUCGAGAAGCAACCGAAGCGACGGCGUAGGCGCCGCUCCAAAUCCCGCCUCGGCAAAAACAACGAUAACAGCGCAAGAGAAAAUAACACCCCAGUCGACUCCAGAGGAAAUGUUGACCACAUUGACCCAGCGAUAGAGCAGGAUGAACCAGCGAACGGCGAACAUAGUACGGAUCCGCUGUCCGAACACGGCGAUGCAGAGGAUAAAGCUCGUCAACCUCUCUCCGGAGAGGAAAACAGUCCGGACGAGGAUGCACACAUCAUCCCAGAAAGGCACUUGGAACAAGAGAACCUCCGUAGAAGGCUUAUUGCCACCGCGAGGAGCCUGAAGAAGCAGAAGCAAAGGCAUAAGGCCGCGCAGAAUACGCUCAACAGUAGAUGGAACAAAGUGCUCGACAAUGAAGAAAAGUAUGGUGGCAGUCGCCACACAAAGAGCUAUCCAAAGCGCAAGCUGUUGCCUGAGUUCGAUGAUGAGGCCGUAGAGCCUACACGGCCGAAGAAUAAAAUGACCGAUCAGCCGGAUCGACCACCUCGUGGCCGCGAUAGGGCGGCUAACGAGGCCGCACAUAAGUCAACACACGAUUUGCGUGAGGACUCGCACCAAAGAUCCGGUAUGACCAGGUCCAUCUAUGAUCUAGGAAGCGCGCUCUGGCACAAAAUCAAAACCGAACACCACAACCGCCAGAACGCCAUGACACAUCCAAAUACAGGGGUGCCGCGCACCCCCUAUGUUUCACCGAUGAGGUGCUGGAUCAUGAAUUUCCAAAGGGAUUCAAACCCGUGAACAUAGAGGCGUACGAUGGAACGACAGACCCUGGGGUCUGGAUUGAGGACUUCAUCCUCCACAUCCAUAUUCCUCGCGGAGACGAUCUCCACGCCAUCAAAUACUUGCCCCUCAAGCUAAAAGGGCCAGCUCGGCACUAGCUGAAGAGCCUCCCCGAAAAUUCAAUUGGAAGUUGGGAGGAGCUUGAGGAUGCUUUUAGGGCCAACUUUCAAGGGACCUAUGUCCGACCUCUGGAUGCAGACGAUUUAAGUCAUAUAAUUCAACAUCCCGGAGAGUCAGCCCGAAAGCUUUGGAACAGAUUUCUCACUAAGCAGAACCAAAUCGUCGACUGCCCGGACGCCGAAGCCUUAGCAGCUUUCAAACACAGCGUCCGCGACGAAUGGCUCGCCAUACACCUCGGCCAAGAAAAACCAAGGACAAUGGCAGCACUAACAAGCCUUAUGACCCGCUUUUGCGCGGGCGAAGAUAGCUGGCUGGCCCGUAGUAGCACCAGCGACCCAAGCACAUCUGAAGUUAGGGAUGGCAAUGGAAAACCAUGGCUCAGUAAAAGCAAGCGUCGAAAUAACGAAGACGACCCAGACAACACGGCGGUAAACGCCGGAUUUAGGGGCUCUCGACCCGGUCAACGAAAAAAUCCUUUUAAAGGCAGCAAAGAUGGACCGUCCAGCCUAAACAAGAUUCUAGACAAAUUAUGUCAGAUUCAUGGCACCUCCGAUAAACCUGCAAAUCACACCCACAGAGAAUGCUGGGUCUUCAAGCAGGCCGGUAAGUUAAACGCCGAACACAAGGGGAGGGAGACACCAAGUGAAGACGAGGACGAGCCUCGCCAGCAAAGCACUGGGGGACAGAAAAAAUUCCCACCAGAGGUCAAAACAGUGAACAUGAUUCAUGUGACGAAGAGGAGAAGCAAACAUGCACUCCGAGACACACGCGCCGUAGAGCCCAUCACCCCUAAGUUCAACCCCUGGUCAGCCUGCCCGAUCACUUUUGAUCGCAGGGAUCACCUGACAAGUAUCCGGCACGGAGGAUUGGCUGCCUUUGUGUUAGACCCAAUAAUCAACGGAUACCAUCUCACACGAGUCCUUAUGGAUGGCGGCAGUAGUCUUAAUCUGAUAUAUCAGGACACAGUCCGCAAAAUGGGGAUAGACCCGACAAGAAUCAGCGACAGUAAUACUACCUUUAAGGGAGUAAUACCUGGCCCAGAGGCUCGCUGUACGGGCUCUCUAGUACUAGAGGUUGUAUUCGGUUCUCCCGACAACUUCCGAAGCGAAAAGUUAUCCUUCGACAUUGCUCCAUUUCGAAGUGGCUAUCAAGCACUACUCGGAAGAGCAGCUUUUGCUUAUUUUAAUGCAGUACCGCAUUACGCUUCUCUUAAGCUUAAGAUGCCCGGUCCACGUGGCAUCAUCACAAUUAGCGGAAAUAUCGAGCGUUCCUUACGCGCGGAAGAACGUGUGGCGGCUUUAGGAGCCGAACACUAAACGGCCUCUCCAACCAGAAUAAAUGAUCGGUCGUCAAGACCGCGGACAUGGCUAGACGAGUCCGACGCAUCAUUAGCUGUAACAUCUUAGAUAUACCUAAGAUUGGUUCGAUGGAUUUACCCUCAUAGGCGGUACCAGGGCUUCCCGCAUGUAAAAGGACUACAGUUCGGCUCGACCUUCUCUUGAUUUUUAAUGGUUUAUUGAGAAUAACCAAUUUUUCGCACGACAACUUUCACCUAAGUUCUUCUCUUUUUACAGAUGGUAACCGUGCCACACCAUUCCAGGAUACGGCACAACGGAGACACAUGCGCAGAAGUGCAGCAGGGCCCCGCUCAAAGGUUUCUUUUUAGAUUAUGACCCUGCGUAAACCUUUUUUACUGUCUCUUGUUGCUUCACAUCCUCCGGAUAAUCAGCAUAACCGAGAGCGAUGCUGACGCUAUUGGCAUUUCGCCACGUCAGAAUGAUGCACGUACCUGGACACUCAGGGAUCAUUAUCAAGGGCGUUAUUCAGCCCGGUAUAUGUUGUAAAGACCGAAUAACUUAGGGAGUGUUCGGCGUCGCGAGUUUGGCCUUAUAUGCAUCAGCUCCGAAUCAUGUCUUUGGUCAAAUGUUGGGUUUGCCCGGCUCCCGUGUUUUGCUACCUUACGUUCCGCUCUAUCGGCUAAGGUGGCACCAGGAGAACUACUGCGAUUGUGCCCUGGUUCAUCCGGACGAGCACCUCAGUAGAGAAAGCCGAAAACUGACUGUCAUGAUAAAGCGCGAGACUGGUCAACCACUCGAUGACUUAGCGGAAUCUUCGGGAUUCCUCCGCAUUAAUGAAGGGCCGUUUCCCGGUCAUGUAUGUACGUGCCCUGUAUUCGGAUGAGCGCGGAGGUAACAGGGGCUAUGUAGUAGUCCCACCGUCAAACUCCUAUGGCUAAGUGAAAGUGUUCAAGCAAUAUAGUCUGAUUGCCUCGUUCGCUGCGCUAUCACCUCCUUAAUGGACCAAGACGUUGGAUCAAGUGUGAAUACGCAUUUUUGCGAACACCCCCGCAUUAUAUGCGUGGGGGCUGAAGCCGAUGACUGCAAACUUUCAGGUUAUAUACAUAUAUACAUAAACGGCCGCACAGGAGGCAUCAUAAUACUUUCAGGCAAAAGUAUAAACACAGCCUUUAUAAUUUAAUAGCAUUGUUUUUACAAUCGGGAUACAUGUCACUUGAACAUGAUACUCUUUGAGCACUGAGUCUCUAUUACACGAGCGCCUUCUAGGACUUCUUCAAAAUAGUGCUCGGCCGGGACCUGGCAUGCGGCCGGGCCUCGGGUUGCAAUAGCGGUGGCCUCCAUCUCCGCCCAGUAUGUCUUAACACGGGCAAGAGCCAUCCGCGCACCCUCUAUGCACGCCGACCUCUUUAUAGCGUCAAUUUGCAGCACAUCGCCAAGGAAUCGUUGCACUAGACCAAAAUAACUAUUCGGCCUCGGUCCCUCCGGCCAAAGGUGAUCCACGACUGACCUCAUAGCAAGUCCGGACAACCUAUGGAGCUCGGCCCACUCGGCCAUUUGUUCAUUUAAUAGCAGCGGAUGCGUUGGAGUGCUGAACUGUGACCAGAACAACCUUUCCACUACAUGAUCUUUCUAAUCUUUGAAAAACUUGGUCGCAUCAGCGGCACUCGCUGCUAAAUCCAAGUACGCGUCUGCAGAACUCCAUAAUUUAUCCAGAGGGGCAUACUUCGGGUCUCCAAACCUCGUCUGCAACAAAAAGGGCUUCCCGGCCGCGAUAUCUCCGGCUUGACGGAGUUCCUCCUUCGCCGCUCUGACUUGCGAGCGGGUUUCCUUGGCCGCUUCCAUGGCCUCCUUCAGGUUCGCCACCUUCGCUUGGCUUUCCUUUUCAAGAAGCUCAUACCGGCCGGCUGCAUCUUUCAGCUCAAUAGCCAUCUUAGCUAUUUUCUCUUUGCUCUGGCAAUGUGCAGCCUGUUCGGCCCUUAGCACUUCGACCGCCUUCAGGGCGGCCGCAUCACUCUUCCUGGCUUGUUCCUUCGCCCGGGCAAUUUCCGCCCGAAGGGUCUCCACGGUGACAGCUCCAUCUGCAGUCACAUCAUAUUAUAGAUACUAGCAUCAUGCUCCUCUUAAUAUGUGUUGAUCAUAGGAGAAUACAUACCCUGUGCCUCGUCAAGCCCCUUGUUUACAAGCAUGAUGUCGGCAUCUGCCGCAUGAAGUUGCCGCUUCAGUUUGGCAAAUUCACCAUUCCGGCUAGCCACCGGACCCUCGGCCGCCUGCACAUAAAGGCAGCACGGUUAUUACCUGGGACUAUGAUCCUCUAGUUGUCGUCUUGUUCGACAGCAACCAGAGUCUCAGGGGCUACUAUCUGCAUAGGGCACACCUAGUGUGUGUGGUACUGUCAAAAUAUAUAUUACUUUGCGUACCUGAAAGCCUCUCAGCAGGCUCACAAAAGCUUCAUGGAACCCGCUUUCGGCGGAUGAAAUCCUCUCAACCAUAGUACCCAUUAGCGUACGAUGCGCUUCUAAGAUAGCCGCUCGCUCCAGAAGAUUCAUCAGUGCGUCUGGUCGCGCACUGGACGGUCCGGACUCUUUCUGUUGCUCUCCUUAGGAACCGGAUACUCCGGACUUCAGGUGGCCGAAGGGUUACCUUCUGGCCUUGGCGGAUCAGGAGAAACCCUCCGUGACGACACCUUAGGGUUGUCUCCUUCAUGAGGCGGGGAGGCAUGGGGAGGCGUUUCGCUCUCCAUCAUCUCUGGAAGAAGAUCCCCCAAAGACGAACUCUGUCGAGAAGGGAUACAAUCCGGACUGCAAGACAUAUGUCUCGGUUAUCAUUCUCAGAGAUGAAGCAGGACAUAUUUAUCGAAAGAACUUUUGUUUACACACAGCUCGGUGGAGGGCUGGUCCCCUUGCGGGUACUGUACGGUAAGGAUGCCCUCCGGGGUAGGACCCCCUGACAAAGGUUUCUUCCCUUGCUUGGAGACCAUUACUUCCAAGUCUUCAGAGGCGGUCCUCUUCCUUCCAUGGGGAGAGGGAAUUUUAGACUCUUCCCCCCGGUUAUCCUCCUUCGUGGAGGCACUAAUUCCCCCGGUUCGGAUGAAUAGUGAGUGAGGCUCGCUCUCGGCUUCUUUGUUCCUCCCUUUAUCUUCCCGUGAUGGCGCUUGAUAAGGCGCAAGCUCAAGCAUCCUGGCUAGUGCAGGAUCCGGUGAGCCUUCGGGAAGGGGGCCGGACACCUGAUCAUCUUUGCCUUUUUUAUCCAGUCCUUGUCAAAAGGCGACUUUUCAGAAUGAUGUUGUGAUAAAUUAAAACACAACGUGUUCGGCCGCGGAAUUACUUACUUGAGUGUCUGGACGAUUGCAGUUCAGACCCGCAUCCUCGGAGGUGUCCGGACACUCUAUUUGUGAUCCGAAGAAUGAUCUGUACAUCUCUUCGAGCGUCACGCCGAAGAAGUGCUGAAUAGUUCGCGGUCCUUCCGGGUUGAACUCCCACAUACGAAGAGGUCAACGUUUUCAAGGCAGGGCUCGACGAACUAGCAUGACUUGCAUUACCUUAACAAGGCUGGCAUCUCUCUCGAGGAGAUCUCGGAUACGACUCUGCAAUGUCGGCACAUCAUUUACUGGCCCCCAGUCCAGCCCCUUGUUGACCCAUGACGCCAGUUGUGGCGGGGGGUCCGAGCGGAAGGCAGGGGCGGCUACCCACUUAGUACCCCGGGGAGCUGUGUUAUAAAACCACUCCCGUUGCCAUAAACUGGACACCUCCGGGAAGGAACCCUUUGGCCAUGGAACAUCGGCGCCUUUGCUUAUUACGGCACCUCCGCACUCUGCGUGUCACCCCUCAAUCAUCUUCGGCUCCACAUUGAAGAUCUUGAGCCAUAAGCCGAAGUGUGGGGUAAUGCGGAGGAAGGCUUCACACACGACGAUGAACGACGAGAUGUGAAGGAUGGAAUCCGGAGCCAGAUCAUAGAAAUCGAGCCCAUAGUAGAACAUGAGCCCUCUGACAAAGGGAUCUAUACUAAAACCUAGCCCUCAGAGGAAGUGGGAGACGAAUACGACACUCUCGCCUGGUUCGGGAGCGGGAAUGACCUGCCCUCGGGCAGGCAGCCUGUGCGAGAUUUCGUCGGUCAAAUACCUAGCUUCUCUUAGCUUCUUGAUGUCCUCCUCUGUGGCAUCCACCAACCUUGAAGGUUGGAUCCGGACAUGAUUGUAGGUCCGAAGCGCCUAGCCUGAGCCUUGGGUGUUGGAACUCGAGGUGGGGGAAGGAUUCGAUUGAGCGCGAGAAGAAGGGGACUGGCCUAGGCCCCUUUAUAAAGAGGAUGAAUAUCAAGCGUCCUCCGCGUGGCCGUUUGGGACUUGCCUAAAAUCGAGAAGUCAUACCAACAGGCACGAUUGGGGUACCCAUACCCGUAUUGAUGAGAAUCCCAUGAAAAAAGGGACACGAUCUCUGCUUCGACAGGACGUGCCAAUAAAAACCGCCUCGCAACACGUGCAGUGGCAGGCUCGGAAAAAAGGUUCGUCAUGACCAGACCACGGCAGUACGUCAUGUUGUGAAAAGUUGUCAGCAUAUUAGAUUUGUGGAAAUAUUACUCUCUCUAUGGUGGUAUGUGGAAUUUGUUUUGCAGAGCCGGACACUAUCCUUGUGUUCAAAAACUUUUGUGGAGUAUUCGGAGGAGGAACCCGCCUUGCAAUGCCGAAGCCAUUCUGCGCGCUGGACUCAUCGUCAUUGAAGCCUGGUUCAGGGGCUACUCAGGGAGUCCUAGAUUAGGGGGUCCUCGAACAGCCGGACUAUAUCCUUUGGCUGGACUGUUGGACUAUGAAGAUACAAGAUUAAAGACUUCGUCCCGUGUCCGGAUGGGACUCUCCUUGGCGUGGAAGGAAAGCUUGGCGAUACAGAUAUGUAGAUCUCCUCCCUUGUAACCGACUCUGUGUAACCCUAGCCCCCUCCGGUGUCUAUAUAAACCGGAGGGUUUAGUCCAUAGGACAACAACAAUCAUACCAUAGGCUAGCUUCUAGGGUUUAGCCUCUAUGAUCUCGUGGUAGAUCAACUCUUGUAAUACUCAUAUCAUCAAGAUCAAUCAAGCAGGAAGUAGGGUAUUACCUCCAUCGAGAGGGCCUGAACCUGGGUAAACAUUGUGUCCCCCGCCUCCUGUUACCAUCCGCCUUAGACGCACAGUUCGGGACCCCCUACCCGAGAUCCGCCGGUUUUGACACCGACAUNNNNNNNNNNNNNNNNNNNNNNNNNNNNNNNNNNNNNNNNNNNNNNNNNNNNNNNNNNNNNNNNNNNNNNNNNNNNNNNNNNNNNNNNNNNNNNNNNNNNNNNNNNNNNNNNNNNNNNNNNNNNNNNNNNNNNNNNNNNNNNNNNNNNNNNNNNNNNNNNNNNNNNNNNNNNNNNNNNNNNNNNNNNNNNNNNNNNNNNNNNNNNNNNNNNNNNNNNNNNNNNNNNNNNNNNNNNNNNNNNNNNNNNNNCGAGCGGAAGUCAGGGGCGGCUACCCACUUAGUACCCCGGGGAGUUGUGAUAUAAAACCACUCCCGUUGCCAUAAACUGGACACCUCCGGGAAGGAACCCUUUGGCCAUGGAACAUCGGCGCCUUUGCUUGUUACGGCACCUCCGCACUCUGCGUGUCGCCCCUCAAUCAUCUUCGGCACCACAUUGAAGGUCUUGAGCCAUAAGCCGAAGUGUGGGGUAAUGUGGAGGAAGGCUUCACACACGACGAUGAAUGACGAGAUGUGAAGGAUGGAAUCCGGAGCCAGAUCAUGGAAAUCGAGCCCGUAGUAGAACAUGAGCCCUCUGACAAAGGGAUCAUGAAUAAAACCUAGCCGUCGGAGGAAGUGGGAGACGAAUACGACACUCUCGCCAGGUUCGGGAGCGGGAAUGACCUGCCCUCGGGCAGGCAGCCUGUGCGAGAUUUCGCUGGUCAAAUACCUAGCUUCUCUUAGCUUCUUGAUGUCCUCCUCUGUCACAUCCACCAAGCUUGAAGGUUGGAUCCGGACAUGAUUGUAGGUCCGAAGCGCCUAGUCUGAGCCUUGGGUGUUGGAACUCGAGGUGGGGAAGGAUUCGAUUGAGCGCGAGAAGAAGGGGACAGGCCUAGGCUCCUUUAUAAAGAGGAUGAAUAUCAAGCGUCCUCCGCGUGGCCGUUUGGGACUUGCCUAAAAUCGAGAAGUCAUACCAACAGGCACGAUUGGGUUACCUAGACCCGUAUUGAUGAGAAUCCCGUGAAAAAAGGGGCACGAUCUCUGCUUCGACAUGACGUGCCAAUAAAAACCGCCUCGCAACACGUGCAGUGGCAGGCUCGGAAAAACGGUUCGUCAUGACCAGAUCAUGGCAGUACGUCACGUUGUGAAAAGCUGUCAGCAGAUUAGAUUUGUGGAAAUAUUACUCUCUCUACGGUGGUAUGUGGAAUUUGUUUUGCAGAGCCGGACACUAUCCUUGUGUUCAAAAUCUUUUGUGGAGUAUUCGGAGGAGGAACCCGCCUUGCAAUGCCGAAGACAUUCUGCGCGCCGGACUCAUCGUCAUUGAAGCCUGGUUCAGGGGCUACUGAGGGAGUCCUGGAAUAGGGGGUCCUCGGACAGCCGGACUAUAUCCUUUGGCUGGACUGUUGGACUAUGAAGAUACAAGAUUGAAGACUUCGUCCCGUGUCUGGAUGGGACUCUCCUUGGCGUGGAAGGCAAGCUUGGUGAUACGGAUAUGUAGAUCUCCUCCCUUGUAACCGACUCUAUGUAACCCUAGCCCCCUCCGGUGUCUAUAUAAACCGGAGGGUUUAGUCCAUAGGACAACAACAAUCAUACCAUAGGCUAGCUUCUAGGGUUUAGCCUCUACGAUCUCGUGGUAGAUCAACUCUUGUAAUACUCAUAUCAUCAAGAUCAAUCAAGUAGGAAGUAGGGUAUUACCUCCAUCGAGAGGGCCUGAACCUGGGUAAACAUUGUGUCCCCCGCCUCCUGUUACCAUCCACCUUAGACGCACAGUUCGGGACCCCCUACCUGAGAUCCGGCGGUUUUGACACCGACAAUGAUGUGUGAGUAGUUUACCUCAGACCUUCGGGUCCAUAGUUAUUAGCUAGAUGGCUUCUUCUCUCUCUUUGGAUCUCAAUACAAAGUUCUCCACGAUUCUCGUGGAGAUCUAUUCGAUGUAAUCUUCUUUUGCGGUGUGUUUGUUGAGACCGAUGAAUUGUGGGUUUAUGAUCAAGUUUAUCUAUGAACAAUAUUUGAAUCUUCUCUGAAUUCUUUUAUGUAUGAUUGGUUAUCUUUGCAAGUCUCUUCGAAUUAUCAGUUUGGUUUGGCCUACUAGAUUGAUCUUUCUUGCAAUGGGAGAAGUGCUUAGCUUUGGGUUCAAUCUUGCGGUGUCCUUUCCCAGUGACAGCAGGGGCAGCAAGGCACGUAUUGUAUUGUUGCCAUCGAGGAUAAAAAGAUGGGGUUUAUAUCAUAUUGCAUGAGUUUAUCCGUCUACAUCAUGUCAUCUUACUUAAAGCAUUACUCUGUUCUUUUGAACUUAAUACUCUAGAUGCAUGCUGGAUAGCGGUCGAUGUGUGGAGUAAUAGUAGUAGAUGCAGGCAGGAGUCGGUCUACUUGUCACGGACGUGAUGCCUAUAUACAUGAUCAUACCUAGAUAUUCUCAUAACUAUGCUCAAUUCAAUCAAUUGCUCAACAGUAAUUUGUUCACCCACCGUAAUACUUAUGCUCUUGAGAGAAGCCACUAGUGAAACCUAUGGCCCCGGGUCUAUUUUCCAUCAUAUUAAUCUUCCAACACUUAGCUAUUUUUAUUGCCUUUAUUUUACUUUGCAUCUUUAUUAUAAAAAUACCAAAAAUAUAAUCUUAUCAUAUCUAUUAGAUCUCACUUUCGUAAGUGACCGUGAAGGGAUUGACAACCCCUUUAUUGCGUUGGUUGCGAGGUUUUUAUUUGUUUGUGUAGGUGCGAGGGACUUGAACGUGGCCUCCUACUGGAUUGAUACCUUGGUUCUCAAAAACUGAGAGAAAUACUUAUGCUACUUUACUGCAUCACCCUUUCCUCUUCAAGGGAAAACCAACGCAGUGCUCAAGAGGUAGCAGCAGGGUGCCGGAACAGGGUCCCGAUUGGUUUUUGGUGGCUAGAGAGGCUUGCGGCGGCGGAACUCCCGAUCUAUUCUGUCCUAUGAUGUUUUUAGGGUAUAUGGAUAUAUAAAGGCGAAAGAAGUCAGUCAGGGGAGCCACAAGGGGCCCAGGAGGGUGGGGGGCGCGCCCAGGGGGGCAGGCGCGCCUCCCUGCCUCGUGGUCACCUCGUUGCUUCCCUGACGUACACUCCAAGUCUCCUGGAUUGCUUCCGUUCCAAAAAUAACUCUCCCGAAGGUUUCAUUCCGUUUGGACUCCGUUUGAUAUACCUUUUUCUUCGAAACACUGAAAUAGGCAAAAAAACAGCACUCUGGGCUGGGCCUCUGGUUAAUAGGUUAGUCCCAAAAAUAAUAUAAAAGUGUAUAAUAAAGCCCAUAAACAUCCAAAACAGAUAAUACAAUAGCAUGAAUACUUCAUAAAUUAUAGAUACGUUGGAGACGUAUCAGCCCCAUAAAAAGGAGAAACCGCAGGCGCGACGCCCAUUUACGCUUUGUGCCUUCUCCAAUCUUGGAACCGCUGCCCCUCCCUUCUCUCUUCUUCAAGUUCUUGCUUUCGCUCGCCGCCGCCGCCGUACCUUUGCUGUCCCUCAUCCUUCGCCUCUCUCAGCCGCCAUGGCACCCAGAACCAGCAAAGGCAAGGGAGUGGCCAAAGACGUCGGGGGGAAGGAGGCGCCAGAGAGCGAGUUGGCGGCGCGGUGGACGCAGCUCGCCUACUUUCCUUCGACGAUCGAUGCGGUCCACCUCCGGGACUACUUCAAGCCCCUGUGGGGGUGCAAGACGAAGGGGCACCCUGCCACGCGCAUCAUCCCCGCCAGUUUCGCCGAGGCCGGCCCGAAUCGGUACCCCUUCUUCAUUGACUACUUUUCCUGCGGGCUCUGCCCCCCUUUCUCCAAUUUCUUCAAUGACGUCAUGCACACCUACGGCUUCCACCUUCUGGAUUUUACUUCGAAUGCCGUGGCGUGCAUGGCCCUUUUCGCCCAUCUCUGCGAGGGCUUCGCCGGAGUGCAUCCUAGCACGGCGCUUUUCCGCCACUACUUCUAUCCUCGUAUCCAAAAGGGAGGCGCGAUUUCCGGUUGUGUCGCCUGGAUCCCAAGGAGCCAGGGAAAGGGGACAUAUCCGAAGGGCGCUAAGUAGGAGAGGUGGGAGGAGUGGCGGGGCCGAUGGUGUUGGAUUGUGGAGGAGGACCCGCAGGAAUUUUGCUGGGUUCGCCAGGCGCCGCCGGUUCGCAGAGAUUAUUGGGGCGAAGUCGACGCCAAGGACGAGAAGCUCACGAUCGCCACCACCAGGAUCCAUCGCCUUACCGUGGCUGGCCUCACCUUUGAGAUGAUUGGGGCUGAUUUCCUCCGUCGCCGAAUCGCCCCACUGCAUAACAAGGGGAGGCCGGCAUGGCUUUUCAGGAACGCGGCCGACAUCAUGAGGCUUCGCCCUGGCUUGAACCACAACUUCACGAUGAUGAGGCAUGCCCACUUUUGCCAGAGGCUUUUUCAGCUUGACGUGUACCGUGAUGGCAGGGCCGAGAGCUCCGGCAAGGCCACGAAGUCCGGCAAGGUCGUCAAGGGGCCCCUGUUUGGGUUGCCGGUGGGGGUGGUCCCGCUGAGCAACAAUUCUCACCAAACCGACAUCAUCGCCAUGAUGCCGGACUUCAACGCGCACGGCCUUGGCCCAAAUUGGGCCGAGCCGGGGGUGGAUCAGGUGCAGGAGUUCUUCGACAAGCUGUCGGAGAAGUACGUCCAUGCCGAGCCAUUGCUCGUCCAGGACACCACCCAGGCAGUGCUGGACUUCAUCGCCGCCAGGGCGGCGGAGGCGGAGCUCGCCAAGGAGGCUGGCAGCGCCGGCCACAUGGAGGAUGAGGCCAAGGCUGCCGCGGAGGAGAAGGAGCUUGCCGGAUGGGCGGAGUUUGCCGGGGAGGCCAGCAACGCCGACACCGGGGCCCCUCUCAUCGAAGAUGUGGUGGACGAGUCGACCGAGGAAGAGGCCGAGGCUGACGAUCCUCCGGCUUUGGAAAAAAGGUGUGUCCUAUGGCGGGCCACCUCUGGCAAGCCGGUCCGGCCCGGCAGGACCGAGCAGCGGCAGGAGAUCCAGGCGGAGUCCGUGCACCUGACGAGGGCCGCGGCAGCAAAGAAGGUGGUGAAGGUCGUGGUGGCGAAGAGGAAAGAGACUGCCUCUUCUUCGUCCAAGCGUCCUCGGACUCCACCCGCUUCCCCUCCUCCCGCGGAUGUCGACACGGAGGUCGUCUUCGACCUUGGGUCUCUCAGCCCGAGGAGGAAGAGGAAGGCACCGGAAGAGGAGGCGGAGGAUGAGUAAGUAUCUUGUCUUUUGUCAUCUCCGUCCCCUCAGACCGUGCCGCUUUUCUUGACUUGUCUUCAUCUUUGCAGGGAUGUGGAGACGCUGGCCCAGAGGGUGGCGAAGAGAGCCAGGGGCUCGACGGGCGGCCAGCCCCCGGCGGGCACCUCGAGUACGCCACUGGUGGUGGAGAGCAGCCCGGACAGCAGCCCCCGGUGCAGCCCCCAGCGUGCGUUCAUCACUCGCUCCCUAUCAAUGUGUUGGGGUACGAUCUCUUCGCGCUGACCUUGCCGUGGUUGCAGGAGGAGGACGGCGGCAGGAGGAGCCACUGAGGGCCACCCCCAACACGCCGCCCCAAUCAACCACGCCGCCCCGAGGGGCGUCCCUGGCAAGGGCGCCAAGCACCGAGCCCAUGCGCACGGAGGAGGAGGAGAACCCGGGCACCGGCGGCUCCGUCCCGGCACCGAAUGUUGGUGGGGAGGGGGCCACUUCUUCCCAGCCUGACACGGGUGAGUUGUUUGUCUUCUGUCCAUGUUCUUGUUUCUUCUUCUUGAACCUUGGUCUUGGCUUUGCCUCAUCCUCCUUCUUGGCAUCUAGGCGCUCCCUCAGCGGACCAGGAGAACAUCGAUACUAUCAUCGAGGAGGCCGCCAGGGAUGCUGAGGCCGAGGCCAACAAGAUCGCCGCCGAGGAGGCUGCCAAGGGUGCUACUGAGGAUGCCGCCAAGGAGCCGGUCGGGGAGACCGGCAAGGCCGCUGCCGAGGAGGCCGGCAAGGGGCCUGCCGGGGAGGCCGGCAAGGCCGCUGCCGAGGAGGGGGCGGUUGAUGACCAACCUUGCUCGUCCGCUACCUCUGGCUCGGGCAUGUACCACUACAAAAAAAAUACACUUCCGUGAUGAUACGUGUUUGUCACAGUAGGUCGCGUUUUUUGUCAUGCAUGUACAUCCAUGACGAUUUUAUGACAGAAUCAAGAUAGUCAUACCUGUGCUAUCGUAGAAGAGUUCCAUGACAUUACAAAAAUUAUCAUCACGGAAGUGUCCACUUCCAUGACGAUAAAUCGCGCGUCAUAGAAGUGAUUUCGUCAAGGGUGACCGACACGUGGCAUCCACCAUAACGGGACACCGUUAAGCUAUCGGGUCCGGUUUUGGAUCCGAUAACCCGCUAACAGCCACGACCAAUGGCGAUUUUCCACAUGUAAAAUUCUCAUUGGCCGACGGAACCACGCGUCAGCUCCGCGUUGGCACAGGUGUCACUCAUCCAACGGUCAAGAUGGGCCUAUGAUAAGUUGACACGAGGACGGGCCCAUAAAGUUUAAAUGGGCCGGCCCAACUAAAGGCCCACAAGAUUUAGCGGACCAUAAUGGGCCGGCCCAGCUAAAGGCCCACAAGAUUUUGCAGACCAUAAUGGGCCAGCCCAGCUAAAGGCCCACAAGAUUUAGCGGACCACAAUGGGCCAGCCCAGCUAAAGGCCCACAAGAUUUUGCAGACCAUAAUGGGCCGGCCCAGCUAAAGGCCCAACAUUCUUAGUUAAGGCCCGUACGGCUAGUGUCAAAUCGUCCCGUCAACGGCCUGUCCUAAACUUGUCAUCAUCGCGGCCCAUGGUCACUUCUGGCCCGUUAGCAGUCCGCUAAGUAUAUGGGCCGAAUUACGGCCCAGUGUAUUUCCGGCCUGUUAAAGGUCUUGCUUCAUUUGGGCCUAUUUACAGGCCUUUGAAACUUUCAGCCCAUAAACGACUGUGAAGGAUUUGGGUCAUAUUCGGCCAUGUCUGACAUUCGGCCUGUUAGAGGCCCACUAUAGAUUUGGGCCACUUUCGGCCUGUUGUGAUUUUUGGCCUGUUAACGUUGGACGAAAUCCAUGGGCCAUAUGUGGCCCAACGUCACAUCGGGCCCAUUAACAACCCAUAUAAAAAUGACGAUAAUCUAGCCCGACCGAACUUCCGGCCUAUUAAAGGCCCGUGUAUUAGGUCGGCGUUACGGCCCGUCCGAAAUUUGACCUGUGAAAGAUCUGCAUCGUAAAUGGGCCACCAUUUCGGCCUGCUAAACCAGUGGGUUAUUUGGCCCAAUCUCACUUUCGGUCUAUUAAAGGCCCAUGUUUUUUAUGGGCUCGAGAUAUUUACACCUGUAAACGGCCUAUUGUUACUGAGGGCCCAAAUUAUGUUUAGGCCUAUUAAAGGCCCACUAUGGGCGCAGGCCUACCAGAAAAAUAUGAAAGCUUAUGCUGAUUUAGGCCCAGAUAUUUUUAGUGGGCUACAUGCAAAUUUCGGCCCAUAAUCGUUUUUAGCCUAAUUGGAAUGGGUCCGACGAAUGUUGGCAUGUUGGGCUCCUACGAAGCUUUUGGCCGAAUACAUUACUAAGAUAAACCUACACUAUACAAAAAUAGCGUCUUAAUUACUGCAGCCUUUGGCAGCAUCAUAAAUUCUGUAUCACAACAAAAUAAAUUCCAACCAUACAACAAAAGGCCUGUUGGCAUAAAGUUUACAGUCCUUGCAGAUAAAAGCACCAUCAGAUGUAUAGAAGCACAGAUCAUUUGACCUGAGUGCUAAUGUUCCAGGCUAUAGAAUCUGAUGGAGCAGCACGAUCUUCACCUUUUUCCGCCAUUGCUCUUGAAUAACGAAGCGAAUGUCUGAUAGUCUGGUUUCAAAACCAUUCAUAUCUUGACGACAUUUGGCAACCACUAUUCUUGUUUCCAAAACGACGUCCAUUAGGGAUUGGACUUGUGUCUGGAGCACAGAUAUAUCACUCUGUCUAGCAGGAAGAUUUUGUUCAGUAGGCGAUUUGGAUGAGGUUACCUUGACAACCAACCCAGAAUUACGCAGGAAGGUGCUUUUCGCACUGUUAGUGGAGAGAUACUGACGCACUGCAGCAAGAGGUGACAUUGUGCCUGUGGUAGCCUCGUCACCUUCAGGUGGUUGUCGCUGUUCAAUCAUUUGUUCCAUAGCUUCCUGAAAGUUUGAACUUGUAGAUUAGUGUACCAGAUAAGUUACUAAUGAGACAAAAACAAACAAAGUAGGUUACACGUUUAUACAUAACUUAUUUUGGUGAACUACUGUAAUACAUUAGCAUGUAUUGUAGUGCCAACUACAUAAUAAAAUCACUUUCGGAACAUAUGUCCAUGUAGCAUGCCUACUGUAUUGUCUAUUUCCUCACAUUCGUUGACAUCUAAGGAUAAAGAGACAUGGUUUAAAGUAGGAUGAACAUAGUAUGACAUCAUUCAUAUCAUGGGCAAACAGAUAUAAAACAAACACACUAUUUUAUCAUUGUGUGCGCAUGUGAACAUAACAACUAGAUUACAGAUCAAGAUCAAAAGAAUAUCCUUCAUCUCUUUUAAACCAUGUAAGGUGAAAUGAUACGUUAAGACAACUGUGUAUAAAAGUGAACAGAGUAACUGACAUUGGCUGCAAACCAAGUAGUUAAAUGAACACAUCACAGUACUAAUCAGUUCAAAGGCAGGAGGAGUAAGGACUUACAACAGCAGCUUGAACUGGUGUGCUCAUGCCCUUCAUCUUGCUGGUGUGGCAAUCCUUGAAGAUUUGCACUGCAUUCAGUUCAGGUUCUUUUUGGUCUGCACAGGCUUUCCUCUGUAUUUGGAACAAGUCAAUAUAGAUACGAUAAUAUGGCACAGAAAAAAGAAGGAAGUAGCAGCUAUUUACAAGAGCCUCGCAGUGUGCAAUAUAGCUACGAGAUCCUGUUGUCUAUUGGAAUUUCACUUUAGAACGGCUGGUCUUGUUCUUCAAACAGUUAGCCUAGAAGAAGAUACACUUGUAAGGCACAUACAUAAAUACAAGUUCAAUAUGUGGUCUGAUCAAAUACAUAUAGCCUACCUGAUACUUUGGAUCAGACCAGUGUUUAACGAGGGCUGUCCAGUCUUCAUCUAUAAUAUAUUCCACUGGAGAUGUUUGGUCGAUUUCAUUGUUAGCCUUGCCUUCAAAGUGAGAUUUUAUAAGGUGGUACCGAUAAUGUCGCAGAGCAGACUGAAAAACAUGAGUGCAUGCUUGUUUAGUUGCAUCAUCUUUCGGAUCCAACUUGAACCUCAUCUGUUGAAAAAAGAAUGUGAGUCUUAUUAGGAGGAAGCUAGAAAGUAUGGGACAGAGCAAGACAAUAUUACUAAUUGUGAUGAAUAACAUUACUUACGGAUAAAUGGUCAAGGAAGGUGUUAAAAUGGGUAUUGUCUUUCUCAUUCCUGUACUGGAUCCACGUUGGGAGGAUGCGUGCAUGACACCUAACGACAACGCCUGCCUCUGAUACUAGCUUGGCUGACUCUGUAGCAUCACGUGGCCUUUUUAAACCUUCCUCAAAAUGGAUCUCCAUUCUUCCUCCUUUAGAUUUUGUUAAUCUGUCAAGCAUUAUCCCUGAUGUCUGUUUCUGCUUGCGUCGUGGUGCUAGUUCAACACCGAAUAUGGAAAGUGUUAGUGUACAUCAAACUGUGAGAGUACAUAUAAAGGAGCAUGCAACUGCAACUUGACUCAGUCAGGUACCGUCUUGGUGCUGAUGCUCAUGAGGUUCAUUUGAUCUUGCCAAGUCCUGUUGUGUCAGUAGUGCUUCGGAAGUAGUGUUAGAUGUGAAGGCAACUUGGGAACUGGCCAGUUCCGGAGCAAACGAACGACUAACUCGUUGAGAUGCUGGUACAGUUGAAGCGGAUGCUGCAGCUGGUGGAGCAGGUGAUACUAUGUUUGUAGAUCUAGCCGGUGGACUUGGACCUUCUACUGCACUAUAAGUACCAGCUGAAUCUCAACGGCAGAUCCUUUUCCGUUUCACCUGACGAGUAACACCACUCCCUACUAUAUUAUUUUCCUUGCUCUUUUUUGACUUUCCCAUGUCAAGCCGUACCCACAACACAAAAGAAUAAAAUCGCUCUUCAGAACUCAUUGAUGCAUGAUACAGACAAGCAAUACUUUGAUGUAAGACAACCAUAUGAGGAUGGAAUAUGUAAGAAAAACAGGACGACAUGACAUAUUCACAGCUACGAUGUGUAAACUAAGCAGAACGAUUUUCAAGAAAAUAGAAGUAAUGCAAGCUAGACACCAUAUGAAAGAUGCAACCAAUAUUACUCUGCCAAGUUAAAAGUGUCUUGUCAUAAGUGGCAAUUCAAAAAAUUAGAAGCAGUACAACGUUGAAAUCAAUGCAAGAUGCAACCACUAUCAAACUGCCAUGUUAAAAGCGUCCAAUCAUGAGUGACUGAUGCGGGAUACACAACAGCAGUACUUUGAUGUAAGUACAUGGUAUGAUAGAUAGAUGCAGUGUAUUCUAGACACAGAAAGCCAUGUCAUAUGCACAUGUAUAACGUAUAAACUCAGCAGGUGCAAUUUAAUCAAAAUAGAAGAAAUACAGGCUAUACAACAUAUGCAACAUGAAACCAAUUAUCACACUGUCAACUUAGAGCAAGCACCUGCAAUGGUGGAGUACGGGAGAUGAACUCAUCAUGUAGACUUGGGACUUCAACUUCAUUAGUAGUAGUAGUGGCAAAUCUAGAGAGUCUUUGUUUGCUUCGGUGCGGAGGACCACCAACAUCCCCUAACUUACUCUUUUCCUUCCUAUUUUCUGAUAUUGCCUUAUGAAGUCAAAACCACAAGAAGAUGAAUAAAAUUAGCUCUUCAUAACUGGUUGAUGCAUGAUACAGACGAACACUACUUUGAUGUAAGGCAAGCGCAGGAUAGGAGGAUGGAAUAUAUACAAAAAAAGAUAGCGUUUCAUAUUCACACGUACGGUAGGAGGAUGGAAUAUGUAUGAAAAAACAGUAAGCGGAAGGCAUUUCAACAAAAUUAGAAGAAAUGGAAGCUAGGCACCAUAUGAACAUGCAACCAAUAUCACUCUAUCAGGUAAAAAGUGUCUCGUCGUAAGUGCCAUUUCAAGAAAUUAGAAGCAGUACAAGCUAGAAGACAAUGCAAGAUGCAACCUACAUCACAGUCCCAAGUUAAAUGUGUCUUAUGGGUAAGUGAUCGUUGCAGGUAUAAGUUGUAAGCUACGCAGAUGCAAUUCAACAUAAUCAGAAGCAAUACAAACUAGACAUCAUACAAAAAACACAAUCACAUAUAACAGUUCCAAGUUAGAGCAAGCACCUGUGAUGGUGGAGUAGGGGAGAUGUGCUCAUCAUGUACACGUAUGUUCUAGAAACAGGAACACGUGUCAUAUUCACAGGCAUUAUGUGUAAAGUAAGCAGAUGCAAUUCAACAAAGUUAGAAGCAAUACAAGCUAGACAUCAUACGCAACAUGCAACCACAUAUAAUAGUCCCAAGUUAAAUGUGUCUUAUGGGUAAGUGAUCGUUGCAGGUAUAAGUUGUAAGCUACGCAGAUGCAAUUCAACAUAAUCAGAAGCAAUACAAACUAGACAUCAUACAGAAAACACAAUCGCAUAUAACAGUUCCAAGUUAGAGCAAGCACCUAUGAUGGUGGAGUAGGGGAGAUGUGCUCAUCAUCUACACAGCUACGUUGAUUGUCCAGCCUUGUGUUGUCUUGCGAAUCUUGUUGGGAGGAUGGCGGAGUAGAAUCUGUAGAGACCCCCUAUUUGAGUUGCUCCGAAGGACCACCAUCAUCCACUGUCGGACUAAUUUCCUUCAGUUGUAAUGAUUUUGCAUUGUGAAGUCAAACCGAUAAGAAAAAGGAAUAAAAUUCGCUCUUCAGAACUCAUUCAUGCAUGAUACUGACGAACACUACUCGGAUGAAAGGCAAACACAUGAUGAGAGGAUGGAAUAUGUAUGAAAAAUAGGAUGGCGUGACAUAUUCACACCUAUGAUGUGGUAACUAAGCAGAAGGCAUUUCAACAAAUUAGAAGCACUGCAAGCUAGACACCAUAUGAAAGAUGCAACCAAUAUCACUCUGCCAAGUUCAAACUGUAUGAUGUUUCAACAAAUUAGAAGCAGUACAUGCUAGAAAUCAUAUGCAAGACACAACCAAUAUCAUAGUGGCGACUUAAAGGUGCCUUAUCAUAAGUGACUGAUGCGGGAUAUGCAAGAACAGUAGUCUGAUGUAAGUGUGAUCAGAUAUAGUAUGUUCUAGAAACAGGAACGUAUGUCAUAUUUACAGGCAUUAUGUGUAAAGUAAGCAGAUGCAAUUCAACAAAGUUAGAAGCAAUACAAGCUAGACAUCAUAUGCAACAUGCAACCACAUAUAAUAGUGCCAAGUUAGAGCAAGCACCUGUGAUUGUGGAAUAGGGAGAUGUGGCCAUCAUCUACACAGCUACAUUGACUGUCUAGCCUUGCGUUGUCUUGCGAAUCUUGUUGGGAGGAUGGUGGAGUAGAAUCUGUAGAGAACCGCCCUUUCAGUUGCUCGGAAGGACCACCAUCAUCCAAUGCCUUGCCAAUUUCCUUCAGCUUUAUUGAUUUUGCAUUGUGAGGUCAAACCGACAAGAAAAAGGUAUAUAAUUCACUCUUCAGAACUCAUUCAUGCAUGAUACUGACGAACACUACUCUGAUGAAAGGCAAAGUCAUGAUAUGAGGAUGGAAUAUGUACGAAAAAAUGGACGGCUUGACAUAUUCACACCUAUGAUGUGGUAACUAAGCAGAAGGCACUUCAACAAAUUAGAAGCACUGCAAACUAGACACCAUAUGGAAGGUGCAAUCAAUAUCACUCUGCCAAGUUAAAACUGUCUCGUCAUAGGUGGCGUUCAUCAAACUAGAAGCAAUACAUGCUAGAAAUCAUAUUCAAGACAUAAACCAAUAUCACACUGCCAACUUAAAGGUGUUCCAUCAUAAGUGACUGAUGCAGGAUACACAAGAAGAGUAGUUUCAUGUAAGAACAUGGUGUGAUAGACAGAUAUAGUAUGUACCAAAAACAGGAAAGCGUGUCAUAUUCACACGUAUCAUGUGUAAGCUAAGCAGAUGCAGUUUACACUAAUUAGGAGCAAAACAAGCUAGAAACCAUAUGCAACAUGCAACCAGAUAUCACACUGCCAAGUUAGAGCAAGCACCUUGGAUGGUGGAGUAGGGGAGCGGAGACUUGGACCUUGUAAUGCACUAUCAGUACAAGGAGAAUCGGUACAGAUGCUCCUUUACGUUGCUGCAGAGGACCACCACCAUCGCCUUCCUUACUCUUUUCCUUCCUCUUUCUUGAUUUUGCCUUGUCAAGUCAAACCCACAAGAAAAAGGAAUAAAAUUUGCUCUUCAGAACUCAUUGAUGCAUGAUACUGACGAACACUACUUUCAUGUAAGGCAGCCGCAUGAUAGGAGUAUGGAAUAUGUAUGAAAAACAGGACGGCGUGACAUAUUGACAUGUAUGAUGUAUAAAGUGUAAACUAAGCACAAGGUGCUUGAACUUGUUAGAAUCAAUGCAAGCUUCUUUAUAAGCAAGGAUGAAAUUGCAUUCUUUAUAAGAGUAGCGCGUCUCAUAUUAACCCACGGGCAUGACUGUCUCAUCAUAAGCGAUAGAUGCAGGAUACACAAGAACAGUAGUUUGAUGUAAGAACAUGGUGUGAUAGGCAGAUGUAGUAUGUACCAAAAACAGGAAGGCGUGUCAUAUUCACAUGUAUAAUGUGUAAGCUAAGGAGAUGCAAUUUAACAAAUUAGGAGCAAUACAAGCUAGGCACCAUAUGCAACAUGCAACCAGAUAUCACACUGCCAUGUUAGAGCAAGCACCUUGGGUUGUGGAGUAGGGGAGAUGAGAUUUGGAACUAGCACUGCAGUACGAGUAGCAGGAGAAUCUACAGAGAUCAUCUGUUUCGGUUGCUCCAGAGGACCAAUAUCAUUUCGUGCCUUCGUCCUUUCAGAUUUUGCCUUGUCAAGUAAACACACAAGAAAAAGGAAUGAAAUUCGCACUUCCAAAUUCGUUGAUGCAUGAUACUGACAAACACAACUUUUUUGUAUGGCAACCACAUUGUAGGAGGAUGGAAUAUGUAUGAAAAACACUAAGCAGAAGGCAUUUCAACAAAUUGGAAGCAAUGCAAUCUAGACACCAUAUGAAAGAUCCAACCAAAAUCACUCUACCAAGUUAGAUGUGUCUCAUUACAAGUGGCACUUCAACAAAUUAGAGGCAAUACAUGUUUGAAAUGAUAUGCAAGAUGCAACCAAUAUUACACUGUCAACUUGAAGGUGUAUCGUCAGAAGUGAUUGAUGAGGGAUACACAAGAAAAGUAGUUUGAUAUAAGAACAUGGUUAAUAGAAAGACGUAGUAUGUACCAAAAACAGGAAGGCAUGUCAUAUUCACAGGUAUAAUGUGUUAACUAAGCAGAUGCAAUUUACCCUAAUUAGAAGCAUUACAAGGUAGACACCAUAUGCAACAUGCAACCACAUAUCACACUGCCAAGUAAGAGCAAGCACCUGCGAUGGUGGUGUGGGGGAAUUGCGGUCAUCAACUAGAGAGCUACGUUGACAAUCUUCAUUUAGACUUGCUGUUUCUUGAGAAUCAUGUGGGGAGGAUGACACUGCACUCUUUAAACGAGUAGGGCGUCUCACAGUAACCCACUGGGGUGACUGUCUCGUCAUAAGUGAUUGACGAGGGAUACAAAAGAGCAUUAGUUUGAUGUACGAACAUGGUUAAUAGACAUAUCUAGUAUGUAUCAAAAACAGGAAGGCAUGCCAUUAUCAAAGGUAUAAUGUGUAAAGUAAGCAGAUGCAAUUUAACCAAAUUGGAAGCAAUACAAGCUAGACACCAUAUGCAACAUGCAACCACAUUUGACAGCGCGAAGUUAAAGCAAGCACCUGGGAUGGUUGUGCGUGGCAAUUGAGAUCAUCAACUGCAGAGCUACGUUUACUAUCUCCAACUGCUGACACCGCACCCUUUAGAGCGCUGAAAUGCUUAAUGCUUAUCUUCGAAUUACACUGGAGCGACUUCUGUCUUUUCUUUUCUGCAUUCAUCGACACUGCGUCAGAGUCUGAAAUACCCAUGCAUAAAAAAAUAGUGUGAGUAUGGGUGAAGUGUGUUCACAAUUAGUAGAGUGUAAAGGUAGCACAUAGCAGGUCGGUGAGAAAUAAAUGACGGGAGACAUAUGAUAGCUCUACAACAUGCAUGGCACACUAAAUUACUACAGGGUUCUAUGAAAAUAACAGUCGACUGAAACAAAUAGGUCGGUCCAUUUUUCUGCACCGUCCGAUGUACAAAGAACGGGCAGAUCGCCUUCAUCUACCUCCAGCCAGUCAGUGUUGACGAUCUUCCUUGAAACGCUAGCGACCACCGGCCCAGUCCCCUUCCUGCGCCCUCCCCUCGACCUCACCGCACCGCCAUGCUUGGCACCGCCCACCGGCCAUCCAUUCAAGCCCCGCCGACCUCCAGAUCGGGCGCAAGCAGCUCCUGCGCCCCACACCCCUAUGAUAGACACCGAUGCGCCGCUUCCCCGGCGAACAGGCGGACUAGGUGCUCCGCGCGCCUAAGCGGGUGCUGCUUCUUUUAAUUGCGGUUGGACUGACCCUGAAUUGAAAUCCAGGCGGGCUACUGACCUCUAGCAAAGGUGAAAAUAGUAAAGGGAGGAAACCUUGUGCAUUUAGUAUCACGAAGAAGAUGUUGUAACAAGUGCUCAACUAGUUUCUUUCGUGGGAUGAAUACGGUGUGAGCAGAGACGUUAGGUUUGCACGAAUAAGGGAAGAGGAGUACCUCUUUCUGCUAGCAGUGCUGUGUCCUCCUUCUGUUUUUCCAAUGAUCUUCUUGUGGAACCAGAUCCGAGGCGGCGAACGAUGGCGUAGCGGGAACAGCUCCGUUGCGGUGGACGGUUGCGACAGUGGAGCGGCAGUAGUGAGGUGCAGGACGGCGUGGUCGGAGUGGUUCUGGUACGGUGCACGUCAGCGUCAGCGUCGUGGAGGCAGCUCUGCCUCAGCUUCAGCUGCUAAGUCCUUGAGGGCGUUGCGGUUGCGUUGGACGACGACGUCGGGGUACCAGCUCCGGCGUGAUGGAGGAGGGCGGCGGUGGCUUGGGCGCUAUGGGGUGGAGGACGGAGGAGGCUGGGGUUUCGCGGCUGGUGGAGAGGGCGUUUUGGCACCCACGGAGUAUGAAUGGGGAAACGGGGGGAGGCGGGGAACUAAGGGGGAACAAUGUUUCGGUUUGGGACGCGCUUGUUUGAAAUUUGGAGAAAAAAGUUACAAACUUUGCCCCCAUCUAAAAUUUCGGACAUAUUGCGGGUUGGGGGUAGGACAGUAAUCUCAGGUGUCCCAAAUGUGGGCGGGAUAGAUUUCGGCCAAGCGCAUGGGUGUUUAGGCGCCCACAGCGUAUGAAUGCUUCUCGGAGGCGGUUGAGACUAGCGUCUUGGUGAAGUUACAAACCUACCCCGGUUUAGACCUUUGGACAUCGGGCCAAUAGGCUACACGGGCCAGAGUCAGGACAGUAAUUUCCUACCACCAAACAUUAGUCUCGCGCGGUUUCGGGUGACCAGAGGCCUAUUUGGCACUUCGUUCAAUAUUUGGGAGCACAAGCAUUAACGUUUUCGGUUCUCUUGAAUUGAACUUUCAGGAUUUGUCAAACUUCACAAAUCUUUACUCUUGAAAAUUCUAAAGCUACAAUUAUUUUGGAAUGGAGGGGGUACAUUUGAAUAUACAUUAUACACGAGUAUAUAUUAAAAAAUAUGCAACUUACCUCAGUUCAUGCAUGGUUCCAGAUAUAAUCUCCUUGGUUGCAAAAAAAAGUUAGACAUGCGUAUGAAUAUAUAUAGCAUGUUCAAACGCACAACAAAGAUUGAUGCCCCCUUUUACAUCUGAUUUACAAAUGCCAUUUUCUCGGGUUCAAAUAGAUGAAUGCACUUCCUAUGAAUUCGAAUCUUCGAAACCCCCUUUAUGUUGAAUCCGACAUGUAUUCUAUUUCAUAGCUAGCAAUUUGGAAUGUAUCCAUGCAAGUGACAAAUGUAUAAAGUGCUUCGCACUAACAACAUGGAGUGCACUAAUUAAUGUUUAUAUAUGAAUUACAAAAGCAUCCAUUGCCUGUAUUUCAAACCGCUCUCACUCUAUGGAUCGAUAAUAUGAAAUAAACACAUGCACAUGCUAGAAUUCAAUAGAGUAUGGGUGUCUGAUAGACCGAUUUUCGUCCAUACGCAAUUUUCAAAAUUCAUGAUCUCAUCCAAAAAUAAUAAUGCCAUUUAUAUUUAUUUAAUGCCUAGAACCUCCUUUUACACGUAGAUGCACUAUGCCUCGGCCCGUUCUCACAAACGCGCUAUAUAUCUCUCUAUCUAACGCAUAAGUGCACACACUUUAUAUGCAUUGGCAUUUCUCUUUCACACAUGCUCACAAUCUCUCUCGGGGUGUCAGGGUGUCUCACGCACAUGCUCUCUCUGUAUCUCUCUCUCUCUCUCUCUCUUUCUGAUUACUAUGUACCACUCUUUUCACUAAUCUCAGUUGGAAAACACUAUUUCUCUCACAUGCAUAUAUACACACGCACGGUCUCUACUAGCCCUCUAUACGCACAUAUAUGUGUCUACGUGUCUCCCGCACACACAUUAUCUUUAGGCCUCUCUCGCACACAUUGCCCCCCCCCCCAGACACACCUCUCUCUUAGUAGUUGGCAGAUAUGAUUCCAUCAUAUCAUUCGGUAGGAUAUCCCUGACUGUUAGGCUGGAUGGUAAUAUGAGGCAAAGUUUUACCCUAGUUCGGACCCUUGCAGUUGAGGAACAAGCCUACUCAUGGUACUGUAUAUUAGUGAUAGGGGUGUGUACAAAGUACACACGAAUACUAUCGACGAACUAGCCCCCAAGCUUCUAUAACAUACUGGGGGCCUAGGGUUACAAAUCAUAUAUAGUUGGCUUAUCACCAGUGGGGAUAGAGUCCUCCGCGACUUUGGUAGCUAGCUUCGUGUUGUACGCCGAGCCCUCCACAUGGGUCUUCGUAUAACGCGUCUUGGUCCAACCUAUGUGGCGCAGGAUGGAACCGACCCAUGAGUCCUCAUGUUGACCCACCACAACUAGAAAUGAUGUGCCCACCACACCACAUACGCAAUCGGCCACUAAGAAAAUAAGCAUAUACAAUAGUACAAUGUUAUACAUGAAAGUUAAUUGCAUGGUGCAUCCAAAAAUAUUUGUUCUGCAUUGUGAAUGUUUAUAUAUUAUCCUAAAAUAUUAGUCACGGGAAAGAGAAAUGAAGGGCAUAUCUCUCCUUGUCUCCACCAGACACCCCCUCUUUCUACACCACUUUCACGUACGCACACAAACUAUCUCUCGGCCCUCUAAAAGUAUGCAUGCCCACGACACAUUCACGCAUGACGGUCACUGUAUUUCAAGCUAAAGCACUAUACGGUCACUGGACUUUAGAAUAUGCUCAUUACGGUCACCGUAUACAUUCUCAUGGUGAUCAUACGGUAUCUAGCUCACGAUACGUCUCCAUAUUUUCUUGAUGACACUGACGGACUUUGCAUUUGAUGCGUGCUCUGUAUUUUGUUGACGACACUUACGGUCAUUGUAUUUGAAGCGAAAGCACGAUAUGGUCACUGGACUUCAGAAUAAGCUCAUCACGGUCACCACAUACAUUUUGUCGUGCUAACCAACAUGUGGUUGGAUGGUUAGGAGGACAGUGGUUUCUCGAGCCCACCAGGGUUAAAGUCCCGGUGCUCGCAUUUAUCCUGGGUUAAUUUCAGUAUUUUCCGGCGAUGUGCGUUCAGUGGGAGGAGACGUUCCACUUGACUACGAGGCACCUAUGGUGACUUCGUAAAAUCUCAAGAUCAUAUGCUGGCUCACUCUCUCGAAGGUGCUCAUAGGGGUAGGGUCUGCGUGUGUGUGCUUAUAGCGGUGAGUGCUUGCGUGUAUAUAUGAGCCCUUGCGUCUGUGCCGUGUUAAAAAAAUACAUGUCAUGAUUAUACAGUCACUGGCUCACCCGUACAACUCCGUAUUUUAUUGAUGACACAAUCAAUUGACCAGUCAAACGUUCCACGUGGCGCAACUAGUGUUGCACCAUCGGGGCGCGUAACCGUGGGCCCACCUGUCAGUCCGUAUAUGAAAGAAAGAAAUGGUAGUUUGAGUCUGUACUGUGUUAAUAAAAUACAUUUUAGGGUGAUCAUAUGGUCACUGGCUGACCAUACAGCUCUGUAAUUUGUUAAUGACACGAGCAAUUGACUAGUCAAACGGUCCACAUUCAGCAGCGCACAUUAUCAUAGGGCCCACCCGUCAGCGCGUAUAUGAAGGACAGAAAUGGUAAUAAAUUAGUGGUCGGUGGGUACUCGAAGUCGUGAGACCUCUGGUUGGCAGUCGCCGGCGGUGGGGGCGNNNNNNNNNNNNNNNNNNNNNNNNNNNNNNNNNNNNNNNNNNNNNNNNNNNNNNNNNNNNNNNNNNNNNNNNNNNNNNNNNNNNNNNNNNNNNNNNNNNNNNNNNNNNNNNNNNNNNNNNNNNNNNNNNNNNNNNNNNNNNNNNNNNNNNNNNNNNNNNNNNNNNNNNNNNNNNNNNNNNNNNNNNNNNNNNNNNNNNNNNNNNNNNNNNNNNNNNNNNNNNNNNNNNNNNNNNNNNNNNNNNNNNNNNNNNNNNNNNNNNNNNNNNNNNNNNNNNNNNNNNNNNNNNNNNNNNNNNNNNNNNNNNNNNNNNGACCGGCGGUGGGGAGUGGUUUCGGGGUGGGCGGGGCGGCGUGGCGGCGCGGGCCGGCCGCGGGCGGCGCGGGCUGGUGCUUCGGCCGGUCAUGGAUGGCAGCUCAGGGGGGUGGAGUUUGAUGAUAAACUGCAGGCCCUUGGUUUCAUAUCCAAUGGCUGGAAAAUCUAAUGACCAGAGAUGAAAAAGUCAGUCGACUGACGUGUAGCCUCGGUAAGAUCCGUUAGUAUAAUAAAGCAAAUCACUACUCUAAGUACUGUUGCAAACCAAUUCAUAUUUUGUUUUGUCAUUUUAGCUACUGUAAUAUAACUUUUUCAUGGCUUAAUCCACUGAUAUAAAUUGAUAGUUUCAUCAAAACAAGCAAACUAUGCAUCAAAAACAGAAUCUGUCUAAAACAGAACAGUAUGUAACAAUCUGAACAUUAACCAUACUUCUGGUACUUGAACAAUUCUUGCAAAAUUAGGAAAAAUAAAAAAUUUGUAUAGUAAGACAGUGCAAAAAGAAUCAGAACCGUUUGACGUUCUAGUAAAAAAUUAAAAAUCGCGCACUAGAGCCAAAGUUUCUGUCCUGCACCGUACAAACCAACAAGCAUUGUAAACAUCCUAAAGGCAAACCUUGGCACAUUAUUUUUAUUUCCAAACUUUAUAAAAGCACACAACAGAAAUAAAUGACUCUCUAAAACUUCCGGGUUGUCUCCUUGGCAGCGCUUUCUUUAAAGCCAUUAAGCUAGCCAUAUAGUGCUCAAGUAAUGGAUCCACCCGGAUCCCAAGGUAUAUCAAAGCCAAUUUUAAUUAGCAAUGAUUUGGUAUUUAGUAGUGAGCACAAAGUAACAUAUAUCAAGCAAUGACGAAGUCUAACUCUCUUCCUAUGCAUCGGCAUGUUAUAAAAGAACAAUUCAUGCACACAUAGUAAAGGCCAAUGCAUAGUACAAACAGUUUCUUGCAAUUUUUUCGUGUUGGAAACAUAAAGAGGUGGAGAUGUAGUUCCUCUCUCAUAAUAAUUGCAAGUAGGAGCAGCAAGCACAUGCAUAUUAUAUCUAUCAAAAUCAUCAUGUGCAACGGUAAAAGGCAACCCGUCAAUAUAAUCCUUAAUAAGAGCAAACUUCUCCGAUAUAGUGUAGUCGGGAGAAUUCAAAAAGAUAAUAGGACUAUCAUGCGUGGGUGCAAUAGCAACAAUUUCAUGUUUAAUAUAAGGAAAUAUAGCAAGUUCAUCUCCAUGAGCAUAAUUCAUAUUGGCAUCUUGGCCACAAGCAUAGAAAGCAUCAUCAAAAAGGGAUAUUUCAAAAGAAUCAACGGGAUCAUAACAAUCAUCAUAGCAUUCAUCCUUCGGUAAGCACGAAGGGAAAUUAAACAAUGUAUGAGUUGAAGAGUUACUCUCAUUAGAAGGUGGGCACGGCUAGCUAAUCCGCUCUUCCUCCUUUUGUUCUUCGCUCUCCUCAUCAUCUUUUUCAUCCAAUGAGCUCACAGUUUCAUCAAUUUCUUCUUCCAUAGACUCCUGCAAAAUAUUAGUCUCUUCUUGGACAGCGGAGGAGUCCUCAAUAUAUGGUUUAACAUAGGUAUUAGAAGCAUAAUUAUCAUAACAAUAUUCAAGUAUGGCAAAAUUUUCAGACUUGUAAAGAGUAGCAUCAUACUUUUCAAUCAAAGAAGCAAUUUCGUAAGCACCCUUAAAAGCAACAAAUUCUUCAAUUUGUUGAACAUCAUAGUAAUUAUAAACACCCUUAGCAUACGAAGAUACGAUUCCAUUAUCACUAAACUCACAUUGAUAGGGAAGGUGUUUCUUAGGGUUUUCAGAACAACAAGUAAAAUCAUAUAUUUCACAUAAAUUCCAAGCAUAGCAUUGCAAACGAUGAAUUUGACCCAGUAAAAGUUUCCCUUUUUCAGAUAUGCGGUGUCGAACAUAACAAGCAUGCUCAUCUAAAGAUCUGCCCUCAACUAAGCUAGUUGGGGUUUCAGCACGAGCACAUAGGGAUUGAAGAUGAUCCAAGUAAUAAGCUUCAGGAGUGUGAUAGAUUUUGAGUGGUUCUUCAACCAUUGGUUCAGUAGGUACAACUAAUUUUUUUGGUAUUUUGCGUUUCCUACCCAUAACUAAAGAUAGAAAACAACUAAGAACAACAAAUGAAAAUUACUUAGUGAUAAAGCAAACAAGCACACACGAGAAUAUUCACCCCAUGCUAUUGCUCCCCGGCAACGGCGCCCGAAAAAGGUCUUGAUAACCCACAAGUAUAGGGGAUCAAUUGUAGCCUCUUUCGAUAAGUAAGAGUGUCGAACCCAACGAGGAGAUAAAGGUAGAACAAAUAUUCCCUCAAGUUCUAUCGACCACCGAUACAACUCUACGCACGCUUGACGUUCGCUUUACCUAGAACAAGUAUGAAACUAGAAGUACUUUGUAGGUGUUGUUGGAUAGGUUUGCAAGAAUAUAAAGAGCACGUAAAUAAAAACUAGGGGCUGUUUAUAUAAAGACACAAUAAAGUAAAUAUAGCGAGUGUGGAAAAGUGGUGGUAGGAGUUGCGAAAUUGUCCCUAAGCAAUUGACUAGUUUACUAGACCGAUAGCAAGUAUUAUGUGGGAGAGGCCACCGCUAGCAUGUCAUCCCUGACUUGGAAUUCUAUGCACUUAUGAUUGGAACUAUUAGCAAGCAUCCGCAACUACUAACGUUCAUUAAGGUAAAACCCAACCAUAGCAUUAAGAUAUAUUGGUCCCCCUUCAAUCCCGUAUGCAUCAAUUUCUAUGCUAGGUUGAAGCUUCUGUCACUCUUGCCCUCCAAUACAUAGUCCUAUCAGCAUACAACUAACCCUAUGGUGUGAUCCACGUGCGUGCUCAUAUGAUGGGCACCAAAGGACAGCAACAUAACCACAAGCAAAUUAAAUCAAUCAUAGAAAUUCAUCAACCACCGAUAGGACAACGAAAAUCCACUCAGACAUCAUAGGAUGGCAACACACAAUUGGAUAAUAAUAUGAAGCAUAAAGCACCAUGUUCAAGUAGAGGGUAUAGCGGGUUGCGGGAGCGUGGAACGCUGUAGAUAGAGGGGGGGAGGUGAUGGAGAUGUUGGUGAAGAUGGCGGAGGUGUUGGUGUAGAUCGCGGUGAUGAUGAUGACCCCGGCGACGUUCCGGCGCCACCGGAAGCGAGGGGGAGAGAGCACCCCUCCUUCUUCUUCUUCCUUGACCUUCUCCCUAGAUGGGAGAAGGGUUUCCCCUCUGGUCCAUGGUCUCCAUGACGUGGGAGGGGCAAGAGCCCCUCCGAGAUUGGAUAUGUCUCUCUGUCUCUCUCUGUUCUGCGCUCUCCUUUUCACCGUUUCGUGUAUAUAUGGAGAUCCGUAACUCCGAUUGGAUUGAAACCUUCGCCCAGAUUUUUCUCCGAAAAUUAGUUUUAUUGUGGCCGAAGAAGGGCAUCAACCGCCUUACGGGUGGACCACGAGGGUCAGGGGCGCGCCCCCCUGCCUCGUGCCCACCUCGGACACCGUUUCGCAUUGAUUCUUCCUCCCAGAUUUUCCAAAUAUUCCAGAAAUAUUCUCCAUCCGUUUUUAUCCCGUUUGGAUUCCGUUUGAUAUGGGGUUUCUGCGAAACAUAAAACAUGCAACCAACAGGAACUGGCACUGGGCACUGGAUCAAUAUGUUAGUCCGAAAAAUAAUAUAAAAAGUUGCCAAAAGUAUAUGAAAGUUGAAUAAUAUUGGCAUGGAACAAUCAAAAAUUAUAGAUACGAUGGAGACGUAUCAGUGGUCGAAUUAAUUUCGUACUCCUAGUUUGCACAACUAAUUAGUACGCUCGUUUUUCUCAAGAAGUUAUGUUUACUGAGGCAUUAAUUAGAACGAAUGCAUGAAUGACCACUAAACUUCCAUGAACUUCUACAUGCAUUGGUGAGUUUUCUCUUGACACUACUUGCAUCGGGUGAUCUAACGCACCUCGAAAUCCAACAUGUGAUGGUACUACUACUAGUAGUAGAAUUGAGACUUAUAAAACGGAAAAACAAAUGUUUUUAGAUGAGCCCUAUAAACCCUAGUGGGUACGUACUCCGUAAAAUCAGAUUUUCCCAAAACUAAGUGGCUCAACCUUUAUUUGCUCGUUUCCCUUCCUGCCUCCUUGCCUCGAACAGACUAUGCCAAACUCCCCUGCCUGCCACGCGGGAAAAGACCCGCCCUCGCCUUUUUUAGUCCGGUUUGUGUCAAUGGAUCGCGCGAAGUAGCAAAAACCCAAGCCGUGUCUUGUACUCCUCCGUCGACGCUCCCUUUCAUGAAUUCUGUACUUCAUGUCGCCGACAUGUGGGACAUAUAGUAACCGGGUCGACGUGUCAGGCACCAAAUAAUAGUGCAGAACAGCAGGGGGGGCGCACCCCAGUCGUACCACCCCAGUAGUAGUAAUGAGCAAUGAGGCGUCAAAUCACAAUGCCGCACCUUCCCAAACGGACGAAGCAACCAUUAUUUCACACUUCGGUUCGCCAUCAUCUCAAACCACGUAGUAUUGCUUCUGCCUCAAGAGGGACACGUGCAUCGCCUUGGUACAUCAUGACACGUGGGACCACAUGAUAGGCCAUGCUCCCCCGCCGAUCACUCGGUAAAAUCACCUCAUUUUUACUAUACUUCCUCCGUAUCGGUUUACAUGGCAAGCACGUUGUUCUAGGUUGAGAAUUUAACUGGCUAUAUAUGUGAUGAACAAUAUAUGUUUAGAAACUACAUCCGCUUAAGAAUCCAAUGAUAUACUUUUUGUGACAUAGUAACUCAUAUUUAGUUAGUCAAAUGGACGACCUAGAACUACGUGCACGCCCUAUAAACCGAGACGCCUAAAAAAACAAGACGGAGAGGGUAGUUCAGUACGUAUCUUUUUAGAUCAAUAUAGUCGGGAUUCACCCAGGAGCAAAACCAAGUGGUAGGCUGCUCCUGUCGUGUUGGCGUAGCAACUCAAGCAGGGUCAGUCCACACAUGAAAUGGCGACACAAUUAACAGGACCCCUUUGGCCGACAUGUGGCUCAUCCACCGUCUUGUUCCACGUGCGAUGCACCAAAUUACAGUUCGGAGCAGCGGUUGGAAUUGGAGGCACCCCGGUCGUAGCGCCGCAGUAGUAGAAUGAGCGAUGAGGGGUCAAAUCACAAAGCCCCACCUUUCCCGCAUUAAGCUGGACGGACGAAGCAACCAUCAUUUCACUCUAGGGCGCAAGAGCAUAAAGAAAAGAGAAAACCAAUGAUGCGUGCAGCAGCUACCAAGGGCACCCUAGGGUAGGGGUCUCCACUACAGAUCCUUUUUUUGAAAGCGCCUCCACUACAAAUUGGCUUCUCCCUCGUCCUCUUGAAGAAAACCGAUGAUGCAUGCGGCGGUAGGGUUUGUAGGAGUACUACAAUGGUGUGCGGGGCCACAUCGUAGUAAACGGGAGAGGGAUUGAGUUUGAGUCGACGCCUUAAAUAUGUGUGGGCCGCUUGGUUUUAGGGGAACGAGGCAACAUUUUGGGUUCGGGGACCAGUGGAGAUAUAGUACGUACAAAAAAUUGUGGACGUAGGUUCGACCGAAAGGCAAUGAUGCAUGGGCCCUGCAUUUUGAUAUACCCGGGGCCGCGUGAAAUUUGCUACUCUACCCAAAACUAGUAAGGUACACAUGCAUUGAACACAUGAGAUUUCGAAACCAAAUUAUGAAUAAAUACACACUAUAGCAUGUAAAGCUUUGAGUCAUAUAUGCAUGAUGUAGAUGUUCGUUUAGUUCUUAUAGUUCAUCUCAUUCAAAAUCAAUUAGUUUUAUAAAAAUGUUAAGAUUCAUGGGGUUGUGCAUUGUAAAGCAUAAAGUAAAAACAAAUAAUGGCAAUUCAUUUAGAAAAAAAAUUCAAUUAUGAUACGGAAGAUUCUAGAACAAAGGAGAAGUGCUUGGGUUUUGAGGUUUGUGCAAUUAUGCUUAAGUUCAACCAUGGAGUCUUCUAAAUUGUACAUGUGGCAGAUCUGGUGGAAUGUUGAUGAUAUCCAACGGCCAGCAGUGCUCGGAUUUUCCAUCUCUGCACUGUCGAAUUAGCUUCAUCCAGCGACCAUCUUUCAAAGUUAUUCGCACACUAUAUAGUUCUUGUGCCAUAGUUGCAUGUCUUGUAAAAAAGCUACUAGUGGGUUGUACUAGCUAUUUAGGAAUAGAAGAUGUAUACAUGGAAGUUGUAGGGAAAGAGAUGACAUGGAGUAUCUCAAUUCCUAUGAGUAGGGAUUGGAAAAGAGAUGUCAUAUGGUUCACAUCAUAGGAACUUUUCUAUUGAAUCUAGAGAUGACAUGUAUCUCAAUUCCUAUGAGGAGGGAUUAGAAAAGAGAUGUAAUUUGGUUCAUAUCAUAGGAACUUUUCUAUUGAAUAUACGCUAAUGUUUAUUUUCCUUUGAAAUUAUGGGAGUAUAGGAAUCCAUUCAUAUCAACCAAGUGGCUCUAAAGCUAUAGAAAUGAUAUCAUGUUUAUUUCCUUUGAAAUGUGGAGUAUAUGAAUCUAUUCCUAUGAACCAAUUGGCUCUAAAGGAAAAAAAUCCUAUAAAAAUCAUAUCAUAUAGAGUUCCUAUAAUAUUCCUCCACACCAAAGGAUGGUUGAAAUUGCCGCAGGUGAUACGAUGGUCUUUCUUUGUAGACUCCUCCCCCAUCUUUAUAGUUACCUCUCAAAGAUGAAUGAAAUGAUAUAUACAGGGUAUUCUACAUGUGCAAUUUGGUACAUGAAAACUUGGUAAAAGUUUGUGAGGUUCGAAUUUUGAAUAAAGCUAUAUGCACUGCAUUUUGGAACGGAGGGAGCAUACGGCAGUUGCUAACACUCACGUGGAAGAUUUGUGUGUAGGAGGAGUGGCUGUUCUGUUAAAUGACAUGGCAAAACUGACACUGUCGGAUGCCGAUCUAACGGUUCUUACGGCGUUCGUCGGGAAAAGGGUUGUGGCGAACGUUUGUCGGAUAAUGAUUUAUGGACACAUGCAUUGCCUUGAUACGUGCCCCCCUCUCUCUCACACACACGCACCCUCACGAGUCACGACUCUCCCGAGUCCUCUCGCACCCACCGUCUAUCUGCAGGUAGACGUCACACACAUAUGUCCUCUUCACACCCUACCCUCAGAACUUCUAGAAAACAAAAGACGUCGCGCACAUUUUAUUUUAGCUCACACGUCACACACUUAUACUAUUACUCUUGUGGCGAACGUUCUUUGGGCAUAGUAUAUUGUACUCUCACGAAGAGAAGCGGUGCACGCACGCACUAGUUCUCUCACUCCCACUCGCGGGUACACGUAGGAGCGCAUUUUUUUGAAGCUGGUACAACAAAAUCACUCCACUAUAUAUAUAUAAGUAGGAGCCUUAGCGCUUGCUUUACUAGGGUUCCUCUCGUUCACUCUCUCAUGCUCUCCAGAUCUAAGCAAGACAUAGGUGGCCACACUCUCUCUCAGCUCACGGCUGGUCACAAAUCCGGCCGGAGAACCUCGACCGGGGCAGGGGUGUAGGUGCAUCGUUCACGCUGUCGUCGGCGGCGAGGGAGGAGACCAACGGCAGCCCGCGCGUCCCGAUCGGCAGCCGUGCCGUUCUCUCCAAGAGAGCGCCGGCUCGGGAGGGCCUCCGACCCCUUCUUCCUCCCUGCGGUAUUGUGGCCAAGAUGCGGCCUCCCGACGCCAUCUUCGCCACAUGCCGACGACCCUCAUGUAUAUAUUCCUUCAAACCUGCCUUGCUCUACUGCCCCAGCUCCCCACUUGGCUUCGUGUGGAUCUUUUUCUACUUCCGUCCGCUGUUCCAAAGCCACCUAGACUUUUACUAUUAUUAGAGGUAAAGCUAGUUCAUACAGUCGACUCUAAGAGUUGGUUCAAACAGGGAAGAAAGUGGGAAAGCUGUAGCAUGAAUCUAGGACUUGGUUCUAAGAGGAAACAGAGGAAAGUAGUAGAUACUGGCUACCCAACCGGUCUCUUGGUUGAAAAGACGAAGAAAGCAUGGUGGAUGGCAAAGGGUGGGGGGAAGUGGACCUAUCUCUUGGUUGAAAAAGGAAAGAAAGUGACGGGUGUUGGGGGACAACGCAAAUGAGAAUGAGCAGGUCUAGAUUUCCUAUGCUCACAUAGGAAAAUGUCGCCGAGGAAUAAAAAAUGGGACAAAUGCAGACAUGCUGCCUGAGUGUUUGCCGCUCUCGGCAACCACAUCUGCCUCACCACUUUAUGCCCCUGCUGUCCCUACGCCCAUAUCGCCACCGUUAAUGUAAAAUCACAUGAAGCAUUAAGCAAUGCCACCUAAUGUCACUAUAAGUAAUGGUCUAGUGCCGUCGAUAAAUUGAAGCAAUGCCACCACAAUUUUAUGAAGUGCUUCCGUCUUGCUUUAUUUCCCAUGAAUUGUGUUUUUGCAGUUACACUUAAAUCUCACACCGCUAACAUUGCUUCAUCCCAGUGGAACUGCACAAAUUUGAUUGCACAUUUACUGACCAUGUGCUACUCUCAUGACAGUAAUACUAAUGCUAUUGUUCUGCAUGUUAAUCUAGUGGCAGUGUUGAUGUGAUGUGAUGCUACUUACUUAAGGACACUUUCAUACUAUCAAUCUAGUGCCAAUUAUAACACAAUAGAUGCUGAUGUUAAUCAUACGCCACUGCAAAUAUCUGUCACUAUUUAAAUAACCGUAUUUCAUAUUUGCGCAAACAGGGAUGUCUGUCUCCAUAUCGUUUCAGGUUGUCUGUCUCCGUAUCGUUUCUAUCUGCACAAACAAAAGCAUACACCUCAGUUUUAGUAGAACUGCGCAAAAUGAGAUGGCUAUCCCUCGCUGCCGUCGUCUAACCACCCGUCUAUGAGGUAUUCCUACAUUGGUAGUUACUAGGUAGAAUGACCAAUGCAAUAUAAAAGAAGUUGAUUCGUACGUUUUACUUCCUGAUUGCAGUGUAGGGACGAGCGAAAACAACUGCAUCCUAGUCUGGAAUGCACUUUCUACCAGUUCAUCCAUGGACCAAGGACUAGCUGGCACGGCUGCACGGCGGUUUUUUGGACAGGUGCGCGGACAAGAGGCAUUGUGGUCUGCUUAUUUCUGCAAAUAGCGGUGCUUAAAUUUAGUGGAAUGCACAAGCAUUUCAGCUGGUUAGUACACUGCAUGGUUCAGUCCAGCAUUCCAGCUGAGACCAAACCUAUAAUUGGUUAUUCUGGAAUGAGAGAACCUAACCCUGGAUGGUGGCAACAAGAAAAAACCAGAGUGAACUCCAGGAAAUUUAAGCCUGCCAGGAGGCCCUUUGCUCAGAGAAGCCUUGCUUGUUUUUUCCUGAUUUGUAAACCUUCUCACAACUUUGUCUUUUGCUGUGAACUAGUAUAUGUUUGUUAUGUUCUAUGAAUCAUUGAGAUGUAUAAAAUUGCUUAACUUAUGCUUUUCAAGUUUUUUAUGAAGCCGAGUUUAAUGUGAGUGUUCCACAUGAACGCUGGACUAGCGUGUGAACGUUUGGAAUUUACAUUGUAGCCUCGGUUAACUGCAUGAACCACUGUAACAAGAUACAUAGUUGCUUAUAUGUCAGACAGCAGAUUGUUGAUUGUUAGCUGGUCGAUAGCCUAGUGUUAAAGUGAGCUGAGCCAAUGUGUCGUGUUUUGCACAACUGCUUACAAGUGGGGUAGCACCAACAGUGUUUACAAGUACUUAUGUAUACGUCGGUGCACAGUUCUCGAAUGAGUACUCUAUUUCAUCAAAACACACACUGCUCGUAUGAUAAACCGUGACAACUUAUGUCUUACCAUGCCAUAUUCAUGAAAAAACUAGUGAGGAUGCAUCUGUUUCGGGAACAAUUACGAUGGUUCUCACAUGAUUCACGGGCACACAAAAGUAGCAGCAGUUCCCAUAGACGGAUUCAAACAGAGUACUAGCCCCAGAGGGCUCGAUAACAGGCAAGGUUCAGAUAAUUAGACACAAUCCAAACUACUAUUAAACACUAGCUGGGGCAACUAUUUCAUGCCUCGAUCUAAUUUGGGCUAGACACAAGACGGACCUUGCCAUGAACAUCAUCGAGGACAUCCGGCAACAGCUCAAUCCUGUGAACCUUCAUGAAGACAACCUUGUGGCCUUGCCACUCAUAAACUUGUUUGUGGAGGCAUGCCACGUCAUCUUCCUGCGUAAGCUUGACAAGAACAGUAUGCCUCACAAACGAAGGAGUAGCUUUGAACUUCUUGUGCUUCAGUACACUCUGGACAACAGCCUGACAACAGUGAGGCCAGAAUACAACUCUUCAUUGGUAUAAGCACAAAUGGCUUCCAGGAUCCAACAGCCUAAAACUCUGUUUUUCCAGUGCGUAUAUUCAGGUCAUCCGCCUCAUAGCGAGUGACAUGUACAACCACACAAUCCUUGUCUACAUCAGGGCUCUAAUUGAAAUAGAAACAAAUUCUGAAUUACUUUCCAGUAUAAGAAACACAAGUUAUUUAAACCACUAUCUAUAGUGUGACGCCCGGAUAAUUAAGCUACAGUAAUCCCACGAUAGCCACGUUAACGAUGCCACGUCACCACGGUUAUUGUUGCUAACCUCGCGUUAGUUCGAAACCGAUUAUAAUUCAAAAUUCAAAAUUAAGCCAACAAUAAAAGUUUUUCAACUAUUAAAACUAAAAUGUUCAAUAAAUAGUAGAUAAAACAGAGGCUAUGAUAAAAUUGUAAACAACAUUAUUGAAAUUUAAUAAGUGACUUAAACAACCUCAAACAGUGGCUGAAAACAUUAUUUAAUAACUUUUUUUAUUAACACAAAAUAAAUACGAAAUGAUAAUAAACCCAAACUAGUUUUUAGUGGUAGGAUUUAUUGUGCUGUGAUUUGUGGGCCAGCUCUCAUAUUUUACAAAACUCUUUUGGUGCCCAAACAAUUAGCCAAAACAGAAGAAAAUAAGAAAAGUAAAACAAAACAAAACUAACAAAAAAAAGGACCCUUCCCACUGGGCCAACCGGCCCAGCUGGCAGCCAGCCCAGCCCACCACGGCCUCCUCCUUCUCCCCCGUUCUCUGUUCAAGCGACCGAGCCGCACCCACCGUCGCCGCUGAGCCAGCUCGCCGCCAGCGCUACUGGGUGGAUAAGGCCUCCGCCGAGCCCCCCCCCCCGAGAUAUUUCCUCCCCACCUACCUCCACCCACUCCCCUCUCCAUCUCGGCCGCUCUCUCUGCUCCCCCUCGCCCGAGCGAGAUCGCCGCCGAAGCCUCGCCGUAGGCGUGGCCCCGACCACCGUUCGUCGAGCCGCCGAGUCCCCGAGCUCCCUCUACGUCGUCCUCGUCCACCCCGCGCUUCAGGACGAGCUGGAGUGCCCUGCAGCGGCCGGGUCAAGCUUUUCCCCAACCUCGGUCGCCGCCGCCCACCGCGAUUGAUCCUGCCUCCCGUCUGCGCUCCCGUUCACUCGAGGGCCUCCGUGUGCCGCGCCGUAAGCCUCCGCCCCCUCCUCCUUCCUCUAGUUCCUCCUCAUGCAUCGUAGAUGGCUCGCGGUGCCACCGUCGCCAUUGCCGCAUGCGGCCUCGUCCGCGAGCUCGUUGCGCUCACCCCGUCCAUCUCCGAGCCAAGUCGUGGCCUCCGUCGAGUUGCCGGAGGUCCGUAGAGCCCGCUAGCGUCGUUUGUUAGCUAGAACGCAGCCCGUAGCGUGGUUUUCGGAGAUGCCCGUAUUCCGGCGCCGCCCGCAGUCGUCGUUGAGCUCCACUCCGGCCACCCCCGCUCCUGGGAUCACUCUAGAUCGACGCGGGAUGAUCUACUCAUUCGAACGCCACUGAAAACGCGCGGAAUGGUGCACUGUGCUGGAAAUCCGAGCAACUCCGGCGAACUUCCGCCGCUGGAAUGGUCGCCGGCGUGAUUCCGGCGACGUCACCGACGUGGCACCUGCGUGGCACCGCCUGGGCCACUGACUGGUGGACCCAGGGGCCCCCCUUGACUUGUUGACCGCGGUCAACGUGCUGACUGGGCGGCCCCCAGCCACUGACAUGCGGGCCCCCCUCUGUUAAUUAGUCUAACAAAUGUUUUAUAAAUAAAAGUAAUUAGAUUAACUAAUCACUCACUGACACCCGCGGCCCACACCCCUAAUUAACCCUGCUAGAUUAGUUUAAUCCACUGUUAUACUAGCGGAGGCUGACAUGCGGGUCCCACUGGACCCACAUGUCAGGUUUGACCUGGUCAGCCGACCAGCUAGCUGCUGAUGUCGUCCUUGCAUCAUGUUGAUGUCAUUUCUCUUUUUCUGUAUAUUUCUAUUAAAUCAAAUAAUUUCAGAAAAUGUUUAAAACUUAGAAAAAUCAUAUAAAAUAAACCGUAGCUCAGAUGAAAAUGUUUUCUAUAUGAAAAUUGCUCAGAAAAAUCCAACGAAUCCGAAUACGCGGUCCGUUCAUUUGUCACAUGCCUCUAGCAUGCUGAACAUGGAACUUUCCCCCUCCGGUCAUCUGUCUAGCACAGGUCCGGAACCGGGAAAACAUUCCGGUCGAAUUUCCCCCUUCACCUAUUCGUGUAGACAUACGUUAGGUCACCCCCGGCACGUCGUAUUACCACGUUAUGCUUUGUGAUGCUAUGUUUGCUUUAUAUUUACUGUUUCUUCCCCCUCUUCUCUCCGGUAGACCCCGAGACCGAUGCUGCCCCUGUGAUCGACUACAUCGACAACGACCCCUCCUUGCCAGAGCAACCAGGCAAGCCCCCCCCCCCGUGAUCACCAGAUAUCGCCUAUUCUUCUCUAUACAACUUGCAUUAGAGUAGUGUAGCAUGUUACUGCUUUCGGUUAAUCCUAUUCUGCUGCAUAGCCUGUCAUUGUUGCUACAGUUGUUACCCUUACCUGAUAUCCUACUGCUUAGUAUAGGAUGCUAGUGUUCCAUCAGUGGCCCUACACUCUUGUCCGUCUGCCAUGCUAUACUACUGGGCUGUGAUCACUUCGGGAGGUGAUCACGGGUAUAUACUAUAUACUUUAUAUACAUGACACAUGUGGUGACUAAAGUCGGGUCGGCUCGUUGAGUACCCGCAAGUGAUUCUGAUGAGGGGGCUGAAAGGACAGGUGGCUCCAUCCCGGUAGAGGUGGGCCUGGGUUCCUGACAGCCCCUGACUGUUACUUUGUGGCGGAGCGACAGGGCAGGUUGAGACCACCUAGGAGAGAGGUGGGCCUGGCCCUGGUCGGCGUCCGCGCAUACUUAAAAAUAACACGCUUAACGAGAUCUUGGUAUUUGAUCUGAGUCUGGCCAUUUGGUCUAUACACACUAACCAACUACGCGGGAACAUUUAUGGGCACUCGACGUCGUGGUAUCAGCCGAAGCCUUCUUGACGUCAGCGACGGAGCGACGCGCGCCGGAUUGGACUGGAACGCCUGCUAGGCUAGGUCUGCUUCCGGCCGCCCUCGCAACGUGCAGGUGUGCAAUGGGCGAUGGGCCCAGACCCCUGCGCCAUAGGAUUUAGACCGGCGUGCUGACCUCUCUGUUGUGCCUAGGUGGGGCUGCGACGUGUUGAUCUUACGAGGCCGGGCAUGACCCAGGAAAGUGUGUCCGGCCAAAUGGGAUCGAGCGUGUUGGGUUAUGUGGUGCACCCCUGCAGGGAAGUUUAUCUAUUCGAAUAGCCGUGUCCCUCGGUAAAAGGAUGACCCGGAGUUGUACCUUGACCUUAUGACAACUAGAACCGGAUACUUAAUAAAACACACCCUUCCAAGUGCCAGAUACAACCCGGUGAUCGCUCUCUAAUAGGGCGAUGAGGAGGGGAUUGUCGGGUAGGAUUAUGCUAUGCGAUGCUACUUGGUGAACUUACCAUCUACUCUCUCCUACAUGCUGCAAGAUGGAGGUGGCCAGAAGCGUAGUCUUCGACAGGAUUAGCUAUCCCCCUCUUAUUCUGGCAUUCUGCAGUUCAGUCCACCGAUAUGGCCCUUUACACAUAUACCCAUGCAUAUGUAGUGUAGCUCCUUGCUUGCGAGUACUUUGGAUGAGUACUCACGGUUUCUUUUCUCCCUCUUUUACCCCUUUCCUUUCUACCUGGUUGUCGCAACCAGAUGCUGGAGCCCAGGAGCCAGACGCCACCGUCGACGACGACUCCUACUACGCUGGAGGAGCCUACUACUACGUGCAGCCCGCUGACGAUGACCAGGAGUAGUUAGGAGGUCCCACGCAGGAGGCCUUGCCUUUUCGAUCGUUGCUACUUUUGUGCUAGCCUUCUUAAGGCAAACUUGUUUAACUUAUGUCUGUACUCAGAUAUUGUUGCUUCCGCUGACUCGUCUAUGAUCGAGCACUUGUAUUCGAGCCCUCGAGGCCCCUGGCUUGUAUUAUGUUGCUUGUAUGACUUUUUAUGUUGUACAGUUGUGUUGUGAUAUCUUCCCGUGAGUCCCUGAUCUUGAUCGUACACUUUCCACCUCCUUGGCUGAAGUUGAGUCUAGUCGUUGCAAAACUUUUACUAACAUGGUUUUGCGGCUUACGGGCCCACGUCGCCAUUGGGUGGUAUUUGGAUCUUUUAUUCCUCGACCUAUACUCUGGGACUCUGAUCUCUCUUCUAUUCGGGUUAAAUGAUUUUACUAAAUCUGACUCUAGGUUCUCGUAACUACUUCCUCCCCGAGAGCCCGUUAUUACAAAUGAUUGCCGGCUGCACUAGAAGAUUUCAAAGCUAAUCUCCGAUAAUCUCUCCAGACCUUGUGCCCAUUGCUUUUGCAAUUCCCUACCACCGAAAUAUCCCUAUAGAUAAAUACUUACACCUGCCGUCCUUACUUUUACUCCCAGUUGAUCUUGUUAUUACAAGAUCACUUGAAAUCCUCUCUAUUUUUCCGAGAAUAUUUUGAGCUUACUGCCCUGCAGUUCUUGCCUCAUGAAACCCCCUACGGAUAAUUCCUCGCACCUGCGAGUAUCCAUUCUUCCCCUGUUGUUCUUAUGAUGCACAAGAUACAUUAAGAUGUUAUCUCAUCUUCCGGUAAUCCUCUGUCCGCUAUUGCUCUGCAGUUGUGUGCUUGCAUUUGGUUGUGUUCCUAAGACGAGCAAUAUUCAUUUAGUAUCCUUUGUCAUUAUCAUUUCGAGUCUCUUGAUUCAAUAUGUUGCGAAUGCUCACGACCCUCAAUCGGACCCUAAAAUUCAUCCUUCUGGCUCAGAUGUCAUUUUGAACAUGAGCUGGUCUCGACCAAUCAAGUUGUCGUUGAAUGUACACCUAAGUCUAUUCGACUUAUCCAUUGUUAAUCAGAGCGUUUGCUUCUGACCCCUUGAUUUGGAAAUCAUAAUUCCUUUACAUGUGAGCUUUGAAUUAGUCAGUUGUUUCUAUAAUUUUAUCUCCUUGCAUUCUUUCUUCUUCCGGUUGAGUACCAAUUCUCACAUCAGAUCCCUUGUUGGAUUUUAUCUGACAGCGUCCUUCAUAUUCAAUAACCUUGUGAGCCUUUCCUCGGAUACAUAAUGCCUUUGGUAGAUUGUAUCCUCUGCUUUCUCAACAAUGCACUACUUUCGAGCUUGUAUAAAUUUCUCCUGAAGUUGUGGUAUAUGUUUCUAAGAUGCCCCGAUGGGUUGAAGAUAUACCUUCCUUAAUUUGUGUGAACCCAAAAGUCUUCAUGGGUCAUAACCUUCUGGUAUUCCGCCAGUUAAACUUUCAAACUCUAAACAUUGUUAACUGAGAGCAGUAAAUGAAAAAUUGUGUAUUGGAGAAGUGGGAGUCGACCUUGAACUUUGUGUUCAUGCCCAUGGACCCGAUGUGGAACUUAUCAUGGAAGCUUCUUGAAUUAAUAAUGGUCCCCUUGUUAUAAGUUCAUCUUGUAUCCAUGUUGGUCCUUUGCAAACGUGGUUCCGAACAUGAUUGAUCAUCUUUGAUCCUUUUAUCGGACAAGUUUAAGUACUUGCCUGCUGCAGAUCAAUACCUCCGUCCAACCUCUACUUUGGUCUGUCAUCGAGUAUUACCCCCCUGGUAUCUCGAGAAUGCCAAGGAACUACUUAACUUCUUAUGAGUUCUUCGUCAACUAAUAUUCUUGCCGAUUCCAUUUUUCCAACGGGUUCUGAGUUGUUAGAACCCCUCAAGGACACCGAUAAGUGAAUCAAUUCCGCACUCCGAUUCAAUAACUCCAAGUAAUUUUUGUUGCUUACGAGUUUAAUAAUCCUUCAAGUCAUUCCUAGCCUGCUCGGCUAUGUCAUUAUCGUGCCGAUUUUAACUGUGUUACCUGGACCUUCCCAGCGCACAAAUUUCGACAAUGGGCUAAUAUUGCAUCGAUCUUCCUCGUCAUAUCACUUCUCCUUGAAUAGCAAACUUGAUUUCGAGUUUGUGUCCUACCCGUGGUUCCAAUAACCUUUCGCUUUCAUCAUUCCUUUGACUUGAUGUCAUCGUCGAUCAAUUACAUCUUCUUGAAAACCUCUCGACAAAUUUGUCGUGAUCAUUGUCAACAAUUUGACUUCUUCCAAGUUGUGUGUCGAAAUUCAGGAUGAGAAAUACCAUCCUUGCCCCUCGAUGAAUUGUGUUAUCAUCGACAACAUUCUUGCCUCCCCCCCCCCAACACAAACUUGUUCAUAUUUUGUGUUGUAUCUUGAUUUCCCUGCUAUCCAACUUAUGUUAUGUUCUACCGUGGAGUAUUACCAUCUUUGAUGUCAAGAAUGUUGUGAGCAUUACUCCACCUCUUAAGAAUUCUUGGUACAGUGAUACUUCUCACCAUCACCAUUCUUUCUUGGUCCCCGUGUUGUUUCUAAACGAAAUACCGACAAAUGGUCUGUGAUUUGUAAAUUCUAAACUUCUAGCAACCCUAAUGCUUUGAAGUUAUUGGUCUAUAGUUUCAUUCUACGUCUAUGGCUUAAUGAAUCAUCAUUCGAACAUUGAUCGUGCUACCUAGCCCAUAUUUCGGGUGCACAUUUCAACCAAUGUUUAACUAUGUAUGUUUUCCUCGAGCAUACAUCAUUAAGUCAUUCGAUCUAGCUAAUGUUAUCUCCUUGGUCACAUAGUUGUGGAAAUCCAUCUUUUGGAGAUCUCAAUGGAUUGUUGCUGAGUCAAUCAGUCACCUCCUCACCUCUCCUUGACUUAAUGAUGAACCCUUGUUCGGAACUCGCUUCCAUAGUUCAUCUCCCGAGAAUCUUCGAUGUCGUUUCGACAAUUUGUGUGGCACCUUUCUUCUCAGGCAUCCUGAGUCUGAGUUAUCCUGACACCAAUCAGAUCUGAAUCCCGGUCAGAUAUGAUGGUUGGAACAUAUUUCCAAGAGUUAUAACAUGGGUCUAUUUAUGACUCGGUAAGGUGAUGUCAUGCCUAACACACCUGGCCGGAGGACCUAUUGUUAUAAGUUUUCCUUUUUAGCAAGGUUAGCUAUUCUUCCAUGAGGAAAUUGUAAGACUUACUCUAUAAGUUGUUCCUGAUGGAUCCUUUGUGUAUCCAUAGCCUGAUCUUACCUAAUGACCAUGUCAAUGCUAUCUCGAAGCAUGUCUGUGGUAAUCCGAUCUUCAAUAAAAACAUUUGAAGGACAAUGCUAAGUUUUCGUUAUCAAUUAUUCAAACACCGUUGUUUGAGUAAUGUCAUGAACUUCCUCUUCCCUAACCUAAAUGGUUCUCUUCUAACCCUUGUCCUUGGGAAGGAUAUACCCCUGAAAUAUGUGUUUAAACACAUUUUCCUUUCCAUUGUUCUGUUUAAUCUGAUAAUCAUAUUUUCCUUUCCAUUGGUUGGUUUAACGUUUCUGGUGAUCAUUAUGAUCUAAGCAGUAUUAAUUUCCUGCUUGUGCAAACACCUCGGUGUACAACUCUGUUAGUAAGACCCUGUUACUAUUGUUGGUGACAUUCCGGUAACCACCGAUGGACGAGAACCUUGCCUAUUGGUCCGCCUCGUUCAACGAGCAGGAAAAUGGUUCUCUUUGUCCCUCGCCCUUGGUACCAACAUUGUUGCCAACAUAACUGACAGGCUACCCUCUGACAUGUCUUGCUAUCAUGACCGUGUAAGAUGCCAAUGGCCUUCCUACUUUUAACCACCUGGUGGGCCCAUAACCCACAGUUCCACAGGAUCGAAACCUGACUCUCCUAUACACCCUUGUUGCCAAAGUUAUUCCUCGCGCUUGAUUUCGUAUGUAAUUCAUGGGUCAUCUUCCUAGUUAUCUGCUUUGGUAUCAGACGCAAUACUUAUUCUCGUUGCUUUGGUACCCUUUCACACUUUGUUUAGGCAUCGAACGCUUGCCUACCCGCUUAAACCUCUCAUGGUACCUUCUUACUUUGCUCUCGAAAUUUUCUUAAGUUUCAGUUCGAGAGUUACUUUCCGCCACCUUCCCCCGAUGUUAGCUACCAGGUAGUCAACCUUGCAGAGGUCCGUUCUUCCAGAAUAACCACCCUUUAUUCUUUCGUAAGUACGAUGGACUUCCCGAAGAAAGGAUACCGACUUCAUCAUGAUGACCUGAAGCAGAGAAAUAAAGACAUCAACGAAGAGGAUCAACUACUUCAGGGAGAGCAAACAUGAAUGAGAAGAUCCGUUAGAAUGUCGUAACCUAUUCUUCCCCCUUACUUCCCUCUUAAAUCUCGGGACGAGAUUUCUUGUAGUGGAGGAGAAUUGUGACACCCGGAUAAUUAAGCUACAGUAAUCCCACGAUAGCCACGUUAACGAUGCCACGUCACCAUGGUUAUUGUUGCUAACCUCACGUUAGUUCGAAACCGAUUAUAAUUCAAAAUUCAAAAUUAAGCCAACAAUAAAAGUUUUCAACUAUUAAAACUAAAAUGUUCAAUAAAUAGUAAAUAAAACAGAGGCUAUGAUAAAAUUGUAAACAACAUUAUUGAAAUUUAAUAAGUGACUUAAACAACCUCAAACAGUGGCUGAAAACAUUAUUUAAUAACUUUUUUAUUAACACAAAAUAAAUACGAAAUGAUAAUAAACCCAAACUAGUUUUUAGUGGUAGGAUUUAUUGUGCUGUGAUUUGUGGGCCAGCUCUCAUAUUUUACAAAACUCUUUUGGUGCCCAAACAAUUAGCCAAAACAGAAGAAAAUAAGAAAAGUAAAACAAAACAAAACUAACAAAAAAAUAAUAAAAAGAAAGGACCCCCCCCCACUGGGCCAACCGGCCCAGCUGGCAGCCAGCCCAGCCCACCACGGCCUCCUCCUUCUCCCCCGUUCUCUGUUCAAGCGACCGAGGCGCACCCACCGUCGCCGCCGAACCAGCUCGCCGGCAGCGCUACUGGGUGGAUAAGGCCUCCGCCGAGCCCCCCCCCCCCAGAUAUNNNNNNNNNNNNNNNNNNNNNNNNNNNNNNNNNNNNNNNNNNNNNNNNNNNNNNNNNNNNNNNNNNNNNNNNNNNNNNNNNNNNNNNNNNNNNNNNNNNNNNNNNNNNNNNNNNNNNNNNNNNNNNNNNNNNNNNNNNNNNNNNNNNNNNNNNNNNNNNNNNNNNNNNNNNNNNNNNNNNNNNNNNNNNNNNNNNNNNNNNNNNNNNNNNNNNNNNNNNNNNNNNNNNNNNNNNNNNNNNNNNNNNNNNNNNNNNNNNNNNNNNNNNNNNNNNNNNNNNNNNNNNNNNNNNNNNNNNNNNNNNNNNNNNNNNNNNNNNNNNNNNNNNNNNNNNNNNNNNNNNNNNNNNNNNNNNNNNNNNNNNNNNNNNNCUCGCCCGAGCGAGAUCGCCGCCGAAGCCUCGCCGUAGGCGUGGCCCCGACCACCGUUCGUCGAGCUGCCGAGUCCCCGAGCUCCCUCUACGUCGUCCUCAUCGACCCCGCGCUUCAGGACAAGCUGGAGUGCCCUGCAGCGGCCGGGUCAAGCUUUUCCACAACCCCAGUCGCCGCCGCCCGCCGCGAUUGAUCCCGCCUCCCCUCUGCGCUCCCGUGUGCCGCGCCGUAAGCGUCCGCCCCUCCUCCUUCCUCUGGUUCCUCUUCAUGCAUCGUAGAUGGCUCGCGGUGCCGCCGUCGCCAUUGCCGCAUGCGGCCUCGUCCGCGAGCUCGUUGCCCUCACCCCAUCCAUCUCCGAGCCAAGCCGUGGCCUCCGUCGAGUUGCCGGAGGUCCGUAGAGCCCGCUAGCGUCGUUUGUUAGCUAACGCAGCCCGUAGCGUGGUUUUCGGAGAUGCCCGUAUUCCGGCGCCGCCCGCGGUCGUCGUUGAGCUCCACUCCGGCCACCCCCGCUCCUGGGAUCACUCUAGAUCGACGCGGGACGAUCUACUCGUUCGAACGCCACCGAAAACGCGCGGAAUGGUGCACUGUGCUAGAAAUCCGAGCAACUCCGGCGAACUUCCGCCGCUGGAAUGGUCGCCGACGUGAUUCCGGCGACGUCACCGACGUGGCACCCGCGUGGCACCACCUGGGCCACUGACUGGUGGACCCAGGGGCCCCCCUUGACUUGUUGACCGCGGUCAACGUGCUGACUGGGCGGCCCCCAGCCACUGACAUGCGGGCCCCCCUCUGUUAAUUAGUCUAACAAAUGUUUUAUAAAUAAAAGUAAUUAGAUUAACUAAUCACUCACUGACACCCGGGGCCCACACCCCUAAUUAACCCUGCUAGAUUAGUUUAAUCCACUGUUAUACUAGCGGAGGCUGACAUGCGGGUCCCACUGGACGCACAUGUCAGGUUUGACCUGGUCAGCCGACCAGCUAGCUGCUGAUGUCGUCCUCGCAUCAUGCUGGCGUCAUUUCUCUUUUUCUGUAUAUUUCUAUUAAAUCAAAUAAUUUCAGAAAAUGUUUAAAACUUUGAAAAAUCAUAUAAAAUAAACCGUAGCUUGGAUGAAAAUGUUUUCUAUAUGAAAAUUGCUGAGAAAAAUCCAAAGAAUGCGAAUACGCGGUCCGUUCAUUUGUCACAUGCCUCUAGCAUGCUGAACAUGGAACUUUCCCCCUCCUGUCAUCUGUCUAGCACAGGUCCGGAACCGGGAAAACAUUCCCGGUUGAAUUUCCCCCUUCACCUAUUCGUGUAGACAUACGUUAGGUCACCCCCGACACGUCGUAUUACCACGUUAUGCUUUGUGAUGCUAUGUUUGCUUUAUAUUUACUGUUUCUUCCCCCUCUUCUCUCCGGUAGACCCCGAGACCGAUGCUGCCCCUGUUAUCGACUAUGUCGACAACGACCCCUCCUUGCCAGAGCAACCAGGCAAGCCCCCCCCCCCUUGAUCACCAGAUAUCGCCUAUUCUUCUCUGUACAGCUUACAUUAGAGUAGUGUAGCAUGUUACUGCUUUCGGUUAAUCCUAUUCUGCUGCAUAGCCUGUCAUUGUUGCUACAGUUGUUACCCUUACCUGCUAUCCUACUGCUUAGUAUAGGAUGCUAGUGUUCCAUCAGUGGCCCUACACUCUUGUCCGUCUGCCAUGCUAUACUACUGGGCCAUGAUCACUUCGGGAGGUGAUCACGGGUAUAUACUAUAUACUUUAUAUACAUGACACAUGUGGUGACUAAAGUCGGGUCGGCUCGUCGAGUACCCGCAAGUGAUUCUGAUGAGGGGGCUGAAAGGACAGGUGGCUCCAUCCUGGUAGAGGUGGGCCUGGGUUCCUGACGUCCCCCACUGUUACUUUGUGGUGGAGCGACAGGGCAGGUUGAGACCACCUAGGAGAGAGGUGGGCCUGGCCCUGGUCGGCGUCCGCGCAUACUUAAAAAUAACACGCUUAACGAGAUCUUGGUAUUUGAUCUGAGUCUGGCCAUUUGGUCUAUACGCACUAACCAACUACGCGGGAACAGUUAUGGGCACUCGACGUCGUGGUAUCAGCCGAAGCCUUCUUGACGUCAGCGACGGAGCGGCGCGCGCCGGAUUGGACUGGAACGCCUGCUAGGCUAGGUCUGCUUCCGGCCGCCCUCGCAACGUGCAGGUGUGCAAUGGGCGAUGGGCCCAGACCCCUGCGCCAUAGGAUUUACACUGGCGUGUUGACCUCUCUGUUGUGGCUAGGUGGGGCUGCAACGUGUUGAUCUUACGAGGCCGGGCAUGACCCAGGAAAGUGUGUCCGGCUAAAUGGGAUCGAGCGUGUUGGGUUAUGUGGUGCACCCCUGCAGGGAAGUUUAUCUAUUCGAGUAGCCGUGUCCCUCGGUAAAAGGACGACCCGGAGUUGUACCUUGACCUUAUGACAACUAGAACCGGAUACUUAAUAAAACACACCCUUCCAAAUGCCAGAUACAACCCGGUGAUCGCUCUCUAACAGGGCGACGAGGAGGGGAUCGCCGGGUAGGAUUAUGCUAUGCGAUGCUACUUGGUGAACUUACCAUCUACUCUCUCCUACAUGCUGCAAGAUGGAGGUGGCUAGAAGCGUAGUCUUUGACAAGAUUAGCUAUCCCCCUGUUAUUCUGGCAUUCUGCAGUUCAGUCCACCUAUAUGGCCCUUUACACAUAUACCCAUGCAUAUGUAGUGUAGCUCCUUGCUUGCGAGUACUUUGGAUGUGUACUCACGGUUGCUUUUCUCCCUCUUUCCCCCUUUCCUUUCUACCUGGUUGUCGCAACCAGAUGCUGGAGCCCAGGAGCCAGACGCCACCGUCGACGACGACUCCUACUACACCGGAGGAGCCUACUACUACGUGCAGCCCGCUGACGACGACCAGGAGUAGUUAGGAGGUCCCAGGCAGGAGGCCUUGCCUUUUCGAUCGUUGCUACUUUUGUGCUAGCCUUCUUAAGGCAGACUUGUUUAACUUAUGUCUGUACUCAGAUAUUGUUGCUUCCGCUGACUCGUCUAUGAUCGAGCACUUGUAUUCGAGCCCUCGAGGCCCCUGGCUUGUAUUAUGUUGCUUGUAUGACUUUUUAUGUUGUAGAGUUGUGUUAUGAUAUCUUCCCGUGAGUCCCUGAUCUUGGUCGUACACAUUUGCGUGCAUGAUUAGUGUACGAUUGAAUCGGGGGCGUCACAUAUAGCAUGGCAUCGAAGCUAAUAAAGUUUUGCAUUAUUCAUCACCACAUACUUAGAUGAAAAACCACAAUCGAGAUCGGCAAAGAAGAAAAUCACCUUGGGCAGCUCAGCGGGGGGGACACAUCCUCAAAGGGGGAAAACUGCUCCUGUAGUGCCACGGGGGCUGUAACCUCAAACGGGGCGUUGACCAUCUCAAUAGUGGCCGUGAGCGUAUCUGGGGUCGGCUCGGUGGCUGCCUCCAUCUUCUUGGAGCUCUCUGUCUCAUGGGGAUCAGCCUCCCGCGUCUGCUCUAAUAUGGGCAGAUCUUUGCCCUGUUCUCCUUGGUCCAUCAUGAAACUGACGAAUACUAGGAGACCACUGAAAGGAAAACACAAUCGCAAUGACAAUGAAACAAAAAAGAGAGUGAGGAUCGGUUACUGCUUUGCAAAAGUUCUUUUUUUUCUCUGAACGAAAAUAUACCAACAUCACGGAUCCGCUUACCUUCCCUUCGUUGGGAGAGAAGAACGGUGGCAGAUGCGAGUGUUGCCUUUCUUGAAGACGGUGAGGGAGAAGGGGAUUCAGCGAAGAGUGAAAUGAUGGUUGCUUCGUCCGUCAAACUUAGACUGCGGGGAGGUGGGGUUUUGUGAUACGACAGCUCAUUACUGCCGCGCUAGGACCGGGGUGACUCUCCGCCUGCAUACUGCCUUCUAAUUUGGUGGAUGGCAUUUGGGCCUACGCGCUGCAUGGCCCGCAUGUCGGUGAACAAAAGUAUAACGGCUUCAGUAGAGGGAGACGUUUCGAUGACAUAGGAGGAGCCAGAAGCGGUAUUGUAUCCACUGUACUAGUAGUAAUUGUUUUUCUAGGUAGCUGUAGAGUGUCUCACUGUACUAGUAGUAAUUGUUUCUCUGGGCCUAAGACAAAACAGCCCAUCCACCCUAGUAAAUAGUAAAAUCAAUUCAAAAGCCCAUAUAUUUACUGAAUGAGAGGCGCUACCCACACCCAGCACACCGCCCCCCAAAAAAACCUGGGUGCUCUUCUUCCUCCUCACUCCCACCCACCUCACGUCAGCUCGCUCCACUCAUACCCCCAAAUUCCUCACCUCACUCCUACAAAAAACCCCAGCUCCCCUUCAAAUCCGUGAGCGUGACACGACGCCCUCGAGGAAAAUGGAGUCGGCUGACCCCCAGCGCCAAGAAGAUGAGGCUCCCGCCAGCGGCGAUGCCUGUUGUAGAUCCCGCACUCGGCAGCGCGGGAAGAAGCUGCGACCCCGCCCCCACCGGAUCCCUGGAACCCGUAGAAUCUCGGGUGGACCGCAUCAGUGAUCUCCCGGACGCCGUCCUUGGGGAGAUCAUCUCGCUUCUCCCCACCAAGGAUUGCUGCCGCACCCAAGUCCUCUCAAUUCGGUGGCGCCCUCUAUGGCGCGUCGUGCCCCUUAAUCUCGACUGUCGUCAGCUAUUUCUCUUCAAUGAUUUUGAAAUCCCCAGAGCCAUCAUCUCCUCCCACCAGGGCUCCAUUCAAAGCCUCUGCAUCCCGUCAUGCUACCUGAGCAAGCAUACCAUGCCCUGCAGGGUGGACGCCUGGCUGAAAUCCCCUGAAUUCACAGAACUACAGCUGCUUGAGUUCUACUAUUCCCCUGGAAAUCACAUACCACAUACCGAACGCCAUGUACUUGUGCCCUCAGCACCGAUGUCCAUCUCGCGGUUUUCCUCCUCUCUCCACACCGCCACCUUUGCGCUGUGCUACCUACCAGACAAUCUGGUACUAAACCUUCGACUCCCAUUUCUCAAGAAACUUUCACUUGUGCGGGUUCGUAUAUCGGAGGCCUCAUUGCACAGCAUCAUCCACUCCAGUUGCCCUGCCCUAGAGUGCUUGGUGCUUGUUUUCACAGUUAGAAUCGGUUGUCUCCAAAUAAAGUCGCCUAACCUUGUAAGAAUUGGAAUUUCUUGUGACGGAAGGCAGCUCAUCAUCCAAGAUGCCCCUUCACUUCAAAGGUUGAUCCUUGAUUCUAGUUAUUCACCGUUGCAAAUAACCGUCCUCUCUGCGCCUAAACUGGAGACCUUGGGUGUAAUACAUGAUCUCUGUGCUCAUUUCAAUAUGGUGUUUGGCUCCACAGUUCUUCAGGUACUUUAUAUUAUCAUCUACACUUGUAACCAUAAGCUGCAUUUUAAAUUUCUGCGCAUAAGUUAUAUAUCAUCUCGGAGUACACAUUCUGUACUAAUAUUAUGUUCUAUGCUCAAUGAAGAGUUUCUCCAUGGAUGGCCUAUCAAUGGUGCUGGAUUCUGUCAAGAUCUUAUAUAUCCAAAUGAAUAGUUUUGAUCUGAACAAGACUAUUGGCUUGCUGCAAUGCUUUCCAUGUCUGGAGAAGUUGUACAUAAAGGUGAUAAUUUCACGCACAUUGGAAGCCCACAUAUAGUGUACUAGAAUUAACCAUUCAGCUGUUGCUCUUUCGACACUCCUUUUUUAGACCUUAAUUUUUUUAAUCUUCAUGUCAAUUUAGGCAACAGGACGGGGUAAGAAAGUUAUAACCAAUCGGUGGAUUCGUAAGCAUCGGGAUUUUCUCACUUCUCAUGAGAUUCGAUUGAAGACAAUAACGCUAGAACGAUAUGUAGGCAACCGUGCAAACACUAGAUUUGUCACAUUCUUCCUGCUGAAUGCGAGGUUACUAUUGUCCAUCAGGCUUAAGUUUAUCAGCCGCAUGGUUUUGACGGAUGGGUAUGUGGAAGAACAAAAAAGGAGUUUCAGGUGGGCAAAAGAGCUUCUGAACGUGUCGGGCUUCUAUUUACAACAUAUUGUGGUCAUAAUCCAGUAAAUUUUACGACCCAGGAUGUUCAUUCUACGGACCUGACCGAUCCAUUUGAUUGUGACUGCCAAAAACAGUGCUGGAGUUAGAUGUUGUUGCCCUUUUCAACCUGGGUUUUUUGUAAACCUGAUGAACAAUUAACCCUCGUGCUUUUGUACAGUUUGUAAGCUGGAGUUAGAUGUUCUUGCCCUUUUCAACUCGGCUGUGACUGUCAUAUUUUCUUUGAAACAAGGCAAAUGGCUUGCCAGUCAUUUAAUUUAGAGUGAAAUAUUGUAACAACUAACAAAUCCCAACCAAGGGAAAUAACAUCACUCUCGCCGGCUGCUUGAGCUCACUGUGCAUUACAGAAGCCAAGUGAUUAGCCCCCACCAGCACCCACAAACUUAUUUCGAACUAGCACAUCAAAUGGGCUGUAAAUUUUCAUAGGAAAGGCUGCAUGACCAUGACAGAUUUGGAUUCUGACAUUUGGGACCCGCGAGGAAAUAGCCUAUCCAAGGUGGUGUUGACUUACUAGCCAGUCAACAAACGAUUCUGCCUACCAGCCGUUGGAUUGACAUCCAACAUCUGCCGUGUAUCUUUUAUCUCUUGUCUUCUUCUUCCUCCAGCCACCCAAACGAAACCACCCCAUCGGCUCCGCCUGCUCCCGCCUCCCAUGGCUGGCUGCGCCUCCGCCGCCCUACCGUACGUACCCUCCAACGUUGGCCAGUCCCUCCCUCUAUUCCCCCACAUGUCCUGUUAUUCUCCGGCGACGUCAGCCCCAACAUGCACCCGCACCCGAACUAGUCAACCCUUGUACUCCCCUCCGCCUAUGACUAGACCGAUGCAUCUUCCACAGCUCCUAUUCGUUCCGUCCGAGGCCUCGCCGUCGUCCUCCGCCUUGCGGCCUUGGUUCGCUCGCCGUGCGCGGUGCGCCGCCCUCUUGCGUUGUGAUAAUCCCCAAGUGUAGGGAAUCAUCGUAGCAAUUUCCAAAGGUGGAAGUGAUAAGUAUGGAGUGUCAAACCCACAGGGAGCUAAAGGUAAGAUCAAUAUUCUCUCAAGCCCUAUCUGCCACUGAUAGGACUCUACGUACACCGAACGUUUGCUUCCAACUAGAAACGAGAAAUAAAACUAUGUUGUGGGUAUGAAGAGGAUAACUUUGCAUGAUAUCAGAGAACUAAAAUAUAAAAGUAGUUGCUGUUAUCAUAAAGUUAGAAUAUAUUACUAAAUAUUAUAAAUAGCGAGUGUGGAAUAAUGGUGGAUCGGUGUGCGGAAUUGUCCUAGGCAAUUAUUAACAAGACAGGUAGUUGUCAUUGCGAUUUCAUACGAGGGAGAGGCAUAAGCUAACAUACUUUCUCUACUUGGAUCAUAUGCACUUAUGAUUGGAACUCUAGCAAGCAUCCGCAACUACUAAAGAUCAUUAAGGUAAAACCCAACAAUAGCAUUAAAGCAUCAAGUCCUCUUUAUUCCCAUACGCAUCAACCUCCUUACUCGGGUUUGUGUUUCAGUCACUCACCAACCACUAUAAGCGAAUCAUGAACGUAUUGCAACACCCUACAGCGGGAAUCCCUCACGCUUGCGCGACACGGAGGGCACCAUACAACAGCACCAAAAUAAAACAUACAACUCGUACCAAUCUAGAUCAUCAAUCAACCCAAAGACAAAGGAUAUCUACUCAAAACAUCAUAGGAUGGCAACACAUCAUUGGAUCAUAAUAUGCGGCAUAAAGCACCAUGUUCAAGUAGGGAUUACAGCGGGGUGCGGGAGAGUGGACCGCGUAAAAGAGAUGAGGAUGGUGAUGAUGAUGGUGAUGUUGAUAAAGACGAUCACCGCGGCGAUGAUUCCCCUCCCGAUGGCACUCCGACGCCACCGAGAGAAAGGAGGAGAGGUUCUCCCCCUUGUGCUUCCUCCUCCAUGGCCUCCCCCUAGAUGGGGAGAGGUUCUCCCUCUGGUCCUUGGCCUUCAUGGCGAUGAUGGCCCCUCCGGGAUCCUCCUCCAUGGCGUCCAGUGAUGAUGGCCCCCUCCGGCAGGGUGCCAGAGAGGGCCUAGAUUAAUUUCUCGUGGCUACAGAGGCUUGCGGCGGCGGAACUUCUGAUCUAUUCUGUUCCUCGAAGUUUUUAGGGUAUAUGGAUAUAUAUAGGCGAAAGAAGUCGGUCAGGGGAGCCACGAGGGGCCCGCCCAGGGGGGCAGGCGCACCUCCCUGCCUCGUGGCCACCCCAUUGCUUCCCUGACAUACACUCCAAGUCUCCUGGAUUGCUUCCGUUCCAAAAAUAACUCUCCCGAAGGUUUCAUUGCGUUUGGACUCCGUUUGAUAUUCCUUUUCUGCGAAACACUAAAAUAGGCAAAAAAUAGAAGCUGGCACUGGGCUCUAGGUUAAUAGGUUAGUACCAAAAAUAAUAUAAAAGUGUAAAAUAAAGCCCAUAAACAUCCAAAACAGAUAAUAUAAUAGCAUGGAAUAAUAAAAAAUUAUAGAUACGUUGGAGACGUAUCAGCAUCCCCAAGCUUAAUUCCUGCUCGUCCUCGAGUAGGUAAAUGAUAAAAACAGAAUUUUUGAUGUGGAAUGCUACCUAACAUAUUUAUCCAUGUAAUCUUCUUUAUUGUGGCAAGAACAUUCAGAUCCAUAAGAUCCAAGACAAAAGUUUAAUAUUGACAUGAAAACAAUAAUACUUCAAGCAUACUAACAAAGCAAUCAUGUCUUCUCAAAAUAACAUGGCCAAAGAAAGUUAUCCCUACAAAAUCAUAUAGUCUGACUAUGCUCUAUCUUCACCACACAAAAUAUUUAAAUCAUGCACAACCCCGAUGACAAGCCAAGCAAUUGUUCAUACUUUUGAUGUUCUCAAACUUUUUCAAUCUUCACGCAAUACAUGAGCAUGAGCCAUGGACAUAGCACUAUAUGUGGAAUAGAAUGGUGGUUGUGGAGAAGACAAAAAAGGAGAAGAUAGUCUCACAUCAACUAGGCGUAUCAACGGGCUAUGGAGAUUCCCAUUAAUAGAUAUCAAUGUGAGUGAGUAGGGAUUGCCAUGCAACAGAUGCACUAGAGCUAUAAGUAUAUGAAAGCUCAACAAAAGAAACUAAGUGGGUGUGCAUCCAACUCGCUUGCUCACGAAGACCUAUGGCAUUUUGAGGAAGUCCAUCAUUGGAAUAUACAAGCCAAGUUAUAUAAUGAAAAAUUCCCACUAGUAUAUGAAAGUGAUAUCAUAGGAGACUCUCUAUCAUGAAGAUCAUGGUGCUACUUUGAAGCACAAGUGUGGUAAAAGGAUAGUAACAUUGUCCCUUCUCUCUUUUUCUCUCAUUUUUUUAUUUGGGCCUUUUUUAUGGCCUCUUUUAUUUUAUUUUAUUUUUCGUCCGGAGUCUCAUCCCGACUUGUGGGGGAAUCAUGGUCUCCAUCAUCCUUUCCUCACUUGGGACAAUGCUCUAAAAAUGAUGAUCAUCACACUUUUAUUUACUUACAACUCAACAAUUACAACUCAAUACUUAGAACAAAAUAUGACUCUAUGUGAAUGCCUCCGGCGGUGUACCGGGAUAUGCAAUGAAUCAAGAGUGACAUGUAUGAAAGAAUUAUGAAUGGUGGCUUUGCCACAAAUACGAUGUCAACUACAUGAUCAUGCGAAGCAAUAUGACAAUGAUGGAGCGUGUCAUAGUAAACGGAACGGUGGUAAGUUGCAUGGCAAUAUAUCUCGGAAUGGCUAUGGGAAUGCCAUAAUAGGUAGGUAUGGUGGGUGUAUGGUACCGGCGAAAGUUGCGCGAUACUAGAGAGGCUAGCAAUGGUGGAAGGGUGAGAGUGCGUAUAAUCCAUGGACUCAACAUUAGUCAUAAAGAACUCACAUACUUAUUGCAAAAAUCUAUUAGUUACCAAAACAAAGUACUACGCACAUGCUCCUAGGGGGGUAGAUUGGUAGGAAAAGACCAUCGCUCGUCCCCGACCGCCACUCAUAAGGAAGACAAUCAAUAAAUAAAUCAUGCUCCGACUUCAUCACAUAACGGUUCACCAUACGCGCAUGCUACGGGAAUCACAAACUUUAACACAAGUAUCUCUCAAAUUCACAACUACUCACUAGCAUGACUCUUAUAUUACCGUCCUCAUAUCUCAAAACAAUCAUAAGGAAUCAAACUUCACAUAAUAUUCAACGCACUUUAUAUGAAAGUUUUUAUUAUAUCCCUCUUGGAUGCCCAUCAUAUUAGGACUAAAUUCAUAACCAAAGCAAAUUACCAUGCUGUUAUAAAGACUCUCAAAAUAAUACAAGUGAAGCAUGAGAGUUCAUAUAUUUCUUCAAAAUAAAGCCAUCGCUGUGCUCUAAAAGGAUAUAAGUGAAACAUUAGAGCAAACGACAAACUACUCCGAAAGAUAUAAGUGAAGAUCAAUGAGUAGUCGAAUAAUUAAGCAACUAUGUGAAGACUAUCUCACAUUUAAGGAUUUCAGAUCUUGGUAUUUUAUUCAUACAGCCAGCAAAACAAAAGAAAAUAAAAUGACACUCCAAGCAAAACACAUAUCAUGUGGUGAAUAAAAAUAUAGCUCCAAGUAAAGGUACCGAUGAACGAAGACGAAAGAGGGGAUGCCUUCCGGGGCAUCCCCAAGCUUAGGCUCUUGGUUAUCCUUGAAUAUUACCUUGGGGUGCCUUGGGCAUCCCCAAGCUUAGGCUCUUGCCACUCCUUAUUCCAUAGUCCAUCGAAUCUUUACCCAAAACUUGAAAACUUCACAACACAAAACUUAACAGAAAAUCUCAUGAGCUCCGUUAGCGAAAGAAAACAAAACACCACUUCAAGGUACUGUAAUGAACUCAUUCUUUAUUUAUAUUGGUGUUAAACCUACUGUAUUCCUACUUCCCUAUGGUUUAUAAACUCUUUUACUAGCCAUAGAUUCAUUAAAAUAAGCAAACAACACACAAAAAACAGAAUCUGUCAAAAACAGAACAGUCUGUAGUAAUCUGUAACUAACGCAAACUUCUGGAACUCCAAAACUUCUACCAAAAUAGGACGAUCUAGAAAAUUUGUUUAGUGAUAUGCUGAAAUUGGAAUAAGUAUUUUAUCACAUUCUGGUGAUUUUUAACAAUUGUUUUCGUGAACAGAAAGUUUCUGGAAUUUUCAGCAAGAUCAAAUAACUAUCAUCCAAGAAGAUCCUAUAGGUCUUACUUGGCACAAACACUAAUUAAAACAUAAAACCACAUCUUAACAGAAGCUAGAUGGGUUAUUUAUUACUAAACAGGAGCAAAAAGGCAAAGAACAAAAAUAAAAUUGGGUUGCCUCCCAAAAAGCGCUGUCGUUUAACACCCCUAGCUAGGCAUGAUGAUUUCAAUGAUGCUCACAUAAAAGAUAAGAAUUGAAACAUAAAAAGAGCAUCAUGAAGAAUAUGACUAGAACAUUUAAGUCUAACCCACUUCCUAUGCAUAGGAAUUUUGUGAGCAAACAACUUAUGGGAACAAUAAUCAACUAGCAUAGGAAGCCAAAAGAAGCAUAACUUCAAAACUUUAAGCACAUAGAGAGGAAACUUGAUAUUAUUGCAAUUCCUACAAGCAUAUGUUCCUCCCUCAUAAUAAUUUUCGGUAGCAUCAUGAAUGAAUUCAACAAUAUAACUAGCACCUAAGGCAUUCUUUUCAUGAUCUACAAGCAUAGAAAAUUUACUACUCUCCACAUAAGCAAAAUUCUUCUCAUUCGGGAUAGUGGGAGUAUCAUAAGAGACUUGAAUACUAUAAAUUGUUUCCACAUUAAAAGAGUAAUGUGUAGAAAAAGGGGAAUCAUAAUCAUGACAAGUUUUAUAAAUAUAGUCAUCACUACUUUUUAUAGCAUAAGUUUCAUCACAAUAAUCAUCAUAAGUAGGAGGCAUGCUAUCCUCAUAAUAAAUUUGCUCAUCAAAACUUGGGAGGCUAAAAAUAUCAUCUUCAUUAAACGUAGCAUCCCCAAGCUUGGGCCUUUUCAUAUCAUAAGCAUAACCACUCUCAUCAUUAAUAGAAUGGAUGGCACCAAUAAUAUAGCAAACAUUAUUAUCAUAUUCUUCCAAGCAAGUGCCAAAAAGAUUUUCAAGAUCAUAAGAAGUAUCAUUAUCUUCCCAAUCAUAAUCAUCACAACAAGCAAUAGUCAUAACGAGAUCAUCAUCAAGUGCAUCAUCUUCCACAAUUAUUUUUGAUUCAUUUUCAUGAGGCACAACAAUAAUAGGAGCAACAUUAUUGGGGAGAGAUAUCUUUUUACCUCUCUUCCUUUUUCUUUUCUUCUUCUUCACCACAUCAUGUGUGGGUUCAAUCCUCUUUUUGGAGCUCCUUAUUAAUGAGAUUGGUUGAAUAGAAGGCUCCUCCUCAUUACCUGAUUCAUCAUAAGAAAUAAUAGGAGGAUAUUGGGAAGUCUCUUCCCUUUCAUUAGUAUUCUCUUCAUCUUCUAUUUGUUUUCUUGUCUUUAUGUAAUUGGCAAUAUAAGGAUUUUCAAUGCAAUUCACCGCACAAUACAUAUAAAUUUUCUCUAGAUCAAAAUCAAGAAGUUUAUAACGAGCAAAUUCUGGAAGAUGCAUAGUUAUACAUUUCAUUUCUUCGUAACCCAUAAGCAAACUAAGUUCAUUAUAAUGUGCAGGGGAAAUCAAGUCAUCACAAUUUUUGGACAAGAUUAGAUCAUGAAACAAUUUGCAUCGGAUAGUUAAAUGACCCCGUUCGUUGCAAAGUUCACAAGUACGGCUAAGAAAAUUUAAAUUUUCAGCACAAACAUCUAGCCUUUCUUGCAACAAUUUAGUUUAUAAAUGCUUAUGCCUCUUGCAAUAUCUAUCUUCCCUAUUUGGUGUGUACUUGCAAACCCAAUGCACUCCACAAAAAUUGACAUGUUUAUAGGAGACAUUUUCAUCAUAACUAGUGCAAUCAUCAUUAGUACUAUGGAUAUUCAAAGAGUUAAUACUAACAACAUUGCAAUCAUGCUCAUCAUUCAAAGAUUUAGUGCCAAACAUUUUAUAGACUUCUUCUUCUAGCACUUGAGCACAAUUUUCCUUUUCAUCAUACUUACGGAAGAUAUUAAAAAGACGAAGCUUAUGAGACAAACUCAAUUCCAUUUUUUUGUAGUUUUAUUUUAUAAAUUAAACUAGUGAUAAAACAAGAAACUAAAAGAUUCGAUUGCAAGAUCUAAAGAUAUACCUUCAAGCACUCACCUCCUCAGCAACGGCGCCAGAAAAGAGCUUGAUAAUCCCCAAGUGUAGGGAAUCAUCAUAGCAAUUUCCAAAGGUGGAAGUGAUAAGUAUGGAGUGUCGAACGCACAAGGAGCUAAAGGUAAGAUCAAUAUUCUCUCAAGCCCUAUCUGCCACUGAUAUGACUCUACGUACACCGAAUGUUUGCUUCCAACAAGAAACGAGAAAUAAAACUAUGUUGUGGGUAUGAAGAGGAUAACUUUGCAUGAUAUCGGAGAACUAAAAUAUAAAAGUAGCUGUUGUUAUCAUAAAGUUAGAAUAUAUUACUAAAUAUUAUAAAUAGCAAGUGUGGAAUAAUGGUGGAUCGGUGUGGGAAUUGUCCUAGGCAAUUAUCAACAAGACCGGUAGUCGUCAUUGCGAUUUCAUAUGAGGGAGAGGCAUAAGCUAACAUACUUUCUCUACUUGGAUCAUAUGCACUUAUGAUUGGAACUCUAGCAAGCAUCCGCAACUACUAAAGAUCAUUAAGGUAAAACCCAACCAUAGCAUUAAAGCAUCAAGUCCUCUUUAUUCCCAUACGCAUCAACCCCCUUACUCGGGUUUGUGUUUCAGUCACUCACCAACCCACUAUAAGUGAAUCAUGAACGUAUUGCAACACCCUACAUCGGGAAUCCCUCACGCUUGCUCGACACGGAGGGCACCAUACAACAGCACCAAAAUAAAACAUACAACUCGUACCAAUCUAGAUCAUCAAUCAACCCAAAGACAAAGGAUAUCUACUCAAAACAUCAUAGGAUGGCAACACAUCAUUGGAUCAUAAUAUGUGGCAUAAAGCACCAUGUUCAAGUAGGGAUUACAGCGGGGUGCGGGAGAGUGGACCGCGUAAAAGAGAUGAGGAUGGUGAUGAUGACGGUGAUGUUGAUAAACAUGAUCACCGCAGCGAUGAUUCCCCUUCCGAUGGCACUCCGGCGCCACCGAGAGAGAGGAGGAGAGGUUCUCCCCCUUGUGCUUCCUCCUCCAUGGCCUCCCCCCUAGAUGGGGAGAGGUUCUUGCUCUGGUCCUUGGCCUUCAUGGCGAUGAUGGCCCCUCCGGGAUCCUCCUCCAUGGCCUACGGUGAUGAUGGCCCCCUCCGGCAGGGUGCCAGAGAGGGCCUAAAUUGAUUUCUCGUGGCUACAGAGGCUUGCGGCGGCGGAACUUCCGAUCUAUUCUGUUCCCCGAAGUUUUUAGGGUAUAUGGAUAUAUAUAUAGGCGAAAGAAGUCGGUCAGGGGAGCCACGAGGGGCCCACGAGGGUGGGGGGCGCGCCUCCUUGUCUCGUGGCCACCCCGUUGCUUCCCUGACGUACACUCCAAGUCUCCUGGAUUGCUUCCGUUCCAAAAAUAACUCUCCCGAAGGUUUCAUUCCGUUUGGACUCCAUUUGAUAUUCCUUUUCUGCGAAACACUGAAAUAGGCAAAAAAACAGAAACUGGCACUGGGCUCUAGGUUAAUAGGUUAGUCCCAAAAAUAAUAUAAAAGUGUAAAAUAAAGCCAUAAAGAUCCAAAACAGAUAAUAUAAUAGCAUGGAACAAUCAAAAAUUAUAGAUACGUUGGAGACGUAUCACGUUGUCAACGUCGUCAACAACCGAGAGGAACAAGGAGAUGACUGUACGUGGAGAGGAUGACAGUAGGGACCCACCAGUGUCAUGGCAGUACGCAAGCAAGUGCCUCUAUAUUACAAGCCCAAAAAUAUGGUUCCUCCUAAUGGUUGGACAUCUGGGGCUCACGCCAUUGUCAACAUAGUCAAUAAACGAGAGAAUUACACUAUGAGCAGCUGACACCAGGGACCCAGCAGGUCGCGCAGUUUUUUUUUUAGGAACAAGCAGUUGUUAUUUAUACUAGUUUUAGCGACGGAUCAGGGUAACAACGGGGCUGUGCGGGGGCUGUGGCCCGUCUAGCCAGGAUUUUAUUUAUAUUUACCACAUCAUGAGCCCAGUUGUGUUUUUUCUUGCUGAAAAUGGCUAGCCCGGUUCUAUUUUGUUUAAAGAAAUACCCAAACGAGGCCUACUUGCUUUAUCAGCCCUGCUGGGCUACAAAUCUUUCAAGACGAGGAGAGUUUCAUUCGGUUUGCCCAGAAAUGGGCUGUACAUUUUUAAAACACAUCAAACCGGGAAUUAGUUUCAAUUUUUUUCAUUACAAGAUUUUAAAUUCCAUUUACUUUUAUGCGUGGACAAUUAUUUGGAUUUUAUAUUUAUAUAAAUUAUUUUUCAAAAUAGUUUGAAUGUGAAUCGAUAUUUCGGGAUUAAAAACAAUUGACCGCACCGAAAUAUGCAAAAUUUCGUAUACUUUUUAACCGUGGCCACAAUAUGGGGUGUAAUGCUAACAAAAAGAAGAUGGGCUCCAAAAAAAUUCUUAAGAAUUAGCAAAUGGGCUGUACAUUAUUAGAAAUAAUGGCAGAUGGGUUGUAUGUUGUUUCCCAUAGAUUUGAGGCUAACUUGUGCGCCUACUACAGGUUGACGCGUAUGCUUUCCUAAAAAAAAGGUUGACGCACAAGCAACACCGUGUCAACUUAGUCAACACACGAGAGCAGUGACUGUUGGAUGUCCAUCCAACGGCUGUCGUGCUUCUUCAAUCUCUGCUCUUCCUGCUCCAGCCGCUCAAACAAGCGCCGGCGGGACUGCCUGCUCCCUCCUCCCAUGGCCAGCUAUGCUACCGCACAGGCCUCACCGCCCCACCGUACUCCCAUCGCUGGCCUAGCCAUCCCUCUACUCACCCACACAUGUUGUUAUUCUCCGGGGACGGCAGACGAACCAGUAAACCCUCGUACUCCUCUGCGUGGGAAACAACUGCCUAGUCUUCCCUGGCUCCGUGUCGUUCCCUUCCUAGGCCUUGCUGUCGUCCACUGCCCUGGUGCUCUCGGCGCGGCCUGGUCAACAUGGUCAAUGAACGACAUCCAUCGGAAGUGGACUGUACGUGGAGAGGCUGACAGCUGGGUCCAUGGCCGCAUGCAAGGAAAUGCCUCCUUAUUACGUGCAAAAUAAUGAUUCCUCCACCUGACAGCUAGGACCCACGGGAAGGGCUUCUGUAUUUCGCGAAAAAAGCGUCCCCCCGCUGACAGGUCGGACCCGCCAGCUAUAUCUUCGCACGCAAGGAAGUGCCUCCUUAUUACGCACAAAAAAUGAAUACCCCCUGCUAGCUGGGACCCACCAUAGUGGGUGGCUGACUUGUGGGCCUACUAAGUUGACGGGGACGGAGGGCUUUGUCAACUUAGUCAAUAUGAACGAUUCUAGCUCCAGUGACCGUACGAUGUCCAUCCAACGGCCAUAGUGCUUCUUCAACCUCUGGUCUUCUUGCUCCAGCCGCCCAAAGCAGCGCCGGUCGUGUCGCCUGCUCCUGCCUCUCAUGGCUGGAUGUGCUGCUGCGGAGGCCUCCCCGCCCCCAUACUACUCCCACCGCUGGCCAGGCCAUCCCUCCACUCACCCACACCCCCUGUUAUUCUGCGGCAACGACAGCCUCACACCGCAGCCGAACCAGUGAACCCUCGUACUCCUCUCUGCGUGGGAAUCCACUGCCGCGUCUUCCCCGGCUCUGCGUCGUCCCCUUCCUAGGCCUCGCCAUCGUCCACCGUCGUGGUGCUCUCUGCGCGGCGUGGUCAAUGUGGUCAAUGACCGACUUCCAUCGGAAGAGUACUGUACGUGGAGAGGCUGACAGCAGGGUCCACGGCAGCCGCAAGGAAUUGGCUCCUUAUUACGCGGAAAAUAAUUAUUCCUUCACCUGAUAGCAGGGACCCACCGGACGGGCCACCGUAUUUGGCGAAAAACCAUUUCCCCCUGACUGCUGGGACCCACCGGACGGGCCACCAUAUUUUGUCAAAAAAAACGUGCCCCCCGCUGUCAGCUCGGACCCACCGGAAGUGCCUCCUUAUUAAACACAAAAAAAAUGAAUACUCCCCCUGCUAGUUGGGACCCACCUUGGUGGGAGGCUGACUUGUGGGCCUACUAAAUUGACGGGGACAGAGUGCUUUGUCAACUUAGUCAAUAUGAACGAUUCUAGCUCCAGUGACCGUACGAUGUCCAUCCAACGACCGUAGUGCUUCUUCAACCUCUGGUCUUCUUGCUCCAGCCGCCCAAAGCAGCGCCGGUCGUGCCGCAUGCUCUUGCCUCCCGUGGCCGGUUGUGCUGCCGUGGAGGCCUCACCGCCCCCUACUAUUCCCACCGCUGGCCUGGCCCUGCGGCGACGGAAGCCUCACACCGCAGUCGAACCAGUGAACCCUCGUACUCCUCUCUGCGCGGGCUUCCACUGCCACGUCUUCCCCGGCUCUGCGUCGUCCCCUUCCUAGGCCUCGCCGUCGUCCACCGCCCUGGUGCUCUCGGCGCGGCGUGGUCAAGGAACGACUUCCAUCGGAAGAGUACUGUACAUGGAGAGGCUGACAGCUGGGUCCACGGCGGCCGCAAGGAAGUGCCUCCUUAUUACGCGCAAAAUAAUUAUUCCUCCACCUGACAGCAGGGACCCACCAGACGGGCCACCGUAUUUCGCGAGAAAAACGUUUCCCCCCUGACUGCUGGGACCCACCAGCUACAUCUUCGCACGCAAGGAAGUGCGUCCGGGCAAAAAAAUUGAUUCGCCCCCUGACUGCUGGGACCCACUAGCUACAUCUUCGCAUGGAAGGAAGUGCCUGACAGUCGGGACCCACCUGGUCGAAGCGUAUGUAGCAUUGUCAUUCUGGUCGUGAACGUGUACGUACAUACUGGUCGAUGUAGAGGCGCGCACGUGUCGUAGUAGAGGCGCGCGCGUAGCAUGUACAUGUAUGUACAGCGGCCAGUGUGCAAGAAAGAAAAUAUGGCCACGUACGUACAUACGGGCGGGGUCUCAAACGCCUACUCGCGCAUACGUACGGCCAGGGCUCGUGUACAUGGCUGGGUCGGAACGAAGAAACAACGUCAUCGUCGUUUUCAUGGGGAGCCAACCGGCUGGGUCGGAACAGAAUGCGUCGUCAUGUUCAUCGGGAGGGCUUGGACAGAACAGCCGAUGGAAACAAGGCCUGGCGUACCGCAGAACGGAGGAAACGGCCUUGUGUUCGACCGGCCACGUUCGAAACGGGAUCCUGUUCAUCAGGAAGGGUCUGGCGUACCGCAAAACGGAGGAAACGGACUUGUCUUGGACCUCCUACGGUCAACUGGGUCCUGUUGAUUGGGAGGGGUGUGGCGUACCACAAAAUGAGGAAACGAACUUGUGUUGGAGCGCUACGGUUGAAACGGGGGUCCUGUUCAUCGGGAGGGGUGUGGCGUAUCACAAAACGGGACUCCACGGGAUACUGUUCAUCUCCACCGUCGACCCCCUCCAACCUCCACGGGCUACUGUUCAUCCACCGUCGACCUCCUCCAGCCUCUGCCUGUUCAUCCACAGGCUCCUGUUCAUCCAGCCUCCACCGCGCGCUACUCCACUGGCUACUGUUCAGCCAGCCCUCUCCACGGGCUCCUGUUCAACCAGCCCUCCACCUUCUACUGUUCAUCUAGCCCUCCAUGGGGCCAUCCUGUUCAUCCAGCCCUCCACGGGGUCAUGUUCAUCCAGCCCCAACCGGCUCGAUCGAUCGGGGUCCUGUUCAUCCAGAGGCAACACCACGGGGUCCUGUUCAUCCACCCCCACCGGAAACUANNNNNNNNNNNNNNNNNNNNNNNNNNNNNNNNNNNNNNNNNNNNNNNNNNNNNNNNNNNNNNNNNNNNNNNNNNNNNNNNNNNNNNNNNNNNNNNNNNNNNNNNNNNNNNNNNNNNNNNNNNNNNNNNNNNNNNNNNNNNNNNNNNNNNNNNNNNNNNNNNNNNNNNNNNNNNNNNNNNNNNNNNNNNNNNNNNNNNNNNNNNNNNNNNNNNNNNNNNNNNNNNNNNNNNNNNNNNNNNNNNNNNNNNNNNNNNNNNNNNNNNNNNNNNNNNNNNNNNNNNNNNNNNNNNNNNNNNNNNNNNNNNNNNNNNNNNNNNNNNCACUGUUGAUCCAGAGGCAGCAUCGACCGACUUCAGUUAGCAGCAGUAGCGAAGGAAUCACUCGAUCGGGUUCAGUUAACAGCCAUCGAUCGAUCGCUCGGGUUCAGUAACGCGUAGCCUGCAGUGCAAUCGCUUGGGUUCAGUAGGCGAACGCCUCGCUCGGGUUCAGUUAGAGCCCAACGCCUCGCACCCACGCGCGUGCGUGUACGAGAGAAAUGUGCAAACCUCCGUGCAUCGCUCGGCCCCAACCACCCACCGUAACCGGGAACACCCCGAUAUUUUCCUAGCCCUCACUUCUACCACGGUUUUUUCCGUCAUGGACGGCCCAAAGAAUGUCAUGCAGUUGCGUCUCCGGCCCGCCCAGGACGAAAAGCCCAUUUUCUGUCAUGAUUUUUUGUGAUAGAAGUAGGAGCCCACCACAUCUAUGAUGAUACCGGGUUUUGUCACAAUUAUCGUCAUAGAAGUGUCAUAAGUAUGACAGAAAAAAUUGUUCGGCCCAAAAUGUCACGGAUGUGUCUUUUUUUUGUAGUGUACCUGAAGGUGAGUGACGACCUGUUCGUCCACCUCCCAGGGACGGCGAGCACCGGGGCAUCCACCGAGGGGGAGGUGUUUGAUGAUGAGGUGCUCGCCGCCGCCGGGCUUGAGGGUGUUGACGAACCGAGUGCCGGUGGCGGCGGUUCCCAGGAAGAGCGGCUCCUCCAGGCCAUGAGCGCCAACUUCCAGAAGCUUCAGGCGCUUCACCGUGCCCGCGUGGACAAGGCCAAGUCCAGGAUGGUAGUGGUGGACAAGGCGGAGGUAGACCUCGAGGAGCGCAUCGCCGAGAUGCAGGCUUGGUUCCGCCAGGCCCACAAGGAACUGAAGGCCGCCCAGGAUGUGCUGGCUGAGCGCAAGCUGUAGCUUGUCAUGAAGCAGGCCAACAUCGAGAAGGCCCAGGAGCUCGCGAAGGAGCAGGCCACCAAAGAUGAGGCCGCUCGGCAUCAGCACCAGGCCGAGCUAAACUCCCUUGAGGAGGACCUUGCCGCUCGUGAGGAGAAGCUCGCCGCAACACUCCGUGGCAAGGUUGAGGAGGUGGAGAAGCUUGUCGUGCAGCGGACCCGGGAGCUAGAGCAGAGGCAUGAGGAGGCAGUCAAUGCUCAGGCCCAGGUCCAGGCCGGCAAGGUGAAAGAGCUAGAGGUGGAGCGGGACGGGCUGAAGGACCAGGCCCUGAAGCAGGCGAAGGAGAAGGACACGCUCAACGGUGCUCUGAUCGAGGCGCAGGCCGCAGUCCUCGGCAAGGCUGAGCAUCUAUCCAAGGCCAAUGACUCCAUCAAAGACCUAAAGCUGAAGCUGGAGGGUCUUGAGGGGACGCUUUCAGAGGUCAAGGCCCGGGAGGAGACCCUGACCAAGGAUCUGGAGAAGGAAAGGCAGCUGCGGAAGAACGACGCCGCCAACCACGCGGAUUUCGUGGAGGGAGAAACCCUCUGGAUCAGCCGCCUCGCCGACGUCGCCAGCAGGACCACCACGAAGCUGGCGGCCAUGGGGAUGCAAAACGUGAGGUACGCCCCGGAGCCGAACGUGAGUCGCAACGCCAAGCUGACCCUGUUCUUCGAGGGUGUUCUCGGGGCCCUGGAGCAGUUCUGUUCCAACAGGGCGGCCUCUCUGGCCGAUGAGGCCCGGAAGCUUUGCCGGGGUGUCAUGACCAAGGUCCUCACCAAGGUGGUGUACUGGAACCCCAACCUCGACUUCGACGCCGCGCUGGAGAGCUUGCCGGAGGAUGCGGACCUCGCGGCGCUCGAGGAGCAUAUCGAGCCCAUCAUCAGCCGCGUCGACAGAGUUCGGAGGAUAGAGGGCCAGCGCCGGGAUUAGGCACCCUGUUUCUCGUCGCCGCUGCAGGUUCAGGACCAAGACAAUUUUUAUCUUUAGUUAGAACCGCAACAACAAUUGAUGUAAUAUAACUCUGCGGUACUUUGAACCGAUGCAUGUUAUUUUCCCGUCUGAUCCCCCUUUAUAUGUUCACCCUAUGUUAAUCGGGUAGGCUUGCCGGUGCGUAAACCCAGGCCGCGACGCUUUGAGGAUGGAUCCCCAAUAGCCUGCCAGGUGUGCUUGCGCCAGGCAAACCACCUUACUGCUCUUAACACGGACGCCCGAACUGUCGAGUGGACUCGAGACAGAACGAGAGCGUUGCCAAUUACAGAAGGUCACCCUGCCGUUCUUGACGCAGCUGCUCGAUCUGUUGAGCGGACUCGAAACAGAGCAAGGGCGUUGCCAAUAGUGGCAGGGCCCCAUUGCGUGUAGGUUUUCCAUACACAGGGGGAGAUCUUCGAGGACGAUAACCUUAUAUGUAAAAAGGAAUUGCUCAAAGUUUUGCACGACUUAGCUUUUCUGUCGUUGCAUGGGCGUUCGCUGCACCCGCCGAUGACGGCGCUCGUUUGGUCGUCUUCUUCCUUGAAGUGACGACCAUGAUGAAGCCGCUGCUCCAACCAAACCAGAUUUCCACAACUGCGCCCCCCUACCUGGCGCCAAAGAUGUCGGUGGAAACGACGCCUAUGGGAUCACUGGGAUCCAUUCUAUGGUUGGUGGGCGCGGGGUUGUGCAAAGAGCGGGUCUGGUAGUCAGCACAAGGAUCGUUUACCCAGGUUCGGGCCGCGAGGAUGCGUAACACCCUAGUCCUGCUUUGGUGUAUAUUUGAGUGUUCUUGAGCUCUCGAACUAGCUACGGUGCGUGCGUAGUCCAAAAGAUCCGAAUGCUUCUCCAGUAUGCCUCGGGCCUCCUUUUAUAGACAAAAGGGGUUGCCACAGUGGCACACAGGAGGUGGAAAGGUAUAUAGUGUACAAGCUUAUCGCCUGUCAUUACGGGACAAGGCGCAUUAAAUGCGCCCCUUAGGUGUCCCGUUGCUUUAUUGUGGAUGGCAACGAGGCCCGUCCCGUCCAUCGCCGCUCCGCCACGCGUCCAGGCCAACGAUGCAUGCAGCGCUACGUAGGCAGGUAGGCUGCUAAGAUGGCGUGGUGGUAGGGUCUUCACGAAGAUCUGCAUGCCACCACGCAGGUGCUUGCUGACUUGGCCUGGAAGCCACACGUUGCCACGCAUGUGCCUUCCCAGCUGGUUGGGCUGGCAGCUGUAUGGGAACGGCGGUGGAGUCUUGGCAGACGUGGGUCUGGCUAUGGCCCCGCAGGUGUCCUCGACAAGGGUCUUGCCGCGGCAUCGCGGUCGUCCCCGGCAAGGAUCUUGCCGGGGGUCUCGUGGAUUCCCUCGGCAAGGAUCUUGCCGAGGGUCAUCGUCUUCUGGUCUUCAUCUGAUCUCGUGUGCUUAUGAUCUUCACAAAGAUCUGCAUGCCACCACGGAGGUGCCUCCCGAGCCUUGGUUCUAAUGUGGUUGAUGGUGUUGGAACCCUUGGGCUCAAGGGUGGCACGCUCUGCUGGCGUUGGGCAAGUUGCCCCGGCAAGGCUCUUGUCGGGGCCGCGGAGGUCGCCCCGGCAAGGGUCUUGCCGGGGGGGUCCACUUCGCCCUCUUGCUCUUCGUGUCUCUGGUCUUGGCGUUGCUUUGCCCGUCUUGCGCUUUUGGCUGGAGCGCUGCUUUGGUAUUCUUGUGCUUCUGCUCCCUCCUCUUGCCCUGCUAAGUGUGGCCGCAGGUGCGGCUCUGACUGCCCGUGGACAAGUACAGGGGUAAAAAGAAGAGCCCCUACUUUUGUACACCGACAAUCAUAAUCAAAUUCAACAACAUAGCUAUCAUAUAAAUUUUUUCUUUUCAUGAUCCACAUGCAUAAAAAAUUUAUAAUCUUCCAAGAUAGUGGGAUUAACAUCAUCUAAAGUUAUGACCUCUCCAAACCCACUUUCAAUAUUAUUAUUGAAAAAUUUAUUAUCAAUAUCAUAUUCAUCAUGAGGCUUAAAUAAAUUUUCAAGAUCAUAAGAAGCAUUAUCACCCUGAUAGAGGCGAGGGGCCCGAUCUUUCGAUCAGAUGAUAAUUAUCGAUUUGGUGGAGCUGACUUUGACGAUCUGACUACAAACAUGCACGACGUUGUGCCUUAUCAAUCGCUAAACCAAUCUCCUGAGGUUACUGACGAUGUUGGAAGCACGAUCAGCCUGACCACGAAGGUCUAUUCCUGCACGCAAUCAAAGAACAAGCAAGAAUAUGGUAAUGCAAUCUGGAUAUUGUGAAUAUAAGAUGAAAGCUUUAUUGAUCAAGGUGGGGAUCCGUAAGCGGUCUUGGUCUAGUCGUUGGACACAAACGAAGUACACAAAGUUUCAAUGGCUAACUUUUAACUAAACAAAUUCCAAGGAAAAAGCUACUAGAUGGAUCUACUAAGGAGCAAGGGGUGGCGGCCAAGGAGGUGGGAAGACGUCCCAAGGCAGCCUAAAACUAACCCUAGGUCGUACAAGGCUCAUGGGCCCAAGUGGAGGUGUUGCAACACCUUUGGACUUGUAGUUUGACUCAGAUUCUGCUGCAGCGUCAGAUUUUUUCGUCGAUAACUCAACGCUCCGGACGAAUUUGAAGGUGAAUCCAAUUGGGUUGGAAAUAUCACAAAAUCUACUUUCCAACAAAAAAAGAAUCACCCAAUUCAGAGUUCGUAUGAAAGAGUUCUUGGCGUUUUGAAUCAGGUAUGUCUGUGCAGUCUGAAUCUGAAUUCAGAACAUGAGAGACUUGGACUCUAUCUUCUCUUGGCCCAAAAGUGACGUGAGAGGACUUUUUGAACAACACAUAAACUUCUCUUUUCCCCUUAUAUUCAUAUGUGGAUUGUACAAAUAUCUCAUACACCUGCAAUUAGACAUGACACAAAAGUUUGUGAAGUAUUUUUGUCCUGGAUGACAUAAAUAAAUUAUUGCAUAGUUUGCAUUAGAAAUCACCUCAUAAAUAUACAUGUAUGCAAUAUUUUUGGUCGUAUCCAAGGUAGUCAUGUCCUCAUCAUCAUCCCCUUCUUUAAAACAAAGUCAUCCUCGGCGUUGCUUAAUCUGAAAUGUGGAUAACAAAAGAGACAAGGUGUACAUGUUGUAUAUGUAUAUGUCAUCCAUUUUUACUUCCCUUUGUUUUUGCACAUAGGACACAUGUAUACAUGAGUAACUUUCAUAGUUCAUAAAAUCUGAAGCCAAAAUAUUAUCACAAGAAGUAGAAUGCAUGAAAAUAUUGUAAAUUAGUUUGCACAUAUAAGUGAAGCUCUUAUUCAUUUCAAAAGGUUGAAAAUGUUCAUCAUUAAACCAUCCGAACAUUGGUGAAUAAACCUUACUUGCAUCAAAUUUACAUGCUUAAAUAAGCAAACAUGCAAUAAGUCAUUGGUCACAGAAUAAUCACCAAGAUUAGAGGUCAUAUCAAAAUGAUUAAACAUUGGUUCUUUUGCAUCAACAGUUAAUUCAAUGGGUGCACUCAAAAUUGUUGGUAUUUCAGUUGUUUGAUCACAUGACUCAUUCAUGAUAGUACCACGAUUAUCUAAAAUUGGUGGUGUGCUCAAAUCAACAGCUAACUCAACACAUGAUGCAUUCAAGUUAACUAGGCAUGCAUCAUUCUCAUGUGAAGUUAUAUCAUCAAUACUUUACUGUUACCUUGUCGCAAAGACAUAGCUGAUGUAGGUAUGGAUGAUGACAAUGUACCAUACUCUUGAGAUGAUGUCACACCCUCAAUGUGAGGUGUGGCUACUCUAGUAGGUGCAACGGUGGAGGAACCAACCGAUGGUGGUGAGCAUGAACUAGAAUAGUAGUUGUUGUGUGUCGGGGAAACGACACCUAUGGGAUCCCAGGGAAUCCCUUCUACGGUUGGCGGGGCGUGGAGCUGCGCAAAGAGCAGGUCUAUCGAUCAGCGCGAGGGGAUUUUUACCCAAGUUCGGGCGGCAAACGAUGCGUAAAACCCUAGUCCUGCUUGUCUGUGUUUAUUUGGUGUUCUUUCGUUCUUGGACUAGCUACUAUGUGUGCCCAGUCCAAAAAGUUUGAAUCCUUCCACAGUACGCCUCGGGCCUCCUUUUAUAUGUCAAAGGGGUCGCCACAGUGGCACACAGGAGGUGGAAAGUAUCUACAGUGUACAAGUUUAUCGCCUGACGCCGUAGGACAAACGCAUUUAAUGCGCUGCCUACGUGCCCUCUUGCUUUAUCGGGGGCGGCAACAGAGCUCGUCCCGUCCGUCGCCGCCUCGCCUUGCUUCGACACGCGUCCAAACUGACGAGGCAUGCAACGCCAUGCUAGCUGGCUGGUUGCUGUGCUGGUGCGGUGACAGGGUCUUCACGAAUAUCUGCAUGCCACCACGCAAGUGCUUGACUAGUUGGCCUAGAAGCUGCAUGCUGCCACGCAGGCGCUGGCCUAGUUGGCGGGCUGGUUGCUGGCAUGGGGGAGGAGAGUGCACUGUGGUCGCAGCAUCUCCGGUCCUUCCACCACCGGCGUGCACCGGCUCGAUAGAGCGCCGGCACGAGGGUCCCACUGGUCGUGGUUCAUCUUUAUUGGCGAAGCUGAUGAGGCUCCGAAUGGUGGCUCUCCACUCGUCGAGCUUCUCCGCAGCAGGAGGGAAGUCGAGGAGCAGUUGCACGCACGCCAAUGCUUUCACUGGCGUGGGUGGCGGCGAAAGCUGUGUGGACCGUGACGCGCUCCGACUUCUAACCACAUUGGAAGGAGCUCUAUCACGGUCUCGUGGUCGCGCGCCGUUUCCGCCAGCGUCCGGGCGCACAUGCUGGCCUGGUGCAUCUCAGGAGUGACGCAGAGGGCUCUUCUCGCGGCGACGCCCGGGGGCACCGACAUCGCGGUGUUGCUUGUCAUGCGCGGCCUGGGAAGACCGCGGCGCGGGCGCCGGCUGGGGCGUCCUAGAGGUCACCGCGCCGCCCGUGGGCAGCACGGCCCCGCCCUGGACCCAGCAGCGUGUGGCUCGUCGUCUUGGACAUGAACGAUGCCGCUCGCCUGGCUCCGAUUGCCAGAGUAUCAUGGAUGCUCGCGGGCAACGCCUCCGCCACCAUCCGCGGCUACCCCAUCGCCCGCCCGCGCUGGCACGGGCGGUCCGGCUCCAGACGAUCCGAUCGCUGUGAUCCCCUUCUUCUUGGGGGCCAUGGCGAUGAUGAAGUCGAUGCGCUAACUUUUAGACCAGAUUUUCACAGCCUCAGCUGCCCCUACCUGGCGCGCCAAAGAUGUCAGAGAAACGACACCUAUGGGAUCUCAGGGAAUCCCUUCUACGGUUGGCGGGACGUGGAGCUGCGCAAAGAGCAGGUCUACCGAUCAGCGCGAGGGGAUUUUUACCCAGGUUCGGGUCGCACACGAUGCGUAAAACCCUAGUCCUACUUGUCUGUGUUUAUUUGGUGUUCUUCCGUUCUUGGACUAGCUACUAUGCGUGCCCAGUCCAAAAUGUCUGAAUCCUUCCACAGUAUGCCUCGGGCCUCCUUUUAUAUGUCAAAGGGGUCGCCACAGUGGCACACGGGAGGUGGAAAGUAUCUACGGUGUACAAGUUUAUCGCCUGACACCGUAGGACAAACGCAUUUAAUGCGCUGGCUACGUGCCCUCUUGCUUUAUUGGGGGCGGCAAUAGAGCUCGUCCCGUCCGUCGCCGCCUCGCCUUGCUUCGAUGCGCGUCCAAACUGACGAGGCAUGCGGCGCCAUGCUGGCUGGCUGGUAGCUGUGCUGGUGCGGUGACAUGGUCUUCACGAAGAUCUUCAUGCCACCACGCAGGUGCUUGACUAGUUGGCCUAGAAGUUGCAUGCUGCCACGCAGGCGCUUGCCUAGUUGGCGGGCUGGUUGCCGCGUCGGAACGGCCGCGGGGCAGCGCAACGUUGGUGGGUGCGGGCCUAGCCGUGGCCCCGCAGAUGCCCCCAACAAGGGUCUUUCCGGGGUCUCGCGGGCGUCCCCGGCAAGGAUCCUGCCGGGGGUCUUCGGCCGUCCCCGUCAAGGAUCUUGCCGGGGGUCUUUGUCUACUGGUUCUUAUCUAGAUUCGCAGGCCUUUGGUCUUCACAAAGAUCUGCAUGCCACCACGCGGGCGCCCCUGAGUCUUGGUCUCGACAUUGUCGAUGGUGUCAGGGCUCUCAGGCUCAAGGGUGGCGGCCUUGCUGGUGUUGGGCAAGUCACCCUGGCAAGACUCUUGCCGGGGCUAUGUAGGCCGCCCCGGCAAGGGUUUUGCCGGGGGAAGCCCAUCUUGCCCCUUCGCUCUUCAUGCCUCCGGCUUGAGUGCUGCCUUGGCAGUCUCGCACCUUUGCUUCUUCUGCCUCGCCAAGCAUGGCCACAGGUGUGGCUACGACCGCCCGUGCACAAGUAAAAGGGGUACAGAAAGGCCCCUACUUUUGUACACCGACAUUGUAGUCACCCAAUGCAUCCUCAUGUAUCUGUCUCUCAAAGGUACAAGCGCGAACAUACAUACCAGUAAUGCAACGAGGAAUAUACUAAAAUCUUGCACGAAUAUCAUGGUUCAAACCACCAAAAAAUCUAUUGAUUGUAUCAUCCUCAGAUUCUUCUAUGUCACAUGCAUAUAAGAUUUGAACUCUUGGUAGUAAGCAUGAACAGUGUUACUGCCUUGUUUUAAUUGUUCCAAUUUGCGAAGCAAUUCACGACGAUAGUAAGGAGGAAAAGAUUAUUGGCUCAUUAUAGCUUUCAAAUCUUUCCAAGUUGUGGGUUGGUUAUCAAUGUUUUUCUUACAAUGUACACUCCACCAAACAGAAGAAACCCCAGUAAAUGCUCCAAUGGCAGCUCGUACUCUCUCAAUUUCAGAAAACUCAUGGUGACUAAAAACUUGUUCUACUUCAAGCUCCCAAGCAAGAUAAAUAGCAGACGGUAAAGAGAUAACCUGGCCAUGUGCUUCUGUGUGUUGUCCCACCUCUCGUGACGGUGAAGAUGUAUCCGUCGUCCAAGAACUUCUAUCUCCGGAACCUGUCAUGAUUAGUAGAAACAAGAAACAAAAUUCAAGAAUAAUGUUCCUAUGAACUACUAGGAUGUGCUGGUAAAGCGCUCAUAGUAAAGCAAAUAUCAACCAAGCAGCAGGUGGUGACAGGCAACUAGCGGUGUCAAAUAACUCUGAAGACUAAGUAAACCGAUUGCCAGGGGAACAUAUAUAUACACGGUGUAGAAAUAUGUGGAGCUUGGAAGGCUUAAAUAUGGUAGCAAAAGAUUAGCAAUAAUCAAUUCAAAUAUGCAAUGUUGAAUAAAUGCUCAACGAUGGUACUGUGCUGGUCCUAGGCUAGACCGGACUAGAGACGUGAGCCUAGAACACUAAUGAAGUCAUGGCGUAGCACAACUAGCAUCAAUAAAGGAUAUGAAGUAGCUCUGGAUAGGAAGAUAAAAGUGAAGAUCAUAAUAGCAGUAAAGAUAAUGAUGUGAAACAACUGCCCAGAAGGAUAUACCAACAACUUUCUCUGGAAAAGUUUGUGCCAAUUUUUUGAUAAUAUUUCUCAAGAAUGGCACUGACUCAAGCUUUCAAACGCAAAAAGAAUCACUCAAUUCCGAGUUGAUAUGAGGAGUCAAAAAAUUCUAAAACCGGCCUGAUAGAGGCGAGGGCCCGAUCUUUCGAUGAGAUGAUAACUAUCGAUUUGGUGGAGCUGACCUUGACGAUCUAACUACAAACGUGCACGACGUUGCGCCUUAGCAAUCGCUAAACCAAUAUCCUGAGGUUACUGACGAUGCUGGAAGCAUGAUCAACCUGACCACGAAGGUCUAUUCCUGCACGCAAUCGAAGAACAAGCAAGAAUAUGAUAAUGCAAUCUCGAUAUUGCGAAUAUAAGAUGAAAGCUUUAUUGAUCAAGGUGGGGAUCCGUAAGCGGUCUUGGUCUGGACGUUGGACACAAAUGAAGUACAUGAAGUUGCAAUGGCUAACUAUUAACUAAACAAAUCCCAAGGAAAAAGCUACUAGAUGGAUCUACUUAAAUAGGAGCAAGGGGUGGCGGCCAAGGAGGUGAGAGGACAUCCCAAGGCAGCCUAAAACUAACCCUAGGUCGUACAAGGCUCAUGGGCCCAAGUGGAGGUGUUGCAACACCUUUGGACUUGUAGUUUGAUUCGGAUUCUGCUACAGCGUCAGAUUGUUUCAUCGAUAACUCAACACUCCAGACGAAUUUGAAGGUGAAUCCAAUUGGGUUGGAAAUAUCAAUAAUUCUACUUUCCAACAAAAAAAGAAUCACCCAAUUCGGAGUUCGUAUGAAAGAGUUCUUAGCGUUUUGAGUCAGGUAUGUCUGUGCAUUCCGAAUCUGAAUCCAGAACGUGAGAGACUUGGACUCUAUCUUCUCUUGCCCCAAAAGUGACGUGAGAGGAACAACACCUAAACUUCUCUUUUCCCCUUAUCUUCAUAUGUGGAUUGUACAAAUGUCUCAUACACCUGCAAUUAGACAUGACACAAAAGUUUGUGAAGUAUUUUUGUCCUGGAUGACAUAAAUAAAUUAUUGCAUAGUUUGCAUUAGAAAUCACCUCACAAAUAUACAUGUACGCAAUAUUUUUGGUCAUAUCCAAGGUAGUCAUGUCCUCAUCAAACCCCAAUCAUGAUCAUUGCAAUAAGUAGUGGACAUAACAAAAUUAUCAUCCCAAGCUUGUAGCUUUGCAUAUUAUUAGCACAAUUGACAUUAAUAGAAUGUAUAGUAAAAUCAUUGCAGUCAUGCUUUUCAUUCAAGGGGCUAUCAUGAAUCACAUUAUAAUUUUUUUCAUUUAACACUUCAUCACAAUUUUCAGAUUCAUGAUUUUCAAGCAAAACUUCAUAGAGAUAAUCUAGUGCACUCAAAUCACUAACAAUUGGUACAUCAUAAUUUGGUCUUUUAAAAAGAUUAGCAUAUGGAUGAGGAUCCAUAUCAACAGAUUUUUAACAAGCGAAGGUGCAAGGAAAUAGAAGGCACAUGACAACACAAGCAAAGAUAGCAAACAAGAAAAAGGCAAACGGAAAGAAGGCAAAUAAAAAGGCAAUAUUUUUGUAUUUUUUUCUAAAAACGCUUUAGAAGUGGGGGAGAGGAAAACGAGAGGAAAAUGGCAAAUAAUGUAAAUGCAAGAUAUGAGAGUUUAUGAUAGGUACUUGGUAGGCUUGAUGUCGAUCCUCCCCGGCAACGGCGCCAGAAAUUCUUCCUCCUACUUCUCGAGCUUGCGUUGGUUUUUCCCUUGAAGAGGAAAGGGUGAUGCAGCAAAGUAGAGAUAAGUAUUUCCCUCUGUUAAGAACCAAGGUAUCAAUCUAGUAGGAGGAACAUAUAAGUCUCUAAUAGUUGUACCUGCACAAGCAAACAAAUACUUGCACCCAACACAAUAAAGGGUUGGCAAUCCCUUCACGGUUACUUGCAAGGAUGAGAUCUGAUAGUGAUAGAUAUAAAAGAUAAGUAAAAGUGCAAAAUAAAAUAAAGGUAAAUAAAUUACAGCAAGGUAUAUUUGUGUUUUUGACUUUAUAGAUCUGAAAAUAAUAUGAUAAAAGAUAGACUCGGGGGGCCAUAGUUUUCACUAGAGGCUUCUCUCUUGAAAGAAAGCAUACGGCGAGUAAACAAAUUAAUGUUGAGCAAUUGAUAGAAGAGCGCAUAGUUAUGACGAUAUCCAAGGCAAUGAUCAUGUUUAUAGGCAUCACGUUCGAGACAAGUAGACCGAGUCCUGCCUACAUCUACUACUAUUACUCCACACAUCGACGGCUAUCCAGCAUGCAUCUAGUGUAUUAAGUUAAGAAAAAUGGAGUAACGCCUUAAGCAAGAUGACAUGAUGUAGAGGGAUAGAUCCAAUCAAUAUGAACAAACCCCAUAUUUUUAUCCUUAAUGACAACAAUUCAAAUAUGUGUCAUGUCCCCUUCUGUCACUAGGAUUGAGCACCACAAGAUUGAACCCGUUACAAAGCACCUCUCCCAUUGCAAGAAAAAUCAAUCUAGUUGGCCAAACCAAAUCAAUAGAUCAGAGAGAAAUACAAAGCUAUAUAAAUCAUGCAUAAAGAGUUGAAAGAAGACUCAAAUAAUAUCCAUAGAUAAUCUGAUCAUAAACCCACAAUUCAUUGGAUCUCAACAAACACACCGCAAAAGAGGAUUACAUUGAAUAGAUCUCCAAGAACAUCAAGGAGAACAUUGUAUUGAAUAUCAAAGAGGGAGAAUAAGACAUCUGGCUACUAGCUGUGGACCCAUAGGUCUAUGGUAAACUACUCACGCUUCAUCGGAAGGGCAAUAGAAUUGAUGUAGAAGCCCUCCGUGAUUGAAUCCCCCUCCGACAGGAUGCGAGAAAAGGAUCCUAGAUGGGAUCUCAUGGGAACAUAAGGUUGCGACGGUGGAAAAGUGUUUUCGUGGAUACUUCUAGUGGUUUGGGAAUAUAUGUGAAUAUAUAGGCUGAAGAAUUAGGUCAGGGGAGUCUUCUGGUCCUCCCACGAAGCUUCUGGGGUCUCUUAUGUUCCAAGAAAAUCGUCAAAAAGUUUCGUCGUGUUUGGACUUCAUUUGAUAUGGAUUUUCUAGAAAACCAAAAACAAGCAAAAAAAACAUCAACUAGCACUGGGCACCAGGUUAAUAUGUUAGUCCAUGAAAAUCAUAUAGAAGUGCACAAAAAUCAUAUAAAAUUAUUGUAAACAUGGCAUGAAUACUUUAUAAAUUAUAGAUACGUUGGAGACGUGUCAACAUCCCCAAGCUUAAUUCCUGCUCGUCCUCGAGUAGGUUAAUGAUAAAAGAAACAAUCUGUGAAGUGUGGAUGCUAGCAUAGUGCAUAAAUUUGAUCAAUGAUAAUUCUAAUCACUUUCUCUAGCAUCAUUAACAACGACCCUUUCUCAUAAAACUCAUCAUGACAAAGUAGCAAUCAAUUCACAUGUUAUGGUUCAAACAAUCAUAUUAUUUUCAGGGAAGUCUAAGUAAGUGCUCCACAUACUCAAUUAUCAUAUAGUCUUCUAUGGUUGCUAGUCAAAGCAUAUUUUUAGAACAAACAAUAUUCAUCGAACACAGAUGAAGAUAGGGGCUUAAUGUUUUGCCUCCCAACUUACUUAUCAUAGAGAUAAUUUUCAACAAUAAUAAUUCAUGAUCAAAUAUAUUUGACUGGAUAUAUGUGCCUAGAUAUUUCCCCACCACAUGAUGCUUGCCAAGUAGAGAAUAUUUGAGGUUGGAAUGAUAAGUUGACCGAACAAAAGAAUUGUCAGAAAAUUAAAAGAUAAGCCCUUCGUAGAGGGAAGCAUGGAUUUGCAGCGGUGCUAGAGUUCAUUGCUAAAAACAAAGAUGAAAACAUUUUGAGUGGUGUGCUUUUCCUAUCAAGGUCAUGACUAAGGAUUUCAAUAUCUUCCAUGCUAAACACAUUAUCGGUGGUUCCCACAUGGAAAUGAAAAGUUUACUCCCCCUCAACCAUACAAACACACAAGCCAUGGCUAGCCAAAUUCACGGGUUCCCUCCAAACAAUCAACUUUCCAGGGGAGUUUGAUUUAUUAUAUUUUUCUUUAUUUUUGUUUAGUGGAAUUGGGCAUCCCAAUUACCAGCCUCUCUCGUGCAAUGAUAAGUGAAUAAACACCCAUCAUGAGAAUAACCCGCUUACUGUUAGUUACUUGAUCAAAGAGUUUGUAUGAUUAUUGUUAGUUUCUAAAUGAUAUAAGCAAAAACCAAAAGAGUUAGUAUUUGCCUAAGGGUUUGUAUAACAUGUUUCAAAACAAUAUAGAUGGUAAAAAUAUCAAAGAGAACAUAAUUUGGUAUCCCUAGUUAAUAAUAGAAACAUUUAUCAGACCUCCAAAGUGUGCUAAAAGCAUACGAAAGUAUGUAUGGAAAAAAUUGCCAAAGCAUUUCUAGAGCGGGGCCUAUAUUCUCAUUAGUACAGUAUAGUUUAGUCAAGUUAGGAUGAUGACAUGGGUGAUAUUGCUACAAAGAAGAACAGAUCGGAAAAGAAUCUUCUAUAUUACCAUGUAAAUACAUGUGAUGUUUUUAUUAUUUGAUCCAAAUAUUUCACAUGAUUGCUCACAAUUUCAGAAAUGCAAGGGAAAAGAUAAGAAGAUAUAUCCACCGCAUGUAUGUGUUAAUUAUUUGCAGCAGUUGAGAUGAAACAGGAAGAACAUGUAUAAAGAAAGAUGAAAGAACAUACAGAAGCAACGAACAUCUAUAGCGACCAGUUUGUAAGCUCAUAACCAAAUAAAACAACUAGACAAAUUAGAUCCAUGGUGAACAAAAACAUGUAGUCAAGAGGGAGGAGCGACUCUUGCAGUACAUCAUCCUCAUCACCGAAUUUGUGGUGGCCACGGAGGACAAUGAUUCUCACGCCACCUCCCCCUCUUCCUCUGAUUUAUUCCCUUUCCAUUGAUGCUCCUUGUUCGUACUCAUUGAGGCCGUGCCAAAGGACCCGCUGCACGAGAGGAGGGCAUCGCUAGAUGGGAGAGCAAAGGGUGAGGAGAUUGGCGGCUUGAGAAGGGGGUUUGGAAGGGAGCGUUGCUGAUAGGAGAAUCGGGGCUGAAGAGCAGCCACGUGCACCGAGGAGGCCGCCCGAGCCCAAGAACCGGGCCAAGGUCUUGCGGCCACAGGACCCCAAGGUCGAACAGAGGUGGAAGAUAGCAUGAAGAGAAAAGGUGGGGCAGGGGUUGCGACAGCGACAUGGCUGGGCCCCAAGGCCAAUAGGGAAGAGUUUGGAGAGGACGGGAGAGAGAACGUUGAUGCUUUUCUUGCGCCGCCCUAUCGCUGCAGGUGGAGAAGACGGG
rnacentral:lncRNA from 1 species